rnacentral:lncRNA from 1 species
AAGAGAUGAAGAUCCUGGUACCAGGCUUGGGCCAAUACAACAUGAAGCUCUUUAGACUUGCUUGGAGGACGGUUUUCGUGAUCCUGACCACUGUGAUAUCGAUGCUAUUCCCAUUCGUCUUCAACAAAGUCCUGGAUAUCAUCAGCUUGGGCUUUUGGCUUCUAAUGGUCUAUUUUCCGUUGUAUAUUAGACAGAAACGAAUUCCCAAAUGGAGCACUAAAUGGGUAUACCUGCAAAUGCUGAGCAUGGCCUGUCUUGUGAUAUCGAUCAUGGCAGCUGCGGGUUCGGUCCCAGGACUUAAGGACGACCUUAAGACAAAUCGGCCAUACGGGAUGAGCUACGAUCAAAAUGCAUGGAUCUUUAGUUGAUCGGCCAUUUCAGAAGAAAAGAAUAACAUCAUAGAAGUUUCUACUUUCAUUUGUUUAGUCUGGAAUUACAAACUCUGUAUGUUCUAGCCAUUGCUAAGGAAAACUUGCAUUUUAUGCAAGUGAUGGUUACGCAUUGUCCUGUUGUCGUAAGAAAAUACGAAAUUUUGGUUAUUCAAAGAUGAACCGUAAACGACCCUCCUCUCUCGUUGUUGCGAGCUCUCUCUACCUCAUGGUAGCGUCUUCCUUCCCAUAAACCUUAGAUCUACUUUUUAGCAUUCCUUUCCUCGUCUUCUUUUACACUCUCGAUUUAUCAAAAUAGAAAAAACCCAUAAAGUUCUUUUGAUCUUGAUUCCGAUGAGUAUGGCGGGUCUUGGUCACUCUUAUAGAUCAGGAGACUGGAGUUCCGUUUUGGAGAAGGCAGCGUCUUCCAUGAUCGAUCUAGAGGGUGGAGGGCCUUGUUCACUCAUCUAGAAAAGUAGCUCGGAGCUCUGAUUUGGCGAAGGUAGCGGGUUCUCGAUCGAUUAAGGUAGGGUUGCAUCAGGCUGUCUGGACUACCGUUUGUCGUAGCGGAGAAUGAUGUUGGAACAUGAUCGAGGAGAAUCUCUGAAUCCAGAAGGAGGCAGUCAAUAUCGCUAAAUUAUUUGUCUGGCAACCAAUAUUUUGAGUAGUAAUCGUAAAAGAGGAGAGGUGGAAGUAAGAUCUUACCCAGUUUUGUUGAAGUCAAACAUGCCCUGCAUUGCACACCUAUGUAGUCUCGAGUAUCCUUUAUGUUAAUUCUGGCCGUACAAGUUAGAAAUCAUGGAUAGUAAGGAGGAAAACGAGAUGCAGGUAGCAGCUUUAUGUAAAAAAACUGGGCCAUCUGUGGUCAGAAGCAGACGUGGUUGAAGUGUGUUCAGAAAUACCUUUACAAAAAAGAGAUGAAUGCAACAGAACUGUUCUGGGUAAACUUUACUCUAAACCUAAUGUAAAUUAUCUAGGAUUUCUCUCUACUAUGAAGAAGGCAUGGAAAACAGAUGCUGUCUCAUGUGUACAAAAAGAACCAGGGCUCUUUACCUUUGUUUUUCAAUCAGAGGAGGAGAAGAAGAGGGUUUUGAAGUCUGCUCCAUGGUCUUACUCUAGCAAUUUACUUGUCCUUAAACAGUGUGAUCCUAUAAUUCCAGAACAUUGUUAUGACUUUUCCAGAGCAACCUUCUGGGUAAGAAUAGGGGGUAUCCCCCCGGGAUGGAGACUCGAACCUGUAUAUCAUGAUCUGGGCAGAAAGAUAGGCCAGGUCCAGGAAAUUCAGCUGGAAUCUAUGGGAAAUGUUCAAAAAAGAAGAAGGAAGAGUUAGAGUGGAAAUUGAUUUAUCUAAUCCUUUAAAAUCAGGGGCUAUUCUGGAUAUUGGUACUAAAUGGUUGUGGGUUGAAUUUAAAUAUGAGAGAUUACCUCAUUACUAUUAUUCAUGUGGCAGAAUUGGUCACUAUGCAUCAGAUUGUCCCGAAAUCCCUUAUGCAGAAUCACCUUGGCAGCUAACAAAAUCGGGCCCUACGGACCCUGGUUGAAAAUAGAAGCAAGUAAACACAGCCCUUAUUGGGAAGCUUUUUAUGGAAACCUUGACGAAGAACUCAUAGUUGAAGAAACCAUACCUGUGGAACCUUCUACAGCUAAUGAGGCAAUCCCAACAGCAAGAGAGAAGGAUCAAGACAUGCAAAUAAUAGCCUGUAGUAAAAAGAGAGCAGAAGUUUCAAUGGAACCUGUGACCAUGGAUGCAAUUAUAACUACUCAGAAGGCCUCCAAGGAGUCUGGAAAGCAUAUUAUUGGCACAGAAGACCCUGCCCAAACUUCUUUGAAGAUAGGCAAAAGCAGCAAGAAAAGUAUGAAGGUACAAAAAGCAAAAAAACAUAAGUGUAUACCUGACCCAACUCCUCUCCUCAUAGAUGACUCGAAUCUGAUGGACACUCCAGUAAAGUUGCUCCAAGAUGGUGCAGAAUGGGCUAUGGUGGCUAGCCUUAAUAAGCCACCCAAGACGAAAUGAAGUUAAUAAGCCGGAAUUGUCAAGGGUUGGGCAACCCCCUGACAAUUCAGGAACUUCGAGCUCUAAAUGCUCUUGAACAUCCCAGUUUAAUUUUCCUUAUGGAGACAAAAAAUAAAGCAACGAUGGUGGAAGGUAUAUGUAAAAGAUUACAGUUCCAGCAUUUAUUUCUAGAAAAUCCAACAGGCAUAGCAAGGGGAUUGGCUUUGAUGUGGAAUGACUCCGUAACAUUGCGGGUGAAAGAUAGUUCUAAACAGUAUAUAAAUGUGGAAUGUACUGAAGUAAGCAUAAAUUUGAUGAUGUAGAUUACCUUUGUUCAUGCUUCCACGAAUUUUGGAGAAAGGCAACAGCUAUGUCAACUCUUAAAGACACUUAAACCCCAGAAUUCAACUCCAUGGAUAUGCAUGGGGGACUUUAAUGAGAUCUUAUAUGUAUGGAAAAAGAUGGGCAAGAGAGAAGCAGAUAAUACCAUAAUUGCAGCUUUUCGACACAUGCUGAAUGAGACAUCCUUGAUGGAUAUGGAUAGCCAUGGCUGCGCAUUCACCUGGGCAAAUAAAAGAGAAGGGGAGGAGUUAGUAAAAAAAAGGCUUGACAGGAUGCUUUGUACAUUGGAAUGGCACAUAACUUUUCCUGAAGCAGAAAUCCAUGCGUUACCAGCAAUAGGAUCAGAUCACAGUCCUCUUGUCCUUUGAUUAUAUCAGUAACCUAGGAAAAGAAAGAAGGAUUUUAAGAUGGAGGCUUACUGGAUUGAAAAUGAGGAAUAUCAUGACCUUAUUAUUCAAAUAUGGAAUCAGCCCUUUAUUACUACGCUUACCUUUUCGGAGAAACUUAGGGAGACUGCUGUAGAAUUAAUCAGGUGGAGUAAAGAGAAGUAUGCCCAUGCACCCAGAAGGCUAAAAGAACUAAAUCAGACUCUUAUUGAGAUUACAAAUCAAUCGGAUUAGCACAAUACUCAGAAGCAAGUUCAAAGCAUAAUACACCAGAUUGAUACACUGAGGAAGCAAGAAGAACAAUACUGGGGAUUGAGAUCUCGAGUGAAAUGGCUACAAUGGGGAGAUAAAAGCACUCGCUUCUUUCAUGCGACUACAGUCCAGAGGAGACGCAGAAAUAAUAUAACAAUGCUGCAACUGGAAGACAAUAGAUGGUGCCGUGAUCCAGAAGUACUCAAAACUCACAUUCAAGCUUUUUAUAGCAAUCUAUACAAAACAGAAGGGCACAUACAUUACCAGCCAGUCCUGAACCAAUGUCAUUCUCCUAUUAAUGAAAGAAUUAAUGCAGAGGUGGAGGCAAACCCCAUGAUGGAGGAGGUGCAAGCAGCAGUGUUUCAGCUGGGUGCUUUGAAAGCCCUAGGCCCAGACGGGUUCAAUGGCCUGUUUUACCAGAAUUCAUGGGAAGUAUUAAAAUCAGACCUGUUCCAGCUAGUGCAGAAUUUCUUCAACACAGGUAUUAUGGACCCGCUGCUUAAUCGAACUCAUAUAGCAUUGAUCCCUAAAGUGAAAAAUCCAGAAUCCAUCAGUCAGUUCAUAUCAAUCAGUUUAUGUAACUUCAACUAUAAAAUUAUUUCCAAAAUACUAGCAAACGGAUUGAAGAAGUGGUUGCCAGAAAUAAUAGAACCAGAGCAAGGUGCAUUUGUACAGGAUAGACAAAUCCAAGAUAAUAUCCUAAUCGUGCAAGAAGUUUUACACCAGAUGCGCAUCACCAAGCGAAGGAGAAAACAUCAAACAGUUUUAAAGCUAGAUAUGCAGAAGACAUAGGACAGGGUAGAAUGUGAUUUUGUUAGAGAUUGUAUGCUAAAAAUGGGGUUUUCAAGGAAAUGGGUUGCUCUUAUAAUGCAAUGCAUAACAACAGUGACAUUUAGUGUGAAGUUUAAUGGUGUACCUACCCCUUUUUUCACCCCUUUCAGAGGACUGAGACAAGGUGAUCCCCUGUCACCCUAUCUGUUCAUACUAAUUUCAAAUGUGUUAUCAUGGAUAAUGCAAAAAGCAGUAGCAGAUGACAGCCUUCAAGGAAUACAUCUGACUAGAACACGUCCCAGACUAUCUCACCUAUUAUUCGCAGAUGAUGCUAUCUUCUUCCUAGAAGGUACUCUAAUGGAGUGUCAGAACCUAACACUUACACUUAAUCAAUAUUGUCAUGCAACAGGGCAAGCUAUAAACUUAAAUAAGUCAGGAGUGUCUUUCAGCAAGCAUUGUCCUGUAACCUUACAGAGGAACUUGGCUCAGGAACGGCGAGUACCUAUUAUCGAAAAGACAGGUAAAUAUUUAGGGAUUCCUACAGAAUGGGGGCAAUCGAAAAAAGAUAUAUUUGCAUGGAUAUUAACUCGAGUAAAUUCAAAAUUGGAGGGAUGAAAGGAAAAACUACUUACUAAAGCAGGAAAGGAAGUGUUGAUCAAGAGUGUAGUGCAAGCCAUCCCAUCCUAUGCAAUGGCGAUUUUUAAACUACCAGUGUCCAUCUGUAGAGCAAUUGAAAGGAGAAUAGCGUCAUUCUAGUGGCAGAAAGGAGAUAGUAAACGAGGGGUGCACCGGAAAAAUUGGGAUGCUCUAAAAAGAAGGAAGGAUGAAGGAGGGCUGGGUUUUAAAGACCUGAUUACUUAUAAUGAUGCGAUGCUUGGUAAACAAGCAUGGCGCUUACACCUCUCCCCAAAUGCUUUGUGGGCCAAAGUCUUCAAGGGCAUCUAUUUCCCAUCUGGCGAUGUCUGGACUGCUUAGAAUGGCCAGAGAGCGUCAUGGGGCUGGCGGAGCCUCCUGAAGGGUCGAGACACAAUCAAAGACGAUAUAAGAUGGACAGUUAGGGAUGGGAAAUCCAUUAAAAUCAUACAGGAUAAAUGGUUAGAGGGGAUUAUUGAGGGCCAACCAGAACAACAAGAACCUACCAUGGUAGCUGAUUUGAUCAACGAUACUACGCGAGAAUGGAAUCAACCUCUAAUAAAACAGCUGUUUGAGGAAAAUAUAGCCAACGAAAUUUUAGCCAUCCCCCUGAGCACGAACUCUAAACUUGAUCACAUACUGUGGAUAGGAAACAGAGCCGGAUCGUUCUCUGUAAAAAGCGGAUAUAAUAGGGCGUAUUUAUUAGCUACAAGGAAAAAUCAAUACCAGGCCUCUUAUUCGUACUUGCCUCUACGCAACCUAUGGACGCAGAUCUGGAGUCUCACAGUAUUGCCGAAGAUCAGAACCUUCCUUUGGAGUAUCUGUCAAAACGCGAUUCCAACAAGGGAGAAUCUAUACAAAAGAAAAGUCAUCCCAGAUCCUUUAUGCCAGAUUUGUCACACACAGGUCGAAACCAUAUAACAUAUUUUCUUAUUCUGUCGAUGGAAAAAACGGAUCUGGGAGGAUCAGAGGUUGCAUGGCAUAAAUCUCCAGAGAAACAUAAAGCGAAUAGAUCAAUGGCUGGUGGAGGUUUUUCAAGAAAAAAAAGAGAGGUACCUAUACGGGUGUUCAUCGGGCUGGUUCUUUGGCAGAUUUGGAAGGCCAGGAACUUAUGGAUCUUUAGGGGAAAACACCCACAACCUCCAGAAAUCAUCAAGCUUGCACAGAACUAGAGUAUUACUAUGACGCGGGGGAUGAAAAACCAUAAGAACAAAAGUCAAGAUCAGAUCUUACCAGUGCAUUGGAACCCCUCGAAAAAUUGAGAGGUGAAAAUGAAUGUAGAUGCGUCAUGGAUGCCAGGAGAGUUCCUUGGAUCUGUAGCUGGAAUCGCAUGGGAUGAAUCUAGAUCUGUAGUUGAAGGGUUCGCGGCCGAAGUUAGGGUUUCCUUGGCGUCUCAAGCGGAAGCCGAAGCAUUUCUCCACGGGAUAUGCUAUCUGAAGGAGAUAAGUUCGAAGUGUGUGGGGGAGGCGAAAAGUCAGAUGGUUCGGUGGACAUGUGAGAGCGACAGCUCAUCGGUAGUAGACUUUGUGCUGGGCUGGGCCAAGACUCCUUGGACCUGCGUGAAGUAAUCAAACACUGCCAACAAGAAUUAUCCCAGUGCAAUUAUAUCACUGUCGGAUCCUGCCCUCAAGGCGCAGCCGACUGGCUGGCACGUCAACAUCGAGAAAGGAAAUUGCCCGCGAAUUGGAUGUACUCUCUCCCUCUAUCUCUUGUGGAUAUUUUAUGUUUGGACUGUAAGCUGUCGUUGCAUUCUAAGACUAAGUAAUAUAAUGCAUAUAUAUGCUUUUCGAACAAAAAAAAAAAAAAAACCGCCACAUCCACGUCAAUUGGGUUAGGCUCCAACCAUGUGAUGACAAGCGUGCCGACCUUUCAAGGUUAACAUAAGGGGGAGAGUUAUAAUAUGAAUAAAGAAAGUCCCAUGUUAUUAUAAUAUAUAAAUUGAUAAUUAAACGAAAUCUCAUUAUUUGAAAGCGUUAGUAUGUCCUUUCCAGGAAGAGGAAAAAGAAAAGGGAUGCGUGGAUUUCAAUAUCUAAAGAAAAAGCGACUUUUUUUACCUCUUGGAAGAUACUUUAAUAAUAGUUAGAUAAGGAAUAUGAAUGCAAGAUAAGGACUCAAGCCCACGUGUGAAUUGAGAAUUCCUUCAAAUGAUUAACAUGUGAAUGGGGAAACAUUACAUCGAUGGGUUGGCUUAGAUUGAACAUGCCAUAACCCCAUUAGAUUGAUUGGCUUGUCCAAUACCUCUUCGACAUCCUCGACUAACUCACUUUUAAGCAAAUGUUUCUCCGUGGCCUCAGUCAAACCAGCUCUUUCAUGUAUAUGUUUUCCCCUAAAAACCAAAAUUGAUUGGUGCCCCACUUCAUUUAACAAAUUCAUUUGCUUCAAUUCUAUCUAGGUACUCAAAAAUAGCUUCAUGACCUUACUUGCAUUCCAUUACUGCUAUAUGCAUAUUAGGGAAGACCACAUGACAAAACUUUUCUCAGACUUCAGGCGUAUUGCUGAGUUAUAGAUUGCAUGCAUUAAGAAGUGAUUUACGAGCGUGAUUUAUUGGGAUUUUGGUCCCAAGAGAUCGUUGUCUAGCAUUAUUAGCUCCACUUGUACAUUUAACAAAUGUUGUUGGAGCACUAGUUAAUUUAACUCAAUACAGAAAUAAAAUUCUUCAAGAGGCUUCAAAAAUAAAUUACUUACUCCAAAUGAGAAAUUUAUAUUUUUCAAGUAUUUUUAAUAAAGGCUUAAUAAGUGCCCGCCCUAGGGACAAUUUUCAGCAAUUUGCAUUUGAUUUUAUUUAAAGUUCUCAUAACCAUCGAUGCAUAGAUAAGGUUUGCAACCUAAAGAGCUAGUUACACGAGAAUUCUCACAUAAUAUUGAGAAUUUUGUUUCAUACAUAUUCAAUGAGUGACAUAAAUAGGUCACAUUUUCCUAUAUUGAACCUCUACCAUAUCUUUCGUUUUGGACACUCAAGUUUUGUAGCUUAAAAAAUCAAAUUAGACCCAAAAAUCAACUUUCAAUUGAGAUUUGAGACAUACAUCAGGAUGUUAGUAUUGAAUCGAUUGUAGUUAUAUGAUAUGAUAGCUUUUGGUUAAUAACGUGCAAAUAUAAAUGUGUCUAGGACGUUUGGUAGAGGAUGAUCAAAGGAUUUUAAGGGGUUUGGGCAAUGUGAUAAGGAAAGACGAUUCCAGCAUUUUUAUGAAAAUAGUUUUAUAAUUGUUGGAGAAGUAAUGGUGAAGGAACUAAGGGAUAUGAAGCUUCCCACUCAAUGGGUGGAGGGCUAAACCCUACACACACGGAGCUUAUGGAGGUCUCAACAUGACACCCAACUAUCGCAUUAAAACCCAUUUUUCUAGGACUCCAUCUGCCGACUACAAAAGUCUAUGUCUUGUCAGAAAUCUUUUCUUUUGCUUUAGCGAUAUUCAUCGCCGUACUCAAUUACAGGGGACACAUCUUGACUUUUGUACAAAUAUCUAGUCCAUGCUACAUUAUUCGAGAAAUUGCAUCACGCAUAACCUGUCUAUAACUUGGGCCUAGCAUCAUUCCAACAUCUUCCAUGAGCUCUAACUUCGCACAAUACAAAUACUACCAUAUAGUCACUUUUUUGCCAAACCCAUCUCUCUCCCUCUCUCGUAGUAAGUUUGAGCCUUUGGCUUUCAAGUGGGUGCACAAAACACAAAGCAACCUCGGAGUCAAAGAGACCCACUUUCCACUGGUUUUGAACCGGUUAGUGCUAAUAAAACUUGCAAGUAGGACUAGCUACCAUCCAGAUUGAAACUACACGGAUUCUGAUGGAUGAAUAAAUUUUGGAGGUCCUUUCAUUUGGCAAAACAGAAUUUAGUUUCCACACACAAACUUGCUAACAAUUGCUAUUUCCUUCUCUCUCUCUCUCUUUAGGACAUUGAAAAUGGAUGAGGACUCUGCCACCAAGAACAACCGAAAGUGCCGCCGCGGCCAAAUCGGUGACAUCUCCAUUUUGAAUGCCUCCCCAAAGCGUCUUCAGAUGCUUCAGCUCAUACUCCUUCGACAGCCACCUCAAACGAACUAGGAAUCAACCUUAUCUUCAUAUAUUCCUAAUUUAUUUCUGCUUGUGAGAAAUAUAAAUUUUUUUCACUCAAAGUAACAAUUUAAACAUAAUUCCUUCAUAUAUAUUAUUACUAAAAAACUUAGGAGACAAUAAAAAUAUUUCAAAUGUAAAGAGUCGAUUAGAUUUCAUCGGUUGAUCAAUCCGGGACAUUGUGGAUGGUGAGUGCACACAUAAUAAUAAUAAUAAUAAUAAUAAUAAUAAUAAUAAUAAUAAUAAUAAUAAUAAUAAUAAUAAUAAUAAUAAGUGGCAAUAGGAUCGGGAGUGCUUUUGCUUUCAUUGGACAUUGCUCUGCUAGGCUGGAUUGCAAGUCCUAUUGUGAUGUUCUUUUUCUCCUCCGUGUGCUACAACACCAAUCGCCUGCUCUGUAAUUGUUACCGUGCCAGCGACCUCAACUCCAGCAAAUGUAACCACUCAUAUGGACUCUAUUCGUUCAAUCCUUGGUAUGUAAUUCCAUCACAUAUUAUCACUUCUCAUUACUUGAAAUUUGCACUUUGAUUAAAUUUCUCACAUGAACAAAAGAUCCAAUGGAUGAAAAUAAAAGAGUGAGAUUUUUUGGGGGAUAUAAAUCUCCAGACAUCAACCAUAGAGACUAGAUCAUGAUCAUAUUAAUCUAACUUUUAGUUUGUCCUAGUGCUUUGCUUCGACUAGUGUUCCCUGCUCAAACCUGGGCAUUUGGAUUUGUUGCAUGAUCUCGACAACUCCGAGACAUGAAAAGAAUUGGAUGUAAGAUUGGCCAAACAGUGGUAUUGGUCGCAUUAAAAUCUUGUUCUGAUUAUCGAAAAAUGGCUAGCAACACUCAAAGUGCAGAAUGUUAGGGUGAACAACAAGGGGAAAAAUUAGCAAACGGAAAAAUCACCUUUCAUUAUAACAGUACUUUCACAUAGCCAUGGCAUUUUGAAGAAAUAUCAUCUGGUAAACCCUUUUUGUAGCCGCACCAACAGCAGAGCAAAGCGUCCAAGAUAUCUUAGAAACCUCGAAUGUAUUCCUUUUCCCUGAUGUCAUAAAAGGAAUCUCAUUUUACAUCUUCAUAUUGCCAUCUGAGAGAGCUCUAGUCUAGUUGGAAAUGUGGUUCUUGCUAUACUCACAAGAUUAUGCUUUUAAAGCGAGGUUCCACUUUGACUUUUACCGAGUAAAAAUUUAUAGACAUUCAUUAUACAUUUGUUUCGUAGAAAAUAAGUGAUGUGAAAGACAUUUUCCAAAAAAUAAUGAUUUUUAUUGUUCAAAAUAACUAGUCAAUAAAGAUUUUUUUUUAAUUUUUUAUAAUUAUAGCUUAUGUUUAAAUCUAUUUGUAAACAAUUUAUAAAAGAUACAAGAGAUCAAUUUUUAAAAAAUAUUUUUGAAAAUGUUGAUCUUUUACAAAACAAACGUACCCUUAUUCGGAGUUUUUUUUUUUUGGUCGAAUAUUUGGAGUUUAUUUUGUUGCAAAAUUGAUUGAUUGAAGAUAUUUAUUUGUAGUUUAUUUUUGUUGUGGGCAAUUUACGUUAAUUUGUGAGAGGUAAGAUAAGUUUUUGCAUUUAUAAAAUAUUUACCAACAUAAAGGUAAUUUAAUGAUGCUGAAGCUAAAUUUACAUACACAAAAUACAAUUUAAAAACAUCAGUUUGUUUUCGUGGUAUGAUAGCUUGUAUUGCUACAACAAGACUUUAUUAACUAUUUACUAAGAAUAAGUAUAAUUAAGAAGAAUCAGAAUGUCAGGGAUUAGGGCACGCCCGAUUUCCUAAUUAUAAGGAAAAUUACACACUACCACUCCAACUUCGAAUUAGGCAAGUUACCGUAGCCGUUGAUACAAUUACAUCAUAUCAAAUAAAAUUAAACAAAUCCGCCACGUUGACUAGUUGAAGAGGUUAGCCGUCGCCAAUUUACCGUUUCGACCUCACGCGCGCAACCCACUUUCCUAUUCUAUAAGGGGCAAAUUCGGAACGACGGGCGAAGGGAAGCUUCAUAUCCGUUACGGCCCCUCCUCUGUCCCUCGCACAGUGGUCGCAUCAUCUCUUUCCCACCUUCUUCUUCUUCGCAUGUUGCCCCUCCGCUUGCUUCCUUUUCCUCUCUCGACGGAGCCACAUUCCGGCUCAACGGGAGAUGGCGGAGCCGCAUCUGCCUCAGCUGUGCGGCCGAUCGAUGGGACGCCCGUGUCGGGGCCAUAGAGAGAGAGAGAGAGAGAGAGAGAGAGAGAGAGGAGUGGGGUUAUGAUCGGGGCUCGGCGCACUCUGGGGCUGCAAAGGUGGGGCUGAGCAAACACGUUUAGGCAGGGCGUGCUGGAGUUGAGCAGAUGUGUGAGUUUUUUGAAUUUUUUUUCUCUGACUAGAAAAGGAAAUUCGGAUGGAAUGAGAAAUUGGGUUUUUCUACUCCCAAAAAGGCUUUAUUUAUGGGAAUUAGAGAUAAAUUUUGAUUGGUGGAGUGAAGAUGAGGCGUAAAAGACUUUGGGGGCAUUGUGAUGAUGAUUAGGUAUUUUUCCUAAGAGUUGAUUGGUUGCUUUCUCUUAUUUUCUCCUCUCUCUGUCUCUCUUUCCCCCUCCCUCACGCGGGAAACCCCUCGUCCUGCUCCUUCCUCCUUCUCAUUUUCUUUUUCCUUUUCCCCCGUUCACUCCCUUCCUCACGUAUCUUUCCCUUUCCCCCCUGGUUCUGUUCUUCUUCAUCCUGUUGCUGCCGCCACCUUCAUCACUUCAUCCCAUCUUUAUCAUCUUCUUGCCGCACCACAUUCCAGCACCACCUCACGCCUCAACACCACCGCCCAGCAGCACCCCCACCUAGACCAGCCCCCAAGCCGAGCUCCCCAUUUGGCCAAGAGCUUGGAAGGACCACCUCUGCCACCGUCGAGCCUCCGUUCAAGCCGUGGUUGUCUUGUGUUUUCAUCACCAUCGUGUCGCCAUCGCCGUCGCCAUGAGCCCGCCACCGUCGAAAAUCAUGAGUUAACUCCCUAAUCGUUAAUUAGACCGUUAAUUACGCUUAGGGGUAAUUAGAUUAGCACUAAUAGCGUUUAGUGUUAAUUAAGCUUGGUUUAGUUUAAUUAAGGUUAAGAUUGGUUUAGAUUAAUUUUAAUUACGAUUAUGUUAAUUAAUCAUGGUUUGAUUAAUUAAUUCGGUUUAGUUUAAUUAAUCGUAAUUUACUUAAUUUAAUCGUUAUUUAUUUAAUUAAUCGUAAUUAGCGUAAUUAGUGACGGAUUAAGCAUUACGUAGAGUUUUGCGCUCAUUUUCUUGGAUGCAAUUAUGCGUGAAUUUGAGUGCUACACGUACAAAAUUAUGUGAUGGUUGUUCUAUGAUAAUUGUCUCUUAUUAUUGCAAAAGAUGAUAUUAUGGGCAAUUAAAUUAAAAAAAAAUGAAGUGUCGGGUUUGAACACUAAAUUUUAUGUGCCCAAUAAAACAAUGAGGUUUUAAACUAGGUACGAGCAAAGUUUGACGGGUUAAUAUUGAGUACGUGAGCAAGUACGAAUUUAUUUUGGAAAGUUUUAAAGAAAAAAAAAGGGCCACCCAAGAUUAUUUCCAAAAAGGGUGUUUGGACAAAGAAAUAGAAAAAAAAAUUGAGAUGUCGAGUUCGGACGCCAAAUUUUAUAUGCUCAAUAAAACAAUGAGGUUUUUAAAGUAGAAGUGUGCAAAGUUUGAUGGUUGAUUUCAAAUACUUGAUCCUGUACAAAUUUAUUUCGGAGAUUUUUAAAGAGAGAAAAAAAAAGAGUUGCCAAGUUUAUCAUUUGCAAAGGAAUUUUGGUGUUCUUGGCUAAAUAACGGUAAUAAAAGGUUGGCUUAAUAGAUGAUGUGCUUGAGUGGUUAUGUAAUUGAACCUGUCACCUAACGAGAGUUUGGGGACGAUGCUCGAUUUUGUCGAAUGCCUGGCGGGGGUCCGGAAGUCGAGUCACGGUUGAGGCAUGAUUGAUGCUCCUUUAUUGGAAAGCUAUCCUGAGGCGUAUGCAUAUGCGGGAUGAUGCCGUGCCUGAUAAGGCGGGACACGUGUGAAUGAUUGUUAUGCCGGAAGACUGCCGACUUUUAUGUUGGCCGUGGCCUGAGAGGUCGUAAUAAUUGGAACACGUGUGAAUGAUUGUGAUGCAUUGCACUUAAUUAUGGGAUAAAACUGUUAGGCAUGGUACGGGACGUGCCAAAACGGGUUUUGCCUUAUAAUCAAGACCCGUGUGAAUGCUUGGAGAAUGAGAAUUAUGUGUUCUGAUUAUUGUUUAUGCUUUUGGUAUUGAUAAUGACAUAUGUGACAUGCUAACAUGCAUGGGUGUGUUGAGGCGAUGUGAGUUUAUGUCACGCACUGAACCUCGAGCGUGCGCACAUCCCUUGGUGGUUGAUAAAAUUGCGAUGUUUCAGGAUGCGUUGCUGACCCAUUCAUUUUAUUGCACAUGCGUAAACAAAAUAAAAACCCAUGAUAGCAAAUAACAUGUGAUAGAAAAACAUGAUACAAAUUUCACAAAACAUUUUUAUAUACAAACUAGUUUGUCUACAAAAAGAUCGGCUUUCAAAAAGAAGCUGUCCUACGAUCUAUUAGUCGAACACAUUCACCGAUCUUUCAAACUCCACCUCCACAGGUUCCAGGGGCGUCGGGUCCUUCACAGCCUCAUUAGGAGGGUUAGCUGCACUCUCGCUCAGAGUGGCAUUGACCAUAAUGGCGGGGAUAUCAAAUCCCCGAAGGGGACCUACCAUAUACCCAUUGAGUCCAUGGCAAAAACCACGCCUUGAAUCGAUGAGGUAUCCUUUGAGGUAAGCCCUCAUCAACUUAUAUAGUGGUUACAACCAGCUCAUAGACCCAAUGACUCCCGAGGACAGAGACGUCUAUGCUCUACUCAAUAACAGUCAAAGGCUAACCAAAACGUUCCUAAGGGAUCACUAUCUAAGGACCUAAAAAGAAUGAGCCUAGGACAGGGUGAGACAACGUCUCAGCAAGUUCACCCCCAAAACUCCAGCUAGGAAGGAAAUAUGCGGCCUAAUCACACAAUCACACAACUGCAGAGACUCACCUUAUCUCAGAUCCUCCUUGCAUGUCAGUACGGUUCAUAUCAUAGACAUAAGUAGUAAUAAAAUUCAAUCAAUUGGGACGCAUCAACUUAUAUCUUAAUAAACAUAAUGGUCCCGAUUAUAAUGUCAAAUCGUUAUGACACGUCAUAUACCAUGCCACACAAUUUUGUCCCAUAAUCAGACGCAGUUAAGACACUCAAUCAUGCGUUCCAAUUUUAUCACAAUCCAACGAGCACAGCUUACUCUUCUAGCAUAAUCAAGCAUCGUCUCACCCCAUUGAGUACGACAACAUCUACCUCAAGAUGGCAAUCCCGAAGGAGUAUUGGUCCAAAAUCUAUUGUGACCGGCAUUUGUUGUCUAGAGGCAUCCCAUAUAGGGGCAAUAUCCACGCGACUCAUAUUGGGGACGGGUUCUCAUAUCCAUCACACAAUCAUUCAAUCCUGAACAAGGACACCGUGCAUUACACUCAAAUGUUCCAAUUAAAAUAGUGAACUUGGUCUAUUUUCUUCGUAUUAAAAACACACAGUGAAAAUAAUCGUAUAUGGGUAUAUGGGUAUAUGGUCAGAUCGAACUUUAAAAAUUGAUACCCUUCCUUUUAAAAUCAUACUAUUUGAUAUAGUAUUUAAAACCAUUUUCGAUGUCAAAACCCGACACCUAGUAUUUUCUAAUUAAAUACCAAAAUUUUCUAAUGUUGAAAUAAAUACUAAAAAUCACAAUCACUGCUCAAUUUGCACAAAUUAACAUUCAAUCGCAUAAACUAAGCACACCACUGCAAUUAGCAUGGAAUUCUGGUCACCGGUUAUCCUAAUAUAAUUUCUGGAAAAUAUUAAAUAAUUAAAUAAAUUACAAAAAUAAUUAAAUAAUGAAAAUAUUAAAUAAUUGAUGAGCAAGUAGCUAGGCAUCACAAAGUUGCAUACUUCUCUCCUGUUUAUAUAGAUUUGAAUUAUAUGUCACUCUCGAGCUUUGAUUUCGUUUUAUUUUUUUUCCUCUUCUUUUAGGUAUCAUGUGCCUCGAUCCUUUCUACAAGCCUCUGGUAACCUACUAGUUCUGCUAGAAGAAGUUGGUGGUGACCCCCUUCAUGUAUCCUUAUGCACCUUAUCUGUCUCUACCUUAAACAACACCUCUUCACACUUCCGUCUUCCUUCAUGAGAUGAGGAGAUCGAAUACAGAUGUGGGUAAAUAAUUUUUAGUAUAUUGAAAAGCUUUUCAUUAGUAUGAAAAAGUUCUUUCCAGAAAGAAAUGCAUCAGCAGCCAACUCAAUAGGAAGAGAUACAUCACAUAGGUUAUGAGGAGGAACAUUCAACUGUUGAAUUUGUUGGACAAUCAAAGAUUGUAAAAGAAAGUACCGAGAAGUAAUUUGAGCACUACACCAAUUAUAGAGACCUCAUUGUAUCGACCUUGAUUGUGCUUAUCCUUCCCUUUGUUGAUAAUUUCAUCGACUGAUUAGAAGUUGAUUUGCAUGAGCACCUACAAGGUGCUCUCUAGACCAAUUUUGUGCAGCAUAGUGAUUUUUCCAAUUUCAGGCAUUAUUGUGCAUCAUGAGCAACCUUUCCUCUGGCCAAGUUUGUACAAAUAAGUGAUUAACUCAUUUUUAAAGUUUCAGAGGAACUCUGUAUGGCAUAAUUCAGCAUUCCUGCAUAAUUAUACCAUUCGACAAACCUUUUAAAACUUUUCAAGAUGUUCUAGAAUUGAAACCGAUACGACAUUACAAACAGACAUAUGAACUGGAAAGGACUUGCAAGAAAUGCACGCUUGACAUCGUUAAAAGCUUAUAUUACCCCAAAAUUAUGACCAUUUCGUAUGAGCCACGUAGGAUCUUUUCCAUGUUUUCCUGGUAAAGGCCCUAAUGAAUACUUCGCUUAUUUUAACCUCAAGAGCAUUACAUGAUGUAAGAACCAUAGAACAUUGAACUAAUAUCUCGUGCAUGGAGUUCUCUUACAGGCAGCAAACUCUUAAUUCAUAAAUGCAGAAUAUUUAAAGAUACUGGAAACAAGUUAAGACAUAUUUUACCAUAAAAGAUAACCUUCCCUGAGUUUACUGACCUGAAUGCAUCUUCUCCAUAGGUAUCCACCAGUGACUGAUGGUUUAUUCCUGGCCGAAUAAAAGGUUUUGAAAUGUGAUCUUGAACUCACCAUGCCAUUGCCAGCAGACCCCAAACGUCAGUCUAGAUAGCACAACCAAACUAGGACUUGUGACAUGGACUUGAAGAGGCUGUCCAAUGAAUGCUAGCAGUUAAAAAAGGAACUUGAUUUGGUGUAGGUGUUUUGUCAAACAGUUAGCAGUUUGACAGCCCCCACCAUUCGUGGAGUCUCCUCCAUAUACUUGAACUGAAUUUCAAUAUAUGGUUGCAUGCAUGCUAUCUAACGUUAUAAAUGAUUAAUCUGUUUCCCCAUUUUAGGCUCUUUGUAGAUUCUGAAGCCCACAUGUUUUCUAGCAACGUAAGACCAAGGGUUUUGGGCAAAUUUAGUCGUCUAGCUUAUGCAUUCAAGGCCGGAUUCUUAUACAGGACUCAGAUUCAGGAGUCAAGGAAUAUGAGUGUCGGCCCCUUUGGCCCGCGUGUUCGGCAACAUUUUCUUGGAACUAUUGGAAACUACAAAUAGGGUCAAAACCCCACAAUCUAUGGAGACAAAGCACGAAGAGUAUUGUACAUGUAUUUCAUAUCUAUCUUAGUCAGAAAAUUAUGCCAAUUCAAUUUUUUAGGAUCACUAUCCAGUCCGAAAGGAUAUAAUUUUUCUCUGAUGUCUUGGGGGUGUUUUGAAAACCCUUGGUACAAAUAUUAUCAUUCCUUUUGAAAUUUCUGAUGUGGUAAUGAAGUAUUGUAGUUUUCCUCAUACGAUUCUAAAUCUACAUCCAACAUCAAGAGACCUUAGGUGUCUUGAGGCAUAGAGUUCUCAUUGUCUUACUAAUCGUAGGAUUUUAUUUUAGCAUCUAUAUGCAAUGGAUGAUGUUGCGUCUUGACUUGGAGACGUGGUUUUUAGCAUCGAGUCUUUAACUAAUAUGACAAAUAUGACAGUAUCAUGAGUCGCACAUUAUAUCUUCCUCAACAAACGGUCAAAGUUUCAAAAAAUAAAAUAAAAAAUAAAAGGAAAAAUAAUGAUAAUAGGAAAUAAGGUCGGUCCGCAAAUACUUUAAUAGUUUGCACCUGCUUUGAAAAUGCCAUCAAAAGCAACAACAAACGUGGACGACGACCAGCGUUGACUCUUGUUAACAUCGGGGAAGUUUCUUGCACGCAGCAAUUAGUAUGAAAACGACAAGAAUUCUACACGAGUGGUUUACUCUUUUCCCUCUAUAAAUCAGCUUGAAGGUUCCUAGCAUGGAGAGUUGCUGCCAUUGCUUUUCGGAACCCAUCUUUGUUUUCUUCCUUUUAUGAGAUCCCACUCUAUGCAUCAUUCUUUUUCUUCCUCUUUGAUUGCGUUUGAUUGAGGGAAAGGUUGCAAGUUGUUAAGGUAAUGAAAGUGUCAUGUCUAACUUGUGCUCACUCUUGUUAAGUUGUUCUUAUCAAUGAUCAUAAUGAUAAAUAUGGGGUUUGUGGCCUUUAUUGUUUCUUUCCAUUGCUUAAGAAUUUUGAGCAAAGUUCUGUUUUGCUGUGUAUGCAUAUGCAAUAUAACCACUUUAUAUGAUGAUCUCAAAUGCAUUUAUCAUUUUCUUUUGUUGACACCUAAAUUUUGGUGUCUUUAAAGAAAUAAAAUAAAAAUUGUAUCAGAGCAAAUAAAAGAAAAAAUAAGAGAGGAUCAAUUUGAUUGAUUAUGAAUGGAAGGUUGAAAUUUUGAUUAGCCACCCUUGCUAUGGCGAAUAUUCAAAUCUUAAUAAAUGUUGAAGCAAAUUUUCGGUCAAGAAAUCCAGGUAAAUGAGAAAGCAAUAAAUUUGAUAAAAAAAUAAAAGGAAUCAAAGCAAAAUCAAGCUGGUUGCAAAAUCACGCUUCAAUUUACAUACCCCGAUUUAAGACAAUGCAGAAAUGAAGGUCGAAAUUGCCAUGAAAUGGGGUGUUUGGAACCACUAUAAAAAGGGAUAUUUCAUGAACAAAAAGGAGAUAAACCUUUCAAGAAGUCAAAAAAGGAAAGCCUUUCGGCAGCAUAGUACAGAGAGAAAAGAAGUGAGUGGACGUGAGGGGGAAAGAAAAGGAAAAAAAAAAAGGAAGAGAAGGGUCUUCUUCAGCGUCCUUCGCUCCUCUGCAGCUGCCCGAGCUCCGCCCGCCCGUUCUUCGCCGGCUUCCUUCCGCCCAAGCGCCGACGCCGCAGCAGUCCGUCCGUCCGUCGCCGCUGGUCGCCGCGCCUCCGCCCACCAGUCGCCGUGCCUCCCUCCGCCCGAGCUCCAGCGCCACCGUCCCCGACGCCUGCACCCGCAGCCGCGCCUCUGCACGUCCGCACCACCGUCCCUUCAUUGUAGCGCCGCUCGCCCGCCGCCGAACACCGUCCCUGCCCGCAACCCGCAGCCGCCCGUCGCUGCGCUUCCGAACACCGCCACCGCCGCUGGUUGCAGCGCCAUCUCUGCUCGUCGCCGCGUCCGCCCGUCACCAGGAGCUUCUGCCCGAGUACCGUCGCCACUGCUGCCCUCCGCCCGUCGCCGACGCCGCAGCAGCCCGCCCGUCGCCGUCGCCGUCGCCAUCUCUGCUUGUCGCCGCGCCCGCGCCCGUCACAGCUCCUGCCACCACCGCUGCCCGUGUCCCACACCGGCAACGCCGCCUGCCUGCGCAGCCCUGACGUCGAGUUCCAGCCCUACAAGCCAUCCUCGGAGCCCCGGCGACCCUGUUGCAGCCGCAACGUUCCCCUGAGUCCAAGCUGUCAUCCCCGUCCUGUUUUUGGCCGAGCCCUGACUAGUGCCGACGGCCAAUCUCCCCUGCACACGACAACAACCCGCUGUUGGUUCGCCUGCCACAGCCCAACCCGACCCAAAUCCGUCAGUCCUGUUUAGAAAAAAAAAAAAAAUCCAAUCAAGGUACUUUAUUUAUUUAUUUAUUUAUUUAUCAAGUUUUGUUAUUAUUGCUUAAAUUGGAACAUUAAAUAUCCAUGUUCAUUUUAUGAAUAUUUUAGGUAUUAUCCGUAAGAUUUUGCCCAAAAUUACUAUAAUUACUAAUUUAAUUUGUAAGAUAUUGGAUCAUUUUUUAAUUAUAUUGAUUUUUUGGGCACUUUGAUAGUAUUUUGAUUCUUAAAUCGUUAUUAUAUUACUUUGAUAGUAUUCUGAUUCUUAAAUCAUUAUAAUUAUUAAUUAUCCGUAGGGUCCUAGAUAAUGUUUGCACAUUUUAAUAAUCUCAUUUAAAAAAAAUAAUUUUCUAAGAUAGGAUAGUGUUUAAGUCAAAUUAACCCCUAAAACAUAUUAGAAAUUCAUUUUAGACAAUUCACUUAGGUUUUUUAUCACGAUUUUUUUAAAAAAAAAUACAAAAAUAUUAGGUGCAAGUCAAAUAGUUUGCAUAUUAGGUUCAUUUAAUUAGCAAUUACUUGUUAGUAAUAGUUUAAGUGCACGUUAUAUAGUAAAGUUCUAAUUUCAAGAUAAAAGAAAACCCAAAAAAUUGCUUGCUUUGUGAGUUUAUUUCUUUUGGUGCAAGUCAUUUGAUUGUUUAAUAAUGGAUGAGCAUUCAUGUGACCCAAGGUUAGGUCGCGGCAUCUGUGUACUCCCAUCAAGUGAUUAAAACCAUGUCGCUUUGCCUUUUACAUGUUGUUUUGAACCCCACUUAUGGCUACAUGUGAACGUUUAUAUGGUCAACUAAGCUGUAAUUAUCUUGCUAAGUGAAGCAAGAAAGAAGGGAGCUUUAUAACUCUCUAUCUAUGUCUCAUGUGUGGUCCUUUGGUCUUCAAUAUAUGCUCUAACACUACAGGAUUUGGAGGGAUUAUGAAGGGAGGGAAAUGGUCCUAAAAGAGACUAGAAGGAAGUGUUCUAGUAAAUUCUAUGUUAAUUUUAAAUAUUGGAGGUAUUUGUAUAUAAAUUGAUAAAUUUAUUAUUAACUCUUGCUAGUUCUUUUAUAUUACAUCCAUCUAGAAAUCCUAUUUAUAUCAUAAUACGUUCUUUUCCUUUCUUUUCCCUCCUAGCGUGUAAACAAAAUUAUAACUCAAUCAUUUCAACUCCUUUCUUUCCUUUUUACUCAUAAUUAAUUAAAUCUCUUCUUUACCCCCAUAAUUACUCCAUUCAAACUGAGUGUCAAUAUGGAGGUCGGGUCUCUCUCUUCUUCGAUAAGAGUUUCGUCUCUCCCUUGGUGUAGUAUUCCCUAUCCAUGGUUAUAGUUCUCCCUUGAUACCCUGCUCAUGGAGCCUCUUCCAAAAUCAAUCCUCCUUACCAUUCUAUUUCAUCUUGGAACGCCAUAUCCGUAUAUCAUUCAUGGUCCAACAUCCUCCCUUCUCCUCCAAUCCUGUACCAUGACGAAAAUCAUUUAUCUUCACUCGCUCCAUACUUCAUGCCCAAUACCCGACCCUACCUCUUCUGGUCGCUGAAGCCGUUCAUAGAGCUCCCUUCAUGCACAAGCCAUAACCCUUACCUAUCCUUUGCAAGCUGAAAAUAAAGUGCCUGUGGUCCCUCCCCCCCCCCCCCCCCCUGUUCUGCAAUUCUGCAAGCUCUGUGGUGUCUUGACUUGGUGGUUAGCUUCUCUCACGCUGUUCUUCAUGUCUAUUUCUUGCUCAGCCUUCCAAUUCUGAUUCAUUGCUCGGGCGUGUCCUAUAGUGGUAAGACAGAGUCAACCAUGGACAGAGAGUUGGAAAGGGAACUUAGGCUUGCUGCACUUCGUAGAAGAAUGGGAAGAAUGUGGUCUGAAGAUGUUAUAGUCAAAGUGCACGAGAAAAUUCCUAAGGAGAAAUUGCGAGAAUGCAACCUUACCUUGUUGGGGAAACUACUCUCAAGAUCUAAUGUUAACUUCCAAGCAUUCCUACUGACCAUGAAAAGGGCAUGGGAAAUAGAGAAUGUGGUUUGUGACCAAAUGGAACCGGGCUUAUUCUCGUUCACAUUUAGCUCGGAUUUGGAGAAGAGAAAAGUACUCGAAGCUAGCCCAUGGUCUUUCUCAAAUAACUUGCUUGUCCUCCAACAACUAAACCCUAAUCUGCCAAUCCACUGUCACGAAUUCACUCAUUGUGCCUUUUGGAUGCAAGUGCUUGGCUUGCCUCUAAUUCGAAUUACUGAGAACACGCUGCUUGAAGUGGCAUCAAUAAUGGGUAAAAUUCUGGAGGUGAAGAUAGAACGGAAAGGCGGCAGCCUGUGCAAAGUUGGAAGGGUUCGGGUGCUUAUGGAAUUAUCAUGCCCUUUAAAAACAGGGGCUGUGGUGAACUUCGAAGAUGAUCAAUUUUGGGUUGACUUUAAGUAUGAACGACUCCCUCAUUAUUGCUACUCAUGUGGGAGAAUUGGCCACUACACGACUAGCUGUGAGGAAGUGCCCUACAAAGAAGCCGGGUUGGAGGAGAUUGGUGAUGGAAUUUUUGGUGAUUGGUUAAAAGCUGAAGAACACAAGAUAAGCCCCUUUUGGAACUUUUUUUAUGGGAAGGAAUGUCUGAUGCCAAAGGAGGAAGUACUUAUUCCCGAGACACUAGCACAGGCCGGCACUUUGGAGGACUUAGCUCCUACCAAAAAUGAUAACCCACAGGGAGUGAGGCAUGGAAUUAUAAAGCUCGAGGAGUCAUCUGAGCGGAAGGGCAAAGGCUUGGCCGAUGUAGGAAUGACAGCAAAAGGUAAGAGAGCUAAAGGUACGCCACGCCUGAUCUUAGACAGAGCAUGGACGGAGUCUCUCCCCAAGGGCCCCGCGGCUUCAGUCAAGAAGAGUAGGAAGGAUCAAAAGACUCCUAUUAAGCCCUCACAAUAUGGAAAAAGAGAAACCACAGUAAGCAGGAACGGUGGUGGUGAUCAAUACCGCUUUCCGUUGGUGGCUGUUCGGAAGGCCACGAACGACUUUAAUGAGAGCCAGGUCAUUGGUACAGGCGGUUUUGGAAAAGUGUAUCGGGGAGAAUUGAAUGAUGGAACAAGAGUAGCUGUUAAGAGGGGUAGUCCUCAGUCCCAACAGGGAUUUGCAGAGUUCCAAACUGAAAUCCAGAUCCUUUCACUGUUCUUUCACCGCCAUCUAGUUUCUUUGAUCGGGUAUUGUGAUGAAAAGGGUGAGAUGAUUUUGAUUUAUGACUACAUGGCGAAUGGCACGCUUAGUAGCCAUCUUUAUGGCUCUCGCCGUCGGAGCCUGAGCUGGAAGCAGAGGCUUGAGAUAUGCAUUGGUGCUGCUAGAGGGCUCCAAUACCUUCACGCUGGCAAUGAAAUAGCUGUCAUCCAUCGCGAUGUGAAGUCUACAAAUAUUUUGCUUGAUGAGAACCUCAUGGCAAAGAUUGCUGAUUUAGGGAUUUGCAAGGGAGGGCCGGGAAUUGAUCAGACCCAUUUCACUACAUCAGUGAGAGGGACUUUUGGAUACCUCGAUCCAAAUUACUACCUUACGUCUCAAGUAACAAAAAAAUCUGAUGUGUAUGCAUUUGGGGUGGUUUUACUCGAAGUCCUUUGUGCAAGACCCCCUGUUGAUCCGUCACUCCCCGAGGAGCAGAAGAACCUGGCGGCAUGGGCAAUGAAGAUGCAAAAGAAAGGACAGUUGGAUCAUAUUAUAGACCCUACUCUUGUGGGUAAAAUCAAACCGGAUUCUCUUCGGGAGUUUGUGGCAACGGCUGAGAAAUGCUUGGCCGACCGUGGGGUUGAUCGGAUUUCUAUGGGAGAUGUGCUUUGGAGAUUGGAAUAUGCCCUUCGACUUCAAUAUGCGGUUGUGCAAUGGGACCCUGAAGAAAUAGCGGUAACAUGAUUGGUGGGUGAUUCCUUAAGACAUAAAUGAAAGAAGAUGAAGGCAAGGAAAAAGGAGAGGAGAAUGUUGGGGGAAUUCUCUAUAUUUCUGUAUAUACAUCUCAAUGUACAAGGGUGAUAUUAUAGUACAAGUCAUGUACAAGAAAAUGCAACUAAAUAAUCUAUGAAUAAGAUCUAAUAUUAAUUGAUCCUAAUAGUAUCUAGAAGAUAUCGCGUAUCUUCCAACACUCCCUCUCAAGCUGGUGGCUUGUAGAUAUCCAAGACACUUAGCUUGCUUAAAAGAUACGCAUGCUGUCUCUGACAUAAGGGUUUGGUGAAGAUACUACUGGCUGUUCUUCUGUCCCAUUUUCUUGUGACUCAAUCACUCCUUGUUGGAUUUUCUCUUGAGUGAAAUGGCAAUCCAUUUAUAUAUGCUUUGUCCUCUCAUGAACAAUGGGGUUUGAUGCAAGUUUGAGAGCUGCAUCAUUGUCGCAGAAUAAUUUGUAGGUCCUCUAACUCGUACCCCAAGGUCUUGAAGUAGGCCUCGCAACCAAACUAUUUCACAUGUGGUCUUUGUCAUGGCUUGAUAUUUUGCUUCUGUUGAAGAUAAUGAGACGGUUGGUUGCUUCUUUGUUAUCCACGAAAGUAAAGAAACCCCCAAUUUAAUACAGAAACCAGUAAUAGACCUUCUGCUCAUCGGACAAGUCACACAAUCCGCAUCACAAUAUGUAGUCAUACUCAUAUCACACUUUCUGGAAAGGAGAAUCCCAAGUCCAAGACACUUCUUCAAAUAUUUCACUGUCUUUAGUGUUGCAUUCAUAUGAGAUUGCUGUGGCUUGUGCAUGAAUUGACUAAAUGUCUGCACUGCAUAACUGAUAUCUGGUCUGGUCAUAGUCAGAUAUAUGAGUUUCUCAAUGAGUUUCUGAUAACCCAAAGGAUCUCUGAGUACGAGAUCGUCUUCUUGAGAUACUCCAGCAUCAUAAUCUGCUGUAGUUAAUUUGACAUUUUGCUCAAUUGGAAUAGCAGCUGGCUUGCAUCUUGAUAAACCUAUUUCUGAUAUGAUUUCCAAGGCAAAUUUUCUUUGGCUGAGAGAAAUCCCUUGGUUUGAUUGUGCAAUCUCAAUUUCAAGGAAAUAUUUGGGUGAACCCAAAUCCUUUAUAUGAAAGGUAAAAUGCAAAUAUUCCUUGAAGUUUUUGAUAGCUCCUGUUCCCAGGAGAGGCCUUCGUCAUUUCCCUGAACCACGCCCGGGUUGGUUAUCGGGGAAGGCUUCACGGGGAUCUGAAGUGGGACCCCUUAACCUCGAAGGGUGUUGGCCGGGGUAUCCCAAUGGGGAAGUUAUCCCAUACUACUUCCUCUCACUUGCCUUUAAAUGGCUUGUGAGGGGUAGUCCUCCCGGGAUUUCCUAUUCAGGAGGGAACCUUUUAAGGACAUGUUCAGGUCCAAAACUUAAAUCCUUUAUAUGAAAGGUAAAAUGCAAAUAUUCCUUGAAGUUUUUGAUAGCUACUUCAUCAUUGCCCAUAAUAAGUAUAUUGUCUACAUAUAUCAUCAAAUAGAUAGACGACGUACCUUUGGUCCAUGUAAAAACAACAUAGUCAUAUUUAGAUUGGUGAAACCUAGUAGCUAUCAAAGAGUCGGCAAACUUGGCGUACCUCCAUCUGGAGGCUUGUUUAAGGCCAUACAGGGAUUUGCGGAGACGACAUACCCUAUUCUCCCCCUGUCUCCGUAAGCCUUGUGGCAUGUCCAUGUAAAUUUCUUCAUUUAAGUCUCCAUGCAGAAAAGCAUUGUGGACAUCCAUCUGGUACAAGGGCUAGUCUUGAAAUGCCGUUACUAAAAGAAAAGAACGAACUGUAACAUUUUUGGCCACAGGGGAGAAGGUUUCAUUAUAGUCGAAGCCCUCUCGCUGUGUGAAACCCUUUGCAACCAAUCGUGAUUUGUAUCUUUCUACUUAUCCAUCUGCUCGAUACUUAAUAUUGUGUACCCAUUUGCAGCCAAUUGCCUUGCAAUGAGGCGGUAAUGACACAAUUUCCCAUGUCUGGUUAGCCACUAAAGCUUGGAGUUCUGCCUCCAUAGCUUUUUGCCAUCGCAAAUCAGUGCAUGCUUCAUUAUAGGUGGAUGGUUCUCGCUCUUCAGAUAUGCGAGUGAUGCAACAUCUAUGUUCUGGAGAUAAUUUAUCAAAAGAAACAUAGGAAGAAAUUGGAAAUCGAGUACCUGGUGGGUUCCAUUCACCACAUAUGUAAUCUCGGGUCCAAGUCGGCAGGAGCGUAGCUCGUUCAGAAUGUCACGGUUGAUCAUUCUUUGGAGGUGAGUGGUCUUCUUGAGUCUCUGACUGAGAUAAGUCAUUUGUAUCCCCAUCAUUAGUCUUGAUCUAUCACUUCCAUAAGAGGAGUCACUUCCGCAAUGGCUUAAAUCCUGGAGAAUUACUUGUGCUUUCUAAGGAAGGAAGGAAAGCAUAUGCCGGAUAGUUGAAGACUUCCUCAAUAUGAGAAGCAGAAGAAUGCCCCUUAUCCAUGGUUGGUUCUUGCAUAGCAAAUGGGAAAACAUUUUCUUGGAAUACGACGCUCUACUAAUAGAAAACUCUUCUGUGGAUGGAUCAAAUACUCAAUAUCCCUUUUGAAGAGUAGGAUAUCCCAUGAAUAUGCAGCGGCGAGCACGAGGACCCAUCUUAUCUCUAGGUCCUACUAUUGUGGUGUAGCAUAAACAUCCAAAAACCUUCAAAUGACUCAACUCUGGUUUCUUGCCAAAAAGUAACUCAAAGGGAGUUCAUCCGUUAAGCACCUUAGUUGGCGUGCGGUUGAUCAAGUAAGCUGCAGUCAAUACACAAUCUCCCCAAAAUUUGUCUGGAAUGGAAGCUUGAAAUUUCAAGGUCCGCGCAACUUCCAAUAGGUGGCGAUGCUUCUGUUCCACCACUCCAUUCUGUUGUGGUGUAUAAGUACAUGAACUUUCAUGUAAUAUCCCUUGAGAAGAGAAUAGUGUAGCACAUUCAUGAUUAAAAAAUUCUCUUCCACUGUCUGUCCGGAUUCGUUGCACAGAUUUUCCAAAUUGAGUCUUUGAUAGAGAAAGAAAAAUUUUCAAGUUCAAUGAAACUUGACUCUUAGAUUGUAUGAGGAAAAUCCAUGUGGCUCUACAAUGAUCAUCCACGAUGGUGAGGAAGGACGGAGACCUAUCAUGGUUCGGAGUAUGAUAUGGUCCCCACACAUCAAUAUGAAGUAAUGAGAAAAUAGUGUUUGCACAAUUUUUGCUUAUUGGAAAGGGAACACGUGAUUGCUUUGCAAGUGGACAAAUAUGACAUUGAGGAUAAGGAAAUGAAGAACUAUGGCCCAUUCUGGAAUGCAGAAGACAAUUUUCACUAUUAGUAGUCAAAUUACACAAUGAUUUCUUAUUACAAGGAAUAUCGGAAAAACUAAGUUCCUUGGAUGAACCAUUCCAAAAAAAAUAAACCUUCAGAGAGGUUACCCUAGCUCAUCAGUUUGCCAGUCAAACGGGCCUGAAAGAGACAUGUAUUAGCAUUGAAAAGAACACGACAUGAAUUUUCCUCACAUGCUCUAGACACGGAAAUGAGGUUAAAUUGAAAACCUGGGACAUAAGGAACAUUUGUGAGGAUAAUCUCAGGGCUAAGAUUGAUUGUUCCUAUUAUGGUGACAUGGGUGGUGUUUCCAUUUGGCAAUUGGACAAAAAUGGGAUUAUCAAUUUUUUUCAUGAAUAAUAGAAAACAUAAUUUUAUCACAUGUAAUAUGAUCACUGGUCCCGAAUCGACAAUCCAAGCAUUUCUCGAUAUUGUAUUUAUUAGGCUAUGAGAAAUACCUAUGAAACUGCUUCCUUUGUUGGGAGUCUCCAACCUUUGUAGGGCUUGCAACAAUUGUUGAUAUUGCCCAUAAUUGAUGGGUUGAUUUACAUCUGCUGACCUAGUAAUUUGAUAAGCAACUGCUGCUGAUGUUUCUUUUCCUCUUUUUUUCUUUUUCUCCAGGUCAACCAUGUAAUUUCUAGCAAUUUUCGAUUGUGUGGUGGGGUCGCUUGCAAAAUUCACAGUAUAAUUUCCCUUUAUUUCUCGAAUUCGAUCCAUAAUUCUUCGAACCACUAUCAGAUCCCUUUGAUGCGGAGCCAUCUCUGCCGUUUAAGGUCUGAAGAUCGCAGGCGCUUUUAGAGCCGUCAGAUGAUGGCAAACGAUCUUGGCCGUCAAACCCAGAGCCCUUAAAGGCUUGCUGAUUCGCUGGAAACCCUAGCGCCGGACAUCGUUCUUCUCUGUCUAGGGUUUUCGGCCCUCUUUCUCCUCUUGCCGCCAUUGCUAUACUCUCGGCUCCUUUUUUUUUUUAUGAUGAGGUAAGGCGUUGGCUUUCUUCUUGCACCACCAACUGAAAGAUUCGGCCAAGAGGAGGUGCAGGCUCCAUUGCUAAGAUCUGUGACCUGAAAUUGAGGUAAAAAUUGUUCAAAAUUAAGUGAAACCGAGUGACAUUUUCUUAGUCUUUCAUGGCUUUAUACCGUUGAAGCGUCGCCUCUAGCUCUUCUAACUUCUCCUCAGCCACUUCUAGCUCAUUCCACAGAGCUGAAAGCUUGUUGAAGCAAGUCGUUAUGGUCAUGUUUCCUUGCUUCAGUUCUGUGAGGGCUUGGUGCAAUGAGAAGAUCUUUGCUUGGUCUAACUUCUCAUACAUUUCUUUAAUGCUUUCCCAAAUGGUCUUCGAGUCUUCUAUGGGGGGUAGACGGGUAACAAUCUCGAGGCUUAUAUAGUUUCCUGCCCAAGUUCUCACUAAUUGGUUACAUUUUUUCCACUGCCGUGCCAAUUUUUCGUCGGUUGGAAUGGGGAUGCUUCCGUCGAUGAAGCCGUCCUUGUCCUUUGUGACAAGGGCUUGUCGAAAAUCCCGCACCUAGUUCGAGUAAUUUUCUAGUCUCAUGAGAAGGUGGCUGAUGAGCUGCAACUUCGGUCCAUUGGCGGUGGAGAUGUACAGCGCGUCGCCAGGUUCUGGGCGACCCAUGGCGGUUGUGAAGGGGAACAGCAGGAAACCGGGUGGAACUCUCGGGUAGGGAUUCGAAUUUGGCCCGAAUGUGACCCAAGUGACACUCCUGUAUUUGAUUUGCCUGGCCCAUUGGGGUCUGUGCCCGCAUAAGACGACCCAUAUCCUUUUGUUGCACCUGCCCCACUUAUGGUUGGUGGGUCGUCAUCUCUUCGCGUCUGGGUUCCUGGAAAAGAAAAACUCGAGUUGGGCCCAAAUUACAUGGGCAUCGGCACCCACUGGUAUGGAAAGCCCGAAGCGGGCUGCCCCAGAUUGGGUUGCCACUAGAUUAAUGGCCUUGUAAUGGGAUGAUUUUGGACUCGAUCGGCUGUAUUCCGCAUGAGGUCCUGCACCUCCGAGGUAGGUGUUUCUGCAGGAAUCUGCUCAUCGGCCAUGGUGGUGGUAAGAUCCUUUCCUUCCUUCACUUGUUUAAAGAAAAUUUCAAGUGGCUGAUUCCUACGUCGGAGUGCUAACGCUGUUUUGCAGGUUAGCUUGUUUUUCUAGAUAAGCAAUUAGAGAGAAAGAGAGCGGAAACGAAAUACAGAAGCACAACUCUACUCUGAUACCAUGAAAGAAGAUGAAGGCAAGGAAAAAGGAGAGGAGAACGUUGGGGGAAUUUUCUAUAUUUAUGUAUAUUCAUCUCAAUGUACAAGGGUGAUAUUAUAGUACAAGUCAUGUACAAGAAAAGACAACUAAAUAAUCUAUGAAUCAGUGUAGCAACCCGAACCCUUCGUAGGUUGCCACAAGCACCAAUGUUACUCCUUAUUACUUUUCUCUUUAGAAGAGGCGUUGUAGUUCACAUGCAUUUUUUUUUAAAGCGGUCCCAGCGCGACUCAUUAGCGGAAGCAAAAUAAAACAUCUCCAUCUCUCCCCCUACCAACCAUGAUACAAAUACACACCACUAAUCAUCAUGAUUUUAUAGACAAGCCACGACACUUUAUUUACAUAUAUUUUCAAGAUGGGACUUCUUUUGGGUCGAUACAUCAAAAAGGAAAAGCUAGGACUCAUCCAUGUCCAGCCUAAAACCCCAAAAAGAACCCUCGACCCUCUACAUCUCAUGUGCACAACCCCCAUCAUAAGUGUCAGCUAACUAUCCCAAAAAAAAAAAAAAACAGCUCCUACUCGACACGCACGGGCCUCACACCCAAUCCGGUGCAUCAGGCGGUGGCGGUGGCAACAUCCCUCUCAUCACCCCGUCGCGACGAACGUGGACGGAGACGAACUCCUGGACAUUCGGGCCCCCAGCUAGGCCUAUGUCGUACAUGACAAAACAGCGCACUCGUAUAUACGUCAAUCCAAGCAUAGAAGGACAGCCGAACUCCUCGCACUCAACCUCGACGUCGGAUGGUAAACCGUAAAAUGCACCCCGUGUGAUGGCAGGAAGCGGCAUGCUGCUAAUUUGAAAUGUUGGUCCCCAAAGGGGUGAGUACAACCACUCAGCAGGUAAAUGAAUCCAAUAACCACUCAAUGCAUCAUACAAGUCAUACAUGCAUUGUAGGCGUUACUUACCUUGAAGCCAUGCGCAUACUAUCAUGCAUCAUCACCACAAUCAUAACACAUACAUGUGUAUCAUCAAGUCAUACUCAUAUCAUCGUCAUCAUGACAUUACUAUAUUACACACAUGUCAUCCUCAUCAUAUACAUUACAUCAUCACACCCUACACACAUCAUCAUCAUGGCAAUCUUCAUAUCACACAUGUCAUCAUCAUCAUGGCAUCAUCAUCAUGGCAUCAUCAUAUCAUACAUGUCAUCAUGCCAUAUCAUAUAUCAUCAUCAUCAUAUCAUCAUGCUAUAUCAUAUAUCAUCACUAUCAUCAACAUCAUGCAUCAUGCCAUAUCAUAUAUCAUGGUUUGAUUUCCACUUUUAACUUUCAAUUUGAUCACCACAUCAUCCUUUCUCGGAUCAUCAAUUUCAUCUCAUAUUAUACCCUCGCAUCUCAUGCGAGAAAAAAAAAACCUUCGGCAUUCAGCCAUUCCAGGCCACCGGGCAUCCGGCCCCCCACAUUCCGGGCAUCUCGCAUCCCGACUGGCAUCACGAGGCAUUCCCCUCGGGCAAAGACCUUUGACAGGGCUUCCGGCAUUUACACUCCCUGGCCGGGCAUCCCGCACCCCAAUCCUAGCAUCGCGAGGCAUUCCCUUCGGGCAAAGACCUCCGACAGGGCUUCUGGCCCCCCACAUUCUGGGCAUCCUGAAUCUCCCAGGGCCAUCCGGCAAUGUAUCUCUAUACAUUCCGGGCAUCAUCCUCCACCACAAUCAUCUCCUCAUUUAACAUUAUCCAUGUUUACCAAUUUCGGUCUUAAUUUAGCAUGGCAUAUGACGUGACAUCAAACAAGUCAUAUUCGGCAUGGAAUUCACACAUGCAUCUCAAUUCAAUGUCAUGCAUACAUCAAGACCUCAUCAUACAUACCACAUGGUAUAAUUAUUUAUGAAAUAAAAUUUAAUGGAAUUUAUAGUCAAUAAAAUAAUCCAUUUUUUUCAUGCCCUUUUUCAUUUAUUUAAAUUCCAGCUUUUAUCAUUUUCAAAAAUAUUAAAUUUAAUAUCUAUAAAUUCCCAAAAAUUAUAAAAAUUAAGGCAAGUGAUAAACAAGACAAUAGAAUAAUAAUUUCAUGCAAAACACAUGGCCAAAUAGAAUUUCACACAAUUUCACAAUUCUCACAAAAUGGCAUGUCAUUUCGGGUAAAAUCAGAAUGCACAGUUUCUGAAGAAAUUCGAUUAAAAUAUUCAUACGACCUCCAAAAAUUACGAAAUUUUACCGAGUUAUAGCAAAGAAAAUUUCGUACAUCUUUCAUGAAGACUUACAAGCCAGAUUCUUUUUACAUUAUUUUCUACAGUCUCACGAAGCUUCUGGAUCCAACACCGAAACGUCCAGUACAUGCUUCUCCGAAAUACUGAGUUUUCACCUAUCUAUUCUCUUUAGUUUCCUCUGAAAUUUGGAUAUAUUAUACAAAAAGAUGUCCUCUACAGGUUUCAUGAAGAGAUCUAAGUCAGAUAAUCAGAGUAUAGUCGUCAUUUAGGUCCAUGAUGUCUCGGGUGUCUUGAAAUACACCUCCAGAAUUUCCGUCUUCAAGAUCUAGUCGAUUUACUAGGUUAUACUUGUUCAUUUCACUUCAAAUUUGAGUAUGUUGUAUUUCAAGAUGUGCCCUAAAACUUUCAUGAAGAUAUUGAAGAGAGAUUCUCAGCACAACUCAACAUGCAACCACAAAUCCAUCAAAAGGUCAGUGAAAUAUUUCCAGAUCUGAGGUCUCCGUAGGAUGAGAUUUUAACCCCUCAAAUCUCCAUCAUUUUCUACAAAAUUUAAGUAUGUUGUAGUUUAAGAUGUUAGAUACAACUUUCAUGAAGAUAUCGAAUCAAAAAUAGGACUCUAAACAUGCAUGCAAGCUCUCACAAGUUUCUGAUUCAAACUGUUUAUGCGAAAACAUUCCAGAUCUAGAAUUUCCGUAGGAUGAGAGUUUAACCCCUCAAAGCUCCAUAAUUUUCCACCAAAUUUGAUUAUGUUGUAUUUUAAGAUGUUAGAUACAACUUUCAUGAAGAUAUCGAAGCCAAAAUCGGACUAUAAACAUGCAUGCAAUCUCUCACAAGUUUCUGACUCAAACUGUUUAUGCGAAACGGUCCAGAUCUAGAAUUUCCGUAGGAUGAGAGUUUAACCCCUCAAAUAUCCAUCAUUUUCCACAAAAUUUGGGUAUGUUGUAGCUUAAGAUGUUAGCUACAACUUUCAUGAAGAUAGCAAAGCAAAAAUCGGACUCUAAACAUGCAUUCAAGCUCUCACAAGUUUCUGACUCAAACUGUUUAUGCGAAAACAUUCACACCACUCAAGAACAAGCCAUCCAUACUUCGGUUUUCCUCACCUAAUCACCCAAUUUCGACACUACAUCAAACAUACAUGUAACAAACACACAUGCAAGAGCAUCUAGAGGACUCCAACUUGCCUCUAGACCGGACGGACGACGGCACACGACGGCACACGGCGAGCGACGACGACUCCCUCCUCGGCUUCUCCUCUCUCUCGGCCGCUCUCCCUCUCUCUCGCAUGGUGUCUCUCUCUCCCUUGGGCGAAUGGCUAACCGGCCACUCUCUCUCCUCUCUCCUUCCCUUUUAUUCCCCCUAAACCUCAUCAUUAGUAAUGAUUAGGUUGCCUCACCAAUGGCCAAUGCAUGCCACCCUUCUUGCCACUUGUCAAAGUUCAUGCAUAAUGGGCUUGGGCUUUUUGGGCUUGGGCCGGCCACUCUUGGGCCUCCUCUUGGGCUGGUAGACAGCCCCCUUUCAUGGGCCUAAUUGGGCCUACUAGCUUGGCCCAUCAAGGCUUCGGCCAAUGGGCCUAAGGCCCAACCUAAAAAUUAACUUUUCCUCCUCUUUUUUAUUUUUUAUUUUUUAUAAUCUCUUCCAUAAAUUUUUAAAUUUUAAUUUCCACAUGGCCAAAGUCUUGUGACAUUUUAUUUAAUUCAUAAGGUGCAUGACCAAGCAUAGAUUAUCAUUAUUGAUUUAUCUAAUUUAAAAUCUCAUAAUCACAAACACAAAUCACUUAAACUUAAAAAGAGACUAAUGGCUAAAGCAUAAACCAUAGGUAAUUUCAUUGCCUAAUUAGAGGCUUUAACACACCUUAUAGCUUGACUUUGAAUCUUGGGAUGCCACAAUCAGAUUUGAUAUUAAUUGAUCCUAAUAGUAUCCAAAAGAUAUUGCGUAUCUUCCAACAAUAAACCCUACUCUUGUGGGUAAAAUCAUACCUGAUUCUCUUCGGGAGUUUGGGGCAACGGCUGAGAAAUGGUUGGCCGACCUGGGGUUGAUUGGAUUUCUAUGGGAGAUGUGCUUUGGAGACUAGAAUAUGCCUUUCGACUUCAAUAUGCGGUUGUGCAAUAAGACCCUGAAGAAACAGUGGUAACAUGAUUGGUGGGUGAUUCCUCAAGACAUAAACCCUACUAUUGUGGGUAAAAUCAGACCCAAUUCUCUUCGAGAGUUUGGGACAACGGCUGAGAAAUGCUUGGCUAACCGUGGGGUUGAUAAGAUUUUCAUGGGAGAUGUGCUUUAGAGACUGGAAUAUGCCUUUCGACUUCAAUAUGCAGUUGUGCAAUGGGACCUUGAAGAAAUAGUGGUGUUGCGACCAAAAUUUCGGAUGAACUACCUAGGGUUUGGCUAAUGGAUUAUUAAGCCUAGACUUAACUCGGGCUCUCUCAAACCCAUACCAAUUCGCGACUUAAGUUUAAGUUCUUAAAAUGCAAAUGAUUUUUUUCAAUUAGGAGUCGCCACUAAUCUAUUUUUGGUGGGUUGAUUAGAAAUUCAAGUAAAGUAACGGGAGAUUUACUUUACUCCUGCAAACCAGAGAUUAUGAGUUCGGGGACUUGAUUACGUUAGAUUUCUCUAACGCCCUUUUGGUACCUUCCUCUUUUAUUUUGAAAUUUUUUUGGCAAGCAACUUGAAUUGAUUUUAAUUUACCUCCCUAACAUGUGAAGCGAUCAUGCGGGUACGCAAACCAUCAAUUUAACACCCAAGAAAGCAAUAAAUAAAUUGCAGAACUUACCUUAUAGUAACGAAAGCAUAUGUGAUAUUAAAUCAGAAUUCACACCAACAGUCUUAGAUGUUAUUUUUAAUUAACACGCAAUCACCCAAUUUUUGUUUUCACUUAUUUAAUGAGAAUAUAAUCCAUAUGCAAUGCCAUGCUUUUAACCUAACAUGAAAUGAUAUGAUAUGGCAAUAUGACCUAAACAAUAUGACAUAAAUGAGCAUGCAGUCUAUCAUGAAAUGGAUUUAUUCUAAAAACAUUUUGUAUUUUCCAUGAAAUUCGAAAUUAAAGAAAUGCAACAAUUAAAUGUGCAAUCUAAAUUAACCAAAUGACCUAAUUCUAAUGACGAAAAAUUUCUAACUAAAUGAACCUAGCAACAAUUACUAGAUGAUGGUAUUUCAUGAACCUAAUCCUACAUGAUAUACGCAUGAUUUUUCAUAUUUUUUUAAUGAAAAUUCGUAAUUAAAAAUCACUAAAAAUCUAACUUAAGUGAAAUGCUAUCUAUUCUAAAUGCCUUCUAAACAUGCAUUUUAAAAAAAUAACUAACCUAUCAUAAAAUCAAUUCUAAUCUACAUGGAAUGCAAAUGCAAUUUUUUUUUUUUUUUGUAUUUUCAAGAUAAAUAAAACAAUUAAGAGAUAAACAUCAAACCAUCCAUGAUCAUCAAAAAUGCUAUCCAUCAUUCGAAUUGAAAUUCAAACUCGACUAUUUUGCUAAUAAAGUCGAUAAAUUGAUCUUAAGCCUUAAAGAUCAAGAUAUUAAUUUUACUCCCGAGUGAAUAAUUAUUCCAUCUAAAGCCUUAUAGAUGGGAUAAAAAUUCGUGCGAUUGCGAAUUGGAUGCGGUAGAUCUGGAAUUUCAACCAUGCAUCGAGAAAUAUUUCAAACAUAUCAUAAAAUAUCAAAACUAAAGUAAGAUAAAAUAAAUCUACUAAAUAAACCUACCUAAUAAAAUAAAUCAACCUAGUAAAAUAAACCUACCUAAUAAAAUAAAAUAAAUCUCUACCUAAAUUUGAAUUUUUUCCAAAUAUCCAGUAGAUUGGACCAUGAAGGAGACUCGGCGCGGCUAAGGACGGCACAAGGGCAGCGGCUGUGGUGGUGACUCAGCGUGGCUCAACAAGGCCGCAACAAGUUCGAUGGGCUGUGGUAUGGGACACUAGGAAACCUGCAAAGCUAUCAAAAACUUAGGUAAUUCGUCGGGAGGCUUGCCGGUGUUGCUGAGUAAUUGUCAGUGCUGAGAACCGGUCACGGUAUUGAGACCAGAAUGGUGAGGCUGAGCAAUAUCGUUGAUGAAGCAAGACCGGCGAGCAUCACCAAUGUUGGGUUGGGACUAAUCUGGACCGAAGAACCUGUAGUCGUGCCCGCACACUGCCCAGAUCGUCUUGAAGCACUCAGGGACUGCCAGCGGAAGCAGAUUUGCAUCGGGGGUGACGGCGAAGCACGUGAAGAUCACUAACGUCGAUGGAGUCCCAUUGCUCUACCGAAGGUAAGAGGGCAGAGCUUUUCCUCACGAUCCACCUUUUCGUCUCGAUUUCUCACGCGCGUUUAUCAAUUUUGUCGUGUACGUGUUUCCCCUCUGCCAAGUGAUCCCCAAGAGAAGACUCUCCCCUUCGUUGACUUUUAAACACCAAAAAGAAUCCACGAAAAUUCAACAGAAAAAAAUCCCUCACGAUUUCUUCUCUCUCGCACGAUUUCUUCUCUUAAUGUGCCCUUUCUCAAUUGUGGAUCAUGGCCGGUCCCCUCAUGAUUUCUUCUCUCUCUAUGCUCUCAAUUGUGACUGUAUGUUCAAUGUGUGCCUCCCAAAACCCUACACGUUUUAAACCUAUUUAUAGGCCACAGAUUAGGGUUUUUGAUUUUCCAAAUCCAAAUCUACAAAGAUUUCUUUUCAAAACGCAAUAUUUUCUUUUCCAAAUGCAAUAUUUGCUUUUGAAUUGAAAUCUCAAAAAGAUAAAUCUGUAAAAUAUUUCCGAGGAUAUGGGCUUGGGCCGAUUUGCUCUUUUCGUGGACUUAGCUCGACUUAUCAAAUUAAAGUUUCUAAACCAUCAAUUCAAACCCAUCCGUCACCGACCCAAUGUAAAUGCAAAUUAAAAAUAAAUGCACCUAAAACUAUAUACUAUGCAAUUAAUAUUUUUUCAGGGAUAAAAUUAACCCAUAAUUUUCUAUGCAACAAAUAAAUGACUGGAUCACCAAAAUUUAUGUGUCAACAAGUGGUGACAUGAUUGGUAGGCGAUUCCUCAAGACACGCUUCAAUCUUAGUUCCAUGGAAAGGGUUUGUCGUGCUAGUGCUGCUCUUGCUUCAUAGGAAUGGACCAAUUGGGCGUGCACAAUGGAACGUCGAUUGAUUCAAGGGACUAGUGGAAGAGGAGGGGCCCACCUAGUUUCAUGCAUCAUCAACGACGUAUCCUGUGAUAGAGAUUGCUCAUGGACGGACUGACUUUGAAAAGAAAGAAAAUUUGUGCAUGUUUUAGGGAACUGUUAAGCUCUGUUUGUUUCACGGGAAAUGUAGAGUUUCUGGAAAAUAUUUUCUAGAAAAAUAUUAUUAUAUUUGUGUGUUCGUUUGAAACUUGAAAAUAAAGUGAAAAAUACUUUUCGUUGUUCGGUAAGGAAAAUAUUUUCCUCUAUGUAUUUUUUGAAUAAUUUUAUUAUUAUUUUAUUAUUUUAAUUUGAUUUUUAAUUUUUUUUAUCUUCUUCUUCUUCUUUGGCCAUUCGCCGGCCAUGCGACGGUUGGUGACCGGUCAAAGGCCAGCUUCCACUGGCUUGCUAAUCUUGCCAGCGAUGAGCGGAUCGGUGAGCGACGGGCCUGAGCUUGCUGGCCUCUAGCCUCUCCAGGGUCUAAGCGCAAGGGCGAGCCUCAAGCUCGCCGGCCUCUAGCCUCGCUAAAGGCUCACGCUCGUUGUUGGUUUGUCGAUUUGGCAAGCGGCAAGCUCAAGCUCGCUAGAGGUCGGCAAGCCUUGAUGUAACAUCCUCAAAUUUUGGGCCAUGAGAAUAAGGUUUGAGCAUCGAUAAUGGAAAUCAAUGACAUAAACCUUGGAUAGAUGAAGCCAUGGCAUAUUUUGCCAUAGGCACGAUCCACCCGACUGAGACUUAGUUAGGGUAAAUAACUAAGACCAAUCAUGGAGUUUAUUUUAAGACAUCCAAUGGACCAAUUCUGAUUGGAAAUGGUCAUGGACAAGUUUAAGAAAGCUAUCAACUUAGUUGCACUCAUUUGAUUAAAGUUAGCAAAUUUUGGUAUGAACCUCGGUUUUCAUAGAACCGUCGAUCGUGUACAAAUAUGGACAACUUCUCCAGUUAGAUAUCCUAUGUUAGUCUCAUGAUUGCCUUGGAUGAGAUUUUGACACAAAUCAAUUAAUGUGAUGAUGAAUCAUUGGACAAGUGGGGUUCUAGAAUUUUCAAUGACCUUUGACCAUAGUCUAUCCUUAUCCAUUAUAUGCCCUAUAUCAAUUGGGGGAAGAGAAAACUUACUUCUCAAGUAGCUUGGCAAAAAUAUCUAGGCACUCAUUUAAGGGCUUUGGACAUUAGUUCAUUAAUGACUUUGAUGCAUCAUCAACUUAGAUGUCCUCUAGAAUCUCAGGUGAAUCUUAGGGCAUGAUGACCUAGAUUAUAUCCUUAAUGAAAAAGGCAAGAACCAACCAAUUAGAAGAAGACAUUAGGCUUUAAAGGGGCUUAUGUGUCUUUUAGGUGCCAUAGGCAAUAAUGAGCCUAAAGUAAGCCUUGGAGAAUAAGCAAAUAUGUGGACUGAUCAAAAUUAGACACAAAUAAGCAUAGGCGCCAACUAAGGAGACUAGAUAGGCCAACUCGUAUCUUAGGCUUAAUAAUGAAUUUGCAUAAAAUCUUAAGAGGAAGAGGCCUAUAAAUAUGAGAAGGCAUCAUCAGAUUAUAAAGGUUAGCCAUUCUCUCAUUUCCUCUCCCAUUUUCUCCUCUCUUUCAUGCCUUCCUCACCAAGCCGCCUUAGGAGCCGUCCGAUUGCUAAAGGAGCAUUUUGGAGCUAAGUUCAAAAGUUGUAAGUAAACUUUCCAAAAUCUUCGAUAGGGCGAUGUACUACAUGUAUUGAUUUAGGAUCUUGUCAUCGUUUACUUGUGUUUGCUUGUAUGUUGUGCUUGUUGCAUAAUUUCAAUUACUUUUCUUUGCAUCAAGUAAAUUAUGGUCUCGCGUGGGUGUCGAGUACACCCGGAUGGCGAGGAAUGGUCUCGGCAAUUUGGAUGUGUGCUGAGGUGGGUGCAUGACCCAUACUUGAUCCUGGGACAACCGUGAAGCGUCUUGUUACUUGGGACAAGUCACUGGUCGAUGCGGAAGUCGGAGCAAAUAGUUCCAAAUCAAGACCACAAGCCCAAGCCGCAUUCGGCAUGAGUUUAAUUUAGUAAGUCAUAAGAGUCGUUCAUUAGUUCACCUUGCAUGCAUGCCUUCAGGCCUUUCAUUCGGUUAAAAGUUUAAGCAUAAAAUGAAUUGGUUGAUGCUUGAAACGCAUGAAUACACGAUGGACUUUUACUGCCGACGCUAGGGUAUGUCGGGUCGUUGUCUGGGGCAAAGCCCUAGAUGUAGUCCUGAUAUUGAGAUCGUGGAUGAUGCCAGCUCGAGUGAGGCCGAUGCUUGGGGGUCACCUUGGAUGCCGUCCUGAUAAUGAGAUGGGACGAUGCCGGUUGCCAAGAGGGAGACCAAUGCUUGGUUGAUACCGGAAAAGUUGAUGGAUUUUGAUUAACUAAACUAACUGAAAUAAACUGAAAGUCCACGUGUGGUCCAUGAUUGAUGCAUGUGUGAUGCUUAAAUUAAUGCUUGCACUAAUAUUGGAAUUGAGGCUUGCAAUAAGCUAAGUUUGUUUUAUAUCUAUUGUUGAGCCCUUGAUCAAUUUGAACAUAUAUUUGCAUUGGGUGACUUAGUGCUUGAAUGGGUCUUAUGUGAUGCGCGCAUUUCUCUUAGUGAUUGAAAUGAUUGUAAGCCAUGGAUUUUUAGGAAGGCUUGUUUUUAUGCACUAACUCCUGAUCUUUGAUGCUUGAAAGCACAUAAUUGAUUGAGAGCCCUUCAUAUAUAUAAGCAAGGCAAGGCAAGAACCUUGCUAUUGAUUUAUCAUCGACAAGUGGGUGGUGAUCUUGUAUCCGAUGAUCAAUGGUAAGACGUCCUCCUAUAGGAGAAUUAGGGAUUUCUAUUUACUAAGUCAUUGACUCACUUUUGUUGUUUUCACAAUUUCAGGUGUGGGAUGGGUGAACCAACCCUAUCGUCCGUCCGUCCCCAUUUCCCGAUUGAUAUGAUUACAACCGUGAUGGAUAUAGUAGACUUAAAAGAGGACGUCACUUACCGGAAGUAUAUUACCACUGUAUGGGUCCAAGAAGGGGUAGACAUCUUGGUUCCUCAUGUGUUGGAGGCUUGGUGCAUCAUUUUUUAUGGGGACAUUUGAGGUCCCAUCCGAGGCCUCAUCCUUCUGGUGGAUCCUAUGGGAGCAUUAUAGAAGAAGGGCCUAGGAUGGGAGUCAUUUUUGAAGGAGCUCGAUAGAGGAGUCAGGCUACCCCAGCCUUUUAAUCGUCGAUGUGUGGUAAUGAAGAUAUGUAGCCCAGUACUAAGAUGGACAUAUAAUCAUAAUAACUUUUGAUAUGUGUAUAUAUGUAUGAAUAAAUGUUACUUUUGCUUGCUUGGCUUGUAUACAUGUUGCCCGACUUCCACAUUUGUUUGUGUACGUGGAUUGUUUUUAAUUUGAUUUCACAUAUGUUUAAUCAAAGAUAAAAUAUUUUUGGGACAAUUGCGUGCUUGAGACAUCGAUGCUAACCCGCCGAGUCAUGCUCUCAUACCAGAGGUAGGGCAGGAGUGUGACACUUGAGCUCGCCGCUCACUAGAGAUAGGUGAGCUAGGUGAGGCCCAAGGCCAGCGGCGCUAUUGGUGAGCCUCGAGCUCACCUAUGGCCAGUCAUAGGCCGUAGCCAUGCCAGCGACCAGCCAAAGAAGAAGGUGGAAAAAAAAGAAAAAAGAACAAGAAAAAUAAUUUAAAAUUCCAAUUAUCAAAAAAGAAACAAGAAAGAAGAGGGCUAAUAGGUUAUGAGAGGAGAUAGUGAGUAAGGAAAAUAUUUUCCCCAAUUUGAAAAGUGGAAAAUAUUUUUUCCUCUUUUAGAAGACUUUUUCUCCUUUGUCACGACCUACCUUCGGGGGGAGGGAACAAGUUUAGGAGUAUUUCCUAGAUAGACCUAUACCUCAUGAUUAGGCACAAACUCUCCCAAGCCCAUACCCCACGUGACAUAGGGGUAUUUUUAGGAAUUUUGCAAAAAUGAGUCGCCAUUAGCUUAUUGGGGUCGGCUAGAAACCAAGUGAGGUAUGUGAAUAUACCUCACUUUCUACGCAACCAAAGAAUCUAGGGUCGGAGACGUGAUUAUACUAAUUAACCAAUUAGUGAUCUUUCGAUGCCUAAUCUUGUUCAUUUUAAAAGAAAUGAUUUUUGUCAGGCAGUUUGGAUUGAUUUUUUUUACCUAUCCACGAAUAUGUGAGGUGAUCAUGGAGGUGUGUAAUCAUUAAAAUAAUAAUCAUAGCUACCAAGAUCCCAAUUACACUAAAAUUAAGCAAGUGCAAUUAAACAUAAUUAAAUAUGCAAAUUAAACACGCGAUAUAAUCAAUGUGCAAGCAAAUAAAGGCCUAAUUAGCAAGACAUGGCAAUUUCCAACCAAACCCUACAUUUUAUUUUUCAAUUUUAGAAAUUUUAAAUUUUUUAAUUUAAUUUUUAAAAAUAUUUUUAUUAUUUUUAUAUAGUUUUUGAAAUAUUAUUAUAAUAUAUUUAAAAAUGACUUGGGUCGGAUCCCUGAGUGGCGUCCGAUCCGAUUCCGUGAAAAGGGCUCGGGAUCGGGCCAGACGGCUUGAACUUAGACCGAAAUGGACUAGGCGGCCCGAGCUGAGCUGUGCGACCCAAACUAGCUGGGCUAGGCCUGAUGUGCAGGCCCAGUCUGGUCUAAUUUUUAAAAUAAAUUUCACAUGCGAAAACAUCACAAACUCGGCCCGAAAUGAAGACCAAACCCUACUCGUUUUGGAGGCCUCGCUCGACCUGGCCAUGACUCGAUUCAUGCCCUCUUCUCCAGGGCUUCUUCAUGGCGCCAAAGGAAGACAUUCAGGACAUCGGUGACUCAACGCAGCGGCGCGGUGGGUGGUGAACAAUGGUAGCAGUAGCAGGAACGACGAAGUUGUAGUAGAGAUCGGUCAUGGCGGUGCGGUAGGGUGGGGCGUGUUGGUGACGCUCGCGGGUUUUGCGGGUAGAGGCAGGUAGCGAUUAGGCAUGGUGGUGAGCUACUGUGGCGUCGACGACAGGCCGAGGUGCGCGUGGUUGCAGGUUGCAGGCACUGGGUGGAGGGAGGCGUUGAGGUCGUCACGGCUGCAGCAAGCGUAGGAGCGGUGGCUUCUAGCGUCGGGCGCGGCACGGCGCUACUCACGAAUGUUCGGUGCUUCGGAAGCAACGGUGCAAAGGUGCGGGCGUCGAGUAGGAGGGUGGCAGCUCGAUGAGUAGCGAUGAGGUGUGGCCUAGUGGUGUCAUCGAUGACUGAACGAUGGUGGCAGCCGACCUAGUGAUGUGGCAGAGCUCGAUCUACUCUUAGAUUUGAUCAAGCAUGAUCAGAUCUAGACCUUUGGUCGAAACCCUACCUCAGAUCUUUGGAUGUGAGGGGCUCUAAGUUCGUCCUCCUACUCCCUCUAGUCUCAGCUGGCUUGGCGUCGAGAGCAGCAGUGGUGGGUGCUGCGGCUGCUAGCGACGGCAGCAACAGUGUCAAGUGCAGGGGGUCGGACGGGUGUUGCUCGAACGACAUCGAGCUUGGAGGGCAGUGGUGGCAUCGCAGCUUUGGGCUGCUGGCGUGGUGCUCUUAGCUAUAGGUGCUCUACCGGCAUCGGGUUGAGGCGGGGCGAAGCUUCGGCUGCUGGCAUCAGCAGCAAUGGCAUUGAGUGCCAGGGGUCAGUGUUCGGAGCUCCCCCCAGAAGGAAGAGGGUGGCAAGCUAGUCCUCUCCCCUCCAGAAGAAGCCCAUACUCCUGUUAUUCCCUUUUUGCUUUUUCUCUUCCGCCUGUUCUCACUCUCCCCCCAAAUUUUUCUCUCUCUCGUGCUCUCUUUCUAGCUUCUCCCCCUCCUCCCCAAGCUCUCUCUACUCUCUCAUUUCUCUAGGGUUUCACAUACGAAGAUGGGCCCAGGAGAAAGAGCUGGGGCACGGGCUGGGCUAUGGCCAAAUCAAGCCCGACCUAACCCCCCUUAAGCAUUUUUUUUUUGCUUUUUUGUUGUUUUUUUUAAAUUUAAUUAAUUUUUUAAAAUUUUUUUAUAUGCACUUGAAAAGUAGGUGUCAAGAGUUGACCCUCUUUGAAUAUAAUCUCGAAAAUGUUGCAUUCAAAGACAAAAGACACCUAAAUUAUUUUGGCGAGAGAGAGAGAUUUCGGGUGCAUAGGCACAUGCCAAGUCGACGGAAAGAACUCAGAGUUAUGAAAGCGCGUCUUGUCAUAAGAAGAAAGAGAGACUCCAGGCUACAAAAGCACUCCGUGUCAUAGGAAGAAGGAAGACCCCAAGCUAUAGAAGCACACCGUGUCAUAAGAGGAAAGAGAGACUCCGGGCUACAAAAGCACUUCGUGUCAUAGGAAGAAGGAAGAUCUCGGCCUACAGAAGCACGCCUUAUCAUAAGAAGAAAGAGAGACUUCGAGCUACAAAAGCACUCCGUGUUAUAAGGAGAAAGAGAGACUCUAGGCUACAAAAGCACUCCGUGUCAUAGGAAGAAGGAAGACCCUGGGUUACAGAAGCACACCAUGUCAUAAGAAGAAAGAGACUUCAGGCUACAAAAGCAUUCUGUGUCAUAAGAAGAAAGAGAGACUUCAAGCUACAAAAGCACUCCGUAUCAUAGGGAGAAGGAAGACCCCAGGCUACAGAAGCAUGCCGUGUCAUAAGAAAAAAGAGAGAUUCUGGGUUACAAAAGCACUCCGUGUCAUGGGAAGUAGGAAGACCCCGGACUACAGAAGCACACCGUGUCAUAAGAGACGUUAUCAUCAAACUCAACUUGAGCAAAUGUCAUUAGAGAUGUCAUCAAAAGACGUAUUGGUAAUAUUGCAACAUUAAUUGAAUAAGCUAAUCAAGCUAAGUUCGACUACUUUAAAAAAAAAAAAAAAUUCGAUGUCAAUCAACAUCAUAUGGCGCAGAACCGUCAUCUUGCUCGAGGAUGUAUUAUUAAUCAUCAAAUUCUCUUGGAGUCAAGCUCUUAUCAAAAGGCUACGACUCGUGAAAAAAGCUCAUUAAGCAUGCCAAAAUAGAGCUUCGUAGUCAGAAAAGAUUUCUCACACACUCUCGAUAAAAUGGUCGCUUGAUCCCAUCCAUUUGCAUGUGAAGUAAUUGAUUGUUGAGGGUAUUUCACACAACCAUGUCAAAGGCUUUCAGAAACAUCCGCGAUGAGCACAAUCUGAUUGAUCAAAAAUGUCUUUUGAAAGGACCGCAAUAUAAGCUCGGUUAUGGCUUACACAAAGGAAUUAUUGUUUUGAGGCCAAUAAAGGAACAUUUGUCGUUAUCUUUAUCAGGUUUACAAGUCGAGAACUUGGAAGAUGAGACAAGAUAAAAUUACUUCCACUCCUUCAAGCAGUAGCUUUUUUGUGGCAUUCUCAUUUUCACUCAAACUAUCCCAAUCAGAAGAAACUUUGAAAGAUGGUUGUAACGUUAGCUCGGUAGAGGCUCGAAAGGCUUAAAAUUUUCAAGAGGGAUUUUUUUUUAUAGAGUUGGUGAUCAUCAUGGUAUUGUGACUAGGUCACUCGAUCUUUUGAAAUCAUUUCACUUUUGAAAUGCAACACAUCUCAAAAGCCCCUUGACUAAUCAAUUUUGGAUGGGAGCUUUGCUCCUUUAUCUAAUUUCCUUUGCUCUCGCGAUGUUUUUUUACGUAGGCACUUGGACUUUAAUAAAUUUUCUUUCCCAUAAGAUGCGGCCUUUUGACUCUUUUUCUUGACGGGCAUUGACAUUGCUUUUACCAAGCACACUGCUUUUUCAUGUCCCCUAAUUUUGUCGAACUUUUUGCUCUUUGAACUUUUGGAGCUCUUAUGACUUUUGAGAUGUUUUUCAAGUUUUAUCGUAAUUGUCAAUUGUAUGUGGUCAAUCUUUAUGCCUUGCCCCAGUGAAGGGAGAUGAUCACCUCUUGGGACUCAGAAAUGAAUAACCAUGCCCAAAUUGGUUAAAACAAUGCGUAUUAGUGUUUGGAUAGAGAAUGAAAUGCUCUUCUUCACCAUGGGAUGAGUCAAGCUCUAAUGAGGAUUCCUUUGAAGCUACCACCAGGAGAUCGAUGCAAGUGAAAAUAAUAGAAUCUUUCUCAAUAUUUUGCUCUACAAUACGAUCGUAACCUACUAUGCCGCCCCAAUGUAGGGUUGUUCUUGACAUGGGUACUUUGAAAGAUCAUCUUUAUUCGACACAAAGGGGUAGCAAGAGAUUAGUACGAUGCUUGUGAUUAAUGAAUGAAACUCCUUUAUUAUUUUGAUCUUUGCCCUCAAUGUGAAUGAAUCAUUCGUCCUAAGAUAAGGUCACUUUUCACUCAACUCUCAAAAGUGUUUGAAGUUUGAAAAAUGCUUGCAUUUCUUCAUCCUAAACACUUCUUAUUUGGCAUUGUUAAUGUCUCCAUUUCACUCUAUUGAGAUCAUCUAAGUAUAUCAAUCUCCAUAGGGAAAUUUGAUUCAAAAUGAAUAAUCCCCAAAACGAGAAAUUCUCCGUUUGUAAUGGAAAUUAUCCGUUUUUUAAAAUAAAUUUCAGAAGAAGGGUACUUACUUGCGGCAUGGUGACUCGGUAACCCUAUAAAGAAUGUGGAAGAAUAUGUUAGUGCAAAAAUCUUUAGGGAUUGAAAUGUUGGAAACGAUACAUUAUUAUCCUUCAUUCGCUUUCAUCCUUUGGGCGCAAACAUCUCUUGAAUUCACCUUCGUGGAUAUUUGGUAACUCGACAAUACCCUUCCCUUGCAUUCGCCUUUAAGUGUUUGAUGUUUUCUUAAUUCCUCGGUAGAAGGCACCACUUCUAUGGUCAAGGUGCACUUUUUCUUUCAUAUGUCACCCUGUAAGAAGGAGAGAUGAAACGGUUUAUCUCCAUUCUUAGUUAGGUUCAACUGAGGAACGAUACAUCUUUCUUGAUGAAUUUGACAAUGUUGUUCCAGCACACUUCAUUAGUGGGUGAAUGAGAGAUUUUUCUCUAAAUCAAACGUUGCUCUCCCACUCUUUAUUUGACAAACCUUUGUUUUGUCCGAGUCUGUCCUGUGCCAAAGAAAAUGAUAUGUCAUUCGUUUAUGCUAAAGAGAAUAAAGUUUAGGAACGAAAUACGUCCUUUUCUAAAGUCGGGGGAUCAACAUCCCAAAGUAUCUCUUAUGGAGGAAUGGAUGAUAGUGCCCCUCUGUUUCAUUUUAAUCUUUCUUUGUUUAAGAUGAACAUGACUUAAAAAUGCUCCAUUGCAUUUGUUGGAAUGUUACAAAACUUGGUACUCUUGAUGUCCCCUUGACAAUGAAAAGAAAGUCAUGUCAGAAAUGAUAUCAAAAAUGAAUAAUUGGAAUCGAUACAGUUUACUCUUCCUUUGAAUUCACCUUUUGGAUACUUGGCAACUCCCUUCAUUUGUCUCAUCAUGCAAAGUGAACAAGAUUGAUGGGCUAUUUUGGCUCCUAAGGCAUUUGUGAAUAAAGAAACUUCCUUGAAUGGAAUUCAACUUCGUUCCACCUUUAUGGAAGAUUGGGGCUAACGAAGCUUCGACGCAUACUUAAGCCUACACUUUUAUCUUUUAAAAGGGGCCGAUGCCGAUCUCAAAUAAACUCCUCGUCCUACCCGAGAAAACGACCGCAUGAAGAGAGGAACUUAAGCAACGCUUCCUUGAAAUUCAUUUUGGAAGGUAGACGUAAAGGUUUGCUUGAAAAACUUUUGAAUUUGUUUUUGUUUUCUGUUUUUUUUUCAAAAUGAUGAUUUUCCUAAAACUGAAUUCCAUUAUUAAAAUAAUGUGAGUCGCAUGAUUUACAAAAGCAACAAUUAGAUUCACAAUCAAAACCCAAAAUGGAAAACAUGAUUCUUAACAAGAGUGAGAACAAUAAUAAAAUACAAGAGAUUCUUGUAUAAAUAAGAGUAAACAUCAACUCUUGUCCUAACUCUAGAAUUCACUUUUUUAUGUGGUCAAAUACGAGAAUGUCCAGGAGUAUCACGCCUAACCUACAAAAUGACAAUGAUGUCAGUACGUGAAUGAGAGAAAAUGAUCUCUCAAUGAGGUCGCUUCUUACAGCAAAAUCAAGGUGACGGUACAUGCCCCAUAGUCCUUAUUAUAGGAAUGGCCAUCAAUCGAACGUCCACUCUACUCCAAAAGUUUCAUACAAAAGGGGCAUUGAUUUUUGAAAGAUUGAUUUGUGAUUUCACUCUUGCAAAAAUGAAGUGACUUUUGUUUUGAGAAAUCUAUAUACAAAAUGGAGAGAAUUUGAUUAAAAAUGCAAUUUCAAUUUUUUUGCCCUAAUGUAUAAUCACAACUUGAAACUUUUUUUUCUCAAAUUGCGAUUUUGAGCCCAUAACUAGAAAUUUAAAUAAAACCAUGUGUUUAACAAGGCCAAAUCAAAGUGUUUAGAAUUUGCAUUCAAUGUUCACUUAUCAAGAGUGAUUGCCAAUUUUUUUAAUCAUAAGCCUACAACAUCGAGGGCAUUCGAUUAAUUUCCGCGAAUUUGAUGAAACCAUAGGGGGGACCACUUUUUCUCUUCUUUUUAUUUUAAUAAAAAAAUUACAUAGACAUGCAUAUGAUAUGUGGUUUGAUGUCUACUUUAUAUGGCUUAAAAUGGAACUAUAGGAUCACCAAACCGAGCCAGCAAGAUCGUGGCUAGGUCAUGUUACCCAUGACUCCGGCUCCGUCAAAGAAUCGACCCGUGUCGCAUGAUCACAGACCAGGGUGGAGACCUUUGACAUUAAGAAAGAAAUUUUAGGUUGAGAUGGGCGACUCGUACUACUUGAUUGUAGUUUGAGUGGUAUACACCUCAACACUAUCUUAAGUGAUCCUAUGCAGCCUAGGUCCGGUGGUAGGUAGUGUGUGCUAGGGUGUAGUGCAAUGCAAAGGAUAUAUGCACAACAAUAUAUAGGCAAACAACACCUCGUAUAUAAUAAAUAAACCAUACAUUUCUACACCUCCCUACAAGAAAAAAGGUGAGCAAACACUUCCCCUUAUACCUCACAUUUUACAAAAACAUUUAACACCUUUAAUGUUAAGGGCGUAUUUGGAAUCCUCGCUACCAAACAAAAAUAUUUUUGAACAAUAUUAAAUUUGGCCUAAGUCUUCUAAGGUUUAAAACCAAAUCCCCGGCGGAGUCGCUAAGCUGUCGUGACUUACCCUCGGGAGGAGGGAACGGGUUUAUGGGUAUUUCUUAAAGGACAAAUCUAUGGCCCAUAAUUAGGCACAGACUCUCCCCAACCCAUACUCCGCAUGACAUUGGGAUAUUUUUAGGAAUUUUGCAAAAAUGAGUCGCCACUAGCCUAUUGGGGUCGGCUAGAAACCAAGUGAGGUAUGUGAGUAUAUCUCACUUCUUACACAACCAGAGAAUUUAGGGUUGAGGACUUGAUUACACUAAUUAACCAAUUAGUGCCAUUUCGGUACCUAAUCUUGUUCAUUUUAAAAGAAAUAAUUUUUGUUAGGCAAUUUGGAUUGAUUUUUUUACCUAUCCACUAACAUGUGAGGUGAUUAUGGGGGUAUGCAAUCAUUAAAAUAAUAAUUACAGCUACCAAGAUCCCAAUUAUAAUAAAAUUAAGCAAGUGCAACUAAACAUAAUUAAAUAUGCAAAUUAAACACGCCAUAUAAUCAAUGUGCAAGCAGAUAAAGGCCUAAUUAGCAAGACAUGGUACAUUUUUUUAUUUUUUUAUUUUUUAUGUUUUAAUUUAAUUUUUUUAAAUAUUUUAAAUAUUUUUAUAUAUUUUUUGAAAUAUUAUUUUAAUAUUAUAAUAUUAUAAUAUAUUUAAAAAUGACUCGGGUCGGAUCCCUAGGUGGGGUCCGACCCGGUUCGGUGAAAAGGGCUCGGGAUUAGGCUAUACAACCUGAACUCGAAUUGAAACGGACUAGGUAGCCCGAGCCUGAACCAAGCUGGGUCGUGCAACCCAAACCAGCCAGGCUGGGCCUAAUGUGCAAGCCCAGUCUGGUCUAAUUUUUAAAAUAAAGCCCACAUGCAAAAACAGCACAAACCCGACCCCAAAUGAAGACCAAACCCUACCCGUUUUGAAGGCUUCGCUUGACCCGAUCGUGACCCGAUUUGUGCCCUUUUCUCUAGGGCUUCUUCGCGGCAUUGAAGGAAGACGUUCGAGACGCCGACGACUCGACGCGGCGGCGCGGUGGGCGGUGAACGAUGGCAGCAGUAGCAGGAACGGCGACGUUGUGGCAGAGGUCAGUCACGGCGGUGCGGUAGGGCGGGGCGUGCUAGUGAUGCUCACGGGUUUAGCGAGUGGAGGUGUCAGGUCGUUGCAGGCGGAGGUGUUAGGUCGUCGUGGGUGGAGGUGAGUAGCGCUCAGGCGUGGUGGCGAGUUGUUGCGACGUCAAUGACAGGCUGAGGUGUGCGUGGUUGCAGGUUGCAGGUUGUAGGCAUCAGGCGGAGGGAGGCAUCGGGGUUGUCGCAGCUACAGCAGGCGCAGGAGCAGCAACUUCUAGCGUCGAGGCGGGGUGCUACAGUGCUCACGGAUGUUCGGCCCUUUGACAGCAACGGCACGAAGGUGCGGGCAUCGGACAGGAGGGUUGCAGCUCGGUGAGCAGUGGUGGUUCUAGAGAGGUGUGGCCUAUCGGUGUCGUCGAUGACUGAUUGGCAGUGGCAGCCAACCUGGUGAUGCAACGGAGCUCGAUCUACUCCUAGAUAUGAUUAAGCACAAUUAGAUUUGGGCCUUUGGCCGAAAGCCUACCUCAGAUCUUCGAAUUUGAGGGGCUUUGAGUUCAUCCUCCCGCUCCCUCUUGUCUCAGCUGGCUCGGCGUCAGGAGCAGCGGUGGUGGGUGUUGUGGCUGCUGGCAUCGGUAGCAGUAGUGUUAAGUGCAGGGGGUCGGAUGGCGGCGGCUUGAAUGGCGUCGGGCUCGGAGGGCAACGGUGGCAUCGCAGCUUCGGGUUGCUGGCAUGGCGGUGCUCGCGGUUGCAAGUGCUCUACCAGCAUCAAGUUGAGGCACGACUGAGCUUUGGCUGCUGGCUUCGGCAGCAGUGGCAUUGAGUGCUGGGGGUUGGCGUUUGGAGCUUCCCCAAGAAGGAAGAGGGCGGCGAGGUGGUCCUCUCCCCUCUAGAAUAAGCCCUUGCUCCUGUUCUUCCCUUUUUGCUUUUUCUCUUUUGCCUGCUCUCACUCUCCCCCCAAAUUUUCUCUCUCUCUCUCUUGAGAUGUCAUUUUGGCUUCUCCCCCUCCUCCCCAAGCUCUCUCUGCUCUCUCCUUUCUCUAGGGUUUCACACGUGAAGAUGGGCCCAGGAGGAAGAGUUGGGGUGCGGACUAAGCCAAGGCUAGAUCAAGCCCAACUCGACCCCCCUUAAGCAUUUUUUGUUGUUGCUUUUUUGUUGUUUUUUCUUCUUCUUUUUAUUUAAUUAAUUUUUUUUUAAUUUUUAUUAUAUUUACUUGAAAAUUAGGUGUCAACAUCCUUGGUGGAAAAUGAUUUUUACAACUAGCUCAUUUUACAUGAAACGAACACUAGAAAAUCUGAAAAAAUGUUUUCCCAGAAAUUAUUUUCCGUGAAACGAACGGAUGAGUCUAAUCACUGAUAAAGAUGUUGAAUCUGAAUCAUUUUCUCGUUAUGUGUACGAGUUCCUCUCUAGUUCAAGCAACUUCUUUUGCGAAUUUUCAGAAAUAGAUUUGAAAUAGAAUUAAGAUGUAAAAAGAGUUACUUCUUUAUUUCCGAGAACAACUCCUAAAUCAAGCCCAUUCUCUCUCUCUCUCUCUCUCUCUCUCUCUCUCUCUCUCUCUCUCUCUCUCUCUCUCUCUCUCUCUCUCUCUUUUCCUUUCCUUUUUUCUUAUGUUCUUCUCUCUCUUCCUUGGGCCAGUCGCCAGUCUUGGUGAUGGUCGAUGACCUCAACCUCUCCAUGGCUAGGUGAUACUGCCCCCAUGGUGGCUUGGUGAGGGUGAGCCUCACUAGUGGCUGGGUGAGGCUCAGGCACUUAAUCUCACCUAGCCACCAUCGAGUUCGACUGAUGAGGCUCAACUUUGCCGAGGGCCAACGAUGCUCCGAACCAACCCUCGUUUGGUAGGUCACCGGCCAUCAUUGAGGUCGGCGACUGGCCAAAGGAAGAAGGAGAAGAAGAAAAGGGAAAAAAAGAAGAAGAGAAAAAUGUAAUAAGAUUAUUAAAAAAUCUAAAGAAAUUUUAAAUCACAAAAGAAUUUAAGAUAACUACCAAACGCAUAUCUAUUUUGGAAAUAAAAAUUUUAGACUGUUACCAAACACAUUCAAAUAUUUAGAAACUCUUCUAGGGAAGAGAAAAAAAAAAUUACUUUUGAGUAUAAAUCAUUUCCAUAAACAGAAUGGUUACCAAACGUACCUAAAUAUAUAAUUUAAAAACAUACCUUGCCCUGAUGUCACCGCUGUUGUUGGACGAAAGAAAUCUCAUUUUACAUCUUCAUAUUGCCAUAUGAGAUAACUCUAGUUUAGGUGGAGAUGUGGUUCUUGCUAUUCUCACUAGAUUAUGCUUUUAAGGAGCCUUUCAACUAUGACUUUUUUUACUGAUUAAAUAUUCAUAGAUAUUUAUGAUCUGUUUGUUUCAUAUAAAAUGAAUGAUUUGAUAAAUAUUUUCUAAAAAAUAAUUACUUGUAUCAUUUAAAAUCAUUAGUUAAUAAAGAAUUUUUUUAUUAGUGAUAAUAAUUUAUGUCAAAAUAUAUUUGUAGAUAAAGAAAAGAAAUUUCAUUUAUCAUUUUUAUAAGUGAUCAAUUUUUUAUAAAUGUUUUUCAAAACAUUUGUGAAAGAAACGCAUCCUUAUUGGAGUUUAUUUUUGUGCAAAAUUGACUGAUUACAGACAUUUAUUUGUGGUUCAUUAUUUUUGUGGGCCAUUUAUGGAUUCGAAAGUUAAUUUAUGAGCUGCAAGAUAAUUUUUUUGCCAUUAUAAAUGCUUACAAACGCAAAUGUAAUUCGAGGAAGUUGAAGCUAAUUUUACGUACACAAAAUACAAAUUAAAAACAUCAGUUUGUAUCUGUGAUACAAUAAGUUAUAUUACUACCAUGAGACUUUAUCAGCUAUUUAUUAAGUAUAAAUUUUUUUCUGGUCAAAAGAAUAAGUAUAACUAAAAAGAAUGUCAAGGAUCAAGGUUCGCUCAAUUUCCCAAUUACAAGGAAAAUUAUUACUACUAUUGCUUCGAAUUAUUUCCUGCAAAGUAAGUUACUGUAGCCGUUGAUACAAUUACUACUGCAUACAAAUCAAAUCAAAUCAAAUAAAUUUAAACAAAUCUGCCACAUUGAUUACUAGCGGAAAUAAGCGGUCACCAAUUUAUCGUUUUGACCUCGCACGCUUAACCCACUUUCCUAUUCUGCGAGGGGCAAAUUCGGAACGCUAUAUAUAUAUAUAUCCGUUAUGGCCCCUUCUCACACAACAGUAGCGUCAUCUCUUGACUCUCUCCCACCUCCUCCUCUUUCUUCUUCGUCAUCUUCAUCUUCGCAUGUUGUCUGUCCGCUUUGCUUCCUUUUCCUCCCUCGACAGAACCACAUUCCAGCUCAAUCGGAGAGGACGGAGCCGCAUCUGCCUCUGCUGUGCAGCCGAUCAUCGAUGAUGGGCCAGAAAGAGAAGAAUGGGACUAUGAAACAACCAACCGCCGACCGUUUUCAUUACUAUAACCAUAGAAAAGCUCCACUAAUUUUUUAGUCCUAAUUAUUGACACGAGUCUCACUUUAGUCCAAUCAAUUAACUCUAACCUUCGACGUUUUUGCUCUCAAAUUGUCAUCCAUAUAUAAAUAAACUAAGAUCUAGGUUUUUUCAAUGGACGUGCGUUGAAGAUAUCAAAAUCACAAUAAUAAUAAAAAAAAAGAUCUAUAAAUUCCAUAAAAAGUUCAAUGAUGAGGUAGAUCAUGUUAAGACAAGUAUAAAUAUAUAUACGUAUAUUAGUACAAACAACUAAACAUUCACAUCCUUACAUUUUUCCAAAGGAUUUUCUUUCAAAAUUUAUGUGCAAUCAACUCAUUUUAUUUGAGAAUUGAAUUUGGCCUCUUUCUUUGAAGCUUUCACGUUGAUUAAAAUGAUGACUUUUGCGUACAUAGGAAGUAAUGAAAAAUUUGUUGCAAGUUUGUUUUUUAAUUGAUGAGCUCUUAGAAGAUUCAGCAUUGUGGGAAAUAUUGCAGCAUCAAAGUAAUGAUACAUUGAAUUAGUAAAUUCUAUGACGAAAAUGAUUAAUGUGAAGGUGACCGAAUCAUAUUCACGGGAGGCUGGGAUUAGAAUUCGACCCUCAGAACUGAUUAAAACAGUCAUUAUCAUUGAAAAUUUAAGUACCCAACACCUUUUCAAACCCCAGCUAGGAUGACAGCAUAGCAAGAAAACGUGAAAAUACUCAGUGCGCUUCACGUCCGGUCGUUUCAUUCCCCUUUGCUAGAGUCAAAGUGUAAACAUCAGUCCGAUGGCCAGGGAGAACAAAAGUGCAGCGUAUUCUGCAACAAAGAUAGUCAUAAUAAAAAAGAAAAAUGUAUUGUGAAAUAAAUUAUGUUUGUCUAAAUUAUAGGGUAUUAUGCAACAGAAAAAAUCGAAAUUGGAAAUGGUUGGCUACGCUCAUCAAACUCAUAAUUUUAUUUUGUUCGUUUCUAUAUGGAAUGUUCAGCAAACUUUUAAUCUUCGAAUCUCUCUAUAGAUGCCACAUCCUUGGUGCCGCACUUUAAAUUUGUCGGAUUGUGGUGUAAAGUCAAUAUGACACCAUGAAGUUUCGGUUUUUUCUUAUUCUAGGUGAAAAUAUCAGUUGGUUGUCUUCCAUUUUUCUAGAUUUUAGGUUGGAGCUGUUCAUAACGGUACCUCCUGUCGUUUUAGGAGUGCAUGAUAACCAAAAUUUUUGUUCCAGAAAUAAUUUUUCUAUUUCAGACCUGUUUCUGAAAUAGAAACCCGUUUGAUAAAUUUACUCAGUUUUUCUAUUUCUGGAAUAGAUUUCUAUUCCAGAAAUUGAUUUGGAAGAGAAAUUAGAAGUAAAAAUUUUCUACUUCUUAUUUCUGGAAGAGAAAUCAGAAAUAAUUUUUCCCACUAAAUCCUAAUUUCGGUGAGUCCUCCCUCAUCUCCUCUACGUCUCUGCCUCCUCCUCCUCCUCUCCUCAUUUUAUUAAAAAUAAAAAUAAAUAAAAAUAAAAAUAUUCAUUUUAUUCAUUUAAAAAUUAAAAUAAAUUUAUUAAAAAUAAAUAAAUUAUUUUUAUUUAUCAUUUUAUUUUUUUUAUUAAAAAUAAUUUAUUUAUGAUAAAUAAAAAUAAAUUUAUUAAAUUUAUUAAAAAUAAUUUAUUUAUGAUAAAUAAAAAUAAAUUAUUUUUAUUAAAAAUAAAUUUCAUAAAUUUAUUUUUAUUUGCCUUGAGUGUUUUGCCAAAUAAAUUUAUUUUUAUUUUUAUUUAUUUUGAAAUAGAAUAAAUAAAAUAAAUUUAUUUUUAAGGAUAUUUUUAUUUUAAAAUAAAAUGAUAUUUUCAUUUUAUUUUUUAUGCUUUAUUUUAUUUUAUUUUAUUCUUUAUUUUUUUGUUACUAAAUCAUUUUUAUUUUUAUUUUCUAUAUUAAAGGUCGUUGGUCGUCGUCGCCGCCGUCCGAAAAUAAGAAAUUUUGUGUCGUUAUCAAACGAAUUUAUAUUUUUAGAGUAGAAAUUUUUGUGUCAUUAUCAAAUGGUUAUUUUUGCUUAGAAACUCUUCUAGAAUUAGAAAUAGAAAAAUCUAUUUCUUUUACAGAAAUUUUUGUGUCGUUAUCAAACUAUUAGUGCAUGUUGUUGGAGAAAUCCUCUUGAAGUGUUUUGAAGUUGACAAAACGUUUCCAUCAGUCUAGUCUGAAGGCUUGCAGACUCUGCUAUUUAAAGUCUGAAGACCUCCGGACAGCCUGACUCAAGACUCAAAGUCUAUCCUCAUUAACAGUUUCUAAUCCGUUGAAGAAAGGCUAUCAAGAACUGGAUGUUUUAUUAAGGAUGUGACCUUAUCGACUGGAAAAGAUCUCUUGGCUGGAUAUGACAUGACGGAAUCCUUUAUUUGAUCAUAAUUGAUUCGAAGAUUAAGGAUUCGAUGAUUGGCAAAAUAUACUUGGAAGGUUCUACUUAUGGAAACCGAGAUCUUGAUUGUAUGGACGAACAUGAUUGAUGGGCUAUCGACAUAUUCCUUUAAUAGCUCGAAUGAUCUUCCUAUUUGAUUCCGUCCAACGGGUAGAUUGGAGGAAUUCAUUUUGUAAGUGCCAACGGGUAUGAUGGCAUGAAGGAGUAUAUAAGGAAGACGUUCCAGUUGUUCGAGAGAGUGCACGAUAGAAGAAUUCCAAAGUCUGAAGCUCCUUGUUCUUAGUCAAUUUAUUUGUUGAGCGAAAUCUUGUAAACAAAAGAGAGUCUAUAUUUGUGAGAAACCUUGAGGAAGUGUGGUAGAACAUCUACACUGUGGAAUCAAGGAAAAGCUGUGCUGUAACUUCUCUUUUGUUCAUAGUGAAAUCCAGCCGGUGGGCUGUCAGUGCGGAAAAGUGGACGUAGGCUUGGAAUAAGCCGAACCACUAUAAACCUUGUGUUCAAUUUUCUCUUCCUUACUCUUUACUUUACUUUGAUCGUAUUUUAUUAAUCAAAAGAGAACUUCCUUUUUAUCGUUUGCCUAGAAUCGCUUCCAUAUCUUGAGAAAUUAUUUGUGCACCUAUUCACCCCCCCUCUAGGUGCUUAUACUAGCUAUCUCACAUGUGACUUUGACUAGUGGGGGAGACCACUUAUUGGAAGACAACAAUUGAAUAGUCAAUGACUAGCUAUACAAGCAUUCACUGCUCACACUAAAAACAAGCAUUCACCGCUCACACUAAAAACGGCAAAAGAACGCUUCAAGUGCCAUAACUUGACACAAAGGGAUACUUAAGUGCCACGUUUAAGAAAAAUGGGACACCUGAGUGCCAUCUCCGGCGAAAUUGGCAGGAAAUCAUACGUGACAUUAAAAUACUAAUAUUUCUUGCCGAUGUGUUUUGUCGGAAGGCUGAGUCAGCUUGAAUUCACCCCAAACGACGUCGUUUUGGGUGUUGGCCAAAAUAGAACUCUUAAAUCGGCCAAAACGGCGUCGUUUUGGCAUAAUUUGAAUUUUAAUAUAAUAUAAAAAUUAUUUAGAUUAAAUUUAAAAAUAAAUUUAUUUAAAACAUUUAAAAAAUAAAUUUAAAAAAUUUAAAAACUUUAAAAAUUUAAAAAAAUUACAAAAUUACAAAACAUUUUAAAAAUUUACAAAAUUUACAAAAAAUUUAAAAAAUUUACAAAAAAUUUCAGCCCUCAGCCGCCUCCUUUUUCUAUAUUUUUUUAAAUUUUUUGUAAAUUUUUUAAAUUUUUAAAUAAAUUUAAAUUAAAUUAAAUUAAAUUAAAUUUUUAUAUUAAAUUUUUUCCCACGUCUGCACCAAAACGACGUCAUUUUGGGUGUUGGCUAGAACAGAGCCCUUAAAUCGGUCAAAACAACGUUGUUUUGGUAUAAUUUGAAUUUUAAUAUAAUAUAAAAAUUAAUUAAAUUUAAUUUAAAACAAAAUAAUAAUAUAAUUUAUAUUUAUUUAAAAAAACGGAGGAGGAGGAGGAGGAGGAGGAGGAGGAGGAAGGCAGCUAGCGGUUGAGGGUAGAGUCCUUGUCGCCGCCACCUCCCCGCCGUCGCCGGAAGGUGGGGUAGGGUCGGCCAGGGCCGCCUCCCUUUUUUUUUUGUAAUUUUUUUAUAAUUUAUAAUUUUUUAAAAUUUUUUAAUGUUUUUUAAUUUUUUUUGAAUUUUUAAUUUUUUUAAAUAAAUUUAGUUUUAAAUUAAAUUAAAUUUAUUUUUAUAUUAAAUUUUUUAUCACGUCAGCACCAAAACAAUGCCGUUUUGUACUCCCUUCGUCGGAAAAUUGACACGUCAGCAUUUUGGCCGGAUUGGCACUCAAGUGAUCAAUUUUGCUCCGAUUUUGGCACUUAAGUAUACCUUUUGUAAGUUAUGACACUUAAGUGUUCAUUUCUGCCAAGUUAUGGCACUCCAGGGGUCCGUGUUUCCACUAAAAACGACUCUAAUUUUAUUUUGUUGAUUUACAAGGUCCUUGUUAGGCCAAAACAGUUGACGAUUAGUCUGUUCUGUAUGUUGGAAUAUAUAUACGCGGAAACGACAUGAUCUUGCAAUUUACGUUAACACAAAAUCACCAGAGAAAUAAACAAGAAAUAAUAAGGAUACCAGAAAUUUACAUGGUUUGGUCUGAGCAUCAAUACUUACAUCCACGGGGAGAGUUAGCAGCAAAUAAUGCAUUAUAAUAGGAGAAUUAGAGUUUACAAUCGCUCACAUGCUCGAGUGUUUCCCACACUUAGAUUUAACCUCAAACCCAAAGUGUUUAUAAAUAAACAACUUACUUGGACAUAAACUCACUGCACAAAAAACACAGCGCAUUCAAGCUCAAAACAAAAUGCCGAAAACAAGAACUCCUUUUUUUGAUCGUGGGGGUGGCUCCUCUUUGGCUUGAUGCUGUGUGGCUUCUAUUUUUCUCAUAGGGCUUCAGCGGCUCCAGCAGAUAGAAAGAAUACGUGCGUGUUCUGUUUUAUGUGCGUGUUCUAUUUUAUAUGUGUGCCCAAAGGUCAAAAGUUUGACUUGAGCCCACCACCUUUUGGCUCUACGUGCAAAGACUCCUUUCUUUUAUUUCCAUUGGCUAAAAAAGAGACCCCAGGCGUGGAAUAUUGUGUCCCCAAAGUCAAAAUUUUGACUUUGGGCCCCACUAUGGAUAACUUGCACGGAUUCAACUCCUCUAGAUAAAAGAGGAAACCUUUGCUCCCUUUUAUUUUAUUUUUAUUUCCUCCUUUAUGCAAUUAUAAGAAGUCCAACAAAAGAAAAGCUUCUUAAUCUAAUUUGAAAUCUACUAGGGGAAUAUUUCUCAAUAAAUUUGAUUUAACAAAUUGUUAUCCGAAUUCAAACUCAAGAUAUUAAUUUAACAAUUUUCCACAUUAGCUCGAUGUUUAAAAUUAAGUUAUAGUGCUCAUGAUUCAUACUGCUCUCCCAACGCCUCGACAGGCGCUCACUCUCCACAGACGCCAAUAGAGGUCAAGCAGAGCUUCAGCUUUGCCAAAGGAACAGACUUAGUCAUUAUGUCUGCUAGGUUAUCUGUUGUAGCAAUCUUUUUGACAAUAGCAUUACUCUUAAUUAAGACAUCUCGGAUGAAGUGGUAUCUAAUGUUGAUAUGCUUCGUUUGCUCGUGAUAAACUGUAUUAUAUGCCAAAUAUAUCGCAUCUUGGUUAUCAUAGUGUAUAUCCACACUUUUUUGUUUUAACCCAAAGUCCGAGAGCAAACUUUGUAACCAUAUCGCCUCCUUUGCUACAAAGGCUAGUGCCACGUACUUUGCCUCAAUCAAAGACAAGGCAAUGUGAUCAUGUAAGGACAUUUUCCAAGUAAUUGCGCUACCUACUAGUGUAAACACGUAACCUGCUAAAGACCUGCGAUCAUCCAAGUCACCGGCAUGAUCUGAAUCCACAAAACCAGUGGUCUCACUGCCAUUAUUGUUCCUCCGAUAUACUAUACCCACGUUUGCUAUCCCCUCCAAAUAUCUGAGGAUCAAUUUCACAUCUUUCCAAUGAGCUUUACCUGGACGCUUCAUAUGACGACUAAUCAUGCUCACAGUUUAUGAAAUAUCAUGCCUAGUGCACACCAUAGUAUACAUAAUACUACCCACGACACUGGAAUAAGGAACACAUGACAUAUGCUCCUCCUCCUCCUCAGUUUGCGGUGAUAAUUUAUCUGAAAGUUUAAAACGUGCCACAAUCUUCUCAAAAUAUUUCUUCUAAGAUAGAUGUAAAACUCUUGCAGCCUUGUCACGCAAAAUCUCCACACCCAAUAUUUUCUUUGUAGCACCUAAAUCUUUCAUUUCAAAUUCAGCAUUUAACCACAUUUUCAGCACAUUAAUAUCAGACAUAUUCUUAGCUGUUAUCAGUAUAUCAUCAACAUAUAAAAAAGUAGAUAAAUUAAAGAACCAUUCUCCAAUCUCCUAUAAUAGACACAGUUAUCCAUAUGACUUUUUAAAUAGUCUUGACUAGCCAUGAAGGUAUUAAAAUAUUUAUACCACUACCUAGAAGACUAUUUUAGCCCAUACAAAGAUUUCUUUAACAAGCAAACAUGAUCUUCCUUACUUGGAAUAGCAAAUCCCUCUAACUGCCUCAUGUAAAUCCGCUCCUCCAAUUCACCGUGAAGAAAUGCAGUUUUCACAUCUAGCUACUUUAAUUUGAGAUCCUACGAAGCAACUAAGGCAAGUAAAACAUGAAUAGAAGUAUAUCUUACCAUAGGAGAGAACACCUUAAUGUAGUCAAUGCUCUCACGCUGUGUAUAUCCCUUCACCACAAGUCUUGCUCUAUACCUCGCUGCCUCGACACCGGGGAAUGUCCUCUUUCCGUUUAAAGACUCAUUUACUUCCGAUAAUCUUUUGGCUCUUGGGUACUUUGACUAGCUCCCAUGUUUGAUUUCAAUGGAGUGAUUUCAUCUCUUCACUCAUAGCCCUUAGCUACUGUGACGACUUUGAAUUAGCCAUCGCCUCAGAGUAAAACGAAAGCUCAUCCGUCUCCACCUCAUCACCUAUAGUCAAUGCAUAAGCAAUAUCUGUAUAACCAUAACGUACUGGUGAUUUAAUUUGCCUUCUUUGUUUAUCUGUGGCUAUAGUGUGCUAUGGCUUUGCUGGUUGUUCACUAUCACCAACUUCAGAAAUUGUGGCUUCAUCUGCAGUCUCAAUUUUUGUUACCUUUGAGGUCUCUGGAGUCUCUACUUGAAGUUCCACCUCACUAAUGACACCAUGAUUUGUCUUCUCUGCUGGUUGUGUCUCAAAAUUCCUCUGUUGAAGUAUUGCAGCCUCAUCAAAGAUCACGUCCCUGCUAAUUAGAAAACUGGGUGAUCUGGGAUCGGUGCACUACAGCCGGUAGCCUUUCACUCCAUGUGCAUAACCUGGAAAUAUGCACUUAUUCACCCUCUGCUCAAGCUUAUCAUCACUUGCAUGAGCAUAUGCAAGACAUCUGAAUAUACAUAAUCCGGAGUAAUCAACAGGUUUUGCCGACCAUACUUCCUCAAGAGUCUUUCACUCGAUGGUAGAUGAUGGAGAUUGAUUAACCAGGUAAUAUGCCAUGUUUACAGUUUCGGCCCAAAAUUCCUUACCAAGUCCUACAUGUGAAAGUAUACAUCGAGUUUGCUCAAGCAAAGUUUUGUUCUGCCGUUCUGCUAUACCAUUUUGCUGUGGUGUCUCAAGUAAUGUGCGGUGUCUCAUAAUACCUUAAUUCUCGCAGAACUCGGUAAAAUCUUUACCACAGAACUUCAUGCUAUUAUUGGUUCUCAAGCAUUUGAUUUGUUUAUCUGACUGCUUUUCAAUCAGUGCCUUAAAUUUCUUGAACCGAUUAAACACUUCAUAUUUGUGCUUCAGAAAGUAUACCCAUACCUUCAUCGAAUAAUCAUUGAUAAAUGUCAGCAUAUAUUGGGCACCUCCUUUCGAAGGAACCGAAGACGGGCUCCAGACGUCUGAAUGAAUGUAUUCAACUGGUCACUUGGUCAAAUGAACAGUUGUAGUAAACUUAACUUGGCGCUGCUUCCCAAAGAUGCAGUGCUCACAUAAGUCCAAUUUCCCUGUCUUUUGAUCCUUCAACAACCCCCUUUCAAUUAGCAUCAUCAUACUUGCCUCAGUUAUGUGCCCCAAAUGUAUAUGCCAUAAUUGAGUCAAGUUAGAGUCUGACUCACCUAAUAAAAUUGCAGCAGUUCCCGUCACGGUCUUUCCCAGUAGAUGAUAGAGAGUAUUCACUUUCUUCCCCUUCAUUACUGUCAUGGCAUCUCAAGAAAUCUUCAGGACUCCACCUUUAGUGGUGUACCUACACCCAAUGUCAUCGAGUGUCCCUAGAGAAAUAAGAUUCUUCUUAAGUUUCGGUACACACCUCACAUCUAUCAAUGUGCGCACCACCCCAUCGUGCAUCCGAAUCCGAAUUAUCCCUAUCCCCACAACUUUACAGACUGCGUUAUUCCCUAAAAGAGCCUUACCAUCAUCUACAGUCUGGUAAGUAGUAAACCGGUUCUUAUGAGAAGUCAUAUGAUAAGAACAUCUCGAAUCUAGUACCCAUUCGUCUCCUAACGAAGUAGUAGUCACACUUAAAACAGCUUUUGCAUCACUAUUGCUCCACUCGGCAACAUUUGCCACAUUGCUUGUGGCAUUCUGCCUAUUAGCUUUAUUUCUCUGUUUUGGAGAAUCUCUCCUGAUGUGCCUCUCCUCGUGACACUCAAAACACUUCACGCGUCUCUUGGACUUUCUAUGGCAUGAUUUCGAUCUACUUUUACCUCUGCUAUUACUAGGUCUUUGAUGUUGUUCUUUACCCCGAAUCGUCAGUGCUUGCGCUACUCCUUGCGCCAAACCAUCAUCUCGCAACUUUCUUUGCCACUACUUAGAGAAUAAGGCGGACUUUAUCUCUUCUGAGGUAAUUGUAGUACGUCCGUGCAAUGGUGAAUCAGUAAAGUGCUCCCAUGACUUUGGUAAAGAGGCUAACAAUAUCAUGCCCUGUUUUUCAUCAAUAAGUAUCUUAUCGAUGUUCUUCAGAUCCAUCAUGAGUUUAUUAAAUUUAUUUAGGUGGGUUAUGAUAGACGUACCUUCAGUAUAUCUAAAUUGAAAUAUCCGCUUCAACAUGUAUAGACGAUUGAUCAAAUCUUUCUUCACAUAGAGUGCUUGAAGUUUUGCCCAUAAUGCUACGACAUCCUUCUCCUCAGCAACCUCUAUUAAAACCUCAUUCGACAAAUUUAACAGGAUUGUGUUCUUUGCUAUUUCCAUUAAUUCUACCAUCUUAGAGGCUUUCAUUAUAAUUGGCAAUUUAUCUUCACCAUCCAGUGCCUUGACCAAACCUUGGGUUGUCAAUAACACCCGCAUCUUGAUGCUUCAUAACCUAAAGUUAUUCCUCUCAUUAAACUUCUCAAUUUCAGAUUUUCUCUCAAACAUGAUUGCAAUAAUAGAAUUUCCAGAUAAUAAUCAGACAAGCAAAAGUUCCAAAUCACAAUCAAGAAAUCUAAUCCCAAGCUCUAAUACUAAUUAUUGUAAUAUAUAUACGUGAAAACGACAGGAUCUUACAAUUUACGUCAACGCAAAAUCACUAGAGAAAUAAACGAGAAAUAAUGACACUAGAAAUUUACGUGGUUCGGUCUGAGUAUCGGUACCUACAUCCACAGGGAGAGCCAGCAGCAAAUAAUUCACUAUAAUAAGAGAAUUAGAGUUUACAAUUGCUCACACACUCGAGUGUUUUCCACACCUAGAUUUAACUCCAAACCCAAAGUGUUUAUAAAUAAACAAUUUACUUGGAUAUAAACUCACUGCACGAAAAACACCGCGCGUUCAAGCUCAAAACAAAAUGCCGAAAACAAGAACUCAUUUUCUUUGAUCGUGUGGGUGGCUCCUCUUCGGCUUGACGUUGUGCGGCCUCCUAUUUUUCUCUUAGGGCUUUAGCAAAGAAAGACGUGCGUGUUCUGUUUCAUAUGUGUGCCCAAUGGUCAAAAGUUUGACCUGGGCCCACCACCUUUUAGCUUUUUAGCUCUAUGUGGAGAGACUCAUUUCUUUUAUUUCCAUCGGCUAAAAAAGAAACCCCAGGCGUGGAAUAUUGUGUGCCCAAAGUCAAAUUUUUGACUUUGGGCCCCACCAUGGAUAACUUGCACGGAUUCAACUCCUCUAGAUAAAAAAGGAAACCUUUGCUCCCUUUUUAUUUUAUUUUUAUUUCCUCCUUUAUGCGGCUAUAAGGAGUUCAACAAAAGAAAAGCUUCAAAGCCAAGGCGCGAAGAAAAAGGAGCGCGAAGGGAGGCUCCCGUUUUCUGCACCGUUCCUGCGAAUCUGGAUUUGCUAAUUCCGCCCGGUAGGACCGACGGUUGGGGCCGAUUUUUGGGCGGCAAGAGGCGCCCUUCACUGCUCUUUAAAACCCUCUGAAGCAUCGCCUGGUACGUCUCCUUUUCGCGGAGUGUUUUCAGAUCGAUGGAUUAGGGUUUUACGGUUUCUGGUGUGCGAGUUUUGCUGCAAUGGAGAGCGAUUCGGUGCAGAACCGUGCAAAUGACAAGGGGUUGAGCUUUCGGUCUCCCCCCCCUUAGGAAUGAGCGACCCCACUCGGUUGCCCCUUCGUUGAUUGCGGGAAACCAUAAUGCUCCUCCCGCCUCUGGUGUUCCUGCGAAUUCGCGACUUCCCCCUAUGUCUGCCAGAGGCCGUUCGAAUAACAGGGGAAGAUCUAAGUCCAAGCGACCCCUUUCAAGAGGUGGCUCGCAAAAUCCUAGUACCCGCUCUUGGGCUGCGGUAGCUAGUGCUGCAAAUAAGGGUUAUGAUCUGGAUUAUUCACCUCCGCAGAUCGUGAGCAAUAAACCUGUCAUACAUAUGGAUGAAUUUGAUCUGUAGGCAGCUGAUCCUAAGCUUUAUGACUGCCUUGUUGGUUAUUUUAUCGGUAGGAAACUAUUGUUCAAGGUUGUGGAGGAGGCCCUUAGGAGAGCCUGGGGGCCGCCUUUGUUGGAAGUUCUAUCCAAUGGUAGAGGAGUGUUUCUUCUGCGUAUUGUUGAUAAGGAAUUCAGGAGGAAAAUUCUGGAGGGCGGUCCCAUUACUGUGGCAAGAAUCCCCUUUAUCUUGCAGCAAUGGCAACCGGGAGUUGAGCUGAAGAAAGACAUGCACAUGUCUGUCCCGGUAUGGGUAAGGCUGAGAAAUCUCCCGUUCACUUACUGGUCUGCUCAGUCAAUUAGCAAAGUGGCGAGUGCUGUUGGUAGGCCACUGUAUGUGGACCAGAGAACAGAACAUAUGUCCAUGCUAUCAUUUGCUCGUGUAUGUGUGGAAUUAACAGUACAACAACCAAUUUAUGAGACUAUUGAUCUGAUCACGGAUGGGAAAACUGAUGUUGUCGAAGUGGAGUUCGAAUGGAAACCGCUAGCUUGUCUCAAAUGUGGUAUAUUCGGUCAUACCUGCAAGGAUGAUGUUCCUGCUUCUACUUCUGGUGCAUCUGCUGGAGUAAUGAAUGCAGGAACCUCUAAGGCAAAUCCUGAAGCUACUUCUACGUUGUCCAAAGAAAAAGAAGUGGCCUUACCGCCCUCAUCCGCACAUGAUGGCGAUAUCCCACACAACCCCUAACCUGGGUUAGCUUCUACAGAUCCUCCUGCUGGUGCGAAUGCUAACAAAUCCUUGCUUAUUGGGGAGUCGAGCUCUCCCCAGGCGGCUCUGCCAGGACCAUCCGAGGGUGAAUUGGUGGCUAUGUCCUCAACUCCUGCUGCCGAUCCAGAAUGGAAGCAGGUGAAGGGGAAAGGCAGGAAAAAGAAAAAGCAUGCUGAGAAGGAAGCUGCCUCUUUUGGUCUAUACCCGGCAGGUGAAGGAGAUGCUCCCUCCUCUUCACUUCAUGUUGGAAGCUCGGAUGAAAUUUGCAACUCUAGUACUCAAAUGGAAUUGAAUGAUAAAGAUGUUUUGUCUGUGGGUUCCCCUUCGCCAAAAGGCCCGGCUUCGGCUGGUGCUCGAAGUAUGCAAGAACAACUCCUCUUGCUUCUUCCUGACCCACCACCCUCGGCGGUUUCAAAAGCGCCUGCCACAGGCCGCAGGGCUAAGAAGAGGUAAUUAUGCCCUCUAUCCUUUUUGAUAUGUUUUUUGGCUUUUGGAACAUCAGAGGCAUGGUCAACCCUCUUAGGCAGGCGGAGGUCAAGAGAUUUGCUGCUGUUAAUAAACUCUGCCUGAUUGGCCUUUUUGAGACUAAAGUUCCUGAUGAACAUUUUGAUUCUAUCUCGGCUUCCUUAAUUAGUGGUUGGAAUUGGAUUGCAAACUAUGAGUAUUCUUCUCGUGGUAGAAUCUGGGUUGGUUGGAACCCGAAUUUUGUUUCUUUUGUGCCUAUCUCUAUCAAUGACCAGGCUACUGCAUCUCUGCUAUUUAUGGAGAACAUACUUUUGUGCGUCGUAGACCUUCGUGGGAGAACCUCCUCCACUUGAAUGACUUGAUGCAAGAUUUGGCUUGGCUUGUUGCUGGUGAUUUCAACGCCAUUAAAGACCCAUCCGAUCGAGUUGGAGGUUCCAAUGACUGGAUCCCUUAUUUUGAUGAGUUUGCCCAAUGCUUAGCACAAACAGAACUGAUGGAUCUUAGAUAUGUUGGCCUCCGUUAUACUUGGUCUACCUCGGCAGGGGACACCAGGAAGAUGAGGAAGAUCGACCGUGUUCUGGUUAACAACAAUUGGAACCUUCAUUUCUCGUUCUCUGAGGCUUCGUUUUUGAACCCGGGUAUCUCGGACAAUACUCCUAUGAUCGUCAGAGUUCUUCAGCCGGUCCAGAGAAGGAAGCCAUUUAAGUACUUUGAAUUUUGGGUUGACCACUCGGACUUUAACUCAAUUGUCCGCCAGGCUUGGGACUCCUCCAUCACAGGCAUUCUAAUGUACAUUCUUGUUUCCAAGUUGAAAAUUGUGAAAGCUCAACUCAAGUUACUUAACCAAGACGCCUUCUCGGAUAUCUCUGUGAGGACGGCCGAAGCAAGAGAGGCCCUUCGAAGCACUCAGGUUAGCCUUCAAUCGGACCCUUACAACCUUUCUCUUACUGAGUUGGAAAAAUCUCAGCGUUGUGUUUUUAUUGAUCUGAGGAAUCAAGAAGAAUCCUUCUUCAGACAAAAGUCGAGAGUGAGAUGGCUAAAAGAAGGUGACGGGAAUACUAAGUUUUUCCACCAUUCGGUGAAGAGGAGGCAGCUUACUAAUAGGAUCCUUUCCGUCAAGGAUCAGUCGGGGGCUGUUAUCAUUGAUCCUGUUCUUGUGCCGCAAGUUUUUGUCCGUUUUUUCUCGAAUUUGCUCUCUCAUCAUGAGCCUUUAUCUAAACCUUCGCUUCAGGAUUUGAAGACGUUUGUUCGUCACCUACUUACUGAUGCUCAGGUACGGUCCCUAUGUGAGCUGAUUUCUCCCUCUGAGAUUAAGAAUACUCUAUUCUCCCUUGCCAAAGGCAAAGCCCCAAGUCCUGAUGGAUUCUCGGUAAAGUUCUACAAGACUAAUUGGAACUUAGUGGGGCCGUUGGUGGUGGAAGCAAUCCAGGAUUUCUUCUCUUCGGGACUGCUCCUGAAGGAGUUAAAUACCACUAUCCUCGCUCUAGUUCCUAAAGUCCCCAACGCAAGUGCAGUCACUGAUUUUAGGCCUAUCGCAUGUUGCAAUACCAUUUAUAAAGUCAUUACGAAAAUCCUUGCUAAUCGCAUUGCUGCUGUCUCAAAUGAUUUGAUAAGCCCUUCACAAAAUGCUUUUGUAAAGGGUAGGAGGAUUAGAGAUAAUAUUCUCAUCGCUCAAGAGUUGUUUGCUGGAUUUCACUUAGAGCCUUAUCUGCCCAAAUGUGCUGUUAAAGUUGAUUUCCAUAAGGCCUAUGACACGGUUGAUUGGGAUUUCUUGGAGCUUGCUCUCCGUGCAUUCUGUUUUCUCGAUUGGAUUAUUACGCAAAUUAUGGUUUGCGUAUGUACGCCGAAAUAUUCCAUCUCUAUCAAUGGUGAUUUGCAUGGUUUUUUCCCUGCUGGAAGAGGACUUAGGCAAGGCGAUCCUAUGUCACUUUACCUAUUUACCUUAGUUAUGGAAAUUUUCUCUGGAAUCUUGCUCUCCUGUACUGCUAGCAAUGACUUUAAAUAUUUUUGGAGAUGCAAAUUUGUGCAGCUGACUCACCUAUUUUUCGCCGAUGACGUAUUCCUUUUCUGUCAAGCUGAUUGGGAGUCGGUGACGUUGUUAAAAAGGGGUUUGGACAUUUUCUCCUCUUGGAGUGGCCUCUACCCAAAUAAAAACAAAAGUGAGAUCUUCAUCUCAGGAGGGGAUUCAUCUCUUCGUAAUAUGAUGCAAUGGGCCUUCGGUUUUCAGGAAGGGAAACUGCCGGUUCACUAUUUAGGUGUUCCGAUUAUUACUACUAGAUUGGGCAAAGCAGAUUGUGUUGCAUUGACGGAUCGUAUUACUGCCAGGGUUCAAUCUUGGGCACAACGCUUUCUGUCCUUUGCAGGGAGGUUGCAACUUAUAAGGUCAGUACUCUUUUCAAUUCAAGCAUAUUGGACUAGUGUCUUUAACCUUCCGUCCUCGGUUAUAGAUAAUAUUGAGCGCAUUUUGAGACAAUUUUUAUGGAAGGGCAUGACCCUUGGCUGGGGUGGGGCCAAAGUCUCCUGGGACGAUGUCUGUCUCCCAAAGGUUGAGGGCGGUCUAGGCAUUCGGAAACUUAAAGAUUGCAACAGAGCCUCCAUGCUUAAAUUUAUUUGGAUUCUUUUCACUGAUAAAGAAUCGUUGUGGUGUCGGUGGGUACACUCUAACUUCUUAAAGAAAAGAAACUUUUGGAUUUCUUCCCAGCCUUGUUGUUGUUUUUGGGCAUGGAAAAAAAUCCUUCAACUGAGGAAUUACUUUCGCUUAUCCUUUGUGUGGAAGAUUGGAAAUGGCCUAUCAGUGUCUCUUUGGCAUGAUCACUGGCUUUCUUGUGGCAUGCUUGAUGCCUUUAUCCCCUGUUCAUUCCGUGAAGGCUUAUGUCUUCCUGACAAUGCUGUUGUUGCGGAUCUGUUUACCUCUAUGGGUUGUUUAUUUAAAUCCUUUUUGGAAAGAUGGGGGAUCUCUCUCCCGGUCCUCUCUUCGGCUCGUGAUAGGUUUACCUGGUGUUGUGAUGCUUCUGGAUCCUUCUCUGUAACUUCAGCUUGGAAUUCCAUUAGAGUCAAGAAGGAUCGUGUUGAUUGGGCGUCUUUUGUUUGGGACAAUGCUGUGGCAUUUAGGUGGCGCCACGAAAUAUUUUUGACAUUUAAAACCCUAAAGUAUAUAAUUUAGUGAAAUUUCAAGAAUAUUACAGCCAAGAUCUGAGAGCUCCCCACCACCCCCAGAUUCUGUCGAACAUUUAUUCUUCGGGUGUCGCACCUCCGCUUCUCUGGCCUACUUUUGGGCCACCAGGUGUAACCUCCCAUGGCGGAAUAGAUGUUGGAAAGAUAUCCUCAGUUGGGCCUUAAAGUUCUUAUCCGGUAAGGACUUCUUCCAUUGCAUUGCGCGGUUCUCGUUUGGAGCUAUGUGUCACCUUAUUUGGAAAAAGAGGAAUGCGAUUAUAUUUCGGGGUGAAUCCUUAGUGGUCUCGGCUCUAAAAAACCACCUUAUUAAGGUAAUGAUGGAUAAAGCUAUAACAUUUAAAGAUGUUCCUCCUACCCCGAGGAAUACGAGGCUUCAGCGUGGCUGGGGGUUUGACCCUGCGGUGUUUCUCUCGGCUGUCUAGUGCUCCUUUAUUGUUGCUUUGCGCAAGUUGCUCCUAUCUUUCUUGGCUCUCCGUUCUUAGCCGCUUCCUUGGGGGGCUGAGGGUUGGAAUGCCUUGUUGUUAUCUCUUUCCCGCUUGUUUGUUUUGUUGCUGUGCCUUGUGGCUUUCUUGUUUGCCUAUGUGGCUUCUUACAUUGGCUCCCCUACACUUUGUCUCCUUUGGAGGAUUGAGUGUAGGUUUUUGGUGCUGAUCUUUUGUAUUUUGCCUUAGCUUUAUUUAUAUAUUUAUUACCUUUACCAAAAAAAAAAAAAAACAAAAGAAAAGCUUCUUCAUCUAAUUUGAAAUCUAUUAGGAAAAUCUUUCUCAACAAAUUCGAUUUAACAAAUUGUUAUUUGAAUUCAAACUCGAGACAAUAAUUUAACACUGCAGCAUCAAGUAAAAUGUUUCAUUUUAACAAGAAUUAGGAUGUUUUGCAUAUAGCUACCUUUUGAACUUCAAGGUAUGGUGUCCUGCGAUUGUAAAAUGAUGACCCAAAUCAAUAGAACAACUAUUGCAUGUUGUAUGUGAACAAAAAGUGAAAAUCCACUUGCUUAAGCAGCUGAAUUGAUAUAGUAGUCAUGUCCAAGAUCUCUGUGCUUCUUUCUUGCCUUCAACUUCCUGGAAAAAAAUAAAAUAAAAGAAAUUCGGAAACAUUGACCCCUUAUCUGUUAUUUUCUAGAUAAGAAAAACUAAGCUGUCAUUGACAUUUUUCCUGUCCUGAAUCUUGAGUUGUAGUUCUACAUGCAAAACUUCGCAACGAAGGUUGUCAACUUGAUGAAAUCAGAGGGUCUAUAUGCUUCCCAAGGAGGCCCCAUUAUACUGUCCCAGGUAGAAAAAAACCCGAAAGGCGGUUUUGCUUAUAUUAUUGAAAAACUUGCAAGAAUCCAAUACAUUAGACUCAAAGCACCUUGUUUUGCAGUUAGAAAAUGAGUAUCAGAACAUCGAAGCGGCUUUUGGGGACCAAGGACCCUGUAUGUCCGUCCAAUGGACAGCAAAUAUGGCCGUUGCACUUGAGACAGGAGUGCCCUGGGUGAUGUGUAAGCAGAAUGAUGCCCCGGAUCCAGUGGUAAGUGAACCUUAUUAGGUUUAAACCGAGAAUUGUGCACUUUCAGUGAACGACCAUCAAUCAUCAACCAUCGCUUGACCGGCAGAUAAAUGCUUUCAAUGGCGUAAGAUGCGGAGAAACUUUUCCAGGGCCAAACUCACCAAACAAGCCAGCAAUCUGGACAGAGGACUGGACGUCCUUGUACGUCUUCCCCUCGGCAAUCUACAUUAUUUUCAGAAGAUUAUUGAGGAGAUUUAGCAAAGAGAAACAACAGAAUGACAAAAAGUCCCAGAAAUAUUAAUGAAGAGAAAAGUUGAUUUUAUAGUCUCGACCAGCUUUUAUAUAUAUUUGUGAAGCUAUCAAGUCUACGGUGACAAACCAUACUUAAGGUCAGCUGAAGACAUUGCAUUCCAUGCCACCCUCUUCAUUGCAAAACUGAAUGGAAGUUAUAUCAAUUACUAUAUGGUACACCUAUUAUACUAAUGUACUCUUAUCAUCUGAUUUGUUUUGACACUGCAUGUCUCUGUGUGUGUCUGUGUGCAUGUGUGUGCAGUCAAGUUCCUAAAGCAUGUAUGUAUGGCGCUGUGCUAAACUAAAGAUGACAUGUGUACUGCUUUUCUGAUGCAGUACCAUGGUGGAACGAAUUUUGGCAGAACAGCCGCUGCAUAUUUCAUAACAGGUUAUUAUGAUCAAACUCCGCUCGACAUAUACGGUGAGCAGCAGAUGAUCUGAUUUGAUGUAGUUCAUGGAUAGGCAAACCAUUUUAAAGAAUUUACUGAUCCAGGUCUCCUCAGGCAGCCAAAAUGGGGUCAUCUUAAAGAGUUGCAUGGGGAAAUCAAGAAAUCCUCUAGUACUUUGCUGGAGGGAGUCAAAUCUAAUUUUUCUUUAUGCCAGUACCAAGAGGUGAUCACCAUUCUUCAUCAACAUUCAAUUUAUUAAGAGCAACUAGAUGCACAAUUAUGGUUAUGGACUUAUGGUCUGUUUUUCUCUUGAUGUAGGCUUAUGUUUUCCAGGAAGAAACGGGAGGAUGUGUUGCUUUCCUUGUAAACAAUGAUGCAAAAAGUAGUGCUACUGUACAGUUUGGCAACAAAUCAUUUGAAUUGCUGCCGAAGUCCAUCAGUAUUCUUCAAGAUUGUGAAAACGUGAUUUUCAACACAGCAAAGGUAAGUCAGACAAAAAUUUAGAUCGUCGUAAUGUAUACUCAAAAGUCACAACCACUCACAUUGGUAUUUAGGGUAAGACAUGCAAAGUCAAAUUAAGCUUCGAACAUUUGUUAUCACUAAGGAUGCAGUAUUUAUAUGCCAUCUUUACAGAAAUCAAGCUACUACGGAAUCUACGGAGUGUGCUAAUAUAUCACAUCAACCUUUCAUUCUUUAUUUCUUUGUGAUUGAACUCUCUGAUAUUCCUUUGUUUCCUUUGUCUAGAAUUCUUAAGAUGGAAGGGCAAUUGCUAUUGUAAAUUAUUGUUCCAUUGAUUGUCAUAGGUAUACUGUUAAAGCAUGAGAAGAACAAGAAGGUUAAUCCUUGAAAAUACACCAGUUUUGACCAACAGAAAAGUCACUGUAGAACAAACAUGAUCCCCAGUAUAUUGAUUUGCUUAACAAACAUGAUCCACAGUAAAUCGUUCCAUGUUUGAUGUAUAAGUAGCAGCAGUGAGCAUGUAAUGCCAUCCUUCAGGAAGACAGUCAUUUUUCUCUCACCUUUUAUUCACAGGUAACAAGUGAGAGCAGUACAAGAGUCACAACAUCCAGCUAGACAUUUGAAGGUGCAAAUAAGUGGGAAGAAUUUCUUGAUGUGAUUCCCAGCGGUAAAAGAAUGCUUCAAGUGCCAUAACUUAGCACAAAGGGACACUUAAGUGCCAUAACUUAUGAAAGUGACACUUAAGUGUCAUAUUUGAAGAGAAAUUGAUCACUUAAGUACCACUCUGGCCAAAAUGUUGACGUACGCAAUUUCCGGUGAAGUAAAUGCAAAAUGACGCCAUUUUGCACGCUGACAUUGCCAAAUAAUGCAAAAACGACGUCGUUUUAGUGUUGACGUGAUAAUAAAUUAAUAUAAAAAUUAAUUUAAUUUAAAUUAAAUCUAAAUUUAUUUAAAAUAUUUAAAAAUACAAAUACAAAUAUUAAAAAAAUUAAAAAAAAUUAAAAAAAUUAAAAAAAGGGGGAGGCUACUGCCACCGCCUCCCCACCACCACCAGGAAGAGUCGGCGACGGAGGCGGGGAGGGUCGGCCAGGGUCGCCGGGCCCUAGCCAAGGGUUGGCGACCUCGGCCGAUCGGCGGUGAGGGCCUGCGAGCCCUCGCCGGAUCUGGGCCGUGACCGGCAACCUUGGCUGACCCUCCCCCCUUCGUCGCCGGUCAUUCUCGGUGGCGGCGGUGGGGAGGUGGCGAUAGCGGCUAAAGGCUGACCCCUCAGCUGCCUCGCCCCCUUCCUUUUUUCUUUUUUUUUUUAAAUUUUUUAAUAUAAUUUUUUUAUUUUUAAAUGUUUUAAAUAAAUUUAAUUUAAUUAAUUUUUAUAUUAUUUUUUAUCACGUUAGCACCAAAACGAUGUCGUUUUGCACUUGCUUUACCGGAAAAUCGUCACGUAAGCAUUUUGGUCGGAUUUUGAUCGGAAUGGUACUUAAGUGAUCCAUUUUGCUUCGAUUUUGGCACUUAAAUAUCACUUUCGUAAGUUAUGACACUUAAGUGUCCCUUUGUGCCAAGUUAUGACACUCCGGGGGUCCGCGUGUCGAUUCCCAGCUACUUAGAUACAUCAUUAGGAGCAGAUACAUAGCUAGAACACAUGGAUACAACAAAAGAUGAAUCCGACUACCUUUGGUAUGCAUUCAGGUAGAAUCAUCUCGCUCAAAAAGUGAUUGCAACAUAUAUCUUGUAGAUAAUAUGCUUUAGCUCAUCCAUUUUUGAUACUUCUUAAAAUGUCAGUUUUCAACUAGGCUCAACUUGUAUUGAACCAGUGCUUUGCCUCGAGUCUCUUGGACAUGUUACACAUGCUUUUGUCAACAAUGAGUACAUGAGUAAGUUCCAAGAACCUCUUAAUGAGUUGCUAGUGUGACAGCUUGAAUUUUCAGAUUUCGUUUUCGAUUAAAUAAAUCGAGCCUUUUAUCGACGUGCCUAUAGCGUUAUUCUCUGAGCUGAUCACUCAUGACAUAAUUAGACUAUUUGGGGAAGCCAUUAAGGAAUUUUAACUCAAUGGACUUGAGAAUUCGACCAGGAAUUGACUGCUCGACCGUGCUAGUCUGCAAGGGUCAUUACGGCAUAGUCGAAAAUCUGUCAGAAACCGAAGAUAGGUCGAUUCGAUUGAGAUAGGUGAUUAGAGUGUGGGUGAUUCUACCAGAUUGUAAAAUUCUCGUCGAUCGGCAGUAAACUGAUUUUUCUGUCGUUUUGGUACCCUGUGCCCGUAAUUGAAAUCUUGAGAUUUUCACGACAACCGAGAGCCGCCAAUGGGUCGAAGAUGUACGUUGUGACUCGAGAUAAAUCGAUCACGGAUCAAUUGUACAAAAAAUUCCUGAAAUCUACUUGGUAGGUUAGGUCACGUUAAAAUAGAGUCAGAUUGAAAUUAACCGCGAAUUUGAACCCGAUUUCAGAAAUUGAAAAUUCUGUCAUGUCACAAUUUAUUUUAGAAACGUCGACUCAUCAUUCGAAGAAUUUUUGGAGAAUUCGAGAUUUUUAUAGAAAAUCGAUAUGGACGAUUCGGAAAACGAAAGGAAAUUCGGAUUGGCCGAAUUGAGGGGAGUUUUGACUUUCAAGCCGACCUAUUUGAUGUUAGGGACUUGCAGAAAUGGUAUGGGCAUUUUCUUUGAUGAAAUUGGGCAUCCAAUUUAGGAAUUUGAUAAAGAAAUUAAAGCCUAAGAUUUGUGAAAUUCGUAUGCUAUUAUGGGGGCUGCAUUUUUGGCUUUAAUUUGGAUUAUUGGUGGAUUUAUUGUGCAAGAAAUAAUUGGGGGACAUUAGAGAUAUGUGUGUGGGCUUUAAGGGAACCAAACAUUCAAUUAGUUGGCGAAGGUUAUUGACUUUCUCUCUCUCCCCCAAAGCUUCCAUUGCACGCUCCCUCCUCCGUCUCCUUCAACGCUUGAGACCAAUCUCUCCCUUUCGGUUCUGUUUUCUUUCAUUCAUUUCUUCGAAGAAAUCUAGCUGCUGCUCCAACGCGCUCCAUUUCUUCCUUGGUCGGCCACGAACGCACGCCUCAUCUCUCUCUCCACGAUUUCCCCUCUGCCGUGAGUCUUCCCCACGACCGAAGCCCAAGCUGCCGCGCGUCCUUCACCUCGCCAGCACACUCCUUUGGUCAACACCCCCCACCGAAGUCCCUCCUUGUUGACCCAUCUUCAGGCCUGCGAAUUCAACUGAAGGAUCCAGCAAGCCCACGUUGUUUCUCUCUCUCCGCCGCUGCCAGCGAUCGCGUCUCAAUCUCCGCGAACUCAGCCCAACGUUCGGUCCAGCUCGUGUCUUCAGCUCACCCAAAAACCAGCAAGCUUCGUGGCCGUUUUUGGCCCAGCCUGGCCUCUGUUUGGUGUCACCGUUUCGAAGUUUAUCGGCUGCCAUCGCGCCGCCGUCACUGUGGACUCACCGGCUUGCAAUCCGGUGAGUUUACCAACUAAACUCUGUUUAGGGAGUUAAUUAUGCUUAGAGGGUGUUUAUAUUAUGUCAAGUAUGUUUAGGUGGUUAGAUUAGUUUAAUUAAAUGUUGAUUAGAUUAUGUGCAUGAUUAGAUUAGUGGAUGGAUUAAUUAGUCUAAUGAUGUAAUUAGAUUAGUGUAAUCCUAAUUAUGUAAUUAGACUAGUGUAAUCCUAAUUAGACUUUUAAUUAAUUAAUUAUUUAAAUUAAAUAUUAUUUAAUUAUAUUAUUUUAUAUUUAAAUUAAAUUAAUUUUCGGACUUUAUUUAAUUAUUAAUUAAUUAAUAUUUUAUGGAAAUUAUAUUGGGAGAGCCGCUCGGUAGAAUUUCGAGCUGAUCGCAGUGAUGUGUUUAGUUUCUGUAAUUGAAUGAUGUAUUGUUGAAUUGAGUGAUGAUUGUGAUAUAUAGGUAUUUUAAUUAGAAAUACCGGAUGUCGGGUGUUGACAUCGAAAGUGAUCUUUAAGUACCAAAUUAGCUUAGGUGAGCAUUGAUCAGCUUAGGUGAGCAAUAUAGAUCUAUAACAGCUUCAUGGGGAUACUAGGUAAGCUCUUAUAUAAGCAAGUAUACAACAGCAGAGGAAAGGGGACAGUAAUGUAUCUUUCUUACAAUGUAAAAGGUAACAACUGAUAGCUAAUAAUGUUAUUAUCGCUUAUGUAAGGUGGGACUACUUGGUCAGGAGUUAGAAAUAUACAAUGAACAAAACCUGGGCAAUGUUGAGUGGAGCAAUGUAACAACAGUGAACCAGCCACUUACUUGGUACAAGGUACAUUACGUGAUCCCUUCUUACAUGAAGGUCAAAGUAAUGCCAAUAAAUGGGAUGAUAUCUUGCAGGUCUAUUGAUGCCUGUGUCAAGCAAGAGGUAGUAAUAUAUUUGAAUCAUCAAUAAGAGAGGUCAAGUAAUGUUAUCACAAAAUAAUGGGGCAGGGAUUAACUUGCUCUGUCAUUUUCUCCUGCAACUUGAUUAAUUUUCCUUCACUAAAAAAGAAAAUGACGUACCAUCAUUGAUGGUGGAGAAAACUAACUCAAACUUUGGUUAUUAAUCCUGUAAGUUUUUGUAAUAAAAAUCUGCGGUUGGCAUGAAAACUGAGGUCUAAUCAAUAAACAAGUGACGAAACAAUGCUUAGAACAUACGAUGUUGUUUGUUCAUCAUUAUAAGCUAAAAUCAUUCUGCUUUGGAGACUUAUUUUGAUGCACCAGAGGGCAGUGAACCGCUUACAUUUAAUCUUACAACCAUGUCUUAAGGAGAAGCUUGGGUGAAUGGACCAAGUUGGUCGAUACUGGAGGUACGGACCCCUGGAGUGCCAAAAUUUGGUAUGGAGGCACACUUAAGUAUCAAAACUUUGAAAAUGUACACUUAAGUGCUAAAAUCGGAGUAAAAUGGAUCACUUAAGUACCACUCCGGCCAAAUUGCUGACGUGGCAAAUUUUUGGCGAGGUGAGUGCAAAACGGCGUCGUUUUGCACGCUGACGUGCUGAGAAAAUGUAAAAAUGAUGUUGUUUUGUCUCUAAUGUGUAAAUAAUUAAUAUAAAAAUUAAUUAAAUUAAAAUUAAAAUUAAAAUUAUUUAAAAUAUUCUAAAAAAUAAAAAACUUUAAAAAAGGGGGGGGUCGAAGGGAGGCAGUUGAGGGCUGAGCCCUCACCGCCGAGAAGGGCUGGCGACGGAGGGGGGAGGGUCAGCUAGGGUCGCCGGCCCUUGGCCGAGCGGUGGUGAGGGCUGCGAGCCCUCACCCCAGAUUUGAGCGAGGGCUCGUGGGCUCUCAUCGCCUCUCUACCGUUGCUAGGAAGGGUCGGCAAUGAUGGGGGGAGUAUUGGCUGGGGUCGCUGGGCCUUGGCUAGGGGCCGGCGACACCGGUCAAUCGGCGACGAGGGCCCGCGAGUCCUCGCCCAGAUAUAGGUCAAGGGUUGCGGCCCUUGCCAAGAAGGGGUGAGGGUUGCGGCCCUUGUGCAGAUCUAGCAAGGGCUCGCGAGCCCUUGCCGUCGGUCCGCCAUAGGUCGACAAGGGCUCACGGGCCCUCGUUGCCAGUUGGCCGGCGUUGCCGGCCCUUGGCCGAGGCCCGGUGACCCCGACUGAUGCUCCCCCCACUGUCGCCGGCUCUUCCCGGCGACGGCGGGGAGGCGGCGAGGGCCCGCGAACCCUUGCCCAGAUCCGGUGAGGGCUCACGACCCUCGCUGUCGAUUGGCUAAGGGCCGGCGACCUUGGCUGACCGUCCCCCCUCUGUCGCCGGCCCUUUCUAGUGGUAGUGGGGAGGCGGCAGCGGCGAGGGCUCAGCCCUUAGCCGCCUCCCUUCGGCUCCCCCCCUCGGUUUUUUUUUUAAUUUAAAUUUUUUUAUUGUUUUGAAUGUUUUAAAUAAAUUUAGUUUUAAAUUUAAUUUAAUUAGUUUUUAUAUUAAUUAUUUACACAUCAGUAACAAAAUAACGUCGUUUUUGCAUUUUCUCGCCACGUUAGCGUGCAAAACGAUGCCGUUUUGCACUCACCUCGUCGGAAAAUUACCACGUCAGCAAUUUGGCCGGAUUUAGGCCGGAGUGGCACUUAAGUGAUCAAUUUUACUCCCAUUUUGGCACUUAAGUGUACAUUUCCAAAGUUUUGGCACUUAAGUGUCCCUCCGUGUCAAGUUUUGGCACUUGGGUGUACUUCUGUCGUCGAUACUGGGUUUCAUUUCUUACAACUAAUGGAAAUCCAUUGCAAACUUUGUACAUUAGAGUAAUCCACUUAAUCAUGAAGUUACAUUACUUUCAAUUUCUGCAUUAUUCUCUUAUUGCCAGGAGAGGAUAGAAGGAGAUUAACUGAAAGGAUUUACCCACUGAAAGCAUAGAAGAAUAGUGAAACAGUAGGUUCAACAUUAGACACCUUGGAAACAAGAGACAUACCUUCAAAUUUGUCCAUGCUUGAGGCCCCUUGUUUACUAAUACACCACUCUCAGUCUAUUGCAUAGUCUGGACAUGUUUCUCGCCUUUAUCUUUAUACGUGCAUUGGGAGCACAAAGACAUAUUCAUGUUACACCAAUCCUGCCAUUUACUUUAUCUAUAAGAUCAAAAUCAAAUGUGAAGCGGGAAAAAAAGUUAGAGAGGGCAUUUGGUAUAGCUUCUCGCCAACAGCUAAAUCAGCGAAAAGAGAUGUUGCAGCUUUUCUGAACUUCACAAUUGCAGCAUCCUCACAACUGCAAAUGCUUACAAUUGCUUUUAGGAAGCCAAUUCAAAGUUUUUAGUAGCAAAAACACAAGUUAGAGCACUUCAUAUCACAACUAAAGCACAACGCAACACAACUAUCGUUCAGCCAAUAUUAGAUGGAAUGAACCCUAAAAGUCAAAGCUAGUCUAUUAACUACAUGGAUGAGUACAGAAGCAACAGGAAUUCCUGAAACAUUUAAUUGCCAAAACAAUACGAUAGUAUACAUGCAUAGAGAGGAUUAACAUCCCUUAUCCAAAGCCUGAUAAAAUCUAUACGCAACUUUCACAUCAUCUUUUUCAAGCGGAACACAAACACAAGAUAAUUUAGAGUCCAUCAGAGAUAAGUCAACGCAAAAGUUUUUGAUGAGCAAGUAGCUAGGCAUCACAAAGUUGCAUACUUCUCUCUUGUUUAUAUAGAUUUGAAUUAUAUGUCACUCUCAAGCAUUGAUUUCGUUUUAUUUUUUUUCCUCUUCUUUUAAGUAUCAUGUGCCUCGAUCCUUUCUACAAGUCUCUAGUAACCUACUAGUUCUGCUAGAAGAAGUUGGUGGCGACCCCCUUCAUGUAUCCUUAUGCACCUUAUCUGUCUCUACCUUAAACGACACCUCUUCACACUUCCGUCUUCCUUCAUGAGAUGAGAUCGAAUACAGAUGUGGGUAAAUAAUUCUUAGUAUAUUGAAAAGCUUUUCAUUAUUAUGAAAGGGUUCUUUCUGGAAAGAAAUGCAUCAGCAGCAAACUCAAUAUGAAGAGAUACAUCACAUAGGUUAUGAGGAGGAACAUUCAACUGUUGAAUUUGUUAGACAAUCAAAGAUAGUAACAGAAAGUAUGAGAGGUAAUUUGAGCACUACAGCAUUUAUAGAGACCUCAUUGUAUCGACCUUGAUUGUGCUUAUUCUUCCCAUUGAUGAUAAUUUCAUCGACUGAUUAGAAGUUGAUUUGCAUGAGCACCUGCGAGGUGCUUUCUGGACCAAUUUUGUGCAGCAUAAUGAUUUUUACAAUUUCAGUCAUUUUUGUGCAUCAUGAGCAACCUUUCGUGUGGAGAAUGGCCAAGUUUGGACAAAUAGGUGAUUAACUCGUUUUAAAGUUGGAACUCUGUAUGGCAUAAUUCAGCUUCCCUGCAUAAUUAUACCAUUCAACAAACAUUUAAAAACAUCUCAAGAUACUGGAAACAAAUUAGACAUAGUUCAGCAUAAAAGAUAACCUUCACUGAGUUUACUUACCUGAAUGCAUCUUCUCCAUGGGUAUCCACCAGUCCAUGAUGGUUUAUUCCUGGCCUAAAAAAAGGUUUUGAAAUGUGAACUUGAACUCACCAUGCCAUUGCCAGCAGACCCCAAACGUCAGUCUAGAUAGCACAACCAAACUAGGACUUGUGACAUGGACUUGAAAAGGCUGUCCAAUGAAUGCCAAUUCAAUUUUUCAGGAUGACCGUCCAGUCCAAAAGGAUAUAACUUUUCUCUAAUUCUUGGGAGUGUUUUGAAAACCCUUGUGUUAAAUUAUGUCUCGAGUUUGAGCGUUUGCAAAACGUGAUUCGCUUGGAUAAAUUUUUUAUUAUUUGAUCGUGAAGAUAAUAUUCAAGAUUAGGCACAAGAAAAGAAGGUCUUGGAUGUUUUCGGUUAACACAAGGAAGUUUAUGGGAUUGCAUCAAGGAUUACAAAAGAGGAAAUAAAGAUAGAAUAAAAAAAAGCUUGUAAAAGCCGAAAGUUGUUAUGCUCGUGGGGCCCAACACACACAAAAUAAAAAAGGCUAGGAAAGAAAGAAAGUGGUUUUUUUCUCUGCAGCGUCUCACUUCCACGUUGAAGUAAAUUAAAGGUGAUGGGCCCAGGUCAAAAGUUGACUUGUUGGGCACACAUAUUAAACCCUAACGUGGGUUCUUUAUUGGGUGCGCCGCGGGAAGCCCGUACACAGAGAAAAGAAGAACAACGGAGUACAAAGAAGAACAAGGAGACGUUCUAUUUGGAGUACAUAGAAUGUUUUGCUUGAACUUGAACGUAAGGUGAUUUUUUUUUUGUGCCGUGAGUUUAUGUCCAAGUGAGUUGUUUAUUUAUAAACACUUUGGAUUUGGGGUUAAAUCUAAAUGUAAGAAGCACUCGAGUAUGUGAGCGAUUAUAAAAUUUAAUUCUCCGAUUAUAGUGGAUUAUUUGCUACUAGCUCUCCCUGUGAAUGUAGGUACCGAUACUUAGACCGAACCACAAAUUUUUUUAUUAUUUCUCAUUUAUUUUUUUUGGCGAUUUCAUGUUGAUGUAAAUUGCAAGAUCUUGUUGUUUCUGCGUAUUAUAUUCUAAUAAUUAGUAUCAGAGCUUGGGAUCGGAUUUCUUGAUUGUGAUUUAGAGCUUUUGCUUGUCUGAUUAUUAUCUGAAAAUUCUGUUAUUGCAAUUAUGUCUAAGAGAAAAUCUGAAAUUGAGAAGUUUAACGGGAGCAACAACUUUGUGUUAUGGAGCAUUAAGAUGUGGGCAUUAUUGACAACCCAAGGUUUGGCCAGGGUAUUGGAUGGUGAAGAUGAGUUGCCAAUUAUAAUGAAAGCAUUUGAGAGGGUAGAGCUAAUGAAAAGAGCAAAGAUCACAAUCCUGUUAAAAUUUUCGGAUGAGAGUUUAAUAGAGGUUGCUAAGGAGAAGGAUGCCACAGUAUUAUGGGCAAAACUUCAAGCAUUCUAUGUGAAGAAAGGUUUGAACGAUCGCUUGUACAUGUUGAAGAAGAUGUUUCAAUUUAGAUAUACUGAAGGUAUGUCUAUCAAAACCCACUUAGAUGAAUUUAAUAAAUCAUGAUUGAUCUGAAGAACGUUGGUAAGAUACUUGAUGAUGAAGAACAGGGCAUGAUGUUGUUAGCCUCUUUACCAGAGUCAUAGGAGCACUUUACUGAUUCACUGUUAUAGGGGCAUAUUACAAUUACCUCAGAAGAGGUAAAGUCCGUCUUAUUCUCUAAAGAGUGGUAGAGAAAGUUGCGAAAUGACAGUCUGGCGCAAGGAGUAGCGCAAGCACUGACAAUUCGGGGGUAGAGAACAACAUCGAGGGCCUAGUAGCAGCAGAAGUAAAAGUAGAUUUAAAUCAUGCCAUAGAAAGUCCAAGGGACGCGUGAAGUACUUUGAGUGUCACGAGGAAGGGCACAUCGGGAGAGAUUAUCCAAAGCGGAGGAAUAAAGUUGAUAGGCAGAAUGCUACAAGCAGUGUAGCAAACGUUGCUGAAGGGAGCAACGGUGAUGUAGAAACUUUUUUAUGUGUGAUUACUAUUUCAUCAUAAGACGAAUGGAUGCUAGAUUUGGGGUGUUCUUAUCAUAUGACGUCUCAUAAAAACUGGUUUACUACUACCAUACUGGAGAUGGUGGUAGGAUUCUUUUGGAGAAUAACGCAGUUUGUAAGGCUGUGGGGAUAGGGACAAUUUGGAUUUGGAUGCACAAUGGGGUGGUGUGCACAUUGAUAGAUGUGAGGCAUGUACCAGAGCUCAAGAAGAACCUUAUUUCUCUGGAGACACUCGAUGACAUCGGGUGUAGGUACACUAUUGAAGGUAGAGUACUGAAGAUCUCUCGAGGUGCCAUGAUAGUGAUGAAGGAGAAGAAAGUGAAUACUCUUAAUCAUCUACUGGCAGAGACCGUGACUAGGACUGUUGCAGUUUUAUUAGGUUAGUCAGAUUUUGACAUGACUUAAUUAUGGCAUAUGCGUUUGGGGCACAUGAACAAGGUAGGUAUGACGAUGCUGAGUGAAAGGGGGUUGUUGAAGGGUCAAAAGACAGGGAAGCUGGACUUAUGUGAGUACUGCAUCUUUAGGAAGCAACACCGAGUUAAGUUUACUAUAGUUGUUCAUUCCACAAAACGACCAAUUGAAUAUAUUCAUUCAAACGUUUGGGGCUCGUCUUCAGUUCCUUCAAAAGGAGGUGUCACGCCUCGAUCCUUCGAGCGCGUGCCCAUCCCUCAAUGGUUGAUUAAAUUGUGACGUUCCAAGACGUGUCGCCGACCCAUUCAUUUUAAUGCGCAUGCGGAAGCGGAUAAUUAAAUCCCUAAACAACACGAAAAUGGGAUAGAAAAGUAGGGCCACAAUUUUCGAAAACCACAUCACACCUUUAUAUAUAUUAGACUAAGUCAUAUACAAUACUAGCCGAUAUAUACAAGUCUAAAAAAAAGGGUAGAGGGGCUACAUAUCCUUUAAGCAUUCGAUCCCUCAAUAGAAGAUUCCGGGGUCUUUGGAUUCGAGAGACUCGGGUCUACCACUGCACCACCGGGAGGGUCUGCUGUACCUUUUCCAAAAGCAACCUCCAGCAUCGACAUAGGGACCUCAGAUUCCUGUAGGGGACCUUCUCAGGGUCCAUUUUGCUCGCGACGAUACCAUGAUCUGUAUUGAUGGGGUAUCAUCCGAGAUAGACCUACAUCAACUCAGACAAUGGAUCUCACGAGUUCAUAGACCCAUCCUCUUGGGUCCCCAUGAAGCGGAAUGUAAGAUACCUGCUCAGUGACCUUCUUCAGCUAACCAAAAUGCUAAGGAGAAACCUCAAUCUAAGGACCUGAAAAUGUUGGCCCACGACAGGGUGAGACAAUGUCUCAGCAAGUCCACCCCCUAAACUCCGACUAGGAAAGAAAUACGCCUAAAAGCCACCUAGCCACACAUAAGACAGAGAACUUACCUUUGCCUCAAUUCAUUCCUACAGGUUAGUACAAUUCAUAUACUCAACCAAUCACUUCAAUUCAGAUCAAAACAUUGAUAAAUCGAUUCAUUCGAUUCCAUACCAUCAAUACCAUCCAUAAAAUUUGAUCGAUUCAAGCAUUGCUCACCCUAAGCUGAUAAUAGAUGGUAUAGCUCACCAAAGCUGAUAAUAGAUAUAUAAUAAUGCUCACCAAAGCUACUAUAUAUCUAUAUUGCUCAUCGAAGCUGUGUGAUACUUAUAAUUGCUCAUCGAAGCUGCUAAAGUAUACUACUCACCGAAGUUGAUAUAUCAAGGCCCGCAUGUUGAUACAGUAUACUAUUCUCAUCUACUGACAAUUUACCUUUUUUAUCAUACCUGAUAAUAAUAAUUGUGUGUGGGUACACGGUCGAUCUUAACCGAAAUACAAUAUUUUCCCUUUUAGAAAAUCUCACUAAUUAUAAUAGUCCAUAAACACAUUUAUGGUGUUGUAAACCGACACCCAGUAUUUUCUAAUUAAAUACUGAAAUAACUCAAUUUUGGGAUAAAUACCCAACAUUAUAAAUCUCACUCAAUUUGCACAAAAUAACAUUCAAUCACAUAAACCAAUCAUACCAUUGCAAUCAACACAAAAUUUUGGUCACCGAUUAUCUCGGUAUAAUUUCCGGAAAAUAAUAAAUAACUAAAUAAAUACUAAAAUUAAUUAAAUAAAUACAAUUAAAUACCAUAAAUGUAAACUUAGGUUGGAAAAGCCUAAUUAAACACCAAAAUGGGCUCGGAAAAUUUCUGAAUCUAUCUAGAUAAAUAAUACAAUAUAUCUAGUUGCUAAUUAAGCCGAUCUAACUACCUAACAUGCAAUAACGAGUAAUUAAAUCGCUAAUCUGUUCUAACUAACCACCUAAACCAUAAUUAGUUUAAAUUAAUCAACCCUUAAGCAUCAUGAACUCCCCACGCAAAGUUUAGUGAGUAAAUUCACCGGUUUUGAAAUCCAAAGAGUCCACGGCGAAGGCGACGUGGAGAUGGGCAAUAAACUCCGAAGCGGUGGCACCUAAUGAGGCCCGCAAGCGGUCCAAAGUGGGCCAAAUAGUACAUGGCUGGGUUGAGGGGGUUCGGUUUUGUUCCUUGGCCAAGAGGGCCAAACGAAGGUCGGUUAGGGCAAAAACGGUGAGAGGUGAGCAGACGGGUUGCAGCGGGUGACGAUGGCGCUCGACAGUGACUCCGCUGACCACGGCGGUGAAGUACGGUGGCCUGGUGAGUUCCUGGAUGGCUAGACGGUGCUAGACGAUAGUGCUGGGAGGCAAGAUGGGCGGAGUGACACGCGAGGACGGGCAGAUGCGAGCAGUGGCAUACGGUGGCUUCAACGAUCUCGACGGGCUGCUCGACGGCAAGGGGGAGGAGGUUGUGGCUUUCUUUGGUUCUUUGGAGCUUCAAAUGGCUUGUAAAUGGAGAAAGCAAGGCUGUUGGAGAAGAAGAAGACAGCUGCACUUAGGGAGGGUCCCUCUUGGCUUCUUCCUAUCCCUUUGUUCCCUUGACCAAGCCCUACCUCAAUUGGCGGACCUCUUCAGCCAAUUUUGUGCACAUAAUUCCCCCUAAAACAAGUUUCAAGUGGUCUAAAAGGUGGUGUACCACUUAAUUUCCCCCAAUGAACCAAUUUCUCUCCAAUUGGACUUAAACCGGUCCCUAUAAAUUCCACCAAGGUGUCCACAAUCAAAUUAACAUUUUUCCUCGCCAAUAAAACCAACUUGCAUCCCAAAAAUGCGAUAAAGAACGGUCCCCUGAAUUUUCCGGUCGAAAACGGCCCUAUUUUGAAUUUUCGCCAAAAAUCUUGAUUUGCAAAAAAAUCUUCGAAGGAUGAGUUGAUGCUCCUAAAAUAAAUUGUGACAUGAAAUUUUUUUUAAUUUAUGAAGUCGGGUUCAAUUUUGCGGUUAAUUUUAAUCUGGCGUGAUUUUAGCGCGUCCUAAUCUACUGGAUAGCUUUUAGAAACUUUUAAUGCUUUUGACCCGUGGUCGAUUAUUUUUGAGCCACAUUGUACAUCUUCAACACAUUGGCGACUCUAGAUUGUUGUGAAAAUCUCGAGAUUUCAAAUACGAACACACGGUACCAAAACGACAGAAAAAUUGCUCUAGUGCGAUCAACAAGAAUUUUGCAAUUAGAUGGAAUCACCCACACUUAAUCACAUGGCUCUAUCGAAUCGACCGAUCUAUGGUCUCUAAUCGAUUUUUAACCAUGGCAUAAUGACCCUUGCAGAUUAGCAUGGUCGAGCAAUCGAUUCCUAGUUGAAUUCUCAAGUCUGUUGCGUUUAGAUUCCUUAACGGCUUUACCUAAUAGACUAGUUAUAUCGUGAGUGAUCAGUUCGGAGAAAAAAACUAUAGGCGCGUCGAUGAAAAACCCGACUCAUUCAAUCGAAAGCAAAACCUGAAAUUCAGGAUGUCAUAGGAGGUGCCUGAUAUGUGCUAACAUUUAUCAACGAUUAUUCGAGGAAGGUAUAGGUAUACUUUCUGAAGCACAAUAUGAUGUGUUUGAUCGGUUCAAGAAAUUUAAGGCAUUGAUUGAGAAGUAGUCAGAUAAACAAAUUAAGUGCCUGAGAACCGAUAAUGGCAUGGAGUUCUACGGUAAAGAUUUUAUUGAGUUCUAUGAGAAAGAAUAUAUUGUGAGACACCCCACAGUACCUGGGACAUCACAGCAGAAUGGCGUGGCUGAACAGAAGAAUAGAACUUUGCUUGAGCGAGCUCGAUGCAUGCUUUCACAUGUAGGACUUGGCAAGAAAUUAUGGGCCGAAGCAGUGAACAGGACAUGUUACCUGGUUAAUCGAUUUCCAUUAUUUGCUAUCGAGUGGAAGACUCUUGAGGAAGUAUGUUCGCGAAAACCUGUUGAUUAUUCCGAAUUACGUAUAUUCAGAUGUCCUGCUAUUGACACCUAAUUUUUGUUUUCAAGUACAUAAAAAAUUAGAGAAAAAGAGAAAAAGAAAAAAAAAGAAAAAUAACAAAACAACAAAAAAAGAAAAGAAAAAGAAAAGAAAAAGAAAAAAUGCCUCUUUUUCCCUUGCGCGGCCUAGGCUUGUUUCCCUUUGGGCUUGGCCCACGCUAGCCUUCUCCCUCCUCCAUCUUCGCGCAGGAAACCCUAGGGAGAAGGGACAGAAGAGAAAUGACAAGAAAAGGGCAUCAGACAAAAGGAGAACGAGGGAGAGAGAGGGAGGGAGAGAGGGAGGGGAGCUCGAGAGAGAGGAGGCCUCGCCACCUCAACCUAACACUGCCACCAUCGCCAUCGCUGCAUCUCCUAGCUGCCGACCCUCGCUAUUGCCUCCAACACCUCUGGAAACCAGUCGCGAAGUAGGGGCCGCAACCGCCGGCCUCGACUGACGUCCUUGCCACAUCCGCUGGCAACCCCUCAACCUCAGAGGUCGGGGGUUGCCCUUGCUUGCCUAGUUGAGGUAGCGCCUUCGCGGUCCUAGCCGGAGGAGUCGCUUGUGCCGUCACCGCCACAUUUCUCCAGCCACCGCCAUCGCCAUCGCCACCGUUGCCGACGAGCCACCCAAUUGACACCGUUUGCCGCCAUCUUCCCUGGAACCCAAAUCUGAAGUAAGGGGGAAAACAGAGAGCGGGGAGGAGCAAAGGAGGAGAAGAGGGGCCUUCGGCACCGCCAUCGACCGCCACCGUGCUGCUUCCCCUUCCCCUCCCCCCCCCCCCCCGGGGCGUCGCUUGCUGCGACCAUUCCGCCACCAGACACUAUCCCUCGGUUGAACCCCUUCCUGCUCGACACCAUUCAAGCCUCCUCAUGCCACUGCCGCUCCACCCAGAACCCAAGCCGCCAUCCGCUACGUUGCUGUCGUUGACGUCUUAGCCAACCCCUCCAGCACCGCGGGUCACCGAGCUCGAGGUUUCCAAAAUCCGGGUCGCGUGAGUCGGGUCGGGUAAAAUUCUCAGGUAGGGUUUUCGUUCGUUUGAGCUUGUCGCGAUGGGCCAUCUGACUUUUGGGCUUGUGGGCUUGGGCUGGUGUAGUGUGGGCUUGUGGGGCUAGUUUGUUUUAAAAAAAAAGAGAAGAGAGGGACCUCUUGGGCUGGGCCCAAGCUUUGAGCCCACCCGGGCCUGUUGGGCCGAACCCGGGUCUGAUCGACCCGCGCCAACUGGGCCGAACCCAAGUCCGGUCAGACCGGACCCGACCUGAUUCGGCCUAAAAAAAUUGAAUUUAGAAAAUAUAUAUAUUUAAAAAAAAUAAAAAAAUAAAAAGUAAAAAAUAAAAAAAAUCCGAAAAUUUGAAAAUGAUGGGGUUUGGUUGGGAAUUCUCAUGUUUUUCCUUUUGAGUGUAAUUAGGCAUUUAUUUGCUUGUAUAUUAAUUAUAUUACAUGUUUAAUUUGCAUAUUUAAUUAUGUUUAAUUGCACAUGUUUAAUUUUGCCGCAAUUAGGAUUUUGGUAGUUAUGAUUGUUACUUUAAUUAUUGCACACCCGUCUGAUUACCUCACAUGUUAGUGGAUAUGUAUAAAAUUAAUCCAAAUUGCCUGCCAAAAAAUCAUUUUGUUAAAAUGAACAAGAUUAGGUAUUGAAAGGGCAAUAAUUGAUCAAUUAGUGUAAUCAAGUCCCUGACCCUAGAUUCUCUGGUUGUGUAGGAAGUGAGGUACACUCCCAUGCCUCACUUGGUUUCUGGCCGACCCCAAUAGGCUAGUAGCGACUCCUUUUGUGCAAAAUUCCUAAAAGAAAUAUCCCAACGUCACACGGGGUAUGGGCUUGGGAGAGCUUGCGCCUAAUCAUGGGCCUAUGGCUCGUCUUUAGGGCAAUACCCUAAACUUGUUCCCUCCCUCCGAGGGUAGGUCGCGACAGCUUGGUGACUCCACUGAGGACUUGGUUUUAAACCUUAGAGGACUUAGGCCAAAAUUAAUCUUGUUCAAAAAUAUUUUUGUUUGGCAGCUAGGAUUCCAGGUACGCCCCUAACAUUAAAGUUGUUAAAUGCUUUUGCAGUAGGGAGUUAAUAAGGGGAGGAGUGAUUGUUAACCUCUUGUCUUGUAGGUGUGGAGUUGUGAAUGAAUGUUUAUGAUUUGCUUUUAUGAAGUGUUGUUUGCUUAUAAGUUGUCAUGCAUGCGUUUCCUAUAUUGCACUACACCAUAGCACACACAACCUGCCGCCGGACCUAGGCCGCAUAGGAUCAAUUAGGAUAGUGUUAAGGUGGAUACCACUCCGACUACAAUCGUGUAGUAUGAGUCGCCCACCUCUACCCCGAAAUUUCUUUCUUCAUGUCGAAGGUAACCACCCCGAUCUGCAAUCGCGCGGCACGGGUCGGUUCUUUGACAAAGUCGGAGUCAUGGGUAACACGACCUAGCCGCGAUCUUGCUGGUUUGGUUCGGUGAUCCUAUAGCUCUAUUUUGAGCCAUAUAGAGUAGAAAUCGAACCACAUCUCAUGUGCAUGUCUAUGAAAUUGAAAAAAAAAAAAAACAAAGACAAAGGUCGGCGCCCAUUGUAAGUAUCAUUUUCCUUUUUAUUUGCUCAUUUUGAAUUGCAUUUUCAUCUUUUAAUUCACGGAAAUCGGUCGAAUGCCCUCGGUGAAGUAUGCUUAUGAUUGAAAAAUUGACAAUCACUCUUGAGAAAAGUGAACAUUGAAUGCAAGUUCUAAACACUUUGAUUUGAACCUGCUAAACAUGACAUUGUUUAACUUUUUAAUUGUGGACUCAAAACCGCUUUUUGUUUAGAAAAUUCUUUCAAGUCAAGAUUAUAUUUUGGGGCACAAAAAUUGAAAUUGCAUUUUUAAUCAAAUUCUCUCCUUCUCACAUUUUGGGACUGAAAUGCAAAUCACAUUUGGUGUACAAAUUCCUCAAAAUAGAAGUCACUUCUUUCAAAAAUCAAUGUCACUCUUGCAUAUGAAACUUUUGGAAUAGAGUGGACAUUCAAUUAAUAGACGUCGAUCGAUCUUCUAAUGAUGCCCCUUCUCUUACGAAAAAUCUUGGCGAAAUACCAAAAUCCCAUAAUGAGGACUAUGGGGCAUGUACCGUCACCUCAAUUUUGUCGUAAGAAGCGACAUCAUUGAAAGAUCAAUUUUUCAUUCACAUACUGACAUCGUCGUCUUUUUUGCAGGUUAUGCAUGAUGCUCCUUGACAUUUUCGUGUUUGACCAUAUGGAGAAGUGAAUUCUAGAGUUAAGACAAGAGUUGAUUUUUACUUUCAUAUGUGCAAGAGUUUCUUGUAUUUUACCAUUGUCUUUAUUCUUGUCAAGAACCAUGUUUUCCGUUUUGGGUUUUGAUUGCGAAUCCAAUUGAUGCUUUUGUAAAUCACGCGACUCAUUUUUUUUAAUGAUGGAAUUCAAUUUUGUGAAAAUUAUCCUAAAAAAAAAAAUUCAAAACAAAACACAUUCAGAAGUGUUUCAAGCGAACCUUUACAUCUACCUUCCAAAAUGAAUUUCAAGAAAGCUUUGCUUGGGCCCCUCUCUUCAUGUGGUCGCUUUCUCAAGCUCAUGGAACUCGAGGAGCAAGCAUGCUUUGAGGCUUUGUCAGCGCCAAUCUUCCAAUAGAGGCGGAACGAAAUUGAAUUCCGUUCUGGAAAGUUUCUUUAUUUGGAGAUGCCUUAGGUGCCAAAAUAGCUCAUUGAUCUCGUUCACUUUGCAUAAUGAGACAAAUGAAGGGAUUUGCCAAGCAUCCAAAAAGACAAAUUCGAAGGAAGAGUAAACUGUAUCGAUUCCAGUUAUUCAUUUUUUAUACCGUUUCUAACAUGAUUUUCUUUUCAUUAUCAAGGAGACAUCAAGAGUGCCAAUUUUUGUAACGUUCCCAACAAAAGUGAUGGAGCACUUUUAAGUCCUGUUCAUCUUAAACAAAGAAAGAUUCAAAUGAAACAGAUGGGCAAUAUUGUCUAUUCCUCCAUGAGCGAUACCUGGGGAUAUUGAUCGCCCAAUUUUGAAAAUGAUGUAUCUCGUUCCUAAACUUCAUUCUCUUCAGUAGGAAAAAUGACAUAUCCUUUUCUUUGGUACAUGACGGAUUUGAAUAGAACAAAUGUUUGUCAAAUAAAGAGUGGGAGAACAAUGUUUGAUUUAGAAAAAAAAAUCUCUCAUCUCCCCACCAAAGAAGUGUGCUGGAGCAACAUUGUCAAAUUCAUCAAAAAGAGGAUGUAUCGUUCCUAAAUUGAACCUAAUUAAGUAUGGAGAUAACUCGUUUCAUCUCCUCUUCUUACAAGGUGAUAAAUGGGGGAAAAUCUGCACCUUGACUGUAGAAGUAUCGCCUUCUAACAAGAAAGCAUGCUGAGACUUGACCAUCCAUUUGGCAUAAAAGGAUGUAUAUAGUUCCUAAAUGAUUUCCAAUUGAGCGAGGGAAUAACAUGUCCAAUCUUUUCUUUGCAGGCAAUAAAUGGGCAAAGCAUUUAAAGAACAAUAUCCCCAGAUGUGGAAACAAUGAGCAAUCCUCAUCCUUUCAAAAGAAGGAUCUUGAAAAACACAUCUAAUGAUCCAUAUUUAAAAUUUUCAAGCUCUUUGUCAAUUGAACGUCUCUUCGAAAAGAGCAUUUGAAAAAAAUAGGAAUUAGACUUUGUAAAUUGUUGUAUACAAUAAAGAAGUGAUUUUUAUGGAUAAAAUCAGGGCCUCAUAGCCAUUUUUAAUCAAUCCUAGCCACUUCGGUGAAGUUCAUACCUAAAGAACAAAAACACGUGAAGGGUAAAUUGUGUCGAUUCCAAUUGCUCAUUUUAAUAGUGUUUCUGACAUGAUUCUUUUUUUCCUUUGAUAGGAAGACAUCAAAUGCUUAAAGGUAAAUGCAAGUGAAGGGUAAUGCCAAGUUACAAAAUAUCCAUGAGGAUGAAUCCAAGAGAUGUUAGCCCUCAAAGGAUACAAGCGAGUGAAGGGUAAUAAUGUAUCGUUUCCAACAUUUCAAUCCCUAAAGAUUUUUGUAAUAACAUAUGUUUUUUGCAUUCUUUACAGAGUUGCCGGGUCGCCAUGUUGCAGGUAAGUACCUUUCUUCUCGAAUUUUUAUUAUUAUAAAAAAACAAAGAAUUUCCAUUACAAAAAAAAAAAAAGAAUAUUUUACGCUUUCCUAGAGACAAGCAUAAAAAUUAACAAUUGAAAAAAAAUUUCUACAAACUUUUUGAACAUCUUUUUUAUCUCAAAAUUGUUUUCUCGUUUGGUGGGUUAUUCAUUUUGAAUCAAACUUCCCUAUGGAGAUUGAUCUACUUAGAUGACCUCGGCAGAGUGAAAGGUGAAACGUUAACCAUGCCAAACAAGAAGUUCUUAGGAUGAAGAAAUGUAAGCUAUUUCUAAACACAUCCUUCAAACACUUUGGAGAAUUUAGUGAAAAGCGACCUUCUCUUAGGACGAAGGAUUCAUUCGCAUUGAGCACAACGAUCGGAAUGAUAAAGGCGUUUCUUUCAUCAAUCCCAAGUAUUGCACUAAUCUCUUACUACCCCUUUCGGCGGAAUAAAGAUGAUUCUUUAAAGUACCCUUGUCGAGAACUGUCACGCCCUGAUCCUCGAGCAUGCACACAUCCUUCUCAAUUGGUCGAUUUUAAAAUGCGAUAUCCCAGGACUAUGUAUUGCCGACCCUUUUAUCUAUUAAGCAUAUGUGGAAGCAGUUAUAAAUCCCCAGACAGUAAAUCGAUGGGAUAGAAAAGCAAUGUCAUAUUUUUCAUAUUGAAACUUAUAACCAAACUUUUAUACAAAACACAAACCAGAGUACUUCACAACUAUUCACAACUUUUUACUCUAACUCUAUUCACAUCAAAAUGGAGUUCACAAAAGAAGAUGGAAUCCCAGUCCAUCCGGGUCGCACUCAAGAUCCCUCUCGGUAUUAUCUUCUUCUUCCAAAAAUCAUUCUCCUCAAGUUUCACCUCAGAGUUCUUCUUAGAUUCCUCCUCCUCAGCUCCUCAUCGGGGUCCUGAAAUAUUGUCCUACAGCCGGGAUGAGAUUACAUCUCAGCGAGUUCUAUCCCACUAAGACUCAAUUAGGGAACCAAUACACUACUUGGUUCCCUAAGCAUAGCACGAGUCAGAGGACUUACCUUGAUCUCAGUCUUAACCUGCAAUUCAAGGUUAUAUACGAACGCUUCAUAAAUCAUAACGAACAAUCAAUCAAAUCACGACAAUCUGAUCAAAUCAUUGAUCAAUCGAACUAGUCGAUUACAUGUCAAACAAACCAUUCUAGGUCAUUGAUUCCACACCAUAUAACCUCCCAUAGGGCAUUUGGUCACAGAGCCACAUCAAUGCUCUCGGGCGUCAAGUUCGCCAAGGUGACGUAUCCACUAGACAAUUGCGUGCGUUCUUUAAGGCGCCAUUUUCGCCAGUGACAUGCUUAGUCAUCGAACCACGCAUGCCUAUAACCAUGUACUCAAUAGACAAUUGUGUGCGUUCUUUAAGGCGCCGUUUUCGCCAGUGAUGUCCUUAAUCACCGAACCACACAUGCCUAUGACAAUGUUUUUAAUAGACAAGUGCAUGCGUUCUUUAAGGCGCUGUUUUCGCCAGUGAUGUCCUUAAUCACCAAACCAUACAUGCCUAUAAGAAUGUGAGUACUAGACCAAUACGUGCAUUCUUUAAGGCGCCGUUUUCGCUAGUGAUAUCCCAACCACCGAACCACAUAGGUCCAUACACCGUGUCUGAUCGGUUCAAGCCCAGAAUAUUUCCGAUUCACUCUCACGAUUCUACUCACUUUAUAACUCAACCAAGCAUUAUAAAUGCUAAAUAAACACACUCGGCCAACUAUUAGUAAAUCAAUCAAUCCCACUCAAUUUCAAACAAUUUAGGGUAAAUCCCUAAAAUAUCACAAUUUAUUUAAUUCCAUGCAACGUAGAGCUCAAUUAAAUAAACGGACUGCGCCACGACAAUCAACACAAGAUUUCGGUCGUCGGCCAUCUCAACCUUAAUUUCCGAAAAAUAAAUAAAUAAUUAAUUAAUUUCGAAAAUUAAAUAAUUAAUAUUAAAAAUUCAAUUUAGCUCAAAAUAAAGCCUGAUUAAAUAAACGGACUUCACCAUGGUAAUCAGCAUAAUAUUCCAGUCACUGGCCAUCCCAGUUGAAUUUUCGGAAAAUAAAUAAUUAAUUAACUUAAUUCCGAAAAAUAAUAUUUAAAUACCAAAAAUUCCACGUAGGCCCGAAUUGUCAAAUUGAAGCCCGAUAAAGGGUCAAAAAAAUCCCGAGCUACCCUUAAUAAAUAGUAAACCAUGUCUACUUGCUAAAUACACAUUCAAUUUGUCUAAUUUGCAUCCCAAUUGACUAAUAAACACUAAUCUAACCACCUAAACCUAAUUAAAUAAAACUAAACAACCAAUAAGUGUCAUCAGCUCACUAAGCAAGGAUUAUUGAGAUUACUCACCGGAAUUAAGCGCAAAACGUAUCAAUCCGACGUGGAUGACAUUAGGAACGAUAAACCCCAAAGCGGGUCUCGGGUUCGGGGCCCAGAAACGGCCCAAAACGGCCUACGAGUGUGCUGGAAACCCACUCGGUGGGGGUGGUUGUGCAGGCUGAAAAAGAACACAAAACAGCCACAAAUCACUUCAACAAGGGCGGCAAGGUGCGGGGGAGGGUCGGUGGAGGUUUGGCAGCUUCGAACAGUGGCUGGAGAUGGUUGAACGGGGGCUAGGCAAAGGCUAGAAUUGCACAGGGGAGGGACGGCAGCAAGCGGUGGACGCGGGGACGUGUGCGGACGGUGGGACAGCGGUGAGCGGCGGGUGCGCGGGCAGUCCGGCUCCGGUGCGGCGGUGACGGGCGGCUAGUCCAAUCUUCAGUGAGCUGCUGUCCUUCUUCCUCCGAUCUGGUUUUCACGAGCAAGAAACAAGAAGAAGGGGGGGCUUUCGGUCACGUGGGGGAGUGGGGGAGAAGAGAGAGGAGAGAGAAGAAGAAAGAAAGAAGAGAUAAGAAAGUUUGAAAAGUCAAAGGGAGAGGGGAAAAGCAAGUGGGUGACAACCCACAGUUCGGUAGGAGGGGGGGCUGAUUCGCACGAAGGGGAGAGGGAAGAGAGAAAAGAGAGAGAGAGAAAAGAAGAGAGAGGGAGAGAAAGAAAUAAAAUAAAAUAAUAAUAUUAUUCUUUUUUUUUCUUUUCUCUUUCCCUUUCUAUUUUCUUUCGGUCUUCAAUUUUUCCUUCGAUAAUUUCUUUCCCGAAAUUUUGGACUUGUCAAUAAAUUGACGGAUGAUGAGACAGGAUCCUAAAAAUGAAUUGUGACACGCUAAAAAAUUCGAUUCCUGAAACCAAAUUAAAUUCCAUGGUUAGAAUCGAUUAGACGUGAUUUUAGCCCAAUCCAACUAAUUAAGUAGCUUUAAGGGAUUUUUACCGCGGAUACAUCCCUUAACGGCUUCACUCAAUAGGUUAGUUAACUCGUGAGUGAUUAGCUCAGAGAAAAAGGACUAUAAGCACAUCGACGAAAUGCCCAUUUCACUUUAUCAAAACGGAGUCGAAUUUCAGGAUGUCACAAGAACGACCCUACAUUAGGGCAGCAUAGGAGGUUAUGAGCGUGUUGUAGAGUGAAAGGUUGAAAAAGAUUAUAUUACUUUCACUUGCAUCAAUCUUCUGGUGAUAACUUCAGAGGAAUUCUCAUUAGAGCUUGACUCAUUCCAAGGUGAAGAAGAGCAUUUCAUUCUCUACCCAAACACUGAUAUCCAUUGCUUUAACCAAUUUAGGCCCGAUUAUUCAUUUCUAAGUCCUGAGUAGUGAGCAUCCCCUUCUCUGGGGUAAGACACAAAGAUUGACCACAUGCAAUUGACAUUUACGAGAAAACGUGAAAAGCAUCUCGAAAGUCAUAAGUGCUCCAAAAGUUCAAUGAACAAAAAGUCUGACUAAAUUAAGGGGCAUGAAAAAGAAGUGUGUUUGGUAAAAGCAAGGCCAAUACCCGUUAAGAAAAAGAGCCAAAAGGCUGUAAGUUGCAGGUGGACCAAUGGACUGGCGACCGACGACUUCAAGCCAACGUACGGGUCAGCCGGCGGCUCCGUUUGGCGAGUGGUCGGGUCCUCCUUAACGGUUUGGGCCUUCUGAACACACUGGUGGGUGGCACGAAGGCUGAUUCAUCCGGGAAGGUAAAAAACAACUCAAGUUUUCACAAGAAGGUUAGUUGGAGUAGAAACUGGAAGAAGGAGAAACAAGGGGAGAGAGAGUCCGAUGGUUUUUGGUGCUGAAGAGGGGAGAGAGAGAGUGAUGUGAGGGCUGCUACACUCUCCAAGAAGGCCAUUGAAGGCUUGCUUCAAGUCCCCAUGCAAGAUGACCUCAACUUCUCUCUCUUCCUUUGCUUUAUCCACAUGCUUUUAGGGGCAAAAUGGUCAUUUCCACAUUGCACAAAUUCCCAAUCAGCUCUUGGGCUAAAAAUGAUGGGCGGGCCUAAGAAAUGGGCUUGGAAAUGAAUAGUAACGGGCUCGGGAAUUGGUUGGGCUCAAAUGGGCUUAAGGUUAAGUAAUAGGCUUGGAAGAUGAAUAAUUGGUUUGGGCCCAAUAGGCUCACUUGCCUGCUUUGGGCCCAUCAUGGGCUAUCCCACCUUGGGCCUAAGGCCCACACUAGCUUGACCCGGCUCACUUCCUCAUGGGCUCGCUUCCUUGGUCCGAAAAUCCCUUUUCCAAGUACUCGGCUUAACCGUCGCUAUUGACUGACGAAGUAGCUUCAUCCAAAGUCCGUCCCAAAUGUUCCUGAUAAUUUAAAGUCCAAUCUUGGAUUCUUAUGCCAUGUCAAUUUUGCGCUAAUUCCAUUUUGGGUACAACUCAAAUUGACAGGUGGUUUUGAAGAUUCACGCAUAAUCGACUUGUGCCAAACCACGUUCAAGACAUCUCGACACAUGAACAUCCUUGACUACAUGAAUUUGCGGAUAAUAGAUUCUUAUUUCAAAGUACAUGGUUAUUGAGGAUCGACAUAGGGUUGUUCGUGGGCUCUAUAACAGUAAACGGAAUCACCCAUCAUUCCAUUAUGUUCUUUUCGCGAAUCGACUUCUAGUCAUUCCCUGAAAUCGGCCUGCCUAUUUAUAGGAUCGUCCUCAUGCAAGUCUCACGGUCAAGUCGUUUUCCCAGGUCAACUUCUGUAGUUGUACAAGUUCUUUCCUCAUUAACCUUUUCCCUCAAGGUUAGUAUCUCAAGAGUGAUCAAUUCUGAGUGAGAUCAACGAACAAUGCAUUGCUGAAAUUCACAUCCAUUCAUCCCUUAGAGGACUCGAAGUUCAGGAUGUCACAUGAGCCGAGGGCGAAUAAGUGCAUAUUUCUGGUUUAUGCACAUGUGAUGAAAGCUUACUAGCUGUGGUGCAUCGAUCCUAGAUCACCCGGUUUUCUAAUCAGCAAAGAUGUGAUCUUCGACGAGACUGCAAUGCUUCAACAGAGAGGUUCUAAGACACAACCAACAGAGAAGACAUAUCAUAGUGUCAUUAGUGAAGUGGAGCUUUAGGGGGAGACUCCAGAGUCCUCAAAGGUAACUGAAGUUAAGAUUGCAGAUGAGGCCGCAGUUCCUAAAGUUGGUGAUAGUGAACAACCAGCAAAACCGCAGCACACUAUAGCCGUAGAUAGACAGAGAAGGCAAAUUAAAUCAUUAGUACGUUAUGGUUAUACAGAUAUUGCUUAUGCAUUAUCUGUAGGCGAUGGCUAGUUUGGAGUCAUCGGAGUGGCUAGGGGCUAUGAGUGAAGAGAUGGAAUCACUCCAUUGUAAUCAGACAUUGGAGCUGGUCAAAGUACCCAAGAGCCAAAAGAUUGUCGGAAGUAAAUGGGUCUUUAAACGGAAAGAGGGCAUUCCUAGUGUCGAGGCAGUGAGGUAUGAGGCGAGACUUGUGGCGAAAUGAUAUAACACAACGUAAGGGCAUUAACUACAAUGAGGUGUUCUCUUUUGUGGUAAGACAUACUUCUAUUUGUGUUUUACUUGUCUUAGUUGCUUUGUAGGAUCUCGAGCUAAAGCAGCUAGAUGUGAAAACUGCGUUUUUUCACAGUGAGUUGGAGGAGCAUAUUUACAUGAGGCAGCCAGAGGAAUUUGCUAUUCUGGGUAAGGAAGAUUAUGUUUGCUUGUUGAAGAAAUCUUUGUAUGGGCAAACACAGUCUCCUAGACAGUGGUAUAAACGUUUUGAUGCUUUUAUGGCUAGUCAAAACUAUUCAAAAAGUCAUAUGGAGAUUGGAGAAUGGUUCUUUGAUUUAUCUACUCUUAUAUGUUGAUGAUAUGCUGAUAACAGCUAAAAAUAUGUUUGAUAUUAAUGUGCUGAAGAGGCGGUUAAAUGUUGAAUUUGAGAUAAAAGAUUUAGGUACUGCAAAGAAAAUAUUGGGUAUGGAGAUUUUGCGUGACAGGACUGCAAGAGUUUUACGUCUAUCUCAGAAGAAAUAUAUUGAGAAGAUCACAGCAUGUUUUAAUAUGCAGUUAGCAAAAUUCUUUAAGUACACCUUUAGCGAACCACUUAAAAAUUUUCAGAUAAAUUAUCACUGCAGACUGAGGAGGAGGAGGAGCAUAUAUCUCAUGUUUCUUAUUCUAGUGCCGUGGGUAAUAUUAUAUAUGCUAUUUUGUGUACUAGGCCUGAUAUUUCACAAGCUGUAAGCGUGGUUAGUCGUUAUAUGAAGUGUCCUGGUAAAACUCAUUGGGAAGCUAUGAAGUGGAUCCUUAAAUAUUUGAAGGGGACAACAGACGUGAGUAUAGUGUAUCGAAGGGACAUCAUUAGCAAUGAGACCACUAAUUUUGUGGAUUUGGAUGACACCGAUGAUUUGGAUGAUCACAGGUUUUUAGCAGGGUACGUGUUUACGCUAGCGGGUGGUACAGUUAGUUGGAAAUCGUCCUUACAUGAUCAUAUUGCCUUAUCUUCGACUGAAGCAGAGUACAUGGCACUAACCUUUGUAGCGAAAGAGGCGAUAUGGUUACAAAGUUUGCUCUCGGACUUUGGGUUAGAAUAGCAAAUGUGUGAAUAUACACUGUGAUAAUCUAUGUGCAAUAUAUUUGGUGUAUAAUCCAGUUUAUCACGAGCGAACGAAGUAUAUCAACAUUAGGUACCACUUCAUCCGAGAUGUCUUAGCUAAGGGUAAUGUUAUUGUUAAAAAGAUUGCUACAGCAGAUAACUCGGCAGACAUGAUGAAUAAGUUUGUUCCUUUGGCGAAGCUCAAACUCUGCUUGAGCUCUAUUGGCGUUUGUGGAGAGUGAGUGCCCGUCGAGGUGUUGGGAGAGUAGCAUGGAUGAUGGGCAUUAUAACUUGGCUUUAAACAUUGAGCUAAGGUGGAGAAUUGUUAAAUUAUAUUUCUAGUUUAAGCGUUUGCAAAACGCGAUUUGCUUGGAUAAAAUUUUUAUUAUUUGAUUGUGAAGAUAAUAUUCAAGAUUAUGCACAAGAAAGAAAUUCAAAUUUUUUUUUUUUUGGUCUUGAAUGUUUUCGGUUAACACAAGAAAGUUCGUGGGACUGUACGAAGGAUUACAAAAGAGAAAAUAAAGAUAGAAUAAAAAAAAGGCCUGCAGAAGCUGAAAGUUGUUAUGCUCGUGGGGCCCAAAAGUCAAGACUUUGACUUUUGGGCACACACAAUAUAAAAAAGGCUACGAAAGAAAGAAAGUGAUUUUUCUCUCUGCAGCGUCCCACUUCCAUGUUGAAGUAAAUAAAAGGUGGUGGGCCCAUGUUAAAAGUUGACUAGUUGGGCACACAUAUUGAACCCUAACGUGGGUUCUUUAUUAGGUGUGCCGCGAGAAGCCGUGGAGCACUGCACACAGAGAAAAGAAGAACAACGGAGUACGAAGAAGAACAAUCAGACGUUCUAUUUGGAGUACAUAGAACGUUUUGCUUGAGCUUGAACGUAAGGUGUUUUUUUUUUUUUUUUGUGCCGUGAGUUUAUGUCUAAGUGAGUUGUUUAUUUAUAAACACUUUGGGUUUAUGGUUAAAUCUAGAUGUGGGAAACACUCGAGCAUGUGAACGAUUAUAAAAUUUGAUUAUUCAAUUAUAGUGGAUUAUUUACUGCUAGCUCUCCCUGUGGAUGUAUGUACCGAUACUCGAACCGAACAAUAUAAAUUUCUGGUGUUCUUAUUAUUUUUCGUUUAUUUUUCUUGCGAUUUCACGUUGACGUAAAUUGCAAGAUCCUGUCGUUUCCGCGUAUUAUAUUCCAACACCUUGGUACAAAUAUUUUCAUUCCUUCUGCAAUUUCUGAUGUGGUAAUGAAGUAUUGUAGUUUUCCACAUACAAUUCUAAAUCUGCAUCCAACAUCAAGAGACCUUAGGUGUCUUGAGGCACAGAGUUCUCAUUGCCUUACUAACCAGAGGAUUCUAUUUUAGCACCUAUAUGCAAUGGAUGAUGUUGCGUCUUGACUUAGAGACGUGGUUUUUAGCACCGACUUUUUAACUAAUAUGACGGUAUCAUAAGUCGCACAUUAUAUCUUCCUCAACAAACGGUCAAAGUUUCAAAAAAUGAAAAAGAAAAAUAAAAGGAAAAAUAAUGAUAAUAAGAAAUAAAGGUAGGGGUCCGCAAAUACUUUAAUAGUUUGCACCUGCUUUGAAAAUGCUAUCAAAAGCAACAACAAACGCGGACUCUUGUUAACAUCGGGGAAGUUUCUUGCACGCGGCAAUUAGUGUGAAAACGAGAAGAUUUCUACACUAGUGGUUAACUCUUUUCUCCUCUAUAUAUCAGCUUGAAUGUUCCUAGCAUGGAGAGUUGCUGCUAUUGCUUUUCUGAACCCGUCUUUGUUUUCUUCCUUUUAUGAUAGAUCCCACUCUGUGAAUCAUUCUUUUUCUUCCUCUUUGAUUGCCUUUGAUUGAGGGAAAGGUUGCAAGUUGUUAAGGUAAGUGUCAUAUCUAACUAGUGCUCCCUCUUGUUAAUUUGUUCUUAUCAAUGAUCAUGAUGAUAAAUAUGGGGUUUUGUGGCCUCUAUUGUUUCUUUCCAAUGCUCAAGAAUUUUGAGCAAGGUUCUGUUUUGCUGUGUAUGUAUAUGCAGUAUAACGACUCUAUAUGAUGACCUCAAAUGCACUUGCCAUUUUCUUCGUACUCCCAUCAAGUGAUUAAAAUCAUGUCGCUUUGCCUUUUACAUGUUUCGGACCCCGCUUAUGGCCACAUGUGAACGUUUAUAUGGUCAACUAAGCUGUAAUUAUCUUGCUAAGUGAAGCAAGAAAGGAGGGAGCUUUAUAACUCUGUAUCUAUGUCUCAUGUGGUGUCCUUUGGUCUUCAAUAUAUGCUCCAACACUACAGGAUUAGGAAGGAUUAUGAAGGGAGGGAAAUGGUUCUAAGAGAGACUAGAAGGAAGUGGUCUAGUAAAUUCUAUGUUCAUUUUAAGUAUUGGAGGUAUUUGUAUAUAAAUUGAUAAAUUUAUUAUUCACUCUCACUUUCUCUUUUAUUUUACAUCCAUCUAGAAAUCCUAUUUAUAUCAUAAUACGUUAUAUUCCUUUCUUUUUUUCUCCUAGCGUGCAAACAAAAUUAUAACCCAAUCAUUUCAAAUCCUUUCUUUCAUUUUUACUCAUAAUUAAUUAAAUCUCUUCUUUACCCCACUAAUUACUCCAUUCAAACUGAGUGUCAAUAUGGAGGUCGGGUUUCUCUCUUCUUCGAGAAUGGUUUCAUCUCUCUCUUGGUGUAGUAUUCCCUAUCCAUGGUAAUAGUUCUCCCUUGUGAAAGGGCUAGUAUGAACACCUAGAGGGGGGUGAAUAGGUGUGAAUAAAAUUUUUAGCAAGAUUUAGUAAAAAUAAUUUGCCUUUUAGAAGAUAACAGACUUAAGAAUAUAAUCAGCUUUAAAUAAUUAAAUAAGGCUACGAAUAAAGGUAAGGAGUUCAUGAAAGAGAAUAGGAACACAAUGUUUAUAGUGGUUCGGCUUAGAUCAAGCCUACAUCCACUCUCUUGCGCUGACAGCCUAUUAGCUGGAUUCCACUAAGAAUCAAAAGAGAUUUUACAAUCUUCCUGUCUCGACUUCUCAGUGAAGAACCUCUACUGGUCUCUCACAAAGUCUCACUAUGUGUUUUUCUCUUUUGUAUGCAACUUUGAGCUUAGUGAAUGAAAUAGCAAGGAACUAUAAAGCUUCAGACUUUAAAAUUUUUCUUUCACACUCUUUCAAACAACUAGAGAGUCCACCUUAUAUACUCCUUCAUGCCUUCACGACCGUUGGCACUUUUCAAAGGAAUUAUUCCAAUUUACCUGUUGGACAGAAUCAAUCAAGGAGAUCUCUAGUUGUUCAUCACCCGUCAAUCUUGUUCGCCCAUACAAUCAGGAUCUUGGUUUCCAUAAGUAGAAUCUUCCAAGUUUGCUUCGUCUUUCAAAAGAUUUGAUGAUCGGAAUUGAUUUUAAUAAGGAUAAUCAAUCAAGUAGAUGUUAUAUCCAGCCAUAAGAUCAUCCAUAAGCCAUAUGAAAUGAUUCCUUGAAAAGUAAAGAUAUUCUUGCAUUUGGAUAAGUCUUCAUUCUUCAGUUUGGAAACUGUUAGUGAGGGCACACUUCGAAUCUAAAGUCUGGCGGUCUUCAGACUUUGGCACUAGAGUCUGGAGUUCUUUAGACUAUGACACUUGAGUCUGGAAGUCUUCAGACUAGACUUUUUGGAAAGGUUUUGUCGACUUCAAAACAGUAAAGAAGUUUUCUCUAAUACCCUACUCAUGGAGCCUCUUCCAAAAUCAAUCCCCCUUACCAUUCUGUUUCAUCUUGGAACGCCACAUCCGUAUAUCAUUCAUGGUCCAACAUCCUCCAUUUUCCUCCAAUCCUGUACCAUGAAGAAAUUCAUUUAUCCUCACUCGCACCAUACUUCAUGCCCAAUACCCGACGCAGUUUAUCCCUAGCCCCAAUCCAAACUAAACCUAAAGUUGUGGACCCUACCUCUUCUAGUUGCUGAAGCCGUUCAUAGAGCUCCCUUCAUGCACGAGCCAUAACCCUUACUUGUCCUUUACAAGCUGAAAAUAAAGUACCUGUCAUCCUUUUUUUCCCCUUGUUCUGCAAUUCUGCAAGCUCCGUGGUGUCUUGACUUGGUGGUUAGCUUCUCUCACGCUGUUCUUCAUGUCUAUUUCUUGCUCAGCCUUCCAAUUUUGAUUCAUUGCUCGGGCAUGUCCUAUAAUGGUAAGACAGAGUCGACCACGGACAGAGAGUUGGAAAAGGAACUUAGGCUUGCUGCACUUCGUAGAAGAAUGGGAAGAAUGUGGUCUGAAGAUGUUAUAGUCAGAGUGCAUGAGAAAAUUCUUGUGGAGAAAUUGCGAGAAUGCAACCCUACCUUGUUGGGGAAACUACACUCAAGACCUAAUGUUAACUUCCAAGCAUUCCUACUAACCAUGAAAAGGGCAUGGAAAAUAGAGAACGUGGUUUGUGACCAAAUGGAACCAGGCUUAUUCUCAUGCACAUUUAGCUCGGAUUUGGAGAAGAGAAAAGUACUGGAAGCUAGCCCAUGGUCUUUCUCAAAUAACUUGCUUAUCCUCCAACAACUAAACCCUAAGCUGCCAAUCCGCUGUCAUGAAUUCACUCAUUGUGCCUUUCGGAUGCAAGUACUUGGCUUGCCUCUAAUUCGAAUUACUGAGAAUGCACUGCUUGAAGUGGCAUCAAUAAUGGGUAAAAUUCUGGAGGUGAAGAUAGAACCGAAAGGGGGCAACUUGUGCAAAGUUGGAAGGGUACGGGUGCUUAUGGAAUUAUCAUAACCUCUAUAAUCAGGGGUUGUGGUGAACUUUGAAGAUGAUCAAUUUUGGGUCGAUUUUAAGUAUGAACGACUCCCUUAUUAUUGCCACUCUUGUGGGAGAAUUAGCCACUACACAACUAGGUGUGAGGAAGUGCCCUACACAACUAGGUGUGUCUUUUAAACGCUGGGGGAGGCUCAGCCUCGCCGGGCCACCGCCAGGUGAGCAGUGAGGCUCAGGUCGAUGAGCCUCACCGUGGCUCGGUGACUCCGGGGGGAAGAAGAAGAAGAAGAAAAGAGAAGAAGAGAGAAGAGAGAAAAAUAGAUUCUAGAAAUUGUUUCCCGGAAUAAGAAGUUUUUUUUUUUUUUUAUUUCUUAUUUUUGUUCUAAAUCUAUUCCUGGGAAAAAAAAACAUUUUUGGUUCCCGAGAACAAAAGUUUUACCAAAUAGGUUUCUAUUCCUUUUUCAUUCCCCGGAACAAAAGAACAAAAAAUAGUUAUUCCGAGGAACAUAAACACAUUUUAACGAACAUGCCCUUAGUUUCCACACACACGACUUACAAACAAAUACUAUUUCCUCCUCCUUUUUUGUUUUCUUCAGGAGACAUUAAAGAUGGUUGAUAAAGCUGCCACCGAGAACAACCAAAACUAUCAGCACCAAGUUGGUGACAUCUCUAGUGAAAUGCUUCCACAGGGUGACUCCGGAUCUCAGAGUAAACCCGCACUUUCCACUAAUUUUUAUUCGGUGAGUGUCAAUUAAACUUUCAAGUAAAACUAGACAAAUCCCAACAUGGUCUCUUAUGGAUGAACAAGUUUGAAGGUCCUUUCAUUUGGCUGAACACAAUUUAGUUUCCACACGCGCCACUUACUAACAAUUGCUAUUUCCUUCUCUUUUUUCUUAAAUUGUUUUCUUUAGGGGACAUUAAAGAUGGUUGACAACGCUGCCACCGAGAGCAACCAAAACCACCACCACCUAGUUGGUGACAUCUCCAGUGACAUGCUUCCUCAAAGUGACUCCGGAUCUCAGAGUAAACACACACUUUCCACUGAUUUUGAUUCGGUGAGUGUUAAUCAAACUUUCAAUUAUAACUAGUCAAAACCCAGUUGAAAGGACAUGGUCUCUGAUGGAUGAAUAAAUUUGAAGGUCCUUUCAUUUGGCAAGACAGGCUUUAGUUUCCCCACACAAGACUUCCUAACAAUUGCUAUUUCCUUCUUUUUUCGUUUUCUUUAGGGGACAUUAAGGAUGGUUGACAAUGCUGCCAUCGAGAACAACAAAAACCACCACCACCAAGCUGGUGACAUCUCCAGUGAAAUACUUCCUCAGAGUGACUCUGGAUCUCACAGUAAACACAUACUUUCCAUUGAUUCUGAUUUGGUGAGUGAUAAUCAAACUUUUAUGUAGCUUUAGACAAAAACCAGUUGAAAGGACAUGGUCUCUGGUGGAUGAAUAAGUUUGAAGGUCCUUUCAUUUGGCAAGACAGGAUUUAGUUUCCACACAUGAGACUUAAUAACAAUUGCUAUUUCCUUCUUUUUUGGUUUUCUUUAGGGGACAUUAAAGAUGGUUGACAAUGCUGCCAUCGAGAACAACCAAGAGGACCACCACCAAGCUGGUGACAUCUCCAGUGAAAUGCUUCCUCAGAGUGACUUUGGAUCUCAGAGUAAACACACACUUUCCAUUGAUUCGGAUUCGGUGAGUAUUAAUCAAACUUUCAAGUAGAUUUAGACAAAAUCCAAUUGACAAGACAUGGUCUCUAAUGGAUGAACAAGUCUGAAGGACUUUUCAUUUGGCAAGACAGAACUUAGUUUCCACGUACACGACUUACUAAAAAUUGCUAUUUCCUUCUUUUCUUUGGGGGGACAUUAAAGAUAGAAUUUAGUUUCCCCAUGUCGGUAAUUUCUAGCCUAAAUUGGCUAGAUGAGUUCAAUUGUUACCAAUGUGACAAGAUAUAUAACUAAAUUGGUCAAAUUGAAAGGUUUAGAACCGAUAUGAUAUCAAUGCAAUUAAUUUAGGACUUUUUUUGGUACUUUUUUUGGUCUUUAACUAAUAUGACAGUUCCUCAAGUCACAGGUUUCAUCUUUCUCAAGUUGUGAUUAAAGUUUAAAAAAUAAUAGGUAAAUGAAAAACAAAUAGUAAUAACAAUAGGAAAGAGGAAACGAAGCAAUGGUCGGCAAGUAGUUUAUAGUUUGCACUGGCUUUGAAGUUCGAACAUCCAAUCCAGUGCAAUAACAUAUACGGACGAGAAACGAGCAUUGGUACCUCUUACGGGAGAGUGAAUGUGAAAACGGAGAAGAUCCUUACGCUAGCUACUUACUCUUUUCUCCUAUAUGUAAUUAGUGCCCGCUCUUGUUAAUUCGUUCUUAUUCUUGAUAGUCAUGAUAAAUUUGGUGUCUCAUGGCCUUGCAACCAGUUUCCUUCCAUUACUCAGGAUUCUUGAGCAACGUUCUGUUUUGCCAUGUAUAUGUUUUGCAGUAUAACCACUCUAUAUGAUAACCUCAAAUGCACUUGGCAUUUCCUCUGCACUCCCAUCCAGUGAUCAAAACCAAUUCAUCUUUUAAGAGCCUGUUUAUCAGACUUGAUCCGCUCAUCCAAUUGGCAUAUUCAUGAAGAAAUUCUACUUCAAUCAAUAUGACUUUCCCUUUUAUUGAUCGUUUAGGACCACACUUAUGGCUACAGUAGUACAGCUGACGUUUAUAUACUCGAAUAAGCUCUAAAUAUCUUAGUAAGUGAAGCAAGAAAGGAUGGAACAGGUGAAACUAUUUUAUGACUUCAUAUUUGUGUCCCAAGUGUGGUCCUUUGGUCUUUAGAAUAUGCUCCAACAUUAUGUUUGUUAGGAGGGAUUAGGAGGGAAGAAACAUAGUUCCAAAAAAUACAAUCAUGUUUAGAUGGAGAGAAACAGACGGAUGGAAAACCUACAAAGGUUUAGUCCAUCGUUAAUGUUCUUACACGAGAUUCUCAUUAGGUAGUAAUUAGGCCAUAUACGGUACUUGGUUGAGCCAUUUUGUCAAGAGCACAACUAUAGUUACUAAAAAUGUCGCUAAAGAGUUCUCCCUAAAUGGUGUUUGCAAUUUCCAUGACCUUAGACAAAGGCAACGAUUAAAGACUCGAUGAAGAGGAAGAUGAUAUAUAGUUCUUGCUAAAUUUAACAGUAAAAUUUGGUGGAAACUAACAAAGGGUAAAUGUAUUAUAUGUAUACUAGUUUGAGAUUUUUUGUGACCCAUAAAUUAUUUUUGAGUAAAUUUAUCAAAGGUGUAUCAGUUUGUGGGACAUUUGUAACAAGUGCACCAAUUUAUGAUUUUUUGUGGUGUUAGCCCAUUAAUUGAUCCACGUCAAGUACAUGUGGCAUCCAAGUCAGCAAUUCAAUGACAAUAUUUAAUGAAAGCUAAUGGAGAGUAAAUAUAUCACGUGUACACUGAUUUAGAGCUUUUAGUAGUAAAAAAAUUAGUCUUGGAUUCUUUACCAAAAAAAAAAAAAAAAUAGUCUUGAAUAAGUUUGUAGCUAGUGUAUCAGUUUGGAUUUUUGUUUGUAUUAACUCUAUAUAAUUAGUGCUCACUCUCGUUAAUUUGUUCUUAUUAAUGAUAGUGAUGAUCAAUUUGUUGUUUCAUGGCCUUACGAUCGUUUCUUUCCAUUGUUCAAGAUUCUUGAGCUAUGUUCUGUUUUGCUGUGUAUAUGUAUGCCGUAUAACCACCCUAUACAAUAACCUCAAAUGCCCUUGGCAUUUCCGUUCUACUCCCAUCAAGUGAUCAAAACCAUUUCGCAUUUUCUGUGUUGUUUUGGAUCACACUCAAGACUGCAUGUGAACGUUUAUAUGCUCAAAUAAGCGUCAAAUAUUUAAGGGAAGCGAAGGAGGAAACCGGUGAAACUGUUAUGCGACCUUGCACCUAUGUCCCAUGCGUGGUCCUUAGGUCUUUAAUAUAUGCUCUAACACUCUUAAGAUCAGGAGGGAUUAUGAGGGAAGGGAAAUAGUUCUCAAAUUACAGUCGUGUUUGGAUGGAGGGAAACAAACGGAUGAAAAGAAUUAAGAGGGAUUAGGAGAGCAAAAAGAAAUGAUCUGGUUAAUUUCAUAAACAAAUUACAUUUAUAACGGAUUUGUGUAUUAAUAAAAUAAUUUUUUUCCUGCUCACUUGUUCUUUCAUUUUACAUAUAAUGGGAAAUCCAUGAAGGAUAUUUACGUCAUUAUGCAUUGUUUUUCCUUUCCUUUUCCUCGCUAAUAUCUAAAUAUUAUCAUAAUCCAGUCACUUACGGUCCUUUCUUUUCUUUUUACUCAUAAUCAUUCAAACUUUUCGUUCCCAAUUACUCCAUCCAAGCUGAUAAUAUGCAAUCAGCUCUUCCUUUAUCCGUGGAUUUCUUUCUUUUACUUUAGAAGCCAUAAUAAUAUAAUGAAAAUGACUUAGUGAAUGAGCUCUAGUAAACUUAGAACACAUGCCAAAUUUCACAUGGUGAGUGUUUUUUGAGAGAGAGAGAGAGAGAGAGAGAGAGAGAGAGAGAGAGAGAGAGAGAGAGAGAGAGAGAUGACUGAAAGAGGAAGAGUGGGAUUGAAGAGGUUGACAUAUGAUUGAAGAGUAUGCCCCAAUGACAUACUCGUCGGGUCCUCCUGUCACGUGAGUUCUUUGCUUAUUCCUUUUCUUUCCUUAUAAUUUACUUUCAAAGCUUUUUUUAAUGAUGUAAUGCAACCAAUGGUUCUCCUCUUAAAGGAAUGAGAAGAAUAAUAAUUUCUACUAAAUUUUAUUUGCAAAUAUCAUUCAACGAGCGGGCCACCUUGUGGAUGGAUAUCCUUUUCUCCUAUAGUGUAAAAUUUCAUACAAUCACUUAAAAUAGCCAUUUAGCAUUUUUUUUUUCCAUUGUCAGCGAAAGAAGAACAAUAAGAAAGCAUACUCUUUGACAGACGAAUUUAACCAUCAAUGCAAAAGAAAUCAUUUUAUGCAUUCGAUUAAUAUGAGUUCGAUACACAGUAUUUUUAUAUCACUUGCAUUUCAUAAAUUUCCUGUUUACGUUAAAAUCACAUAAUUGAAGUGAUGCUGAACAUUACUUUAAUAUCUUCCACGAAUCCUAAGUCCGCACAUUGAAGUACCCACACUUCAAUCCUUCUUCUCCCUCCAUUCUAAGUACUACUGUUUCUCUCCCAACUACACUUCCAUACAUUCACAUGUUUGGCGCAACCAUCUCUUGGUUUUCAGGUGGGUGCACAAAACACAAAGCAAUCUCAGAGUCAAAGAAACACCGACUUUCCACUGAUUUUGAUUCUAUUAGUUUUAAUUAAACUUGCCGGUAUAACUGGACAAACCCAGAUUGAAACAACAUGGCUUCUGAUGGAUGAAUAAUUUUGAAGUUCUUUUCACUCGGCAAGACAUAAUUUAAUAUCCAAACACACAACUUACUGACAAUUGCUGUUAAACUUCUUUUUUCGGGGGACAUUAAAGAUGGGUGAGAAUGCUGCCACCAAUAACGACCAUAACCACCAGCACCGCCGCCACCAAAUUGGUGACAUGUCCAUUGAAAUGCUGCCUCCGUGUGUCUCCAGACGCUCUGACGACGAAGGCAGCCGCAAAAGAACCGGUAAUCAACCUUAUCUUCUUAUACUAUAUUGUCUAGUUCUUUGAUACUUGUUUACUUCAAGUUUGUUACAUCAGCCUUACAAAAUAUACAUUUUUUGUACUAUGAGUAAGAGUUUGAUAUGUUUUAAUUCAAGUGUAAUUCCUUCAUUAAUUAUUGGAUAACUAACUUAAGAGACAAUCGAAGUUUUCCAAUUGUAAAGAGUUAAUCAGACUUUAUCGGUUGACCGAUCAGGGAACGUAUGGACGGCCAGUGCAAACAUAAUAGUAGUGAUGGUAGGAACAGGAGUGCUUUCGCUGGCAUGGGACAUUGCUCAGCUGGGUUGGAUUGCGGGCCCUGCUGUGAUCCUAUUCUUCUCCCUUGUGGGCUACUACACCUCUUGCUUCCUCUCUGAUUGUUACCGCACCGGCGACCCUGACAAUGGUCAUCGUAACUCCACCUAUGUGGACUCCGUUCACUCGAUUCUUGGUAAGGUACUCUAUCAUCACGUUGUUGCUUCUAACUAUUUGACGGCCGUACUUUGAUUAAAUUUCCCAUUACCAUGUGCUUCCAAAUGUACAGCAAAAUGAGUCACGAAACUUUUAAUUAGAUGAUAAUUGUGAGUCUACAUUCUUAGGCUCCGUUUGUUUCAUGGCAAAAAUAAAUGAUUUGGACUACAUUUUCCUAAAAAUGAUUAUUUGUAUUGCUUAUAAAAGUAAAUAAACGAAAAAUAUUUUCAUUGUCCACGAAAAUAUUUAGACACAAAUUGUUGUUGAUAAUGAAAACAUUUUCUAUUAACUAACUAAAUCAAUUGAUACAUGCGAUUAUUUUUUAGGAAAAUGUUUUCUAAGAUUAUUCAUUUUCCGUAAAACAAACAAAGCCUUAUAAUAUUAACAUCUUCAAGGUUUAUUCUCAGGUGGAGCCAAAGUAAAAGCAUGUGGUUUUCUUCAAUAUAUAACCCUAUUCGGAAACGCCAUUAGCUGUAUCGUCGAAGCAUCUCUCUGCAUGAUGUGAGUGCAAUUCUACUUGCCCAAACUCUUAACAAAUUUUAUUUAGCAGAUCACAAUGAACUUCUUGUUCUACGGUUUCUGAUAUAACCUGGUUAAUUCAAUCUUAUACAUGUUCCCUCUUUCCAAAAAAAGGGCAAUAAAAUAUAUGAAUUGCUCCCACGAGAGUAACUGGGAGAACCGGUGCUACAUUUUAAGCAAUCCAUAUAUGAUCAUCAUCGCCGUCACAGAGAUUCUGCUGUCCCAGAUUCCAGAUUUCGAUCAAAUACGGUGGAUUUCUGUUGUGGCUGCUGUCAUGUUCGUCACUUACUCUUUAAUUGGUCUUGGCCUAGGAAUUGCCCAAGUUGUAGGUACAGAUUUAUUCUUUUCUCAAGACAGAUGGCCAUCAAAUUCAAGAGAUUAUAUUGCCAAUACCAUAAAUAAGAAGUUGUUUCCAGCAAUUUUUUUUUCUUGAUGAGCAGAUACUGGAAGUUUCAAGGGUAGUUUUAGAGUAAUAAGCGUUGGAGAUGGGACUGAAACCCAAAAGGUAUGGAGGAUCCUCCGAGCUGUUAGAGGUAUCGCAAAUGCGUACUCAUUUUCUCAGAUCCUCAUUGAAACUCAGGUACUAAAAUAUGAUUCCAUCAGUUCAAAAACUAAGGAAAUGGUUAAGAGUGGAUAGAACAGACAGGAACUACCUUGUUUUUCCUUUUAUCUUUGUCAGGACACCAUCGGAUCUCCGCCAUCAGAAGCAAAGACCAUGAAGAAGGCCAUUUCUCGGAGCACCGCAGUGAUGACGACUAUCUACAUGCUAUGUGGCUGCAUUGGGUAUGCUGCUUUCGGAGAGGCCACUCCAAUAAAUUUUCUGAUGGAAUUGGCUUUUUACAAGCCAUUCUGGCUUCUCGAUAUUUCCAACGCUGCUAUGGUGAUCAAUCUCGUUGGAGCUUAUCAAGUAAACAGCCAGCCGAUAUUUGCCUUCGUCGAAAAAUGGGCCGAUCAGAGAUGGCGUGGUAGUGAGCUCAUCGCUAAAGAGAUAAAGAUCCCGGUACCGGGCUUGGGCCAAUACAACAUGAAUCUCUUUAGGCUUGUUUGGAGGACGGUUUUCGUGAUCCUGACCACUGUGAUAUCGAUGCUAGUGCCGUUCGUCUUCAACGAAGUUGUGGAUAUCAUCAGCUUGGGAUUUUGGCCUUUAAUGGUCUAUUUUCCCGUCGAGAUGUAUAUUAGACAGAAAUCAAUUGACAGAUGGAGCCGUAAAUGGGUAUACCUGCAAAUGCUGAGCAUGACCUGUCUUGUGAUAUCGAUCAUGGCAACUGUGGGUUCGAUCCCCCAACUUAAGGACGACCUUAAGGCUAAUCGGCCAUUCGGGAUGAGCUACUAAAAGUGCAUGGACCUUUGGUUGAUCGGCCAUUUCAGAAGAAAAAAUUACUAUCAUGGAAGUUUCAAGUUUCAUUGUUUCGUAUGGAAUUACGAACUCUGUAUCUUAUAUCCAUUGCAUAGGAAUAUUUGCUUUUUAUGCAAGUGAUGGUCGCACAUUGUCCUUUUGUUUUAAAAGAAAAAAAAUCUGAAAAUUUGGGUUUAAGUCACCACGUUCAUGUACAUUGGGUUAGGCUCCAUUCAUGUGGUAAUAGGUGUGCCGGCCUCCCAAGAUUAACAUGAGUGAGGGAAUUGUGAUAUGAAUAACGAAGGUCUCAUAUUAUUAUCACGUAAUCAAAGGUAAUUAAUCGAAAUCUCAUAAUUUGAAAGAGUUGUAUAUUUUUUUUUUUUUUGGGAAGAUGACAAAGAGGAGAUGUAUGGAUAACAAUAUUCAAAGAAAAAAAGUGAUUUUUUUUCCUGUUGGACAGUACUUCUUAAAAAUAGAAAGAUGAAAACUCCAAACGAAGUAUCGAUGAUAAAGGGCAUAAACCCACGCAAACAUCGCAAAUGAGUUACAUUGAUUGGCUCGUUAAUAUUGCGAUAGUAGUUAUUUCGUCAGUUUUGGAUUUUAUAACGAAAUGUCUUUCAUCAAGUGUUAUAUUUUGACUUUUAUUAAAAGAGAUUCAGGUUUUGUGUUAGUUUUGGACAAAGAUGGUCAAAUGCGAAUGAGACUAUACAUCUUAUAAUCUCAAAUUCAAAGAAGUCGCUAUCUUAACACGAGCUUAAUGUCAACGAUGGUCAAUGUUGAAAGCUAACCGGUAAUAUCAUCUAAACUUACUUUAACGUAAUAAUAAAAACCAAUUAAAAUUAAAGUAGUUUAUACAAUAUUAAAGGUACUUCGACAAUGCUGGAUACUAACAAAAUGCCUAGAAAGCACUACUCUCUACUAAGUUCAAGGAAAUCUAAUCAACGGUGUUGGAUAAUAAGGAUAACACCUACUAGACGCUUCUCCUAGAUGGAUAUGAGGACAUAACGUUGGAAUCUAAUCGAUGAUACUAGACAAUGAAAACAACACUUAAUACACACUGCUCCUAGAUGUGUAUGAGGACGUAAUGUCAAAAUCUGAUCAACGAUGCUGGAUAGUGAAAACAACACUUAGUACACACUACUCAUAGACGAGUACGAGGACACAAUGUCGGAAUCUAAUCGACAAUGCUAUAUAGUGGGUUAGCACUGAAAUUUAAUUAAUAGUACUGCUCGGGAUAUAGAUACUCGCUGGAAUUGAAUUUACGAUGGAAAUCUUAAGCUAUAACUAAGCUAAACUAAGUAAGGAUAAGUGCAAGAUAAAGUAAUUUUGUGUGUUGUUUAGGGGGUUCUUUGUUGGAUUGCUUGUGGUAUUUAUAGGCUGAUCUGGUAACCGUCAAUGGUCAAUUACUUUCUCCUCAAGAGUCGCUCAACUUUCUAUGUUGAACCGCCUUAUCCAUAUUUAGUUUCUGACCUCUUUGACAACAUUCUCACGGCUUGUUUAGUAGGCAUUAACUGCUCCUUUUGAGUUUGGUGCCAUUUUAACUAUUCCCGCCUUUUUCCACUGUCAAUGUUGUAUCUUCAUUAGUGACCCUUGGCUUCGACACAUGGUAACCAACUGCUUCAUCAUGGAAUUAUUUGUCUUUGCUUUUUUGUUUGUCGAAAUUUAGCCCAAGGUUUCUAAAAGUCUUUGGCUAUCCUUUAUUUUCAUAACCAUUUAUAGGUUGGGCCAAUGUAGAUUAUGGCCCAUAUAUCGCCAUCAAGGGCAAGUUUAUAGUUUUUUGUCCCUCAUGACCAGCACGUGCUUGUAGUAGUAUUUUUGAGUAUCAACAUAUGGAUUUAUUUAUUUUAAAGAAAAUAUCUCUUUUUGUGCAUGGUCUGUUAUGGAUGAUCAUUAUACCUUUCUAUUUUCUAACAUAUUAGCAGUUGAUACGAAUCAAUGGCUCUCAUUGCAUCUUGACACGUCGCUUCGGUUUUUGACAAAUAUUUUUAAUUUUUGAAUUGUUGUCUCCUACUCCCAAUAGAAGAAUACGCCUCAUCUUCUCUUUUGUACUUUUGUCUUAUUCCUUAAAUCCUAAAUCCUUCAUACUACUUGUAAGCUUUUCAUGGUGAUCGAAGCUCCCAAAUUCGAACCUAAAUCCUAUAUUUCGAACUUUGACUGCUUUCUUUACAUCAAGGAAGCCAGUUAUUGUCGAUUUCAACUUUUGAGCGUUGUAGAAGAGCAGCAUACAAAUUUGUUGCUUCUUGGGCUUGCCCUUUUGGACAAUAACCAUGCUCCACUGCCUCUCAAACCUUGUUUCCCAACCAUGUGGAAUGAGAAACUUUCAAUUUAGUACUCUUCUAUCAAGGAUAUCUAGACAUUUGCUCCUAGCAAGUUUCGAAGCUUUCCUUUAUUUGAAGAGAAUUUCCACGCCUGGUAUUUCAAUUAUAGGAUGAUUUGCCAACCUAGUUGACAUGGAUGAAUGCGGGCAUCGAGAUGGUAGUAGAGGUUAGCAUGUUGUCCCAUGAUCUAAAUAGAGAGUGGCUUUUUAUGUCUGCUUCUCAUCCCCAUCUAUCAAUUGUUUCUUUUUUCCUUGGGGACCCGUGUCUGUGACCCUUUUAGGCAUAUUCACUAUAUUUGGGUUUGUUCUAGAUGAUAUUUUUGUAGAUGAAAUCGAAGCUCUUGAGGACUUUUCCAUUUUUAAUGGUGUCCUCACUUAUGGAACUUUUUUUGAUGAGUACCAUAAAACCUCAGGUCCUAGUCUCUUCAAAGAACAAACUACUUUCUUACUUUAUUCGCUGUUGAAAUAUGUUUUCUUUAAUCCAUCCCAAAAAGUCUCAAAGGAUUUCUUUAGACUUCUUGCCAAUCUUGUGGGAGGAAAGAAAGUAGCUCUUGGCCCUCUUGUCUUAGCCAUCUUGUAUAGGAGUCUUACCUAUGUUGUCAUUUCGAUGAUGCCGAAAGAGACCAAAGUUCUAGCUGGUUUAUUCUGGAUUUUAAAAGUAUGAAUGGCUCUUUAUUUUCCUUUCUUAUUCAGUAGAAUUCCUCGUGCUCUUCCGUUCAGCCCAUCGUCGAAAUCCAUGUAGCCAAAACCUCAAAGUCUAUGUUACUGACUACUCACCUUAUCUCCUAGAAACGUUCUUGAUGACACUUCUCCUUUUCUUUACUACCUCCAGGAGAUUCUAAAUUUUGACCAUGCUCAUGUUGAACUCUUCCCUUAUGAAGCUUUCGAGUUCUACUACCUUUUUUCUGCAAAGAUUCAGCACCUAGAUGACUUCGAUACAUUUUGGUUGUCUCCAUUUGACCUUCCGAUACGGCUCUAUAAAAAGGAAAGAUUCUACCAUGGGUUGGAAGCCUAUUCUUCGCAGUACUGUGCCAAGUAGUUUGGUCUUCAUCGGGUUAUACUAAUGCCAAUUGCUUAUUUCAUGAAGUAUCCUUUGAUGAACAAAAAAAAAAAAAAAUUACAACUAUAAAAAACGCAAGCCCUUUGUCUAUUGCUAUUAGAUAAUUGUGACAAUAUGGGGCCGAUUUUCUCCAAAUUUGGAAGUUUUUUCAAUUUCUCCGGGAGUUAUAGCGGGAUAUACUAGCUAGUAGGUCUCUUUCACAUUUGCAAUCCCAUAUGAAGAAGCCAUCAAGAUUGUUUUCAAUCGAAUAAAGCAAUGCCGUCCCAAUCGAUUGAAACGACUAAGAAAGGCAAAUUAGUGUUGGAAUAUCCUCUUGAACUUGGUCCUCCAAUCAUAUCGACAACACUUAGAAUUGGGGCUUCAGAAGGGACUGACGUUCAUAUACCAGCUUCGUCGUGGCAAGAGGAUCUAGAGCAAGAAAAUCCAGGAGAGGAUCCAGGGCUAGAGCAAGAAGAUCUAGAAGAGGAAGAAGAAGAACCAUAGGAGGAGGAUUCUGGAGAAAGGCUAGUUAGGCGUCUGCUUGGACUAUCAAAGGUAUAAUCGAUUAAUCUCCUCUAAUUCUCCUAUAUUUUUGCUAACUCUUCUUCCUUUGCUAUCUAGAUACGCAUGUUGGUGUUAUAAUAUCUCAACUCAAUAAAAAAAAAAAAAAAAGGAUACUUCUCCCCUUUCGAUGAGGAAAUAACCUCGACUAAUGGCUGAAGAUGCGGCCUUAAUUCCAAUAGAAGAUAGCCACAUGUCUCCAAAUGAACCUAAUAACUUCAAUGGUCCACUUAAGGCCUCAAUAGAAGAUUUCCAGGGUACAGAAGCUCACCUUUUAACUCUUGGGAAUGCUGGGGUUGUGCUUACCUCUGUUCCUCUAGCAAUUCGUGGCAAGUGUUUUUCUCUUUUUUGUCAUAUCUUUGUUUGCUUAUUAUGCUUUUAGGUGUUGACAUUAUUUGACAUGACAGCUAUUAAUGCAUCAACUAGUGGCAAGGAAUCAACCUAGCAUACUUCUACUUAGCCUUUGAUCGAAGAUAUUGUUAUGGAGCUUGGUAUGUAUAAGGUCUCCUUACUCUGUUUUAGUAAAUGAACUAACUUUUAUCUUUACUUCUUUCAAUAUGACAGUAUCUAUCCCUCAAUCUCCACCAACCAUUGCAUCUUCGACAGCUAAUGUCACUCUGCCACAAGUUCCUCUUUCCAUUCUUGCUGUCAUUCAUCCACAAAGAGAACAAGACUUCUCUAGUUAUUCUGGCCAAUACUAUCAGUGCUUUGGAUGAAGUCGUUCGUGUCCUAGUUGUUGAUACUAGUGAUUUGACCUCAGGAGUUUCCUCAUAAGUGGUCAAACUUGAUAGUCUAAAGGACAAGCUAGCACAAUUUAUGUUCCUCUCAAGUGUUGGUAUAUCAUGAUGAUGAGCAGUCGGCCCACCCAUUCUUAGCUUAAGUCAUUGAUGGGUGAAUUGAACAAAGAUGAUAUUGGUGAUCUUCUGCCUCCAAGCCUUAAGUCAGGGCUCAAGGAUUUCUAUAAUAGGUUCUCAUCUAUUUUUGAUACUUAUCAUCAGAACCGGACUCAGUUCACAAUGUUAAUUGUUCUUAAAGAACCUCCUUUUGAGCUAAGUAAUCAAGUGAAAGAGGCAGAAUAAUAGGUAAAACAAGAUCAUUGAUCUCUGCAAGUUAACAUGAAUGAAAUUGCUGACCUUGAAAGGAAGGAGUAUACUCUUGAGAAACAAAAGGUGGCAAUUGAAAGGAGAUUGGAGGAAGUUCACUAGAAGUUGGAAACCAAGUUUAAUGGCAAAGCCCCAAGUGAAAAUCAAUUGCGCAAGUCUGUAGCUAUCCUCAAGGGAACGAAGAUAGAAGACUAUGCUCGUUGAAAGUAGUAAAUUUCAGAACGUCAUCGUGUCAUAAAUGAAUAUCUAAACCAAAACCUUGGUUUUGACUAGCUCAUGUGUAAUCUUCAGCAAGAUGUAAAAUCUUUCUUAUACCCUAAGUCUUCGGAAUGAAAUUGUCACGUCUCGAUCCUCAAGCACGCACUCAUCUCUUAUCUGGUCGAUAUAAUAGCGACAUCCCAAGACGGAUAGCUAACCCAUUCCUUUUUAAUACGCAUGCGAAAGCAUAUAGAAAAUUUCCAGAUAAUAAAACAAUGAGAUAGAAAAGUAGGGCCAUAUUUUUCAACAUGAAAAACCACAACCACACUUUUAUACUAAGCAACUCUCAUAGUAUAUAUUACAAUAUUAUUCACAAAAGUCUGGUCUAUCACGCAUCAGUAUACAUCUCGGGGUUUGCAAAAUAGGAUGGGGCCUUAGUCCUCAUCCGGGUCAUACUUUGGAUCGUCCUCGGGAUCCUCCUCUGAAUCAUCCUCUGAGUCCUCUUCAGGCUCCCCCUCUGGAUCAUUCUCCUCAUCAGGUUCCUCCUCUGGAUCAUCCUCUGAAUUAAUGACCACUCGUUCUUCGAUGCUCCAGCUGGAAUCCACGUUGGAGUAUAAUGGAGACUCUGGAUCGCCGAGCUUGGGAUCCUUUACAUUUACUACCAAUCCAUCCUUAGGAUUUGUCGUCCCUUCUCUGUACAUCUCUUCCAACACAUAUAAAGGCACAUCACUUUUUGGCAUGGGACCCUCUCUUCGCCCAUCAUGGUAGUGAUGGUACCACGACCGAUACUCGUGGGGCACCUUAUCAAGUUUACUCACAUCAACCCAGACAGUGGACUUGAUCAAUAUGUACUUCGGUCCUUCGGGAUGGUUAUGCAUAUGGAAGUUGUAUCCUAUCUUCGUAAUAUCUUAGGGUAUACCAAAAUGCAUGGGAGGAUGAGGAGAUGGAGGUGCUGCCAUCUAGGGGCCUGAAAUGUUAUUCCACAAUGGGGUGAGACGACGUCUCAGUGAGUUCUACCCCUUAAGACUCGAUUAGAAGGCCAAUACGUCAUAAAGGCUGCCUAUGCAUAACACGGGUCAGAGGACUUACCUUGACCUCAAAUUCCACCUACAAUACAACACAGUUCGAAUAGGCACCUAAUCAAUCACCACACAUCGAAACAUCGAUCAAUCGAGCUAGUCAAUUACAUGUCACUCAUAUCACUCCCCGGUCAUUUCAUUCAAUACUGUCCAUUCUCCAAGAUAACAUAUCAAGUUACCGAGCCAGUAUGUUAUAAUAUUCGUUCUCCGAAAUGACAAACUAAGUCACCGAGCCACUAUAAUAUACUAUUCAUUCUCCAAGAUAACCUAUCGAGUUAUCGAGCUAGUAUAUUAUAAUAUUCAUUGUCCGAGAUGACAUAUAGAGUCACUGAGUAUAUAAAACAUAACGUACAUUCUCCAAGAUGACAUAUAGAGUCACCGAGCCGUUAUGGUAUGUCGUCCAUUCUCCAAGAUGAUCUAUAGAGUCACCGAGUCGACAUUGCAUACCAUUCACUCUCUAAGACAACCUAUAAAGUCGUCGAGUCAGUAUAAUAUAACAUUCAGACUGUACAUCAAUUUACCACUUUUAUCAAUAUAUCGUUCUUUCUCCAAGAUGACAUAUAGAGUCAUCAAGCCAGUAUAAUAUGUCAUUUUGAUCGUACAAUCAAUUUGUCAUUUUUAUUAUUCUCGAUAAAAAUACACGUAUGUGGGUAUACGGCUGGCCUUAGCCAAAAUACAAGGUUUUCACUUUUGAACCUCCCACUAUUUUUGGCAGUCCCAAAAUAGAUUUUUGGCGCUAUAAACCGACGCCUGGUAAUUAUCCAAUUAAUUACCAAAAUUUAUUAAUUUAGGAAAUAAAUCCUAAAAUCACAAUUAAAUCAAUUCAGCACAAAUUAAAGCUCGAAUAAAUAAAUAAGCCGCACCACAGUAAUCAACAUAAAAUUCUGGUCACCGACUAUCCCGGUCUAAUUUCUGGAAAAUAAAUAAAUAAAUAAUAAAAUAAUUAUUGAAAAUAUUAAAUAAAUGCCAAUAAGUCCAAUUUAGGCUUGUAAUGCCUAAUUAGAUGCUUAAAUGGACCUGAAAAAAUUCCAAGGUUCAUUUAAUAAAUACUAGAACCUAUUUACUUGCUAAAUUCACUAACUAUUUGCUUAACAUGCAUCGAUAAGGCACUAAAUUAAUUCACCUAAUCUAAUCUAUCUACUUAAUUGCACUUAAUUAAAUCUAAUCAACCCAUAAGCAUCAUUAACCUACUAAGUGAGGUAUAGUGAGUAAAACUUACUUGAUUCGAGAUUCGAUUAGAUCAAAUCGUCGGGGAACGCGACGAGGCUCAACUUUUCCAAAGGCGAGCCUAACUUUCGAGGUUCGAGAGCACCUCAAAACGGGCCUAGAGCUUGCUGGAAAACCCACUCUUUUGCUCUCUGCUUUGAGCUGCAAACCAAAGAAAACAAAGGCUGAUGUAGGUCAAAGAUGGCUAAGGAGGCAAUUUGGUUUGGUGGCGGUCCAGGUGGUGACAACAGGGGCUCGAGUGGACAUCGGCAAUGGCUUGGGCUCCUUAGACAGCUUGUUGGAGACGGGGCCGGUAGGGACAAUGCAGGUGGAUGACGAUGAGGUGCGAAGGGCUGGCAGACGUGCGCGGGCGCUCGCUCGAUGGUGGGAUGGCGUUCCGGCAUGUGACGGCUGCUCUGGCUUUUGCUGGCUUUUGCUGGCUUCUUGUGUGCAAAAAUGAAGAGGAGGUAGAGAGAAGAAGCUAACCGAUUGCUUUGUGAGGGAAAGAGAGAAGGGAUGGGGAGACAAGGGGCCUACCAUGCUCAAUCUCAUCCAAAUUGGUCCCCUUGACCUUUGCUUAGCCACAGCUGGUCUCCAUGGCCACCAAGCAGCCACCAAGGCUCCAAACACAACCCUUGAAAUGGUCCAAAAUGGCUAGGUAAGGGGGGCAUACGAAUUUCCUUAAUUUUUCUCUCAAUUGGCCACUUGUUCCUACUUGUUUCAUCAUAAAUCGGCCUCGAUAAAUUCAAUCAACAUCCCAACAAUCAAAUUGACAUUUUUCCUCACCAAUUAAUCCAUCUUGCAUCCCAAUUACGCAAUAAAAAAACGAUCACUGGCUUUUUCUAGACAAAAACGGCCUUAGGACAACUUUUUCCCAAAAAGUCUCGGGUUGCAGAAAAAUCUUUUGAGACUGAGUUGAUACUCCUAGAAUUUAUUGUGACAUGACAAAAUUUUUAAUUUCUAAAAUCGGACUUGAAUUCACAGUUAAUUUCCAUUUGGCGCAUUUUUAGCGUAACUUAGGCUACCGGGUAACUUUCAUAAAGUUUUUUUUAGUGCAAAUGACCCGUGGUCAAUUUUCUUCGAGUCAUGAUGAACCCACUCGACUCAUUGGCAACUCUCAGUUGUCGUGAAAAUCUCAAUGAUUCAAAUACGGACACAGGGUACCAAAACGAUAGAAAAAUCAGUUUAGUGCUGGCCUAUAAGAAUUUUCCAAUUUAAUGGUGUCACCCAUGAUUAGUCACAUAUCUCUGUCAAACCAGCCUAUCUCUGAUAGGAGCACGGUCGAGAAGCCGAUUCCUAGUCGAAUUCUCAAGUCUAUUGCCUUAAAAUUCCUUAAUGGCUUCCCCAAAUAGUCUAGUUAUCUCAAGAGUGAUCAGCUCUUAGAACAGCCUUAUAGGCGCGUCAAUGAAAUGCCCGAUUUAUUCAGUAAAAAACAUGAUUGAAAAUCUGGGAUGUCACAUAAAUCAUUUAAUUGACAUACUCUAUCCUUUAUUUCCUUUAAAAUUUUACUUUGUAGCACCUUCAUUCUUAACUUCCUCCAUUGCAUGCCAAAGAUAAUUAUGGUGGGAUCUUCAAAUAUCAUAAACUCAUCCACAUUCCUCAAACGUAGGAUAGUGGGCUAACUUAGUUAUUCUUGGAGCCUAUUAAUAUCCAAUGGUCUUGUUCUUUCAUUAACACCUUUAUUUACAUACAAUGGCAGGUUGUUCUCAAAGUUCCAUGGGUAUUGAGGCGACCUCACACUUAUUGUGCUUAGAUCCGCUCUGUGUCCAUGAAGAGAGGAGAAAGCUCUUAUGUUUAUGGACCAAAGUAUUGAUACUGGUUAUAUUAACUUUGGUCCUCAUCUUAAGCUCUUGCCUCCUCCAUCUCUCCUUGCAAAGUGCUUCCCUCGUUACCAUGGAGAAAUUAUGCCCACACACCAGUCUUCGAUAUGUUCCUUUGCUUGGUCAAUUCCUAAUUGUCGCUUCAAUUUCUAUACUCCCUUCAACAGUCGAUUUCUCAAUAUGUAUAAAAGACUAAAGAAGGAAAUCUCAAGCAUAUGAAAUGAUGCCAAGAUUGAUGAACGUUUGAAGUUCUGCCAUAUGUCUAUUGAUCCUCUAGAGUACAAAUUGAUUGGUAACCUUUGCUAUUUUUUGGUCACCUUUGACUAAUUGUUGUUUUCCUUCCAAUUGGUCUAGUGACCAUUACUUUGCUAGAUAUAUGGUCUUUGACUGGCUUAUCUCCUUUUGUGGAACCCAACGGUAAAUACAUAAGUGCUUGUCCAUUCUUUAACAAGAUUCCUCACCUAGAUUUUUCUAAUGUUGUGUUCAUGGAUAGAUUCGCUAGGAUUAGUGGACCUAUCUUCGCUGAGGAAGAUGUCGCCUUCUUAUUAUGUUGGCUUUGUCGAUAUAUCUUCUGUCAAGUUUUGUUGACCGUAUCCCAUGAAUUCAUUAAAAUGGCGUAUGCAUUGUUGAAAGGUAUAUAUAUAAGAUUAGGUCGUAUGGCUCUGGCGGUAUUGUAUUGAGGCCUUAUGGAUGCACAAACUUCAUUAUCUAGAGGUCAUCCCAAAACCUUUCUUCAGUCCUUUAUGGAUUUUGCAUGGCUGGCCGCAUGUCUACUUUCCCCAGCUAUUUCACAAGAAGGGGCAAAUCCCAAUUCAUUGGCCUGAAAUGCAUGAAUCGUUUGUCAAAAGCGAAUUUGGGUUUUGGAAAUUCUGUCGAGUGCUUCCUUCACUGCCCAGUGGCUUUUCCCCAUUUGAAUGCUUGUUCAAUACAUUGCUGUCUCUGACUGACUUUGAUUUCUACAAGCAUAAAGCUUGCAGCCCUUUGACUACGUAGUCUGAUGUAUGCUUAUUCUAAUCACGUGUUUUGGCUCAUUCUAACCUUAUGCUAAACGCUAAACCUCUCUUAUGGAGGUCGAUUUUCCUUGGGCUUUGAGACAUGCAACCCACAUUAUUGUGCCCAACAAUUUGGACUGACCCAAGGUGUGCCCAUGCCAAUAUUGUAUUCGAUGAACUUUCCUUUCUUCAAGUCGCGCCUUGAUUAGGUGCAGGAUAGAGUUGCUAUCAUUUGUCAUAACAAAAUCACCCACAAUGUCUUUGAGCAUUUCUGCUUCGUCUGGAUUAUUCCCAUAGUUCUACAUCCUUCGAUGAGUGGUAAAACGACUGCCGGUUCCAACUGUUCCCUUGCUGUGCUAGUAGAGUCCUUUUGAAAGUCACCCAAUUUCCUUUGGGUUUAUUGCAUCAAUUCAAAAGACCUUCGGAGUUAUUUGAGUAUCGAGCCCUAAACAACUCUGGACAUUCAACUAGUGAAGGUAGUUCCUUUGUUUUUACUCAUUUUCAUUUGCUCAUCUUCUAAAUUACUUAUUCAAUGCAAAUGAUUCUUCAUCGUCCAAUGGGCAAACUAUACGGACCUUCGACGAGCUUAUGUAUGAUUCACCUCUUUAUCCAGCUAAUAUGAACUACAUUAAUAUGGUUCAAAUUUCAAGAGGUGCCAAUGAUCUUGGCUCACUAUUUCUCUUCUUACCUAAUGAGCCAAUUCCAUCUGAGGAUUGUAACUCCAUUCCAAUCAAAUGGUUACAACUUCAUGACCUAUUGAAGAAGGGUUAUGACAUCAUAUUUAAUGACAUAGUCAUUGAGUGUGAAAUCAAGACCCUCCUUACUCUCCUGACCAACCUGCCCUAUUCUCUACAGUGUCGAGCCCUUGAGUUUGCUAUCAAUGAAUUCUAUCUUUCUUUUGGCUCCACUCUAGAGUCAUAUAGGGCACGACUGAAGCAUAUAGAGGAUAUCGACAUGUCACGCCCUGAACCCCGGGCACAUAACAGCCCCUUCCUUGGUCGAUAGAAAGCGACGUCCCAGGAUUCAUCGACGACCAUUCAUUUUAAUCUUUCAUUUUGUGCAAGCGGAAACGAACCCUCUCCCAAUCAAGUAGACAAUCUAGCAAUCACAUAGGGAUAGAGAGAUGAACAGCAGAAACCACAACAAUAAUUACAACAACAACAACAACAACAACAUCUACUCAUAUAUACAUUUUUAUAUUGGAUUAACCUACGGAGAUACGCUUCCGAUCUACAAGCCCAACAGAGGGCCGAUCCAUCCUCUAAGCCAGACCAAAAAGACACUAGGCUAGGCUAACCCAACUAUACACAAAAAGAACCCUCGGGCUCGGCAAUAUAAUCACUCAUAUCCAACGAACUCAGACCCUGUCGAUUCACAAUUAGAGGCAAACGGGUCGAUCAUUGUUGAAGUGGGACCAAGAUCCUCUACUGCACCGUCAAGAUGGUCUAGCUCCAUGGGAUCCCAGUCAGUGUCCUCGGGGCCCCUACUGGGCGGCCCGUCAAAACCUCUCAGGGGACCGAUCAAUAAGUUGCCAUCCCGGAUGAACCAUGCCAAGAACCUAUGGGGUAUCCAUUGCCCCAAUCCCUCAUCCACCCAGAUAGUGGAGAGAUAUUUCUUGUACAGAUGCGUCCGACCCGAAAAGCGGUGGUGCAUCACGAUAGUAUCCCAGUCCUUAGGGAUACCGAACCUCAUUGGUGGAAGCGCCAUCCUAAGGACCUGAAAGUGGUUAUAUAAUAACCAGUGAGAUAAAAUCUUAGCGAGUCCUCCCCUAAGCCCUCGAUUAGAACACUAACUCAACUCGGAGUAUCUCUCCAGAACCACCUCACAAAUAAACCACGACUAACAACCAACAAUCAACAAAUCGAUUCACAUGCAACCUUACCCGAUAUGUCAAACCCUGCACAUUGAAUCUCAGCACAAUACACGCAAUGUACAUGGCCAUUAGAUGAUACAGUUCAUCAAUCACAUACGAGUCGCGUCACAAGCGAUCUCACCUGGCCAUUGCCACACCCUGCAUAUUAUUGAUUUAUGCAUGUGUGUCAUAAACAAAGUGAUCCACUCAUGUACAACCGGAACCAAUGAUGCCAUGAUUCUCAUAGGCUCUUGCACUUUAGUGCGCCACAUAACACAUAUCGAUCAAUCACACGGGUCCUGAUUAUAAGGUAAAAUCGUUAUAACGCGUCACAUACCGUGCCACACAAUUUGCCCCAUAAUAAGGCUCAACGAACUCAACACUCACGCAUGUUUCACUUAUUUAUGACCUCCCGGCCAUGGCCAACUUUCUAGUUAGCGAUCAUCCGACUCCUGCUGGGCUACUGAUAAAAAUUGGGCUUCGUCUGCCCCAUCGGGCACGGCAACGUCUAGAACUUCCGCCUAGACGGUAUCCCAAAAAGGAACAUCAGUCUAAAAUCUACUACAAUCGGCUUUCGACUCCCGCCGAGUAUCACCCCAAACUUCCGUUGGGUGACGGUUCAACUUUUGAUCACGUAAGCACACCACUAAGACUCCCUUUUUAUCUUUGCACAUUUAGCCAAAGCACAAUGCUUGCAAAUACAAUUUCAAAUCAUUUUCUCCUAAAGGCGGUCCAUUUCGGUGUCCCUCGGACAAACCGUUGUCCCAUUUUGUGAAAAUCACUCGAUUCAUGCGGAUGCCCAUGCAUUUACACAUCUAUUCACCUCAUAGGAUUAAAACACAUGAAAUUAGACAACUUUUCACUCUUAGAUGAACAGUGCGUGUGAACAGUACCGCGUGAACAGUAACUUGUGAAAAGUGAAAUUCCGAAAUUUCCUAACUAAUAAAUUAAAUUCAGAAAUCAUUAAAAACAUUAAUUAAAAUAAACGACCAAUCAGUUAAAGCUAAACAUACUUAAUCAAACAUAUAAGCCACAUUAAGCAAAUAAAGCAAGAUUAAGCUAAAGUAAUUUUAAUCAUCUAUCUAACCACCUAUCUUAGGGCUAAUAUAACUUAAUUAAAUCUCCUAAACUAGAAUUAACUCUAAUUAAACCAACCCUAAACAAGUUUAGGCACGAAUCGACGGAUUAGAAGCUAAACUCACCCGUUAAGCGGGUCGGAGACACUGACGCGGUGGUGACGAAAGAGGCUACGCACGGGGACCUCAACCACAUAAAUCCAAGGUGGUCAAGCUCAAAAUAGCAGCAACAAACUCUACCUCUCACUGCAACUCUAGAAACUGGACUACAGAGGCAAGAAAAGAGCUGAAGUACUUAGCCGGAGCUUCGACAAGGGAUUGGCCAGCGACCGGCGGCACCUGGGGUCAAGGGGGAUCUGCUGAUGGCUGGGUUGGGCAGAGGUUGGGUUGAAAAGGAAGGAAAAUGGUUGAAAUAGGCGAAACAGUGCAGGCGGGCAGCUGCCAAGCGGUCCGGCGAGCAGUGACUUCUAGCCAGCCAGCAGGUCAGCCAGUGGCUCCGACCGGCGAGCAGCCAAGUUGGUCUGUAAAGUCUGGGUGUCCUAGACACGGUGGUGGGUGGCACAAGGGCUGAUUUGCACGGGAAGCCAACACUUAACUUAGCUUUUCGCAAGAAGAUCAGCUGGAGGAGAAAUGGGAAGGAAGGGAAAACAGAGGAGGGAGGGGGCUACGAAUUUUCUAGGUGAAAAGGGAGGAGAGAGAGAGAGAGAAGAAAGAGCUGGUUGUCUUCCUCAUUAAGGCCAUUAAGGCUUGCCCCAAGUCCCCAUGCAAAGUGACCUCAUCUUCUUCCUCAUCCUUUGACUUAUCCAUACAAAAGCUAGGGGCAAAAUGGUCAUUUCCACCUUGCACAAUUUCCCAAUCUGCCCUUAGACCUUGCACAAUUUCCCAAUCUGCCCUUAGGCUGAAAAUGAAAAGUGGGCCUAAGAAAUGAGCUAGGAAAUGAAUAGGAAUGGGCUUAGGAGAUCAAAUGGUGGGUUGGGCCUAAUGGGUUCACUUGCUUGCCUUGGGCCUACCAUGGUGGUUGUCCCAUCUUGGGCUUAAGGCCCACACCUACUUUGCUCGGCCCACAUCCUCACACGCUUGCUCCCUCAGUCUGUAAGUUCUUUUUCCCGACACUUGGCUUGACUGGCACUACCGAUUGCCGAAGUAGCAACAUCUGAGGUCCAUCUUGGACGUUCCCAAUAAUUCGAAAUCCAAUCUUGGGUUCUCAUGCCAUGUCAAUUUUUCCCUAAUGCCAUUUUGGGUACAACUCAGAUUAAUAGGUGGCUUUGAGGAUUCACGCGUAACCAACUCGUGCCAAACCACGUUCAAAACAUCUCGACACAUGGAUGUCCUUGACUACAUAAAAUUGCAGAUGAUAGAUUCUUUUUUCAAAGUACACGAUUAUCGAGGAUCGAUCUAGGGUCGUUCGCGGGCUUAAUAACAGUUACGAAAUCACUCGUCGUUCCAUUAUGUUCUGUCCGCGACUUGACUUCUAGUCGUCCUUGAAAUCGGCCUGCCUAUCUACAGGAUCGUCCUCACACAAGUUUCACGAUCAAGUCGUUUUCCCCAGUCAAGUUCUUUAGUCGUAUGAGUUUUGUCCUCAUUAGCCUUUCCCCUCAAGGUCAAUAUCUCAGGAGUGAUCAAUUCCAAGUGAGAUCAACCAAUAAUGCAUUGACGAAAUUCACAUUUAUUCAUCCCUCAAAGGGCUCGAUUUUCAAGAUGUCACACAACAAGCUAGAGGAGAAUGUCUUUUUCAAAAGGGAGGAACUGUCCCGACAACGCACCACUUUCAGCAUUCUAAAGGUGAAUGAUCACUCCCUUGCAAGCAUUAUUGAUUCAAUCAAGGUUGAUCACUGACUUGGAGGCAGUCUGUGUUUCCUUGGAGCUUAAACUAUUGGAGCUUGAUAGCAAAAGGAAUGAGUAUUUAUCAUGAACCAAGAUUCAUCUGAAUCACUUGCAGUCGACCGUCUUCAUCACAUUUAAUGACCAAAGGCUUCUCGCUUGUCUCAAUCCUUCAAUAAUCGUGACUCUUCAACAGUUGAGCAUGAUUUGCAUUGGUUAACAUCACAUCAUUUCAAUUUCCAUUAUAAUCUUAAUUGUAUGCGUUGUAUCAAUCCAUUAUCCCACGACGAACGAAUUCCUAUUUUGCCAGUUGUACUACAAUGAUGCACGUUCAUCCGUUCUCUUAUCACAUUGGUUCAUCAAGGGUCAUGACUAUUCGGCUUCCAAAUUUCGCCUAUAAAUGGUGUGGUUCAUGGCAGUCGGAUUCCCAUACACCAAUUCGACCUUUGAAGCUUUCCUGCAUUUCUACCAAAUCAAAAUAGCGCUAAAAAUCGUCUUCUUCCUCCUUCUCUUCUCCAUACUACGACAGCCAUUUCAUCACCCUAUGAACAUAACUACUCUCUUACCUUAACCUCACAUAUAGCUUGCUGACCACCAAGCCUAGUGCCCUAGAAAGACUCAAAACCUUUGUGACUCAAUGUUGUACCCAAGAAGCUUCCUAAGGGUGACCCUUUCAUCGCCGACUAUGAUGAGUUCCCGGUGACCUUCAACCAUGGUGUUGAAAGCUUCCAAUCCAACUUGGGAGACAUCGUUACUUUCGACAUCGAAAAGCACGAGUAAUGGAGCAAGAAGGAGGAGAUCGAAAAUGCCAAUGCGGUCUACCGUGAAAUCAAGGAGGUAGAAGGAACCCUUCAUGCCGUCCAUACUCAGUUGCCUAGGUUCUAGGGGGUCAUCUCCAACCGGGCUAAAGCGGUGAAGAAGUGGCUGAAGAAUGGGCUAGCCCCUGGUGAGCAACGAGAGCUCGAGAUUGACAAGGUUAUGCUAGCCAGAUCCCUAUCGUCUAUGGACUCCAACAUCAAGGCUAUCGAAGCUUUGCUUGAGAAGGCCGACGAACUAAUUGGAGACCAGUUGGUUCUUCUCUAGUGCUUGGAGAAGGAAAGAGACGCCCUCGAGACGGCGAUGGAUAAGUUGCAGAAGCCUAAGGAGCGCAUAGAAAAAGCCAACGACCACCUAAAGACAUCGCUGCACCACUUCGUGGUUGCGUGCGGGAGUAGGAAGGAAGGAAGAAGGAAGGAAGGAAGAGAGAGAGAGAGAGAGAGAGAGAGAGAGAGAGAUAAAAACAAAAUGAAAAUAAGAAUGAAAAAUUUUAGAAAUUCUCUGACCUUUUAUUUUCUUCAAUCUCUUGCCUUUCCCACAUAGUCAGAUAGUACUUCUUUAGGAACUUGCCAUUAAUCGAUCGUUGAAAUUCUUUUCCGUCCAUCUCCAUUAAUCAAUAUGUAUUCCUAGUAAGAACUUCACUGACUAAGUAUAGGUCUUCCUAAAUUGAUGAUCAUUUACCAAAUCUUUCAUUAUCCGUACUUGUGGGUAAUAUAGUCUUCCAAACCAAAUCACUAAUAUCAAUAUUCUUAUGCUUGACAUACUUAUUGUAUGCUCUGGCAACACUUCAUUUCUGGGCAACCAACUUACUCUCACCUAGGUCAUCAACAUUGGCAUACAUCAACUUAUCAUACUCUUUCUUUGAAAAGUUGUCCUGUAAUUUCACCCUACAUGACUAUACUGUAAUUUCAAACGGGAGGACGGCUUCUUGUCCAUAUGUUAGCAUAUGUGGGCUAACCCCAAUACUUGAUAUCUUUGAUAUUCAAUAAGUCCAUAACACUAUUGAUAAUAGGAUGUUCCAUUCUUGUGGGUUUUCCUCCAAGUACUUCUUGAUAAGAUUAAUGAUGAUCUUGUUGGAAGCAUUGACUUGACUAUUAGCCUGAGUAUAAUAAGGCGUCCAAUGAACCAUUUUAAUGCUUCUAGAUUUCAAAAAUCCCAACGCCUCUUGCCAUGUAAACACUGUCCCUUGGUUAGCAGUUAUAGACUCAAUAAUCCGAAAUCGAUGGAUAAUCCGUUCUUCGAUAAACUCCCUCACAACCUUUUGUAUUAUAUCCUUAUAGGAAGCGGCUUCUUCCCACUUUGUGAAGUAAUUAGUUGCCACUGGAUGAAACUAUGCUUCUUCGAUGGUGGGGGUAAAUUUUACCUAUUAAAUCCAUUACCCAACCUCGAAAAGGUCACGGUUUAAUAAUAGGUUUCAUUAUUGCAGUUGGCACAUGUUGGAGCGGACUAUGUUUCUGGCAGGGCUUACAACCUUUAGUAUAAUUGAUGCGAUCCUUUGUAAUAAUUGAUUAAACGUAACCAUUUCAUUUUCAUUUUUAUCCCGGCUUGGUGUUUGCCACAAAUUCUUUUUAUGUAUUUCGGCCAUUACAACCAUCAAUUCUUGCUUUCCUAGACACCUUAGUGACAGCCCAUGCACUGUCCUUUGAUACAACUCAUCACCAAUUAACAAGUACUUCAUCACCUAUCUCUUAAAUUCUUGUUAUCGGCAACUGGGUUUUUCUUAAGUAAUUUAUCAGUGGAAUUCUCUAAUCUUGCUUGUCUUGAUCAUCGUGGCUCUCGACCACACAGCUUGGUACCAUUAUCACUCCAUUAUCUAUCGUUACCAGUGUAAUAAUAUGUUCUGCGAGCUCUUUAGAUAUUUUAUAAUCGGAUGCCAUUUGAGCUAAUUCAUUGGUUUUCGAAUUCUCAUUUCUCCUAACAUGAAUUAAUUCACAUUUGGCGAAAUUUUUCAAUAAAUCUUUUGUUAGGAUGGGAUGUGAUAUUAUGUUUUCAUUUAAGCACUGAUAUUCUCUGGUCAGCUACUUUAUAACUAAUUGUGAAGCUCCUUUGAUCCUCACAAAUUAGACCUUCAUGUCGAUCAAUAUUUUGAGAACAACAAUCAAAGCUUCAUACUCUGCUUGAUUGUUCAAACAUAGAAUAAAUUUAGUUUUAUGACCUUGUGGAGACACGAUCAUAAUCCCAGCGCCUGAUGAUCCGAAUGCGCUUGAUCCAUUGAAAUAUAAACUUACAGUAGUACUCAAAUAAAGUUUCAUCAUCUUCAAUCUUUAAAGGGGUGAGUAUUUUGCAAUGAAUUGAAUUUGCAUAAAGCUUCCAACUUCAAAUGCAAAAGGAGCCAUCAAUUCAACAAUAAAAAGAAUGAGAUUGAUCAGGCACCCAAGAUGGUUAAGACCUUCCGACGCAAGAAGCGUGGUGAGAAAAAGGAUAAGGCCAUGAUGAACUCCUACAAUUAUGGCAAAUUAGGUCACUUUGCUCUUGAAUGAACUGAGUCGAAAGAAGUACCACAUUUCUGUGAAAGCUAGUAUGAACACCUAGAGGGGGAUGAAUAGGUGUUUAAAAUAAACCUUGGCAAAUAUAUGCGGAAUAAAGUAAUUUCAAGUAAAACAAAGGAAUUAGGGAAGAGAAUAAGAACAUAAGAUUUAUAGUGGUUCGGCUUAAUCCAAGCCUACGUUAACUCUCCCACGCUAACAGCCUUCUUGGCUGGAUUCCACUAUGCAAUCAACAAGAGAUUACAACUUUGAGUGCAAACACUUAGUAGAUCACACUAUCUCACUAAGUCACUCUUUUGGUAUUUCUCUCACGGUCACAAACGUUUAAGCUCUCCAAAGACAAGUGUAUGAUCGAAGGUCGCUCAGACUUUGGAAUUAUAAAUUCUACGCUCUAUCUCUUACUUGCUCAUCGGUCCUUCAUCUCCUUAAAUACUUCUCCACUUCCAAACUAGCCGUUGGACAGUAUCCCAGAGAAUCGUCUUCCAAUAUACCCAUUGGACAGCUCUGUAUCUAGAAGAUUUGGUAGCCGUUGAGUGACAAAGGUAGAAUCCCAAAUUGAUUCCGAUCGCCCAUACAAACGGAAUCUUGGUUUCCAUAAGUAAAGCUUCUUCGUAUAAAAAGAUCUUGUCUUCAAGAUCCAAUUGUCAAUCAAUUAGAUUGAGUCAAUCAAAUCAAUCUUGAUGUGGAAUCCAAACCAGAUCAUUAGCCGUUAUAUGAUUGGGCUUGAGUUACGUUCUGUCGAAUCUGGAUGUAAAGUCUAAGAGCAAUAGACUUUACAAUCUGAGUCUGAGUGCGAUAGACUUUGCAAUCUGAGUCUGAACAUAUUAUGCUUUUGAACAAAUUUAGCUUUAAGGUAUGUACCCAGUUUAGCUUCAGCAUAGAGUCUGUCUUCUGGUUCAUCAUUCACGUUCAGUCUGGAAUUUGUCAGAAUGAGCAGACUUCUGAUGUAGAACAGACUUUGACACUAAAGUCUGGCAAUGUUUAGACUUUGACACAGAAGUCUGGAAAUCUUCAGAAUAUACUUUGGACAUGAGUUACGUUCAGUCUUCUGGCCGUCUUCAGACUUUGACAAUAUCCUUUACAUGUUCUAUUAUCUGUAUUGUCUAUUACUUAAUUAUCAAAUAUGUUAGUAGCCUUUGAUUUAUUUUGUCAUCUUCAAAACAUCAUAAGGGAUUUCCCUAACAAUUUCUCCAUUACUUUAAGUAAUAUUUUUAUUUCUAACACUAUAAUACUUGCUGAAUCUUAUCCAAUGUGGAAUGUAGACUCAAGAACAAUAAACCACGUAGCUAAAGACCGAUGAGCAUUUGUGGAGUAUCGUUGGAUACAAUUUGGAAGAAUAUGGAUAUAUGUGGCACCCCUCGAUGGCCCCUGAUCCAUUAGGGUCGCCACAGCUUGCUUACCUUUCACUUUCCCUAAUAACAUGUUACCAUGAUACCAUUUCAAUUGCAGCGGGUCCAUACAACCUGGGGGUUUACAUUUUUUUUUUUUAUCGGUCUCUUGCGCAAUUCAUAUAGCGGAAGCACAUCCAUCAAUUCCCUUCCUUAUAUUCAGAAAACAAUGCACACCAACUAAACAUUUAUAGGUAAAAGCCGAACACUUUUAUUUACUUAAACCAGAUGGACAUCAUUCAUUGGUACAUCAAAAAGCCAUAGUUUUCUAUAUUUGGCUAUACUUCAAAAGAUAACCGACAUCUCCUCCAACAGUCGUAUACUUAAAGUCCAUUGAUUAGUGUCGGCAUCCAAAAGUUCAUUCCUUUGCUAUCCUCCUCCCCGCGGUCAUAUCCAACCACUUGAUCCAUCUACUGGUGGUAGUGGCAGUAGAUAAAUCUUAUCUAGUCUGAAAUGUUAAUCCCCAAAAGGGGUGAGUACAACCACUCGGCAGUAAAGAUCCACCAAACUACUCAUUGCGUCACACAUAACAAUCAAGGCAUCAUAACAGAGCACAUAUCAUUCAUGCAUUCAAGCAUAACUUACCUUGCAACCAUGCAUAUGUCAUCAUACCAUAUGUGCAUAUACCAUCAUGCACUCAUCAUCAAGCAUUCAUGCAUAUAUCACCAUGCCAUAUGUGCAUAUACCACCAUGCACUCAUCAUCAAGCAUUCAUGCAGAUAUCGCCAUGCCCUAUGUGCAUAUACCACCAUGCACUCAUCAUCAAGCAUUCAUACAUAUCCAUGCCAUAGGUGCAUAUACCACCAUGCAAUCAUGCAUAUCUCACCAUGCCAUCGUGCAUAUACCACCAUGAUUCAUAUCAUCUAUGCUAUCAAGCAUACAUCACCAUGAGAUCCAUUCAUGCCUUUAUGAUCACAUUUUCAAUAUCAAAUAGCAUUAAUUUACUUUCAUAAGCAGAUCAUGCAUCAUGCCAUAUACACACACCCAUGCACAUGAUUCAUUUUCAAUUCUUAUCUUUCACAAGGAUCUCAUCAGUUUUUCUUUCUAGGGACCAAUGUUUGCAUCCCACAAUUUAUUGCUCACACCCAACCUGGCAUCGCGAGAAACCUCCGGCACACACCUCCAAGCAUUCGACACCCCCACAUUCCGGGCAUCUCGUAUCCCAACUAGCAUCAUAAGGAAUCCCCCCGGCACAUAUCUCCAAGGCUUCCGGGAUUACGUACCGACAUACCACUAGGCAUUCCCCCUGGAAUUACGUACUGUAUACCACCGGGUAUCUCGAAACUCCCAAGGACAUCCGGGCAUAUAUCGCAAUACAACCGGGCAUUUGGCACCCCCACAUUCCGGGCAUCCCGACACUCCCGGGGCAUCGUCGGCUCACACCUCCGACGGUAUCUUCAUUUAUCACAAUUCAUGUUCACAAUUGUGUCUCAAUAUUAACAUGGCACAUGAUGUGAUGACAACAAAGUCAAUUUCAGCUUUUGAUUUUAUACGUAAUGCCAUAUAUCAUCACAUAUGCAGCAAGAUCAAUUACUAUUCUUUUAGAAAACAGAAAGCAUUCUUUUUUAAUUUACAUUUCCUAUAAUUUAGUAAUUGUCUCUAAUAAUUUCUAAGAAUUUAGUACAUCAUAGACAAACUCUAAGGGCAUUCAUCUCAUGAAGAACACAGCACCACCAAAAUUUCAUACAAAACAUGAUAGUCCAUGCAUCACAGCUUUUGAAUUUGCACAAUCCAGCUAGCACGGUUUUAGAAAAAAUUUUCAUUAAAUACCCAAAUGACAUUCCAAAAUUAUGAAAUUCGAACAUGUGAUAGUCAAGAUAUAAAGGCAGAUACUUCAUGUAGAACACUACACCAAAAGAUCCCUAUAUAGUUCAAUACAGACCACACAUCACAGCACUACUAAUUAUGCCCGUUCCACUUGCACAGUUUUUUGAAACAUUUUUGGUUAAAUAGUGAACUUCAAAAAUUAUGGAAUUUGAAUAUGUUGUAGGCAAGACAUAAAUAAAGGUAUUUCAUGCAGAACACUUUUUCAGAAGAAUCUCAUACAAAACGGUGUAGACCACGCAUUGCAACAUUACCAAGUCCGGACACAUCAGAUUGCACAGUUUUAAAAACAUUUUCAAUUAAAAACCCAAAUGACCUUUAAAAAUUAUGAAAUUCGACUAUGUGAUAGCCAAGACCAUAAGGUAAAUACUUCAUGAAGAUAUUGAAGUCAGAUUCGUCCUAGGUAAUUAAAUAUAGGCGGUUAAAACUUCUGUUCCUAGUGCCGAAAUUUCCAGAUCUAACCAUCUCCGAAAGACCACGAUUUCACCUACUUAGUCUUGUUUUUUUUCUCUAAUUUUUUGAUAUGUUCUACCUCAAGCAGUAAACUACAAAUUUCAUUAAGAAAUCAAGGUGAUAAUUUCACAAGAAGGUUACUUUACAGGCCACGAAACCACUGAAGGUCAGCACAACGAAUUCCAGAUCUAGUCUCUCCAAAGAAAAUCAUUUCACUAACCAUUUCUUGUUCGUUUUGCCUAAAAUUUUAUUAUGUUGUUCUUCAAGGUGUUCUCUACAACUUUCAUGAAGCAAUCAAAACAAUAUUCUGACUAAAAAGUCACAUGCAACACACAAUCUCAUGGACGGUCAGACUGGUCUUUCCUGAAACAGCAUGCAUGGCCAACGAAUUUCUCCCCAAAGCUUCGACUUUUCAUCACAUCUACCGCAACCAACAUUCACCAUCUUCUACACACACAUCACAUCAAUGCAAAUGGUAGGUUUUAGGACUUCACUUGCCUUAAAUCAAAGGAAAAUACAGCAAGAACGACGGCGGGACUAGGCGGGCUCGACAGCGUCUCCUCUUCCUCUCUUCCUCUCUUUCUCUCUUCUUUCUUUGGACAGUACUCUCUCUCUCUCUCUCUCUUCUCUCUCUUCUGGUCGAAAUCCCCCUCCCCCUUUUCCUUUUAGUUGAAUUAAAACCCUUGCAUGCUUUACUUCUUGCAUGGAUGGACACUUGGUUACAAAGGGGCAACACUUGGCAAGCUUUUCUUGCCACUUGGCACUUUUGCCAUGCACAUGAUGGGCCUUCAUUUGGCUGGGCUUGGGCCAGCCUUGGUCAACCACUUCAUGGGCUCCUUGGGACGGGCCUCUUGGCCCACUUUAGGCCAACACUCUUGGGCCUAAAGUCCAAGCUUAAAUGGCCCAUAUUUAUUUUUGAUAAUCCAUCUUAAUCCCACUUAUACAAGGUACCAAAUUACAAAUUUAAAUGGCCAUAAUACUUUAUAACAUAGUUUAAUAAAAUCCAACUUAUAAAAUUCAUGGCCAAAAACAUAAUUUCCUCAUCAAAUAAAAUCAUUGGUCUCACAUGGACAUGGGACGCGUUUCCAAUAAAAUAAUUAUCCAUUUAUAUAAAUACCAUAUCAUUCUUAUUCACUUGGCCAUAAAUCUUGAAAUCAUAAAUCAAUAAACUCCUACUUAUAAAACACAUGGCCAUGAGUUAUUUUUGGGAUGCCACAAUAUAUGUUGGGAAUAACUCAAGAGUUGAAGUAAAGGGUAUUAGCACUUGUAAAUUAAUUUUACAUGAUGGUUGAAGCGUAUUUCUACAUGAUAUCCUUUACGCUCCAAAUAUUCGACGGAACUUGGUUUCUAUAGUUUUUCUUCUUAGCCUACAUUAUGUAUUGAACUUUCAUAGUGAUUGUGUUGAUAUUUUAUUUGGAACAAUUUAUUAUAGUUUUGGUCAUAUAUUAAAUGGUUUUAUGGUGUUAGACAUUGAUGGUUGUUUUUCUUUAAUUACAUCUUCUAGUAAUGUUGAGAUUGAUGCAAGUACUUGGUAUGCUAGGCUAUGUCACAUUGGGUUACAAAGAAUACAAAGGUUAGAUAGAGAAAGCCUUUUAGGGUCACUUGCUAAUAUUGAUCUACCUAUUUAUGAACAUUGUCUAGCAGAAAAAGCAACUAGAAAACUAUUUGAUCAAUGAACUAUAGUCGAACUUCCAUUGCAAUUCAUACAUUCUGAUAUUUGUGGUCCAUUGAACGUGAGGGCGAUGCAUAGAGUCUCAUAUUUCAUUACUUUUAUAGAUGACUUUACGCAUUUCGGUCAUGUCUUUCCAAUCUCCCAUAAGUCAAAAGCAUUAGGCUGCUUGAGACAAUAUAUAACAUUAGUAAAGAAUUAGUUGAACAAAAUAAUAAAGGCAUUGACAACCGAUCAUAGACGUAAGUAUCUAUUUGAGCAAUUCAAGGCUCAUUGUGAUGAAAAGGGAAUUGUAAGACAAUUGAUUAUUCCUGAUACUUCGCAACAAAAUGGGGUUGCUGAAAGAAUGAAUAGAACCUUAUUGGAAAUGGUUAGGUCUACUAUGACGCAAGCAAAUUUACCUAUCUCAUAUUACGGAGAUGCAUUAUUGACUACUAUCUACAUACUUAAUCGUGUAUCCUCAAAGUCAAUCACUUCCACUCAUUAUGAAUUGUGAACUGGUAGGAAACCAGACUUAAGUAAUAUAUGUCAUUGGAGGUGUGUAGUUUAUAUUUGUGAUUCUUCCCAUAAAUAUAGUAAAUUAGGCUCUGGAGGGAAGAAAUGUAUAUUUAUAAGAUAUUUGGAAUACUCCAAAGGGUAUUUGUUCUUAGGUGAACAAGCUGAUGGAAGUGUGACCAAAAUGGAGUCACAAGAUAUUACGUUCUUAGAGAACGAUUUUCCUAGUAGAUGUGAGGUUGAUAAGGACUUCUAAUCAUAUGAGAUAGAAGACCCUUAUAACAUACCCACUAAUGUUGUCGAGGGAAAUAAAGAUUUGUCCCGACAUACAAGACUUAGUGGGAGUGUCGCAUUGCUUGACGAACUGAAUUCAAAAGAAGUUCAGUUACGUAAAAGUAAUCGUAAAAAUAUUCCUUGUUGUCAUUUUGAGAUUGAAUGGGAAGAAUUAAUGAUUACUUCGCAAGACAAUGCUGAGGCUAAAAUUAUCAUAGAGGCUCUCUCAUCCUUUGAUAAAAAAAGGAUGGAGAAAAACUUUAGAAGAUUAAAUGGAAUGAGGGCAAACCACGUUUGGGACUUGGCUGAUCUACCAUCCAAUUGUAACUAUUAUAACUAAAUAGGUUUUCAAGAUUAAGCGAAGGGUGGAUGAAUUCAUUAAAAAGUAUAAGGCUCAUCUCGUGGCAAAAUGUUAUACUUAACAAGAGGGUUUAGACUAUAAGGAAACAAUUUCACCAGUUAUAAGAUUUGCCUUAAUACGCGUUAUCUUAGCCAUUAGUGCACAUUUGGACUUAGAAUUACAUCAAAUAGAUGUAAAGACAACAUUUUUCAAUGGAGAACUAGAUGAUGAAAUCUAUAUAAAGCAGUCAAUAGAUUUCAUAAUUGAAGGUCAUGAGUGUAAAAUUUACAAAUUUCAUCGCUCAAUAUAUGGCCUUAAGCAAUCAUCUAAACAGUGGUAUUUUCGUUUUCAUCGAACCAUAAUGUCUUUCAGAUUCACGAUGAUAGAAGAAGAUCAGUGUGUAUAUGUCGAAUGGUCUGACGAUAAAUUUGUGAUUUUAUCACUUUAUGUAGACGAUAUUUAUUGACUGAAAUGACAAGGAUUUUGUUAUCACUACAAAAUAAUGGUCGUCCUAUAAUUUUGAAAUGAAUGACAUAAGAGAAGCUGCUUAUAUAUUAUGAGUUAAGAUCAAAAGAGAUCGAUCAAGAAAACUCCUUACUUUAUCACAAGAGUCUUAUAUAAUGAAAAUUCUUAAGCAUUUCAAUAUGCAGCAUUAUAAUCUCAUUGAUACCCCUGUCAUUCAAGGCAAAGGCCUAAAUACUAAGAUGUGUCUUAAGACUUUAGAAGAAAAUAAAGAAAUGGAAAUUGUUCAUUAUGCUAGUGCGGUGGGAAGUUUGAUAUAUGCUAUGAUGUAUACCCAACCCAACAUAUGUCAUGUCAUGGGGUUGGUGAGUUAAUAUAAAUCAAAUCUUAGUCAAGCACAAUGAAAAGCAGUGAAAAAAAUCCUGAAAUACUUAAAAGGCACUAUGGACUAUCGAAUUUGUUAUCAAUGGAAUGAUUUAUGCUUAUUAGACUAUUUAGAAGCUGAUUGGGGAGAAGACCUAUAUGAGCGUAAAUCAACAAUUUAACUUUUGGAUAUGCAUUCUUACUCAAUGAAUGUGCAAUUUCUUGAAAUAGCAAGAAACAUACAUGCAUGGCCUUGUCUACAAUAGAAGCAAAAAUUAUUGCAUGCUCUGCUGUAGUGCAAGAAGCCGUAUGGUUAAAAAAAAAAAUUAGAAAAUUUAGUCAUUGUCAUUAAGGUUCCAAGACCAGUGAUAGUUUAUUGUGAUAGUCAAGUAGCCGUUGCAUAUGUAAAAGAUCCCAAGUAUCAUGGAAGGACAAAAUACAUUGACAUAAAUAACAACUUCAUUAGAGAUAUAAAAGCGCGGAAAGAAGUGAUCAUUCAAUACAUUUCAAAUCAAUAGAAUGAUUGUUGAUCCAUUUACGAAUGUUAUUCCUAUAGACGUGUUCUUAGCCUACAGGAUGCCUCUAGGUUUACGUAGAAUGUGAUAUGUAAUAUUGUAGAGGAUCAUUGAGUUAUGUAUAUGUGAACAUAUGUACCAUACUUGUUUGUUAUUAGUGAUUUGACGUUUUAUCAAUAAGUACAAAUCCAUUAUAAGACUAGCACAAACAAACAUAUAUUGUUGAAAAGUAUGUCAGCAGACAAUGAUUGACUCACUCACACAAGCAAUCACCUCAAGUGCUAUAAUUAGCACGUUGAGAUGAGGCGCUAUGUACAUAUAAAUGUUGAAAAGCAAGUAUAGUACAUAAAAUAAUAUGUCACCUUGAUUGGAGUCAAAAUGAGGUUUGUAGUUUGUAUAUGAUAAAACCGAACAUGACAGUCCCACAAUCAUAUAUGCGUGAAAGAUGCCGGAUGUAAAUACUUAAUUAGGCGCUAUAGAAAGCGAGCUGAUAUAGCAUUCAUGCUAAGCAUGAGUACAUGAGAAGCAUAUGAUUAUGUUUAGGCUAAGAUCCAUAUAGUGGAUAUAUUUAAUAAAUGACAUACACUCUUAUUGAAAAAGAAAUCCAAUAUAACAUGUAAUCCAUACUACAUGUGCAUUAUAUGACCAAUAAGGGAAUGUGAGUAAAAUUAUCCAUAUUUACUCAUCGCGUGAGCUCUUGAGGUAAUAAUUUACCUCAUUUUGUAUCAUAUGUUACUUCUGACUAUGUUAUCGAAGUGAAAUAUUAAUGUUGCUACUUUAGCAUAUUACUGACGGUCAUAAAUAGAUAUAGCUUUAUGGGACAUGUCUAGGAAAAUAGUUGUUUUGAAAUGGAGAAAGACAUGAAUGCGAAGGAAUACUAUUAUUGGUUUACAUCCAUCAUAUGUAUUUAUCAGUCAACCAAUUAUAUCGCCUUCUGUAGUUUUAGAUAUAAUUGUAAAUAUAUUGUGUUAUUAGAAGAGUCAAGUAUGACUUUUAAGGAAUAUGUAUACUUGGAUUGAUGUAACAAAAUAUGUCCGAGGUAUUGUGAAACAUCGGUUGUUUAUUUAUUUUUAGGGUUGUAGCCAUUCUGUUAUCCAUAAUAGGUGCAUAAUUUGAGCUCUCAAGUGCCAGUGAGUAUAAAGCAUCGACACUCUCCAAAAGCCUUUGUAUCGUGUUGAAUACUUUAACACGUGUCCAACACUCUCCAACACCUGGUCAACUUUCUUAACACUCUCCAACACUUGAGUCAGAAUUCUGACAUACGAGUUUUCGACAUGUUAUUAUGAUAUCGAUGUCAAUUUUAAAAAUUUAAUAAAUAAGAGGUCAAUAUAUAUAUGUGUGUGUGUGUGUGUGUGUGUGUGUGUGUGUGUGUGUGUGUGUGUGUGUGUGUGAAAAUAAAACACAAUUAUAAAAUUAAUAAAGGGAGAAAGAAGAAAAAUCUAGUUUUUUCUUCUCUUUUGACUCCCACUUCCCAUAAUAUACAAUUCUCGCCUUAAGUUUUUUUUUACCUUUUCCAACAUAUCUAACAUACUAGUCCAAAAUAUAAAUCGUUUGUUUUUUCUCCAAGUUUUAUGAAUUAUUGAAAUAGAAUUGAAUUUGUUAAAUUGAAACAAUGAAUGAUAUUAAUAAAUGGUGAAUUAAUUGUUUUAGUGUAUAUUCAUUCUAGGAUUUUUUAAUUAUUUAUUUAUUUAUGAAUUUGAUUCAAAUUAAUUUAAUUGAAGUAAUAAUAAAAAUGAUAAUUUAUUAUUUCUACGUAAAAAUAUAUAUUUAAUAUGCAACAUGUCCUAACGUGUCGAAAUUAUCUGUUUUUUAAGAAACGACGUAUUGGCAUGUCGUGUCGGGUGUUGCAUGUCAGUGUCGAUGCUACUUGGCUCACUGGUCGUAUGGCUUUCUUACAAAAUAUGAAUUGUUUCUAAAGUAGACGAAUGUUGAAUGCCUUAUAUUCUUGAUAGAGUGCUAUUAAGCCCAUCAUGUCCAAGUAGGAGAUGUUAUACUUUAUUAGUACGUCCAUGAUAGAGUGCGAUUAAAAUGCACCAGUUCGUCUCGAUAUGUUAUGAUGGAGAGACACUCUUUGAAAGGGUAUGAAGGAAAGGAGUUAUUAACUUCUAAAGAUAACUGUCAUUCAGCAUUUUCCUCUUAAAGCAAGCUCUCUCUCUCCCUUUAUUCCACACAACAACCCCCGCCCCCCCCCCCCCCCUCUUUCUUCCAAAAUUAUGACCAUUUCUUUAAAGCCACUUUGAAUCUGGUACCUGUUAAGGACCUCGUGAGAUACUUUACGUACUAUACACUCAAACAGCAUUACGUGAUGGAAGAACCACAGGCCAUCGAACUAAUUUCUUGUGCAUGGAGUUCUCUUACGGUCAGCAAACUCUUGAUUCGUAAAUGCAGAACAUUUAAAGAUAUUGAAAACAAGUUAGACAUAGUUUAGCAUAAAGAUUACGUUCCCUGUGUUUGCGUACCUGAACGCACUUUCUCCAUGGGUAUCCAUCCACCAUUGACUGAUGGUUUAAUCCUGGCCUUCCAAGAGGUUUUAGAACAUGAACUUGAACUCACCAUGCCAUUGUUAACAGACCCCGAAUAAGUCUAGAUAGCACAACCAAAACUAGGACUUGUGACAAGAAGUUGAAAAAAUUGUCCAAUGAAUGCUAACAAUUAGAAAAAGGGUACUCGAUUCGGUGUAGGCGUUUUGUCAAACAGAUAACAGUUUGAAAGCCCCAACCAUUCAUGGAGUCUCCUUCAUGUAUUUGAACUAAAUCUCAAUAUAAGGUCGCAUGCAUGCAAAUUAACAUUAUAAAUUAAUGAAUCUUUUUCCCCAUCUCUAGGCUCUAUGUAUAUUCUGAAGCCCACAAAACAUUUUCUUGCAAUGUAAGAUAAAGGGUUUCGGGCAAGUUUAGUCCUAGGAAGCGCAGUGUAGCUCAAGCAUUCAAUGCUAGAUUCUUACACAGUAGAUGGAGUCAAGGAAUACGAUCGUCGUUCCCCUUGGCCCGCUCAUUUGUGGGUUGAUAACUACUUAUUCAUUUGUUACAUUCCUUUUCCUUCCAUAGAUCAGAGCUGUAAAUCACAAUACUAAUCUCAUAAUCAGAAGGAAUAAUAUUAUUUUUAGGGUAUAUUUAUUUCGCAGAAAAUGAUAUAGAACUACAACACAUGCAUUACUUACAUUUACUUAUAUUUAUAAUAGAACUUGGAAGAAUCUUUGUUUAUCGAAAUAAUGGUCCUUUUUAGGAUUGGUAUGAGUUGUGAUGUAAUAUUUUUAGAGAAAUUUAAAGUUGAAUGUUUACUUAGAAUUUGCUUCAUGCCUUAAGAUCAAAGAAUAAUAUAAGCUCUCAUCUGUGGGGGCAAACGUACAAUACAAACUUCUUAGCGAAGGAAGCGACACAGGAUCCUAUCACCAAUCACGGAUCGAUCAAGAUUUGCAUGAUAGCCAAGUGGUGCCUCUAUUCAACUGACUUUUGCAGACCCCGGAACUUCCUUAGGAGUGGCUAGCUAGCCAUUCUGCUGAAUUUGAAGAACAAGCACAAAUCUAAUUCAAGAUCUAUCGAUUUUGCGAGAAGCCACAUUACACACCAAAUCAGGGGGUGCGCUUGAUGAAUUUUUUAUUAUUAUUACUAUUUGGUAUAAUUUGAGUCCAUUCAUCUACUCUAUCAACUCGUCCGUUUAAAGUAGAUAUACCCUGGCAAUUUAAAUAAGGGGUUUGUUGUUGUUGUAUUUGUUCUAGAGUCGAAUCAGUUUGUUUUGAUUCUCCAUUCUCAUCUGCUUCGGAUGCAAGCUUUUUUCUAAUUUACUAGGCCGCUUUGAGGGUCCCGUGUGAAAAAAAGGGAUCCAUCUAAUUCGCAAAAUUGAUUGGUUAUAGGUAUUUAUCUGUAGUUUAUUUUUGUUGAGGGUCAUUUACAGAUUCUAAAGUUAUAAUUUUUUGCAUUUAUAAUUACUUACCAAUGUAAAGGUGAAUUUGACGAGGCUGAAGCUAAUUUUAAAUACACAAAGCAUAAUUUUAAUGCAUUAAUUCAUUUUCGUGAUAUCGUAAUUUGUAUUAUUAUGAUGAGAUUUUAUUAGCUAUUUGCUAAGAAUAAGUACAAUUAAGAAUAUCAAGGAUUAGGGCUCGCUUAAUUUCCCAAUUAUAAGGAAAUUUUUGAAUUAUUCUGUAUAGGGUAAGUUACCUAAGGAAUGCUUUCAAAUCGAAUCAAAUAAAUUUAAACAAAUCUGCCUCAUUGAUUAUUUGCGGAGGUUAGCCGUUGCCAAUUUAUCGUGUUGACCUCACACACGUAAAUUGAGUUAUGAUCUACAUAUCAUAUUUUCAUAUAACGUGGCCACAAUAUGUAUAAAUAAUCUUCCUAAUCAACGACAAGGAUCAAAUAGCUACGAACGAAUUAUAUGUGAAUUUCUCUCUGCGAGAUCCUCUCUACCCCCAUGGUAGCGUCCCCUUUUACAAACCCUAAAUCCAAACUGGUCUUUUGCAACCCAAAUCCCCUUCUCUUUCGCUUUAUAUAAUGAAAGCUAAUAUCAAAAAACCCAAAAAAAUGUCUUCUCUUGCUUUGAUUCUGCAGAGCUUUGAGUCGUCUUUUUGCCUAAUAGAACAGUAACUUUCCAGCAAGUUACGAACUCAAUCGGCAAUGAAGAUCUUGCAGAUGAUGCCUCGCAAAGGUCGGAUUUCAGUUUCCUUCUCCUCGAUGUUAGUCUGGGCUUAUGGAUUUCAGCUUAUGUGAGUGGAACUUAUGCUGUCUCUUUUGGAUUCUUCACUGGGUUUCUGGAUUUUCUGUCACUAUGGAUUGAGACGUUAGUUUCUGGCUUUGAUUAUAAUCUUUGUUGCGUCUCCCCGAUCUUCCAAAAAGCUUCAUCGUUGUCUCAGUUGCUGUGAAAAUCUGUUGAUACUAGAGAUGGGUACUAACCCUUACUUCGGCAGUAAUUACACAAGCAGAAGAAGAAAGGAUCGAACGCAUGAUAUUUGCCCUACAUCUCCUAUUCACUUACCCAUGUCCCCUUACCCCCUCAGGAUCCCUUAUGCCUUUGCUUACUGCCAUGCCUCAUAAAGAGCUGCCUUCAAGCCAUCUCUCUUCUUAGCCCUGCCCCCAAAAUCUCUCCAUAUCACCUUCGAUAAUCGCAUUCCCUGCAAUAAGAGCAAAUGGAGAGUAAGGAAGAGAAUGAAAUGAGAGUGGCAACUUUAUGUAAAAGUCUCGGCCAUUCUAUGGUCCAAGAAUGAUGUUGCUGAAGUAUUCACCAAGGUACCUCCACAAAAAAGGGAUGAAUGCAAACGCACUCUUUUUGGUAAAUUAUACUCUAAACCAAAUGUUAACUACCUAGCUUUUUUAUCUACAAUGAAGAAAGCGUGGAAAACUGAAGCUAUAACUUGCUCCCAAAAAGAACCAAGUCUCUUCACCUUUGUUUUUCAAUCGGAGGAGGAAAAAGAGAGAAUUAUGAAGACAGCACCUUGGUCUUUUGCUAGCAACUUGCUGGUCCUCAAACAAUGUGAGCCCGAAAUUCCAGAGCAUUGCUAUGAUUUUACUAGAUCAGCAUUUUAGGUGCGUAUUGGAGGUAUUCCCCCUGGCUGGAGGGUAGAAACAGUGUUCAAUGAUCUGGGAAGAAAACUUGGUCAUGUCCUGAACAUCCAACUAGACUCAACAGGUAAGAUCCAACAAAAAGAAGGAAGAGUAAGAGUGGAAAUUGACCUAACUACUCCACUGAAAUCAAGGGCUCUCUUGGACAUUGAUAACAAAUGGCUUUGGGUGGAAUUUAAAUAUGAGCGCCUACCGCAUUACUGCUACUCAUGUGAAAGAAUUGGCCACUAUGCCACAGACUGUGCAGAAAUUCCUUAUGCGCAAUCACCAUGGGCAGUAAACAAAAUCAGACCAUAUGGAUCCUGGUUGAAGGCAGAAGCGUGUGAUCAUAGCCCCUGUUGGGAAGCAUUUUAUGGUAAAAUAGAAGAAGAGCUUAUAGUGGAAGAGACUAUACCAGCUUCGCCCACCCAAACCAGUGGAAUGGACAUCACAAUCAGAGAGGAAGCCUAUGACUUGCGAAUUGCAGCUUGCAGCAAAAAGAGAGCAGAAAGUUCUCAUGAACCUGAGAUAAUUGAAGACCAUGCAGUAAGUUUAAAGGAAAAUAAAGAUUCUGGCAAACAGAUAAUCUGUCCUGAAUUUCCCAAACAGAUUCUAUCGAAAGUAGGACAAUGUAGUAAGAAGAAUAUGAAGGUGUAGAAGGCAAAGAAACAAAAGUGUGUACUUGAGCCAACUCCUCUUCUCAUAGAUGAUACAGACCUUUUGGAGACCCCUGUUAAGUCAAUCAAAGAUCGAAGAAAAGAGUGGGCUUUGGUGGCUAGCCUUAAUAAGCCACCAACGACGACAUGAAAAUCAUUAGCUGGAAUUGUCAAGGGCUGGGCAACCCCCUAACAAUCCAAGAACUAAGAGCUUUAAUUGCUCUUGAAAGGCCCAACUUGGUUUUUCUAAUGGAAACUAAAAACAAAGUAAUGAUGGUGGAAAGAGUAUACAGAAAAUUACAAUUCCAACAUCUAUUCCUAGAAAUCUGACAGGCAUAGCGGGGGGAUGAGCUAUUAUGUGGAAUGAGGAAGUGGCAUUGAAGGUGAAAGAUAGUUCCAAGCAGUUUAUUGAUGUGGAAUGCACUGACCCAGACAGCAGACAUGUCAUGCAGAUAACUUUUGUUCAUGCAUCUACAAAUUUUGGUGAGAGGCUGACAUGAUGGCAAAAGUUAAGGGCCCUCAAGCCUCCUAAUUCUAUUUCGUGGAUUUGCAUGAGAGAUUUUAAUGAGAUCUUAUAUGUAUGGGAGAAGCUGGGGAAAAGAGAAGUUGAUAAUAAUAAAAUUGCAGCCUUCAAAGAUAUGCUUAAUGAGUCUUCCCUAAUGGACAUUGAUAGUCAUGGGUGUGCAUACACAUGGGCAAACAACAGGGAAUGGGAGGAUCUUAUUAAAAAAACACCUAGACCGAGGAGUAUCAUGAGUUCAUACAACAAAUAUGGAACACAACAUCUCUUAACCAGCCCAGUUUCUCGGUGAAACUACAUGAGACUUCAAAAGUGCUGGCAAAGUGGAGCAAAGAGAAGUUUGCCAAUGUACCUCUGCGGAUAAAAGAGCUCAAUCAGGCUUUAAUAGAGAUUACUAAUCAACCAGCCCAGCACACAAGCAGGAAGGAAGCUCAUAACAUCAUAAACCAGAUAGAAAAAUUGAGGGAACAGGAAGAACAAUUCUAGGGCAUGAGAUCGCGUAUUCAGUGGCUGCAAUGGGGUGAUAAAAACACCAGGUUCUUUCAUGCAACAACUGUACAACGAAGGCAGAGAAAUAAAAUUACCAUGCUGCAAAUGGAAGACCACAGCUAGUGUCGAGAUCCUGUAGUACUCAGAAAUCAUAUUCAAUCAUUUUACAUGAAUUUACAUAAAUCAGAGGGUCCAAGAAACUACCAACUACCAACAUGUCCUUAAUCAGUACCCUUCUCCAGUAGCCGAGAACAUCAAUGAAGAACUGGUGGCUAAUCCCACGAUGGAGGAAGUUCACGCAGCAGUUUUUCAAUCGGGAGCUCUAAUAGCCCCUGGCCCUGAUGGCUUCAACGGGCUUUCCUAUCAACAAUCAUGGGAUAUUCUCAAGUUUGACCUGUUUCAGUUAGUGCAAAACUUUUUCCACGCAGGUACUCUUGACCCCCAUCUUAAUCAAGCCCAUAUUUCAUUGAUUCCCAAAGUAAAAAAAUCCUGAGAUAAUUGGCCAAUUCAGACCCAUUAGCUUAUGCAAUUUCAGUUACAAAAUUAUUUCCAAUAUCCUAGCAAACAGAUUAAAGAAGUGGCUGCCAAUCAUUAUUGAACUAGAGCAGAGCGCCUUUGUUCAAGGCAAACAAAUACAGGACAACAUAUUUAUAGUGCAGGAAGUCUUGCAUCAAUUGCGCAUCACAAAGAGAAAUAAAAAAUAUCAGGCAAUAUUAAAACUAGAUAUGUAGAAAGCAUAUGACAGAAUUGAAUGGGAUUUUUUACAGGAUUGUAUGCAUAAAAUGGGCUUUUGUGCAAAGUGGGUGUCCCUAAUCAUGCAGUGUAUUUCAACGAUGUCAUUUAGUGUGAAGAUUAAUAGAGAACCCACCCCCAUUCUUCUCCCCCUCGAGAGGACUAAGACAAGGCGACCCCCUAUCGCCAUAUUUAUUCAUCUUAAUAUCAAAUGUCUUAACUUGGCUAAUGGAAAAAGCAAAUGCAGAAGGCAGCAUCAAAGGGAUACAGCUCAACAGGUUCUGUCCUACGCUAUCUCAUUUACUUUUCGCCGACGAUGUUAUAUUUUUUCUGGAUGGCACUAUUGUGGAAUGUCAAAAUUUAGCACAUAUACUUAACCAGUACUGCUAUGCAUCGGGGCAAGCUGUCAAUUUAAACAAAUCAGGGGUUUUUUUUCCACAACAACAGUCCCUUACCUCUAAGAAGAAAUAUGGCCUAUGAGCUAAGAGUCCCUAUAUUUGAGAAAACAAGUAAAUAUCUAGGUAUUCCAAUGGAAUGGGGUCACCCAAAGAAAGAAAUGUUUGCAUGGAUAUUAGCGAGAGUAAAUUCAAAGUUAGAGGGCUAGAAAGAAAAGCUUCUCACCAAAGCAGGGAAGGAGAUUUUGAUUAAAAGUGUUGUGCAGGUCUAUCUGUUGAGCAGUGUCCAUCUUCAAGCUGCCAAUGUCUAUCUGUCGAGCAAUAGAAAGAAGAAUUGCAUCAUUUUGGUGGCAGAAAGGAGAUUCUCAACGAGGGACACAUUGAAAAAACUAGGAAGUUUUAAAAACUCGAAAGGAUGAAGGAGGGUUGGGGUUUAAAGAUUUGCUAACCUUCAACCGUGCAAUGCUUGGUAAGCAAGUCCGGAGAUUAUCCAAUUCUCCAACAACCCUGUGGAGCAGAGUUCUGAAAGGAGUCUACUUCCCAAAUGGCGAUCUCUGGACAGCUCGCAAGGGCCAAUGGGGCUGGUAGAGCCUGUUACUUGGAAGAGACACAAUAGAAGCAAAUAUUAAAUGGUCAGUGGGGGAUCGAAAAUCUAUUAAAAUUCGAGAAGACAAGUGGUUAGAGCAGGGGUUAUUGGAGGACUAGCAAACCAACAAGAACCUAUCUCGGUGUCAUAAUUGAUCAAUCCAGACCAAAACAGAGCAGGGGGUUAUUGGAGGACAGUUUAGUAUGAACAGGAAACAGGGCAGGGAAGUAUUCUAUAAAGAGCGGCUACAACAGAGCUUACUCAACAACUCUAAGCACAAACCAAAACAGGGCAUCCUGUUCCUUCAAGCCCCCACGAACUUUAUGGACUCAAAUCUGGAGCCUUACUGUACCCCCGAAAAUCCGAACUUUCCUCUAGAGCCUCUGUCAAAAUGCCAUUCCCGCAAGAGAAAAUCUCUACAAAAGAAAAAUAACACCCGACCCGUUAUGCCCGUUAUGCUACUCGAGAAUAGAAACCACAGAAUAUCUUUUUCUAUUGUGCAAAUGGACCAAAGAGAUCUGGGAGGACCAACGAUUCAAGGGUGUCAACACCACAAGCCACAUAAAGUGCUUUGAUCAGUGGUUGAUGGGAGUAUUCGACGCUAACAGUGACUUACCUGCACGAGAGCUCAUAGGAAUGGUCCUCUGGAAUAUUUGGAAGGCUCGAAACAACUGGAUCUUCAGAGCAAAAUGCCCACAACCAGCUGAUCUACUGGAUCUAGCACAUGAACAGCACAUCACCUUCAGCAGAUGGCAGAUGAAACAUAACUCAAAACCCCCAGAUCGCAGUAUACCUGCUUGCUGGAACAAAGGGAGAUGAAGAUGAAUGUUGAUGCAUCAUGGGUUCUGGGCGAUUUUAUCUGCUCCGUUGCCGGAAUUGUGCGCGAUUCAUCUGGGCAAGUCGUCGAGGGCUUCGUCUCCGAUUCUAGGGUUUCCUCUUCACAACACGCUGAAGCUAAGUCUCUGUUGCACAGGAUCCUAUACUUGAAAGGGCUUCAAACGCGGCACGUGGGAGGAACUCGAAUACAAAUACUUAAGUGGACUUGUGAAAGUGAUUGUUUACCUGUCAUGGACCUAGUAAUGGGCCGAGCCAAGCCUCCUUGGAACUUAAGCGAAAUUGUGUAAAAAUGCAUAGAAGAACUAACAACGUGCAGAAAUGUUACGGUGGUUUAUUGUCCCCGAGAAGCAAAUAGAGCAGCGAACUGGCUGGCAAUGACUCACCGUGCCAACAAACUUCCUCUAAAUUGGUUGACCACCCCUCCUUUACCUCUUUUGGAAAUUUUAUGUUCGGAAUUUUCUCCAUCGUUGUCUUGUAAGACUUGUUAUGUUCGAUGAUCGAAUGAACUAUCUUCUUUCGACCAAAAAAAAAAACGACAAGGAUCAAAUGAAUUGACUGCAUGAUUGACCAUGAUAUCCAAAGGAGUCAUAAGUCAGGCCAUAUGAAAUGAAUUGACUCUAUCCUUCGAUUUGUCAAGCUUAUAGAGUACCAAAUAUUGAUUUAUCCUCUUUUCCCUUUACCAUUGCAAUUUCCUUUUGUAAUUCUGCCAUCUGCAAGUAGUGAGGAUAGCAUAUAAGAAAAGAGAAAGGAGAAACUAACGGGCCCAGGCCACUUUCAGAUCAUCUAGUUCCCCACCCAAUGAAUUUCAAUUAACCUCUAUAUUGUGUGAAAUACGUGCCCUCAGCAGCCAAAAUCCUCAUACUUCAAAAGUGAAGACACUGAGCAGGUAAAUGCUGCAAGUCAUUGUGAUUUCCUUGAUAUCAACAUCCACAUUGCGGUGAAAAAGCAAGGAGCUGUGCACUUCCGGUAAUAGGCUUACCGCAAUUAUCCUGAAAAUCCACAGAGAUAUAUCAGAGACUAAACAUAAUACUUGAACUCCAUAAAGCCAAUCAAUGCGUGACCAUUUAAAUCAUAGAAGCUGUGCCUGACCUAAAAAAUCAUAGAAGGUGCUUGAAUGAACUUAAUAAAGCCAAUAAACGUGGAUCACAAAGAGGUCUUCUGAAUCAAAUGGACCUACACGUUCUGAAGCCAAUCAGCGGGAGACAAGGCACAUAAAGCGAGAGUCCCAAGGAACUCUUCAUCGGACUAGUUCGAAUCUCAUCGAAUUGACCGUUAAAAACUUUGCAUGCUCAUGAAUUACCUCUGUUCCCCAUUGGGCAUUCACGAUUUGGAUGGGCGAAUGUGAGAUAGCGAAUUUGCGAGGAUGAAGGUGUCAGCGGAAUGGGAGAGUCAAUUACGGUUGAUUUGACGAAAGAGAGACUCGGCUUGAGAGAAAUGGCAAGAAGGGAUCGAAUUUGGGCCAAACAUUGAGAGCAAUUUCUGCAAGAUCUCACUUGAGGUUCAUCAGGUGAUUUGGGCGUGAUCGAAGGUAUUUGAGGCAAGAAGGAAGCAAUGCAACGUUGUUGGGGGUUUCAAGUGGGGAUUAUUGGUUUUCGAGCGGUUCCAUCCGGGAAUUAAGAAUCGAAUCAUAAGGACUGCUUUCCAAUUUCUGGAAUUGGGAAUCAAACCGAAGUCUCCUGAAACUGGACCGGACUGGUCCCUUCAUGGGUGGCCAAUGGAACCAGUCCCAUGUUUUUUUGUUUUUAAUUCUUGUAUUGCAAUCAAUUUAGGUAUUUUCACUUUCGCUUCAUGGGCAAUCGAAAUGCUUGUUCACGGGAACUCUCUGAAUCUAGGGGCUUUUUGCUGGUUUUCUUCGUCGGGCAAAAAAUUCGAAAUGGUGUACAAAGAAAAGCCAAAAAAAAAAGAGAGCAUUUCUUCGAUGUGAUGCGAGACAGAGAGUGAGAGUCGAGCGGCCAAAAGCAGAGCAAGAGAGGAAGGUGAGAGUUGAGCAAGAGAGCGAGACCGCGAGAGGGAGGCGGCCAAAGCGACUCAGGCAAGAGUCGAGCGACAGAGUGAGACCGUGAGAGGGAGCCGAGUCGGUGCACUCGAGCUAGAGGGUGGUGAGCGAGAGAGAGAGAGAGAGAGAGAGAGAGAUUAGGGUUGUUCGUUUAGAUUUGUGAACGGGAGCGACUCGGGCGAGUAGCGCAUGCGAGAGAGUACUUGAGGCUUGAGGGGAUUUUUAUUUUUAUUUUUUAAAGUUUUUACAGAUUUUCAAGAAUAUAACAAAAAAAUAGUUGAUCCGGUCCGAGUGGUCUUAGUGCGCAAUUCCAGACAUGGAACCUGAAAUGACACCAAAAAUCAUUGUUUUAAUUUUUUUGAAAUCAGAAACCAGACCAAUAUCCUUUAGAAUGGCCCAGAACUAACCGAUUUGGUUCAGUCCGUAUAAUUCAUUUUGCUCACCGCUAGUUUCACAUUGAAAUGACACUGUUUUCAAUAGCUGACAUGGGAUUUCAACUAUCAAUUAUCAACGCAAGAUCUUAGUUAUUGCACAGCGUAAGAUGGCCAACUAUAUAUUUACAUCCAAAUUUUUCGACUUAAAUUUAUUAGCACUAUAUUAGAAAGUUAUCAAAAUGUGUACAACUAAACUAAUCAGAAAUUUGAGACUGAAUUAAUAGUUGUAUAAUUCAUUUAAGAAAUUUUAGAUAAUUUUCCCGACCCUGUAGAUGCUCCGAUAAACUAUCAAUCUUGGGUCAUCUUUAAGUGUGAUCACUCGAGCCAAGUCAAGGCCCAUCUUUUACAGCGUGCCGAGUGGUAGGCAAUAUAUAGUGAUCCCUAAAUAUGAAACGUACGUGGGACACAAGGAUUUCGAAAAUACAGAGAAGGAGGUCUUUUGCAACCAUUAAAAGCUACAGAUAGGGCCAAAAAAAAAAAAAAAUUGAAAAGCCACGUUCAAUGGACACAAAACAGGAAGAGCACCAAACAUCAAAUUCAUUUUUAGCUUAGUCAGAAAAAACUGUGCCAAUACAAUUUUUUGGGAUGUUCAUUGAGUCCAAGGAUAUAAGUUUUCUCUAAUAUUGUUGGGGAGAACUGGACAACAAUUCACUAAGGACUAAUCCAAUCCAAAAUUAAUUUCCCCCCAAAACUAAACCGACUAAAAUCGACUUAACCUCAAUAAUAACCGACAAUAUAUUCUAGCAAUACGACCUCAUAAUAUGUAAAUAUAAUGUCGAAAUCUUAAGGAGAUAAAUCAAUAAUAACAUCAAGAUUUUAUGUGAAAAACUCAAUAUGAAAAAAAUUAUUGACCACAAAAAACUUCUAUUGAUCACUAAAAAUACUAGGAUACACACACAAUAAGUUUUUCUCUAAUCACACAUUAAAGGCUUAACAUCAAUAAUAUAAUAGUAUUUCACCACCACGAUGGUGAAUUAAGACAUAUAGAGUAUGAAAACCUUAGCCAUCAUCAGAAAGUUCGGAGAAAGCUCUUAAUGAACAAAACAAUUAACUUUUACUGCACGAUAUCACGAAAACAUAUUGAAAUUUGAGUCAAUUCGGAUAGCAUUUGGUCUUCAAAUCAAGAUAAGAAAGCCGCAAUCUUUUUCUACUUUUUCUUCGUGAGCUCUUGGUGCUCCCCCUCUCUCCCUCUCCACUUCACGAACGAGCAGCCCUUUUUUCCUCUUCUUAUUGCUUUUUGACUUUGACUGCUUUUUUUUAUUUUUUCACGUUGGCUAGGCCCCACAAAGGCGGACCCAGUCAACAAAUAUUUUGAGGUGUUCAGAAAUCUCUUUCUAUUAAUGUUAUCAUUUUUUUGAAAUUCUUUUUGCGGUAAUGAAGUAUUACGGAUUCUCGCAUACAAAUCUAAAUCUGCAUCCAACAUCAAAUAUGGGCACAUAAUUCGCACCGCGAUAAUUUACUUUCUAAGUGUCUCAUAACUUAUUAUAGAGUUAAUAAUGUUAAUUUCGAGAUAAUUGGGACCUUAGAUUUUUUUAAAGUCUGGAGUUCAACUGUUUUUUCUUGGUCAUUGCCAAAAAUCAAAAUAAUCUCUAGCGAUAUAUGCAAUGGAUGAUGUUGUGUCUUGACUUGAAACUCUAUUACUGGCUCUUUCCACAUGCCUUCUGGUAAAAAAAAAACAAUGAUAAUAGCAAUAAGGAAAUGAAGCUACGGCCGGCAAGUCUUUAUAGUUUGACUCGAACCCAUGUUGCCGCGUUUAUCUCAUCUAUAGAAAGGGUUUCGUAAUUUCUCGCAAUACUUGCGGACCUGUUCCCAAUAUCUUUCGUGAAACCUAACUCUGCACAUUAUAAAAACACACUUCAAUCCCUCCUUUCCCUCUAUUCUAAUUUCUAAGUUCAAACCUCUCUCUCUCUCUCUCUCUCUCUCUCUCUCUCUCUCAAACUACACUUGCAUAUAUUCUCGUUUUUGCCACGUCCAUCUCUCUCUCCAAACUAACCUCAGACAGAAAGAAAAACACACUUCCCACGAAUUUUGACUCGGUUAGUGGUAAUUAAACUUUCAAGUAGAACAUGACCCCGGAUGUAUGAAUCUAUUUGAUAGUCUAUUCAUUUGGCAAGACAGAAUUUAGUUUCCACGCACACAACUAGCUAAUUGCUAUUUCCUUCUUCUUCUUCUUCUUCUUCUUUUUUUUUCUUUUUGUUGUAGUUUGAGUUUUCGCGAUAUUUUAGAUGGGUGACAUCUCCAUUGAAACGCUUCCUCAGAUUGUCUCCAAAUGCUUUGACUCCCUCGAUGAUGGCCACCUCAAACGAACCGGUAAUCAACCUUAUCUUCUGGUAUUAUAUUGUCUAACUCUUUUCUAUUUGUUUAUAACAAGUUUGGCACAUAUUAUUGUGCGAAAUAUACAUUUUUUGUACUCGGAGUAACAGUUUAAUAUGCUUUAUCCAAGUGUAAUUCCUUCAUAAAUUACUGAAAAGCUAACUCAAGAGAUAAUGAAAGUUUUCCAAAUGUAAAGGGUUGAUCAGAUUUUAUCGGCUGACCGAUCAGGGACCUUAUGGACGAUGAGCGCGAAUAUAAUAAUAGGGAUGGUAGGAGCAGAAGUGCGUUGCCGGUCAUGGGACAUUGCUCAGCUGGGUUGGAUUGCAGGCCCUGCUGCAAUACUCUUGUUCUCUUUUGUGGGCUACUACACCUCUUGCCUCCUCUCCCAUUGUUACCGCACUGGCGACCCCUACACCGGCGAGUGUAACUCCACUUAUAUGGACUCUGUUCACUCGAUUCUCGGUAUGGAAUCCUAUCACCUUGUUGUUGCUUCUCAUUAUUUGACUCCCGCACUUUGAUUAAAUUUCCCAUUACCAUAUGUCUCCAAAUGUAUAGCAAAAUGAGUCGUGUAACUUUUGAUUAAGUGAUAAUAGUAACUUUACAUUCAGGUGGAGCAAAUUUUAAAGCAUGUGGUUUUCUUCAAUAUGUAACCCUAUUUGGAAACGCCAUUAGCUGUGUCGUUCAAGCAUCUCUCAGCAUGAAGUGAGUACAAUUCUACUUUCCCAAACUCUUGACAAAUUUAUUCAUCAGAUCACGACGAACUUCCACUUCUACUGUUUCUUAUAUAACCUGGCUGAUUCAAUGUUGUACACGUUCCCUCUUUCCAAUAAAAGGGCAAUAAAAUAUAUGAAUUGCUUCCACGAGAAUGGGGAGAACUCGUGCCACGUUUUGGCUAAUCCGUACAUGAUCAUGUUCGGCAUCACAGAGAUUCUGCUGUCCCAGAUUCAAGAUCUCGAUCAAAUACGGUGGCUCUCUAUUGUGGCCGCUGUUAUGUUCGUCGCUUACUCUUUGAUUGGUCUUGGCCUAGGAAUUGCCCAAGUUGCAGGUACAGGUUUCUUCUUUUCCCAAAGACAGAUGGCCAAGAAAUUUCAAGAGAUUAUAUUAUCAAUAUCAUAAAAUAAGAAGUUGUUUCCCACAAUUUUUUUUCUUGAUGAACAGCUAGUGGAAGUUUCAAGGGUAGUCUUACAGUAAUAAGCGUUGGGGAUGCGACUAAAACCCAAAAAGAUAUGGAGAUGUUUCCAAGCUCUUGGAAAUAUCGCCUCAGCAUACUCAUUUUAUGAGAUCCUUAUUGAAACUCAGGUACUAAAACAUGAUUUCAUCAGUUCGAAACCUAAGGAAAUGGUAAAGAGUGGAUAGAACAGACUGGAAAUACCUUGUUUUCCUUUUAUCUUUGACAGGACACCAUCGGAUCUCCACCAUCAGAAGUAAAGACCAUGAAGAAAGCCAUUUCUCUGAGCACCGUGGUGAUGACGACUAUCUACAUGCUAUGUGGCUGCGUGGGCUAUGCUGCUUUCGGUGAUGACACUCCGGCAAAUUUUCUGAUCCACUUGGGUUUCAACAAGCCAUUCUGGCUUCUUGAUAGUGCCAAUUCUGCUAAUGUGAUCCAUCUUGUUGGAGCAUACCAAGUAAACAGCCAGCCGAUAUUUGCCCUGGUCGAGAAACAGGCCGACCAGAGAUGGCCUCGUAGUGAGCUCAUCGCUAAAGAGAUGGCCUCGUAGUGAGCUCAUCGCUAAAGAGAUGAAGAUCCUGGUACCAGGCUUGGGCCAAUACAACAUGAAGCUCUUUAGACUUGCUUGGAGGACGGUUUUCGUGAUCCUGACCACUGUGAUAUCGAUGCUAUUCCCAUUCGUCUUCAACAAAGACGUGGAUAUCGUCAGCUUGGGCUUUUGGCCUCUAAUGGUCUAUUUUCCCGUCGAGAUGUAUAUUAGACAGAAACGAAUUCCCAAAUGAGCACUAAAUGGGUAUACCUGCAAACGCUGAGCAUGGCCUGUCUUGUGAUAUCGAUCAUGGCAGCUGCGGGUUCGGUCCCAGGACUUAAGGACGACCUUAAGACAAAUUGGCCAUACGGGAUGAGCUACGAUCAAAAUGCAUGGACCUUUAGUUGAUCGGCCAUUUCAAAAGAAAAGAAUAACAUCAAGGAAGUUUCUACUUUCAUUGUUUAGUCUGGAUUUACAAACUCUGUAGGUUCUAGCCAUUGCUAAAGAAAACUUGCAUUUUAUGCAAGUGAUGGUUACACAUUGUCCUGUUGUAAAAAAAUCUGAAAUUUUGGUUAUUCAAACCGCCACGUCCACAUCAAUUGGGUUAGGCUCCAAUCAUGCGAUGACAAACGUGCCGACCUUUCAAGGUUUACAUAAGGGGGAGAGUUAUAAUAUGAACAAAGAAGGUCCCAUGUUAUUAUAAUAUAUAAAUUGAUAAUUAAACGAAAUCUCAUUAUUCGAAAGCGUUAGUAUGUCCUUUUUAGGAAGAGGAAAAAGAAAAGGGAUGCGUGGAUAUCAAUAUCUAAAGAAAAAGCGACUUUUUUACCUCUUGGAAGAUACUUUAAUAAUAGUUAGAUAAGGAAUAUGAUUGGAAGAUAAGGACUCAAGCCCACGUGUGAAUUGAGAACUCCUUCAAAUGAUUAACAUGUGAAUGGGGAAACAUCACAUCGAUGGGUUGGCUUAGAUUGAACAUAAUAUAACCCAAUUAGAUUGAUUGGCUUGUCCAAUACCUCUUCGACAUCCUCAACUAACUCUCUUUUUAUCAAAUGUUUCUCCGUGGCCUCAGUCAAGCCAGCUCUUUCAUGUAUAUGUUUUCCCCUAAAAACCAAAAUUGAUUGGUGCCCCACUUCAUUUAACAAAUUCAUUUGCUUCAAUUCUAUCUAGGUACUCAAAAAUAGCUUCAUGACCCUACUUACAUUCCAUUACUGAUAUAUGCAUAUUAGGGAAGACCAUAUGACAAAACUUUUCUCAGACUUCAGGCAUAUUGCCGAGUUAUAGAUUGCAUGCAUUAACAAGUGAUUUACGAGUGUGAUUUAUUGGGAUUUUGGUCCCAAGAGAUUGUUGUCUAGCAUUAUUAGCUCCACUUGUACAUUUAACAAAUAUUGUUGGAGCACUAGUUAAUUUAACUCAAUAUAGAAAUAAAAUUCCUCAAGAGGCUUCAAAAAUAAAUUACUUACUCCAAAUGAGAAAUUUAUAUUUUUCAAGUAUUUUUUAAUAAAGGCUUAAUAAGUGCCCACCCUAGGGACAAUUUUUAGCAUUUUGCAUACGAUUUUAUUGAAAGUUCUCAUAACCAUCGAUGCAUAGAUAAGGUUUGCAACACGAGAAUUCUCACAUAAUAUUAAGAAUUUUGUUUCAUACAUAUUCAAUGAGUGACAUAAAUAGGUUACAUUUUCCUAUAUUGAACCUCCACCAUAUCUUUCGUUUUGGACACUCAACUUUUGUAGCUUAAAAAACCAAAUUAGACCCAAAAAUCAACUUUCAAUUGAGAUUUGAGACAUAUAUCAGGAUGUUAGUAUUGAAUCGAUAUUGAAUCGAUUGUAGUUAUCGAUAUGAUAGCUUUUGGUUAAUAAUGUGCAAAUAUAAACGUGUCUAGGACGUUUGGCAGAGGAUGAUCAAAGGAUUUUAAGGGGUUUAGGCAAUGUGAUAAGGAAAGACGAUUCCACCAUUUUAUGGAAAUAGUUUCAUAAUUGUCGGAGAAGUAAUGGUGAAGGAACUAAGGGAUAUGGAGAUUCCCACUCAAUGGGUGGAGGGCUAAGGGCGCGUUUGGGAAGACUUUUGGGGAAAGUCCUUGAGAAAAUGUAAAGAUCUUUGAGCUAAAAGGGUUUUUGGAAAUGCAAAUAGUGUUUGGUAAAUCGUAUUUGUGAAAGUCCAUUGCAAAGUAUAUUUGAGCAAAAUAGUGUUUGGACAAAUUAACUUUGCAAAAGGCUUUUAUUAUUAAAAAAAAAGGAAAAAAAUGAGAAUUGGUUGAUUACCGCCGGCGAGGGGCAGGCGGUCCGGUGAGGGACAGGCAGGCGGUUCGGCGAGGGGCAGGCGGCCGGCGAGGGUUGCCGCGCCGGCGACCCCGAUCGCAACCAGAUCGCGCGAUCUGGGUUGCCGGAGGUCGCGCAGCCCAGAUCGGUCGCGGCGACCUCCGGUGACCCAGAUCUGCGUGUGAUUUGUGUCGCCGGAGGUCGCGCGGCCCAGAUCUGGGUCGCGGCGACCUCCGGUGACCCAGAUCUGCCGGGGGUCGCAGUGUCGCCGGGGUUGCAGCGGUCUGCGACCCAGAUCUGGGUGGUUGCCGGGAGUUGCAGCGGUCGCGGCGACGCGACAACCAGGGGGUCGCCGAGGUCACGCGACUGGCCGCCGACGAUCGCCGUGACGCACAGGUUUUUGCCGACCUCUGUCCAGCUCGUCGCCGGCCAUGGGCAGCUCCGCGCAACUUCGUCGGCCAUCCUCAAUGAAGAAGAAGAUGAAUAGUAACGAGGACAAAACCGGAAAAACGAAAUGUUAGUGAGGACAUUUGUGGAAGAAAUUUUUUUUACUUACUCUCCCUCAGCCUUCCGAGAAGGCCGAAUGCCCAAGGCAGCCCCCAACCUGCCUUGGGCUUUCAGCCUUGGGAAGGCUUGCCUUUGGCAAAGGCAAGUCAAAAAAAUUUUGCCAAACACUGAUUAUUUGGCCCAAAGGCCUUUAGGGGGCUAAAGAUCCUUGGCAAAGUGGUUGCCAAACGCAGCCUAAACCCCACACACACGGAGCUUAUGGAGGUCUCAACAUGACACCUAACUGUUGCAUUAAAACCCAUUUUUCUAUGACUCCGUCGGCCGACUACAAAAGUCUCUGCCUUGUCAGAAAUCUUUUCUUUUGCUUUAGCGAUAUUCAUCGCCGUACUCAAUUACAGUGGACACAUCUUGACUUUUGUACAAAUAUCUGCUCCAUAAAUAUUUAGUCCAUGCUACAUUAUUCGAGAAAUUGCAUCACGCAUAACCUGUCUAUAACCUAGGCCUAGCAUCAUUCCAACAUCUUCCGUGAGCUCUAACUCCGCACAAUACAAAUACUACCAUAUAGUCACUUUUUUGCCACACCCAUCUCUCUCCCUCUCUCGGAGUAAGUUUGAGCCUUUGGCUUUCAGGUGGGUGCACAAAACACAAAGCAACCUCAGAGUCACAGAGACCCACUUUCCACUGGUUUUGAACCGGUUAGUACUAAUAAAACUUGCAAGUAGGACUAGCUACCAUCCAGAUUGAAACUACACGGAUUCUGAUGGAUGAAUAAAUUUUGGAGGUCCUUUCAUUUGGCAAAACAGAAUUUAGUAUCCACACACACAAACUUGCUAACAAUUGCUAUUUCCUUCCCUCUCUCUCUCUCUUUUUUUCUUCUUUAGGACAUUAAAAAUGGAUGAGAACGCUGCCACCAAGAACAACCAAAACCGCCGCCGCCGCCAAAUCGGUGACAUCUCCAUUUUGAAUGCCUCCCCAAAGCAUCUUCAGAUGCUUCAGUUCAUACUCCUCCGACAGCCACCUCAAACAAACUAGUAAGGGCGCGUUUGGUAACGUUUUUGUUCAAAAACUGUUCCAGGGAACAGAAAUAGAAAAAAGUGUUUCUAUUCCGGGGAACAAUUUUUGAACAAAAAGAUGCGUUUGGUAAACUUGUUCCAGAAAUAAAAAAUGAAUAGAAACACGUUUGGUAAAUUUUUGUUCUUUUUUUGUUUCUUUUAAUUUUUUUAAUAUUUUUAUUUUUUCUUCUUUCGGCCGGUCGCCGGCCUUCGGCGACCGACCGACGGGGCCGGCAGCCUCGCCCAGCCACGGCGAGGCUCGCCAACCCCUGGCGAGGUCGAGCCUCGCCGUCGUUGGGCGAGGCUCGGCCUCGCCGGAUCUGGGCGAGCCCGAGCUCACCCAGCCAAGGCAAGGCUCGGCGUCGGCGUUUGGGGGAGGUCGGGGUCCAGCAUAGAAAGGAAUGACGGGCCCGGGGAACCAUUGGGAGCCGAGCUCGAACACGGGUUCUUGGUGGCACCUGUAACCUAUUUUGUAUUGGUUGUCAUUUCGGUUCCUCGCGAGUUGCUGUUUCCUAAGAUCAAAGCCGUAACCGAAAUGCUUGCAAACGUGGAUCUGUUCUUACUUUGGACGCCGAUACAUAAAAAGCGAAAAUGAUCUUAUCAAUAGAUUUAANNNNNNNNNNNNNNNNNNNNNNNNNNNNNNNNNNNNNNNNNNNNNNNNNNNNNNNNNNNNNNNNNNNNNNNNNNNNNNNNNNNNNNNNNNNNNNNNNNNNNNNNNNNNUCAGGAGACCUAGAGUUGUCAGUGACUUUAUCACUUGGCUAGCCUCGAGAGUUGCUGAUCAUUUCCAUAUAUGAUUCUUGAGAAUGUGUAUCAUGCGUACCGAGCCUCCGCCAGGGGCCGGCGACGCUCCGGCGAGGUUGCCGACCUCGAGGGCGUCGCCGGCCAAAGAGAAAAGAAGAAGAAAAGAGGAAGAAAAGGGAAGAGAGAGAAGAAGAAGCAAGAAACAAGAAAUUGUUUCUUCAAAAUUAUUUCUGGAACGAGAAACAAUUUUUUUUUUGUUUCUCGUUUCUGUUCUUUUUGAGUUCCGGAAACAAAAAAACAAAAAAAGAACAGAAAUGCAACCAAACGCGUUUCUGUUCUUUUUUUGUUCCCGGAAACAAAAAAACAGAAAAUCUGUUUAUAAAUAGAUUUCAGAAGUGAAAACAUGCAGGGCCUAAUCAACCUUAUCUUCUUAUAUUCCUAAUUCAUUUCUGCUUGUGAGAAAGAUAAAAUUUUUGCACUCAAACUAACAAUUUAAACAUAAUUCCUUUAUAUACUAUUACUAAAAAACUUAGGAGACAAUGAAAAUAUUUCAAAUGUAAAGAGUCAAUUAGAUUUUAUCAGUUGAUCAAUCUGGGACAUUGUGGAUGGUGAGUGCACACAUGAUAAUAGCCGUGAUAGGAUCAGGAGUGCUUUUGCUUGCAUCGGACAUUGCUCUGCUGGGCUGGAUUGCAAGUCCUGUUGUGAUGUUCUUUUUCCCCUCCGUGUGCUACUGCACCAAUCGCCUGCUCUUUAAUUGUUACCGCAUUGGCAACCUUAACUCUAGCAGAUAUAACCACACUUACAUGGACUCUAUUCGUUCAAUCCUUGGUAUGGAAUUCCAUCACAUAUUAUCGCUUCUCAUUACUUGAAAUCCGCACUUUGAUUAAAUUUCCCACAUGAACAAAAGAUCCAAUGGAUGAAAAUAGAAGAGUGAGAUUUUUUGGGGGAUAUAAAUCUCCAGACAUCCACCAUGGAGACCGGAUCAUGAUCAUAUUAAUCUAACUUUUAGUUUGUCCUAGUGGUUUGCUUCGACUAGUAUUCCCUGCUCAAACCUGGGCAUUUGGAUUUGCUGCAUGAUCUCGACAACUCCGAGACAUGAGAAGAAUCGGAUGUAAGAUUGGCCUAACAGUGGUAUUGGUCACAUUAAAAUCUUGUUUUGAUUAUCCAAAAAUGGCUAGCAACAGUCAAAGUGCAGAAUGUCAAGGUGAACGACAAGGGUAGCGAACAGAAAAAUUACCUAUCAUUAUAACAACACUUUCACAUAACCAUGGCAUUUUGAAGAAAUAUCAUAUGGUAAACCCUUUUUGUAGCUGCACCAACAGAAGAGCAAAGCAUCCAAGAUAUCUUAGAAACCUCGAAUGUAUCCCUUUUCCCUGAUGUCACUCCUGUUGUUGGGUAAAAGGAAUCUUAUUUUACAUCUUCAUAUUGCCAUAUGAGAGAGCUCUAGUUUAGUUGGAAAUGUGGUUCUUGCUAUACUCACAAGAUUAUGCUUUUAAAGCGAAGUUCCACUUUGACUUUUUACCGAGCAAAAAUUUAUAGACAUUCAUUAUACAUUUGUUUUGCAGAAAACAAGUGAUAUGAAAAAUAUUUUCCAAAAGAUGAUGAUUUUUAUUGUUCAAAAUAACUAGUCAAUAAAUAAUAUUUUUUUAUUAUAAUUUAUGUUUAAACAUAUUUGUAAACAAUUUAUAAAAUAUACAAGUGAUCAAAUUUUGAGAAAAUAUUUUCCCAAAUGUUGAUCUUUUGUGUAACAAGCAUACACUUAUUCAGAGUUUAUUUUUGUGCAAAAUUGACUGAUUGAAGAUAUUUAUUUAUAGUUUAUUUUUGACGUGGGCAAUUUACGUUAAUUGGUGAGUGGUAAGGUAAUUUUUUGCAUUCAUAAAAUACUUACCAACGCACAGGUAAUUUAACGAUGCCGAAGCUAAAUUUACAUACACAAAAUACAAUUUUAAAAAUAUAAGUUUGCUUUCGUGAUAUAAGAGCUUGUAUUGCUACGAUAAGACUUUAUUAGCUAUGAAUAAGUAUAAUUAAGAAGAAUGUCAAGGAUUAGGGCACGCUCGAUUUCCUAAUUAGAAGGAAAAUUACUUACUACCACUGCGACUUCGAAUUGGGUAAGUUACUGUAGCCGUUGUUACGAUUACAUCAUAUCAAAUAAAUUUGAACAAAUCUACCACGCUGAUUACCUGAAGAGGUUAGCCGUCGCCAAUUUACCGUUUCGACCUCGCGCGCCCAACCCACUUUCCUAUUCUACAAGGGGCAAAUUCGGAACGACAGGCGAAUUAAAUAAGUUACUGUUAGCCGUAGGCAAUUUACCGUUUCGACCUCAAUCCACUUUCCUAUUCUGCAAGGGGCAAAUUCGGAACGACGGGCGAAAUGACGCUACAUAUUCGCUACGGCUUCAUCGGUUCAGUCGCAUCAUCUCUCUCCCACCUUCUUCUUCUUCUUCUUCUUCUUCGCAUGUUGCUCCCUCCGCUUGCUUCCUUUUCCUCUCUCGACGGAGCCACAUUCCGGCUCAAUGGGAGAUGCCGGAGCUGCAUCUGCUUCGGCCGUGCGGCCGAUCGUCGAAGACGGGACGCCCCCGUGUGGGGGCCACAGAGAGAGAGGAAUGGGGCUAUGAUCGGGGCACGGCGCUCUCUGUGGCUGCAAAGGCGGGGCUGAGCAACGACGUUCAGGCGGGCGACGGAUUCGAGGGCGUGCUGGAGUUGAGGCGGACGUGUGAGUAUCUCGAAUUUUUUCUCUCUGGCUUGGUUGAAUGGGUGUUGUUGCGUGAUGAUUAUGCUGCUGUCGUUUGGGGCGUAAAUCUUGUCGGAGGAGAUGGGUUUUUUGAUUCCUUACUCUGAUUUGUGCCAAAACCUUUUAUUUCUCAGAUCAUCUUUGGGAGUAGGAAUUUUCUUCUAAAGAACAUGACUUAUGAUAGGAUAUCUUUUUUAGCAGUAAUUUUUCGACAAAUCUGUGCUCUUUCUUAUAAAAAAGUUCAGAUUUUUGUUUUUUGUACAUAGAAUAUGAAUCUGGUGCUUAGAAAGUUCUUUGUUACGGAGUAGGAAUUUUCUUUUAAAGAACAUGACUUAUGAUAGAAUAUCUCUUUGAGCAGUAAUUUUUUGACAAAUCUGUUCUCUUUCUUAUAAAAAAAAGUUUUGAUUUUUGUUUUUUGUACAUAGAAUAUGAAUCUGGUGCUUAGAAAGUUCUUUGUUACGGAGUAAUUCGUUUGCCAGGGUUUUUUUUGGUUUUUCAACCUGUUUGGUGAUCCUGUUGUAACGUGAACAUAUCAAGACAGUGACAUGCCUCGACAAAUCAUACUGUUUGUUGUACUUUGAUUUUGGCAAAGCACCUUGAUUCACUAUUGCUUAUCCUCAGAUCAAGCCUUGUAAUCAUUUUGCUAUAGAUCUUGCACCCGUGCUUUUUCUUUACCAUUUUGCUUUGCUAACUGCUGUACCUGAUGGAAUUUUUUCCUCACUGUGAUUUAUCCAUGACUUUAUGAGCACAAGAAUCGCACACAAGAAUCUCUUUCUAAAUAGCUUUAUGAGCAGCAAGUUUUCAAAAAUAUCUCCUUUUUGCCAAAUAAGUUUAAACUUUUGUUUUCUCCUUCUGAAUAUAUUUCUCUUUUUGGAAAACCUUUUUAAAAGACAUUUCGUGGAAAUCUAUCUUUGUUUGAAAGAUGUGUGAUACUUUUGUUUUGUGAUUUCUAAAUAUGAACUUCUUGAUUUUAAGUUUUCGUUAAAGAGUGACCGGGUUUAAAAGUUUUUUCUCAAAGUCGUUUCCAAAUGUUGUAAAUUUUCACAAUUUCCUUCCUUACUCUGUUUUGUACAAGACACCAUUUCAAACAACUUUGGCACUUUAAAUUUGCUUUUAAAGAAGGUCGUGCAAAUUAUUCUGGAGUCUUUCACGAGAUUUUCUAAUGUACUUCCUCCUAACUUUCCAAGCAGCAAGUUUUCAAAUAUCUCUUUUUUUCCAAAUAAGUUCAAUUUUGUUUUCUCAUUUGAAUAUAUCUGUAUUUUCUUACAGUUCUUUAUUAUGACAUUUUGUAAAAAUCUUCUCUGUUUAAAAGAGCUGUGAUACUUUUGCUUUGUCCUUUCUGAAUAUCAAUUUCUUGAGCUUAAGUUUUCUGUUAAUGAUUAUAACUGGAUUUAAAGUUUCUUCUCAAAUUUGUUUCGAAAUGUUGCAAAUUAUGACAAUUUUCAUCCUUACUCUGUUUUGUACAAGACCUACCUUUUUCAAACCACUUUGGAAGUUUAAAUUUGCUUUGAAAGAACGUAAUGCAAAUUAUUUUUGAUACUUUCACAAGUUUUUCCAUAGCCUUAUGAGCCUUAUGAGCAGCAAGUUUUCAAAUAUCUCGAAAAAGUUCGAACUUUUGUUUUCUCAUUUGAAUAUAUUUCUCUUUUUUGAAAACCUUUUUAAAGACAUUUCAUAAAAAUCAUUCUCUGUUUGAAAAAGGUGUGAUAUUUUGUUUUGUCAUUUCUCAAUAUUAACUUCUUGAUUUUGAGUUUUCUGUUAAAGAGUAAGUGGAUUUAAAAGUUCUUCCUCAAAGUCAUAUCCAAAUGUUGCAAAUUAUGACAAUUUUCUUCCUUACUCUCUUUUGUACAAGACUACUUUUUUCCAAUCAACUUUUGGAGUUUAAAUUUUGCUUUUAAAGAACGUCGUGCAGAGUAUUUAAGAUUCUUUCACAAGUUUUUCUAAUGUAUUUCCUCAUAACUUUAUGAGCGGCAAGUUUUCAAAUAUCUCUUUUUUGCCAAAUGAGUUUAAACUUUUGUUUUUUCCUUGUGGAUAUAUUUCUCUUUCUUGAAAACGUUUUGAAAGACAAAAUCUAUCUUUGUUUGAAACGUGUGAUACUUUUGUUUUGUCAUCUUUCAAUUUUAACUUCUUGAUUUUAAUUUUCUGUUAAAGAGUAACUGGAUUUAGAAGUUCUCCUCAAAUUCGUUUCCAAAUGUUGCAAAUUAUGACAAUCUUCUCUGUUUUGUACAAGACCUACUUUUUUUCAAACCACUUUGGUAGUUUAAAUUUGCUUUUAAAGAAGGUAAUGCAAAUCAUGUCAGAUUCUUUCACAAGUUUUUUUAAUGCAUUUCUCCGUAGCUUUAUGACCAACAAGUUUCAAAUAUCUCUUUUUGGCCUAAUAAGUUUUAAACUUCUGUUUUCUCCUUUUGAAUAUAUUUCUCUUUUCUGAAAACCUUUUAGAAGACAUUUCGUAAACGUCUAUCUCUCUUGCAAGAGCUGUGAUACUUUUGUUUUGUCCUUUCUGAAUAUUAAUUUCUUGAGUUUAAGUUUUCUUUUAAAAGAGUAUAACUGGAUCUAAAAAUUCUCCUUAAAGUUGUUUCCAAAUGUUGCAAAUUACGACAAUUUUCUUCCUUACUGUGUUUUGUCAAAGACCCACUUUUUUCAAACCACUUUGGGAGUUUAAAUUUGCUUUUUAAGAGUGUAAUGCAAAUUAUUUCAGAUUCUUUCGCAAGUUUUUCCAAUGCAUUUCCUCAUAAAGUUUUCAAAUGUCUCUUUUUUGCCUAAUAAGUUUCAUUUUGUUUUCUCCUUUGAAUAUAUGUCUUUUUUGACAAUUCUUUAUUAUGACAUAUUGGAAAAAUGUUCUCUGUUUAAAAGAGUUGUGAUACUUUUGUUUUGUCCUUUCUGAAUAUUAACUUGUUGAGUUUAAGUUUUCUGUUAAAAGAGUAUAACUGGCUUUAAAGAUUCUCCUCAAAGUUGUUUCCAAAUGUUUACGAAUUAUGAUAAUUUUCUUCCUUACUCUAUUUUGUACAAGACCUACUUUUUUCAAACCACUUUGGGAGUUUAAAUUUGCUAUUAAAGAACGUCAUGCAAAGCAUUUUAGAUUCUUUCACAAGUUUUUCCAAUGCAUUUCCUCAAACUUUUAUGAGCAGCAAGUUUUCAAAUAUCUCUUUUUUGCCAAAUAAGUUUAGACUUUUGUUUUCUCCUUUUGAAGAUAUCUGUCUUUUUUUACAGUUGUUUAUUAUGACAUUUCAUAAAAAUGUUCUCUGUUUAAAAGAGCUGUGAUACUCUUGUUUUGUCCUUUCUGAAUAUUAACUUCUUGAGUUUAAGUUUUCUGUUAAAAGAGUAUAAUUGUAUUUAAAGUUUCUCCUCAAAGUUGUUUCCAAAUGUUGCAAAUUAUGACAAUUUUCUUCCUUACUCUGUUUUGUACAAGACCUACUUUUUUCAAACCACUUUGGGAGUUUAAAAUUGCUUUUAAAGGAUGUAAUGCAAAUUAUUUUAGAUUCUUUCACAAGUUUUUCCAAUGUAUUUCCUCAAAUUUAUGAGUGGCAAGUUUUCAAAUAUCUCUUUUUUGCCAAAUAAGUUUAGACUUUUGUUUUCUCCUUGUGGAUAUAUUUCUCUUUCUUGAAAACUUUUUGAAAGACAUUUCAUGAAAAUCUAUCUUUAUUCUGAAUAGAGGUGUGAUACUUUUGUUUUGUCAUUUCUAAAUAUUAANNNNNNNNNNNNNNNNNNNNNNNNNNNNNNNNNNNNNNNNNNNNNNNNNNNNNNNNNNNNNNNNNNNNNNNNNNNNNNNNNNNNNNNNNNNNNNNNNNNNNNNNNNNNNNNNNNNNNNNNNNNNNNNNNNNNNNNNNNNNNNNNNNNNNNNNNNNNNNNNNNNNNNNNNNNNNNNNNNNNNNNNNNNNNNNNNNNNNNNNNNNNNNNNNNNNNNNNNNNNNNNNNNNNNNNNNNNNNNNNNNNNNNNNNNNNNNNNNNNNNNNNNNNNNNNNNNNNNNNNNNNNNNNNNNNNNNNNNNNNNNNNNNNNNNNNNNNNNNNNNNNNNNUAUAUGUCUUAACUUCUGAGCAACAAGUUUUAAUAUCUCUUUUUGCCAAAUAAGUUUAAUUUUGUUGUCUCCUUGAAUAUUGUCUUUUUGACAGUUCUUUAUUAUGACAUUUGUUAAAAGAGCUGUGAUACUUUUGUUUUGUCCUUUGUGAAUAUUAACUUCUUGAGUUUAAGUUUUCUGUUAAAAGAGUAUAACUGGAUUCAAAGUUUCUCCUCAAAGUCAUUUCCACGUGUUGCAAAUUAUGACAAUUUUCUUCCUUACUCUGUUUUGUACAAGACUUACUUUUUUCAAACCACUUUGGGAGUUUAAAUUUGCUUUUAAAGAAGGUAAUGCAAAUUAUUUCAGAUUCUUUCACAAGUUUUUCCAAUGCAUUUCCUCAUAGCUUUAUGAGCAACUAGUUUUCAAAUAUCUCCUUUUUGCCAAAUAAGUUUAAACUUUUGUUUUCUCCUGAAUAUAUUUCUCUUUUUUGAAAACCUUUUUAAAAGACAUUUCAGGAAAAUCUGUGUUUGAAAGAGGUGCGAUACUUUAGUUUUAUGAUUUUUAAAUAUUAACUUCUUGAUUUUAAGUUUUCUGUUAAAGAGCGACUGGGUUUAAAAGUUUCUUCUCAAAGUUGUUUCCAAAUGUUGUGAAUUUUCACAAUUUUCUUCCUUACUCUGUUUUGUACUAGACUCUUUUUCAAACAAUUUUGGCACUUCACAUUUGUUUUUAAAGAAGGUCGUGCAAAUUAUUCUGGACUCUUUCACAAGUUGUUCUAAUCUAUGUUCUUAUAACUUUCUGAGCAGCAAGUUUUCAAAUAUCUCUCUUUUGCCAAAUAAGUUUAAUUUUGUUUUUUCCUUUGAAUAUAUCUGUCUUUUUUCAGAGUUCUUUAUUAUGACAUUUUGUAAAAAUAUUAUCUGUUUAAAAGAGCUGUGACACUUUUGUUUUGUCAUUUCUGAAUAUUAACUUCUUGAGUUUAAGUUUUCUGUUAAAAGAGUGUAACUUGAUUUAAAGUUUCUCCUCGAAGUCAUUUCCAAAUGUUAAAAAUUAUGACAAUUUUCUUCCUUACUUUGUUUUGUACAAGGCCUACUUUUUUCAAACCAAUUUGGGAGUUUAAAUUUGCUUUUAAAGAAGGUAAUGCAAAUUAUUUCAGAUUCUUUCACAUGUUUUUCUACCGUAUUUCCUCAUAGCUAUAUGAGCAGCAAGUUUUCAAAUUUCUCUUUUUUGCCAAGUAAGUUUUAAACUUUUGUUUCCUCCUUUCGAAUAUAUCUCUCUUUUUUGAAAACCUUUUUAGAGACAUUUCGUAAACAUCUGUCUUUUUGCAAGAGGUGUGAUACUUUUGUUUUGUCAUUUCUCAAUAUUAACUUCUAAUAUUCCUCCUCAAAGUCGUUUCCAAAUGUUGCAAAUUAUGACAAUUUUCUUCCUUACUCUCUUUUGUACUAGGCUACUUUUUCCCACUCAACUUUGGAGUUUAGAUUAUCUUUUGAAGACCGCCACGCAGAGUAUCUCAAGAUUGCUAUCUCAAGUUUGUACAAUGUAUUUCCUCAUAACUGUAUACGAGCGGCAAGUGCUCAAAUAUCUCUUUUUGCCAAAUGAAAUUUAAACCUUUUGUUUUCUCCUUGUGGAUAUAUUUUUCUUCCCUGAAAACUUUUUGAAAGACAUUUGUGAAAAUCUAUCUUUUUUUUGAAAGAGGUGUGAUACUUUUGUUUGUGAAAUUCUAAAUAUUAACUUCUUGAUUUUAAUUUUCUGUUAAAGAGUGAGUGGAUUGAAAAGUUUCUCAGAGUCUUUUCCAAAUGUUGCGAAUUUUGACAAUUUUCUUCCUUACUCUGUUUUGUACAAGACACUUUUUCAAACAUCUUUGGCACUUCAAAUUUGCUUUUAAAGAAAGUCGUGCAAAUUGUUCUGGAGUCUCACAAGUUUUUCUAAUAUAUUUCCUCAUAACUUUUCUAAACAGCAAGCAAGUUUUCAAAUAUCUCUCUUUUGCCAAAUGAGUUUAAUUUUGUUUUCUCCUUUAAAUAUAUGUCUUUUUUUUUUAUAGUUCUUUAUUAUGACAUUUUGUAAAAAUGUUCUCUGUUUAAAAGAGCUGUGAUACUUUUUGUUUUGUCCUUUCUGAAUAUUAACUUUUUGAGUUUAAGUUUUCUGUGAAAAGAGUAUUAACUGGAUUUAAAGAUUCUCCUCAAAGUUGUUUUCAAAUGUUGCAAAUUAUGACAAUUUUCUUCCUUACUCUAUUUUGUACAUGACCUACUUUUUUUCAAACAACUUUGAGAGUUUAAAUUUGCUUUUAAAGAAGGUAAUGCAAAUUAUUUCAGAUUCUUUCACAAGUUUUUCCAAUGCAUUUCCUCAUAGCGUUAUGAGCAGCAAGUUUUCAAAUAUUUCUUUUUUACCAAAUAAGUUUUAAACUUUUGUUUUCUCCUUUUGACUAUAUUUCUCUUUUUUGAAAACCUUUAAAAAGACAUUUUGUAAAAUUCUAUCUAUGUUUGAAAGAGGUGUGAUACUUUUGUUUUGCCAUUUCUCGAUAUUAACUUCUUGAUUUUAAGUUUUCUGUUAAAGAGUAACUGGAUUUAUAAGUUUCUCUUCAAAGUUGUUUUCAAAUGUUGCACAUUAUGACAAUUUUCUUGCUUACUCUGUUUUGUAUGAGACCUACUUUUUUCAAACAACUUUUUGAGUUUAAAUUUGCUUUUAAAGAAGGCCGUGCAAAUUAUUUUGGAUUCUUUCACAACUUUUUCCAAUGUAUUUCCCCAAAACUUUUUGAGUGGCAAGUUUUCAAAUAUCUCUUUUUUGCCAAAUAAGUUUAAACUUUUGUUUUCUCCUUUUGGAUAUAUUUCUCUUUUCUGAAAAAUUUUUGAAAGACAUUUCAUGAAAAUCUAUCUUUGUUUGACAGAGGUAUGAUACUUUUUUUUUUUUUGGUGAAGAUGUGAUACUUUUGUUUUCUCCUUUUGGAUAUAUUUCUCUUUUUUGAAAACUUUUUGGAAGACUUCUUGUGAAAAUCUGUGUUUGACAGAGGCGUGUUACUUUUGUUUCGUCAUAUUUCCAAAUAUUAAUUUCUUGAUUUUAAGUUUUCUGUCAAAGAGUAAUUGGAUUUAAAAGUUUCUCCCCAAAGUUGUUACCAAAUGUUGCGAAUUAUUUUCUCCCUUACUCUGUUUUCUACACACUUUUUCAAACAUCUUUGGCAGUUUAAAUUUGCUUUUAAUGAAGGUCAUGCAAAUUAUUUUGGAUUCUUUCACAAGUUUCUCCAAUCUAUUUCCUCAUAACUAGUUUUCAAGUAUCUCUGUUUUGCCAAAUAAGUUUAAUUUUGUUUUCUGCUUUGAAUAUGUCUUUUUUUUUUUAUAGUUCUUUAUUAUGACAUUUCGUAAAAAUAUUAUCUGUUUGAAACUGCUAUGCUACUUAUGGUUUGUCCUUUCCGAAUAUUAACUGCUUGAGUUUAAGUUUUCUGUUAAUGAAUAUAACUGGAUUUAAAAUUUCUCCUCGAAGUUGCUUCCAAAUGUUGCCAAUUAUGACGAUUUCUUCCUUACUCUUGUUUUGUACAAAACCUACAUUUUUCAAACAACUUUGGGAGUUUCAAUUUGCUUUUAAAGAACAUCUUGCAAAGUAUUUUAGAUUCUUUCACAAGUUUUUCCAAUGUAUUUCCUCAAAGCUUUAUGAGCGGGAAGUUUUCAAAUACCUCUUUUUUGGCCAAUAAGUUUAAACUUUUGUUUUCUCAUUUUGAAUAUAUUUCUCUUUUUUGAAACUUUUUUAAAGACAUUUCAUAAGAUCAAUCUCUGUUUGAAAGAUGUGUGAUGCUGUUGUUUUGUCAUUUCUAAAUAUUUAGUUCUUGAUUUUAAUUUUCUGUAAAAGAGUAGCCGGAUUUAAAAGUUUCUUCACAAAGUCGUUUCCAAAUGUUGCAAAUUAUGGCAAUUUUCUUCCUUCCUCUAUUUGUUCAAGACACUUUUUUCAAACAACUUAGGUGUUUAAAUUUGAUUUUAAAGAAGGUCAUGGAAUUUUUUUUGGAUUCUUUCACAAGUUUUUCCAAUCUAUUUCGUCAACUUUAUGAGCAACAAGCUUAUACCUCUUUUUUUAAACUAAGUUUAAAAGUUUUGUUUUCUCCUUUUGAAUACAUGUCUUUUUUGACAAUUUUUUUUUUUUUUGGUAAUCUCUUUUUUGACAAUUAUUGAUUGUGACAUUUCAUAAAAAUGUUCUCCAUUUAAAAGAGCUGUGAUACUUUUGUUUUGUCCUUUCUGAAUAUUAACUUCUUGAGUUUAAGCUCUUUGUUAAAAGAGUAUAACUGGAUUUAGAUUUUCUCAUCAAAGUUGUUUGCAAAUGUUGCAAAAUAUGAUAAUUUUCUUCCUUUGUUUUGUACAAGACCUACAUUUUUCAAACCAUUUUGGGAGUUUGCAAAUUAUUUAAGAUUCUUUCACAAGUUUUUUCAGUGUAUUUCCUCAUAGGUUAAUGAGCGGCAAGUUUUCGAAUAUCUCUUUUUUGCGAAGUAAGUUUAAACUUUUGUUUUCUCCUUUUUUCUUUUUUACAGUUCUUUAUUAUAGAUAUUUCAUAAAAAUGUUCUAUGUUUGAAAGAGCCGUGAUACUUUUAUUUUGUCCUUUUUGAAUAUUAACUGCUUGAGUUUAAGUUUUACAGUUCUUUUUACAAUUCUAUAUUUGUCUUUUUUGACAGUUCUUUUUUAUGAGAUUUUUUAAAGAUGUUCUCUGUUUGAAAGAGCUGUGAUACUUUUGUUUUGUCCUUUCUAAAUAUUUACUUCUCGAAUGUAAGUUUUCUGUUAAUGAGUAUAACUGGAUUUAAAGUUUCUCCUCAAAGUUGUUUCUAAAUGUUGCCAAUUAUGACAAUUUUUUCCUUUCUCUGUUUUGUACAAGACCUACAUUUUGCAAACAACAAUGGGAGUUUCAAUUUGCUUUUGAAGAAAUGUCUUGCAAAGUAGUUUAGAUUCUUUCACAAGUUUUUCCAAUGCAGUGGCAAGUUUUCAAAUACAUCUGUUUUUGCCAAAUAAGUUUAAACUUUUGUUCUCCUUUUGAAUGUAUUUUUCUUUUUAGAAACUUUUUUUAAAGAUAUUUCGUAAAAUCUAUCUCUGUUUGUCAUUUCUAAAUAUUAACUUUUUAAUUUUAAGUUUCUGUAAAAGAGUAACUGGAUUUAAAAGUUUCUCCUCAAAGUCGUUUCUAAAUGUUGCAAAAUAUGACAAUUUUCUUCCUUUCUUUGUUUGUACAAGACAAACUUUUUUCAAACAACUUAGGGAGUUUAAAUUUGCUUUUAAAGAUGGUCGUGCAAAUUAUUUUGGAUUCUUUCACAAGUUUUUCCAAUCUAUUUCCCCGUAACUUUAUGAGCGGCAAGUUUAUAUCUCUUUUUUUCCAAAUAAGUUUAAACUUUGGUUUUCUCCUGUUAAAUACAUGUCUUUUUUUACAGUUCUUUAUUAUGACAUUUAGUAAAAAUGUUCUCUUUCAAAAGAGCUGUGAUCCUUUUGUUUUGUCCUUUCUGAAUAUUAACUUCUUGAGUUUAAGUUUUCUGUUGAGAGUAUGACUGGAUUUAGAGUUUCUCCUCAAAGUUGUUUACAAAUGUUGCAAAAUAUGAUAAUAUUCUUCCUUACUCUAUUUUGUACAAGACCUACUUUUUUCAAACUAUUUUGGGAGUUUAAAUUUGCUUUUAAAGAAUGUCGUGCAAAUUAUUUUAGAUUCUUUUUCCACUGUAUCUCCUCAUAGCUUUAUGAGCAGCAAGUUUUCAAAUAUCCCUUUUUAGCCAAAUAAGUUUAAACUUUUGUUUUCUCCUUUUUAAUAUAUCUCUUCUUUUUUUUACAGUUCUUUUUUACAGACAUUUAGUAAAAAUGUCCUGUGUUUGAAAGAGCUAUGAUACUUUUGUUUUGUCCUUUAUGAAUAUUAACUUCUUGAGUUUAUGUUUUACAGUUCUUUCUAUAAUUCUUUAUGUCUUUUUUGACAGUUUUUUAUUAUAACAUUUCAUAAAAAUGUUCUCCGUUUGAAAGAGCUGUGAGACUUUUGUUGUCCUUUCUUAAUAUUAACAUGUUGAGUUUAAGUUUUCUGUUAAAGAGUAGGACUGGAUUUAAAGUUUCUCUGCAAAGUUGUUUUCAAAUGUUGCAAAUUUUGACAAUUUUCUUCCUUACACCUUUUUGUACAAGACCUACUUUUUGCGAACCAUUUUGGGAGUUUAAAUUUUCUUGUGAAGAAUGUCAUGCAAAUUAUUUUACAUUCUUUCACAAUGUAUUUCCUCAUAGCUUUAUGAGCAUCAAGUUUUCGAAUCUCUUUUUUGCCAAAUAAGUUUAAACUUUUGUUUUCUCCUUUUGAAUAUAUCUCUUUUUUUACAGCUUUUUAUUAUAGACAUUUGGUAAAAAUGUUCUCUGUUUGAAAGAGCUAUGAUAGUUUUUUUUUGUCAUUUCUGAAUAUUAACUUGAUUUUAAGUUUUACAAUUCUUUUUACAAUUCUUUAUGUGUCUUUUUGACAGUUCUUUAUUAUGACAUUUUGUAAAAAUGUUCUUUGUUUGAAAGAGCAGUGAUACUUUUGUUUUCUCCUUUCUAAAUAUUAACUUCUUGAGUUUAAGUUUUUUGUUAAAGAGUAUAACUGGAUUUUAACGUUUCUCCCCAAAUGUUGCAAGUUAUGACAAUUUUCUUACUUACUCUGUUUAGUACAAGACCUACUUUUUUUCAAACUAUUUGGGAGUAUAAUUUUGCUUUUAAAGAACAUCAUGCAAAUUAUUUUAGAUUCCUUCACAAGUUUUUCCAAUGUAUUUCCUCAUAGCUUUAUGAGCAGCAAGUUUUCGAAUCUCUCUUUUCUGCCAAAUAAGUUUAGACUUUUGUUUUCUCCGUUUGAAUAUAUCUCUCUUCUUUUCUAGUUCUUUAUUAUAGACAUUUCGUGAAAAUGUUCUCUGUUUAAAUGAGCUGUGAUACCUUUGUUUUGUCCUUUCUAAAUAUUAACUGGAUUUAAAGUUUCUCGUCAAGGUUGUUUCCAAAUGUUGCAAAUUAUGACAAUUUUCUUCCUUACUUUGUUUUGUACAAGACCUACUUUUUUUCAAACAACUUGGGGAGUUUAAAUUUUCUUUGAAAGAAUAUCAUGCAAACUGUUUUAGAUUCUUUCACGUGUUUUUUCAAUGUGCUUCCUCAUAGCUUUAUGUCCAGCAAGUUUUCAAAUUUCUCUUUUCUGCCAAAUAAGUUUAAAGUUUGGUUUUCUCCUUUUGAAUAGAUCUCUCUUUUUUGACAAUGCUUUAUUAAAUUCAUUUUGUAAAAAAUUUCUUUAUUUAAAGGAGGUGUGAUACUUUUGUUUUGUCCUUUCUAAAUAUUAACUUCUUGAGUUUAAGUUUUUUGUUAAAGAGAGUAUAACUGGAUUUAAUGUUUCUCCUCAAAGUUGUUUCCAAAUGUUGCAAAUAAUGACAAUUUUUUUCCUUGCUCUAUUUUGUAAAGCAAGUUUUCAAGUAUCUCUUUUUUUCCAAAUAAGUUUAACUUUUAUUUUCUCCUUUUGAAAUAUCGUUUUUCUUGUCGGAAGUUCUGACAUUUCGUUAAAAUCUCACUCUAUUUUAAAUUGUAACUAGAUUCGUCUUUUUAUACAAUUUUUCUUUUAAAGAACGUCACACAGGAAUCUCUUUAUUAAUAGCUAUAUAUGAACAGCGAGUUUUCAAAUAUCUCUUUUUUGCCAAAUUAGUUCAAUUUUGUUUUCUCCUUUUGAAUAUAUCUUUGUUUUUUUGGGAAGUUCUGACAUUUCGUAAAAAUAUCUCUCUCUCACAGAGAGAGAGAAUGCAACCGGGUUUAAAGUUUUCUUUCAACAUGUUUGUAAAUGGUGGAAAUGAUUGUAUUUUUCUUCCUUACUCUGUUUUGUUUGAGGUUUACUAUUUUCAAUCAACAUUGGAUUGGGAGUUUACAUUUGCUUUUAAAGAAUGUCACACAAAUUGUUUUAGAUUCUAUAACAAGUUCUACCAAGUUAUUUCUUUAUAGAUUCAUGAUCAGAAGGUUUGCAAGCAUCUCUUUUCUCCCAAAACUUAUAACUUUUGUUUUCUCUUUUUGUGUACCUCACUAUUUUGAAAGUUCUUAUCUCUCCGUUUUAAAUAAUUUUGAGACUUUUGUAUUGUCCUUUCUAAAUAUUAACUCCUUGAUUUAAAGUUGUCUAUCAUAGAGCAACUGGAUUUAAAGUUUUCUUCCAUAAUUGUUUGUAUGGUGGAAAUGAUGGCAUUUUUAUUCCUUACUCUGUUUUGUACGAGACUUACUAUUUUCAAGAAUGUCAUGUGAAUUAAUUUAGAUUUUGUCGCAAGUUUCUCCAAUCGAUUUCUCAAUAGCCUCAUGAGAAUUAAUUUGCUUUUAAAGAAUGUCGUGUGAAUUAUUUGCAAAUCUCUCUUUUUUGCCAAAAGAACGUACACUACUAUUUUGUCCUUUUUUGUAUAUUUAAAAGUUCUGUGUUAAGCAGAUUUCAUAAUAUAUCUCUCUGUUUUAAAGAAUUGUGAGUCUUUUACUUUGUUUUUUCAAAAUAUUAACUUCUUUAUUUUAGGUAUCCUGUCUUUAAGUAACCGGAUUCAAAAUAUUCUUCUAAAGUCGUUUAAAAAUGUUUUGUUAAAUAGAUCAUUCUAUUUUAAAAAUUGCAAGAGUUUUGUUUUGUCCUCUCUAAAUAUUAAGUUCUUGAAUUUAAGUUUCGUGCCUUUGAGUGACUAGAUUCAAUGAUUUUAUUAAAAGUAGUUUCCAAAUCUUACAAAUUAUGGCAAUUUUCCUCCAAACAAGACUUCAAACAACAUUGGGAGUUUAAAUUUGCUCUUAAAGAACGUCAUGCAAAUUAUUUUAGCUAUCACAAGCUUUUCCAAUCUGAUUUUGAAUUACUUUAUGAAGCUUGCUAGUAUCUCUUUUACGAGCAAAAAAACCUGAACUUUUGUUUUAUUCUUUAUCUUUAUCUCUCUGUUUUAAAAGUUCUUUCUUAAAGAGAUUUGUUAAUAUCUCUAUGUAAUAAAGAAUUGUUACCAUAUGAUUUCGUCCUUUCUAAAUAUUGACUUCUUGAAUUUUCUGUUUUUGAGUAACUGGAUCUAAAGUUUUCUUUGAAAUUCAUUUCCAAAUGUCACAAAUUUGGGCAAAUUUGUGCAAGACCUACUAUGUUUCCAAAUUACAUUGGAAGUUUAAAUUGGCUUCUAGAGAACAUCAAGCAAAUUAUAUUAGAUUCUAUCACAAGAUAUUCCAAUCUCUUUCUCAAUAGCUUAAUGAGCAGAAGGUUUGCACGUAUCUCCUUUUUCCCAAAAAACUUAAACUUUUGUUUUCUCUUUUGUAUACCUAUCACUCUAUUUUAAAAGAUCUUUGUUAAAGAGAUUUCCUAAUAUUUCUCUCGGUUAUAAAGAAUUCUGAUACUUUUGUUUUCUCCUUUCUUAAUAUUAAAGUUUUCUGUCAAAGAGCAAUCAGAUUUAAAGUUGUCUAAUAAAGUCAUUACCAUAUAUUGCAAAUCAUGGCAAUCUUCUUUUGUAGUCUGAUUUGUACAAGACAUACUAUUUUUAAAACAACAUUAGGAAUUUAAAUUUGCUUAUAAAGAACAUCUAGCAAAUUAUUUUAUUAUCUAUGACAAGUUGUUCGAAUUGAUUUCUCCAUAGCUUUAUGAGCAAAAAAGGUUUGCUAGUAUCUCGUUUUCUUCAAAAAACUUUGACUUUUGUUCUGUCCUUUUGUAUACUUGUCUCUUUAAUUUAAAAGGCUCUUUGUUAAAGAGAUACCCUAAUAUGUCUUUCUGUCUUAAAGAAUGUGAGAAUUUUAUUUUGUCUUUUCUACAUAUUAAGUCCUUGAUUUUAUGCUUUCUGUUUUCAAGUAACAGGAUACAAAGUUCUUUUUUUUUCCAAAGUCGUUUUCAAAUGUUGAAAAUCUUGGCAUUUUUCUUCCUUACUUGGAUUUGUAUAAGACCUACUAUUUUUCAUACAACAUUGGGAAUUUAAAUUUUCUUUUAAAGAGAUUUCCUAAUAUCUCUCUCAGUUUUAAAAAAUUGUGGGACUUUGUUUUUGUUUCUUUUUAAGUAUUAAGUUCUUGAUUUUAAGUAUUCUGUCAUUGAGUGACCUGAUUUAAAGCUUUCUUUCAAAGUAGUGUACAAAUGUUGCCAAUUUUGGCAAUUUUUUCCUUACUCUGUUUUUGUACAAGACCAACUAUUUUCAAACGUGAUUGAGAGUUUAAAUUUGCUUUGAAAUUUCCAACCUAUUUUUCAAUAGGUUUUUGAGCAGAAAGUUUGGUAGAAUUUCUUCGGUAGAGAGAUUUCCUAAUAUCUCUCUGUGUUUUAAAGAGCUGAGACUUUUAUUUUGUUUGCCUUUAAAGAACUUCAUGCAAAUUAUUUUAGUUACUAUCACAAUUGUUUUUAAUCUAUUUUGCAAUAGGUUUGCUAGAAUCUAAUAUUUUGCCAAAAAUCUUGGACUUUUGUUUUCUCCUUUUUGUGUACUUGUAUCUCUCUGUUUUAAAAGUUAUUUGUUAAACAGUCUCCCCCAUUAUCUCUCUCUGUUUUAAAGAAUUUUGAGACUUUUGUGUUGUCAUUUCUGAAUAUUAGCUUCUUGAUUUUAAUUUUUCUAUCAAAAAGUAAUUGGGUUUAAAGUUUUCUUUCAAAUUUUUUUGUAAAUUGUGGAAAUGAUGGUUAUUUCCUUCUUUACUCUGUUUUGUCUGAGAUCUACUAUUUUCAAUCGACAUUGGGAUUUCAACUUGCUUAUAAAGACGCCAUGCAAAUCAUUUCAGAUUCUACACACAAGUUUUUCCAAUCUAUUUUGUAAUAGCCUUGUGAGCAAAAGGUUUGCAAGUAUCUCUUUUUUUCCCAUAUCUUAAAACUUUUGUUUUCUCCGUCUGUCUACUUAUUUCUCUGUUUGAAAAGUUCUUUGUUAAACAGAUUUUCUAAUAUCUCUCUUUGUUUUAGAGAAUUCUGAGACUUGUUGUGCUUUCUAAAUAUUAACUAUUGAUUUUAAAGUUUUCUAUCACGUAGCAACCAGAUUGAAAGUUUUCUUUCAUAACAGUUUGUAAAUGGUGGAGAAUUGAUGCCAUUUUUCUUCCUUACUCUGUUUUGUACAAGAUACUAUUUUAAAAAAGCAUUGGGAGUUUAAAUUUGCUAUUAAAGAACGUCAUGUAAGUUAAUUUAGACUCUAUCUCAAGUUUUUCCAACCGAUUUCUCAAUUGCUCAUGAGUAGUAGGCAUGUAAAUCUCUCUUUUUUGCCAAAAGAACAUACACUAUUUUUUUGUUGUUUUGUAUUUUUAAAAGUUCUUUGUUAAAUAGAUUUUCUAAUAUAUAUCUAUGUUGUGAGACUUUUAUUUUGUUUUUUCAAAAUGUUUACUUCUUGAUUUUAAGUAUCCUGCCUUCGAGUAACUGGAUUCAAUUUUUUUUCCAAAGUCGUUCCAAAUGUUUUGUUAAACAGAUUAUCUAAUCCCUCUUUUUUAAAAAUUGCAAGACUUUUGUUUUUUCCUUUCUAAAUAUUAACUUCUUGACUUUAAGUUUCCUGCCUUUGAUUGACUGAAUUCAACGUUUUCAUUAGACUAGCUCCCAUAUCUUGCAAAUUAUGGCAAGCUUCCUCCAAACUUUGUUAUGUACAAGGCCUACUAUAUUCAAACAACAUUGGGAGUUUAAACUUGCUUCUAAAGGACGUCAUCCAAAUUAUUUUAGAUUCCAUCACAAGUUUAUCAAACUAUCGCUCAAUAGCUUUAUGAGCAGUGUGUUUGCAAAUAUCUCUUUUGUGCCACUUUUGUUUUCUCAUUUUGUUUACUUAUCUCUGUUUUAAAAGUUCUCUGUUAAAGAGAUUACCUUUUUUUUUUCUCUAUUCUAAAGAAUUUUGAGAUUUAUGUUUUUUCCAUUAUAAAUAUCUACUUCUUGAUUGCAAGUUUUCUGUCCUAGAGGAAUUCGAAGUUGUUUACAUAUGUUGCAAAUUUGCUUUCGAAGAAUGUCAUGCAUAUUAUUUUAGAUUCUAUUACAAGUUUUUCAAUUUAUUUCUCAUUAGGUUUAUGAGCAGGAAGUUUUCAAAUAUAUUUUUCUGCAAAAUAAGUUAAAACUCUGGUUUUCUCCUUCUCUAUAUAUGUUUUUUUUUUAAAAGUUCUUUCUCAGAGAGGUUUUGGAACAUGUCUGUCUGUUCUUAAGAAUACUGAGACUUCUUAAUUUUCAGUUUUGGUAACUGGAUUGCAAUUUUCUAUAUAUUACCGACACCUGUUAUUUUGAAACAAAAUUUGGAGUAUAAAAAUUUGCUUUUAAAGAACAUAAUGCGCAUUAUGUAGAUUUUAUCAAGUGUUAGUCGAAUCUAUUUCUCAGUUGCUUUAUUAACUGCAAGUUUUUAGAUAUCUCGAUAGCAAUGGUAGUUAACAUAAGUAAGAUGAUCUACUUGAUUGUUGAGAGAGCAUUGUCAACAAGACAAUUUCACAUUUCUCUCACUCAUUAUUUUUUAGAUGAUCAAGUGGUUUUUUGGGCUAACUAAAGGAGGAGAAUGUCUAGGCUGCUAAAUUUCGACUUAUCUUGGCUUUCUUGGGUUAGCAAAAUUUAAGGACAAAGUAAUAAUAGUGUCUAGUGAUAAGUGGAAGGAUUCAUAUGUCCAUUGAUGGUGUUUAGAUUGGAGAGCCGCAAAUGAGGUGUCCAUGUGGUGUUCUGGAAAAUGGUUUUUGGUGGCUGACUGGUAAGAUUGAUAAUAGAGAGAUCACUGACAUUAUAGAGUAUGACACAACUGGUGGGGGGUGAAGGAUGGUUGACAAGGAUGGGUUUUGAUUGAUAUCUGGUGGAAAUUUGUCGACUAACUAUUAUACCAUUAGAAAGCCCUAGUAUGCUCUCGAGGUCUCAGUGUGGUGAGCUGGAAAAUGGUUUUCUAUGGUUGACUGAUAAGAUUGAUUAUAGAGAGAUCACUGAAAAUAGAGUAUGACACUACUGGUGGUGAGCGAAGGAUGGUGGACAAGGAUAAGUGUUGAUUGAAAUAUAUUUUCUACUUCUGCUAUUUGUACGUUGUGAAAUGGCAUGUUCUACUCAUUUGUUUAUCCCCUCAUUAUGGGUUUUCCUGCUUGACCUUGCUCUGUCUUAACGAAGAAAACAGUGGAUCUAUAUAAAUUCAAAUCAAGAUAGGUAUUUCAAGAAAGAAAUUCUUUGAAAUUUUUCUUUGUUACUAGAUUUUCUUGUGAUUACUACUCCAGUCAUUUUCCUUUUCAUGUUUGCUGGGUCUUUGUAUGGAAUAGGAGAUUCGGCAGCUAUAUUGAUCUUGUUAGUUUAUUACAGGAUGAUUUGUAUAAUUUUCUAGUUUUGGGCGAUUAUUGGUUGGAGAUUGAUGUGGAAACAAUUUGUGUAAUUUUGAGGAAGUAUCAUUUGCAGUGAGUAGAUGUUAUAAUAUUAAAAUAUUUAGCUAUGGAAUGGUCUCUAUAAUUUUGCAUGCCUAUUGAUCGAAACUCCACUUUAGGGUCAAGAAAAGCUACGUGAUAAGGGUAAUGAUGGUCUUCACUGGGAUUGAGUAUGAAGUUUGGAAGAAGAAAAGUGACAGGAUGUAGGACUAAAGCGGUUUUAAGAGCUUUGCGUAAUGUUAAAUUAGUGGAUAUUUCAUAAUACUUUGGUUAUGUUCAAAUUUUUUACUUAUUGUGGUGAGAAACCUAGAAGGAUAAAUGAAAUGAUUCAUAUGAUUUUGCUUGAUUAUUGAGGAUGAUGGGCGGCAACUUUGAGAAUGAAUAUUCGUUUAAGAGGCUAAGUUAAAUAAAAACAAAUAUAGAACCAGACAGCUUCCAGAGCAAGUGAUUUUGAUCAUUAUUUUGAGGUAUAUUGAUUAUAAAAAUGAUUAUUAUCAUUUUGGGUGAGUGUUUCAAAUUGACGUUUGACGUGUUUUGGCAGUAAAAUUUGCUUUUGACUUGCGAGAGAUAGUUUACUGGACAGAAGUUUGUCAAUUUAUGAAAUGAGCCACCCAAAUGCCAAAUGAAAAUUGCAUAUCUUUUAAUUGUCAUUAGGAGAGCUUUUUUCUGUCACGACUAAUGUGUUCUUUGUAAAUGGUAUGAAUACUUGUGGCAAGGACAAAACUUUUUCUGACUUCUUUUUAACAAAAAAAUGUCAAGACGAACACAUUAAGUUAUUUUUGGAUGACACCUUAUGUUAAAUUAUGCGGUCCUUGAAUUUUUAACUCAAUAGUCCUCUGUCAUUUUCACUUUGAUUGGUUGGCUACUUUUCUGUCUUAAGCAUAUGUACGUUUUCCAAAGAAACCAAUAUAAGAUCAAACUAAAUUCCACCUGGUUAGUUUGUGAGACCAUUUGGCAGGAGCUGAGGGAAUUAUGUUUGGGGAUUCGAUGAGCUAUCAGAUUUAGUGAUGGACUAGAGACGAGGGAACUAUGUUGAUAUUGUGAGUUCAUUGUGGAAUGGUUUUAAUAAUUUUGGGUGACUUUUUGAGCUUGACCUUUGACUGUUUUUCAUAAGUGGGGUUGAUUAUUUGAGAUUAAUGGUUGGCAAAUUUCAAGGAUGAAAUUCUGUUGAGGUAAUUCUCAUGUCCUUAUUUUAGAAUAAAAUGUAGAGCAUAAUAAUUUUGGGGUUGUUUUCUUAUGUUUGAUAUCUCAAGUGAUGGGUUCUUUUAAGAAAUUAUGAGGUUGAUGUUCGGCAAAUUGGUGGACAACAUUUAAUGGGGCAGAAGCUAUAUGUUGCUGUUGGAAAGAAAUAUAGAGUAGAUGAUUGUUGGAGUAUGAUUUCUAGAACUUUUGAUGGGUGAAGGUGAGUUGAUUGCAAAAUGGUUUCUGUAGUUUUGGGUGAUUAUGUGAUGUUGACGUUGGAAUGAUUGAACUUUGCGCGAUUGUUUGCUAUGGAUGUUCAGCAAAUUUCAAAUAUGGAAUUCAUUUGAGGUGAAUAUUUGCUAGUGUCCUGAUUUUAGGAAGAAAUAUAGAGUAGAAUAAUUUUGAUGUUGAUGCUUGCGCUCCAUUUUCUUUAGUUUCAAUAUUGAGUCAUUGGUUCCCCUUAGGUGAUUGUUGGAGUAUUGAUUUCUCUAACUUUUGCACUUGAGUUGAUUGAGGAAUCAUUUAAAUAGAGCCUUGGGUGAUUAUUUAAGCUCGACGUUAGGAUGAUUGUUAUUAUUUUGGGUGAGUAUUUGACAUUGAUCUUUGGCGACUUUCAAGGGUGAAAUUCAUUUGAGGUGAUGAGAUGCUAGUGUCCUGACUUUAGGGAGAAACAUAGAGCAGAAUAAUUUUGGGUAGAUGUUGUGCAGUGGCAGACUUUGCACAUUUUAUCGGUGGGUGCAAAUAAACUGGGCAGGACAAAGUGAAUACCUAAAACGUUGAAUUAUUGAAAUCAGUUAUUUUCUGGGAUUUUUAAAGAAGAAUGAUCGUCGGAGUACUGAUUUUAUAGAACAUAAGCUACUUUGCUAGUGUCCUGUUUUCUGAAGUUGAUAUAGAGUCAUAGGUUCCCUUGAGAAAUUUUGUGGUUGAUGUUUUGCAAAUUAGUUAGCAACUCCAUAAGGGGGCGGACGUGCUAUAUUAUUUGAAUCUCCAUUUAGUUUACCCUUUGGUGUUCCUUCUUGAUCUUGCUUUAUCUUAAUAUAACAAAAGGGGAUCUAUAUAAAUUGGAAUCAUAAGCAAUUCUGUCAGGAAAGAAAAUUAUAGAUCGGACAUUUGUCCUUUUGUUGGCUAUAUUAUUUUGUGAUUGCUGUUGCAAUCAUGUUCCUUUUCACGUUUCCCUGAUCUUUAAAUAGACACAAAUAUUGGGUGGCUAUGUCAAUCUUCUGUAUACUAUUGAAGUGAUCUUAUUUUUCAUGUUUUCCACUGUUUUGAUGGCUCUGUUUGUAAACCUUUGUGACUCUAGCGAGUUUCUCUGCGCAAGGUUAUUAUUUUACUUUUGAAACAAGCAGUAUUGUCCCACUUAAGAGGAGUAAUCACGUCCAGUCGAGCUGAUAAUAAUGCCAAGCUUGAUCUUGAAGCUCAUUUGUGUUAGAAUUUCUGCCUGAACUUGCCUUAAUAGAGAAUCGAAAUAAUCGAGCUUAAGCUAGAUUACAAAUCAAUACUCUUUAAGCUAUCAAGCUUAAACUAGAUUAAAAUCAAUACUCUCAAGCUUGACCUUAUAUACUCUCAAUCGAGUAUAUGAUUUGUUUUUGUGACUAUGUGACUAGCAAAAUAUUAAUGAAAAAACAAAAGCUCUAUUAAGCUUACUGUCAAGCUGAGCUCGACUCGAUAAGAUACUUAAGUAGCUCAGACUUUGAGCUUGACUUGAAACCAUAUGAGGUGAUUUCUCAAGUCAAGCCCAAACUACUCUCGAGACAUGAUUUCACCCUUGUCCCAUUGUAUACGAGAUGGAUAUCUCAUUAUUUUUCCUAAAUCUCAUAAUAUCUUGUUCUUUAACAGUAAUUGUGUUUUGUUCAGGUGAUUAUGGAUAAAGCAUCCUGUGGUAAGAAAUUGGUCUUCAGGUGGGCAGGUUUUAUGUUUGUGUGUGUGUGAGAGAGAGAGAGAGAGAGAGAGGGUACAAGUUCACACUCCCUUUGAGCAACUGAUUUUAAUUAUAGUCAGCUUAUAAUUUUGGCAAUGUAUUUCAUAUCAAUAUGCAACUGAUAUAGUUAACUAAUCUACCUUAAGUGGAUAUUUGUGCAAUAAGUUCAACACUAUAUUUUGACAAAUUUUUGUUUGACCAAUUUAAUUGUAGAUUAUCCAUUCAUUUAUCCGGUACUUAUUUUUAUUCAUUGCAUACAUGGUUAUAGUUAUGUAGUGAUAAUGCACGACUUACAUCUUAAAUGAAUUUAGAUCAUUUUCGGGAAAGGUAGUUAAAUACUCGUGGUUUAAAUUAAGUUGAUUAUUACUGAAGUGAGCAAAUGAUGAGGAAAUUUGACAUGGUUGAUUUGCACUCGUAAUGAUUUUUAUGGCAGUGAAGUACCUGGAUUUUUUGACGUGUUUGUGAAUUUUUGUUAUGAUACAUGCUGAUAAAAGAUGAAAUCGUUGACAUGUUAGAUUGGCAUUGGGCUAUAAGUACUUGAACUAUGUAGAAUAUGUCCCUCAAGGGAUUGACUUUUUCUAUUAUAUGCAUGCAAAUAAUGAGAAAUAAGGUAAAAAUAUAUUAUGGUGAUACCUCAAAAUGUUAUGUAAUUACUCAUUGAAUGUCACUAUGCUAUUUUGCUCUUGGUAAGAUUAUCUCAUACCUUAAACAUAGAGAUUUCAUUUAUUGUGCUUAGGAUCCGUUCAAAAUACGUUAUAGAUUAGUAGAGUUUUUGGAGUUUAGAUUUGUGCUUCUGAAUCUCUUUUAAGGUUUGGAUCACAGUACACAACAAGAGUAGAGGUGUAUAUUUUAUGUAGGGAGUAUUGAUUAUGUAUAUUUUGUACAUCAUUUGAGGCGAAAUUAUUUUUCAUUUGAAGUUCAAAUUUUAUGGGAAUAUCAAGUUGUGACAAUUUUUGGUAUUAGAGCGAGGUUAAUGGAGCGAUGAAAUAGAAUUAGAUAGAGUGUGGAUAUAGACUUUGAGUUCCAUGAUUAAUUUGGUGGAGGAAUUGUUGAAAUAAUAAGUUCCGUAAGAAAGAUUAAUAGGUUAAUUUGAUAAGUUAUGAUCUUUGGGAAUUUAGUAUAUCUGAUGGAGCCAUGAAUCCUAGUAUUGGUUGAUUUACAUCAUGGUCAGAGUGGAUUUUAGAAGUGUUUAAGUUUUAAUUUAAACCUCAGGCAAUGAGUGAUUGUCUUUUUGGUGUUUGGAUAUUUUCGCCAAGUCGCAAGUUAUUGUUUCUGUCAUAAGUAUUCAAUAUGAAAUGGUUGAGAUUUAGUUAUUGGUGAAAUUAGGCAAAUUUAGAUCGCAAAACAAAAACUAAGGUAUUAAUUUAUAAUAAUAGUGGACGAUCCUUUAGCGAUAUGUCACGAUCAAUUUUAUGACAAUUUAUGAUCUUUAGAUGUAAGUCGUGAUUUUGAGGAUUACAUCGUAGUCGGAGGAGAUUAAAAGGAGAAUUUAUAUUGGAAGUCUCAAUAGGUUACAUGGUGAUAUUUAGUAUAAUAAGAAUUGAUCUUAGAGGAAGUAAGCUUGAAAAUUAAAUUUCCUUCGGUGUAACAUGUGUGAUCUUUGUAACUGUAGGUUGUGAUAUUUUGAGUAGUAUAUUAUGAUCUUACAUUAAAGAGUUUUGCGGAACUAGUAGGCAAGAUCUUCAUAACUGUAGGUUGUGAUCUUCAUAGUUGUAGGUUAUGAUCUUUUGAGUAGUAUAUUAUGAUCUUACUUUAAAGAGUUUUGUGGAACUAAGUAGCUAAGAUCAAUUUCAAUUGAGGUUUCAUUUGUAAGUCAAGUUGAUUGAAUUUUAUUGAAAAGUAGAUGAGUUCAAAUUUUGGUGAUUUAGGAAGUUAUAGGCAUUCAAUCUUAAGUGAUGACUUUUUGAGUGGUGACAUUUUUAUGAGGAUUUGUGGUAUAAAUAUAAGUUUUUGUUUUGGUGAUCCUUGUCCUGGAGAGGAAUACAGUACAUUGCCUUGGGAGAAAGUUGAGAUAAAAUUCGAGGAAGUAGAUCUUAUCUUAGUGUUAUGAUUCAGAAUACCACAGUCGUAUUCAAAUAUAGUGAUGUUAGGAGUGUUUAGGGUGUAUUAAAAGUUAAUAAUUCCGUUUUUCUUGGAAGGAGUAAUUUUGAACUAAUGCUAUCAAUGAGCUCUACUUGAGGAGUUAUUAAGAACAUUGAAAGUAUUUGGAGGUUUUUAUACAAUACACGAGUUGAUUUAGACAAAAUCUUAAUGUGGAUGUUGUGAUAUACUAAGGCCGUCUUAAUUUCAAAAAGUCCACAUUGGACGAUAUUUGCCUUGUUUGUAAGCAUAGUUAGCUAUCGAUGGUAGUAUAAAUGCUUGGUUUGUAUUUUGUAGUACGGACCACCAAUCAAUCAAUGAACACUAAUUGUUAAAUUUUAUCUUCCUAGUAUCUUUAUGCUCUAGCGUCUUUUUACAUGGCUGAUCAUGAUUGCCUCUAGUAUUCGUACUUUUAAUUUUCUCAUCAAUUCGUGUUCCUAUCUAAGAAUUAGCAAAGGACCAUCAUAUCUUUUGUCGAUUGGUUUAGCAAUCUAUCUUUUGAAAGAUGCAUUGUCGGCCCUUUCUGACAAUACAUUUACAAAUCCAAUGAAUGACACAAAAUGGUUCCAUUUCCAUAUAUUGAACCUCGAACCAAAGUGCACCCAAAAAAAUGAAACUUUCAAUAAAGACUUGAUAUAUCUAUUAGGAUGUUUAUCGAGAUGUCAAUAUUGCAUUGAGAAAAUUGACCUUGUUCAAGCUUUGAUUUGAUUUCAUUUGGUGUCAAAUAGAUUUGUUUAACCGUCCUAGUGGUGAUCUACAGAUCUAGGCCUGGCCCGCCUAAAGUUUUGCUCGAGUGCCCUUUAAGUCUCAUGUUCUAUGUCUAUGCACUGUCUACAUGAAAUUUACAUUGGCAUUUCAGUUUGUUCAAAUGUAGACUUGUCAUUGUUUGAUUAACUUUUGUUCUUUAUUCGUCUUUUUAAAUUUUCAUUGAUGAACAAUCUACUAACUGCAUUGGGAAAAGAAUUUUUAUCUACUUUCAGUUUUGUGCAUGAUUAUGCCGUUCAGUGAAGUGUCUCCUGUAAUAAUUUUAUUGCUUGACCAAUUAGAUCGGUGUCAUGUAUUUCAUCAAAUGUUUUUAUUCAUUAGGACUUUCUGAAGAUUGGCGAUGUAAACUUUAUCCGUCACUUGAUGGCAUAAACAUUAAAUGAAGAGAAGGUAUUGUCUUCAUUUGGUGUAGGUGGGUUCAACCUACAUGCACUGUUAGAUCAUGUAAGUCAUACAUAAGAUCCCCUCACGGGUGAACUAGGCAAAGCACCGGGUUCGGUACUUCUCUCUGAUGACUUGGACUAAUCAUAUAUAGGAGUGUUAUGGCUUAAAAUCAUCCGCAUGGCUUAAAAUCAUCCGCUAACAACGUAUAGGAAAGCGCAAAUCAGGUUUUGUAACAUGUUUUGUUAGUAAAGGACCUCGUGAGAUACUCUACUUACUAUACGCUCUACGUAAUGGAAGAACAAGUCGAGCUAAUAUCUUGUGCAUGGAGUUCUCUUACUGGCAGCAAACUCUUAAUUCAUAAAUGCAGAACACUUAAAGAUAUUGGAAACAAGUUAUACAUAGUUUAGCACAAGAGACUUACCUUUCCUGAAUUUACUUGCCCGAAUGCACUGUCUCCAUGGGUAUCCACCAGUGACUGAUGGCUUAAUCGUGGCCUUAAAAGAGAUUUUGGAAUGUGAACUUGAACUCACUAUGCCAUUGCCAGCAGAACUCUAAUGUCGGUUUAGAUAGCGCAGCCAAAACAAGGACUUGAAACAAGAACGGGAAAAAGUUGUCCAAUAAAUGCUAGCAGUUACAAAUUGAUUUGGUGUAGGCGUUUUGUCAAACACGUCAAAGGUGGUAGCCCCAGACAUUUAUGUUUCUCCUUGAUGUAUUCGAACUAAAUCUCAAUAUGUGGUUGCAUGGAUGCAAACUAAUAUGAUAAAUUAUAAGUCUUUUCCCCCCAUCUUUAGGCUCUUUGUAGAUUCUGAAGCCCACCACCAAUUCUCUAGCAACGUAAGGCCUAGGAUUUUGGGCAAGUUUGCUCUUAGGACGCACAAUUCUAGCUCAACCAUUUACUUCCAGAUUCUUAUGCACGACUUCGAUUCAGGAGUGAAGGAAAAUGAUUGUCGGCCCACUUGUCCAGCCCAUUCAUGGGUGGAGGCUAUAGAUAAAACUCGAAAACUCAAAAUCAGUAGGAAAAAGUUUGUACCAUAAUAGGGCAGAGGCACGGCAAGCUAAUAUAAAACUAAGCGAACCUAAGAGAGUACAAGAAUGUUUGAAUGAAUGAUUCGAACUGUAUCAUCGUCAAAUAUAGGAUUUUGGAACUACUAUUGCUUUGGUUUAAGGUUUUUAAUUUUAGGACGUGGGCUCACAGACCGGCCGCCCGUGUGGGCACAUCUGAUUUGUUCCAACUAGCCAUGUAGUAUCAGUAUCGUGCCAUGCCGGCCAAACCAUUAUGAUGCUAAUCCAGAAUAUGGGCCUAUAUUGUUGGAGUGCUGAAUGAAAUCUUAAAUUAUGAUAAGCAUAUGUGUCGGAAAAAAAAUGUAAAAAAUUCCAUAGCAAGGCCUAUUUUUCAAUACACUAUUUGCCCAAGUCAAAUGAGUCAGAAGAUUAAAUUGAAAGAGUCCUCAACUUUAGGUGUAGUCCCAAUUUCAUCCCAAUUUUUUUUCUCAUAAAUUUUUUUAGAUUAGUCCCAAAUCUUCCUUCACGUCCAAAGAUCACCAUUGAUUUUUGCAAUAUUAUCAACAUCAGGAUAUUAUUAUUAUUUUUUUUUUACAAUGUGAGGAUGUUGAUGAAAGCGCAUGUUAGGUUUUGAUAAUGAACUUCUAACUGAUUUUGAUGUCAAUAAUUUUGAGCAAACUAGUGGUGAUUUUUGGACGUGUGGAUAGAUUUUCGAUUAAAGUGACAGUUGAGGAUUUUUUAUGAGAUAAAAAAAAAUGGCGCAAAAGUAAGAUUGAACUAAAAGUUAAUGAUUUUUUCGGGAAUUAGAAGUGCUUGAGUCAUUGAUCUAAGAAAUGAUAAGUUUAAGUGAUGAUUAAUAAAGUUAUGAACUUGAGGGGAUUGAAUUUUAUUGAAAAGUAGGUAAGUUCUAAUUUUGGUGAGCUAGGAAGUUAUAGGCAUCCAAUCUUAAGUGAUGACUUUUUGAGUGGUGACAUUUUUAUGAGGAUUUGUGGUUUAAGUUCAUGUUAUGGUGAUCCUUGAUCCUACAAAGGAAUAUUAUAUAUUGCCUUGGGAGAAAAUUGAGAUAAAAAUUGAGGAAGUAGACCUCAUCUUAGUGUUACAAUUAAGAGUACCAGAGUCUAUUCAAAUAUAGUGAUGUUAGGAAUGUUUAGGGUGUAUUAUAAGUUAUUAAUUCCGUGGUGCUUAAAAGGACUAAUUUUGAAAUAAUGCUAUCAAUGAGCUCUGUUUGAGGAGUUAUUAAGAGCAGUAAAAGUAUUUGGAGGUUUUUAUACAAAGCAUUAGAAUUGAUUUAGACAAAAUCUUCACAUGGAUGAUGCGACAUUCUAAGGCUGUCUUAAUUUUAAAGUCACAUAGGACGAUAUUUGCCUUCUUUGUACUGUUAACUGUCGGUGGUAGUAUAAAUGCUUGAUUUGUAGUUUGUAAUAUGAACUGCCAAAUCAAUCAGUGAACACUAUAAUUGUUCAAUUUUAUCUUCCUAUUAUCUUUACAUUCCAGCAUCUUUUUACACGGCUACACGGCUGGCCACAAUUACCUUUAGUAUUUGUACUUCGAAUUUUUUCAUCAAUUCACGUUUUCUAUCUAAGAAUCGGCAAAGGAUCCCUCAUAAUUGUUGUCAAUUGGUUUAGUGGUCUAUCUUUUGAAAGAUGCAUUGUCUGAUACUUUUCGACGAAACAUAUACAUAUCAAAUGAAUGUUACAAAAUGGUUCCAUUUCUAUCUAUCGAACCUCCAUCAUUUUCUCUCAUUUUAGACACUCGUGUUUUAUAACUUAAGAAACCAUAUUGCACCACAAAAUAAUCUUUCAAUCAAGACUGGAGACAUCUAUCAGGAUGUUUAUCGAUAUGUCGAUAUUGCAUUGAGAAAACUGAACUUGUUCAAGCUUUGGUUUGAUUUCAUUUGGGGUUAAAUAGAUUUGUUCAGCCGUCCUAGUGGGGAUCUAGGCCUGGCCCGUCUAAAGUCCUGCUCGAGUGCCCCUUAUGUCCCAUGUUAAAUGUCGAUCCACUGUCUAUAUGAAAUUUUCUGUAGGCGUUUCAAUUUCUUCAAACGUAGACUUGUCAUUGUUGGAUCGACUUUUGUUCUUUAUUCGUCUUUUUAAAUUUUCACUGCUGAACAAUCUGCUUACUGUCUGUCAUCGGUAAAAGAACUUUUAUCUGCUUUCACUUUUGUGCGUGACCAUGCCAUCAGGCGAAGUGUGUCAUGCAAUAAUUAUAUCGCCUGAACAAUUAGACCAAUAUUGUGUAAUCCAUCAAAUGUUUGUAUUCAUUACGAUCUUCAAAGAGCUGCGAUUUAAGCUUCAUCUAUCACAUGAUGGCAUAAACAUUACAUGAAAAGCAGGUAUUGUCUACAUUCGAUAUAAGUGGGUCCAACUCACUGCAUCGUUAGAUCAUACGACCUCACAUGUGAACUGGGCAAGCAUUGGAUUCAGUACUUCUCUCUAUUGACUUGGACCAACCGUAUAGAGGACUGUUAUAGCUUAAAAUCCUCGCCUAACAAUGUAUGUGAAAGCACACAGCCAUCUUUACAUGUUUUUUUUUUUUCUUUUCUGGUGAAGGGCUUUGUGAGAUGCUUUACUUACUAUUCCCUCAACACCGUUAUGGAAACGACAUCUUGUGAAUGGAGUUCUCUUAUAGGCAGCAAAUUCUUAAGUCGUAAAUGCAGGAACAUUUAAAGAUAUUGGAAACAAGUUAGACAUAGUUGAGCUGAAUGCAUAUUCUCCAUGGGUAUCCACCAGUGACUGAUGGUUUAAUCCUGGCCUUAAAAGAGGUUUUGGAAUGUGAAUUUGAACUCAUUAUGCCAUUGCCAGCAAAUCCCAAACGCCAGUUUAGAUACGCAACCAAAACUAGGACUUGGGAGAAGAACUUGAAAAAGCUGUCCAAUGAAUGCUGGCAGUAACACAAGGAAUAUGAUUUGGUGUAGGCGUUCUGUCAAACAGGUAACAGGGUUGGCAGCCCCAUACAUUUAUGUUUUCUCCUUCAUGUUUUCGAACUAAAUCUCAAUACAUGGUUGCAUGCAUGCAAGCUAACAUAAUAAAUUAUAGAUCUUUCCCCCAUCUUUAGGCUCUUUGUAGAUUCUGAAGCCCACCGCCAAUUCUCUAGCAAUGUAAGGCCUAGGAUUUUGGGCAAGUUUACUCUUAGGACGCACAAUUCUAGCUCAAGCAUUCAAGGCCAGAUUCUUAAACACGACUUUUCAGGAGUCAAGGAAUAUAAGGCCCUGUUUGGUAACCAUCCAAACAUGGCCAGAUUCUGAUUCUUUGUUCCCGGAAUCAGUUUCGGUCUAGAAUCGCGUUUGGUAAAAUUUUUGUUUCCGGGAACAGAUUGGGAAUAGAAUCAAGAACCAAAAAAUAGUUGAUUCUUAUUCCGGGAACGAAUUUGAGAAUCAAAAUCAAGAAAUUUUCUUCUUCCCUUUGGCCAAUCUCGCGACCGCCGUCCACCAUCGCCCGCCACCGUCCGCCGUUUGCCGCCGCUGCCGCCGGCCGCCGAUCUGGCGAGCUCGCCGGAGGCAAGCCCAGCCACUGGCGAGCUCGCCGGAGGCUUGCCCAGCCACCAGCAAGGCUCGGCCUCCCCAGAUAUGGCGAGGCCGAGCCUCCCCGGUGGCCAGGCGGGCUUCGCCAGGGCUGGGUAGGGGCUGGGCAAGCCUCGCGACGCCCAGCCCCAGCGGUGGCCAGGCGAGGCUCACCCAGCCCCGCUGGUGGCCUGGCAGGCCUUGCCCAACCCCGACGAGGCCGGCCUAGCCAUCGGCGGAGCUCGGCCUCGCCAGAUCUAGCGAGGCUGAGCCUCGCCCAGCUGCCGACGAGGCUCGGCCGACGAGGGCCGGCCUCGCCGAGGGCUGGCAACGCUCCGGUGAGGUCGCCGGCCAGAAGAAGAAGAAGAUGAUGAGAAAAAGAAAAGAAAAAAGGAAAAAAAAAAGAAAAGGAAAAUGAAAGAAAAGGAAAAUGAAAAGAAAAAAAGGAAAAAAGUAAAAAAAAUUAUUUAAAAAUUAAAAAAAAAUUGAUUUGGAACAGAAUUAAUGAACACGGUACCAAACGCAAUUCUAUUCUAGAAUCGGAAAUUUUGGACAGUUACCAAACGACUUAAAAUGCUUAGAAUCAGUUCUCGGGAACAGAAUAAAAAAUAAUCAGUUCUAAUCAGAAUCUACUCCCGGAAACAGAAUCGUUACCAAACGAGCCUUAACUGUCGGCCCACUUGCCCAGCCCAUUCAUGGGUGGAGGCUAUGGAUAAAACUCUUUUAAACUCACACUCAGAAGGAAAAAGUCUGUACCAUGACAGAGUAGAGGCAGAACAACACACUAAUAUGAAACUAAGCGAACCUAAUAGAGCACGAGAAUGUUUGAACGAAUGAUUCAAUUUGUGUCAUCGCCAAACAUAGGCUUCCUGAACUCCUAAUGGCUUUGGUUUAAGGUUUUCACUUUUAGGAGGUGGGCUCGCGGGCCAGCCACCCGUAUGGGCACAUAUGAGCUGCUCCACCUAGCCGGGUAGAAUCGUGCCAUGCCGGCCAAGCCAUUACAAUGCUAAUCCGUAAUGUGGGCCCAUAUUCUCGUACUCCUGAAUGAAAUUUUAUUAAAUUAUGAUAAGCAUGUGUGUUGGAAAGAAAAAAGGUGAAAAAUUCCAUAGCAAGGCCUGUCUUUCAAUACACUAUUUUGGUAAUGUAAGCAACGUUUUUUAUUGAGAGAUUUACGAGGGUGGUGAUCAGAAAAAUCACAUUGCACAAUGAGUUAGAAAAUUAAAUUCAAAGAGGAUCCUUAAUUUAGGGGCUAAUUCCCUAAAAAAAACCUUGACUUUAGGUUCAAUCUCAAUUUCAUCCAAACUUUUUUUUUUGUCUCAUGAAAAUUCAUCAACUUUUACUCUAAUAUCAAAUCUAUUUACGCAUUCAAAAAUCGCCAUUGAUUUCUUCAAUAUUAUCAAUAUCAUAAGGUUGUUAUUGUUCCUUACAAGGUAAAGAUGUUGAUGAAAGUGCAAGUUUUAAUAAUGAAUUUCUAACUAGUUCUAAUGUCGAAAAUUUUGAAUAAACUAAUGGCAAUUUUUGGACGUGGAAGCAGAUUUUGGGAUUAGAGUAAAACUUUGGGAUUUUUAUGAGACAAAACGAAAAUUGGGGUAUAAUUGAGAUUGGACCUAGAGUUAAGUAUUUUUAAGAAAUUAGGCCUUAAAUUUAAAAGAUUUAACCAUGUACAAAGUAGGAGCUCUCUCCCUUGGCGGCACCGUCGUGGAAGUGGAGAGGCAAGUGGACUCCUUAUUGGGUCGACUACUUGAUGGCCACGAAAAUUAUAUUAAUGUCGUUAUUAAUUCUAGUAAUAAAGUAGAACAUCUAGAUUCUCCAGGUCAUUCCCCGGUUUUCGGAAUCAAAGUGUCUUUAGAACUUUGUGCCAUGUGGUCGACAAUUUAUUAGGGUCCCUAGAUAUGAAAUGUACCUAACAUGAUAUUGUUAUUUAGGUGGUCUAUGUGAAGUCAUUCGCCCACUCAUCACUUUGCUCGACAAGGAUUGAAGGACGCAAAGGAUUCGAAACUCCAAGGAAAGUGAUGUUUCGGCACUAUUGAAACCCACAAAUAGGGCCAAAAAAAGAUAAAACGCCACAUGCUAUGGAGACAAAACAUGAAUAGUAUUUAACGUGUCUUUCAUGUAUAGUUUAGCCAGAAAAUUAUGCCAAUAUGAUUUUUCGGGGUGACCAUUGAGUAGGAAAGGAUACAAUUUUUUCUCUAAUGUUUUGAGGGUGUUUUGAAAACUCUAAAUUCACAAUAUUAUUCUUUUAAAACUCUUACUAUUGUGUAACGAAGUAUUACAGAUUUUCGUGUACAAUUCAAAACUGUCACUAUUAUCAAGGUGUUAUAUCUUACUAUAAAGUAAGUAAUGCUAAUUUAGGGAUAAAUUAGAGACCUUACACUUCUUGAGGCAAAGAGUUCUUGUUACCCUAGUUUCUAAUAGCAUCUCUAGUAAAUUUGGAUGGGAAAAUGACAUAAAUAGUGUUUGAAUUUUGGCCCAAUGUGCAAUUUGAUCAUUGUGACAUUGAAUUUUUAAUUUAUUCAAUAUAGUUAACUUUUUUUUACAUGUUCACUACAAUUCCUGAACUGUAUAAAAUUGUUCAAUAUAAUUCCUGCUGAUCUUAUAUCAAUAGAAUGACCGCAUUAAAUAUUUUCAUACAGUUUAUGAACUAUAUAGAACAUGUACCAAAAUUUUAUGGACUACAAUAAACAAAUUAAAAUUUCAAAGACUACAUUACACGUUGGGUUAAAGUUUAGAUACUAUGUUAGACAAAUUAAAAGUCUAGAGAUUAAAUUGUAUAUAAUAUCAAAAUUUAUGGAUUGUUUAUGUCAUCAUCCCAAUUUGGAAUGGAGGAUGAGUCUUAAGUAAUAUGACAAUGUCUUUAAGUUACUCAUUACAUCUUGCUAUGUCCCUCUCUCUCUCAUGCGCACAACAAAUGUUUGGAAGGCUAAAAAGCCCUCUUUACACCGAUCAAAAAAGAAAAAAGAAAAAGAAAAAAAGAAACCCCUAUUUACGCUCUUUCCACCCGCCUUCGUAGAGGGGACCAUAGUGUUCCACCAAAGGAGUGGUCAAAGUUUCAAAACUAAAUAAUUAAGGGGAUAAAAAUAAAUAUAGGAAGAAGAAACGAAGCCAAGGUCGGCAAGUAUAUUAUAAUCUGCAAUUGCUUUCAACAUCCAAUCAAAAGCAAUAAUACACGCUCUUUAAAGGUACGGACGAGAGACGAGCAUCGAUUCCUUUCAACAACAAUGGAGGAGAUUCUUACACGCGAGAGUGCAAUACAAAAGUGAACUUUAUCAGUAAUUAAAUUAUGAUUUUAGUCACGCUACUUGCUGUCUCUCUUCUUCCUGUAUAUAAGCUCGAAGGCUCCUGCCAUGGAGAGUGCAGCGAUUGGUUUUCUCAACCCAUCUUUGGUUUUUCUUCCGUUAGGAAUAAAUCCCUCUUUGUAUAUAAUUUCCUUUUCUUCCACUUUGAUUGCCUUUGAUUGAGGGAAAAGGCUGCAAAAUAAUUUAGGUAAGUCGUUUAUAUAACUAGUGCUAACUCCUGUUAAUUUGUCCUACGACUAAGAAUUGGGGAUUGGUAAGAGUUCAAGAAAAUAAUGUCCAGCCUACUGUUUUCCAAGGUGGCUAAUGUCCAUUUGGAUCCCUCGAGGAAGAGAGAGAGAGAGAGGCCUGAUUCAAGCUACUCCAAAGCCCAGAAGAAAGGAAUCAAACAAAUAAGCCCAUUUUCAAGCUGUACUCACGAGCUCCCCAAAAAGCCCAUGAGGAGGAUACUCAUGAAAGCAGCAUGGCCACUUUAAUCAUUGUAGGACGACAAGCUAUUGUUGCUUCAGGGAGCUCUACCACUAGUCUAUAAAAAUACUUGCUCAAUACCAUAUUUCCAUCAUUGAUUUGUGAUAACGGCACAAAUGCUCCAUCAAAUUUGGCUAAUAUGCGAUAUGAUCUUUGAACUUUUAAUUUGUUAGAAAAAAAUUGCCUAUGAUACAAGUUAAGGAAAACGAAAAUAGAAUUUGUGAUAAGUAUGCUAUUCCACACACACAGUCCUACCUUAACCUCAGAAUAGGAACUGCUUAUUAGCCACUAAAUUCGUUUUUCAUUUUGGACUUAUAUCAUAUCAAAUUUUAGGAUAGCAAAAUUCUAAUGCAUGGGUUCCAUAUUGUGACAAGUGUAGAUGUACUACCAGUAUUGAUAAAUGCAUUCCCAAUCUUAAUGGAUGGGCAACUAUUUUGCAGCUAAGGGCGCCUGGAAAUUAUCGCCUGUGCCCAUGCUCAAGGGUAUCAAAUCCGUCAUGAACUCUUGAUUGUUUGACUUUUGGUGCGAUUUCCCCACCCUUCUCCAUUGAAAAGAAAAUCAAUGACUAUAAUUGCCUGCUGUUAGUUCAGGCAAUAGUCUUCCCCCCCUUCGAUAUCCUGACAAAAGCCCCAACCUCCUAUAAGCGUUUCUAUUUUAUAUUAUACAAUAAUGAAGAAAAUGAUGGUAUUUUGUAAUUGAGGAUACUUGGCUGACAAAUUAAUUACAAGACAUCGUGGCGAAGCACAAGCUAAUUUACCAAGUUCCACCUAUAAGCUGAUUUAUAGCGACAUCCCAAGGCACAGGAUGUCGCUAUAACUGUCUAUCUGGAGGUAGCCUCCUCUAAAGUGAGAUAGGGAGGUGAGAAAAUAGAGGCAGUCAAGCCCAACACUAGUGACAUUCAAUUCUGCCUGUCUACUAAGUCGCCCAGGAGAUUGUUCUCUAUGCCUGUGUUCAUUUGUAUCAAAUUUGUCUCGACCUCUUGAUCAUUUGAUUGUUGGCACGGAUUCCAUGCACUUUUCCAUCAAAGAGGAGAUUAGUGAUCGUAAUCGCACGCUGUCAAUUCUUGUAAUAGCCUUCCCUAUGAUGUCAGGACAAAACCCCCACCCUCAAAUAAGCGUGUCUAUCAACAGUGUCUUGUAAUUAGGGAUAUUGGAUCGAUAAAUUAGUUAUAAGACAUUGCACAAAGCAUUGGUCAACCCAAUAGGAACCCUUGCAAGUUCCACCUCAAUACUGUAGGCAUAAUAGACUGCUAUAGCCUCUUUUGAAGAAGAGAUGGGGAGUCUACCUUCCCUUGAAGGCUCCUCUUGUUCCUAGGUGUUUAUUUAUCUCCCCCACCUAGGAGGGAAUACCCCCGGUAUUUUUAUUUCCCAGAGUUUAGAUGGAACCUUUUAAGAACAUGCUCAAAUCCAAUCUAUUUUAUAUUAUACGGUAAUGAAGAAAAUGACAUAAAUGAUCUUUGAAUAUUGAUUCAAAUCUAUCUCUAAACUACUAAUUAAUUUGAUUUAGUCCAUGGAUUUGGUCAAAUGUUGAGAAUAUGAUACAGACAAUCUCUAAAUUUUGACCUAAUGUACAACGUAAUUCUUGAAAUUUUAAUUUAUUCAAUAUGAUUCAUGAACUAAGCCUAACGUGCAAUGUGGUCCUUGAUACCAAUGAAGGGAUUUAUGCUUAGAACAAGGGAAAACUAAGUCAAUUGCAGUGGGCAUGCUAUCUCACAAUAGGCGAAUCACAUGUUCAAGCCCUUUGGAGAUUAUUUUUUAGCUACAGACUACCUAGAGAUUUAAUAAAGAACAUAGAGACAUUCAAUAAUGCCAGGAUAAUAACAUUUCUAACUAAUCAAGUUGCAUUUCUUAAAGGAUCCUAACAAGUUGGAGAAGAAUAAGUAUUUAGAGAAACAUAGAGAGAUUUGGAAGAUAGGGAAAUUUACUACAUAGCCUCCUACUUCUUCAUUACCAUUACAAGGCCUUUUAUAGGUGAUGAGAACAACAAAUUUAAAGUAGCAGUAGAAAAAAAAGACAAGACAAGACAUCACAAUAGACUGGGGUCCUUGACAUGGUUACAAUGGCAAAGGUCCUGACCAAUUAUUGCAAACUUAGGAUUCUAGGCAAGUACUAGCUAUUGUUGCAGUAGUGAACGGUGACUAGUACUACAUUAACUUUAUUACAAAAUUAUCUCCAUAUGGAGUUAUAGUCAUAAUUUGAACUAUUUGAGCUGUGAUAUGCAAGUUGUUCUUCCAUAUGAUGUAGUUUAAGGUCAAUGUUAGGAGCAGGAGGACUUUCGGAGCCUUAAGCGUUCUCCCUUUGUGAUAACAAGGCAUUCCACAUGCCUAGACCACUUGAAGAGGGUCUUUGCUAAAGUUCAUGUGUCCUAGAAGAUCUUGGAAUGUCAUUGUUUAGAUUCAUCUGUGGUCCCUUAACUUUUGAUGCAUAUUCAACUUAGCCUUUGAACUAUAUGAACAUAUUUGAAAUUGUCCUUUGAUUAAUUCAAGUUUAUGAAUAAAAUUAAAUAUUUUUAUAUAAUUCAAAAAACUAAGUUAAACAUAUAUCAAAAGUUUAUGGAUCACAUUAUACAUUAGAUAAAAAUUCAAAAACAUAUUGAAUAAAUUAAAAUUUUAUAGAUCACAUUACAUAUUAGAUCAAAAUUUGAGGACCAUUUGUGUUCAUUAUUAUUUUAAUAUUUAAUAUGGAUCGUGAACUUUUAAGUAUUUUUAUAUAGUAUAGAGAUUAGAUUGAACGUUUACCAAUAAUUUAGAACCACAAUAAACAACUUUAAAGUUUAAUGAUAACAUUACAUUUUGAUUCAAAAUUUAGAGAUCACAUAAAAAAGAUUAAAAAUUCAUGCAUGAUAUUGUACGUUGAGAUCAAAAUUUAAGUACUAUUUAUGCUAUUAUCUCUCUAAAAAUGAAAGAUGAGUUCACAACUGACAGGUCUUAAAAGUAUUUUUCCCAUCCCCAAGCGUUUCGAAUAACUUACUCAAUCAAAGGAAUAAGCGGAUUGAGCAUUACAGCGAGCCUUCGUUCCCCCUAUGAUCGAGGACAAUAAAGAAAUGUCUCGGGGAAAGAAUAACGCGACAAUGUACGGGGCGAUGUUUGUUUAUCACUUUUUUUUAUGACACUUUUUGUCCUUUCCCGUUGAUAUUAAAUUACAAUCGGCACGUUCUAAGGAAGUAUGACAAAAUUUGUCGGUGAACGUCCGUGUCAAUAAUUGACUUUUGUGAAAGCUUCGAUACUCUCGAAUUUGGAACCGAGCGAGUACUGUAGGGGCAACAAAAUUUUAAUUAAGCGAAAAGGUAGAAAAGUCAAAACACUUUUAGGGUUGACGUGGUGGUGAUUUACAGCCGAAGUCUUAGACUUAAGAUGGAAAACGCCAAACGCGCCGUGUCUCGUGGGAGCACAUUUGUCGGGGCCUUGUGAUUGCGGUGACCCAUUUUUCUUCCUUUUUUUUACAUUUUACUUUUUGGCUUUUCCAGCGGGUGAUUUAGAUAACCGGGGCGGGUGAAGUACAGUAGAGGUUGGUCAUUAAUUCAGUUCAGGCCGAGGGAGACCUACCAGUCCGAGGAGAUGAGAGGUAAAAUCGCCGCACGUGACUUGGUGAAACAGUCGUACUCCGCGCACGUGCCAAAAAGCCGAGAAUGGUGGACGAGGAAGGACGAGAGAGAGAGAUAGAGACAAGGAGAUGGGGGUUGUACUCUAAUCGCGGUCUAUCUUGUCUAGACAAAAAAUGAAGGAGUGAAAAAUUAGGACAAACUCUCGAUAGUGCUUGAUCUCGACUUCAUACGGUAACUUCUUUGGCUUCUUUCGAUUGCUGCAUUGUCCUGUGAGUAGACUAGACGUGCUAGGAUGGGGACCGCGGUGGUUCAGAUUGAAAUUGAAUUAAAUCAAACAUGAGGUUCCCUUUUUGUUAUCUCGAAUGGGUCUAUUUCAUAAUAAUAGCAAUUGCAUUCACACAAUGAUUUGGAUUGAAAUUGAAUUAAAUCAAACAUGAGAUUCCAUCUUUGUUAUCAUGAACGAGUCUAAUUCCAUGAGAAUAGCAACCAUUUGAGCCGGAUUAGAAGUCACAUCAUGUGUACACAAGCUGAAGACAAAUACCACUUUCAAAAGAAAAGAGUACAAAGCAAACACCAUUUUCAAAUAGUACAUGAGCUUGAUUAGUCAAGGGCAUAUAUGAUAAAUGCUUAGAUUAAUGGAUGGACAUCGUGAUCCAUUGAUUAACUUGUUAUAUCACAUCAAUCAUGUCACGGGUGCGUAAAACGGUUUCUCCAUCUUGGUGAUUCAGGGAUGAGAUCAAAAGAUUGGACAAGAAAAUAAAAAUGAGGCUUAUUUAUCGAAAAGGAGAAAAGAUUGACAUUUGUUUCAAUGAAUAAGCUAACUGGAACAUAUAAUUUUAAAAUUCGCCUUUCGCAUCACUCUGAAAAAAAUCAGACAAUGGAAGAUUUUUUUAUAUUCAAUACCAAUUUAUGUCAUCUUCUUAGUUUAUUUCUAUAACAUGAUGCAAGCAAUCAUUUUAACUAGGGGUGAUCGGGUCUAGGGUGAGUAGAGUCUAGACUUGUACCUUGUACCUAACCCUAUUAUAACCGGUUUCUAUUUUAUGGACCAUAUACUAGACCCUGUUUGUAUUUGACCUCAUACCUGCCCCACCCUGUUUUUCCGAUCCAGUUCCAGGGUCAACCUUGUUUCCACUGGAAUCUAUUUUGCAAUCUUCCAAUAUCCUAUACGACCUUGAAUUUUAUAUUAAUACGCGAAAAAAUAACGUAAUCCUCAUAAUUUGUAUUAAAACAUUAAGCACUUGUAAUAAAUAAAUACAUGAACUUUUUAACUAAACUAAAAAUUAAGGAUCCACAAGUCUAAUUAUAAUAAAUAAAAUCAUAAGGCAAAGAAUUAGCAACAAACAUGGGUAUAAUAUUAGUCAUAUUCCCACAACUAUUACAUGAAAUUACUCAUUUAUGCAAGCAUAACUCCUCCUACAAAAGAGAGAUUAGGUGAGCCAGGAGAGUAUAGAAGGAGAUUAACCGAAAGGAUUUACCCAGUGAAAGCAUAAAAGAAUAGUAAAACAGUAGGCUGGACAUUAGCCACCUUGGAAACAAGAGACACUUCAAAUUUGUCCAUGCUUGAGGCCCCUUGUUUACUAAUACACCACUCUCAGUCUAUUGCACAGUCUAGACACAUUUCUCACCUUUAUCUUUAUACUUGUUUUGGGAGCACAAAGAAACAUAUUCAUGUUACGCCAAUGCUGCCAUUUACAUUAUCCAUAAGAUCAAAAUCAAAUGUAAAGCGGGAAAAAAAAGUUUGAGAGGGCAUUUGGUAUAGCUUCUUGACAACAACUAAAACUGUGAGAAGAGAUGUUGCAGCUUUUCUACACUUCAUAGUUGCAGCAUCCUCACAACUGCAAAAACUUACAAUUUCUUUCAGGAUCCCUAUUUAAAAUUUUUAGUAGCAAAUACACAAGUUAGAGCACUUCAUAUCGCAACUAAAGCACAGACAACACCUUUAUCGUUCAGCCACUAUUAUAUGGAAUGGACCAAAGCUAGUCUUUUUUUUUUUUUUUUUUUGAUCGAAGGACCAAAGCUAGUCUAUUAACUAGAUAUAUGAGUAUAGAAGCAACAGGAAUUCCAGAAACCUUUGAUUGCCAAAAUAAUACGAUAGUACACGUGCAUAGAGAGGAUUAACAUCCCUUAUCCAAAGCCUGAUAAAAUCUAUAUGAAACUUUUGCAUCAUCUUCUUCAAGCGGAACACAAACACAAGAUAAUUCAGAGUCCAUCAGGGAUAAGUCAACGCAAAGUUUUUGAUUAGCAUGUAGCUAGGCAUCACAAAGAUGCAUACUCCUCUCCUGUUUAUGUAGAUUUGAAUUAUAUGUCACUCUCAAGCAUUGAUUUCGUUUUAUUUAUUUUUCUCUUCUUUUAGGUAUCAUGUGCCUCGAUCCUUUCUAAAAGCCUCUGGUAACCUACUAGUUCUGCUAGAAGAAGUUGGUGGUGACCCCCUUCAUGUAUCCUUAUGCACCUUAUCAGUCUCUCCCUUAAACGACACCUCUUCACACUUCCAUCUUCCUUCAUGAGAUGAGGAGAUUGAACACAGAUGUGGGUAAAGCUUUUCAUAAUUAUGACAGGGUUCUUUCUGGAAAGAAAUGCAUCGGCAGCCAACUCAAUAUGAAGAGAUACAUCACAUAGGUUAUGAGGAGGAACAUUCAACUGUUGAAUUUGUCAGACAUUCAAAGAUAGUGACAGAAAGUACUGAGAAGUAAUUUGAGCGCUACAUCAUUUAUAGAGACCUCAUUGUAUUGACCUUGAUUGUGCUUAUUCUUCCCAUUGUUGAUAAUUUCAUCCACUGAUUAAAAAUUGAUUUGCAUGAGCACCUGCAAGGUGCUCUCUGGACCAAUUUUGUGCAGCAUAAUGAUUUUUCCAAUUUCAGUCAUUUUUGUGCAUCAUGAGCAACCUUUCGUCUGGAGAAUGGCCAAGUUUGUACAAAUAAGUGAUCAACUCGUUUCUAAAGUUUCAGAGGAACUCUGUGGCAUAAUUCAGUAUCCCUGCAUAAUUGUACCAUUCAACAAACAUUUAAAAACAUUUCAAGAUGGUCUAGAAUUGAAAAAGAUACGAAAUUACAAAAAGACAUAUGAACUGGAAAGGACUUGCAAGAAAUGCACGCUUGAUAUUUUUAAAAGCUUAUUUUACCCCAAAAUUAUGACCAUUUCAUGUGAGCCACGUUGGGUCUUUUCCAUGUUUUCCUGCUAACGGCCCUAGCGGAUGCUUAUUUUACCCUCAACAGCAUUACGUGAUGUAAGAAAAAUAGACCAUCGAACUAAUAUCUUGUGCAUGGAGUUCUCUUACAGGCAGCAAGCUCUUAAUUUGUACAUGCGGAACACUUAAAGAUACUGGAAACAAGUUAGACAUAGUUUAGCAUAAAAGAAAACCUUCCCUGAGUUUUCUUACCUGAAUGCAUCUUCUCCAUGGGUAUCCACCAGUCACUGAUGGUUUGUUCCUGGCCUAAAAAGAGGUUUCGAAAUGUGAACUUGAACUCAUCAUGCCAUUGCCAGCAGACCCCAAACGUAAGUCUAGAUAGUACAACCAAACUAGGACUUGUGACAUGAACUUAAAAAAGGAACUUGAUUUGGUGUAGGUGUUUUGUCAGACAGUUAACAGUCCCCACCAUUCAUGGAGUCUCCUCGAUAUAUUUGAACUGAAUCUCAAUAUAUGGUUGCAUGCAUGCUAUCUGACAUUAUAAAUGAUUAAUUUGUUUCCCCAUUUUAGGCUCUUUGUAGAUUCUGAAGCCCACAAAAUGUUUUCUAGCAAUGUAUGACCAAGGGCUUUGGGCAAGUUUAGUCUUGGGACGCACAGUUCUAGCUUAUGCAUUCAGGGCCGCAUUCUUAUACAGGACUCGGAUUCAAGAGGCAAGGAAUAUGAGUGUCGGCCCACUUGUCCAGCGUGGUCGGCAACAUUUUUUGGAACAAUUUAAUACCCCACAAUCUAUGGAUACAAAACACGAAGAGUAUUGUACACGCGUUUCAUGUUUAGCUGAGUCAGAAAAUUAGGCCAAUACAAUUUUUCAGGAUGCCCAUCGAGUCCGAAAGGAUGUAAUUUUUCUCUAAUGUCUUAGGUGUUUUGAAAAGUGUUAAUACUCUAAAAAACCCCAAACUAAUAUACCUGUGAUAAAUUUACCCCAAACUAAACCCCAAACUUGUAUACUUUUGACAAAUUUACCCCCAAACUAGUAUACUUGUGACAAAAUUACCCUAUGUUAGUUUUUGUUAAAUUUUACUGUCAAAUUAUCAAGUUAAAUGACACGUGACAGUUGACCGCUAUACCAAUUUAGGAUUUUACGCUCCGUUUAUCAUAGUUUUAUAAUUUUUGUGAUUUUUUUGUGGUAUUAAUUCAAUUUAGCGGAUUGUAUAUUUAUCACAAAUUUAUUAGUUUUGGGUUUUUUACGGUUAAAUAAAUUAGUUUAUGGUAAAUUUAUCAUAAAUGUACAAGUUUAGGGUUUUUUUAUAGUCAGUUGGGGUAAAUUUGUUACAGGUGUACCGGUUUGGGGUUUUUCAUGGUAAAAAAAAAUAGUUUGGAGUAAAUUUGUCAUAAUUGCACCAAUUUGGGAUCUUUCAGAGUAUUAACCCUUUUGAAAACCCCUGGUACAAAUAUUAUCAUUCCUUUUGAAAUUUUUGACUCUAGUAAUAAAGUAUUGUGGUUUUCCGCAUACAAUUCUAAAUCUGUAUCCAACAUUAAUUAUAAGUAGAUAAUUUGCUCUACGAAGAAUUUCUUUCUCUGGAUCUUAUAAAUUUAAGACCUUGGGUUUCUUGAGGCACAGAGUUCUCAUUGCCUUGCUAACCGUAGGAUUUUAUUUUAGCAUCUCCAUGCAAUGGAUGAUGUUGUGUCUUGACUUAGAGAUGUGGUUUUUAGCAUCGAGUCUUUAACUAAUAUGACAAUUUCAUAGGUCGCAAAUUACAUCUUUCUCAACAAACGGUCAAAAUUUCAAGUCUUUAACUAAUAUGAUAAUUUCAUAGGUCGCAAAUUACAUCUUUCUCAACAAACGGUCAAAGUUUCAAAGAAAAAAAAAAGAAAAAAGAAAUGAAAAAUAAUGAUAAUUGGAAAUUGUCGCGACCAAAUUUUUGGGGUGAUCCACCUAAGAUUUGGCUAAUGGAUUGUUAUGCCUAGACUUAGCUCAAUCUCUCCUAAACUCAUACCAAUUCGCGAUUUAAGUUUAAACUCUUAACAUGCAAAUGAUUUUUAAAUCUGGAGUCGCCACUAAUCUAUUUUCCGGUGGGUCGAUUAGAAACCCAAGUAAAGUAAAGGGAAAUUUACUUUACUCCUAUGAACCAAAGGUUUGUGAGUUUGGGGACUUGAUUACGUUAGAUUUCUCUAACGCCCUUUUGGUAUAUUUCUCUUUUAUUUUGAAAAAAAUAUUUGGUAGACAGCUUGAAUUGAUUUUAAUUUACCUCCUUAACAUGUGAGAUAUUCAUGCGAGUGUGCAAAUCACCAAUUUAACACCCAAGUAAAAUAAUAAAUAAAUUGCAGGACUUACCUCAUAGUAAUGAAAGUAUUUACGUUGUUAGAUAAGAAUUUAUAUCAACAGUCUUAGAUAUAAUUUCUAAUUAACACGCAAUUUUUUUUUUCACUUAUUUAAUGAGAAUUAUGCUUUACGCAAUGCAUACAACUAAUCUAACAUGAAAUGAUAUAACAUACCUAAACUACAUGACAUGAGCAAAAUAAUUUUUUUGUAUUUUCUUAAUGAGCAUGCAGUCUAUCCUGAAGAAUGAAAUUGAUUUAUUCUAAAGACAAAAUUUUUUGGUAUUUUCCAUGAAAUUCGUAAUUAAGGAAAAUGCAAAAAUGAUUUAGCUAAAUUAAGAUUCUAUCUAACUUAUAUUAAGAAUUGGGUUAGGCCAAAUCCUAAUUUAAACUAGGAUAUUAAUCUAUCUAGAAAAAUCUAUCUAAACUUAAAAUUAAACAUGCAAUUUUAUCCUAAUAUGUAAUGACGUACAAAUAAUUCCCUAGUUCUACAUGACAUAUGCAUGACGAUUUUGUGUCUUUUUUUUUAUUAAUUUCGAAAUUAAAAAUUGUCAAAUAAUUAAACAUGCAACCUAAGUUAAAAAAACUAGCAUCCUAAAUUGAUUGACUUUUUAAAAAAAAUUUUAUUUUAAAAAUUUGAAAUAAAAUUCCUAUUCUAAAUAUACAAGAUAACCCUAAGAGGCGGAAUAUUCUAAAACAAACCUAAUCUAUCUCAGAUUUUUGAUUUUUUUUAACGAAAAUAAAAUUGAUCAAAUGACACAACGGAAAAUCAUAGCAAGAUAAGAUUGAUAUCCAAAAAAUUGAUGAAUCAUGUCUCGGACAUGGGAUCGGAUUGACCAAUUUUAAAUAAAUUGCAAAUCGAAUCUUGAGCGUAAGAUCGGAUUGAUGAUUUUCCAAGCGAGUGCGAGUCAGAUUUUGUGGCACCCUUCGACGGCCCCCAAUCCAUUAGGGUCGCCACACUUCUUUUCCUCAUCCCGGAUGUCCUUUUUAGAUCGAUGGACUUCAAGGAAGUCCUAUGGGGGUUCUUUCAUGUACCUGAUUGGUCCCUACGCAAUAAAUAUGACGGAAGCGUAUCCAACAACUCCCCUUUCCCUAUACAUGGAAAUGAUACACACACUAAACACAUAUAUAGAUAAUAGCCGGACACUUUUAUUUACACAUAUCUACUAGAUGGACAUUGUUUGUUGGUACAUCCAAAAGGCCGUAGUUUCCUAUACUCGGCAGUAUCCAACAACUCCCCUUUCCCUAUACAUAGAAAUGAUGCACAUACUAAACAUGUAUAUAGAUAAUAGCCGGACACUUUUAUUUACACAUAUCUACUAGAUGGACAUUGUUUGUCGGUACAUCCAAAAGGAAGUAGUUUCCUAGACUCGGCGAUACUUCAAAAAUUAACCGACAACUUGAGCAGCCAUUUACAUAGAGUUCAUCCUUCAGUGCCGGCAUCCAAAAAUUCUCACUAUGCUGUCCUCACUCUCGCAGUCACUCCCAGCCACUUGAUCCCCCAUUGUCGUCUUCUGGUGGCGGUGGCAAUGGCCCCCGAACUCGCCUGUUCCUACGGACGAAUAAGACAACAUAAUGCUGGAGUACAGGAUCGAAGGGAAGAUCGGUGUCGAACAUCAUGAUUACUCUCACCCGUAUGAACGUUAGUCCCUGCAUGUCAGGAUUCUAGAAUUUCAACUGCUCCCACUACAAGUCGGUCGGGAUCCUAUAGAAUAUACCGGGAGAUGCGGGCAGCGGAAAUAUAGUUCUUAACCUAAAAUAUAUUAGUCUCCAAAUGGGUGAGUACAACCAUUCAGUAGUUAAAGAUUUACUAAACUAUAUUAUGCAGAAUCAUCAUCAUCUGAUUCCAUGCAAAAUUCACAAAUCACAAAACCAAAGGAAUGGGUAAGCAUCAAAUUCAAUAGAACUUUUCAAAGUAAUGGCAAGUGCAGUUUUAAAACCAUAACACAUUAUUUCAAUUUCAUGGGUCCCGAUUAUAAGGCCAAAUUAGUAUGAUGUGUCCCAUACCAUUCCACACAAUUUUGUUCCAUAAUUAGGCGCAACUUAGCAGAACAAUCAAUUUUAAAACUCAAAAGAUUUUUCUCUCGGAGAACUAGUGUUUGCGUCUCUCUAGGCAUUCGCACCCAACCUGGCGUCGCGAAAGCCUCCGGUUCCAUAUUUCAAUCAUUGGGCAUCCGGAGCGUGUCAUGUCUCACUUCUAGGCAUCUCACUCUCCGGGGCUCGCCACGUGAAUGGUUACCCUUACCCUCCGGAAUCUGUAUCGUCAUAUAUCUUGGCAUUCCGACACUCCCGAGGAACUUCUGGGGCUCACCAGUCCCUAGGUAUCUAGAACGUGUCAUGUCUCACGUCCAGGCAUCCCGACUCCCGGGGAUUAUUGACCCAAGAGUCCAACGACAGCAAUAACACAUCAACCAUGGUGUAAUAAUUAAAUCAUUUCAAUGCCAACACAUUUUCGAAUCGUCAAUAUGGAAAAUCUGUUGGAUUUUUCCCCGAAAGUCCCACUUUCGCAAAUUUCCAAUCGUUUUCGAAUCCAUAUAAAGAAACUUGAAUGGAAAUUACCCUUCCUAGCUUGGAACAAAACAAUUUAUUGAAAUCUACAAAUACAUUUGAAAUUGGCACAUCGAUAAAUUCAAAUCUCAAUCCCAACUCCAAUGGUUUAGAAUGUUUUCUAUAAAAAAGUUCAUAAGUCUUUUAAAUAUGAAACAUUUCUUAAAACAUUUGGGUAUGUUGUCACAAUACACAUAAAUUUUGAUGCAAAUCAAGAGAUUUUCUAAAACAUUUUGCGAACAAAAGUCCCAAGGUAUUACCAUUUCAACAUUUGGUGUAAAAAUCGAAGGCUUAAACCGAAGCACUCACGAAAACUUCUCAAUUUUCUAGCCUCAAAUUGAUUCAAUCAUUCUAAAAGUCACAAUCCAACAUCAGCAAUCAAACCAUUUCAGUCUAACAGCACUUCCUCAAACAACAACAACACUACACUAUAUAGGUUAGUAGACUCUAACUUGCCUUAGGUCCAAAGGCGUCGAUGGCAAGAAAUCGGGGAGCUCAUGGGUCACAAACAUGGCUGAGGCUGUGGGAUGGCUGGAUCGGCGCAACGGGGAUGGCGGCUGCUCAUGCAUGGCGAAAGGAACAGUCCCUUUCUCCCUCUCUUACUCUUGCACGUUUCCUCUCUCUCGGUUUCUCUCUCUCGCGCUUGCUGCUCGCUGUUCUCUCUCUCUUUCGCUCGCUUCACUGGUUUUGUUGACAAAUGCCAGUCAACAAAUGAAAGCUUCGGCGGUAGAAGGAGGCGAGGACGGGUGGUGAUGAAACGAUGGCCUAAUGCUAUACCGAUGAUGACAAUGAUGAAAUAGUGUCUGCAAAUGGUGCCAAUGACACAAUCUGUCGGUACUCCCAUUGACCCGUGACGAGCCAUUACUUAUUCAAGUUCUGAUGAAAAUCCAGAUGCCAUAGAGUUCGGAUGUGAAAAUCAGACUAUCAAUCCUUAAUUUAAUAGGCUAUUUCAUGUCAGAAAAUCUUAACCAUACAUUAAGGAAUAAUUCAAGUAAAGAAAUAAAAAAUAAAAUAAAAAGGAAAAAAAUAAAAAAAAACUACCUAAUUGGGAUUUUUCCUAAAUCCGGGUUUAGCAACCAGGCUCGUGAAUCGCGAUGUACUCGACGUGGCUCAACGAAGGGUGGCUGUGAUGGUGGGUCGCCGUCGAUUGGAGCUCCGGCGAGGGGCAGCGAACGCGGCCGGUGAGAGGGAGCGACUGGAGUCACGAGUGCUGCAACGGCGUCGCUCGAAGGGAGCUUGGAGCGGCGUGCAGGGGGCGCAGCGACCGACUCGAGCGGCUGGCGUCGGCGACGGUAGCAGGGGCGCCGGGCGGAGGGACAACAGUGACUGCGUCGCGGCUGGGGGGCGCGGCAGAGCAGGGACAGAGGCGGAGCAGCAGGCGGGUCACGGGAUCUCGAGCUGCUGGCGUCGGGCACUUGGGCUGAGCAGAGGCGGGCCACCGGCGAAGGCAAGGGCGGCUGGCGGGGCAACGUCGCAGCUUCUGGGCUGAAACGAAAACGCGAGCCCGCGGGCGAGGGUUCCGGCGAGAUGGGACAGCGACGGCUUCGCGGGUCCGGCUCUGGCGGAGGCACGUCGACUGGCUGGGGAUCUGCUGGCGUCGGGGGGGUCCGCGACAGCGGGCAGAGACGGUGGUGAGCUGCUCUGGCGGUUGGCAGAACGGCAGUGGCGGUCAGGCGGAGGGAAGCGCGUGCUACCUGUCUUGUCACGUCUACUCCCUGUCCUCUCUCACCUUUCUUUUCUGACCUGCUCUGUCCCCCACUGGCCGCACGUACCCCCCUCUCCUACCUUUCGCUUUUUCUCAAGCUUUUUCCUUUUUAACUUUUGGAGCCCCACCCCCAACGAAGAACAAAAGAAUCAAAGGAAAAUAAAAACUUUUUCUCUUUCGUGCUUCAACCUUGGACCUAGAAAACCAAGGAAAAACCCCUUCGACGUGAAAAAAAAUAAAAAAUACCUCCUCAACGUGGCCGUGUAUAUCUAUUGUGUGGCCUGGCCCCCCUCCUCGAAGGAAAAAGUAAGAUCCCUUUUAUAUAGGCAGGUGACGGGAUCAAGUAAACAAUACUCCUUCGAUAUUUUUUGUAUAUUCUGUUCCUUGGAUAAGAUUUUUCAUAUAUUCACUCGACCCUAUCCUCUAUUCAACGAGCUGUCUUCCUCAUAUUUCACCCUAAAUCUUUUGAUCCCCUGCAAAAUAUAUCUCGCAUGAAAAUACAGAAAAUUUAUCAAAUAUAUCAAAUCAUGAUUCUUUUUUAGUGAAUUUUCGGUAAUAAGAGAAUACCAAACUUGGGUCAACUUUCUCUCUUCGCGGGCUUAAUUCAACUCGUUCAAUUAAAAUUUAGAACCAUUAAGUCAAACACAUUUGUCAUCGUCCAAUGCAAAAUGCAAUAAUAAAAUGCUCAUAAAAUUAUAUGCCACGCAAUUUAAUUUAAUUUUUUUAGGGGUUAAAAAUUAAUCCAUAAUUUUUAUGCAAUAAAUAAAUGAUUGGAUCGCGAUGGUUUCGUGCUUUCUCCCCCACCGAGGGGAGAGGGGUUCGAAAUCCCGCAUCCCCAUUGUGCGACUUACUCGCGGCUGAGUUUGUAGUGGUAGCCUAGUUUGCCCCGAAUUUACUCCGUCGGCUGCCGGCUGUUCAAAGUUCCCGGAUCACUAAAAAAAUAAAAAAAUAAAUGACUAAACUGUCAAAAUCUUUUUAUCAACGGAAAUAAUGGUAGGGUUCGCUAGUAAAUUGAUAGUUUGCACCUACUUUGAACAUGCUUUUAAACACAACAACAAUCAUUGACAAAGACCAUCAACGGUAAAGAUUCUUACACGCAGAACGAGACAGAAAAUGAUCAACAGUAAAGAUUCUUACACGCGGAACGAGACAGAAAAUGAUGAGAUUUCUACACCUAUUGUUUACUCUUUUCUCCUAUGUAUAAGCUUGAAGGUUCCUGCCAUGGAGAGUUGCUACAAUUGCUUUUCUGAACCCAUCUUUGUUGAUUGAGGGAAAGGUUGCAAGUUGUUAAGGUGAGUGUUAUCUCUAACUAGUGUUGGCUCUUGUUAGUUUGCCCUUAUCAAUGAUCGUGAUGAUAAAUAUUGGGUUUCAUGGCCUUGCUAUUGUUUCUUUCCAUUGCUCAAGAAUUUUGAGCAAAGUUCUAUUUUGCUGUGAAUGCGUACUCAGUCUAACCACUCUAUAUGAUACCUCAAACGCAUUUGGUAUUUCCUUUGCUUUCCCAUAAAGUGAUCAAAACCAAUUCACAUUUUAAAAGGCUGUUCAUUAGACUUGAUCCGCUCAUCCUAUUGGCAUAUUCAUGAAGAAAGUCUACUUCAAUCAAUGUAAUUUUCCCUUUUAUUUGUCAUUUUGGACUGCACUUAUGGCUACAGCGGACUUUUAUACGCUCGAAUAAACUCUAAGUAUCUUAGUAAGUGAAGCAAGAAAGGAAGGAACAUGGAGGCUAGGUCGUGGAACCGGGCUAGUUCUCCUCUAGCUGGUGCUUGACUGGUCAGACCCUUGUAAUGCGGUCAGUGUGGGAAUUUGGGUUACCGAGAGAGAGAGAGAGAGAGAGUGGAAGGAAUAAGCUAAACUGUUUUAUGACUUUAUACCUGUGUCCCAAGUGUGGUCCUUUGAUUUUUAAAAUAUGCUCCAACAUUAUGUUUGUUAGGGGGGGGGGGGGGAUUAGGAGGGAAGAGACAUAGUUCCAAAAAAUACAAAUUGUGUUUGGAUGGAGAGAAUAGACGGAUGGAAAGAUUUGGAGAGAUUAGGAAAGAUUAGAAAGAAUUGAUCCAGUCAAUUUUAUAUGCAUUUUUAAUUCUUGGAGGGAUUCGUAAGGAUUUUCAUAUAAAUAAACAAAUUUAUUCUUUUUUCUCACUUGUUCUGCUUCCAUUUCAUAAUGCAUUCUUUCCCUCACAAGCAUUUAAACAACAUGAUAACUCAAUCACUUCAUAUCAUUUUUCUUCCUUUUUUUUUUUUCAGCAUAAUUAUUUAAAUAUAUUCUUUUUCCUCGUAUGGUUACUUCAUGAUACCUAAUCUGCCCUUCCGUUACGCGUGGAUUUGUUUCUUUUUCUUUAGAAGCCAUAAUAAUAUAUUGAAAAUGACUUAACAGAUAAGCUUAAGUAGAUUUACAGCACAUGCAAAGCGUUUGGUAACUUUUUGCAAAAUGUACAAACCAUUAUGCCUUGAAAUUUGGCUUAACACUAUUUCAAUAUCUUCCAUGCAUCCAAACUCCGCAUAUUAUAAAUGCACACUUCAGUCCCUCCUCCUCCUCCAUUUUAAGUUAUAAUCUCUCUCUCUCGGAUCGAGAGUGUAUUUUGAAACCUUUUUUUUUUUUGGUAAAGAUGUAUUUUGAAACCUUUGGUUUUCAAGUGGGUGCACAAAACACAAAAGCAUCCUUAGAGUCAAAGGAACACACUCUUCACUAAUUUUGAUUCGGUUAGCAUUAAUUAAACCCAGAUUGAAACAACAUGGCCUCUGGGCUUUGAUGGAUGAAUAAUUUUGAAGUUCCUUUCAUUCGGCAAGACAUAAUUUUAGGAUGAAUAAUUUUGAAGUUCCUUUCAUUCGGCAAGACAUAAUUUUACUCCACUUGCACAACUUACUAACUAUGAGAUUUUGUGAGAUCACGACUAACUGUUCUAAAAGUUUAAACUAUUAAAUGAAAACGUGUUUUAUUAGUAUUCAAAUAUUCUUACACUCCUUCUCAAGCUUAGUUUGGCCUUUUUUGCCUAGUACUAAGCAUGGAAAUUUAAUUGGGGAGGCAAAUGAGAUUAGCAAAGAUUCAAACCCAAGACUUCCAAUUCUUAUGUCAUAUAAGAUAUUGUGGGAUCAUAAUUAACUAUUCUAAAAGCUUAAGCUAUUAGAUAAAUGCGUGUUUUAUUAUUUAAAUAUUCAAAUAUACUAACACUAGCAAUUGCUCUUUAGUCAUCUCUUUUUGGACAUUAAAGUUUGGUGAGAACACUGCCCCAAGAACAACCAAAACCACCACCACCACCACCACCACCAAGUCGCUGACAUCUCCAUGGAGGAGGACCGCCCCAGAACUGGUAAUCUACAUUAUAUUCUUGUAUCAUAUGUUCAUUUCUAAUUGUUUACUAUAAGUUUGACACAUCAACUUGCAAAAUAUACAUUUUUUGUACUACGAGUAACAGUUUAAUAUACAUUAUCCAUGUGUGAUUCCUUCAUAAAUUACUGAAAAACUAACCCAAGAGUAAAUGAAAGUUUUCCAAAUGGAAAGAGUCGAGCGGAUUUCAUUGCUUGAUCAAUCAGGGACCUUCUGGACAGCGAGCGCGCACAUAUCAUCAGCGAUGGUAGGAACGAUACUGCUUUACGUGGCAUGGGACAUUGCUCAUCUGGGUUGGAUUGCAGGCCCUGCUGCAAUGUGCUUAAUUUCCUUUUUGUGCUACUGCACCUCUUGCCUCCUCUGUGAUUGUUAUGACUCUGCCUCUCCCGACCGUAACUACACUUACGCAGACUCUGUUCGCUCAAUUCUCGGUAUGGAAUUCCAUUACUGUGUUGUUGCUUCUCAUUAUUUUGGCUCCCGCACAUUGAUUAAACUUCCCAUUAACUUUUGUAUCCAGAUGUAUAGCAAAAAGUGUCGCGUAACUUUUAAUUAUGUGAUAAUAGGAACUCUAGAUUCUCAGAAUAUUAGCAUUUUCAGAGUUAUAUUCUCAGGUGGAGUAAAGGCAAAAGCAUGUGCUUUUAUUCAAUAUUUGACCAUAUUCGGAAUGGCCGUCGAAAUUAUGGUUGCAGCAUCUUGGAGCAUGAUGUGAGUACAAUUCUAUUUUUCCAAACUCUUAACAAAUUUAUUUAGCAGAUCACAUUGAACGUCUAAUUCUACUGUUUCUAAUAUGACCUGGCCGAUUCAAUUUUAUGUAUGUUCCCUCUUUCCAAUAAAAGGGCGAUAAAAUACACGAAUUGCUAUCACGAGAGAAAUGGGGAGAAGAAGUGCGACAUUUUGAGCAAUCCGUACGCGAUCAUAUUCGGCAUCACAGAGAUUCUGCUGUCCCAGAUUCCGGAUUUUGAUGGAAUAUGGUGGGUUUCUAUUGUGUCUGUUGUCAUGCUCUUCACUAACGCUUUUAUUGGGCUCGGCCUAGCAAUUGCCCGAGUUGCAGGUACAGAUUUCUUCUUUUCUCAAGCCCGAUGGCUAAGAAAUUUCAAGUGAUUAUAUUACCCAUAUCUUAGCUAAGAAGUUUAUUCCAGCAACUUCUGUCUUGAUGAGCAGCUGGAAGAAAAAACAAGAGCAAUGAAGCUGUGACUGGAACCAAAAAGAUAUGGAGGAGUUUCCAAGCUCUUGGAGAUAUCACCUUUGCGUACUCAUUUUCUGAGAUCCUUAUUGAAAUUCAGGUACUUAAACGUAAUUCGAUCUGUUCAAAAACCGAGGAAAUGGAGAAGAGUGGAUAGAAAAGAACGGAAAUACCCUUUUUGCUCUUGUAAUCUUUGGCAGGACACUAUAUCCAAAUCCGAAUCCGAAUCAAAAUCAAAAUCAAAAUCGACCAUGAAGAAGGCCACUUUAUGGAGCACCGUGGUGAUGACGACUUUGUUCAUGCUAUGGGGCUGCGUGGGCUAUGCUGCUUUCGGUGACGUCACUCCAAGAGAUCUUACCGACGUCGCUUUCGACGGACCAUUCUGGCUUAUUUAUAUCGCCAAUGCUGCUUCUUUGAUCAAUCUUGUUGGACGAUACCAAAUAUACAGCCAGACGAUUUUCGCCGUUGUCGAGGAACAGGCUGCUAAGAGAUGGCGUUGCACCAGAGAGAGAGAGAUCCCCCUACCGGGCUUGGGCCAAAUGAACCUCUUUAGGCUUGUUUGGAGGACGGUUUUCGUGAUCCUGACCACCGUGAUAUCAAUGGCAUUCCCGCCCUUCAAUGAUGUCGUGGAGAUCAUCACCUUGGGAUUUUGGCCUCUAGCGGUCUAUUUUCCCGUCGAGAUGUAUAUUAAACUGAAAAAAAUUGACCGAUGGAGCCCUAAAUGGGUAUGCCUCCAAAUGCUGAGCAUGGCCUGUCUUGCAAUAUCGAUCAUGGCAACUGUGGGUUCGAUCGCAGGACUUAAGGACUACCUUAAGGAUUAUCGACCAUUCAUGAGCUACUAUUGGACCUUUGGUUGAUCAGCCAUUUCCGGAGGAGACAAUAAUAUCAUUGAAGUUUCUAGUUGCUAUGUUUUGUAUGGAAUUACAAACUCUGCGUUGAAAUAUAUUUAUGGGUAUUAUAGAAUUCCCCGUAAAAAUAUGCUGUUAGAGAUUAUUUUAAAUAAUGAGAUUAUUUACUAGAACAGCUACUUGUUGAGGAUUCCAGUUUCGUUGUUUUUUUUGUAGAAUUGCAGACUUUUUAUAUACCAUUGACUGCUUAUGAAAACUUUCUCUUAUAUAAGGAUGACCAAAAAUUGUCAUUUCUUUUUAAAGGAAAAAACAUUAUGAAUAUUUUGGUUAUGCAAAUCGCCACGUCAACGUACAUUGAGUUAUGCUCCACUUAUAGAAUGACAGGCAUGCCGACCUUACAAGAUUGACAUUACUGGGAGAAAUUGUCAUAUAAGAUUCGGAAGUCUCGUAUCACUGUCAUGUAUACAUCGGCAACCAAGAAUGAAUAAAUCUAUGGAGAAAAAAGGAACAGAGAUGAAUGGAUAACAAUGUUUUGAGAGAGUAUUUUUUUCAACCCUUGGAUGACACUUAAAAAAUAUAAAGAUGGAAACUCCAUACGAAUUAGGGAUGCAAAAUAAGUACGUAAAUUCACGUGUGAUUAUAAAUUCCUUCAAAUAAUCAACAUGUGAAUGUGGAGACAUCAUAACCCACUCAGAUUUAUUGGCCAGUCCCAUGACUCUUCGGCAUCCUUGACCAAUUCCCUUUUAUCCAAUUUUGUCCCUUGGCCUGAGUCAAACAGCUAUAUCCGGUAUAUGUUAUUCCAUAAAAACCAAAUUUGAUUGAUAUGCCGUUUGUUUAACCAAUUAUUUCGCUUUAUAUUUCUCUAGGUGCUCCAAAAUGUCUUAUGACCUUACGUGCAUUCCAUCAUAGAUUUAUGGAUUUUAGGGAAUACCAUAUGACAUAAUUUUUCUCGAACUUCGUGCAUUUUAAUCGAGUUAUAAAUUAAAUUUUCCCUCAAAUAGAUUUGUUUAAUCGUCCUAGUGCUGAGCUCGGCCUGCCCCGUCUAAAGUCUUGCUCGAGUGCCCCCUCAAGUCUCAUGUUAAAUGGCUAUACACUGUCCCAGAUGAAUUCUAUAUAGGCAUCUCCAUUUGUCGAACGUAGACUCGUUGUUGUUUGACCAACUUUUGUUCUUUAUUCGUCUUUUUUAAGUUUUCACUGAUGAUCAAUUUACUUACUGUCCUCGGUAAAAGAAUUUUUCAUCCACUGUUUUACUUUGUUGCAUGAUUAUGCCGCUCGGUAAAGUGUUUCGUGUGAUAAUUGUAUCGAAUGAACAAUUAGCAUUAAUGUCAAAUAUUCCAUCAAAUUUUUUCAUCUAUUACAAUUUUCCAAAUUUCCAUAAUAUAAAUUGCAUCUAUCGCAUGAUGACAUAAACGGGAAAAUUACCAAAAAAGUCUUAAACCUAUUGCAAUUGUGCCAAUUCAGUUUUAAACUUAUUAUUUUUUUUUUGUCAAUUGAGUCUUAAACCUUUUGCAAUUAUAUCAAUUCAGUCCUUUCGGCUAAAAUUGGCCGGCCGGCGCUAACAUGGCCACUAACCGAUGCCGGCAAUAAUUUUUAAUAAUUUUUUUUUUCGAAUUAUCUUAUUAAUUUUGUUUAUUUUUUUUCCCUUUUUUUUCUCUUUUUUUUUUUUUUCCUCCUCCCUUGUUCUUCUUUUGGCUUUGACGACUAGCCAGAGGGGAGGGCUAGCCAAUCCCUGGAUUGAGGCGGCUGAGCAAGCUCACCUUGCCGUCGCUCGGCAAGGGCGAGCAUGCCUAGCCACUAGUGAGGCGAGCCUCGUUGGAUUUGGCGAGGGCUCACCUUGCUGUCGCUAGGUUUGGUGAGGUGAGCCCCCGUCAGAUCUAGCAACAGCUCACCUGGCGAGGGCUUGCCUCACCAUCGCUAGGCAAGGACUCGCCUUGCCGUCGCUUGUCGAGGACGAGCUUGCCCAACCACUAGUGAGGUGAGCCCUCGCCAAAUUCAGCGAGGGGGGCCUCGUCAUCCUUGGCCGCCUCAAUCCGGCGACCAGCCAACCCUCUCCUCUGGCUGGUCAUCGGAGCCAAAGGAAGAAAAAAGGAGGAGGGAGGAGGAAGGAGAAAGGGGGAGAAAAAAAAGAAGAAAAGAAAAAAUAAAUUAAUAAAAUACUUUAAAAAAUAAAUUUAUUAUUAGAAAAUUAUCAUCGGUGCCAACUGGUGGUCACGUUAGUGCUGGCUGGCUAAUUUCACCAAAAUGACUGAAUUGACAUAAUUAUAAAAUGUUUAUGACUCAAUUGGCAAAAAAAAAACAAGUUUAUGACUGAAUUGAUACAAUUGCAAUAAAUUUAUGACUUUUAUGGUAAUUUUCCCUGAUAUAAACAUUACCUGAAGAGUAGGUAUUGCCUCCACUCUUUAUAGGUGGAUCCAACUCACAUACAACAUUGGAUCAUAUGAAUUCUACAUUAAGAUCCACCUCACAUGUGAGCUAGGCAGGAAACAUGACUUCUCUCUAGUGACUUGGACCGAUCGUAUAUAGGAGUGUUGUGGCUUGAAAUCUUCGGCUAACAAUGUAUUGAAAAGCACGCAUCAGCCAUCUUUGCAUACACUGGAAAGCACACAGACAUCAUCUAUCGUGCUUGCUUGGGCUGACAAUGGCACUCAUUUAGCAUUUUCCUCGCCAAGCAAUCUCUCUCUCUCUCUCUCUCUCUCUCUAAAUUAUGACCAUUUCUUUAAAGCCACUCUGAAUAUGUUUCAUGUUUUUUUGGUAAGGGACCUUGUGACAAUGGAACUAAUUUCUUGUGCAUGGAGUUCUCUUCCAGUCAGCAAACUCUGGAUUCGUAAGUGCAUAACAUUCAAAGUUAUUGAAAACAAGGAGUUUGGGACACCUAGAGUGCCAUAACUUGGUACAUGGGGAUACUUAAAUACCAUAACUUCGAAAAAGAUACACUUAAGUGCUAGUUUCGAAGUUAAAUGGAACACUUAAGUGCCACUCCGGCGAAAAUCCGGCCAAAUGGUUGACGUGGCAAUUUUCCGGUGAGUUUGGUCCAAAACGGCAUCGUUUUGCAUGCUGACGUGGCGAGAAAAUGCAUAAACGAUGUCGUUUCGUGUUUGAUGUGUAAAUAAUAAUAAAAAAUUAAUUAAAUUAAAUUUAAACUUAAUUUUAUUUAAAAUAUUCUAAAAAUUAAAAAAUUAAAAAAUAGAAAAAAAAAAGGAGGCCGCCGCCGCCGCCUCCCCACCGUCGCCGGGAAGGGCUGGCGACGGCGGGGAGACGGCAGCGGCGAGGGCUCAGCCCUUAGCCGCCCCUUUUGGCCUCCCUUUUUUUUAAAAAAAAAAUUAAUUUUAAUUUUUAGUUUUUAAAUUUUUAGAAUAUAUUAAAUAAAAUUAAGUUUAAAUUUAAUUUAAGUAAUUUUUAUAUUAUUAUUUACACAUCAGACAUGAAAUGACGUCGUUUUUGCAUUUUCUUGCCACGUCAUCAUGCAAAAUGAUGCCGUUUUGGACCAAAUUCGCUGGAAAAUUGUCACGUUAGCCAUUUGGCUGGAUUUUCGCCAAAGUGGCACUUAAGUGUUCCAUUUAACUUUGAAACUAGCACUUAAGUGUACCUUUUUGAAGUUAGGACACUUAAGUGUCUUCCCAUGCCAAAUUAUAACACUUAGGUUGUUCUUUUGCCUGAAAACAAGUCAGACAUGGUUUAGCAUAAAGAUUACGUUCCCUGUGUUUGUGUACCUGAACACACUUUCUCCAUGGGUAUCCAUUCGCCAUUGACUGAUGGUUUGAUGCUGGCCUUCAAAGAGGUUUUGGAAUGUGAACUUGAACUCAACAUACCAUUGUUACCAGAGCCCAAAUCAGUCUAGAUAGCACAACCAAAACUAGGACUUGUGACAAGAACUUGAAAAAGUUGUCCCAUGAAUGCUAGCAAUUAGAAAAGGGGUACUUGAUUUGGUGUAGGCGUUUUGUCAUACAGGUAGCAGUUUGAAAGCCCGAACCAUUCAUGGAGUCUCCUUUGUGUAUUUGAACUAAAUCUCAAUAUAUGGUCGCAUGCAUGCAAAUUAACAUCAUCGAUAAAUGAAUCUUUUUCUCCAUCUCUAGGCUCUAUGUAUAUUCUGAAGCCCACAACACGUUUUCUAGCAAUGUAAAAUCAAGGGUUUCGGGCAAGUUUACUCCCAGGAAGCGCAGUGUGGCUCAAGCAUUCGAGGCUAGAUUCUUACACAGUAGAUGGAGUCAAGGAAUACGAUUGUCGGCCCCCUUGGCCCACUCACUUGUGGGUUGAUAACUACUUAUUCAUUUGUUACAUUCAUUUUCCUUCCAUAGAUCAGAGAUGUAAAUCACAGUAUUAAUCUCAUAAUCAGAAGGAAAAAUAUUAUUUUUUAGAGUAUACUUAUUUCGCGGAAAAUGAUAUAGAACUACAACACAAGUAUUACUUACAUUUACUUAUAUUACUUAUAUUUAUAAUAGGACUUGGAAGAAUCUUUGUUUAUUGAAAUAAUGGUCCAUACAUUCUCUCUCGCCUCUGUGAGUUUUCUCUCUACCUCAUGGUAGCAUCUACUCCCCUUCUUUCAAGCCUUAAACCCUAAUUUUCUAGCGUUCUUCCGUAAUACUGUUUCUUUCUCCUGUGUUUUCUCCCCCCAUCAUCCAAAAAAGAAAAAAAAGAAAAAAAAGAAAUGUCUCUUCUAAGUAAUAAGAUUGGAUCUCUCCUAAGUGAUUCUCCGUGUGCCUUUGGAUUCCAUCAGUUGGGAUGAUCCUGACCGAAAGCAUCCUUCAGGUGGAGUGUUGAUUGUUGCUCUGAGUAUUGAUUUGAGUAGGUUUUCAUCUAUUUCUGUCUUUCUGUUUAGUUCCUCUUAAGUUGUUUGCUUGGCUGACGAGAUCGGAGUGGUAGAGGUCAGGAUCUGGAUAAAGCUGAAGCUGGGUAGUCUCUGGGAUGUCGAUAGUCUAGAUCUGUUCCUCCUAAGACAAACGAUUGAUAGUUAGUGAAAAUGGAAAGUAAAGAAGAAAAUGAGAUGAGAGUGGCUGCUUUAUGCAAAAGCCUUGGGCAUCUAUGGUCUAAGGAAGACGUAAUCGAAGUGUCUAAUGAAAUACCUCAACAGAAAAGGGAGGAAUGUAAACGUACUCUCUUCGGCAAAUUGUACUCCAGACCAAAUGUGAACUAUCCUGCUUUCAUAACUACAAUGAAAAAAGCAUGGAAAACAUAAGGGGUUAUUUGUUCUCCGAAGGAACUAGGGCAUUUCACUUUCAUAUUUCAAUCGGAGGAGGAAAAACAGUGAAUAAUGAGGAACUCACCUUGGUCAUACUCAACUAAUUUGCUCGUUCUGAAGCAGUGUCUCCCUGAAGUCCCUAAGCAUUGCUAUGAUUUCACUAAGGCAGCUUUCUAGGUGCGCAUUGUAGGAAUUCCCCUUGGUUGGAGAAUAGACAAAGUGUUCAAUGAUAUGGGGGAAAAGGAUGGGAAAUGUAAUAGAAGUUCAACUCGACUCAACAACUAAUAUUCAGAACAGAGGAGGUAGAGUUAGAGUUGAGAUUGAUUUGACUUUACCUUUGAAAUCGAGAGCUAUUCUGGAUAUUGGUAAUAAUUGGCUAUGGGUGGAGUUCAAAUACGAGCGUCUCCCACAUUACUGUUUCUCUUGUGGCAGAAUUGGGCACUAUGCAAUUGACUACCUUGAAAUUCCAUAUGCAACUUCACCCUGGGCGAUGAACAAAAAAGGGUUAUAUGGACCCUGGUUGAAGGCAGAAACUAGUUAUCACAGCCCUUAUUGGGAUGCUUUCUACAGGAAAAUGGAGGAGGAGUUUGUAGUGGAAGAAACAGUACCCGUUCCACCUACCCAACCUAAUGGAAUGAACUUCAUUGCUCGAGAGCCAUAAUCUAAUAUGCAAAUUGUAGCAUGCAGCAAAAAGCGAUCAGAAAGUAGCCCAGAACAGGAGAUAAGUCCAGUAAAAGUACCUAUUGAAGUAGAAAACCAAGAUCGUGGAAAACAGGUAUUAUGCCCUGAAUCCCAAAACCCACUGUUAUUAAAAGUUGGGAAAAGCAGUAAGAAGACUAUGAAAGUACAAAAGGAAAAAAAAAAUAAUAAAUGCAUACCGGUAAUAUCCCCUCUCCUCACAAAUGAUGCAGACCUUCUGGAGACCCCGGUGAAAUUGAUUUAAGAUGGACACGAAUGGGCUUUGGUGGCUAGCCCUAAUAAGCCACCAUUGAAGCCAUGAAAAUCAUUAGUUGGAAUUGUCAAGGGCUGGGCAACCCUCUGACAAUCCAGGAAUUAAGAGCUUUAAUAGCUCUCGAAAGGCCUAGCUUACUUUUUCUCAUGGAGACGAAAAAUAAAACAACUAUGGUGGAAAAGAUUUGUAAAAAGCUUCAGUUCCAGAACCUCUACUUGGUUAAUCCAACAGGAAUAGCGAGGGGAUUGACAAUCAUGUGGCAAGAGGAAAUCGCUUUAAAGGUGCAAGUAAGUUCAAAACAGUUCAUAGAUGUGUAGUGUACUGACCCUGAAAGUAAACAAGUUAUGCAGAUUACCUUUGUCCAUGCAUCUACGGAUUUUGGAGAGCAUAUGGCAUUAUGGCAACUGCUGGGAACUCUUAAGCCUUCGGUUUCUCUUCCAUGGAUCUGCAUGGGAGAUUUUAAUGGGAUACUGUAUGUAUGGGAGAAAGUUGGGAAAAAAGAAGCAGACAAUAGAAGAAUUGCAGCAUUCAGAAAUAUGAUAAAUGAUCUAUCCCUAAUGGAUGUAGACAGCCAUGGAUGCGCAUUUACAUGGGCUAAUAACAGGGAGGGGGCAGAGUUGGUUAAAAAGCGACUCGAUAGAGUGCUCUGUACUUUAGAGUGGCGAGUUACCUUUCAUGAAGCAGAGGUCUAGGCCCUUCCAGCAAUCGGAUCAGACCACAGUCCCCUAGUCCUUCGACUAUAUUCUAGAGUAAAGAGAAGGAAGAAACAGUUCAAAUUGGAAGCUUUCUGGACAGAACAUGCAGAUUAUCAGGAAGUCAUCCAGCAAGUAUGGGCAGAAACAUCAACUCAAAGUUUCCCUUUUGCAGAGAAAUUAGGGAGGACAUCACAAGUAUUAACUAAAUGGAGCAAAGAGAAGUUUGCUAAUGCUUAUACACAGAUCAAAGAGCUUAAUCAAGCCUUAACAGAAAUUACGAAUCAAACAUCUCAGCACAUGAGUAAGCAGAAAGUGCAGCAUAUCAUCAGUCAAAUAGACACACUGAGAAAACAGGAAGAACGGUUCUGGGGAAUGAGGUCAUGCAUCAAAUGGUUACAUUGGGGAGACCAAAACACUAGAUUUUUUCAUGCUACGACAGUCAAAAGGAGGCAGCAAAAUCGCAUUACAAUGCUGCAAUUAGAGGAUAAUCGCUGGUGCAGAGAACCCAUGAUGCUAAAGAAACAUAUUCAAUCUUUCUAUGAGAAUCUAUAUAGGACUGAGGGUCCACGACACUACCAAUCUAUCCUAAACCAAUGCCCAUCCCCAAUAACAGAGAAUAUAAACGAAGAACUGGUGGCAAUACCUUUAUUGGAGGAAAUCCAUGCAGCUAUUUUUCAAUUGGGAGCUUUCAAGGCCCCUGGCCCUGAUGGUUUUAAUGGGACUUUCUAUCAACAAUCAUGGGAAAUUAUAAAAACUGACCUGAUGCAGCUAGUUCAGGAUUUCUUUCAGAAGAGUGUUCUUGCUCCCCGGCUCAAUUAGACCCAUAUUAUGUUGAUUCCAAAGGUUAAAAGCCCUGAAAACAUCAGUCAAUACAAACUCAUUAGUUUGUGCAACUUCAGUUAUAAAGUUAUCUAAAAAAUCUUAGCAAACAGACUAAAGAAGUGGUUGCCACUUAUCAUUGAACUGGAGCAAGGUGCAUUCGUUCUGGGGAGGCAAAUUCAAGACAAUAUCUUCAUAGUACAGGAAGUUCUACAUCAACUACGCAUCACAAAAAAGAAGAAAAAACAUCAGGCCAUUUUGAAGCUUGAUAUGCAGAAAGCAUAUGACAGGAUCGAAUGGGAUUUUGUGAGGGAUAUCAUGUUGCAUAUGGGGUUUAAUGCUAAAUGGGUCUCCUUAAUUAUGCAAUGUAUAUCAACAGUUACCUUUAGCGUGAAAAUCAAUGGAGAACCUACCUCUUUCUUCCAUCCUUCGUGAGGCCUCAGACAAGGUGAUCCACUCUCACCCUAUAUCUUCAUUCUGAUGUCCAAUGUGUUAACCUGGCUGAUGAAAAAAGCAUUAGCAGAUGGUACAAUCAAAGGCAUACAGAUAAAUAGAUAUUGCCCUAAGCUAUCACAUUUGAUGUUUGCCGAUGAUGUGAUAUUCUUUUUGGAUGGAACUAUUACAGAGUGCCAGAAUCUUGCUCAAAUUCUUCACCAAUACUGCUAUGCUACGGGCCAAGCAAUCAAUUUAAAUAAAUCAGGGGUUUAUUUCAGUGGUAAAUGUCCAGCAUUAUUAAAACAUAAUUUGGGCAUAGAAUUGAGAGUUCUUGUUCUACAUAAAACAGGAAAAUACUUGGGCAUACCUACCGAGUGGGGUCAAUCCAAGAAAGAGCUAUUUGCAUGGAUCCUGGCCAGAGUAAAUUCAAAGUUAGCAGGAUGGAAAGAAAAAUUACUUACAAAGGCAAGAAAGGAAGUGUUUAUAAAAAGUGUUGUGCAAUCCCUACCUACCUAUGCAAUGUCCAUAUUUAAGCUACCCGUGUCUAUCUACAGAGCCAUAGAACAACGUAUUGUGUCAUUUUGGUGGCAAAACAGUGAUGCAAAAAGAGGGUUGCAUUGGAAAAGUUGGGAAGUCUUGAAAACUCAAAAGGAUACGAGAGGACUUGGGUUUAAGGAUCUGCUUACCUUUAAUAGAGCCAUGUUAGGCAAGCAAAUCUGGAGAUUAGCUACCUCCCCUUCAUCACUAUGGAGCAGAGUGUUGAAAGGGAUCUAUUUUCCCAAUGGUGAUGUCCGGACAGCUUCUAAGGGACACCGGCCAUCAUGGGGCUGGCACAGUUUAAUGCUUGGCAGAGACACAAUAAAGAACAACAUCAAAUGGUCAGUAGGGGAUGGAAAUUCUAUUCGUAUUAGAGAAGACAGAUGGCUUUCACAAGGUGUAAUAGGCGGGCAAGCAAACCAAACAGAGCCUAUUUUAGUGUCCGAAUUGAUAAAUGCAGAAUCUAGAGAAUGGAAACAACAGCUUACCCAUCAACUCUACGAAGAAACUAUUGCAAACAAGAUUUUAGCAAUCCCCCUAAGUCAGCAAUCAAAGCCAGAUACGCUUAUAUGGACAGGUAACAGAACAUGUCAAUACUCUGUUAAGAGUGGAUACAACAGAGCAAUGGCAACCACAAGCAAAUCAGAUCAGAAUCGACCCUCCUGCUCAUUUCAACCACCACGUACCUUAUGGACUCAAAUAUGGAGUCUUGAUGUGCCACCAAAGGUCCGUUCUUUCCUCUGGAGCCUCUGUCAUAACACUCUUCCUACGAGGGAGAACCUGUAUAAAAGGAAAAUAAUUAGAGAUCCCAUAUGCUCGUUCUGCUGUUCUAGCAUCGAAACCACAGAGCACUUUUUGUUCUUAUGCAAAUGGACAAAGAAAGUUUGGGAUGAUCAAACCAAACAGUUGUAUUAAAUGCACAGAUCAAUGGAUCUUCAACGCUUUCAGAAGAGAUCAGUUCUCACUUGCUUGCGAGCUCACUGGUAUGGUUUUGUGGAACAUCUGGAAGGCGAGAAAUAACUGGAUUUUUCGAGCGAAAGAAGCCAGACUAGCAGAUCUGUUGAUUACAGCACAGGAACAACAGAUCUCGUUCAGUAGAGGAAAAUCAAACAGAAACGAACGACCACUCAAACGUGACAAACCUGAUCAGUGGCGGCCUCCGGAAGGGCAGGAUCUGAAGCUAAACGUCGAUGCGGCAUGGUGUUCAGGCGAAUUUCUUGGCUCUGUGGUUGGAGUCGUGCGCGAUUCGGCUGGAAGAGCUCUCGAAGGAUUUGCAGCCACGACUAGGGUUUCUUCGUCGAGCGAAGCAGAAGCCGAGGCGAUUUUACACAGUAUAUUAUAUACCCAGGAACUCCAGUUGACUCACGUGAGGGACUUUGGAAGUCGAACUGGGAAGUGGUUGAUAGAAAACGACUAUUCCGCGGUGGUAGAAAUGGUAAUGGGCCGGGCCGAAACUUCAUGGAAUCUAAAAGAAAUCGUGCAGCGCUAUAGAAAUGGGCUAAAUCAAAACAACAAUGUUAUGGUGACCCAUUGUCCACGCCAAGCAAAUGCCGCAGCAGAUUGGAUCGUACGGAAUCAUCGGCUUAAUACUCUUCCACGGAAUUGGUUGAUUUCUCCCCCUUUUUCCUCUAUGGAAUAUUUUAUGCGCAGAUCUUUCUCCAUCUGUGUUAUGUAAGACUCCUCCUUAAUCAAGUAAUAGUCAGUUAUAUUUUGACCAAAAUAAUAAUAAUAAUAAUAAUAAUAAUAAUAAUGGUCCUUUUUAGGAUUGUAUGAGUUGUGAUGUAAUAUUUUUAGAGAAAUUUAAAGUUGAAUGUUAACUUAGAAUUUGCUUCAUGCCUUAAGAUCAAAGAAUAAUAUAAGCUAUCAUCUGUGGGGGCAAACGUACAACACGAGCUUCUUAGCGAAGGAAGCGACACAGGAUCCUAUCACUAAUCACGGAUCGAUCAUGAAUUGCAUUGUAGCCAUGUGGUGCCUCUAUUCAACUGACUUUUGCAGACCCCGAACUUCCUUAGGAGUGGCUAGCUAGCCAUUCUGCUGAAUUUGAAGAACAAGCACAAAUCUAAUUCAAGAUCUAUCGAUUUUGCGAGAAGCCACAUUACACACCAAAUCAGGGUGUGCGCUUGAUGAUUUUUUUUUUUUUUUUUUAUAAUUUGAGUGCAUUCAUCUACUCUAUCAUCUCGUCCGUUUAAAGUAGAUAUACCCUGGCAAUUUAAAUAAGGGGUUUGUUGUUGUUGUUGUAUUUGUUCUAGAGUCGAAUCAGUUUGUUUUGAUUCUACAUUCUCGUCUACUUCGGACGCAAGCUUUUUUCUAAUUUACUAGGCUGCUUUUAGGGUCCCGUGUAAAAAACAGGGAUCCAUCUAAUUCGCAAAAUUGAUUGGUUAUAGGUAUUUAUCUGUAGUUUAUUUUUGUUGAGGGUCAUUUACGGAUUCUAAAGUUAUAAUUUUUUGCAUUUAUAAUUACUUACCAAUGUAAAGGUGAAUUUGACGAGGCUGAAGCUAAUUUUAAAUACACAAAGCAUAAUUUUAAUGCAUUAAUUUGUUUUCGUGAUAUUGUAAUUUGUAUUACUAUGAUGAGACUUUAUUAGCUAUUUGCUAAGAAUAAGUACAAUUAAGACUAUCAAGGAUUAGGGCUUACUUAAUUUCCCAAUUAUAAGGAAAAUUUCGAAUUAUUCUGUAUAGGUUAAGUUACCUUAGGAAUGCUUUCAAAUCGGAUCAAAUAAAUUUAAACAAAUCUGCCUCAUUGAUUAUUUGCGGAGGUUAGCCGUUGCCAAUUUAUCGCGUUGACUACACACACGUAUAUUGAGUUAUGAUCUACAUAUCAUAUCUUCAUAUAACGUGGCCAUAACAUAAUAUGUAUAAAUAAUCUCCCUAAUCAACGACAAGGAUCAAAUGAAUUGAUUGUAUGAUUGACCAUGAUAUCCAAAGGAGUCAUAAGUCGGGCCAUAUGAAAUGAAUUGGCUGUAUCCUUCGAUUUGUCAAGCUUAUAGAGUACCUAAUAUUGAUUUAUCGUCUUUCCCCUUUACCAUUGCAAUUUCCUUUUGUAAUUCUGCCAUCUGCAAGUAGUGAGGAUAGCAUAAAAGAAAAGAGACAGGAGAAUCUAACGGGCCCAGGCCGCAUUCAGAUCAUCUAGUUCCCCACCCAAGGAAUUUCAAUUAACCUCUAUAUUGUGUGAAAUAUGUGCCCUCAGCAGCAAAAAUACUCAUACUUCGAAAGUGAAGACACUGAGCAGGUAAAUGCUGCAAGUCAUUGUGAUUUCCUUGAUAUCAACAUCCACAUUGCGGUGAAACAGCAAGGAGCUGCGCACUUCCGGUAAUAGGCUUACCGCAAUGAUCCUGAAAAUCCACAGAGAUAUACCAGAGACUAAACAUAAUACUUGAACUCAAUCAAGCCAAUCAAUGAGUGACCAUUUGAAUCAUAGAAGCUGUGCCUGACCUACAAAAUCAUAGAAGGUGCUUGAAUGAACUCAAUAAAGCCAAUAAACAUGGAUCACAAAGAGGUCUUCUGAAUCAAAUGGACCUACACGUUCUGAAGCCAAUCAGCGGGAGACAAGGCACAUAAAGCGAGAGUCCCAAGGAGACAACUCUUCAUCGGACUAGUUCGAAUCUCAUCGAAUUGACCACUAAAAACUUUGCACGCUCAUGAAUUACCUCUGUUCCCCAUUGGGCAUUCGCGAUUUGGAUGGGCGAAUGUGAGAUUGCGAGAAUGAAGGUGUCAGGCGAAAUGGGAGAGUCAAUUACGGUUGAUUUGACGAAAGAGAGACUCGGCUUGAGAGAAAUGGCAAGAAGGGAUCGAAUUUGGGCCAAAGAUUGAGAGCAAUUUCUGCAAGAUCUCACUUAAGGUCCAUCUGGUGAUUUGGGCGCGAUGGUAUUUGAGACAAGAAGGAAGCAAUGCAAUGUUGUUUGGGGGUUUCAAGUGGGGAUUAUUGGCUUUCGAGCAAUUCCACCAAAGAAUUGGGAAUCGAAUCAUAGGAACCGCUUUCCAAUUUCUGGAAUUGGGAAUCAAACUGAAGCCCCUUGAAACUGGACUGGACUGGUCCCUUCAUGGGUGGCCAAUGGAACCAGUCCCAUGUUUUUAUUUUUAUUUUUUUAUUCUUAUAUUGCAAUCAAUUUAGGUAUUUUCACUUUCGCUUCAUGGGCAAUCGAAAUGGGCGCUAGUUUGUUCAAUUCGGNNNNNNNNNNNNNNNNNNNNNNNNNNNNNNNNNNNNNNNNNNNNNNNNNNNNNNNNNNNNNNNNNNNNNNNNNNNNNNNNNNNNNNNNNNNNNNNNNNNNCAUAUUGAAAUUUGAGUCAAUUCGGAUAAGGUUUGGUCUUCAAAUCAAGAUAAGAAAGCUGUAAUCUUUUUCUAUUUUCUUCGUGAGCUCUUGGUGCUCCCCCUCUCUCCCUCUCCACUUCACGAACGAGCAGACCUUUUUUCCUCUUCUUAUUGCUUUUUGACUUUGACUGCUUUAUUUUAUUUUUUCACGUUGGCUAGGCCCCACAAAGGCGGACCCAGUCAACAAAUAUUUUGAGGUGUUCAGAAAUCUCUUUCUUUUAAUGUUAUCAUUCUUUUGAAAUUCUUUUUGCGGUAAUGAAGUAUUAUGGAUUCUCGCAUACAAAUCUAAAUCUGUAUCCAACAUCAAAUAUGGGCACAUAAUUCGCACCGCAAUGAUUUACUAUCUAAGUGCCUCAUACCUUAUUAUAGAGUUAGUAAUGCUAAUUUUGGGAUAAUUGGGACCUUAGGUUUUUUUAAAGUUUGUAGUUCGAUUGUUUUUUCUUGGUCAUCCACAAAAAUUAAAAUUAGAAUCUCUAGCGAUAUGUACAAUGGAUGAUGUUGCGUCUUGUCUUGAAACUCAAUAUAACUGAUAGGACAAGCCCUCUUAGGUUCUUUCCACAUGCCUUCUGGAAAAAAGAAAAAGAAAAAUGAUAAUAGCAAUAAGGAAAUGAAGCUACGGCCGGCAAGUCUAUAUAGUUUGACUUGAACCCAUGUUGCCGCGCUUAUCUCAUCUAUAGAAAGGGUUUCGUAAUUUCUCGCAAUCCUUGCGGACCUGUUCCCAUUAUCUUUCGUGAAUCCUAACUCCGCACAUUAUAAAAACACACUUCAAUCCCUCCUUUCCCUCUUUUCUAAUUUCUAAGUUCAAACCUCUCUCUCUCUCUCAAACUACACUUGCAUAUAUUCUCGUUUUUGUCACGUCCAUCUCUCUCUCCAAACUAACCUCAGACAGAAAGAAACACACACCUCCCACGAAUUUGACUCGGUUAGUGGUNNNNNNNNNNNNNNNNNNNNNNNNNNNNNNNNNNNNNNNNNNNNNNNNNNNNNNNNNNNNNNNNNNNNNNNNNNNNNNNNNNNNNNNNNNNNNNNNNNNNNNNNNNNNNNNNNNNNNNNNNNNNNNNNNNNNNNNNNNNNNNNNNNNNNNNNNNNNNNNNNNNNNNNNNNNNNNNNNNNNNNNNNNNNNNNNNNNNNNNNNNNNNNNNNNNNNNNNNNNNNNNNNNNNNNNNNNNNNNNNNNNNNNNNNNNNNNNNNNNNNNNNNNNNNNNNNNNNNNNNNNNNNNNNNNNNNNNNNNNNNNNNNNNNNNNNNNNNNNNNNNNNNNNNNNNNNNNNNNNNNNNNNNNNNNNNNNNNNNNNNNNNNNNNNCUUAUAUGGACUCUGUUCACUCGAUUCUCGGUCUGGAAUCCUAUCACCUUGUUGUUGCUUCUCAUUAUUUGACUCCCGCACUUUGAUUAAAUUUCCCAUUACCUUAUGUCUCCAAAUGUAUAGCAAAAUGAGUCGUGUAACUUUUGAUUAAGUGAUAAUAGUAACUUCACAUUCAGGUGGAGCAAAUUUUAAAGCAUGUUGUUUUUUUCAAUAUAUAACCCUAUUUGGAAACGCCAUUAGCUGUAUCGUUCAAGCAUCUCUCAGCAUGAUGUGAAUACAAUUCUACUUUCCCAAACUCUUGACAAAUUUAUUCAGCAGAUCACGACAAACUUCCAGUUCUACUGUUUCUUAUAUAACCUGGCUGAUUCAAUGUUGUACACGUUCCCUCUUUCCAAUAAAAGGGCAAUAAAAUAUAUGCAUGGCCUCCACGAGAAUGGGGAGAACUCGUGCCACGUUUUGGCUAAUCCGUACAUGAUCAUGUUCGGCAUCACAGAGAUUCUGCUGUCCCAGAUUCAAGAUCUCGAUCAAAUAUGGUGGCUCUCUAUUGUGGCCGCUGUUAUGUUCGUCGCUUACUCUUUGAUUGGUCUUGGCCUAGGAAUUGCCCAAGUUGCAGGUACAGGUUUCUUCUUUUCUCAAAGACAGAUGGCCAAGAAAUUUCAAGAGAUUAUAUUAUCAAUAUCAUAAAAUAAGUUGUUUCCAGCAAUUUUUUCCUGAUGAGCAGCUAGUGGAAGUUUCAAGGGUAGUCUUACAGUAAUAAGCGCUGGGGAUGCAACUGAAACCCAAAAGAUACGGAGAUGUUUCCAAGCUCUUGGAAAUAUCGCCUCAGCGUACUCAUUUUAUGAGAUCCUUAUUGAAACUUAGGUACUAAAACAUGAUUUCAUCAGUUCAAAACCUAAGGAAAUGGUAAAGAGUGGAUAGAACAGACUGGAAAUACCUUGUUUUUCCUUUUAUCUUUGACAGGACACCAUCGGAUCUCCACCAUCAGAAGUAAAGACCAUGAAGAAAGCCAUUUCUCUGAGCCCCGUGGUGAUGACGACUAUCUACAUGCUAUGUGGCUACGUGGGCUAUGCUGCUUUAGGUGAUGACACUCCGGAAAAUUUUCUGAUCGACUUGGGUUUCAACAGGCCAUUCUGGCUUCUUGAUAUUGCCAAUUCUGCUAUUGUGAUCCAUCUUGUUGGAGCAUACCAAGUAAACAGCCAGCCGAUAUUUGCCCUGGUCGAGAAACAGGCCGAUCAGAGAUGGCCUCGUAGUGAGCUCAUCGCCAAAGAGAUGAAGAUCCUAGUACCAGGCUUGGGCCAAUACAACAUGAAGCUCUUUAGACUUGCUUGGAGGACGGUUUUCAUGAUCCUGACCACUGUGAUAUCGAUGCUAUUCCCAUUCGUCUUCAACAGAGUCGUGGAUAUCAUCGGCUUGGGCUUUUGGCCUCUAAUGGUCUAUUUUCCCGUCGAGAAGUAUAUUAGACAGAAACGAAUUCCCAAAUGGAGCACUAAACGGGUAUACCUGCAAAUGCUGAGCAUGGCCUGUCUUGUGAUAUCGAUCAUGGCAGUUGCGGGUUCGGUCCCAGGACUUAAGGACGACCUUAAGACAAAUCGGCCAUGCGGGAAGAGCUACGAUCAAAAUGCAUGGAUCUUUAGUUGAUCGGCCAUUUCAGAAGAAAAGAAUAACAUCAUAGAAGUUUCUACUUUCAUUGUUUAGUCUGGAAUUACAAACUCUGUAUGUUCUAGCCAUUGCUAAGGAAAACUUGCAUUUUAUGCAAGUGAUGGUUACACAUUGUCCUGUUGUCGUAAAAAAAUUCCGAAAUUUUGGUUAUUCAAACCGCCACGUCCACAUCAAUUGGGUUAGGCUCCAAUCAUGCGAUGACAAACGUGCCGACCUUUCAAGGUUUACAUAAGGGGGAGAGUUAUAAUAUGAACAAAGAAGGUCCCAUGUUAUUAUAAUAUAUAAAUUGAUAAUUAAACGAAAUCUCAUUAUUCGAAAGCGUUAGUAUGUCCUUUCCAGGAAGAGGAAAAAGAAAAGGGAUGCGUGGAUAUCAAUAUCUAAAGAAAAAGCGACUUUUUUACCUCUUGGAAGAUACUUUAAUAAUAGUUAGAUAAGGAAUAUGAUUGGAAGAUAAGGACUCAAGCCCACGUGUGAAUUGAGAACUCCUUCAAAUGAUUAACAUGUGAAUGGGGAAAUAUUACAUCGAUGGGUUGGCUUAGAUUGAACAUACCAUAACCCCAUUAGAUUGAUUGACUUGUCCAAUACAUCUUCGACAUCCUCGACUAACUCUCUUUUUAUCAAAUGUUUCUCCGUGGCCUCGGUCAAACCAGCUCUUUCAUGUAUAUGUUUUCCCCUAAAAACCAAAAUUGAUUGGUGCCCCACUUCAUUUAACAAAUUCAUUUGCUUAGAUUCUAUCUAGGUACUCAAAAAUAGCUUCAUUACCUUACUUACAUUCCAUUACUGAUAUAUGCAUAUUAGGGAAGACCUUAUGACAAACUUUUCUCAGACUUCAGGCGUAUCGCCGAGUUAUAGAUUGCAUGCAUUAACAAGUGAUUUACGAGCGUGAUUUAUUGGGAUUUUGUUCCCAAGAGAUUGUUGUCUAGCAUUAUUAACUCCACUUGUACAUUUAACAAAUGUUGUUGGAGCACUAGUUAAUUUAACUCAAUAUAGAAAUAAAAUUCUUCAAGAGGCUUCAAAAAUAAAUUACUUACUCCAAAUGAGAAAUUUAUAUUUUUCAAGUAUUUUUUAAUAAAGGCUUAAUAAGUGCCUGCCCUAGGGACACUUUUUAGCAUUUUGCAUAUGAUUUUAUUGAAAGUUCUCAUAACCAUCGAUGCAUAGAUAAGGUUUGUAACUUAAAGAGCUUAUUACACGAGAAUUCUCACAUAAUAUUGAGAAUUUUGUUUCAUACAUAUUUAAUGGGUGACAUAAAUAGGUUGCAUUUUCCUAUAUUGAAUCUCCACCAUAUCUUUCGUUUUGGACACUCAAGUUUUGUAGCUUAAAAAAUCAAAUUGGACCCAAAAAUCAACUUUCAAUUGAGAUUUGAGAGAUACAUUAGGAUGUUAGUGUGUUGAAUCGAUUGUAGUUAUCUGAUAUGAUAGCUUUUGGUUAAUAAUGUGCAAAUAUACAUGUGUCUAGGAUGUUUGGUAGAGGAUGAUCAAAGGAUUUUAAGGGGUUUAGGCAAUGUGAUAAGGAAAGACGAUUCCAGCAUUUUUAUGGAAAUAGUUUUAUAAUUGUUGGAGAACUAAUGGUGAAGGAACUAAGGGAUAUGAAGCUUAUGGCGAUGCUUCCCACUCAAUGGGUGGAGGGCUAAACCCCACACACACGGAGCUUAUGGAGGUCUCAACAUGACACAAAACUAUCGCAUUAAAACCCAUUUUUCUAGGACUCCAUCGGCCGACUACAAAAGUCUCUGCCUUGUCAGAAAUCUUUUCUUUUGCUUUAGCGAUAUUCAUCGCCGUACUCAAUUACAGUGGACACAUCUUGACUUUUGUACAAAUAUCCGCUCCAUAAAUAUCUAGUCCAUGCUACAUUAUUCGAGAAAUUGCAUCACUCAUAACCUGUCUAUAACUUGGGCCUAGCAUCAUUCCAACAUCUUCCAUGAGCUCUAACUCCGCACGAUACAAAUACUACCAUAUAGUCACUUUUUUGCCACACCCAUCUCUCUCCCUCUCUAGGAGUAAGUUUGAGCCUUUGGCUUUCAGGUGGGUGUACAAAACACAAAGCAACCUCAGAGUCAAAGAGACCCACUUUCCACUGGUUUUGAACCGAUUAGUGCUAAUAAAACUUGCAAGUAGGACUAGCUACCAUCCAGAUUGAAACUGCACGGAUUCUGAUGGAUGAAUAAAUUUUGGAGGUCCCUUUCAUUUGGCAAAACAGAAUUUAGUUUCCACACACACAAACUUGCUAACAUUUGCUAUUUCCUUCUCUCUAUCUCUCUCUAGGACAUUAAAAAUGGAUGAGAACGCUGCCACCAAGAACAACCAAAACCGCCGCCGCUGCCAAAUCGGUGACAUCUCCAUUUUGAAUGCCUCCCCAAAGCUUCUUCAAAAGAUAAUGAUUUUUAUUGUUCAAAAUAACUAGUCAAUAAAUAAUAUUUUAUUUUUUUAUUAUAAUUUAUGUUUAAACAUAUUUGUAAACAAUUUAUAAAAUAUACAAGUGAUUGAAUUUUGAAAAAUAUUUUCCAAAAUGUUGAUCUUUUGUGUAACAAGCAUACGCUUAUUCAAAGUUUAUUUUUGUGCAAAAUUGACUAAUUGAAGAUAUAUAUAUUUAUAGUUUAUUUUUUACGUGGGCAAUUUAUGUUAAUUUGUGAGUGGUAAGGUAAUUAUUUGCAUUCAUAAAAUACUUACCAACGCAAAGGUAAUUUAAUGAUGCUGAAGCUAAAUUUACAUACACAAAAUACAAUUUUAAAAAUAUAAGUUUGCUUUCGUGAUAUUAUAGCUUGUAUUGCUACGAUAAGACUUUAUUAGUUACGAAUAAGUGUAAUUAAGAAGAAUGUCAAGGAUUAUUAGGGCAUUCCUAAUUAGAAGGAAGAUUACUUACUAUCACUGCGACUUCGAAUUAGGUAAGUUACUGUAGCCGUUGUCACGAUUACAUCAUAUCAAAUAAAUUUAAACAAAUCCACCACGCUGAUUACCUGAAGAGGUUAGCCGUCUCCAAUUUACCGUUUCGACCUCGCGCGCCCAACCCACUUUCCUAUCCUACAAGCGGCAAAUUCGGAACGGCAGGCGAAUUAAAUAAGUUACUGUUAGCCGUAGGCAAUUUACCGUUUCGACCUCAAUCCACUUUCCUAUUCUGACAGGGGCAAAUUCGGAACGACGGGCGAAAUGACGCUACAUAUUCGCUACGGCUUCAUCGGUCCAGUCGCAUCAUCUCUCUCCCACCUUCUUCUGCGCAUGUUGUUGCCUCUCCGCUUGCUUCCUUUUCCUCUCUCGACGGAGCCACAUUCUGGCUCAAUGGGAGAUGCCGGAGCUGCGUCUGCUUCGGCCGUGCGGCCGAUCGUCGAAGACGGGACGCCCCCGUGUGGGGGCCACAGAGAGAGAGGAAUGGGGCUAUGAUCGGGGCUCGGCGCGCUCUCUGUCUGCAAAGGCGGGGUUGAGCAACGACGUUCGGGCGGGCGACGGAUUCGAGGGCGUGCUGGAGUUGAGGCGGACGUGUGAGUAUCUCGAAUUUUUUCUCUCUGGCUUGGUUGAAUGGGUGUCGUUGCGUGAUGAUUAUGCUGCUGUCGUUUGGGGCGUAAAUCUUGUCGGAGGAGAUGGGUUUUUUGAUUCCUUACUCUGAUUUGUGCCAAAACCUUUUAUUUCUCAGAUCAUCUUUGGGAGUAGGAAUUUUCUUCUAAAGAACAUGACUUAUGAUAGAAUAUCUUUUUGAGCAGUAAUUUUUCGACAAAUCUGUGCUCUUUCUUAUAAAAAAGUUCAGAUUUUUGUUUUUUGUACAUGUAAUAUGAAUCUGGUGCUUAGAAAGUAACUUGAUUCGUUUGCUAGAGUUUUUCGGUUCUUCAACCUGUUUGGUGAUCUUUUGUAACGUGAACAUAUCAACGAAAUAUAUGAAGAGAGUGACAUGCCUCGACAAUUCAUACUGUUUGGUGUACUUUGAUUUUGGCAAAGCACCUUUUCAUAUGAUGAUUCACUAUUGCUUAUCCUCAGAUCAAGCCUUGUAAUAAUUUUGCUACAGAUCUUGCACCCGUGCUUUUCUUUACCAUUUUCCCUUGCUAAAUGCUGUAACUGAUGGAAUUUUUUCCUAACUGUGAUUUAUGCAUGACUUGGUAUAUUUGUCUUGUUAAUUCUAAAGAACCGCAUACAGGAAUCUCUUUCUAAAUAGCUUUAUGUGCAGCAAGUUUUCAAAACUAUCUCCUUUUUGCCAAUUAAGUUUAAACUUUUGUUUUCUCCUUCUGAAUAUAUUUCUCUUUUUUGAAAACCUUACAUUUCGUGAAAAUCUAUCUUUGUUUGAAAGAGGUGUGAUAGUUUUGUUUUUCAUUUAUAAAUAUUAACUCCUUGAGUUUAAGUUUUCUGUUAAAGAGUGACUGGGUUUAAAAGUUUCUUGUCAAAGUCGUUUCUAAAUGUUGUGAAUUUUCACAAUUUUCUUCCUUACUCUAUUUUGUACAAGGCACACUUUUUCAAAUAACUUUGGCACUUUAAAUUUGCUUUUAAAGAAGGUCGUGCAGAUUAUUCUGGAGUCUUUCACAAGUUUUUCUAAUCUAUUUCCUCAUUACUUUUUGAGCAGCAAGUUUUUAAAUAUCUCUUUUGCCAAAUAAGUCUAAUUUUGUUGUCACCUUUGAAUGUCUUUUUUUUUUACAGUUCUUUAUUAUGACAUUUUAUAAAAAUGUUAUCUCUUUAAAAGAGCUGUGAUACUUUUGUUUUGUCCUUUCUGAAUACUAACUUCUUGAGUUUAAGUUUUCUGUUAAAAGAGUUAAAAAGAAAUUCAAAGUUUCUCCUCAAAGUCGUUUCCACAUGUUGCAAAUUAUGACAAUUUUCUUCCUUACUCUGUUUUGUACAAGAUCUACUUUUUUCAAACCACUUUGCGAGUUUAAAUUUGCUUUUAAAGGAGGUAAUGCAAAUUAUUUUAGAUUAUUUCACAAGUUUUUCCAAUGCAUUUCCUCAUAGCAUUAUGAGCAGCAAGUUUUCAAAUCUCUUUUUUGCCAAAUUUGUUUUAAAAUUUUGUUCCUUUUGAAUAUAUUUCUCUUUUUUGAAAACCUUUUUAAAGACAUUUCGUAGACAUCUAUGUCUGUUUGCAAGAGGUGUGAUACUUUUGUUUUGUCAUUUCUCAAUAUUAACAUCUUGGUUUUAAGUUUUCUGUUAAAGGGUAACUGGGUUUAAAAGUUUACCCUUAAAGUCGUUUGCAAAUGUUGCAAAUUAUGACAAUUUCCUUAGUUACUUUGUUUUGUACAAGACCUACUUUUUUUCAAACAACUUUGGGAGUUUAAAUUUGCUAUCAAAGAACGUCAUGCAAAGCAUUUUAGAUUCUUUCACAAGUUUUUCCAAUGUAUUUUCUCAUAGCUUUUUGAGCAGCAAGUUUUCAAAUCUCUUUUUUGCCAAAUAAGUUUAAACUUUUGUUUUCUCCUUUUGAAUAUAUUUCUCUUUUUUGAAAACCUUUUUAAAGACAUUUUGUAAAAAUCUAUCUCUAUUUGAAAAGUGGCGUGAUACUUUUGUUUUUUCAUUUCUUGAUAUUAACUUCUUGAUUUUAUGUUUUCUGUUAAAGAGUAACUAGAUUUAAAAGUUUCUCCUCAAAGUCGUUUCCAAAUUUUUUAAAUUAUGACAAUUUUCUUACUUACUCUGUUUUGUACGAGACCUUUUUUUUUUCAAACAACUUUUGGAGUUUAAAAUUGCAUUUAAAGAAGGUCAUGCAAAUUAUUUUGGAUUCUUUCACAAGUUUUUCCAAUGUAUUUCCCACAACCUUAUGAGCGGCAAGUUUUCAAUUUUGCCAAAUAAGUUUAAACUUUUGUUUUCUCCUUUUGGAUAUAUUUCUCUUUUUUGAAAACUUUUUGAAAGACAUUUUGUGAAAAUCUAUCUCUAUUUGACAGAGGUGUGAUACUUUUGUUUUGUCAUUUCUAUAUACUACUUGAUUUUAAUUUUUCUAUCAAAGAGUAAUUGGAUUUAAAAGUUUCUCCUGAAAGUUGUUACCAAAUGUUGAGAAUUAUGACAAUUUUCUUCCUUACUCUGUUUUCUAUGACACACUUUUUCAAACAUCUUUGGCAGUUUAAAUUUGCUUUGAAUGAAGGAUGUGCAAAUUAUUUUGGAUUCUUUCACAAGUUUCUUCAAUCUAUUUCCUCAUAACUUUCUAAGCAGCAAGUUUUCAAGUAUCUAUUUUUUGCCAAGUAAGUUUAAACUUUUGUUUUCUGCUUUGAAUAUAUCUGUCUUGUUUGACAGUUCUUUAUUAUGACAUUUCAUAAAAUUGUUCUCUGUUUGAAACAGUUGUGCUACUUUUUAGUUUGUCCUUUCUGAAUAUUAACUCUUUGAGUUUAAGUUUUCUGUUAAAGAAUAUGACUGGAUUUAAAGUUUCUCCUCAAAGUUGUUUCCAAAUGUUGCCAAUUAUGACAAUUUUCUUCCUUACUCUGUUUUGUACGAGACCUACUUUUUUCAAACAAACUUUGGGAGUUUGAAUUUGCUUUUAAAGAACAUCUUGCAAAGUAUUUUAGAUUCUUUCACAGGUUUUUCCAAUGUAUUUCCUCAUACCUUUAUAUGUGAGAAGUUUUCAAAUCCCUCUUUUUUGCUCAAUAAGUUUAAACUUUUGUUUUCUCUUUUGAAUAUUUCUCUCUUUUUUUUUAAUAGUUCUUCAUUAUAGACAUUUCGUGAAAAUGUUCUCUGUUUAAAUGAGCUGUGAUACUUUUGUUUUGUCCUUACUGAAUAUAACUUCUUGGGUUUAUUUUCACCAAAAAAAAAAAAAAAAAAAAUUCUUGGGUUUAAGUUUUCUGUUAAAGAGUAUAACUGGGUUUAAAGUUUCUCCUCAAAGUUGUUCCCAAAUGUUGCAAAUUAUGACAAUUUUCGUCCUUACUCUGUUUUGUACAAGACCUACUUUUUUCAAACCAUUUUGGGAGUAUAAUUUUGCUUAUAAAGAACGUCAUACAAAUUAUUUUAGAUUCUUUCGCAAGUUUUUCCAAUGUAUAUUCUCAUCGCUUUAUGAGCAGCAAGUUUUCGAAUAUAUCUAUUUUGCCAAAUAAGUUUAAACUUUUGUUUUCUCCUUUUGAAUAUCUUUCUUUUUUUACAGUUAUUUAUUAUAGACAUUUCAUGAAAAUGUUCUCUGUUUAAAUGAGCUGUGAUACUUUUGUUUUGUCCUUUUUGAAUAUUAACUUCAUGGGUUCAAGUUUUCUGUUAAAGAGUAUAACCGGAUUUAAAGUUUCUCCUCAAGGUUGUUUCCAAAUGUUGCAAAUUAUGACAAUUUUCUUCCUUCCUUUGUUUUGUACAAGACCUACUUUUUUCAAACAACUUGGGGAGUUUUAAUUUGCUUUGAAAGAAUGUUGUGCAAACUGUUUUAGAUUCUUUCACAUGUUUUUUUCAAGGUGCUUCCUCAUAGUUUUAUGUGCAGCAAGUCUUCAAAUAUCUCUUUUUUGCAAAAUAAGUUUAAAGUUUUGUUUUCUCAUUUUGAAUAUAUAUCUCACUUUUUUGACAAUGCUUUUUUAAAUUCAUUUCGUGAAAAUUUUCUCUGUUUAAAGGAGGUGUGAUACUUUUGUUUUGUCCUUUCUAAAUAUUAACUUCUUGAGUUUAAGUUUUUUGUUAAAGAGAGUAUUACUGGAUUUAAUGUUUCUCCUAAAAGUUGUUUCCAAAUGUUGCAGAUUAUGACAAUUUUCUUCCGUUUUGUAAAGCAAGUUUUCAAAUAUUACUUUUUUGCCAAAUAAGUUGAACUUUAUUUUUCUCCUUUUGAAAUAUCCUUUUACUUGUCUGAAGUCUGACGUUUCAUCAAAAUCUCACUCUAUUUUAAAGAAUUGUGAGACUCUUGUUUUGUGUCAAAGCAGUUAACCUUCUUAAUUUUUAGUUUUCUUUUAAAUUGUAACUAGAUUCGUCUUUUUAUACCAUUUUUCUUUCAAAGAAUGUCACACAGGAAUCUCUUUAUUAAUAGCUAUAUGAACAGCGAGUUUUCAAAUAUCUCUUUUUUUGCCAAAUUAGUUCAAUUUUGUUUUCUCCUUUUGAAUAUAUCUUUGUUUCUUUUGGGAAGUUUUGACAUUCUGUAAAAAUCUCUCUCUCUCCUUGUGGGAGAGAAUGCAACGGGGUUUAAAUUUUUCUUUCAAAAUGUUCGUACAUGGUGGAAAUGAUUGUAAUUUUCUUCCUUACUCCGUUUUGUUUGAGACCUACCAUUUUCAAUCAACAUUGGAUUGGGAGUUUACAUUUGCUUUUAAAGAAAGUCACGCAAAUUAUUUUAGAUUCUACGUACAAGUUUUACCAAGUUAUUUCUUUAUAGAUUUAUGAUCAGAAGGUUUGCAAGUAUCUCUUUUUUCCCAAAACUUAUAACUUUUGUUUUCUCUUUUUGUGUACCCCUCUAUUUCGAAAGUUCUUAUCUCUCUCUUUUUUAAAUAAUUUUGAGACUUUUCUGUUGUUCUUUCUAAAUAUUAACUUCUUGAUUCGAAGUUUUCUAUCAUAGAGCAAUCGGAUUUGAAGUUUUCUUCCAUAAUUGUUUGUAAAUGGUGGAAAUGAUGGCAUUUUUAUUCCUUACUCUGUUUUGUACGACACUUACUAUUUUCAAGACAUGUGAAUUAAUUUAGAUGUUGUCACAAGUUUCUCCAAUUGAUUUCUCAAUAGCUUGAUGAGAAUUAAUUUUCUUUUAAAGAAUGUCAUGUGAAUUAUUUGCAAAUCUCUCUUUUUUGCCAAAAGAACGUACACUACUGUUUUGUCCUUUUUUGUAUUUUUAAAAGUUGUGCUAAAACAGAUUUCAUAAUAUAUCUCUCUGUUUUAAAGAAUUGUGAGUCUUUUAUUUUGUUUUUUCAAAAUAUUAACUUCUUGAUUUUAGGUAUCCUGUCUUUAAGUAACUGGAUUCAAAAUAUUUUUCUAAAGUUGUUUCAAAUAUUUUGUUAAAUAGAUUAUUCUAUUUUAAAAAUUACAAUAGCUUUGUCUUGUCCUUUCUAAAUAUUAACUUCUUGAAUUAAGUUUCUUGCCUUUGAGUGACUGGAUUCAACGAUUUCAUUAAAAGUAGUUUCCAAAUCUUGCAAAUUAUGGCAAUUUUCCUCCAAACAAGACCUAUUGUUUUCAAACAACAUUGGGAGUUUAAAUUUGCUCCUAAAGAACAUCAUGCAAAUUAUUUUAGAUUCCAUCACAAGCUUUCUUACUUAUUCUGAAUUACUUUAUGAAGCUUGCUAGUAUCUCUUUUAUGCUCCAAAAAACUUGAACUUUUUGUUUUAUCCUUUAUCCUUUAUCUCUCUGUUUUAAAUAGAUUUCUUAAUAUCUCUAUGUAAUCAAGAAUUGUGACCAUAUGAUUUCGUCCUUUCUAAAUAUUGACUUAUUGAAUUUUCUGUUUUUGAGAAACUAGAUCUAAAGUUUUCUUUGAAAUUCAUUUCCAAAUGUUGCAAAUUUGGGCAAAUUUAUGCAAAUUUGUGCAAGGCCUACUAUGUUUCCAAAUUAUAUUAGAUUCUGUCACAAGAUAUUCCAACCUCUUUCUCAAUAGCUUAAUGAGCAGAAGGUUUGCAUGUAUCUCCUUUUUUUCAAAAAAUAUCUUUGUUAAAGAGAUUUCCUAAUAUUUCUCUCAGUUUUAAGUAAUUCUGAUACUUUUGUUUUCUCCUUUCUUAAUAUUAAAGUUUUCUGUCAAAGAGCAAUCAGAUUUAAGGUUAUCUAAUAAAGUCGUUACCAUAUAUUGCGAAUCAUGGCGAUGUUCUUCCUUACUCUGAUUUGUACAAGACAUACUAUUUUUAAAGCAACAUUAAGUGUUUAAAUUUGCUUAUAAAGAACAUCUAGCAAAUUAUUUUAUUAUCUAUUACAAGUUUUUCGAAUUCAUUUCUCCAUAGCUUUAUGAGCAAAAGGUUUGCUAGUAUUUCAUUUUCUUCAAAAAACUUAAGACUUUUGUUCUCUCCUUUUGUAUUCUUAUCUCUUUAAUUUAAAAGGUUCUUUGUUAAAGAGAUACCCUAAUAUGUCUUCUGUCUUAAAGAAUGUGAGAACUUUAUUUUUUCUUUUUCUACAUAUUAAGUCCUUGAUUUUAUGCUUUCUGUUUUCAAGUAACAGGAUUCGAAGUUCUUUUUUUUCCAAAGUUGUUUUCAAAUAUUGAAAAUCUUGGCAUUUUUCUUCCUUACUUUGAUUUGUAUAAGAUCUACUAUUUUUCAUACAACAUUGCUAAUUUAAACUUUUAUUUUAAAGAGAUUUCCUAAUAUCUCUCUCAGCUUUAAAAAAUUGUGGGACUUUGUUUUUGUCUCUUUUUAAGUAUUAAGUUCUUGAUAUUAAGUAUUCUGUCAUUGAGUGACCAGAUUUAAAGCUUUCUUUCAAAGUAGUGUACAAAUGUUGCCAAUUUUGGCAAUUUUUUCCUUACUCUGUUUUUGUACAAGACCAACUAUUUCCAAACGUGAUUGAGAGUUUAAAUUUCCUUUAAAAUUUCCAAUCUAUUUUUCAAUAGGUUUUUGAGCAGAAAGUUUGGUAGAAUUUAUUUGUUAAAGAGAUUUCCUAAUAUCUCUCUCUGUUUUAAAGAGCUGAGAAUUUCUUUGUUAAAGAGGUUUUUGAGCAGAAAGUUUUCUGUCUCCAAGUAAUGGAUUUCAAUUUUUUUUCCAAAUGUUGAAAAUCUUGGCAUUUUUCUUCUUACUCCGUUUUGUACGAGACCUACUAUUUUUCCAAAAAAAAAAAAAUUGGGAUUUUAAAUUUGCCUUUAAAGAACUUCAUUCAAAUUAUUAUGGAUACUAUCACACGUGUUUUCAAUCUAUUUUGCAAUGGGUUUAUGAGAAGAAGGAUUGCUAGAAUCUAAUGUUUUGCCAAAAAUCAGACUUUUGUUUUCUCCUUUUUGUGUACUUAUAUCUCUCUGUUUUAAAAGUUCUUUGUUAAACAGAUUCCCCCAUUAUCUCUUCCUGUUUUAAAGAAUUCUGAGACUUUUGUGUUGUCAUUUCUAAAUAUUAGCUUCUUAAUUUUAAGUUUUCUAUUAAAAAGUAAUUGGGCUUAAAGUUUUCUUCCAAAUUUUUUUGUAAAUUGUGGAAAUGAAGGUUAUUUUCUUCUUUACUCUGUUUUGUCCAAGAUCUGCUAUUUUCAAUCGACAUUGGGAUUUCAAUUUGCUUAUAAAGAAGCCAUGCAAAUCAUCUUAGAUUCCACAAAUUUUUCCAGUCUAUUUUGUAAUAGCCUUGUGAGCAGAAGGUUUGCAAGUAUCUUUUUUUCCCGCAUAUCUUAAAACUUCUGUUUUCUCCUUCUAUCCACUUAUUUCUCUGUUUGAAAAGUUCUUUGUUAAACAGAAUUCUUUUUUAAAGAAUUCUGAGACUUGUUGUGCUUUCUAAAUACUAACUAUUGAUUUUAAGUUUUCUAUCACGUAGCAACCAGAUUGAAAGUUUUCUGUCAUAACCAUUUGUAAAUGGUGGAGAAAUGAUGGCAUUUUUCUUCCUUACUCUGUUUUGUAUGAGAUUUACUUUUUUAAAAAAUCAUUGGGAGUUUAAAUUUGCUUUUAAAGAAUGUCAUGGAUAUGACCCACAAAUAAAAAGAAAAUAAAAAGAAUGUCAUGUAAGUUAAUUUAGACUCUAUCACAAGAUUUUCCAACCAAUUUCUCAAUAGCUCAUGAGUAGUAGGUAUGCAAAUCUCUGUUUUUUGCCAAAAGAACGUACACUAUUUUUUUGUUGUUUUGUAUUUUUAAAAUUUCUUUGUUAAAUAGAUUUUCUAAUAGAUAUCUCUGUUGUGAGACUUUUAUUUUGUUUUUUCAAAAUAUAUAUUUCUUGAUUGUAAGCAUCCUGUCUUCUAGUAACUGUAUUCUAUUUUUUUUUCAAAAGUCGUUCCGAAGGUUUUUUCAAAAUAUAUCCCUCUUUUUUAUAAAUUGCAAGACUUUUGUUUUUACCUUUCUAAAUAUUAACUUCGACUUUAAGCUUCCUGCCUUUGAAUGACUGGAUUCAACGUUUUCAUUAGAGUAGCUUCCAUAUAUUGCAAAUUAUGGCAAGCUUCCUCCAAACUCUGUUAUGUACAAGGCCUACUAUAUUCAAACAACAUUGGGAGUUUAAACUUGCUUCUAAAGGACGUCAUCCAAAUUAUUUUAGAUUCCAUCACAAGUUUAUCCAACUAUCUCUCAAUAGCUUUGUGAGCAGUGUGUUUGCAAAUAUCUCCUUUGUGCCACUUUUGUUUUCUCAUUUUGUUUACUUAUCUCUAUUUUAAAAGUUCUCUGUUAAAGAGAUUUCCUUUUCUUUUCUCCAUUCUAAAGAAUUUUGAGAUUUAUGUUUUUUCCCUUAUAAAUAUCUACUUCUUGAUUGCGAGUUUUCUGGAAUUCAAAGUUGUUACAUAUGUUGCAUAUAAUGACAAUUUUCUUCCUUACUCUAUUUUGUACAAGACCUACUAUUUUCAGACAUUGUGAGUUUAAAUUUGCUUUCAAAGAAUGUCAUGCAUAUUAUUUUAGAUUCUAUUACAAGUGUUUCAAUUUAUUUAUCAUUAGAUUUAUGACAGGAAGUUUUCAAAUAUCUUUUUUCUGCAAAAUAAGUUGAACUUUGGUUCUCUCCAUAUCUAUAUUUGUUUGUUUUUUAACAGUUCUUUGUUAGAGAGAUUUUGGAACAUGUCUGUCUGUUUUUAAGAAUUGUGAGACUUCUUAAUUUUCAGUUUUGGUAACUGGAUUGCAAUUUUCUAUAUAUUACCAAGACCUGUUAUUUUGAAACAAAAUUUGGAGUAUAAAUUUGCCUUUAAAGAACAUAAUGCGCAUUAUGGUAGAUUUUAUCAAGUGUUAGUCAAAUCUAUUUCUCAGUUGCUUUAUUAACUGCAAGUUUUUAGAUAUCUCAAUAGCAAUGGUAGUUAACAUAAGUAAGAUGAUCUACUUGAGUGUUGAGAGAGCAUUGUCAACAGGCAUUUGACAAUUUCACAUUUCUCUCACUCAUUAUUUUAUAGAUGAUCAAGUGGUUUUUUGGGCUAACUAAAGGAGGGGAAUGUCUAGGCUGCUAAAUUUCGACUUAUCUUGGCUUUCUUGGGUUAGCAAGAUUUAUGGACAAAGUAAUAAUAGGGUCUAGUGAUGCGUGGAAGGAUUCAUAUGUCCAUUGAUGGUGUUUAGAUUGGAGAGCUACAAAUGAGGUGUCCAUAUGGUGAUCUGGAAAAUGGUUUUUGAUGGCUGACUGGUAAGAUUGAUCAUAGAGAGAUCACUGAAAUUAGAGUAUGACACAACUGGCGGGGGGUGAAGGAUGAUUGACAAGGAUGGGUUAUGAUUGAUAUCAGGUGGAAAUUUGUUGACUAACUAUUAUACCAUUAGAAAGCCCUAGUAUGCUCUGGAGGUCUCAGUGUGGUGACCUGGAAAAUGGUUUUCUAUGGCUGACUAAUAAGUUGAUUAUAGAGAGAUCACUGAAAAUAGAGUAUGAUGUGGUGGGCGAAGGAUUGUGGACAAGGAUGGGUUUUGAUCGAAAUAUGCUUCUGACCAUCUAUUAUAGCAUUAGAAAGCCCUUGUAUGGUUUCUACUUCUGCUAUUUGUACAUUGUGAAUUGGCAUAUUCUACUCAUUUGUUUAUCCCCUUAUUAUUGGUUUUCCUGCUUGACCUUGCUCUGUCUUAAGGAAGAAAACAGUGGAUCUAUAUAAUUUCAGAUCAAAUUAGGUAUUUCAAGAAAGAAAUUCUUUGAAAUUUUUCUUCGUUACUAGGUUUUCUUGUGAUCACUACUCCAGUCAUAUUCCUUUUCUUGUUUGCUAGGUCUUUGUAUGGAAUACUAGAUUCAGCAGCUAUAUUGAUCUUGUUAGUUGAUUGCAGGAUGAUUUGUAUAAUUUUCUAGUUUUGGGCGAUUAUUGGUUGGAGGUUGAUGUGGAAACAAUUUGUGUAAUUUUGAGGAAGUAUCAUUUGAGGUGAGUAGUUUUUAUAAUAUUAGAAUAUUUAGCUAUGGAAUGGUCUCUAUAAUUUUGGCAUGCCUAUUGAUAGAAACUCCACUUUAGGGUCGAGAAAAGCUGCGUGAUAAGGUAAUGAUGGUCUUCACUGGGAUUGAGUAUGAAGUUUGGAAUAAGAAAAGUGACAGGAUGUAGGACUAAAGCGGUUUUAAGAGCUUUCUGUAAUGUUAAAUUAGUGGAUAUUUGAUAAUACUUUGGUUCUGUUCAAAUUUUUAUACUUAUGGUGGCGAGAAACCUAGAAGGAUAAAUGAAAUGAUUCAGAUGGUUUUGCUUGAUUAUUGAGGAUGAUGAGCGGCAACUUUGAGAAUGAAUAUUCAUUUAAGAGGCUAAGUUAAAUAAAAACAAAUAUAGAACUAGACAGCUUCCAGAGCAAGUGAUUUUGAUCAUUUUUUUUGGAGGUAUGUUGAUUGUAGAAAUGAUUAUUAUCAUUUUGGGUGAGUGUUUCAAAUUGAUGUUUGACGUAUUUCAGCAGUGAAAUUUGCUUUUGACUCGCAAGAGAUAGUUUACUGAACCGAAGUUUGUCAAUUUAUGAAAUGAGCCACCCAAAUGCCAAAUGAAAAUUGCAUAUCUUUUAAUUGACAUCAGGAGAGCUUUUUCCUGUCACGACUAAUGUGUUCUUUGUUAAUGUUGCAGCAAGGACAAAACUUUUUCUGACUUUUUUUUUUAACAAGAAAAUGUCAGACAAAUACAUUUAAGUUAUUUUUGGACGACACCAUAUGUUAAAUUAUGUGGUUUUUGGAUUUUUAACUCAAUAGUCCUCUGUCAUUUCCACUUUGAUUGGUUAGCUACUUUUCUCUCAACAUGAUUUCACCCUUGUCCCACUGUAUACAAGAUGGAUAUCUCAUUAUUUUUCCCAAAUCUCAUAAUAUCUUGUUCUUUAACAGUAAUUGUGUUUUGUUCAGGUGAUUAUGGAUAAAGCAUCCUGUCGUAGAAAUUGGUCUUCAGCUGGGCAGGUUUUAUGUGUGUGAGAGAGAGAGAGAAAGAGGGCAUAAGUUCUCGCUCCCUUUGAGCAAACUAAUUUUAAUUAUAGUCAGCUUAUAGUUUUGACAAUAUAUUUCAUAUCAAUAUGCAACUGAUAUAGUUAACUAAUCUACCUUAAGUGGAUAUUUGUGCAUUAAGUUAGACACUAGAUUUUGACAAAUUUUUGUUUGACCAAUUUAAUUGUAGAUUAUCCAUUUAUUCAUCCGGUACUUAUUUUUAUUCAUUGCAUACAUGGUUAUAGUUAUUUAGUGAUAAUGCACGACUUACAUCUUAAAUGAAUAUAGAUCAUGUUUGGGAAAGGUAGUUAAAUACUCAUGGUUUAAAUUAAGUUGAUUAUUACUGAAGUGAGCAAAUGAUGAGGAAAUUUUACAUGGUGAUUUGCACUUGUAAUGACUUUUAUGGCAGUGAAGUACCUGGAUUUUUUGACAUGUUUGUGAAUUUUUGUUAUGAUAUGUGCUGAUAAAAGAUGAAAUGGUUGACAUGUUAGAUUAGGAUUGGGCUAUAAGUACUUGAACUACGUAGAAUAUGUCCCCCAAGGAAUUGACUUUUUCUAUUAUAUAUGCAUGCAAAUAAUUGUGAAAUAAGGUAAAAAUAUAUUAUGGCAAUACCUCAAAAUGUUAUGUAAUUACUCGUUGAAUGUUACUAUGCUAUUUUGCUCUUGGUAAGAUUAUCUCAUACCUUAAACAUAGAGAUUGCAUUUAUUGCGCUUAGGAUCCACUCAAAAUACAUUAUAGAUUAGUCAAGUUUUUGGACUUUAGAUUUGUGCUUUUGAAUCUCUUUUAAGGAUUGGAUCACAGUACGCAACAAGAGUAGAGGUUUAUAUUUUAUGCGGGGAGUAUUGAUUAUUUAUAUUUUGUACAUCAUUUGAGGCUAAAUUAUUUUUCAUUUGAGGUUCAAAUUUUAUGGGAAUUUCAAGUGGUGACAAUUUUUGGUAUUAGAGCGAGGUUAAUGGGGUGAUAAAAUAGGAUUAGAUAGAUUGUGGAUAUAGACUUUGAGUUUCAUGAUUAAUUUGGUGGAUAGGAAUUGUUGAAAUAAUAAGUUCUGAAGGAACGAUUAAUAGGUUACUUGAUAAGUUAUGAUCUUUGGAAAUUUAGUAUAUAUCUGAUGGAGCCAUGAAUCCUAGUAUUGGUUUCCGAAAAAAAUUAGGAUAUGUAGAUACAAUUGGAAUAAAAUAAAGAAAUUCAAUUGCACGUUUACAUCAUAGUUAGAGUGGAUUUUAGAAGUGUUAAGUUUUAAUUUGAACCUCAGGCAUUGAGUGAUUAUCUUUUCGGUGUUUGGAUAUUUUCGCGAAGUCGCAAGUUAUUGUUUUUGUCAUAAGUAUUCAAUAUGAAAUGGUUGAGAUUUAGUUAUUGGUGAAAUUAGGCAAAUUUAGAUCACAAAGUUUAAGGUAUUAAUUUAUAAUAAUAGUGGAUGAUCCUUUAGUGAUAAGUCACGAUCAAUUUUAUGGCAAUUUAUGAUCUUUAGAUGUAAGUCGUGAUUUUGAGGAUUACAUCGUAGUCAGAAGAGAUUAAAAGGAGAAUUUAUAUUGGAAGUCGUGAUAGGUUACAUGGUGAUAUUUGGUGUAAUAAGAAUUGAUCAUAGAAGAAGUAAGCUUAAAUUGUUGCAUAAGAAAAUAAAUUUCCUUCGGUGUAACAUGUGAUCUUGGUAACUAUAGGUCGUGAUAUUUUGAGUAGUAUAUUAUGAUCUUACAUUGAAGAGUUUUGCGGAACUUGUAGGCAAGAUCUUCAUAACUGUAGGCUGCAAUCUUCAUAGUUGUAGGUUGUGAUCUUUUGAGUAGUAUAUUAUGAUCUUACGUUAAAGAGUUUUGUGGAACUAAGUAGGUAAGAUCAAUUUGAACUGAGGUUUCAUAUGUAAGUCAAGUUGAUUGAAUUUUAUUGAAAAGUAGAUGAGUUAUAAUUUUAGUGAUUUAGGAAGUUACAGGCAUUCAAUCUUAAGUGAUGACUUUUUGAGUGGUGACAUUUUAUGAGGAUUUGUGGUUUAAUUUAAUGUUCUGGUUAUCUUUGAUCCUACAAAGGAAUAUAGUAUAUUGCCUUGGGAGAAAAUUGAGAUAAAAAUUGAGGAAGUAGAUCUUAUCUUAGUGUUAUGAUUAAGAAUACCGUAGUCGUAUUCAAAUAUAGUGAUGUUAGGAAUGUUUAGGGUGUGGUGUAUUAAAAGUUAAUAAUCCCGUUUUGCUUGGAAGGAGUAAUUUUGAAAUAUUGCUAUCAAUGAGCUCUACUUGAAGAGUUAUUAAGAACAUUAAAAGUAUUUGGAGGUUUUUAUACAAUACACGAGUUGAUUUAGACAAAAUCUUAACGUGGAUGUUGUGAUAUACUAAGGCUGUCUUAAUUUCAAAGAGUCGUUAACUGUCGAUGGUAGUAUAAAUGCUUGGUUCGUAUUUUGUAGUACGGACCGCCAAUCAAUCAAUGAACACUAAUUGUUCAAUUUUCGUAGUAUCUUUACACUCUAGCGUCUUUUUACAUGGCUGGUCAUGAUUGCCUCUGGUAUUCGUACUUUUAAUUUUCUCAUUCGUGUUCUUAUCUAAUAGUUAGCAAAGGACUAUAAUAUCUUUUGUCGAUUGGUUUAGCGAUCUAUCUUUUGAAAGAUGCAUUGUCGGCCCUUUCCGACAAUACAUUUACAAAUCCAAUGAAUGAUACAAAAUGGUUCCAUUUCCAUAUAUUGAACCUCAAACCAAAGUGCACCCAAAAAAAUUAACUUUCAAUAAAGACUUGAUUUAUCUAUCAGGAUGUUUAUCGAGAUGUCAAUAUUGCAUUGAGAAAUUGACCUUGUUCAAGCUUUGAUUUGAUUUCAUUGGGUGUCAAAUAGAUUUGUUUAACCGUCCUAGUGGUGAUCUACAGAUCUAGGCCUGGCCCACCUAAAGUUUUGCUCGAGUGCCCCUUAAGUCUCAUGUUCUAUGUCUAUGCACUGUCUACAUGUAAUUUACGUUGGCAUUUCAAUUUGUUCAAAUGUUGACUCGUCAUUAUUUGAUUAACUUUUGUUCUUUAUUCUUCUUUUUAAAUUUUCAUUGAUGAACAAUCCUACUAACUGCAUUGGGAAAAUAACUUUUAUCCACUUUCAGUUUUGUGCAUGAUUAUGCCGUUCAGUGUAGUGUCUCCUGUAAUAAUUUUAUCGCUUGACCAAUUAGAUCAGUGUCAUGUAUUCCAUCAAAUGUUUUUAUUCGUCAUGACUUUCCGAAGAUUGGCGAUAUAAACUUUAUCCAUCACUUGACGGCAUAAACAUUAAAUGAAGAGAAGGUAUUGUCUUCUAAGGUGGGUUCAACUUACAUACACCGUUAGAUCAUGAUCCCCUCACGGGUGAACUAGGCAAAAGAACCGGGUUCGGUACAUCUCUCUGAUGACUUGGCUUAAUGAUAUAUAGGAGUGUCAUGGCUUAAAAUCAUCCGCUAAUAAUGUAUGGGAAAGCGCAAAUCAGGUUAUUUAACAUGUUUUGCUGUUAAAGGACCUCGUGAGAUACUUUACUUACUAUAGACUCAACGUAAUGGAACAAGUUGAACUAAUAUCUUGUGCAUGGAGUUCUCUUACUGGCAGCUUAAUUAAUAAAUGCAGAACACUUAAAGAUAUUGGAAACAAGUUACACAUAGUUUGGCACAAGAGACUACCUUUCCUGAAUUUACUUGCUCGAAUGCAUUGUCUCCAUGGGUAUCCACCAGUGACUGAUGGCUUAAUCGUGGCCUUAAAAGAGAUUUUGGAAUGUGAACUUGAACUCACUAUGCCAUUGCCAGCAGAACCCUAAUGUCGGUUUAGAUAGCGCAGCCAAAACAAGAACGUGGGAAUGUUGUCCAAUAAAUGCUAGCUGUUACAAAGGGAAUUUGAUUUGGUGUAGGCGUUUUGUCAAACACGUCAAAGGUGGUAGCCCCAGACAUUAAUGUUUCUCCUUAAUGUAUUCGAACUAAAUCUCAAUAAGUGGUUGCAUGGAUGCAAAACUAAUAUGAUAAAUUAUAAAUCUUUUACCCCAUCUUUAGUCUCUUUGUAGAUUCUGAAGCCCACCACCAAUUCUCUAGCAACGUAAGGCCUAGGUUUGCUCUUAGGACGCACAAUUCUAGCUCAAGCAUUCAAGGCCAGAUUCUUAUGCACGACUUCGAUUCAGGAGUGAAGGAAAAUGAUUGUCGGCCCACUUUUCCAGCCCAUUCAUGGGUGGAGGCUAUAGACAAAACUCAAAAACUCAAAAUCAGAAGGAAAAAGUUUGUACCAUAAUAGAGCACAGGCAUGGCACGCUAAUAUAAAACUAAGCCAACCUAAUAGAGCACAAGAAUGUUUGAAUGAAUGAUUCGACCUGUAUCGUCGUCAAAUAUAGGAUUUUGGAACUACUAUUGCUUUGGUUUAAGGUUUUUAAUUUUAGGACGUGGCCUAACAGACUGGCCGCCCGUGUGGGCACAUCUGAUUUGUUCCAACUAGCCAUGUAGUAUCGUGCCAUGCCGGCCAAGCCAUUAUGAUCCUAAUCCAGAGUAUGGGCCCAUAUUGUUGUAGUGCUGAAUGAAAUCUUAUUAAAUUAUGAUAAGCAUGUGUGUUGGAAAAAAAAUGUAAAAAAUUCCAUAGCAAGGCCUAUCUUUUAAUACACUAUUUGCCCAAAUCAAAUGAGUAAGAAGAUUAAAAUGAAUGAGUCCUCAACUUUAGGUGUAGUCCCAAUUUCAUCUCAAUUUUUUUUUCUCAUAAAAACUUUUAGAUUAGUCCCAUGGAUUAUUAAAUUAUGAUAAGCUUUGGUUUGAUCUCCUUUGAUGUCAAAUGGAUUUGUCCGAUCGCCUAGUGGUGAGCUCGGUCUGCCCCGUCCAUAGUCUUGCCCGAGUGCCCCUCAAGUCUCACGUUAAAUGGCUAUACACUGUCCCUAAUGAAAUCAAUAUAGGCAUCUCCAUUUGUUGAAUGUAGACUAUUUGUUGUUUGGCCAACUUUUAUUCUUUAUUCGUCUUUUUAAAGUUCUCACUUAUGAUCAAUCUACUUACUGUCGUCGACAAUAGAAUCUUUUAUUUGCUAUUUUACUUUGGUGCGUGAUUUUGCCGCUCGGUAAACUGUUUUGUAUGAUAAUUGUAUUGCUUGAACAAUUAGCAUCAUGUCAUGUAUUGAACCAAAUUUUUAUUUAUUUAUUGUGAUUUUACAAACAUUCGUUAUACAAAUUGUAUCUAUCACAUGAUGAUAUAAAGAUUACAUGAAGAGUAGGUACCGCCUAUGCUCUUUAUUGGUGAACCCAACUCACAUGCAAUGUUAGAUCAUAUGGAUUGUAUGUUAAGGUCCACCUCACAUGGGAGCUAGGCAUACACCGGUUUAGUACUUCUCUCUAGUGAGUCAGACCAAUCAUAUAUAGGAGUGUUAUGGCCUGAAAUCCUUAGCUAUCCUUGCAUACGCUACAAAGCACAUAGACUUCAUCUCUCGCGCUUGCUUGAAUUCACAAUGGUAUUCAUUGUGCUAUUUUACUUGUUUGCAUUAUUAUGCCGCUCAGUAAAGUGUUUUAUGUAAUAAUCAUACCGCACGAUUAACUAGUAUCAAUGCCAUGUAUUCCAUCAAAUAUUUUUAUCUAAUAUGACUUUCCAAAUAUUCGUGAUAUAAAUUGUAGCUAUCACGUGACGACAUAAACUGAAUUGCAUGAAGAGUAAGUAUUGCCUAGUCUCUCUAUAGGUGGAUCCAUUUAACAUGUACCAUUAUAUCAUAUGGAUCAUACGUAAGGUCCACCUCACAUGUGAGCUAGGCAUGCACUUCUUCUCUAGUGACUUGGACCAAUCGUACAUAGAAGUGUUAUGGCUUGAAAUCCUCGGCUAACAAAGUAUUGGAAAGCACGCGUCAGCCAUCUUUGCAUAUGCUGCAAAGCACACAAACGUCCUUGCUUGGGUUGACAAUGGUACUCAUUUAGCGUUUUCGUCGCUAAGCAAGCCACUUUGCAUCUGUUACAUGUUUGUCCGUUAAAGGACCUCAUGAGAUAAUUUAUGUACUAUACACUCAACAGCAUUACGUGACGGAAGAACAACAGGCCAUCGAACUAAUUUAUUGUGCAUAGAGUUCUCUUACAGUCAGCAAACUAUUGAUUCGUAAGUGCAGAACAGUGUUUGCGUACCUGAACACCCCUUAACACCCCUUCUCGAUGGGUGUCCAUCCACUAUUGACUGAUGGUUUAAUUCUGGCUAUCAAAGAGGUUUUGGAAUGGGAACGUGAAUUCACCAUGCCAUUGCCAGCAAUCCCCAAAUUAGUCUAGAUAGCGUAACCAAAACUAGGACUCGUGACAAGAACUUGAAAAGGUUGUCCAAUGAAUGCUAGCAAUUAGGAAGAGUAUUUGAUUUGGUGCAGGCGUUUUGUCAAACGAAAAACGGUUUGACAGCCCCAACCAUUCAUGGAGUCUCCUUCAUGUAUCUGAACAAAAUCUCAAUAUAUGGUUGCAUGCAUGCAAACUAACAUUAUAAAUGAAUAAAUCUUUUUCCCCAUCUCUAGGCUCCAUGUAUAUUCUGAAGCCCACGACACAUUUUCUAGCAAUGUAAGACCAAGGGUUUCGGGCAAGAUUAGUCCUAGGACGCGCAGUUUAGCUCAAGCAUUCAAGGCCAGAUUCUUACACAGUAGAUGGAGUCAGGGAAUAUGAUUGUCGGCCCUCUUGGCCCGCUCAUUCGUGGGUUGAUAACUACUUAUUCAUUAGCUGCAUUCCUUUUCCUUCCGUGGAUCAUAGACGUAAUUAACAGUAUUAAACUCAUAAUCAGAAGGAAAAAUAUUAUUUUUAGGGUAUAUUUAUUUCCGGAAAGUUAUAUAGAACUAGAAAACGAGUGUUACUUAUAUUACUUAUAUUAAUAAAUGGGACUUGGAAGAAACUUUGUUUAUCGAAAUAAUGGUCCUUUUUAGGAAUGGUAUGAGUUGUGAUGUAAUAUUUUUAGAGAAAUUUAAAGUUGAAUAUGAGAUAGCUAGUACGAGUACCUAGAGGGGGGUGAAUAGGUAUACACAAAAAAUUUCUCGAUGUUUGCACGAUACUUAAACAAUUAGAGACUUUGCAACAGUUGAAAAUUCAAUCGCAAGACUGAGUAAGGGAAAGAGAGAAUUGAACACUCAGUUUAUAGUGGUUCGGCUUGAUUCAAGCCUACGUCCACUCUUCUGCACUGACAGCCGAUUGGCUGGAUUCCACUAUGAUCAAAGAGUUGUUACAGUGUUGAUCUUCCUUGAUUUCUAGGUGUAGAUGAUCUACCACACUUGCUCAAGGCGUCACCAAGUAUAAACACUCUCAGUAUACAAUUUCGCUCAGUCUCAACUAACAAUCAAAGGAUCUUCAGACUCUGGAAUUUUUCUAUCGAUCACACACUUAAAACAACUAGAACGUCUUCCUUUUAUACUCCUUCAUGCCAUCAUAGCCGUUGGCACUUACCAAAGGAAUUCCUCCAAUCUACCCGUUGGACGGAAUCAAUCAAGAAGAUCAUCCGAGCUAUAUAAGGAAUCUGAUGAUAGCCCAUCAAUCCUGUUCGCCCAUACAAUCAGGAUCUCGGUUUCCAAGAAUAGAAUAAUCCAAGAUUAUUUCGUCGACCAUCGGAUCUUCAAUCGUUCUUAGAUAAGAUAUAAAGAAUCCGAAAUGAUUAUCCAACCAAAGAAUCUAUCCCAGAGGAUAGGAUCAAAUCCUCAAUCCUCAAUCAUAAACCUCGACUUUGGAUUUCCUUCAACACUGGAUUAGAAAGACUGUCAGUGAGAAUAACUUUGAGUCUUGAGUCUUGAGUCUUGAGUAACAGAGUCUUGAGACUAUAAAGUCUUGAGACUUUAACUAUCGAUAUCCAGACUUAGACUGAUAGAAAUGUUUUGUCAGCUUCAAAAUAUUCUGGAAAGAUUUCUCCAACAAUCUCCCCCUUUUUGAUGGUGACAAAACUUUCUUGAAGAUUUGAACAACUUUGACCUGCAAAAACAUUUCUCAAGCAAUAUGGCUAACUCAUGGCUAACUCAUAAAGAUUAAUAAACAACCAGACUCUGCAUCCACAGCAAAUUGGUUAGUCUUUCAUGAGUAAUACUUGAUAUAAAUGCAACCAGUCAAGCAUCAAAAUCCACAACCAAUUCAGUCUAACACUCAAGUUCAAGUUCUCAAGUCAUACUCAAAAAUAAACAUAACCACAAAAAGUCAAAUAAAUAAUGUUUGUUCAAAUUGGUUCUCCCCCUUUUUGUCAUCAUUAAAAAGAGGGUGAGAAAGGAGUCAUGUCUGCUUGGGAAUGCGCACGAUCUGGAAAUCCCCAAUGGACUGGACUACUCCUUCGAGCUUCUUCAGAUCUUCUCGCAGAUGAGCUACCUCUUCUCUCUUGGCAUUGGCUUGAAGUUGUAGAGAGAGGUCUUUGUAUUUUUCUUCCAGAGAGACUGAAGAUGCUUGUCCAGCAUGCUUCAAGACUUGGAUUUCACAAUCCAGAAUAUAUAUCUGGUUACGCAUUUCCAGAAGAAUAUUCAUGAUACUACGAAGAUCUACAGAAUCAUCCGUCUGUGUACUGGCAUUGGCUUUCUCAGAUGGUGUGUGUGCAGACGAUGGCGCUUCUGAACGGUCUUGCAGAUUUGGAAUCGUCGUAUCAUCUUCUUCAGGCAAUUGAGAGACCUGAGCUUCUUCUGGGUCUUCUGGAGAUUUUCUUUGAUCUUCAGCAGCAUGAGGUGGAGACCUCUCUUGCUCGCUAACUCCCCCUGUCUCUAGGACAUCGAAAGGGGAAGAGUGAUGAUCAAUCUCUUGAUUUCCCUUCUCUCCAGAUUUAUCAGCAGACUGAUCUUUUACUUCUUCUUUUUCUUCCUCAACUUCUUUCUCCUUCUCUCUCUGUUCUUCUUCUUCUCUGCUCUGCUGAAGUUCUGUCGAAUAAGACACAGAACGUCUUGUUCUUGUCAGUGCUGGAAUAGUGGGAUCUUCAUCAUCUUCAUCUUCAUCCUCAUCCUCCAGGAUAAGAAUUCUUUUCCUCUUUUUCGAAGAAGCACUAAAUGCCUUCUUUCCUUUCCUUUGAAGCAGACNNNNNNNNNNNNNNNNNNNNNNNNNNNNNNNNNNNNNNNNNNNNNNNNNNNNNNNNNNNNNNNNNNNNNNNNNNNNNNNNNNNNNNNNNNNNNNNNNNNNNNNNNNNNNNNNNNNNNNNNNNNNNNNNNNNNNNNNNNNNNNNNNNNNNNNNNNNNNNNNNNNNNNNNNNNNNNNNNNNNNNNNNNNNNNNNNNNNNNNNNNNNNNNNNNNNNNNNNNNNNNNNNNNNNNNNNNNNNNNNNNNNNNNNNNNNNNNNNNNNNNNNNNNNNNNNNNNNNNNNNNNNNNNNNNNNNNNNNNNNNNNNNNNNNNNNNNNNNNNNNNNNNNNNNNNNNNNNNNNNNNNNNNNNNNNNNNNNNNNNNNNNNNNNNNNNNNNNNNNNNNNNNNNNNNNNNNNNNNNNNNNNNNNNNNNNNNNNNNNNNNNNNNNNNNNNNNNNNNNNNNNNNNNNNNNNNNNNNNNNNNNNNNNNNNNNNNNNNNNNNNNNNNNNNNNNNNNNNNNNNNNNNNNNNNNNNNNNNNNNNNNNNNNNNNNNNNNNNNNNNNNNNNNNNNNNNNNNNNNNNNNNNNNNNNNNNNNNNNNNNNNNNNNNNNNNNNNNNNNNNNNNNNNNNNNNNNNNNNNNNNNNNNNNNNNNNNNNNNNNNNNNNNNNNNNNNNNNNNNNNNNNNNNNNNNNNNNNNNNNNNNNNNNNNNNNNNNNNNNNNNNNNNNNNNNNNNNNNNNNNNNNNNNNNNNNNNNNNNNNNNNNNNNNNNNNNNNNNNNNNNNNNNNNNNNNNNNNNNNNNNNNNNNNNNNNNNNNNNNNNNNNNNNNNNNNNNNNNNNNNNNNNNNNNNNNNNNNNNNNNNNNNNNNNNNNNNNNNNNNNNNNNNNNNNNNNNNNNNNNNNNNNNNNNNNNNNNNNNNNNNNNNNNNNNNNNNNNNNNNNNNNNNNNNNNNNNNNNNNNNNNNNNNNNNNNNNNNNNNNNNNNNNNNNNNNNNNNNNNNNNNNNNNNNNNNNNNNNNNNNNNNNNNNNNNNNNNNNNNNNNNNNNNNNNNNNNNNNNNNNNNNNNNNNNNNNNNNNNNNNNNNNNNNNNNNNNNNNNNNNNNNNNNNNNNNNNNNNNNNNNNNNNNNNNNNNNNNNNNNNNNNNNNNNNNNNNNNNNNNNNNNNNNNNNNNNNNNNNNNNNNNNNNNNNNNNNNNNNNNNNNNNNNNNNNNNNNNNNNNNNNNNNNNNNNNNNNNNNNNNNNNNNNNNNNNNNNNNNNNNNNNNNNNNNNNNNNNNNNNNNNNNNNNNNNNNNNNNNNNNNNNNNNNNNNNNNNNNNNNNNNNNNNNNNNNNNNNNNNNNNNNNNNNNNNNNNNNNNNNNNNNNNNNNNNNNNNNNNNNNNNNNNNNNNNNNNNNNNNNNNNNNNNNNNNNNNNNNNNNNNNNNNNNNNNNNNNNNNNNNNNNNNNNNNNNNNNNNNNNNNNNNNNNNNNNNNNNNNNNNNNNNNNNNNNNNNNNNNNNNNNNNNNNNNNNNNNNNNNNNNNNNNNNNNNNNNNNNNNNNNNNNNNNNNNNNNNNNNNNNNNNNNNNNNNNNNNNNNNNNNNNNNNNNNNNNNNNNNNNNNNNNNNNNNNNNNNNNNNNNNNNNNNNNNNNNNNNNNNNNNNNNNNNNNNNNNNNNNNNNNNNNNNNNNNNNNNNNNNNNNNNNNNNNNNNNNNNNNNNNNNNNNNNNNNNNNNNNNNNNNNNNNNNNNNNNNNNNNNNNNNNNNNNNNNNNNNNNNNNNNNNNNNNNNNNNNNNNNNNNNNNNNNNNNNNNNNNNNNNNNNNNNNNNNNNNNNNNNNNNNNNNNNNNNNNNNNNNNNNNNNNNNNNNNNNNNNNNNNNNNNNNNNNNNNNNNNNNNNNNNNNNNNNNNNNNNNNNNNNNNNNNNNNNNNNNNNNNNNNNNNNNNNNNNNNNNNNNNNNNNNNNNNNNNNNNNNNNNNNNNNNNNNNNNNNNNNNNNNNNNNNNNNNNNNNNNNNNNNNNNNNNNNNNNNNNNNNNNNNNNNNNNNNNNNNNNNNNNNNNNNNNNNNNNNNNNNNNNNNNNNNNNNNNNNNNNNNNNNNNNNNNNNNNNNNNNNNNNNNNNNNNNNNNNNNNNNNNNNNNNNNNNNNNNNNNNNNNNNNNNNNNNNNNNNNNNNNNNNNNNNNNNNNNNNNNNNNNNNNNNNNNNNNNNNNNNNNNNNNNNNNNNNNNNNNNNNNNNNNNNNNNNNNNNNNNNNNNNNNNNNNNNNNNNNNNNNNNNNNNNNNNNNNNNNNNNNNNNNNNNNNNNNNNNNNNNNNNNNNNNNNNNNNNNNNNNNNNNNNNNNNNNNNNNNNNNNNNNNNNNNNNNNNNNNNNNNNNNNNNNNNNNNNNNNNNNNNNNNNNNNNNNNNNNNNNNNNNNNNNNNNNNNNNNNNNNNNNNNNNNNNNNNNNNNNNNNNNNNNNNNNNNNNNNNNNNNNNNNNNNNNNNNNNNNNNNNNNNNNNNNNNNNNNNNNNNNNNNNNNNNNNNNNNNNNNNNNNNNNNNNNNNNNNNNNNNNNNNNNNNNNNNNNNNNNNNNNNNNNNNNNNNNNNNNNNNNNNNNNNNNNNNNNNNNNNNNNNNNNNNNNNNNNNNNNNNNNNNNNNNNNNNNNNNNNNNNNNNNNNNNNNNNNNNNNNNNNNNNNNNNNNNNNNNNNNNNNNNNNNNNNNNNNNNNNNNNNNNNNNNNNNNNNNNNNNNNNNNNNNNNNNNNNNNNNNNNNNNNNNNNNNNNNNNNNNNNNNNNNNNNNNNNNNNNNNNNNNNNNNNNNNNNNNNNNNNNNNNNNNNNNNNNNNNNNNNNNNNNNNNNNNNNNNNNNNNNNNNNNNNNNNNNNNNNNNNNNNNNNNNNNNNNNNNNNNNNNNNNNNNNNNNNNNNNNNNNNNNNNNNNNNNNNNNNNNNNNNNNNNNNNNNNNNNNNNNNNNNNNNNNNNNNNNNNNNNNNNNNNNNNCUCGUUCAUUUUGUUCCUGAAUACCCAUUUGGUUCCAAUAACAGUUUUACCUUUUGGUUUAGAUGUCAAUUCCCAGACAUCAUUGAUGUUGAACUGUCUAAGCUCUUCUUGCAUAGCUUCGAUCCAGCUUUCAUCAGAUAAAGCUUCUUCUAUGCUUUUUGGUUCAAUUUCAGAGAUGAGAGCCACAGCACUAGAUUCUUCAUGCCUUUUUGAUCUGGUGCGGAUUCCUUCAUUAAGUUCGCCAAUAAUAAGAUCUUUGGGAUGACUGGAUUUGUGUUUCCAGUUACCAGGUUGAUGAUCUCUUUCUUUAUUUGAUUCUCCAUGAUCGUCUUGAUGAUGGACUUCCAGAAUCUGAGAUGCUUCUUGAGAUGUAGACAUUUGAAGAUCUAGAGCGGAUUCAGUCUCAUCGUACUGAGUCUGGCUGGAUUCAUCUUGCACUGAGUCUUGGAAUUUGACAUUCAUUGAUUCUUCCACAGACUGGCUUUUUUUGUUGUAGACUCUGUAGGCUUUGCUUGAUGUAGAAUAUCCAAGGAAGAUGCCUUCAUCUGAUCUUUCUUCAAACUUACCAACUCGAUCAUUUGCAUUUUUCAAAAUAAAGCAUUUGCAACCGAACACAUGAAAGUAUGAAACAAUAGGCUUCUUACCUUUGAACAAUUCAUAGGGGGUUUUAUCAAGAAUAGGUCUUAAAAAGACUCUAUUUAUAAUAUAGCAAGCAGUUGAAACAGCUUCAGCCCAAAAUCGUGAAGAAAUUUUACUUUCAAUUAAAAGUGUUCUAGCCAUUUCUUGAAGAGAUCUAUUCUUUCUUUCCACAACUCCAUUUUGCUCUGGAGUAUACGGAGAGGAGAACAUGUGAUUAACACCAGAUUUAUCACAGAAUCUCGUAAAAUCUUGAUUUUCAAAUUCACUUCCAUGAUCUGUUCUUAUACUAGAAAUAGCACAUCCUUUUUCAUUUUGAACCUUUUUAGCAAACUUUUCAAAGUACGAAAAGGUUUCUGAUUUGUUUGCUAGAAAAUAUACCCAGGUAAAACGAGAGUAAUCAUCUACAAUUACUAGACAAUAUUUCUUACCUCCAAUGCUCUGGGUUCUUGUUGGUCCGAAGAGAUCCAUAUGAAGCAACUGUAUUACAUGAUUAGUAGAUACAUGAUUUAUUUGUUUAAAUGAAUUUUUUACCUGCUUUCCCAGAAUGCAUGGAGUACAUAAGUCAGACUUUUGGUAUGGCAGUUUAGGUAGACCUCUAACAAGCUGCUUUGAAGAGAUUUUGGCUAAUUGCUUCUUGUUGAUAUGGCCAAGCUUUCUAUGCCAUAGAAUUGCUUCAUCUUGAAUUGAAAUUAAGCAUUGUUCUUCAUUUGGCUUUACAUCAAGGAGGUAGAUGUUUCCAUGCCUUCGACCCAUGAAAGACUGAGUCGAAUCUUUGCUAAUUCCAGAACAAAUGCCUUCUUGAAAGAAGAUCUUGUAACCAGUAUCACACAAUUGGCUAAUGCUGAGUAGAUUGUAGUUGAGUCCUUCCACUAGAGAGACAUUGCUUAUUGUGAGAUUUCCAAUUUUCGCAAUUCCGAAUCCCACAAUACUUCCUUUGCUAUUUCCUCCGAAUGAAACUUUUCCACCAUUCACUUUAAUAAGCUUUAUGAAACACUCUGAGUCUCCUGUCAUGUGUCUUGAGCAUCCGCUGUCAAGAUACCACUUUACCUUCUUUUUGACAGAGACCUGCAUUCAAAAAAGAGUCUCAAGCUUUCUUUGGUACCCAAAUUUUCUUGGGUCCUUUCAUGUUAGUAGGAUAAGCAUUAUUAGGCCAUACUCUCUUCACAGGCUUCCAAACCAUAGGACACUCUUUUUCAAAAUGAUCCUGACUGUUACACUUAGAACACCUUAAAGCAUUUCGACCUACAGGCUUUACAAAAACUCUUUUGAAAUGAUUUUUAUAAGCCUCUUUCGAUGGUCUUUUCUUAAUUCUUUCUUUUACUUUCGGAAAAUCAAUCAAAGGGAUUGUUUCUUCUGUCAUACCUAGACCCGACUUAUUAAAGUAAGGUCUUUGGAUUGAAAGAACUUUUUCAAGUUUUUCGGACCCUAUUGAAAAUUUCUUUGAAAUAUUUGAUAAAUCAGUUUUUAAGAAAGCAUUUUCUUUUGAAAGAUUGUCUUCACUCUCUUUAAGAGUAGAAACAUUCAAGUCUAAAUUUUUUACCUUUUCUUCUAAAAUGAUUUCCUUUUGUUUUAAAACUGAGUUUUCCUUUUUAAGUUCGGAAAUCCUUUUAAGAGAAGUCUUAAGACUAAAACAUAACUCAUUAAUAUAUUUAGAGACUUUGACAGGGAUUUUAUAAUUGCUUACCUCAAAUUCACUGUCUGAGUCUGAUCCAGAGUCUGAGUCUGAUUGCGCCAUUAGACACAGGUUGGCAUAUUCCUCAUCACUCUCUUCACACUCUGUAUCGCUCCAGGUUUCGGCUUUAAGAGCUUUUCGAAAUUUCUCAGCUUUUCCUCUUUUCUUUUUCAGAAGAGGACAGUUGGGUCUGAUGUGUCCCUUCUUUUUACAUUCGAAGCAAACUACUUCUUUGUUUGGUUCCUCAUCAUCAACAGACUUGGUCUGCUGUCUCUGAGAACUUUGUUUCUUUGGGAUAAACCUUCUGCCUUUUCUAUUCAGUUUUCUGAAUCUUCUUAUCAUGAGGGCGAGCUCCUCAUCAUUCAUAUCAUCUUCAGAAUCUGCAUCAUCAGAAUCAUCAUUUGAUUUCAGUGCAAUAGAUUUCUUACCUCUUGGAUCUUCGUCUUCAUUAAUUCGUUCCACUUCGUAAGACUGAAGAGUUCCAAUCAGUUCGUCUACAGAUAAUGGCAUGAUUCUUUGCGUCUCUCUUAUUGAAGUCUUUAUAUGAUUCCAAUCCUUGGAGAGUCCACGUAGAAGCUUGUUCACCUUCAUGGGAUCAGAAAUUUUUUGUCCUUGGUUCUCAAGACCAUUGACAAUAUCUGUAAAACGACUAAACAUGUCAGUUAUAGAUUCUCCUGGUUUCAUUUUGAAGGAUUCAUAUUGACCAAGAAGAAUGUUAAUUCUGGUCUCCUUCACUCGAUCUGUUCCUUCAUAAGUGAUAUGUAACCUGUCCCAGACUUCUUUUGCUGUGACACAAGAAGAUAUUCUGUUAUAUUCAGUUGGUGACAAAGCACAAUAUAAAGAAUAAAUUGCUUUAGCAUCAAGUGCUUGUCUCUUGUUUAUUUCUUCUUGAGACAUUCCGCUGGUUUCAACGGUUUCUUUUCCUCUUUCAGUGUUUGAUGCAGCAGCAAUAGUGAUUCCUUUUUCCACUACGUCCCAUUCCAGAGGAUCCUUUGAUCGUAGGAAAGCUUUCAUCUUGUUCUUCCAGAUGUUGUAAUCCUUUCCAUCGAAGUAGGGAGGUCUGGUAUUGCUUUGCCCCUCCAUCAGCCCAGGUGCUAGCAUACUAGCCAUGGAUCUUUUACUCUGAAGUAAAACACUUCAAACAAAGUAAGAACACAGGCUCUGAUACCAAUUGAGAUAGCUAGUACGAGUACCUAGAGGGGGGUGAAUAGGUAUACACAAAAAAUUUCUCGAUGUUUGCACGAUACUUAAACAAUUAGAGACUUUGCAACAGUUGAAAAUUCAAUCGCAAGACUGAGUAAGGGAAAGAGAGAAUUGAACACUCAGUUUAUAGUGGUUCGGCUUGAUUCAAGCCUACGUCCACUCUUCUGCACUGACAGCCGAUUGGCUGGAUUCCACUAUGAUCAAAGAGUUGUUACAGUGUUGAUCUUCCUUGAUUUCUAGGUGUAGAUGAUCUACCACACUUGCUCAAGGCGUCACCAAGUAUAAACACUCUCAGUAUACAAUUUCGCUCAGUCUCAACUAACAAUCAAAGGAUCUUCAGACUCUGGAAUUUUUCUAUCGAUCACACACUUAAAACAACUAGAACGUCUUCCUUUUAUACUCCUUCAUGCCAUCAUAGCCGUUGGCACUUACCAAAGGAAUUCCUCCAAUCUACCCGUUGGACGGAAUCAAUCAAGAAGAUCAUCCGAGCUAUAUAAGGAAUCUGAUGAUAGCCCAUCAAUCCUGUUCGCCCAUACAAUCAGGAUCUCGGUUUCCAAGAAUAGAAUAAUCCAAGAUUAUUUCGUCGACCAUCGGAUCUUCAAUCGUUCUUAGAUAAGAUAUAAAGAAUCCGAAAUGAUUAUCCAACCAAAGAAUCUAUCCCAGAGGAUAGGAUCAAAUCCUCAAUCAUAAACCUCGACUUUGGAUUUCCUUCAACACUGGAUUAGAAAGACUGUCAGUGAGAAUAACUUUGAGUCUUGAGUCUUGAGUCUUGAGUCUUGAGUCUUGAGAUAACAGAGUCUUGAGACUAUAAAAUCUUGAGACUUUAACUAUCGAUAUCCAGACUUAGACUGAUAGAAAUGUUUUGUCAGCUUCAAAAUAUUCUGGAAAGAUUUCUCCAACAGAAUAUUAACUUAGAAUUUGCUUCAUGCCUUAUAGAUCAAAGAAUAAUACAAUCUCUCAUCCGUGGGGGCAAACGUACAAUACAAGCUUCUUAGCGACGGAAGCCGGACAGGAUCCCAUCACUAAUCACGGAUCGAUCAUGGUUUGAAUUAUAUCCAAGCGGUGCUUCUAUUCAACAGACUUUUGCAGGCCUCUUAACUUCCUUAGUCUACUAGGAGCGUCUAGCUAGCCAUUCUGCUUUAUUUGAAGAACGAGCACAAAUCCAAUUCAAGAUCUAUCAAUUUUGCAAGGGGCCACAUUACACAACUGAAUCAGGGUGUGCGCUCGAUGAAUUUUUUUAAAAUAAUUUAUGAUCUUUGUAAGUCGUGCUUUUGAGGAUUACAUGAUAGUCAGAAGAGAUAGGUUAUCAUUCCCUGAAAGGAGAAUUUAUAUUGGAAGUAUUAGUUACGUUAUGAUAUUUGGUAUGAUAAGAAUUGAUCUUAAAACUUGUAAGCUUGAAUUGUCACGUGAGAAAUAAAAUUUUCUUACGGUCUAUAGGUUGGGGUAACAAGCGUGAUCUACAUAGCUAUAGGUUGUGAUCUUUUGAGUGAUAUAUUAUGAUAUUACCUUUAAAGAGUUUUGUGGAACUAGCAGCCAAAAUGAAUUUCAACUGAGGUUUCAUAUGUAAGUCAAGUGCUUGAGUCAUUGAUCUGAGAAACGAUAAGUUUAAGUGAUGAUUAAUAAAGUUAUGAACUUGAGAGGGAUUGAAUUUUAUUGAAAAGUAGAUAAGUUCUAAUUUUGGUGAUCUAGGAAGUUAUAGGCAUCCAAUGUUAAGUGAUGACUUUUUGAGUGGUGACAUUUUUAUGAGGAUUUGUGGUUUAAGUUCAUGUUAUGGUGAUCCUUGAUCCUACAAAGGAAUAUAGUAUAUUGCCUUGGGAGAAAAUUGAGAUAAAAAUUGAGGAAGUAGACCUUAUCUUAGUGUUAUAAUUAAGAGCACCACAGUCGUAUUCAAAUAUAGUGAUGUUGGGAAUGUUUAGGGUGUAUUAUAAGUUAUUAAUUCCGUGGUGCUUAAAAGGACUAAUUUUGAAAUAAUGCUAUCAAUGAGCCCUGUCUGAGGAGUUAUUAAGAGCAGUAACGGUAUCGGUAUUUGGAGGUUUUUAUACAAUGCAUUAGAAUUGAUUUAGACAAAAUCUUCACAUGGAUGAUGCGAUAUUCUAAGGCUGUCUUAAUUUUAAAGAGUCACAUAGGACGAUAUUUGCCUUCUUUGUAUUGUUAACUGUCGAUGGUAGUAUAAAUGCUUGAUUUGUAGUUUGUAAAAUGAACUGCCAAUCAAUUAGUGAACACUAUAAUUGUUCAAUUUUAUCUUCCUAUUAUCUUUACAUUCCAGCAUCUUUUUACACGGCUGGCCACAAUUGCCUUUAGUAUUUGUACUUUGAAUUUUUUCAUCAAUUCACGUUUUCUAUCUAAGAAUCGGCAAAGGAUCUCUCAUAAUUGUUGUCAAUUGGUUUAGCGGUCUAUCUUUUGAAAGAUGCAUUGUCUGAUACUUUUCGACAAAACAUAUACAUAUCAAAUGAAUGUUACAAAAUGGUUCCAUUUCUAUAUAUCGAACCUCCAUCAUUUUCUCGCAUUUUAGACACUCGUGUUUUAUAACUUAAGAAACCAAAUUGCACCAAAAAAUAAACUUUCAAUCAAGACUGGAGACAUCUGUCAGGAGUAGAAGUAAUUAAUUUGAAAGGCAUUUGAUUAAGUAUAUAGGCAACAGUUAACAAUGCAUCACUUCAAAAAGUGAUAGAUAAGUUAGCAUGCGCCAUUAUAGACCUAACUAUUUCCAAUAGGGUUAUGUUCAUUCUUUCUGCAACACCAUUUUGUUAAGGAGUCUAUAAAAUAAACAACUGUCUUUCUAUUCCUUUGUGAACUCAUCAGACAAAUAUUCUCGACCUCGAUCGGAUCUCAAUACUUUUAUUUUCUCGUCUAAUUGAUUUUCUAUCAAGUUCAUAAACAUUUUGAAACAACUCAAUGCUUCAGAUUUAUGAUAAAUCAAAUAGACAUAUCCGAAUCGAAUAUAAUCAUUUAUAAAUGUGAUGAAAUAAACAACCCCAUGCCUUCAUCUCACAUUCAUCGGAUCAUAGACGUUAGAAUGGAUUAAAUGCAAAAGAAAUUCAGCUUUUUUACCUUUUCCAAAUGGUUUCCUUGUCGUUUUUCCUACUUGGCAAUGCUCACAUAUAGGCAAAUUGACUUUUUCAAUAUUGUCCAAUAAGCCCUCUUUAGCUAGUUUAUUCAUACGUUGUUAGCCAAUAUAACCAAGUCUAGCAUGUCACACAUUCACAUCAUUAUCAUAUGAAUUAGAAGACAUGAAAAAUGAAUAACAAACAUUGGCAUUACUAUAGUCAAUAUUUAAUACAAUGAAAUCAUUUAGAAAAUAACUACGACCAUAGUAAUUUGUAUCCAAAUACAAAUUCACACCAAUAUUACGGAAGUUCAUAUUAAAACCAAGUUUAACUAAUAAUAAAACAGACAUUAAAUUCCAACGAAUCUCCAUAGCAUAAAAUACAUCAUAUAGGAACAAAGUGCGUCAACCACGCAUGUUCAGUUGGCAGGUGCCAACCCAUUUUACUUAUGCUUUGGAGUUGUUUUCUAUAUAGAUCCACUUAGUUCCAGUUGGUACUCGUAGGAAUUCUACGAAGGAUUCUCUAUCCUUCGCUACAUGAUCUAUUGCUCCCGAAUCUAUAGUCCACAAAGGAUUAGAUUCAGUUAAGAAUACAGAACUUGACACAUUAGUAAAGUUCUUAAGAGUACAAGGGGUGAGUACCUUCUUUGACUCGCUAUAGUUGUGAGCGUAAUGACCCUUCUGGUCAUAGUUGUAACACUUCACCAUUAAAAUACUCUUUACUCGAUGACAUUUUCCUCUUUUAUGUUGGUCAGCUCUUGGUUUCUUGCAAUAAGGACUUAAUCCCUUGCAUUUCCACAUAUUGAACGAAUUAAUAUGCUUGCGCUUAGAGCUCGAAGCCCCUUCUAAGCUGGAAACAACAUAGCAAAUGUCUGUGUUCCGGCUCAAAUGUCUUGAGGCGGUCAUCUGCUAGCUUAAGGUGGCGCACAGUAUCCUCAAGUUCUUCCAUAACAUGGUCAAGAGUUUUUAGUGCUUCUUGCUUUUCAAGCAUAUAUUGAAUUUUUUAAUUUAAUAUUUCACAAUUCUCGUCGUUCAAUUUGUCUUCUUUGUUCAAAUCAACAAUUAUGUUCUUAGUUACUUAAGCCAUUGAUUUGAACAUAUCAGACACAUAUGCACGGAUUAUUAAUGCCUAUUGUUUAUGCAUUCAUUUUGCACAGACCCAUCAUAUUAAUAAAUAAUUUCAAGUAAGGUUUCGGAAUCCAAAGGUCACUAUGUUCCAAUCAUCAUCCAAAAAAUCAUAACUUAAAACUAUCAUUAAUAUAAUCUUCUAUGCAAAAUAAGUUUAGCAAAGUCACUAAAACUUUCUUGAACUUCUUACAAUGAAUUAUAAAUUAACAUACUAAUUUACAACAGUAAAUAACACUGAACUUUCAAUAAUUACACAUGUCCAUUACACUAAGUAAUAUAUCCAGAGGAAAUAUUAACACAUAAAGAGAUAUUAACACCUAAAAACAUCUCAGACUAAUCUAAAACAUAAAUAGGGAAAGUGUUUUCAAAUCUAUUAGUAAAAUUUUCUAAGAAUUCUGAAGGCAUAUUGGCCAACCAUGGAAAAACUUUUGGAGAGCUCUCAUGCCACCUCCAAGGUGCAUUCACUAUGCGCUAUGUGGCACUCAUCCCAAGGGUUAAAGUUUUGGUUAACUCGAUUCUAUAUUAUUCUCUUACAAAAGCUAUUGUAAGCCUCAUAUAAUCUAGGACCACAUUAACCUCCCAUAGGCAAUCUAACACUACUUGCCAUUCAGGUGGAAGAGUGUUCAUUAAAGCCGGCACCUUCUCAAAAUCCUACAUAAGAUAACCAUUCCAUAUGAUUUCUUGUAUCAUUUGAUUAACCCUAACCAUGUGUAAUACUACAUUACCGUCAUUUCAUCGAUAAUUAGCUAACUCUGUCAUUAGCCCUUUAAGUAUUGUAUUUUCUUCCUCCGUUCUUGGAAAUACAAGUAUGCAUGCAUGACGCAUCAUAGUUUCUGCAAUAAAUGCAUAACAAAAAUGGAUUAUUUAUAAUCCACAGUAAACAAAAAGGAAAAUACAAAAUUUUCCAUGGUUCAUGCAACAAAUGCAGAACAAUAAUUAAAAAAAAAGGAAUUACUUAUAAUCCAUAACAAACAAAUUAGAAGAUACAAAAUUUUCUUUUUUUUAUUCUUUUUUUUUUGCCGUUCAACGCUGGUCAACGAUGAUCAACGCAGGUCAAUGAUGGUCAACGAUGGUCAACGGUCAAUGGUCAACGAUUCAAAUGGGUCAACAGUCAACGGGUCGAGUUAAUCGAGUCAACGGGCCGUCAUGUCGGGUCGCAUCAGGUCGAACUGGUCGGACCGGUCAGGUCGGUCGAACAAACCGACUGGCACGUGCUGCGCACAUGCGCUAGCUGACGUCGUGCGGACGUUUGCUAGCGCGUGCUGCACGCGCCAGGCUUCCGUGCGUGCGUUGUACGCGCCUGGGCCAAAAUGGCGCAUGCGGAAGACCGAAUUGGCGCAUGCGUUGGUACGUUCGACGACCUCUGGCGGCGAUCCGCCACUCGAUUUUCUCAUAUCGGCGAGAGCUUCGACCUUACAUUAUUGAAAACAAAUUUCGACUUAUAGAAAAUCACAAAAUAAGGUGAACAAUACGCGGGUGUCAGGGUUUUUUCGUCCCCAAUCGGCCAACGGUGGUGUUUCACGAAAAUUCAAUAAAAAACAAAUCAUAAACAUGAAAAAUGAUCGGGAAACAUGAACAAUGGCUCUGAUACCAAUGUUGGGAAUAACUGAUCCCCUAAAACGGAUUCGACACUAAAUCAAACCCCUAAAACGAAUGUGGAAGACGAGCCCAAGAAUAACAUGUAUCAAAGAUACACCACGAAAUUAAGCGUACCUUAUUGUCCACAGAUUAAACACCAAUGUUAAAGAUUGAGGAAGGAUUAUGAUCUGGUUUGUCAAGGAGCAUACUGUUGGUUCAAAAAGGGGAGAAAACUUACGUUCUUUUUGGGAGAGAGAGAGUGAAACGUAUUAGGGGGAGAGAGAAUCUUCACGUACGUAUGCCAAAAGGUACUUUCUUUUUUCUUUUUAUUUUCCCUCAAAGCAUCUCUUCCAAAGGACGCAUCCCCUCAAUGUAACACCUCCUCCAAAAGACACAGCCUUUCCUCUAUGGGCCCUAAACAUGUGGGCCGGGUUCUUAGGCCCAACAUGGGGGAAUGGAUCCACUUAAGCCCAUCAAGUCAUAGACUAAACCCAUCAAUAAAUGUGUCUAGGACGUUUGGUAGAGGAUGAUCAAAGGAUUUAAAGGGGUUUAGGCAAUGUAAUAAGGAAAGACGAUUCCACCAUUAUAUGGAAAUAGUUUCAUAAUUGUUGGAGAAGUAAUGGUGAAGGAACUAACGGAUAUGAAGCUUCCCACUCAAUGAGUGGAGGGCUAAACCCUACACACACGGAGCUUAUGGAGGUCUCAACAUGACACCCAACUAUCGCAUUAAAACCCAUUUUUCUAGGACUCCAUUGGCCGACUACAAAAGUCUCUGCCUUGUCAUAAAUCUUUUCUUUUGCUUUAGCGAUAUUCAUCAAUGUACUCAAUUACAGUGGACACAUCUUGACUUUUGUACAAAUAUCUGCUCCAUAAAUAUCUAGUCCAUGCUACAUUAUUCGAGAAAUUGCAUCACGCAUAACCUGUCUAUAACUUAGGCCUAGCAUCAUUCCAACAUCUUCCAUGAGCCCUAACUCCGCACAAUACAAAUACUACCAUAUAGUCACUUUUUUGCCACACCCAUCUCUCUCCCUCUCUCGGAGUAAGUUUGAGCCUUUGGCUUUCAGGUGGGUGCACAAAACCCAAAGCAACCUCAGAGUCAAAGAGACCCACUUUCCACUGGUUUUGAACCGGUUAGGGCUAAUAAAACUUGCAAGUAGGACUAGCUACCAUCCAGAUUGAAACUACACGGAUACUGAUGGAUGAAUAAAUUUGGGUCACCAAAAAAAUAAAAAUAAAUAAAUAAAUAAAUUUUGGAGGUCCUUUCAUUUGGCAAAACAGAAUUUAGUUUCCACACACAAAAACUUGCUAACAAUUGCUAUUUCCUUCUCUCUCUCUCUCUCUCUCUCUCUCUAAAACAUUAAAAAUGGAUGAGAACGCUGCCACCAAGAACAACCAAAACCGCCGCAGCCGCCAAAUCGGUGACAUCUCCAUUUUGAAUGCCUCCCCAAAGCGUCUUCAGAUGCUUCAGUUCAUACUCCUCCGACAGCCACCUCAAACGAACUAGUAGUCAACCUUAUCUUCUUAUACUCCUAAUUCAUUUUUGCUUAUGAGAAAUAUAAUUUUUAUGCACUCAAAGUAACAAUUUAAACAUAAUUCCUUCAUAUAUUAUUACUAGAAAACUUAGGAGACAAUGAAAAUAUUUCAAAUGUAAAGAGUCGAUUAGAUUUUAUCGGUUGAUCAAUCCGGGACAUUGUGGAUGGUGAGCGCACACAUGAUAAUAGCCGUGAUAGGAUUGGGAGUACUUUUGCUUGCAUCGGACAUUGCUCUGCUGGGCUGGAUUGCAAGUCCUGUUGUGAUGUUCUUUUUCUCCUCCGUGUGCUACUGCACUAGUCACCUGGCGACCUCAACUCCAGCAGAUAUAACCACACUUACAUGGACUCUAUUCAUUCAAUCCUUGGUAUGGAAUUCCAUCACAUAUUAUCGCUUCUCAUUACUUGAAAUCUACACUUUGAUUAAAAUUCCCACAUGAACAAAAGAUCCAAUGGAUGAAAAUAAAAAAGUGAGAUUUUUUGGGGGAUAUAAAUCUCUAGACAUCCGCCAUAGAAACCGGAUCAUGAUCAUACUAAUCUAACUUUUAGUUUAUCCUAGUGCUUUGCUUUGACUAGUGUUCCCUGCUCAAACCUCGGCAUUUGGAUUUGCUGCAUGAUCUCGACAAUUCCGAGACAUGAAAAGAAUCGGAUGUAAGAUUGGCCUAACAGUGGUAUUGGUCACAUUAAAAUCUUGUUAUGAUUAUCGAAAAAUGGCUAACAACAAUCAAAGUGCAAAAUGUCAGGGUGAAUGACAAGGGGAAAAAUUAACAAACAGAAAAAUUGCCUAUCAUUAUAACAGUAGUUUCUCAUAACCAUGGCAUUUUGAAGAAAUAUCAUUUGGUAAACCCUUUUUGUAGCCGCACCAACAGAAGAGCAAAGCGUCCAAGAUACCUUAGAAACCUCGAAUGUAUUCCUUUUCCCUGAUGUCACUCCUGUUGUUGGGUAAAAGGAAUCUUAUUUUACAUCUUCAUAUUGCCAUCUGAGAGAGCUCUAGUUUAGUUGGAAAUGUGGUUCUUGCUAUACUCACAAGAUUAUGCUUUUAAAGCGAAGUUCCACUUUGACUUUUUACCGAGUAAAAAUUUAUAGACAUUCAUUAUAUGUUAGUUUUGCAGAAAACAAGUGAUAUGAAAAAUAUUUUCCAAAAGAUAAUGAUUUUUAUUGCUCAAAAUAACUAGUCAAUAAAUAAUAUUUUAUUUUUUUAUUAUAAUUUAUGUUUAAACAUAUUUGUAAACAAUUUAUAAAAUAUACAAGUGAUUGAAUUUUGAAAAAUAUUUUCCAAAAUGUUGAUCUUUUGUGUAACAAGCAUACGCUUAUUCAAAGUUUAUUUUUGUGCAAAAUUGACUGAUUGAAGAUAUAUAUUUAUAGUUUAUUUUUUACGUGGGCAAUUUAUGUUAAUUUGUGAGUGGUAAGGUAAUUAUUUGCAUUCAUAAAAUACUUACCAACGCAAAGGUAAUUUAAUGAUGCUGAAGCUAAAUUUACAUACACAAAAUACAAUUUUAAAAAUAUAAGUUUGCUUUCGUGAUAUAAUAGCUUGUAUUGCUACGAUAAGACUUUAUUAGUUACGAAUAAGUGUAAUUAAGAAGAAUGUCAAGGAUUAUUAGGGCACGCUCGAUUUCCUAAUUAGAAGGAAAAUUACUUACUACCACUGCGACUUCGAAUUGGGUAAGUUACUGUAGCCGUUGUUACGAUUACAUCAUAUCAAAUAAAUUUGAACAAAUCCACCACGCUGAUUACCUGAAGAGGUUAGCCUUCGCCAAUUUACCGUUUCGACCUCGCGCGCCCAACCCACUUUCCUAUUCUACGAGGGGCAAAUUCGGAACGGCAGGCGAAUUAAAUAAGUUACUGUUAGCCGUAGCCAAUUUACCGUUUCGACCUCAAUCCACUUUCCUAUUCUGCAAGGGGCAAAUUCGGAACGACGGGCGAAAUGACGCUACAUAUUCGCUACGGCUUCAUCGGUCCAGUCGCAUCAUCUCUCUCCCACCUUCUUCUUCUUCUUCUUCUUCUUCUUCUUCUUCGCAUGUUGCUCCCUCCGCUUGCUUCCUUUCCUCUCUCGACGGAGCCACAUUCCGGCUCAAUGGGAGAUGCCGGAGCUGCGUCUGCUUCGGCCGUGCGGCCGAUCGUCGAAGACGGGACGCCCCCGUGUGGGGGGCCACAGAGAGAGGAAUGGGGCUAUGAUCGGGGCACGGCGCUCUCUGUGGCUGCAAAGGCGGGGCUGAGCAACGACGUUCGGGCGGGCGACGGAUUCGAGGGCGUGCUGGAGUUGAGGCGGACGUGUGAGUAUCUCGAAUUUUUUCUCUCUGGCUUGGUUGAAUGGGUGUCGUUGCGUGAUGAUUAUGCUGCUGUCGUUUGGGGCGUAAAUCUUGUCGGAGGAGAUGGGUUUUUUGAUUCCUUACUCUGAUUUGUGCCAAAACCUUUUAUUUCUCAGAUCAUCUUUGGGAGUAGGAAUUUUCUUCUAAAUAACAUGACUUAUGAUAGAAUAUCUUUUUGAGUAGUAAUUUUUCGACAAAUCUGUGCUCUUUCUUAUAAAAAAAGUUCAGAUUUUUGUUUUUUGUUCAUAGAAUAUGAAUCUGGUGCUUAGAAAGUUCUUUGUUACGGAGUAGGAAUUUUCUUCUAAAGAACAUGACUUAUGAUAGAAUAUCUCUUUGAGCAGUAAUUUUUCGACAAAUCUGUGCUCUUUCUUAUAAAAAAAGUUUUGAUUUUUGUUUUUUGUACAUAGAAUAUGAAUCUGGUGCUUAGAAAGUUCUUUGUUACGGAGUAAUUCGUUUGCCAGAGUUUUUUUUGGGUUUUUUCAACCUGUUUGGUGAUCCUGUUGUAACGUGAACAUAUCAAGACAGUGACAUGCCUCGACAAAUCAUACUGUUUGUUUUACUUUGAUUUUGGCAAAGCACCUUGAUUCACUAUUGCUUAUCCUCAGAUCAAGCCUUGUAAUCAUUUUUCUAUGGAUCUUGCACCCGUGCUUUUCUUUACCAUUUUGCUUUGCUAACUGCUGUACCUGAUGGAAUUUUUUCCUCACUGUGAUUUAUCCAUGACUUAGUAUAUUUGUCUUGUUAAUUCUGAAGAACCGCAUACAAGAAUCUCUUUCUAAAUAGCUUUAUAAGCAGCAAGUUUUCAAAAAUAUCUCCUUUUUGCCAAAUAAGUUUAAACUUUUGUUUUCUCCUUCUUAAUAUAUUUCUCUUUUUUGAAAAGAGACAUUUCGUGAAAAUCUAUCUUUGUUUGAAAGAUGUGUGAUACUUUUGUUUUGUGAUUUCUAAAUAUGAACUUCUUGAUUUUAAGUUUUUGUUAAAGAGUGACCGGGUUUAAAAGUUUUUUCUCAAAGUCGUUUCCAAAUGUUGUGAAUUUUCACAAUUUUCUUCCUUACUCUGUUUUGUACAAGACACUUUUUCAAACAACUUUGGUACUUUAAAUUUGCUUUUAAAGAAGGUCGUGCAAUUAUUCUGGAGUCUUUCACAAGAUUUUCUAAUCUACUUCCUCCUAACUUUCCGAGCAGCAAGUUUUCAAAUAUCUCUUUUUUUCCAAAUAAGUUCAAUUCUAUUUUCUCAAUUGAAUAUAUCUGUAUUUUCUGACAGUUCUUUAUUAUGACAUUUUGUAAAAAUGUUCUCUGUUUAAAAGAGCUGCGAUACUUUUGCUUUGUCCUUUCUGAAUAUCAAUUUCUUGAGCUUAAGUUUUCUGUUAAUGAGUAUAUAAGGAUUUAAAGUUUCUUCUCAAAUUUGUUUCCAAAUGUUGCAAAUUAUGACAAUUUUCAUCCUUACUUACUCUGUUUUGUACAAGACCUACCUUUUUCAAACCACUUUGGAAGUUUAAAUUUGCUUUGAAAGAACGUAAUGCAAAUUAUUUUGGAUACUUUCACAAGUUUUUCCAAUCUCUUUCCUCAUAGCCUUAUGAGCAGCAAGUUUUCAAAUAUCUCGAAAAAGUUCGAACUUUUGUUUUCUCAUUUGAAUAUAUUUCUCUUUUUUGAAAACCUUUUUAAAGACAUUUCAUAAAAAUCAUUCUCUGUUUGAAAAAGGUGUGAUAUUUUGUUUUGUCAUUUCUCAAUAUUAACUUCUUGAUUUUGAGUUUUCUGUUAAAGAGUAAGUGGAUUUAAAAGUUCUUCCUCAAAGUCAUAUCCAAAUGUUGCAAAUUAUGACAAUUUUCUUCCUUACUCUCUUUUGUACAAGACUACUUUUUUCCAAUCAACUUUGGGAGUUUAAAUUUGCUUUUAAAGAACGUCAUGGAAAGUAUUUAAGAUUCUUUCACUAGUUUUUCCAAUGUAUUUCCUCAUAACUUUAUGAGCGGCAAGCUUUCAAAUAUCUCUCUUUUGCCAAAUGAGUUUAGACUUUUGUUUUCUCCUUGUGGAUAUAUUUCUUUUUCUUGAAAACUUUUUGAAAGACAUUUCGUGAAAAUCUAUCUUUGUUUGAAACAUGUGUGAUACUUUUGUUUCGUCAUCUUUCAAUAUUAACUUCUUGAUUUUAAUUUUCUGUUAAAGAGUAACUGGAUUUAGAAGUUUCUCCUCAAAUUCAUUUCCAAAUGUUGCAAAUUAUGACAAUUUUCUUGCUUACUCUAUUUUGUACAAGACCUACUUUUUUCAAACCACUUUGGGAGUUUAAAUUUGCUUUUAAAGAAGGUAAUGCAAAUCAUGUUCUUUCACAAGUUUUUUUAAUGCAUUUCCCUAUAGCUUUAUGAGCAACAAGUUUCAAAUAGCUCUUUUUUGCCUAAUAAGUUUUAAACUUUUGUUUUCUCCUUUUGAAUAUAUUUCUCUUUUCUGAAAACCUUUUAAAAGACAUUUUGUAAAUGUCUAUCUCUCUUUGCAAGAGCUGUGAUACUUUUGUUUUGACCUUUCUGAAUAUUAACUUGAGUUUAAGUUUUCUUUUAAAAGAGUAUAACUGGAUCUAAAGAUUCUCCUUGAAGUUGUUUCCAAAUGUUGCAAAUUAUGACAAUUUUCUUUCUUACUGUGUUUUGUCAAAGACCCACAUUUUUCAAACCACUUUGGGAGUUUAAAUUUGCUUUUAAAGAAGGUAAUGCAAAUUAUUUCAGAUUCUUUCACAAGUUUUUCCAAUGCAUUUCCUCAUAGCUUUAUGAGCAACUAGUUUUCAAAUAUCUCCUUUUUGCCAAAUAAGUUUAAAUUUUUGUUUUCUCCUGAAUAUAUUUCUCUUUUUUGAAAACCUUUUUAAAAGACAUUUCAUGAAAAUCUUUGUUUGAAAGAGGUGUGAUUCUUUUGUUUUAUGAUUUUUAAAUAUUAACUUCUUGAUUUUAAGUUUUCUGUUAAGAGCGACUGGGUUUAAAAGUUUCUUCUCAAAGUUGUUUCUAAAUGUUGUGAAUUUUCACAAUUUCUUCCUUACUCUGUUUUGACAGACACUUUUUUCAAACAAUUUUGGCACUUAACAUUUGUUUUUAAAGAAGGUCGUGCAAAUUAUUCUGGACUCUUUCACAAGUUGUUCUAAUCUAGGCCCUUAUCCCUUUCUGAGCAGCAAGUUUUCAAAUAUCUCUUUUUUGCCAAAUAAGUUUAUUUUUGUUUUCUCCUUUGAAUAUAUCUGUCUUUUUUCACAGUUCUUUAUUAUGACAUUUCGUAAAAAUAUUAUCUGUUUAAAAGAGCUGUGAUACUUUUGUUUUGUCCUUUCUGAAUANNNNNNNNNNNNNNNNNNNNNNNNNNNNNNNNNNNNNNNNNNNNNNNNNNNNNNNNNNNNNNNNNNNNNNNNNNNNNNNNNNNNNNNNNNNNNNNNNNNNCUUGAUUUAAAGUUCUCCUCAAAGUCGUUUCCAAAUGUUGCAAAUUAUGACAAUUUUCUUCCUUACUUGUUUGUACAAGGCCUACUUUUUUCAACCAAUUUGGGAGUUUAAAUUGCUUUAAAGAAGGUAAUGCAAAUUAUUUCAGAUUCUUUCACAUGUUUUUCUACCGUAUUUCCUCAUAGCUAUAUGAGCAGCAAGUUUUCAAAUUUCUCUUUUUUGCCAAGUAAGUUUUAAACUUUUGUUUCCUCCUUUCGAAUAUCUCUCUUUUUUGAAAACCUCUUUAGAGACAUUUUGUAAACAUCUGUCUUUUUGCAAGAGGUGUGAUACUUUUAUUUUGUUAUUUCUCAAUAUUAACUUCUAAUGUUCCUCCUCAAAGUCAUUUCCAAAUGUUGCAAAUUAUGACAAUUUUCUUCCUUACUCUCUUUUGUACUAGACUACUUUUUCCCAAUCAACUUUGGGAGUUUAAAUUUGCUUUUGAAGAACGUCAUGCAGAGUAUUUAAGAUUCUUUCACAAAGUUUUUCCAAUGUAUUUCCUCAUAGCUUUAUGAACGGCAAGUUUUCAAAUAUCUCUUUUUUGCCAAAUGAAUUUAAACUUUUGUUUUCUCCUUGUGGAUAUAUUUUUCUUCCUUGAAAACUUUUUGAAAGACAUUUUGUGAAAAUCUAUCUUUUUUUCAAAGAGGUGUGAUACUUUUGUUUUGUGAUUUCUAAAUAUUAACUUCUUGAUUUUAAUUUUCUGUUAAAGAGUGAGUGGAUUGAAAAGUUUCUCCUUAGAGUCUUUUUCAAAUGUUGUGAAUUUUGACAAUUUUCUUCCUUACUCUGUUUUGUACAAGACACUUUUUCAAACAACUUUUGGCACUUCAAAUUUGCUUUUAAAGACAGUCGUGCAAAUUGUUCUGGAGUCUCACAAGUUUUUCUAUAUAUUCCCUCAUAACUUUUCUAAACAGCAAGCAAGUUUUCAAAUAUCUCUCUUUUGACAAAUGAGUUUAAUUUUGUUUUCUCCUUUAAAUAUAUCUGUCUUUUUUUAUAGUUCUUUAUUAUGACAUUUUGUAAAAAUGUUCUCUGUUUAAAAGAGCUGUGAUACUUUUGUUUUGUCCUUUCUGAAUAUUAACUUUUUGAGUUUAAGUUUUCUGUUAAAAGAGUAUAACUGGAUUUAAAGAUUCUCCUCAAAGUUGUUUUCAAAUGUUGCAAAUUAUGACAAUUUUCUUCCUUACUCUAUUUUGUACAAGACCUACUUUUUUCAAACAACUUUGAGAGUUUAAAUUUGCUUUUAAAGAAGGUAAUGCAAAUUAUUUCAGAUUCUUUCACAAGUUUUUCAAAUUAUGAGCAGCAAGUUUUUAAAUAUUUCUUUUUUGCCAAAUAAGUUUUAAACUUUUGUUUUCUCCUUUUGAAUAUAUUUCUCUUUUUUGAAAACGUUUUUAAAGAAAUUUUGUAAAAUUCUAUCUGUGUUUGAAAGAGGUGUGAUACUUUUGUUUUGCCAUUUCUCUGUAUUAACUUCUUGAUUUUAAGUUUUCUGUUAAAGAGUAACUGGAUUUAUAAGUUUCUCUUCAAAGUUGUUUUCAAAUGUUGCACAUUAUGACAAUUUUCUUGCUUACUCUGUUUUGUAUGAGACCUACUUUUUUCAAACAACUUUUGGAGUUUAAAUUUGCUUUUAAAGAAGGCCGUGCAAAUUAUUUUGGAUUCUUUCACAACUUUUUCCAAUGUAUUUCCCCAAAACUUUUUGAGUGGCAAGUUUUCAAAUAUCUCUUUUUUGCCAAAUAAGUUUGAACUUUUGUUUUCUCCUUUUGGAUAUUUUUCUCUUUUUUGAAAACUUUUUGAAAGACAUUUCAUGAAAAUGUAUCUUUGUUUGACAGAGGUGUGAUACUUUGUUUUUUUUUUUUUUUGGUGAAGAUGUGAUACUUUUGUUUUCUCCAUUUGGAUAUAUUUCUCUUUUUUGAAAACUUUUUGGAAGACUUCUCGUGAAAAUCUCUGUGUUUGACGGAGGCAUGUUACUUUUGUUUCGUCAUUUCUAAAUAUUAAUUUCUUGAUUUUAAGUUUUCUGUCAAAGAGUAAUUGGAUUUAAAAGUUUCUCCCCAGAGUUGUUACCAAAUGUUGCGAAUUAUGACAAUUUUCUUCCUUACUCUGUUUUCUACGACACUUUUUCAAACAUCUUUGGCAGUUUAAAUUUGCUUUUAAUGGAGGUCAUGCAAAUUAUUUUGGAUUCUUUCACAAGUUUCUCCAAUCUAUUUCCUCAUAACUAGUUUUCAAGAAUCUCUGUUUUGCCAAAUAAGUUUAAUUUUGUUUUCUGCUUUGAAUAUGUCUUUUUUGAUAGUUCUUUAUUAUGACAUUUCAUAAAAAUGUUAUCUGUUUGAAACUGCUAUGCUACUUAUGGUUUGUCCUUUCUGAAUAUUAACUGCUUGAGUUUAAGUUUUCUGUUAAAGAAUAUAACUGGAUUUAAAAUUUCUCCUCGAAGUUGCUUCCAAAUGUUGCCAAUUAUGACAAUUUCUUCCUUACUCUUGUUUUGUACAAGACCUACAUUUUUCAAACAACUUUGGGAGUUUCAAUUUGCUUUUAAAGAACGUCUUGCAAAGUAUUUUAGAUUCUUUCACAAGUUUUUCCAAUGUAUUUCCUCAUAGCUUUAUGAGCGGGAAGUUUUCAAAUACCUCUUUUUUGCCCAAUAAGUUUAACUUUUGUUUUCUCAUUUUGAAUAUAUUUCUCUUUUUUUGGAACUUUUUUAAAGACAUUUCAUAAGAUCUAUCUCUGUUUGAAAGAUGUGUGAUGCUGUUGUUUUGUCAUUUCUAAAUAUUUAGUUCUUGAUUUUAAGUUUCUGUAAAAGAGUAGCCGGAUUUAAAAGUUUAUUCACAAAGUCGUUUCCAAAUGUUGCAAAUUAUGGCAAUUUUCUUCCUUCCUCUAUUUGUUCAAGACACUUUUUUCAAACAACUUAGGUGUUUAAAUUUGCUUUCAAAGAAGGUCAUGGAAAUUUUUUUGGAUUCUUUCACAAGUUUUUCCAAUCUCUUUCGUCAACUUUAUGAGCAGCAAGCUUAUAUCUCUUAUUUUAAACUAAGUUUAAAAGUUUUGUUUUCUCCUUUUGAAUACAUGUCUUUUUUGACAAUUAUUGAUUGUGACAUUUCAUAAAAAUGUUCUCCAUUUAAAAGAGCUGUGAUACUUUUGUUUUGUCCUUUCUGAAUAUUAACUUCUUGAGUUUAAGCUCUCUGUUAAAAGAGUAUAACUGGAUUUAGAUUUUCUCAUCAAAGUUGUUUGCAAAUGUUGCAAAAUAUGAUAAUUUUCUUCCUUUGUUUUGUACAAGACCUGCAUUUUUCAAACCACUUUGGGAGUUUGCAAAUUAUUUAAGAUUCUUUCACAAGUUUUUCAGUGUAUUUCCUCAUAGGUUAAUGAGCGGCAAGUUUUCGAAUAUCUCUUUUUUGCGAAGUAAGUUUAAACUUUUGUUUUCUCCUUUUGAAUGUAUCUCUCUUUUUUUUUCUUUUUUCUUUUUACAGUUCUUUAUUAUAGAUAUUUCAUAAAAAUGUUCUAUGUUUGAAAGAGCCGUGAUACUUUUAUUUUGUCCUUUUUGAAUAUUAACUUCUUGAGUUUAAGUUUUACAGUUCUUUUUUAUGAGAUUUUGUAAAGAUGUUCUCUGUUUGAAAGAGCUGUGAUACUUUUGUUUUGUCCUUUCUAAAUAUUUACUUCUCGAAUGUAAGUUUUCUGUUAAUGAGUAUAACUGGAUUUAAAGUUUCUCCUCAAAGUUGUUUCUAAAUGUUGCCAAUUAUGACAUUUUUUUCCUUUCUCUGUUUUGUACAAGACCUACAUUUUGCAAACAACAAUGGGAGUUUCAAUUUGCUUUUGAAGAAAUGUCUUGCAAAGUAGUUUAGAUUCUUUCACAAGUUUUUCCAAUGCAGUGGCAAGUUUUCAAAUACAUUUUUUUUGCCAAAUAAGUUUAAACUUUUGUAAAAGAGAGUAUAAGUUUAAGUUUUUUGUUAAAGAGAGUAUAACUGGAUUUAAUGUUUCUCCUCAAAGUUCUUUCCAAAUGUUGCAAAUAGUGACAAUUGUCUUCCUUGCUCUAUUUUGUAAAGCAAGUUUUCAAGUAUCUCUUUUUUUCCAAAUAAGUUGAACUUUUAUUUUCUCCUUUUGAAAUAUCCUUUUACUUGUCGGAAGUUUUGACAUUUCGUUAAAAUCUCACUCUAUUUUAAAUUGUAACUAGAUUCGUCUUUUUAUACCAUUUUUCUUUUAAAGAACAUCACACGGGAAUCUCUUUAUUAAUAGCUAUAUAUGAACAGCGAGUUUUCAAAUAUCUCUUUUUUGCCAAAUUAGUUCAAUUUUGUUUUCUCCUUUUGAAUAUAUCUUUGUUUUUUUGGGAAUUUCUGACAUUUCGUAAAAGUAUCUCUCUCUCUGUGAGAGAGAGAAUGCAACCGGGUUUAAAGUUUUCUUUCAACAUGUUUGUAAAUGGUGGAAAUGAUUGUAUUUUUCUUCCUUACUCUGUUUUGUUUGAGAUUUACUAUUUUCAAUCAACAUUGGAUUGGGAGUUUACAUUUGCUUUUAAAGAAUGUCACACAAAUUAUUUUAGAUUCUAUAUACAAGUUUUACCAAGUUAUUUCUUUAUAGAUUUAUGAUCAGAAGGUUUGCAAGUAUCUCUUUUUCCCCAAAACUUAUAACUUUUGUUUUCUGUUUUUGUGUACCUCACUAUUUUGAAAUUUCUUAUCUCUGUUUUAAAUAAUUUUGGGACUUUUGUGUUGUCCUUUCUAAAUAUUAACUCCUUGAUUUAAAGUUUUCUUCCAUAAUUGUUUGUAUGGUGGAAAUGAUGGCAUUUUUAUUCCUUACUCUGUUUUGUACGAGACUUACUAUUUUCAAGAAUGUCAUGUGAAUUAAUUUAGAUUUUGUUGAGAGUUUCUCCAAUCGAUUUCUCAAUAGCUUCAUGAGAAUUAAUUUGCUUUUAAAGAAUGUCGUGUGAAUUAUUUGCAAAUCUCUCUUUUUUGCCAAAAGAACGUACACUACUAUUUUGUCCUUUUUUGUAUUUUUAAAAGUUCUGUGUUAAACAGAUUUCAUAAUAUAUCUCUCUGUUUUAAAGAAUUGUGAGUCUUUUACUUUGUUUUUUCAAAAUAUUAACUUCUUUAUUUUAGGUAUCCUGUCUUUAAGUAGCCGGAUUCAAAAUAUUCUUCUAAAGUCGUUUAAAAUGUUUUGUUAAAUAGAUCAUUCUAUUUUAAAAAUUGCAAGAGUUUUGUUUUGUCCUCUCUAAAUAUUAAGUUCUUGAAUUUAAGUUUCCUGCCUUUGAGUGACUAGAUUCAAUGAUUUUAUUAAAAGUAGUUUCCAAAUCUUACAAAUUAUGGCAAUUUUCCUCCAAACAAGACCUAUUGUUUUCAAACAACAUUGGGAGUUUAAAUUUGCUCUUAAAGAACGUCAUGCAAAUUAUUUUAGAUUCUAUCACAAGCUUUUCCAAUCUGAUUUUGAAUUACUUUACGAAGCCUGCUAGUAUCUCUUUUACGCGCCAAAAAACCUGAACUUUUGUUUUAUUCUUUAUCUUUAUCUCUCUGUUUUAAAAGUUCUUUCUUAAAGAGAUUUGUUAAUAUUUCUAUGUAAUAAAGAAUUGUGACCAUAUGAUUUCGUCCUUUCUAAAUAGACUUCUUGAAUUUUCUGUUUUUGAGUAACUGGAUCUAAAGUUUUCUUUGAAAUUAAAUUUCCAAAUGUUACAAAUUUGGGCAAAUUUGUGCAAGACCUACUAUGUUUCCAAAUUACAUUGGAAGUUUAAAUUGGCUUCUAGAGAACGUCAAGCAAAUUAUAUUAGAUUCUAUCACAAGAUAUUCCAAUCUCUUUCUCAAUAGCUUAAUGAGCAGAAGGUUUGCACGUAUCUCCUUUUUUCCAAAAAACUUAAACUUUUGUUUUCUCUUUUGUAUACUUAUCACUCUAUUUUAAAAGAUCUUUGUUAAAGAGAUUUCCUAAUAUUUCUCUUGGUUUUAAAGAAUUCCGAUACUUUUGUUUUCUCCUUUCUUAAUAUUAAAGUUUUCUGUCAAAGAGCAAUCAGAUUUAAAGUUGUCUAAUAAAGUCAUUACCAUAUAUUGCAAAUCAUGGCAAUCUUCUUUCGUAGUCUGAUUUGUACAAGGCAUACUAUUUUUAAAACAACAUUAGGAAUUUAAAUUUGCUUAUAAAGAACAUCUAGCAAAUUAUUUUAUUAUCUAUGACAAGUUGUUCGAAUUUAUUUCUCCAUAGCUUUAUGAGCAAAAGGUUUGCUAGUAUCUCGUUUUCUUCAAAAAACUUUGACUUUUGUUCUGUCCUUUUGUAUACUUGUCUCUUUAAUUUAAAAGGUUCUUUGUUAAAGAGAUACCCUAAUAUGUCUUUCUGUCUUAAAGAAUGUGAGAAUUUUAUUUUGUCUUUUCUACAUAUUAAGGAUUCCAAGUUCUUUUUUUUUCCAAAGUCGUUUUCAAAGGUUGAAAAUCUUGGCAUUUUUCUUCCUUACUUUGAUUUGUAUAAGACCUACUAUUUUUCAUACAACAUUGGGAAUUUAAAUUUUCUUUUAAAGAGAUUUCCUAAUAUCUCUCUCAGUUUUAAAAAAUUGUGAGACUUUGUUUUUGUUUCUUUUUAAGUAUUAAGUUCUUGAUUUUAAGUAUUCUGUCAUUGAGUGACCUGAUUUAAAGCUUUCUUUCAAAGUAGUGUACAAAUGUUGCCAAUUUUGGCAAUUUUUUCCUUACUCUGUUUUUGUACAAGACCAACUAUUUUCAAACGUAAUUGAGAGUUCAAAUUUUCUUUGAAAUUUCCAAUCUAUUUUUCAAUAGGUUUUUGAGCAGAAAGUUUGGUAGAAUUUCUUCGGUAGAGAGAUUUCCUAAUAUCUCUGUGUUUUAAAGAGCUGAGACUUCUAUUUUGUUUGCCUUUAAAGAACUUCAUGCAAAUUAUUUUAGAUACUAUCACAAUUGUUUUCAAUCUAUUUUGCAAUAGGUUUGCUAGAAUCUAAUAUUUUGCCAAAAAUCUUAGGCUUUUGUUUUCUCCUUUUUGUGUACUUAUACCUCUCUGUUUUAAAAGUUCUUUGUUAAACAGUCUCCCCCAUUAUCUCUCUCUGUUUUAAAGAAUUUUGAGACUUUUGUGUUGGCAUUUCUGAAUAUUAGCUUCUUGAUUCUAAGUUUUCUAUCAAAAAGUACUUGGGUUUAAAGUUUUCUUUCAAAUUUUUUGUAAAUUGCGGAAAUGAUGGUUAUUUCCUUCUUUACUCUGUUUUGUCCGAGAUCUACUAUUUCCAAUCGACAUUGGGAUUCCAAUUUACUUAUAAAGAAGCCAUGCAAAUCAUUUUUGAUUCUACACACAAGUUUUUCCAAUCUAUUUCGUAAUAGCCUUGUGAGCAAAAGGUUUGCAAGUAUCUCUUUUUUUCCCAUAUCUUAAAACUUUUGUUUUCUCCGUCUGUCUACUUAUUUCUCUGUUUGAAAAGUUCUUUGUUAAACAGAUUUUCUAAUAUCUCUCUUUGUUUUAAAGAAUUCUGAGACUUCUUGUGCUUUCUAAAUAUUAACUAUUGAUUUGAAAUUUUUCUAUCACAUAGCAACCAGAUUGAAAGUUUUCUUUCAUAACCGUUUGUAAAUGGUGGAGAGUUGAUGGCAUUUUUCUUCCUUACUCUGUUUUGUACAGGAUUUACUAUUUUAAAAAAGCAUUGGGAGUUUAAAUUUGCUUUUAAAGAACGUCAUGUAAGUUAAUUUAGAUUCAAUCUCAAGUUUUUUCAACUGAUUUCUCAAUAGCUCAUGAGUAGUAGGCAUGUAAAUCUCUCUUUUUUGCCAAAAGAACAUACACUAUUUUUUUGUUGUUUUGUAUUUUUAAAAGUUCUUUGUUAAAUAGAAUUUCUAAUAUAUAUCUCUGUUGUGAGACUUUCAUUUUGUUUUUUCAAAAUGUUUACUUCUUGAUUUUAAGUAUCCUGUCUUCGAGUAACUGGAUUCAAUUUUUUUUCCAAAGUCGUUCCAAAUGUUUUCUUAAACAGAUUAUCUAAUCCCUCUUUUUAAAAAAUUGCAAGACUUUUGUUUUUUCCUUUCUAAAUAUUAACUUCUGGACUUUAAGUUUCCUGCCUUUGAGUGACUGGAUUCAACAUUUUCAUUAGACUAGCUCCCAUAUCUUGCAAAUUAUGGCAAGCUUCCUCCAAACUUUGUUAUGUACAAGGCCUACUAUAUUCAAACAACAUUAGGAGUUUAAACUUGCUUCUAAAGGAUGUCAUCCAAAUUCUUUUAGAUUCCAUCACAAGUUUAUCAAACUAUCUCUCAAUAGCUCUAUGAGUAGUGUGUUUGCAAAUAUCUCUUUUGUGCCACUUUUGUUUUCUCAUUUUGUUUACUUAUCUCUGUUUUAAAAGUUCUCUGUUAAAGAGAUUACCUUUUUUUCUCUAUUCUACAGAAUUUUGAGAUAUAUGUUUUUUCCAUUAUAAAUAUCUACUUCUUGAUUGCAAGUUUUCUGUCCUAGAGGAAUUCAAAGUUGUUUACAUAUGUUGCAAAUAAAGACAAUUUUCUUCCUUACUCUAUUUUGUAUAAGACCUACUAUUUUCAAACAUUGUAAGUUUAAAUUUGCUUUCGAAGAAUGUCAUGCAUAUUAUUUUAGAUUCUAUUACAAGUUUUUCAAUUUAUUUCUCAUUAGGUUUAUGAGCAGGAAGUUUUAAAAUAUCUUUUUCUGCAAAAUAAGUUAAAACUCUGGUUUUCUCCUUCUCUAUAUAUGUUUGUUUUUUAAAAGUUCUUUCUCAGUGAGGUUUUGGAACAUGUCUGUCUGUUUUUAAGAAUAGUGAGACUUCUUAAUUUUCAGUUUUGGUAACUGGAUUGCAAUUUUCUAUAUAUCACUGAGACCUGUUAUUUUGAAACAAAAUUUGGAGUAUAAAUUUGCCUUUAAAGAACAUAAUGCGCAUUAUGGUAGAUUUUAUCAAGUGUUAGUCGAAUCUAUUUCUCAGUUGCUUUAUUAACUGCAAGUUUUUAGAUAUCUCAAUAGCAAUGGUAGUUGACAUAAGUAAGAUGAUCUACUUGAUUGUUGAGAGAGCAUUGUCAACAAGGUUCCAAAUUGGCAUUUGACAAUUUCACAUGUCUCUCACUUAUUAUUUUUUUGAUGAUCAAGUGGUUUUUUGGGCUAACUAAAGGAGGAGAAUGUCUAGGCUGCUAAAUUUCGACUUAUCUUGGCUUUCUUGGGUUAGCAAAAUUUAAGGACAAAGUAAUAAUAGUGUCUAGUGAUAAGUGGAAGGAUUCAUAUGUCCAUUGAUGGUGUUUAGAUUGGAGAGCCGCAAAUGAGGUGUCCAUGUGAUGUUCUGGAAAAUGGUUUUUGGUGGCUGACUAGUAAGAUUGAUCAUAGAGAGAUCACUGACGUUAGAGUAUGACAAAACUGGUGGGGGGCGAAGGAUGGUUGACAAGGAUGGGUUUUGAUUGAUAUCUGGUGGAAAUUUGUUGACUAACUAUUAUACCAUUAGAAAGCCCUAGUAUGCUCUCGAGGUCUCAGUGUGGUGAGCUGGAAAAUGGUUUUCUAUGGCUGACUGAUAAGAUUGAUUAUAGAGAGAUCACUGAAAAUAGAGUAUGACACUACUGGUGGGUGAGCGAAGGAUGGUGGACAAGGAUGAGUUUGAUUGAAAUAUGCUUUCUACUUCUGCUAUUUGUACGUUGUGAAUUGGCAUGUUCUACUCAUUUGUUUAUCCCCAUAUUAUGGGUUUUCCUGCUUGACCUUGCUCUGUCUUAACGAAGAAAACAGUGGGUCUAUAUAAAAUCAAAUCAAGAUAGGUAUUUCAAGAAAGAAAUUCUUUGAAGUUUUUCUUUGUUACUAGAUUUUCUUGUGAUUACUGCUCCAGUCAUUUUCCUUUUCAUGUUUCUGGGUCUUUGUAUGGCAUAGGAGAUUCGGCAGCUAUAUUGAUCUUGUUAGUUGAUUACAGGAUGAUUUGUAUAAUUUUCUAGUUUUGGGCGAUUAUUGGUUGGAGGUUGAUGUGGAACAAUUUGUGUAAUUUUGAGGAAGUAUCAUUUGCAGUGAGUAGAUGUUAUAAUAUUAAAAUAUUUAGCUAUGGAAUGGUCUCUAUAAUUUUGCAUGCCUAUUGAUCGAAACUCCAAUUUAGGGUCGAGAAAAGCUGCGUGAUAAGGGUAAUGAUGGUCUUCACUGGGAUUGAGUAUGAAGUUUGGAAGAAGAAAAGUGACAGGAUGUAGGACUAAAGCAGUUUUAAGAGCUUUACGUAAUGUUAAAUUAGUGGAUAUUUGAUAAUACUUUGGUUAUGUUCAAUUUUUUUACUUAUUGUGGUGAGAAACCUAGAAGGAUAAAUGAAAUGAUUCAUAUGAUUUUGCUUGAUUAUUGAGGAUGAUGAGCGGCACUUUGAGAAUAUUCGUUUAAGAGGCUAAGUUAAAUAAAAACAAAUAUAGAACCAGACAGCUUCCAGAGCAAGUGAUUUUGAUCAUUUUUUUGGAGGUAUAUUGAUUAUAAAAAUGAUUAUUAUCAUUUUGGGUGAGUGUUUCAAAUUGACAUUUGACGUGUUUCGGCAGUAAAAUUUGCUUUUGACUUGCAAGAGAUAGUUUACUGGACAGAAGUUUGUCAAUUUAUGAAAUGAGCCACCCAAAUGCCAAAUGAAAAUUGCAUAUCUUUUAAUUGUCAUUAGGAGAGCUUUUUUCUGUCACGACUAAUGUGUUCUUUGUAAAUGGUAUGAAUACUUGCGGCAAGGACAACUUUUUCUGACUUCUUUUUAACAAAAAAAUGUCAAGACAAACACAUUAAGUUAUUUUUGGAUGACACCAUAUGUUAAAUUAUGUGGUCCUUGGAUUUUUAACUCUAUAGUCCUCUGUCAUUUUCACUUUGAUUGGUUGGCUACUUUUCUGUCUUAAGCAUAUGUACGUUUUCCGAAGAAACCAAUAUAAGAUCAAACUAAAUUCCACCCGGUUAGUUUGUGAGACCAUUUGGCAGGAGCUGAGGGAAUUAUGUUUGGGGAUUUGAUGAGCUAUCAAAUUUAGUGAUGGACUAGAGACGAGGGAACUAUGUUGAUAUUGUGAGUUGAUUGUGGAAUGGUUUUAAUAAUUUUGGGUGACUUUUUGAGCUUGACCUUUGAUUGUUUUUCAUAAGUGGGGUUGAUUAUUUGAGAUUAAUGGUUGGCAAAUUUCAAGGAUGAAAUUCUGUUGAGGUAAUUCUCAUGUCCUUAUUUUAGAAUGAAAUGUAGAGCAUAAUAAUUUUGGGGUUGUUUUCUUAUGUUUGAUAUCUCAAGUGAUGGGUUCUUUUAAGAAAUUAUGAGGUUGAUGUUCUGCAAAUUGGUGGACAACGUUUAAUGGGGCAGAAGCUAUAUGUUGCUGUUGGAAAGAAAUGUAGAGUAGAUGAUUGUUGGAGUAUGAUUUCUAGAACUUUUGAUGGGUGAAGGUGAGUUGAUUGCAAAAUGGUUUCUGUAGUUUUGGGUGAUUAUGUGAUGUUGACGUUGGAAUGAUUGAACUUUGCGCGAUUGUUUGCUAUGGAUGUUCAGCAAAUUUCAAAUAUGGAAUUCAUUUGAGGUGAAUAUUUGCUAGUGUCCUGAUUUUAGGAAGAAAUAUAGAGUAGAAUAAUUUUGAUGUUGAUGCUUGCGCUCCAUUUUCUUUAGUUUCAAUACUGAGUCAUUGGUUCCCCUGAGGUGAUUGUUGGAGUAUUGAUUUCUCUAACUUUUGCACUUGAGUUGAUUGAGGAAUCAUUUAAAUAGAGCCUUGGGUGAUUAUUUAAGCUCGACGUUAGGAUGAUUGUUAUUAUUUUGGGUGAGUAUUUGACAUUGAUCUUUGGCGACUUUCAAGGGUGAAAUUCAUUUGAGGUGACGAGAUGCUAGUGUCCUGACUUUAGGGAGAAACAUAGAGCAGAAUAAUUUUGGGUAGAUGUUGUGCAGUGGCAGACUUUGCACAUUUUAUCAGUGGGUGCAAAUAAACUGGGCAGGACAAAGUGAAUACCUAAAACGUUGAAUUAUUGAAAUCAGUUAUUUUCUGGGAUUUUUAAAGAAGAAUGAUCGUUGGAGUACUGAUUUUAUAGAACAUAAGCUACUUUGCUAGUGUCCUGUUUUCUGAAGUUGAUAUAGAGUCAUAGGUUCCCUUGAGAAAUUUUGUGGUUGAUGUUUUGCAAGUUAGUUAGCAAAUCCAUAAGGGGGCAGACGUGCCAUAUUAUUUGAAUCUCCAUUUAGUUUACCCUUUGGUGUUCCUUCUUGAUCUUGCUUUGUCUUAAUAUAACACAAGGGGAUCUAUAUAAAUUGGAAUCAUGAGCAAUUCUGUCAGGAAAGAAAAUUAUAGAUCGAACAUUUGCCUUUUGUUGGCUAUAUUAUUUUGUGAUUACUGUUGCAAUCAUGUUCCUUUUCAAGUUUCCCUGAUCUUUAAAUAGACACAAAUAUGGGGUGGCUAUGUCAAUCUUCUGUAUACUAUUGAAGUGAUUUUAUUUUUCAUGUUUUCUACUGUUUUGAUGGCUCUGUUUGUAAACCUUUGUGACUCUAGCGAGUUUCUCUGUGCACGGUUAUUAUUUUACUUUUGAAACAAGCAGUAUUGUCCCACUUAAGGGGAGUAAUCAUGUCCAGUCGAGCUGAUAAUAAUGCCAAGCUUGAUCUUGAAGCUCAUUUGUGUUAGAAUUUCUGCCUGAACUUGCCUUAAUAGAGAAUCGAAAUAAUCGAGCUUAAGCUAGAUUACAAAUCAAUACUCUUUAAGCUAUCAAGCUUAAACUAGAUUAAAGUCAAUGCUCUCAAGCUUGACCUUAUAUACUCUCAAUCGAGUAUAUGAUUUGUUUUUGUGACUAUGUGACUAGCAAAAUAUUAAUGAAAAAACAAAAGCUCUAUUAAGCUUACAAGCGUGUCAAGCUGAGCUCGACUCGAUAAGAUACUUACGUAGCUCAGACUUUGAGCUUGACUUGAAACCAUAUGAGGUGAUUUCUCAAGUCAAGCCCAAACUACUCUCUCGACAUGAUUUCACCCUUGUCCCAUUGUAUACGAGAUGGAUAUCUCAUUAUUUUUCCUAAAUCUCAUAAUAUCUUGUUCUUUAACAGUAAUUGUGUUUUGUUCAGGUGAUUAUGGAUAAAGCAUCCUGUGGUAAGAAAUUGGUCUUCAGGUGGGCAGGUUUUAUGUGAGAGAGAGAGAGAGGGUACAAGUUCACACUCCCUUUGAGCAACUGAUUUUAAUUAUAGUCAGCUUAUAAUUUUGGCAAUGUAUUUCAUAUCAAUAUGCAACUGAUAUAGUUAACUAAUCUACCUUAAGUGGGAUAUUUGUGCAAUAAGUUCGACACUAUAUUUUGACAAAUUUUUGUUUGACCAAUUUAAUUGUAGAUUAUCCAUUCAUUCAUCUGGUACUUAUUUUUAUUCAUUGCAUACUUAAAUGAAUUUAGAUCAUUUUCGGGAAAGGUAGUUAAAUACUCGUGGUUUAGAUUAAGUUGAUUAUUACUGAAGUGAGUAAAUGAUGAGGAAAUUUGACAUGGUUGAUUUGCACUCGUAAUGAUUUUUAUGGCAGUGAAGUUUUGUUAUGAUACAUGCUGAUAAAAGAUGAAAUCAUUGACAUGUUAGAUUGGCAUUGGGCUAUAAGUACUUGAACUAUGUAGAAUAUGUCCCUCAAGGGAUUGACUUUUUCUAUUAUAUGCAUGCAAAUAAUUGAGAAAUAAGGUAAAAAUGUAUUAUGGCGAUACCUCAAAAUGUUAUGUACUCAUUGAAUGUUACUAUGCUAUUUUGCUCUUGGCAAGAUUAUCUCAUACCUUAAACAUAGAGAUUUCAUUUAUUGUGCUUAGGAACUUUUCAAAAUACGUUAUAGAUUAGUAGAGUUUUUGGAGUUUAGAUUUGUGCUUUUGAAUCUCUUUUAAGGUUUGGAUCACAGUACACAACAAGAGUAGAGGUGUAUAUUUUAUGUAGGGAGUAUUGAUUAUGUAUAUUUUGUACAUCAUUUGAGGCGAAAUUAUUUUUCAUUUGAAGUUCAAAUUUUAUGGGAAUUUCAAGUGGUGACAAUUUUUGGUAUUAAACAGGUUAAUGGAGUGAUAAAAUAGAAUUAGAUAGUGUGGAUAUAGACUUUGAGUUUCAUGAUUAAUUUGGUGGAGGAAUUGUUGAAAUAAUAAGUUUCGAAAGAAAGAUUAAUAGGUUAUUUGAUAAGUUAUGAUCUUUGGGAAUUUAGUAUAUCUGAUGGAGCCAUGAAUCCUAGUAUUGGUUGAUUUACAUCAUGGUUAGAGUGGAUGUUAGAAGUGUUUAAGUUUUAAUUUAAACCUCAGGCAAUGAGUGAUUGUCUUUUUGGUGUUUGGAUAUUUUCGCCAAGUCGCAAGUUAUUGUUUCUGUCAUAAGUAUUAAAAUAUGAAAUGGUUGAGAUUUAGUCACUGGUGAAAUUAGGCAAAUUUAGAUCGCAAAACACAAACUUUAAGGUAUUAAUUUAUAAUAAUAGUGGAUGAUCCUUUAGCGAUAUGUCACGAUCAAUUUUAUGACAAUUUAUGAUCUUUAGAUGUAAGUCGUGAUUUUGAGGAUUAUUACAUCGUAAUUGGAGGAGAUUAAAAGGAGAAUUUAUAUUGGAAGUCUCAAUAGGUUACAUGGUGAUAUUUAGUAUAAUAAGAAUUGAUCUUAGAGGAAGUAAGCUUGAAAAUUAAAUUUCCUUCGGUGUAACAUGUGUGAUCUUCGUAACUGUAGGUUGUGAUAUUUUUAGUAGUAUAUUAUGAUCUUACAUUAAAGAGUUUUGCAGAAGUAGUAGGCAAGAUCUUCAUAACUGUAGGUUGUGAUCUUCAUAGUUGUAGGUUAUGAUCUUUUGAGUAGUAUAUUAUGAUCUUACUUUAAAGAGUUUUGCGGAACUAGUAGGCAAGAUCUUCGUAACUGUAGGUUGCGAUCUUCAUAGUUGUAGGUUAUGAUCUUUUGAGUAGUAUAUAUGAUCUUACUUUAAAGAGUUUUGUGGAGCUAAGUAGCUAAGAUCAAUUUCAACUGAGGUUUCAUUUGUAAGUCAAGUUGAUUGAAUUUUAUUGAAAAGUAGAUGAGUUCAAAUUUUGGUGAUUUAGGAAGUUAUAGGCAUUCAAUCUUAAGUGAUGACUUUUUGAGUGGUGACAUUUUUAUGAGGAUUUGCGGUAUAAAUAUAAGUUCUUGUUUUGGUGAUCCUCGUCCUGGAGAGGAAUACAGUACAUUGCCUUGGGAGAAAGUUGAGAUAAAAUUAGAGGAAGUAGAUCUUAUCUUAGUGUUAUGAUUCAGAAUACCAUAGUCGUAUUCAAAUAUAGUGAUGUUAAGAGUGUUUAGGGUGCAUUAAAAGUUUUUUUUUUUUUUGGUGAAAGGUAAUAAAUAUAUUGAGGAGAGGCGAAAAGUUAAUAAAUCCAUUUUGCUUGAAGGAGUAAUUUUGAACUAAUGCUAUCAAUGAGCUCUACUUGAGGAGUUAUUAAGAACAUUAAAAGUAUUUGGAGGUUUUUAUACAAUACACGAGUUGAUUUAGACAAAAUCUUAAUGUGGAUGUUGUGAUAUACUAAGGCUGUCUUAAUUUCAAGGAGUCUCGUAGGAUGAUAUUUGCCUUGUUUGUAAGCGUAGUUAACUAUCGAUGGUAGUAUAAAUGCUUGGUUCGUAUUUUGUAGUAUGGACCACCAAUCAAUCAAUGAACACUAAUUGUUCAAUUUUAUCUUCCUAGUAUCUUUAUGCUCUAGCGUCUUUUUACAUGGCUGAUCAUGAUUGCCUCUAGUAUUCGUACUUUUAAUUUUCUCAUCAAUUCGCGUUCCUAUCUAAGAAUUAGCAAAGGACCAUCAUAUCUUUUGUCGAUUGGUUUAGCGAUCUAUCUUUUGAAAGAUGCAUUGUUGGCCCUUUACAAAUCCAAUGAAUGAUACAAAAUGGUUCCAUUUCCAUAUAUUGAACCUCAAACCAAAGUAUACCCAAAAAAAUGAACUUUCAAUAAAGAGUUGAUAUAUCUAUCAGGAUGUUUAUCGUGAUGUCAAUAUUGCAUUGAGAAAUUGACCUUGUUCAAGCUUUGAUUUGAUUUCAUUUGGUGUCAAAUAGAUUUGUUUAACCGUCCUAGUGGUGAUCUACAGAUCUAGGCCUGGCCCGUCUAAAGUUUUGCUCGAGUGCCCCUAAAGUCUCAUGUUCUAUGUCUAUGCACUGUCUACAUGAAAUUUACGUUGGCAUUUUAGUUUGUUCAAAUUUUGACUUGUCAUUGUUUGAUUAACUUCUGUUCUUUAUUCGUCUAUUUAAAUUUUCAUUGAUGAACAAUCUACUAACUGCAUUGGGAAAAGAAUUUUUAUCUACUUUCAGUUUUGGGCAUGAUUAUGCCGUUCAGUGAAGUGUCUCCUGUAAUAAUUUUAUUGCAAUUAGAUCAGUGUCAUGUAUUCCAUCAAAUGUUUUUAUUCAUUAGGACUUUCCAAAGAUUGGCGAUGUAAACUUUGUCCGUCACUUGAUGGCAUAAACAUUAAAUGAAGAGAAGAUAUUGUCUUCAUUCGGUGUAGGUGGGUUCAACCUACAUACACUGUUAGAUCAUGUAAGUCAUACAUAAGAUCCCCUCACGGCUGAACUAGGCAAAGCACCGGGUUCGGUACUUCUCUCUGAUGACUUGGACUAAUCAUAUAUAGGAGUUAUGGCUUAAAAUCAUCCGCUAACAAUGUAUGGGAAAAGCGCAAAUCAGGUUUUUUAACAUGUUUUGCUGGUAAAGGACCUCGUGAGAUACUUUACAUACUAUACACUCUACGUAAUGGAAGAACAAGUCGAACUAAUAUCUUGCGCAUGGAGUUCUCUUACUGGCAGCAAACUCUUAAUUCAUAAAUGCAGAACACUUAAAGAUAUUGGAAACAAGUUAUACAUAGUUUAGCACAAGAGACUACCUUUCCUGAUUUUACUUGCUCGAUUGCAUUGUCUCCAUGGGUAUCCACCAGUGACUGAUGGCUUAAUCGUGGCCUUAAAAGAGAUUUUUGAAUGUGAACUUGAACUCGCUAUGCCAUUGCCAGCAGAACUCUAAUGUCGGUUUAGAUAGCGCAGCCAAAACGAGGACUUGAAACAAGAACGGGAAAAAGUUGUCCAAUAAAUGCUAGUAGUUACAAAUUGAUUUGGUGUAGGCGUUUUGUCAAACACGUCAAAGGUGGUAGCCCCAGACAUUCAUGUUCCUCCUUAAUGUAUUCGAGCUAAAUCUCAAUAUGUGGUUGCAUGGAUGCAAACUAAUAUGAUAAAUUAUAAGUCUUUUCCCCCAUCUUUAGGCUCUUUGUAGAUUCUGAAGCCCACCACCAAUUCUCUAGCAACGUAAGGCCUAGGAUUUUGGGCAAGUUUGCUCUUAGGACGCACAAUUCUAGCUCAAGCAUUCAAGGCCAGAUUCUUAUGCACGACUUCGACUCAGGAGUGAAGGCAAAUAAUUGUCGGCCCACUUUUCAAGCCCAUUCAGGAUUGGAGGCUAUAGACAAAACUCAAAAACUCAAAAUCAGAAGGAAAAAGUUUGUACCAUAAUAGAGCACAGGCACAGCACGCUAAUAUAAAACUAGGCGAACCUAAGGGAGCACAAGAAUGUUUAAAAGAAUGAUUCGACCUGUAUCAUCAUCAAAUAUAGGAUUUUGGAACUACUAUGGCUUUGGUUUAAGGUUUUUAAUUUUAGGACGUGGGCUCACAGACCGGCCGCCCGUGUGGGCAUAUCUGAUUUGUUCCAAUUAGCCAUGCUGGCCAAGCCAUUAUGAUGCUAAUCCAGAAUAUGGGCCUAUAUUGUUGCAGUGCUGAAUGAAAUCUUAUUAAAUUAUGAUAAGCAUGUGUCGGAAAAAAAUGUAAAAAAUUCCAUAGCAAGCCCUAUUUUUCAAUACACUAUUUGCCCAAAUCAAAUGAGCCAGAAGAUUAAAUUGAAAGAGUCCUCAACUUUAGUUGUAGUCCCAAUUUCAUCCCAAAUUUUUUUUUCUCAUAAAAACUUUUAGAUUAGUCCCAAAUCUGCCUUCACGUCCUAAGAUCACCAUUGAUUUUUGCAAUAUUAUCAACAUCAGGAUAUUAUUAUUAUUAUUAUUUUACAACGUGAGGAUGUUGAUGAAAGUGCAUGUUAGGUUUUGAUAAUGAACUUUUAACUGAUUUCGAUGUCGAUAAUUUUGAGCAAACUAGUGGUGAUUUUUGGACGUGUGGAUAGAUUUUGGAUUAAAGUGAAAGUUGAGGAUUUUUUAUGGGAUAAAAAAAAAUGGGGCAAAAGUAAGAUUGAACUAAAAGUUAAUAUUUUUUCGGGAAUUAGAAGUGCUUGAGUCAUUGAUCUAAGAAAUGAUAGGUUUAAGUGAUGAUUAAUAAAGUUAUAAUGAUUAAUAAAGUUAUAAACUUGAGAGGGAUUGAAUUUUAUUGAAAAGUAGAUAAGUUCUAAUUUUGGUGAUCUAGGAAGUUAUAGGCAUCCAAUCUUAAGUGAUGACUUUUUGAGUGGUGACAUUUUUAUGAGGAUUUGUGGUUUAAGUUUAUGUUCUGGUGAUUCCUACAAAGGAAUAUAGUAUAUUGCCUUGGGAGAAAAUUGAGAUAAAAUUCGAGGAAGUAGACCUUAUCUUAGUGUUACAAUUAAGAGUACCACAGUCUAUUCAAAUAUAGUGAUGUUAGGAAUGUUUAGGGUGUAUUAUAAGUUAUUAAUUCCGUGGUGCUUAAAAGGACUAAUUUUGAAAUAAUGUUAUCGAUGAGCUCUGUUUGAGGAGUUAUUAAGAGCAGUAAAAGUAUUUGGAGGUUUUUAUACAAUGCAUUAGAAUUGAUUUAGACAAAAUCUUCACAUGGAUGAUGCGACAUUCUAAGGCUGUCUUAAUUUUAAAGAGUCACAUAGGACAAUAUUUGCCUUCUUUGUACUGUUAACUGUAGGUGGUAAUAUAAAUGCUUGAUUUGUAGUUCGUAAUAUGAACCACCAAUCAAUCAAUGAACACUAUAAUUGUUCAAUUUUAUCUUCCUAUUAUCUUUACAUUCCAGCAUCUUUUUACAUGGCUGGCCACAAUUGCCUUUAGUAUUUGUACUUUGAAUUUUUCAUCAAUUCUCGUUUUCUAUCUAAGAAUCGGCAAAGGAUCCCUCAUAUUUGUUGUCGAUUGGUUUAGCAGUCUAUCUUUUGAAAGAUGCAUUGCCUGAUACUUUUCGAUGAAACAUAUACAUAUCAAAUGAAUGUUACAAAAUGGUUCCAUUUCUAUAUAUCGAACCUCCAUCAUUUUCUCUCAUUUUAGACACUCGUGUUUUAUAUAACUUAAGAAACCAAAUUGCACCAAAAAAUAAACUUUCAAUCAAGACUGGAGACAUCUAUCAGGAUGUUUAUCGAGAUGUCGAUAUUGCAUUGAGAAAACUGAACUUGUUCAAGCUUUGGUUUGAUUUCAUUUGGGGUUAAAUAGAUUUGUUCAGCCGUCCUAGUAGGGAUCUAGGCCUGGCCCGUCUAAAGUCCUGCUCGAGUGCCCUUCAUGUCUCAUGUUAAAUGUCGAUCCACGGUCUACAUGAAAUUUUCCGUAGGCGUUUCAAUUUCUUCAAACGUAGACUUGUAAUUGUUGGAUCAACUUUUAAAAAACAAAAAAAUUCACUGCUGAACAAUCUGCUUACUGUCUGUCAUCGGUAAAAGAACUUUUACCUGCUUUCACUUUUGUGGGUGACUGCCAUUCAGCGAAGUGUGUUUUGCAAUAAUUAUAUCGCCUGAACAAUUAGACCAAUAUUGUGUAAUCCAUCAAACAUUUGUAUUCAUUACACGAUCUUCAAAGAGCUGCGAUGUAAACUUCAUCUAUCACAUGAUGGCAUAAACAUUACAUGAAGAGCGGGUAUUGUCUACAUUCGAUAUAAGUGGGUCCAACUCACUGCAUCGUUAGAUCAUAUAACCUCACAUGUGAACUGGGCAAGCACUGGAUUCAGUACUUCUCUCUAUUGACUUGGACCAACCGUAUAGAGGAUUGUUAUAGCUUGAAAUCCUCGCAUAACAAUGUAUGUGAAAGCACACAGCCAUCUUUACAUGUUUUGUCGGUGAAGGGCUUUGUGAGAUGCUUUACUUACUAUUCCCUCAACACCGUUAUGGAAACAAUAUCUUGUGAAUGGAGUUCUCUUAUAGGCAGCAAAUUCUUAAGUCGUAAAUGCAGACCAUUCAAAGAUAUUGGAAACAAGUUAGACAUAGUUGAGCUGAAUGCAUAUUCUCCAUGGGUAUCCACCAGUGACUGAUGGUUUAAUCCUGGCCUUAAAAGAGGUUUUGGAAUGUGAAUUUGAACUCAUUAUGCCAUUGCCAGCAAACCCCAAACGUCAGUUUAGAUACGCAACCAAAACUAGGACUUGGGAGAAGAACUUGAAAAAGCUGUCCAAUGAAUGCUGGCAGUAACACAAGGAAUAUGAUUUGGUGUAGGCAUUCUGUCAAACAGGUAACAGGGUUGGCAGCCCCAUACAUUUAUGUUUUCUCCUUCAUGUUUUCGAACUAAAUCUCAAUAAAUGGUUGCAUGCAUGCAAGCUAACAUAAUAAAUUAUAGAUCUUUCCCCCAUCUUUAGGCUCUUUGUAGAUUCUGAAGCCCACCGCCAAUUCUCUAGCAAUGUAAGGCCUAGGAUUUUGGGCAAGUUUACUCUUAGGACGCACUAUUCUAGCUCAAGCAUUCAAGGCCAGAUUCUUAUACACGACUUUGAUUCAGGAGUCAAGGAAUAUAACUGUCGGCCCACUUGCCCGGCCCAUUCAUGGGUGGAGGCUGUGGAUAAAACUCUUUUAAACUCACACUAAGACGGAAAAAGUCUGUACCAUGUCAGGGUACAGGCAGAACAGCACGCUAAUAUGAAACUAAGCGAACCUAAUGUGACAUCCAGAUUUUCGGGUCCUAAUUUCGACUGGAUAAAUAGGGCCGCUUUGGUUCAGUUGAAGCUAAGGAUUGUGGAAUUGGGAUGCAAGUGGGCUAUAUUGGUAAGGAAAAAUACCAAUUGGAAUGACGAGGUGUUAAAUGAAAUUAUGGGAGUCAAUUUAAAUUGAAUCAAGAGGGAUUAAGGUCCAAUUGGGAAGAGAACUUGGCAAAAUUCGUAUGCCACCUCUACCCCAAACUUUGGCCUACCUAAAUGCUUCUAGAAGGGGUAGUUUUGGGCUAGAAAUGUGAGUGGAUGACAGCCAUGGUGGCCCACGUAUGGCUGACCUAAGAGAGAGAGUGAGGGAAAGAGAAAGAAAAUUUGGUUUUCUCUUCUUCUCUUCUCUCUUCCGUCGACACCCUCUCUCCCUCUUCUUGCUGCUCGUGCCAUGGCUGUGCGAAGACCAGAGCAGCCGAAGCAGUAGCAGCAGCUUCGCCCGUCGCCGCCUCUCGCCGCCGCCGUCGGACGCCCGCAAGCACCGGAACUGCUCGCGCACCCGAGCCCGCUGCCGUGCUGCUGUCUGCACAUCUCCGCCCCCUCUCCCUCCUCUAGUUCGAACGAAGCAGAAGCAGGGACAGUAGCCAUGUUGUUCGAAGCAGGAGCCGCCAUCACCGUCACGCCGGAGCUGCCUUCGCCGUCGUGCCGGAACGCUGCCGCCGUUCGUCUCUUGCUCGCCCGCUUGAACGCCGUCCACCCUCUGUCUUCCUCUCCGUUCGUUGCUCGGGGUUCCAGAUCUGGGAGGACACCGGAGUUGGGGCAGCAGCUGGCGUUGUUGGACCGGAGCUGCCGCACCGCCGCCCGCGCGACGCCGUGCGCUCCGCCGCUGCUCCGCUCAGCUCGGUCUCCCUCUCGCCCAACUCGCUGUUCCAGAGCUGCUGUCCAACCCCUGUUCCGCCUCUGUUCAGCUUCGUUUUGGCCAUCACAGGCCACGGUUCGGCCACCUCCGGCCACCGUGCGCCGCCACUUCGACCUGUCGGAGUCCCCUCGCCCUCCACCGGCCUUGGCUAGCUCGAAUCAGCCCCGGAUCCGCCCCUUCCAGCAGCGAUCAGAGAAGUCAGAAAAUGGGUUUGCAGCAACUGUUUGGCCCGUUUUGGCCGCCUUCCCGAGCCCGGAGGCUCGGCACGCUUUGAGGAAAGUUGAUCCUCGCGUCGAGCCCGUCGUUUUGAGUUAGUUUUACUCACUAAUGCCUCCUUAGUGUGCUAAUUACACUUAAAGGUUGAUUAGUUUUAAUUAAAUGUAAUUAGGUUGUUAGAUUAGAAUUGAUUAGUGAUUAUUAGUUAAUUGCUUUGCAUAUUAGUUGUGUGGUUAGUGUAAUUAGAUAGUGAAUUGCAUGUAGUAUUUAUUGGAUGCUUCUUGGGAUUUUUCCCGUCCCUUAUCGGGUGUUAAUUAAGCGAUUCGGGCCUAGGUGGUAUUUUUAGGAAUUAAAUAUUAAUUUUCGAAAUUAAUUAUUUAAUUAUUUAUUUCCCGGAAAUUCAACUGGGAUGGCCAGUGACCGGGAUUUUAUGCCGAUGAUGGUGGUGCAGACCGUUUAUUUAAUUCAGCUUCAUAUUGUGCUAAAUUGAAAUUAUUGUGUUUAUUUAUUUAUUUUUCGGAAUUAAAUUAAUUAAUUAUUUAUUUUCCGAAAAUUCAACUGGGAUGGCCAGUGAUCGGAAUUUUAUGCUGAUUGUCAUGGUGCAGUCCGUUUAUUUAAUUGAACCAUAUUUCAUGAUGAAUUGAAUUAUUUGUGAAAGAAUGAACUAUUCUUUAAUUGAAUAAUCUUUGGUUAUUAAUUGAAAAAGAACUGGGUUUUGGUUGAUAAUGCCAAAAGGAUCUAAGUGGGCUAUAGAAAAUGGUGGGAUUUAUAAAAAGGAAAUUAUUAUGUUUUGGCUAAGGCCAACCGAGUAUCCACUCAUGGCAUUUUAUCGGGAAUGAUAAAAUUGGUUAUUUGAUUAUUUGCUUGGAAUGAUAUGAUCUACCGGCUCGAUGACUCCACGGAGCAUCUGGAGACAGGACGGUAUGAUAAAUUGUGUGUAUACCGGCUCGAUGACUCUACGGAGCAUCUGGAGACAGGACGGUAUGAUAAAUUACGUGUAUACCGGCUCGAUGACUCUACGGAGCAUCUGGAGACAGGACGGUAUGAUAAAUUGUGUGUAUACCGGCUCGAUGACUCCACGGAGCAUCUUGAGACAGGACGGUAUGAUCUACCGGCUCGGUGACUCUACAGAUUAUCUUGAGACAGUACGGUAUGAUAUACCGGCUCGAUAAUCCUAUAGAUCAUCUUGAGACAGUACAGUAUGAUAAAUGGUUGAUCAAGUGAUAAUUUGGAUGACAUGAAAUCGACUAGGUCGAUUAAUCGAGGAUUCGAUCUGAGUGUGACUUGAUGUGAUUCAUUGCCUUGGUUUGAUGUUGUGAAGUGAAUGAUUGAAGGGAGAUGAUCGUGAGUGGUCUUCCUGAUGUGAAAUCGACUAAGUCGAUUAGAUCGAUGCUUCGAUCUGUGAUGUGCUUGAUUGUGUGCCUAUUUAAUCUGUACUAAUAUGCAGAUGGAAUCUGAGGCUAAGGUAAGUCUUCUAACUCAUGUUGUGCAUAGGCAGCCCUAAGGUGUAUUAGUUUACUAAUCGGGUCUUAGGGAGUAGAACUUGCUGAGACGUGGUCUCAGUGGUUAUUGAAUAACCAUUUCAAGAUCUGGAUGAGGAGCCUAAGGAGCAUGAAUCUGAUGAGGAGGUCCCUGAUGAGGAACCCGAAGAGGAGUACGUGGAGGAGGACAUUGAGUACGACCCGGAUGAGGAUCGAAGUCCUAUCCUGUUUUGUUAGACCUUGUUUGCAUGUAAAAAGAUGUAGUUGUGAAUUUUCAGUAAGAAAAAUAUAUGGCCUGCUUUUCUAUCCCAUUGCUUUAUUGUCUGGGGAUUUAUAACUGCUUCCGCAUGUGCAUAUAUAAAUGAAAGGGUCGGCGAUACAUAGUCCUGGGAUAUCGCAUUUUUUUUUAAUCGACCAAAAGUAAGGGAUGUGUGCGUGCCUGAGGGUCGGGGCGUGACACCUAAUAGAGCACGAGAAUGUUUGAACGAAUGAUUCAAUUUGUGUCAUCGCCAAAUAUAGGCUUCCUGAACUCCUAAUGGCUUUGGUUUAAGGUUUUCAAUUUUAGGAGGUGGGCUCGCGGGCCAGCCACCCGUAUGGGCACAUAUGAGCUGCUCCACCUAGCCGGGUAGAAUCGUGCCAUGUCGGCCAAGCCAUUACAAUGCUAAUCCGUAAUGUGGGCCCAUAUUCUCGUACUCCUGAAUGAAAUUUUAUUAAAUUAUGAUAAGCAUGUGUGUUGGGAAAAAAAUGUGAAAAAUUCCAUAGCAAGGCCUGUCUUUCGAUACACUAUUUUGGUAAUGUAAGCAACAUUUUUUAUUGAGAGAUUUACGAGGGUGAUGAUCAGAAAAAUUACAUUGCACAAAUCAAAUGAGUUAGAAAAUUAAAUUCAAAGAGGAUCCUUAAAUUUAGGGGCUAAUUCCCUAAAAAAAAAAACCCUUGACUUUAGGUUCAAUCCCAAUUUCAUCCAAACUUUUUUUUUGUCUCAUGAAAAUUCAUCAACUUUUACUCUAAUAGCAAAUCUAUUUACGCAUUCAAAAAUCGCCAUUGAUUUCUUCAAUAUUAUCAAUAUCAGAAGGUUGUUAUUGUUCCUUACAAGGUAAAGAUGUUGAUGAAAGCGCAAGUUUUAAUAAUGAACUUCUAACUAGUUAUAAUGUUGAAAAUUUUGAGCAAACUAAUGGCGAUUUUUGGACGUGGAAGCGGAUUUUAGGAUUAGAGUAAAACUUUGGGAUUUUUUUAUGAGACAAAACGAAAAUUGGGGUAUAAUUGAGAUUGGACCUAGAGUUAAAGUAUUUUUAAGAAAUUAGGCCUUAAAUUUAAAAGAUUUAACCAUGUACAAAGUAGGAGCUCUCUCCCUUGGCGGCACCGUCGUGGAAGUGGAGAGGCAAGUGGACUCCUUAUUGGGUCGACUACUUGAUGGCCACGAAAAUUAUAUUAAUGUCGUUAUUAAUUCUAGUAAUAAAGUAGAACAUCUAGAUUCUCCAGGUCAUUCCCCGGUUUUCGGAAUCAAAGUGUCUUUAGAACUUUGUGCCAUGUGGUCGACAAUUUAUUAGGGUCCCUAGAUAUGAAAUGUACCUAACAUGAUAUUGUUAUUUAGGUGGUCUAUGUGAAGUCAUUCGCCCACUCAUCACUUUGCUCGACAAGGAUUGAAGGACGCAAAGGAUUCGAAACUCCAAGGAAAGUGAUGUUUUGGCACUAUUGAAACCCACAAAUAAUCGACCAAAAAAAAAACCCACAAAUAGGGCCCCAAAAAAUAUAAAACGCCACAUGCUAUGGAGACAAAACAUGAAUAGUAUUUAACGUGUCUUUCAUGUAUAGUUUAGCCAGAAAAUUAUGCCAAUAUGAUUUUUCGGGGUGACCAUUGAGUAGGAAAGGAUACAAUUUUUUUCUCUAAUGUUUUGAGGGUGUUUUGAAAACUCUAAAUUCACAAUAUUAUUCUUUUAAAACUCUUACUAUUGUGUAACGAAGUAUUACAGAUUUUCGUGUACAAUUCAAAACUGUCACUAUUAUCAAGGUGUUAUAUCUUUCUAUAAAGUAAGUAAUGCUAAUUUAGGGAUAAAUUAGAGACCUUACACUUCUUGAGGCAAAGAGUUCUUGUUACCCUAGUUUCUAAUAGUGUCUCUAGUAAAUUUGGAUGGGAAAACGACAGAAACUGUGUGUGGAUUUUGGCCCAAUGUGCAAUUUGAUUAUUGUGGCUCUGAAUUUUUAAUUUAUUCAAUAUAGUUAACUUUUUUUACAUGUUCAUUACAGUUCCUGAACUAUAUGAAAUUGUUCAAUAUAAUUCCUGAUCUUAUAUUAAUAGAAUGACCACAUUAAAUAUUUUCAUACAGUUUAUGAACUAUAUAGAAUAUGUACCAAAAUUUUAUGGGUUACAAUGAAUAAAUUAAAAGCUACAUUACACGUUGGGUUAAAGUUUAGAUACUGUAUUAGACAAAUUAAAAGUCUAGAGAUUAAAUUGUAUAUAAGAUCAAAAUUUAUGAAUUGUUUGUGUCGUCAUCCCAAUUUGGAAUGGAGGAUGAGUCUUAAGUAAUAUGACAAUGUCUUUAAGUUACUCAUUACAUCUUGCUAUGCCCCUCUCUCUCACGAGCACAACAUAUGUUUGGAAGGCUAAAAAGCCCUCUUUACACCGAUCAAAAAAAAAGAAAGAAACCCUAUUUACGCUCUUUCCACCCGCCUUCGUAGAGGGGACCAUAGUGUUCCACCAAAGGAGUCAAAGUUUCAAAACUAAAUAAUUAAGGGGAUAAACAAUAAAAAUAGGAAGAAGAAACGAAGCUAAGGUCGGCAAGUAUAUUAUAGUCUGCAAUUGCUUUCAACAUCCAAUCAAAAGCAAUAACAAACGCUCUUUAAAGGUACGGACGACAGACGAGCAUCGAUUCCUUUCAACAACAAUGGAGGAGAUUCUUACACGCGAGAGUGCAAUACAAAAGUGAACUUUAUCCGUAAUUAAAUUAUGAUUUUAGUCACGCUACUUGCUGUCUCUCUUCUGUAUAUAAGCUCGAAGGCUCCUGCCAUGGAGAGUGCAGCGAUUGGUUUUCUCAACCCAUCUUUGGUUAUUCUUCCGUUAGGAAUAAAUCCCUCUUUGUAUAUAAUUUCCUUUUCUUCCACUUUGAUUGCCUUUGAUUGAGGGAAAAGGCUGCAAAAUAAUUUAGGUAAGUCGUUUAUAUAACUAGUGCUAACUCCUGUUAAUUUGUCCUACGACUAAGAAUUGGGGAUUGGUAAGAGUUCAAGAAAAUAAUGUCCAGCCUACUGUUUUCCAAGGUGGCUAAUGUCCAUUUGGAUCCCUCGAGGAAGAGAGAGAGAGAGAGGCCUGAUUCAAGCUACUCCAAAGCCCAGAAGAAAGGAAUCAAACAAAUAAGCCCAUUUUCAAGCUGUACUCACGAGCUCCCAAAAAAGCCCAUGAGGAGGAUACUCAUGAAAGCAGCAUGGCCACUUUAAUCAUUGUAGGACGACAAGCUAUUGUUGCUUCAGGGAGCUCUACCACUAGUCUAUAAAAAUACUUGCUCAAUACCAUAUUUCCAUCAUUGAUUUGUGAUAAGGGCACAAAUGGUCCAUCAAAUUUGGCCAAUAUGCGAUAUGAUCUUUGAACUUUUAAUUUGUUAAAAAAAAUUGCCUAUGAUACAAGUUAAGGAAAACAAAAAUAGAAUUUGUGAUAAGUAUGCUAUUCCACACACACAGUCCUUCCUUAACCUCAGAAUAGGAACUGCUUAUUAGCCACUAAAUUCAUUUUUCAUUUUUGACUUAUAUCAUAUCAGAUUUUAGGAUAGCAAAAUUCUAAUGCAUGGGUUCCAUAUUGUGACAAGUGUAGAUGUACUACCAGUAUUGAUAAACGCAUUCCCAAUCUUAAUGGAUGGGCAACUAUUUUGCAGCUAAGGGCGCCUGGAAAUUAUUGCUUGUGCCCAUGCUCAAGGGUAUCAAAUCCGUCAUGAACUCUUGAUUGUUUGACUUUUGGUACGAUUUCCCCACCCUUCUCCAUCGAAGAGAAAAUCGAUGACUAUAAUUGCCUGCUGUUAGUUUAGGCAAUAGUCUUCCCCCCUUCGAUAUCUUGACAAAAGCCCCAACCUCCUAUAAGCGUUUCUAUUUUAUAUUACACAAUAAUGAAGAAAAUGAUGGUAUCUUGUAAUUGAGGAUACUUGGCUGACAAAUUAAUUACAAGACAUCGUGGCGAAGCACAAGCUAAUUUACCAAGUUCCACCUAUAAGCUGAUUUAUAGCGACAUCCCAAGGCACAGGAUGUCGCUAUAACUGUCUAUCUGGAGGUAGCCUCCUCUAAAGUGAGAUAGGGAGGUGAGAAAAUAGAGGCAGUCAAGCCCAACACUAGUGACAUUCAAUUCUGCCUAUCUACUAAGUCGCCCAGGAGAUUGUUCUCUAUGCCUGUGUUCAUGUGUAUCGAAUUUGUCUCGACCUCUUGAUCAUUUGAUUGUUGGUGCAGAUUCCAUGCACUUUUCCAUCAAAGAGGAGAUUAGUGAUCGUAAUCGCACGCUGUCAAUUCUUGCAAUAGCCUUCCCUAUGAUGUCAAGACAAAACCCCCACCCUCAAAUAAGCGUGUCUAUCAAUAGUGUCUUGUAAUCAGGGAUACUGGAUCGAUAAAUUAGUUAUAAGACAUUGCACAAAGCAUUGGUCAACCCAAUAGGAACCCUUGCAAGUUUCACCUCAUUACUGUAGGCAUAAGAGACUGCUAUAGCUGCCUACGCGAAAGUAGCCUCUUUUGAAGAAGAGAUAGGGAGUCUACCUUCCCUCGAAGGCUACUCUUGUUCCUAGGUGUUUAUUUAUCUCCCCCACCUAGGAGGGAAUACCCCCGGUAUUUUUAUUUCCCAGAGUUUAGAUGGAACCUUUUAAGAACAUGCUCAAAUCCAAUCUAUUUUAUAUUAUACGGUAAUGAAGAAAAUGACAUAAAUGAUCUUUGAAUAUUGAUUCAAAUCUAUCUCUAUACUACUAAUUAAUUUGAUUUAGUCCAUGGAUUUGGUCAAAUGUUGAGAAUAUGAUACAAACAAUCUCUAAAUUUUGACCUAAUGUACAACGUAAUUCUUGAAAUUUUAAUUUAUUCAAUAUGAUUCAUGAACUAAGCCUAACGUGCAAUGUGGUCCUUGAUACCAAUGAAGGGAUUUAUGCUUAGAACAAGGGAAAACUAAGUCAGUUGCAGUGGGCAUGCUAUCUCACAAUAGGCGAAUCACAUGUUCAAGCCCUUUGGAGAUUAUUUUUUAGCUACAGACUACCUAGAGAUGUAAUAAAGAACAUAGAGACAUUCAAUAAUGCCGGGAUAAUAACAUUUCUAACUAAUCAAGUUGCAUUUCUUAAAGGAUCCUAACAAGUUGGAGAAGAAUAAGCAUUUAGAGAAACAUUGAGAGAUUUGGAAGAUAGGGAAAUUUACUACAUAGCCUCCUACUUCUUCAUUACCAUUACAAGGCCUUUUAUAGGUGAUGAGAACAACAAAUUUAAAGUAGCAGUAGAAAAUAAAGACAAGACAAGACAUCACAAUAGACUGGGGUCCUUGACAUGGUUACAAUGGACAAAGGUCCUGACCAACUAUUGCAAACUUAGGAUUCUAGGCAAGUACUAGCUACUUUUUGCUGCAGUAGUGAACGGUGACUACUACUACAUUAACUUUAUUACAAAAUUAUCUCCAUAUGGAGUUAUAGUCAUAAUUUGAACUAUUUGAGCUGUGAUAUGCAAGUUGUUCUUCCAUAUGAUGUAGUUUAAGGUCAAUGUUAGGAGCAGGAGGACUUUCGGAGCCUUAAGCGUUCUCCCUUUGUGAUAACAAGGCAUUCCACAUGCCUAGAGCACUUGAAGAGGGUCUUUGCUAAAGUUCAUGUGUCCUAGAAGGUCUUGGAAUGUAAUUAUUUAGAUUCAUCUGUGGUCCCUUAACUUUUGAUGCAUAUUCAACUUAGCCUUUGAACUAUAUGAACAUAUUUGAAAUUGUCCUUUGAUUAAUUCAAGUUCAUGAAUAAAAUUAAAUAUUUUUAUAUAAUUCAAAAAACUAAGUUAAACAUGUAUCAAAAGUUUAUGGAUCACAUUAUACAUUAGAUAAAAAUUCAAAAACAUAUUGAAUAAGUUAAAAAUUUAUAGAUCACAUUACAUAUUAGAUCAAAAUUUGAGGACCAUUUGUGUUCAUUAUUCUUAUAAUAUUUAAUAUGGCUCAUGAACUUUUAAGUAUUUUUAUAUAGUAUAGAGAUUAGAUUGAACGUUUACCAAUAAUUUAGAACCACAAUAAACAACUUUAAAGUUUAAUGAUAACAUUACAUUUUGAUUCAAAAUUUAGAGAUCACAUAAAAAAGAUUAAAAAUUCAUGCAUGAUAUUGUAUGUUGAGAUCAAAAUUUAAGUACUAUUUAUGCUAUUAUCUCUCUAAAAAUGAAAGAUGAGUUCACAACUGACAGGUCUUAAAAGUAUUUUUUCCCAUCCCCAAGCGUUUCGAAUAACUUACUAAAUCAAAGGAAUAAGCGGAUUGAGCAUUACAGCGAGCCUUCGUUCCCCCUGUGAUCGAGGACAAUAAAGAAAUGUCUCGGGGAAAGAAUAACGCGACAAUGUACGGGGCGAUGUUUGUUUAUCACUUUUUUUUUAUGACACUUUUUGUCCCUUCCCGUUGAUAUUAAAUUACAAUCGGCACGUUGUAAGGAAGUAUGACAAAAUUUGUCGGUGAACGUCCGUGCCAAUAAUUGACUUUUGUGAAAGCUUCGACACUCUCGAAUUUGGAACCGAGCGAGUACUGUAGGGGCAACAAAAUUUGAAUUGAGCGAAAAGUUAAAAAAGUCAAAACACUUUUAGGGUUGACGUGGUGGUGAUUUACAGCCGAAGUCUUAGACUUAAGAUGGAAAACGCCAAACGCGCCGUGUCUCGUGGGAGCACAUUUGUCGGGGCCUUGUGAUUGCGGUGACCCAUUUUUCUUCAUUUUUUUUUACAUUUUACUUUUUGGCUUUUCCAGCGGGUGAUUUAGAUAACCGGGGCGGGUGAAGUACAGUAGAGGUUGGUCAUUAAUUCAGUUCAGGCCGAGGGAGACCUACCAGUCCGAGGAGAUGAGAGGUAAAAUCGCCGCACGUGACUUGGUGAAACAGUCGUAUUCCGCGUACGUGCCAAAAAGCCGAGAAUGGUGGACGAGGAAGGACGAGAGAGAGGGAGAUAGAGACAAGGAGAUGGGGGUUGUACUCUAAUCGCGGUCUAUCUUGUCUAGACAAAAAAUGAAGGAGUGAGAAAUUAGGACAAACUCUCGAUAGUGCUUGAUCUCGACUUUCAUACGGUAACUUCUUUGGCUUCUUUCGAUUGCUGCAUUGUCCUGUGAGUAGACUAGACGUGCUAGGAUGGGGACCGCGGUGGUUCAGAUUGAAAUUGAAUUAAAUCAAAUAUGAGGUUCCUCUUUGUUAUCUCGAAUGGGUCUAUUUCAUAAGAAUAGCAAUUGCAUUCACACAAUGAUUUGGAUUGAAAUUGAAUUAGAUCAAACAUGAGAUUCCAUCUUUGUUAUCAUGAACGAGUCUAUUCCAUGAGAAUAGCAACCAUUUGAGCCGGAUUAGAAGUCACAUCAUGGGUAUACAAGCCGAAGACAAAUACCACUUUCAAAAGAAAAGAGUACAAAGCAAACGCCAUUUUCAAAUAGUACAUGAGCUUGAUUUGUCAAGGGCAUAUAUGAUAAAUGCUGAGAUUAAUGGAUGGACAUCGUGAUCCAUCGAUUAACUUGUUAUAUCACAUCAAUCAUGUCACGGGUGCGUAAAACGGUUUCUCCAUCUAUAAGCUUGAAGGUUCCUGCCAUGGAGAGUUGCUACAAUUGCUUUUCUGAACCCAUCUUUGUUGAUUGAGGGAAAGGUUGCAAGUUGUUAAGGUGAGUGUUAUCUCUAACUAGUGCUGGCUCUUGUUAGUUUGCCCUUAUCAAUGAUCGUGAUGAUAAAUAUUGGGUUUCAUGGCCUUGCUAUUGUUUCUUUCCAUUGCUGAAGAAUCUUGAGCAAAGUUCUGUUUUGCUGUGAAUGCAUACUCAGUCUAACCACUCUAUAUGAUACCUCAAACGCAUUUGGUAUUUCCUUUGCUUUCCCAUAAAGUGAUCAAAACCAAUUCACAUUUUAAAAGGCUGUUCAUUAGACUUGAUCCGCUUUUCCAAUUGGCAUAUUCAUGAAGAAAGUCUACUUCAAUCAAUGUAAUUUUCCCUUUUAUUUGUCAUUUUGGACUGCACUUAUGGCUACAGCGGACUUUUAUACGCUCGAAUAAACUCUAAGUAUCUUAGUAAGUGAAGCAAGAAAGGAAGGAACAUGGAGGCUAGGUCCGGGCUAGUUCUCCUCUAGCUGGUGCUUGACUGGUCAGACCCUUGUAAUGCGGUCAGUGUGGGAAUUUGGGUUACCGAGAGAGAGAGAGAGUGAGAGAGUGGAAGGAAUAGGUUAAACUGUUUUAUGACUUUAUACCUGUGUACCAAGUGUGGUCCUUUGAUUUUUAAAAUAUGCUCCAACGUUAUGUUAGGGGGGAUUAGGAGGGAAGAGACAUAGUUCCAAAAAAUACAGUUGUGUUUGGAUGGAGAGAAAUAAACGGAUGGAAAGGAUUUGGAGGGAUUAGGAAAGAUUAGAAAGAAUUGAUCCAGUCAAUUUUAUAUGCAUUUUUAAUUCUUGGAGGGAUUCGUAAGGAUUUUCAUAUAAAUAAACAAAUUUAUUCUUCUUUCUCACUUGUUCUGCUUCCAUUUCAUAAUGCAUUCUUUCCCUCACAAGCAUUUAAACAACAUGAUAACUCAAUCACUUCAUAUCAUUUCUCUUUUCUUUUCUUUUUUUAAAUAUAUUAUUUUUCCUCAUAUGGUUACUUCAUGAUACCUAAUCUGUCCUUUGGUUACGUGUGGAUUUGUUUCUUUUUUCUUUAGAAGCCAUAAUAAUAUAAUGAAAAUGACUUAACAGAUAAGCUCAAGUAGAUUUACAGCACAUGCAAAGCGUUUGGUAACUUUUUGCAAAAUGUACAAACCAUUAUGCCUUGAAAUUUGGCUUAACACUAUUUCAAUAUCUUCCAUGCAUCCAAACUCCGCAUAUUAUAAAUGCACACUUCAGUCCCUCCUCCCCCUCCAUUCUAAGUUCUAAUCUCUCUCUCUCUCUCUCUCUCGGAUCGAGAGUGUAUUUUGAAACCUUUGGUUUCCAGGUGGGUGCACAAAACACAAAAGCAUCCUUAGAGUCAAAGGAACACACUCUUCACUAAUUAUGAUUCGGUUAGCGUUAAUUAAACCCAGAUUGAAACAACAUGGCCUCUGGGCUUUGAUGGAUGAAUAAUUUUGAAGUUCCUUUCAUUCGACAAGACAUAAUUUUACUUCACUUGCACAAUUUACUAACUAUGAGAUUUUGUGGGAUCACGACUAAUUGUUCUAAAAGCUUAAACUAUUAAAUGAAAGCAUGUUUUAUUAGUAUUCAAAUAUUCUUACACUCCUCCUCACGUUUAGUCUGGUCUUUUUUGCCUAGUAUUAAGCAUGGGAAUUUAAUUGGGGACGACAAAUGAGAUUAUGAAAUAUUCAAACCCAAGACUUUCAAUUCUUAUGCCAUAUAAGAUAUUGUGGGAUCAUAAACAACUGUUCUAAAAGCUUAAGUUAUUAGAUGAAAGCGUGUUUUAUUAUUUAAAUAUUCAAAUAUUAUAACACUAGCAAUUGCUCUUUAGUCAUCUUUUUUCUUUUUAUCUUUUUUUGGACAUUAAAGUUUGGUGAGAACACUGCCCCCAAAAACAACCAAAACCACCACCACCACCACUACCACCACCACCACCACCACCACGUCGCUGACAUCUCCAUGGAGAUGCUUACCCAGAGUGUCUCUAGAGGCUCAGAUGAGGACGACCGCCUCAAAAGAACUGGUAAUCUACAUUAUCUUCUUGUAUCAUAUGUUCAUUUCUAAUUGUUUACUAUAGGUUUGACACAUCAACAUGCAAAAUAUACAUUUUUUGUACUACGAGUGACAGUUUAAUAUACAUUUUCCAUGUGUGCUUCCUUCAUAAAUUACUGAAAAACUAACCCAAGAGUAAAUGAAAGUUUUCCAAAUGGAAAGAGUUGAGCGGAUUUCAUUGGUUGAUCAAUCAGGGACCCUCUGGACAGCGAGUGCGCACAUAUCAUUAGUGAUGGUAGGACACGUGCUUUCGGUGGCAUGGGACAUUUCUCGUCUGGGUUGGAUUGCAGGCCCUGCUGCGAUGUGCUUAAUUUCCUGUACGUGCUACUACACCUCUCGCCUUCUCUGUGAUUGUUACCGCACUGGUGACUCUGUCACUGGCAAACGUAACCACACUUACACAGACUCUGUUCGCUCAAUUCUCGGUAUGGAAUUCCAUUACUGUGUUGUUGCUUCUCAUUUUUUUGACUCCCGCACAUUGAUUAAACUUCCCAUUAACUUUUGUAUCCAGAUGUAUAGCAAAAAGAGUCGCGUAACUUUUAAUUAUGUGAUAAUAGGAACUCUACAUUCUCAGAAUAUUAGCAUUUUCAGAGUUAUAUUCUCAGGUGGAGUAAAUGCAAAAGCAUGUGCUUUUAUUCAAUAUUUGAUCCUAUUCGGAACGGCCAUUGAAAUUACGGUUGGAGCAUCUUGGAGCAUGAUGUGAGUACAAUUCUAUUUCCCGAACGCUUAACAAGUCUAUGAAGCAGAUCACAUUGAACUUCCAAUUCUACUGUUUCCAAUAUAACCGGUUGAUUCAAUUUUUUAUAUGUUCCCUCUUACCCAUAAAAGGGCGAUCAUUUAUACAAAUUGCUUCCACAAGAAUGAAGAGGAGAACUCGUGCUUCAUUUUGGGCAAUCCAUACAUGAUCAUAUUUGGCGUCGCAGAGAUUCUGCUGUCCCAGAUUCCGGAUAUUGAUCAAAUGUGGUGGGUUUCUAUGGUGUCUGUUGUCAUGUUCUUCAUUUACUCUUUGAUUGGGCUCGGCCUAGCAAUUGCCCGAGUUGCAGGUACAAACUUCUUCUUUUCUCAAGACAGAUGGCCAAGAGAUUUCAAGAGAUUAUAUUACCCAUAUCUUAGCUAAGAAGUUUAUUCCAGCAACUUCUUUCUUGAUGAGCAGCUAGAGGAAGUUUCGAGAGCAAUGGAAGUGUGACUGAAACCCUAAAUAUAUGGAUGAGUUUCGAAGCUCUUGGAGAGAUCGCCCUUGCGUACUCAUCUUCUGAGAUCCUUAUUGAAAUUCAGGUACUUAAAAGUAAUUCCAUCUGUUCAAAAACCAAGGAAAUGGAGAAAAGUGGAUAGAAAAGAACUGAAAUACCCUUUUUGCCCUUGUAAUCUUUGGCAGGACACCAUCAGAUCCCCGCCAUCAGAAGCGGAGACCAUGAAGAAGGCCACUUUUCUGAGCACCGUGGUGUUGACGACUUUGUUCAUGCUGUGGGGCUGCGUGGGCUAUGCUGCUUUAGGUGACGACACUCCAUAUAAUAUUGUGACCGACUUCGCUUUCUACAGGCCACCCUGGCUUCUUGGUAUCGCCAAUGCUGCUGUUUUCAUCAAUAAUGUUGGAGCAUACCAAAUAUACAGCCAGCCGAUUUUCGCCUUUGUCGAGAAACAGGCUGCUCACAGAUGGCCUAAGUUCAUUGCCAGAGAGAGAGAGAUCCCCCUGCCGGGCUUGAGCCCCUACAAAAUGAACCUCUUUAGGCUUGUUUGGAGGACGCUUGUCGUGAUCCUGAUCACCGUGAUAUCAAUGGCAUUCCCGCUCUUCAAUGAGGUCGUGAAGAUCAUCACCUUGGGAUUUUGGCCUCUAGCGGUCUAUUUUCCCGUCGAGAUGUAUAUUAAACAGAAAAAAAUUGACCGAUGGGAAACUAAAUGGGUAUGCCUCCAAAUGCUGAGCAUGGCCUGUCUUGCGAUAUCGAUCAUGGCAACCAUGGGUUUGAUCGCAGGACUUAAGGACAGCCUUAAGCAUAAUCAACCAUUCAAGAUGAUCUACUAAAAAAAUGUACGGACCUUUGGUUGAUCAGCCAUUUCCGGAGGAGACAAUAAUAUCAUUGAAGUUUCUAGUUGCUAUGUUUUGUAUGGAAUUACAAACUCUGCGUUGAAGUAUAUUUAUGGGUAUUAUAGAAUUCCCCGUAAAAAUAUGCUGUUAGAGAUUAUUUUAAAUAAUGAGAUUAUUUAGUAGAACAGCUACUUGUUGAGGAUUCCAGUUUCGUUGUUUUUUUGUAGAAUUGCAGACUUUUUAUAUACUAUUGAUUGCUUAUGAAAACUUUCUCUUAUAUAAGGAUGAACAAAAAUUGUCGUUUCUUUUAAAAUGAAUAAAAAAAAUUUAUGAAUAUUUUGGUUAUGCAAAUUGCCACGUCAACGUACAUUGAGUUACUCUCCACUUAUAGGAUGACAGGCAUGCCGACCUUACAAGAUUGACAUUAGCGGGAGAAAUUGUCAUAUAAAAUUCGGAAGUCUCGUAUCAUUGUCAUAUGUACAUCAGUAACCAAGAAUGAAUAAAUUUUUGCAGAAAAAAGGAACAGAGAUGUAUGGAUAACAAUGUUUUGAGAGAGUAUUUUUUCUACCCUUGGACGACACUCAAAAAAUAUAAAGAUGGAAACUCCAUACGAAUUAGGGAUGCAAAAUGAGUACGUAAAUCCACGUGUGUUUAUAAAUUCCUUCAAAUAAUCAACAUGUGAAUGUGGAAACAUCAUAACCCACUUAGAUUGAUUGGCCAGUCCCAUGACUCUUCGGCAUCCUUGACCAAUUCCCUUUUAUCAAAUUUUGUCCCUUGGCCUGAGUCAAACAGCUAUAUCCGGUAUAUGUUAUUCCAUAAAAACCAAAUUUGAUUGAUAUGCCGUUUGUUUAACCAAUUAUUUCGCUUUAUAUUUCUCUAGGUGCUCCAAAAUGUCUUAUGACUUUACGUGCAUUCCAUCAUAGAUUUAUGGAUUUUAGGGAAUACUCUAUGACAUAAUUUUUCUCGAACUUCGUGCAUUUUAAUCGAGUUAUAAAUUAAAUUUUCCCUCAAAUAGAUUUGAUUAAUCGUCCUAGUGCUGAGCUCGGCCUGCCCCGUCUAAAGUCUUGCUCUAGUGCCCCCUCAAGUCUCAUGUUAAAUGGCUAUACACUGUCCCAGAUGAAUUCUAUAUAGGCAUCUCCAUUUGUCGAACGCAGAUUGGUUGUUGUUUGACCAAGUUUUGUUCUUUAUUCGUCUUUUUUAAGUUUUCACUGAUGAUCAAUCUACUUACUGUCCUCGGUAAAAGAAUUUUCAUCCACUGUUUUACUUUGUUGCAUGAUUAUGCCGCUCGGUAAAGUGUUUCGUGUGAUAAUUGUAUCGAAUGAACAAUUAGCAUUAAUGUCAAGUUGUCGCGACCUGAUUUUCGAGUGCACCACCUAAAACUAGGUUAAUGGACUAUCAAGUUUUUAAACUUAGCUCGGGCUUUCUUAAGUCCAUACCAAUUCGUGACUUAAUGUUCAAAUAUUUAACAUGCAAAAGAUUAUUAACUAGUAGUCACCACUAAUCGGUUUACGGUAGGUCGAUUAAACACCUAAGUAAAAUAAUGGGAGAAUUAUUUUACUCAUACGAACCAAAAAUUAAGGGUACGGAGAUUUCGUUACACUAGAUUUCUCUAAUACUCUUUCAGUACCAUUUCUUUUUUUAAUUUUCAAAAAUAUUUUUUGCAAGUAGCUUUGAUUCAUUUUAACCUAAAUCUCUAUCAUGUAAAUGUAGUAACCACACGGGUGCUCAUCCAUUAUUAAAACAUUCAAAUAAAAAUAAUAAAUAAAUAAAUUGCAUCACACAAAGCAAGCAAUCAUUUUUUUUUUUUUGGGUUUUCUUAAAAAUUAGAAUUCUUUUAUAAAAAUGCAUUUUUAACUAAAUGACUUAAUCUUAUUAAUAUGCAAAUUAUAAUUAAAUGAGUCUAUUAUGCAAACUAGUUAUUAUGCACGUCAUGACCUUACUUCACUAAUGAACAAAUUCUGAUUAAAUGAUCCUAUUAUGCGAACUAGUUAACAUGCACCUAGUAUUUUUGUAUAUUUUUUUUAAUGAAUUUUAGAAUUUAUGAAAACCUUAAUUAAUCUAUCUAAAAAAGGAUAUUUUUCUAAUUUAUUCUAGGGAUUAAUUUGACUUAAACCCUAUCCUAUCUUAGAAAACUAUUUUUUUUUUUUUGGAAAAAUUAGAUAAUUAGAAUAUGCGAACAUUAUCUAAAACCCUAAAAAAUAUUUAGGUUCAACCCUAAAUUAUUCCUAAAAAUGCAAUCCUAAGAAAAUUCCAAUUUACUAAACCUACAUACUCAUGCAGAAUUUUGAUUUUUUUUUUCUAAUUUUUUAUUUUUUUAAAAGAUAAGUAAUUAUUAAAUAAAUAUUAAAUCUAUACUAUCAACAAAAUAAAUGAUUAAAAUAAUAAAAAAAAUAACAUGUUGUCUCACAUGUCAAAUUAACGGUUAUCCUAACCCUAAUUAUCACAACAAAGAGUUCAAAAUAAUUAAAAAUCUGAUCCGAAAUCUUACGGAUCAAAUUAAUAAUUAUAAUGAUUUAAAAAUUAAAAUUCUACCAAAAAGCCCAAAAAUUAAUAUAAUUAAAAAAAAUAAUCCGAUGUCUCUUAGAUUAAAUUAAUAAUUACAAUAAUUCCGGACAAAAUCCUAGCGGAUAAUGCCUACAAAAUUUAUUGACAUCAAAUAUUACAACUUUAAUAGAUAAACUAAAAUGGGAUAAAAUAAAAUAAAUGAAAAGAAAAAGCUAAACUACCUAAAGAAAAAGGGGGUUUGCUACAGCGUUGAUGGGCGCUGGACGCAUGGUGGCCGGUGUCGGGACUCCGGCGGGAGCUGGCGGACAGCGACAGUGAGGGGUUCGAGCUCGGAGCAGCGGCGAAGGUGGAGCUGGACCACGGGUUGCUGGGCGGCGACGUUGGCAGCGGUGAGCGGAUCGGCACGGGCUGAGGUGCGACGGAGACUACGCGGGCUACUGGUGCAGGCGUCGGGCACUUAGAGGCGCAGCGGCAGCGAUGAGUGGACAUAAAUGCUAGUGUAGUGGCGUCGACCAAGUGGGGGCAGACCACUGAGUUGCUGGGCGUAGGUUGCAGGCGUUGUGGGGCUAGCGGCUGCUAGUGUCGCAGGGGAGGUCGAGCGGCGGUGAUACAGCAGGCAGCGUUGGGCGCUGGGCGGAGAGGCGGGCGUCGGCGUUGGGUCAUAUGGACGUCGGGCAGGUUGACGGUGCGGCGGUGGCGGAGGCACGGUGAGGCGCGAGACGGUGGGGGCACGGUCAGCAGCAGCGAUCACCGGCAGGACCCUCGCGGGGAAGAUGAACAGCUUCAUCUUCUUUCCUUUUUCUUUUUCUUUCUUUUUUUUUUCUUAUUGCAGCACGUCUCCUCACACUAGCUCUCUCUGCUACUAUUUGCUUUCUGCAUAUGUAGCUUUUCACCCAAAAAGAAAAGAAUUUUCCCUUCCUUUCUUUUGUAUUUUUUUCCAGCACUCUCUUACGCACGAAUUUUUUUCUGCUCUUUGAAUUCGCUCUCAAUUUUUUUUUUUCGAAAAUCCCCCUCGCAUCGGUACGGAUCGACUUAUUUUAUAGUGAUUUCUAGACGGCCGGUCUCCAUGGCAACUUUCGAGUUUCCAUCUUUUGUCGCAUUAAAUCACGGCUGCAAAUUGGAGCAUGAUUUCACAAUCAGCUCGAUCUUGCACCGAUUCCUUCCAUUUUAUCAAAAUCCUUGCCCUUUGUUCACCUGAUCUUUAAUUGCUUAUGCAUUUAUCAAAAUCUAAAUAUCCAUAACAAUUUCAAAUUUCCAUCCAUAAUCAAUCAAAUUAAUUUCCCCAAUUUUCAUUUUGUUUCUUUUUAUUUGUUCAAAAUGCAAUUUUAUUUUUCCAAAAUUAGGUGUCAACAGCUGUCCCUCUUUGAAGGUGAGCUCGUAGAUGUUGCAUUCAAAGACAAAUUGAGACCUAAUUUUAAUUAUUCACAUGUAUUAAAUGACUUUUUGUUGGAAAAUGAAUUCUUUUUUUGAAUGCAAUUUAUAUGAUGCAUGGAAAUGCUAAUGCAAAUGAUAAAGGAACUUACCUGGAAUUACUUACCUUCAUGGAGGGUACAAUGAUUCAAGAUAGUUGGCAUUACAUGUCCAGGACUCGUACAAUUCUACGGUUACCAGAAUAGUAACAUGGCUUCACAAAGAGACUGCUUUCCCAAGACCUGUACCAUUCUACGGUCGCCUAGUAUGACAGUGUUUGAUUGUGUUUAGGACCCGUACCAUUCUACAGUCACCUAAACGGGGAUUCAUUUUCCAAGACCUGUACCAUUAUGGUCGUCUGAAUAGGUGCUGUUUAGGACCCGUACCAUUCUACGGUUGCCUAAAGUAGGAUUCAUUUCCAGGACCCGUACCAUUCUACGGUCACCUAAGUAGGUGUCAUCUAGGACUCGUACCAUUCUGCGGUUGCUUGAAUAGGUGUCGUCUAGGACCCGUACCAUUCUACGGUCGCCUAAACUGAGAUUUAUUUCUAGGACUCGUACCAUUUUACGGUCGCCUGAAUAGGUGUCAUUUAGGACCCGUACCAUUCUACGGUCGCCUAAACUGGGAUUCAUUUCUAGGACCCGUACCAUUCUACAGUCGCCUGAAUAAGUGUUGUCUAGCACCCGUACCAUUCUACAGUCGCCUAAAUUAGGAUUCAUUUCUAGGACCCGUACCAUUCUACGGUCACCUAAGUAGGUGUCGUCUAGGACCCGUACCAUUCUACGGUCGCAUGAAUAGGUGUCGUCUAGGUAUAUACCAUUCUACGAUUGCCUAAACUGGGAUUCAUUUCCAGGAUCCGUACCAUUUUACGGUCGCCUGAAUAGGUGUCAUCUAGGACCUGUACUAUUCUACGGUCGCCUAAACUGGGAUUCAUUUCUAGGAACCGUACCAUUCUACGGUCACCUGAAUAAGUGUUGUCUAGGACCCGUACCAUUCUACGGUCGCCUGAUGAAUCUGAGAAAAAUCUUUGGGAGGCGACUCCAUCGCACACCAAUGCUUGAAAAGGAAUACCUGUACAAUGAUAAGUAUUUAAGGUAUGGAUAGAGAUAUACUUACUUGGUGACAUCUCUGAUCCUUAGAGAUAUGUCUCCAAAAUCAAUGAGGUGACUUUAGGCUACAGAAGCACACCAUGUCGAAGAAAGGGAACUUUAGGCUACGAAAGCACGCCGAUUUGAUAAAGGGACUUUGAACUAUAGAAGCACGCUAGGUUAUAGUAAGGGACAUUGGGCUAUGGAAGCACACCGAGUCAAUAAAUAGGGACAUCGGACUAUGGAAGCAUGUCGAGUCGAUGAAAAAGACUCUAGGCUACGAAAGCACGCCAAGUCAAUAUAAAGGACAUCGGGUUACGAAAGCACGCCGGGUUGAUGAAAGAGACUCUAGGCUACAAAAGCACGCCAUGUCAAUAUAAAGGGCACUGGGCUAUAAAAGCAUGCCGGGUCGAUGAAAGGGACUCUGGGCUACAAAAGCAAGCUAGGUCAAUAUAAAGGACACCGGGCUACGAAAGCAUGCCGGGUCGAUGAAAGGGACUCAAGGCUACGAAAGCACGCCGAGUCAAUUUAAAGGACACCGGGCUAGCACACCGGGUCGAUAAAAGGGACGCUGGGCUACGAAAGCAUGCCAGGUCAAUUUAAAGGACAUUGGGUUACGGAAGCACGCCAGGUCGAUAAAAGGGACUCUAGGCUACAGAAGCACACCAGGUCAAUAUAAAGGACACAGGGCUACGAAAGCAUGCCGGGUCAAUAUAGAAGACAGCUUGACCAAGUCAAGUGUUGAUGCACUUGGGAGAGAAUACCUGCACAAUGACAAGUAUUUAAAGUAUGAGUAGAGAUAUACUUACCUGGUGAUAUCUUUGAUUCUUGGGGAUAUGUCCUUUGGAACUUAGAUAUCCUGUGGAGGACUCUCACCUCAUGAAUGUCAGAAGCUCUUGGGUCUUUGAGAAAACAUUAUCUGUCAUACAUGAUUAGAGCAAAAAUGCAUUCAUCAAAGCAAUUAAUGCUAUUUUGGAAUGCGCACUUCAAAAUCCACUGAAGUUUUUAUCAAUUUAAUUGGGGUUCAUGCAUAAUGACCUUUGCAUUACCCAAAUUUCCACUAGAGAAUUACCGUUCAAGAUAAUUUUCACUCAUGACAUGGAUUUCUUAAGAAUACUAAAUGAGAGACUUUCGGUUAGAAAUGACUUUUACUCAAUCUCAUUUAAAAGAGAAUCACUUCAUCUUACCGUAUCGACAGGGGUUUGAGUAUUCUCGCAAGCGGUACAACCUUACCAAUCUGAGAGGUCUUCAACAUGGACCAUAUUGUGGGCUUGGUCAACGGCUUAACAAAGGGACUCUUUGAGUCAAGGCUAUUGAAAGAAUAUCUUCACAAUCAUCUCUAGGUUUACAAGUCAAGAACCUUGUAAAAUGAGAAAGAAAUAAUCUUGCUCGUACUUCUUCGAGUGAUGCUUAUAAACAUAUGAACCCCUACGUUAAUUCAAGUGCCAUAAUCUGAAGAGACUUCGUAAGGGAUGUAACAUUGGUUGGGUUCAUGGGUUGAGAAACGAAAUGAUCAUUAGGCUCAAAAUAUGUGUAAAGGGUCAAAGCUAAUGAUCAUUUAGGCAUUGUUGCUGGUCUUCUCUUUCGCCAGGGAUGCACCAUCGAUUUUGACUCUUUGAGUACUACUCCAUUGAGAUACAACCUUUUGCAACUGAUAGUCACUUAUCAUGACUCUUUCAUUUUCAUUGGCAUUACUUCUACUAGGCACAUCACUUUUUUCAUGCCCCUAGUUUGCAUGCAUUUUUUUUUCAUUUCUUUUUCAUGGGCAUUGGCCUUGCUUUUACCAGGCACACUGCUUUUUUCAUGCCCCUUAGUUCUAUUCUAAUUUCAAUCCUUGCACACAAUGCAUGCGUCAAGCAAUACUUUGAAUGACACUCAAACUUUCAAGAGUCCUCAUUUGUCUUUUGCCUUGCCCUAGUGUGGGGGAUAAUUACCAACUGGGUUUAAAGAAAUGAAAUUGUAGGCUCAAGUGGGCUAUGCAAAUGGUAUAAAUAUGUAGGAUAGAGAAAGAAAUGCUCUUUGUCAUCCUAAGGCACUUAAGUUCAACACAUGAAUUCAAUGCAAUAGCACGACUUGAAGAUUGACGCAAGUGAGAGCAAGAAAAUUUCAAUUCAUUUUCCUCACCUCAUGAUGCCAUUUUAUCUCUCCUUUGCCCCAAUGUGGGGUGAUUCUUGACAUGAGUAAUUUGAAAAGAAUAUCCAUAAGUGUAUGGGCUCAAAAGAGUUAAGCAAUGGAUCACCUGUAACGUUUGGGAUAAAGAAAUGAACCGCUUCUCAUCAUUUCAGUUGCCGUACCUUUUGCAAAAUAACUCUUUUACCUUGUGUAUAUGAACCUUCCUACACUCAUCUCACAAGUGCAUGAGUAGGGGACUGUGUAUAGGAUAAGGUUUGCCUUUCAUCAUCCCGACUCGUCUCAUUUAGUAUGCUCAAUCAAUUCCACAUCAUUCAUUAAAUUAGUCCAUAUUGAUGUUCUUUAGUGGAAUUGGUAACUAAAAGUCAUCAUGCAAAAUCCUUUAAAAAAAAAAAAAAAAAAAGAGCUCAACAGCUUUAGGCAUGAAAAAUUAUUAACUAAAAAACAAACAAUUUUCCACACUGCAAAAUGGUUUUUAGCAUUCAUUUAAGGAUUCAUCUACAAUGGGAUUGCCUCGGCAAUUGAUGUCUUUGGAUUGUCCCUAUCCGCUUUUGCCCCUGCACAAGAGAAUGUGCAUGAAUAGGAUACUAUGCAACAUCAAGGUGAAUUCAAAUUGCGCAUUCAUUUUAUCUCAGUCAUGUCACUACUAGAAUCUGUAGUGCUCCCAAUUCGACAACUGUUGAGUAACAAUUGAGCCAAUUGAUCUAUCAUUGCAACCUAAUGUGCCUUUUCAAAUGCCUUCUCAUUAGACCAAAAACGUAAUGCUCUGAAACAGGAAGUAAAUGAGUUAGAAAAUUAAACAGUGUUAACCUAAUGCAUGCUUUUGGAAAUGGCUUCAAAAGUGUUUUUUUUUUUAAAGGAUUUUUUGGAUGAGGAAGCAUGAAGAAGCCCAGUCCUCAGAAUUCUCCUUGGAUAAUAUUUUCUUUUCAUUGUUGGAUAUCGUCACCGGACUGGUUUGGUGUACCUCAUCAUGCCCUCAAAAUAAAACUUGUAAUGUCAUUGAAAUUCAUCAAUCAAUUACAUUUAUUGAAAAAAAAUGCAACACUCAAUCACUAAAAGAAAGAAGAAACUGAAAACAUUAUUUGGAAAAUAAUAAAAAUUCCCACGCAAGGGAAUGUGCAAAAGCAGUAAAAGAGUUACUCCUGUGGGCCAAGGCCCAUCUCUUGAGAGGAUUUUUCAUCAAUGGCUCCUGUGAUGAGGUCGUCGAACAAGUUUGUAACUCCUUCUAGCACAUCAUCAAGGUUCUCUGUAUUCGGUGGUGUUGGAUCAUCCAUGCCACCCCAUCCAUCUGGGACUAUCUCGCGAGGAUCAAUGUUACUGCUAGGAGGGGCUGAAUACUUUACCAGGUAAUCAAACUUGUCACUAGGUUGUCCCAGAGUGUCUAUCACUUCCACUUCAUCCUGCAUCAUUCUUGGAGGAUCGGAGAAUGUCUUAUGAAUGCUCGGGGGUAGUGGGUUUUAACUCCCUUGCCCUUGGUCAGGUGGUGAGUUCCGCCUUUCUUGUCUUCGUCCUUCAGAACUACCCCCACCUCGGGGGUAGUGGAUUUUAACUCCCUUGCCCUAAUUCAGCAGAACGAGACCUUUGAGGGGCUUUGAUAGGGUUCCGAAUGCCUUGACCUCUUCUUUCAAGGCCAUAUGACAUCAUCUUGAAACCCCAAAAGUGGAAAUGAAUGGUACGGCGAUUUUUCCUAAAGAAUAUAAAACAAGACGAAAGACGAAACAUUGUCAUGGACCGACGAAAAUUGCAAUAAAGUAAAUGAAUUGCAAAGUGAGAGUCCACACAACUUACUUUCACCGAAAAGGGAUGACAAUCACAUAGACAUACGCAUGAAGUGUGAGGCUCGAUUUCAAUCUAGACAGCUUAACAAAGUGGAGCUAAGAGGAUGAUCUGACCAUUGUAGUCUCGCAUUAAUGUGUUAGGUCCCCCUAACUCCGGCUUAGUUGAAUGGAAUGUCUAAUAGUCACGCAGUCUCGCGGAUAUGGACAAACACAUUCGACACCAUGAAAAGACUUUCGGAGAAGAGAAUGUCAACCUCUACAUAGCAGUCUCGCUUUGGAGGAAGUAUCCUUCUCAACACCAUCCUAGAAAUCCUAUCGCAGCCCAAGUUCGGCUACAGGUUAUGUGUGCAAUAGUAUAGUGCUAAAAACAAUAAAGCAUGCACAACAGUUUAAAUGCAAACAACACUUCUAAUCAUGGAAAAAUAAAUCAUUAAUCCCACACUCCAACCUGCAAGACAAAGGUUAGCAUAAACUACUCCCCUUAUACCUCCCAUCUGCAAAAACAUUUAAUACCUUAGAUAUGUUAGGUACGUACCUGGUGUCCUCGCUGCCAAACAAAAACAUUUUUAAAAGAAAAAUUGGUCUAAGUUCACUAAGUGUUUUAACAUAGUUCUCUAGCGGAGUCGCCAAGCUAUCGCGACCUGAUUUUCGGGUGCACCACCUAAAACUAAGUUAAUGGACUACUACGUUUUUAAACUUAGCUUGGGCUCUCCCAAGCCCAUACCAAUUCGCGACUUAAGGUUUAAGUAUUUAACAUGCAAAAGAUUAUUAACUAAGAGUCGCCCCUAAUCAGUUUACGGUAGGUCGAUUAGACAUCUAAGUAAAAUAAUGGGAGAAUUAUUUUAGUCCUACGAACCAGAGACUAAGGGUACAGGGACUUGAUUACAUUAUAUUUUUCUAAUGCUCUUUCGGUACCAUUUCUUUUUUUAAUUUUCAAAAAUAUUUUUUGCAAGCAGCUUUGAUUCAUUUUAACCUAAAUCUCUAUCAUGUAAAUGUAGUGACCACAUGAGUGCUCAUCCAUUAUUAAAACAUUCAAAUAAAAGUAAUAAAUAAAUAAAUUGCAUCACACAAAGCAAGCAAUCAUUUUUUUAUUUUUUUUUGGGUUUUCUUAAAAAUUAGAAUUCUUUUAUAAAAAUGCAUUUUUAACUAAAUGACUUAAUCUUAUUAAUAUGCAAAUUCUAAUUAAAUGAGUCUAUUAUGCAAACUAGUUAUUAUGCACGUCAUGACCUUACUUCACUAAUGAACAAAUUCUGAUUAAAUAAUCCUAUUAUGCGAACUAGUUAACAUGCACCUAGUAUUUUUGUAUAUUUUUUUUAUUGAAAUUUAGAAUUUAUGAAAACCUUAAUUAAUCUAUCUAAAAAAGGAUAAUUUUCUAAUUUAUUCUAGGGAUUAAUUUGAUUAAACCCUAUCCUAUCUUAGAAAACUUUUUUUUUUUGGAAAAAUGAGAUAAUUAGAAUAUGCGAACAUUAUCUAAAACCCUAAAAAAUAUUUAGGUUCAACCCUAACUUAUUCCUAAAAAUGCAAUCCUAAGAAAAUUCCAAUUUACUAAACCUACAUACUCAUGCAGAAUUUUGAUUUUUUUUAUUUCCUUUUUUUUUUUAGUUUUUUAAAAGAUAAGUAAUUAUUAAAUAAAUAUUAAAUCUAAACUAUCAACAAAAUAAAUGAUUAAAAUAAUUGAAAAAAUAACCUGUUGUCUCAUAGGUCAAAUUAACGAUUAUCCUAACCCUAAUUAUCACAACAAAGAGUUCAAAAUAAUUAAAAAUUUGAUCCGAAGUCUUACGGAUCAAAUUAAUAAUUAUAAUGAUUUAACAAUUAAAACUCUACCAACAAGCCCAAAAAUUAAUAUAAUUAAAAAAAAUAAUCCGAUGUCUCUCUGAUUAAAUUAAUAAUUACAAUAAUUCCAGACAAAAUCUUAGCGGAUAAUGCCUACAAAAUUUAUUGACAUCAAAUAUUACAACUUUAAUAGAUAAACUAAAAUGAGAUAAAAUAAAAUAAAUGAAAAGAAAAAGCUAAACAACCUAAAGAAAAAGGGGGUUUGCUGCAGCGUUGAUGGGCGCUAGACGCACGGUGGCUGGCAUCGAGACUCCGACGGGAGCUAGCGGACGGCGAUAUUGAGGGGUUCGAGCUCGGAGCAGCGGCGGAGGUGGAGCUGGACCGCGGGUCGCUGGGUGGUGAUGUUGGCAGCGGUGAGCGGAUUGGUACGGGCUGAGGUGCGGCGGAGACUAUGCAGGCUGCUGGUGCAGGCGUCGGGCACUCAGAGGCGUAGUAGUAGCUAUGAGCAGAUAGAAAAGCUAGUGCAGUGGUGUCGACCGAGUGGGGGUGGGCCACUGAGUUGCUGGGCACGGGUUGCAAGCAUUGCAGGGCUGGCGGCUGCUAGCAUUGCAGGGGAGGUCGAGCGGCGGUGAUGCAGUAGGUGGCGUCGGGCGCUGGGCGGAGAGGCGGGCAUUGGCGCUGGGUCAUGGAUGUCGGGCAGGCUGACGGUGCGAUGGUGGCGGAGGCGUGGUGAGGCGCGAGACGGUAGGGGCGCGGUCAGCAGCAGCGAUCACCGGUAGGACCCUCGCGGGGAAGAUGAACAGUGCUUCAUCUUUUUUUUUGAUAAAGGUAAAGGAUAAUAUAGCUUUGGACAAAAUACAAUAGACGGUGCGAAAGGCUUACACUCUAAGGAAGACCGAAGAGUGGAAGGGAGCCGUGACAAAAGCCAAAGGCAAGCAGACCAAAAGGAGAAGAACCACAGUUACAACACAAAAACAAGUACAACCACCAAGCCUUCGCCAAACAAUCGAAAAACGAAGAAACGGAGUGAUGAUGAAGCUUAUAGCAGAACAAGAGAAGAAGCAGGGAGACUAACGCCCGAGACGAUCCGUAAAGAUGGAGGGAUCAAGAUCCCAACUUCUUUGGAGAUGCCUAUUUCUCGGAGUGUCCGGAAUACUUGUGAAUGUAGUCGCUUUAUCUUUGACUAUCUUCAUAAGGUGGUUCUUCAAAGCAGGGACAAACAGUGCUUCCCCUCAGAAAAUAAUAUCAUUCCUUUUCUUCCAAAUCAAAUAACAAAGGCCACCGAAAGAGAACUGCGCAAUCUGAUGGUAGAAAUCCUUACCGGAGGGCAACCUAAUUGCCCAAGUAAGGUUGUCCAUCCAUGGCCUCGAUUUCCAGGGUAAAUUGCAUCUCGUUGCCCAAAAAUAAGCAAGCGUGGCCGAGAUACGAUAGUUGAAGAACAAGUGAUCAAUAGAGUCCAGAGUAGCAUUACAGUAUGCGCAAGUACCCGAGACAAUUAUGUUAGAAUGGAUUAGGACUUCCUGGGUGGGUAAUCUGUUCUUGGUAAUCAACCACAAGUUAAAUUGAUUUCUAAGGACAAUAUUAGAGUUUCAAAUAAAGGAGUCCCAAGAAACUCUUUCCUUCUUUGUUCUAAUGAAAUCCCAUGCAGAGGCAACAGAAAAGGAUCCGGAUGAGUGAUGAUUCCAGGUGAAACAAUCCGGUGCAUCAGUUUGAUCCGGGACAAAGAAACCACAGCUCUCAAGUGAACUCUUAAAUGCAUGACCAAGGGGGGAGAAUAAAUCUUCGACAACAGCAUGCUUAAGGAGACUCGACAAUUCAAUGAUGGAUGUCGGAAAUAAAAGAUCAAGGGGGCCAUCAGCGAGCCAUUGAUCAUGCCAUAAAGAAACCAAAAAUCUAUUACCAAUCUUCCAAGCGAAGCAAGACCUAAACUAUGUUCUUAAUUGCAAUAUUUUUUUUUCCAUCCCCAAGAACACGUAGAAGGUGUUGAGGCGAUCCAGAAAUUGUCCUUUUUUAAGAAAUUAGAAUGGAUCCAUUGAUACCACAACGAUUCUUUAUCGGUGAAAAGGAUCCAUAUGUACUUAAGCAUGGCCGCUCUAUUGCAGUCUUUCAAAUUCCUUAUGCCAAGCCCACCUUCAUUUUUUGGGAGGCAUAUGUCAUCCCACGCAACCUUAGCCCCACCUUUACCAAGUGCGGAUCCUUUCCAUAAGAAUUGUCUCAAGAUUGUUUCAAUACUAAUCAGAACCGACGCUGGUAAGGUAAACACACUCAACCAAUAUGAUUGAAUGGAAUAGAGGAUUGACCUGAUGAGCUGCAGUCUUCCAGCAUAUGAUAGAAAUCUUUGAGUCCAAGAUUGAGCCCUAGUAGUGAUCCGAUCAAUUAGAGCAAUACAGUGAACUUUUAGAAGUCUAGAAGAGAUGAUGGGAACCCCGAGGUAUCGCACAGGCAAGGUACCUUCUUGGAAUCCAAAUGCCAUUUGAAUAUAAUUGCGAAGAGAUAGAGAUCCUCCCGACAUAAAUAUUUCGCUCUUGUGUUUCUAUUCGGGAUUAAGCCACUCCAUGAAGAGAAUAUAUCAAGGCCCUUUUUCAUUAAGGUGAUAGACGCCCAGUUAGCCCGGCAGAAAAGGAAAACGUCAUCCGCGAAAAAAAAUGUGAGUCAGCCGAAUUGCCUUGCACCUCCAAUAGGGAUUGAAUUCCAUAAGAGAAGUCUAGGAGACUAGAAUUCCAGAGAAUACCUCCAUCACAAGCGUGAACAGAUAAGGGGACAUAGGAUCUCCUUGUCGUAGUCCUCUCCCUCCGGCAAAGAAUCCAUGAAGCUCUCCAUUGAUUGAAAUGGAGUAUUUGGGAGUCCGAACACAAGCCAUAAUUAACCGAACAAAAACAUUAGGGAAGCCAAAUGGCGUGAGUGUUGAUUGAAGAAAAUCCCAGUCGAUAGUAUCAUAAGCCUUUUGGAAAUCCACUUUUAUCGCACAUUUGGGGAGGUAAGGUUCCAAAUGAAACCCAGCAAAUAAUUCUUGAGCCAAAAGAAUGUUAUCUCUAAUCCUCCUCCUUUUGACAAAGGAGUUUUGAGAGUAGUCAACUAAGUUCCCAAGGACAAUAACUAGGCGAUUGGCUAAUAUCUUUAUAAUGAUUUUAUAAAUGGUGUUGCAACAUGCAAUAGGGCGAAAAUUUGAGACACCACAAGCAUUAGGGACCUUUGGAACUAAGGUAAGGAUGGAAUUAUUCACCUCUUUGAGCAGAUAGCCUGAUAUGAAGAAUUCCUGCACUGCCUCUGUUACGAGCGGGCCAACAGUAUCCUAGCAUCUCUUGAAGAAUUCGGCAGUGAAUCCAUCAGGACUCGGCGCUUUCCCUUUCGCUAGGGAGAAGAUCGUUUCUCGAAUUUCAAGGAUUAGCACUGGUCUGGUUAGGUCACCGGCUUGGUCCACCGACAGGGGAUUGUGAAUGAACUUUCUUAACUCCUGCAGGGAAGGCUUGGACAAUCCAGAGUGAGGAGAAAGCAUAUCAGCAAAAAAUAUAACAAAGACUUGGGGAACCGCAUCAGGGUCAUCGAUAAAAGCACCCGAGGAGUCCUUCACCGUAAUGAUUAUGUUUGUAAGUCGUCUUCUCUUAACAGAAUGAUGAAAAAACUUUGUAUUUUGGUCCCAUUCCUUGAGCCAACGGAUUCUCGAUUUUUGCCUAUAGAAGGAUUCUUCAUCUCUACGCAAGUUAACAAAGAGCUUGCGGCAAAUUUGCUCUGUAUUGGCGAGGUCAGAAUCAUUAGGGUUGAGAUGUAGAUCAAGCUAAGCAAAGCGAAGAGCUUCCCUUGCUUCCUCUGUUCUUAUUGAAAUGUUUGAAUAUGUAUCUCUAUUUAAGAGUUUAAGCUGGCUCUUCAGAGUUUUGAGUUUAGAAACAAGCCUAAACAUAGAAAAUCCUUGAACUAGAAUAUCCCAUACCUGUUGCACAAUGAGGAAGAAGUCAGGGUGCUGAGCCUAGAAAUCAAAAUACUUGAAAGGCCUCCUCCUACGAGUCGGGUCAAUGACUCUGACUACCAUUGGGGAGUGGUCGGAGAUGCCCGAGUUAAGGAAAGAGGCCUCGGAGAAAGAGAAUUCCAUAUUCCAAGUGGUAUUAACCAAAACACAAUCUAUUUUUCGCAUUUUCCUACUUGCACCCGCAGAGGUGGACCAGGUAAACCUAAGGCCAAUGUACCUGAGGUCGUCCAACUCAGUUUGUUCGCAAACUCAUCAAAGUAUGGAAUCCAAGUAUCAGAACUACCAAAACAGUUAGAUGGAUCCUUGAUAACGUUAAAAUCUCCAGCAACCAACCAGGCCGUGUCUUGCAUGAGGGCAUUUAUCAGAAUAAGAUCUUCCCAGAGUGGGCGACGGCGAAUAAACGAGUGUUCACCAUAUAUAAUAGAAACACGGCACGUCUUUGUAGACGAGAUAAUCCUCACGCAGCCAUGCACAGCUUGAGCACUAACCGAGAUGGGAUCAUAAUUUAUAUAGUCUGGGUUCCAACCAACCCAUAUUCUUCCACGAGGGGAGUGUUCAUAAUUCGUGAUCCAUUUCCAAUCAUUCAGCAAAAAGGAGGAUCGGGAAUCAAAAGUAUCCUCAGGAACUUUGGUCUCAAUGAGCUCAAUCAAGCACAGAUUAUGAGAAGUGACAAGCUUUCGCACUUCAGCCCGAGUAACGGAAUUCAUAAGGCUUCUAACAUUUCAGGCAGCUAUAUGCAUAUUUACAGAAGAAAGGGAAGAGGGUUACCUCUUUCUAGAACCCUUAUUCCUACCCACCGUCGGAGGAGGAUCCGCAAUAGGAGGAGGGUUCGGGCAUAGCAGCAGCAGCUUGUCCUGCAUUGUCACAGCUGGGGUAGUAGAGCGAGGGCCUUUCGGUGGGAAGGAGUCUACCGAAAGUAGGUCUUCAUCUUCUGUCUCUUCCUGGAAGCUGGGAUUGACAAUCUCAUCUGAAUAAUGAGGCACUGACAAUUGAGGAGUAGUUGUUUUCCCUUUAACCGAUAUAGAGGGGCCCUGACCAGCUUUAGAGGGUGCUGCACCCGCAUCGGUAGACUUACGAGAUGAUGGUGCAACUCUCACUGUCCUUAAAACAAAGUCUUUUAGCUUCAGCGAUUAGCCUCCUUCACCAAGUGCAGCUGAACUGGUGGAGGCAACCUUUUUUGUGAAAGGCUUUUUCUUUCUUUUAACUUGUUUCCACUCAGAAUCGACCGGGGGUGGGAUGCUAGAUGGAUCGUCUGUCAUCCUCAAAACCAAUCUUUCUUUAUCAACAACGCCUUCAAUAGGCUUGACUGUGAACAAAGGAUAAACUGCAUCUGUUUCUAUACUCUUGUGUAUUUCGGCCGAGUUCCCCCCUCCCUGAGGGCUUCUAGGAACAGUCCUUGUAGUAACCAGAGGGUUGAUAUGCGUCUCUGUAGUUCGAAGGUUCAUGUGCUGAGAGCUCGAUUGGCCCUGAGGCCGAGAACCAGUAGGAUCAGACGCAUUCUAAACACCAGCAGUUGCUUUAGCAACUGGAGAGGUAUCAAUAGCAACAAGUCUAGCCUUAGCUGCAUUGCAUUUAUGACCAAAUAUUCCACACCCUGCACAGGCUGUUGGUUUCCAUUCAUAUUCCACAUCGACCAUACAAGAUUGGCCUUCAUAAACCAGCUCAAUACAUCACAAUGAGGUUGGUUGGCUGUGAUCUCUACACAUACUCUAGCAUAGGUAAGCAUGUGCAUCUGUUAUGUUCUUGAGUCAACAUACAAUGGUUUCCCAACACCACUAACAACUUUGCUUAUUGAUUAUGCAGACCAGAAUGCAGCAGGGAGAUUUAUGAGUCUAACCUAUACAGGCACAUUGAGGUGAGCAUCUUUCCUCAAUUCUAAGUCCGGUCUCCAUUGUUGAAGAACUAAGGGAAUCUUGGAGACGGUAAUGGGCCCUCCUUCCAGCACCUUCAUUUGAAAUUCCCUGUCUGGGAUAUGAAAGAAAAACAAGCCCUUUCCAUUAGCCAUAACUCUCGCCAAGUUGGUACCCCAAGCCUUUUUAAAAGCUGCUUCAGUAACUACAAAUGGUAUCCUCCUACCUAUGUAGUAUCCCACUAAACACUCUUGCAAUUUUGGAUAUGCAGCUAGGAUGUCGUCCUCUGUCAUUUCAACAACCGGGCGGUUACCAACGCGAGUUGGAGGGAAAUAAUCAAGGUCAUAUCCCUUUGAGGCUACUUUAGCUACAGCCACAUUCGCCCAAGAGCGAAGAUUCGAGCUCCUUGAGAAGGCUCACUGGGGGCAUUUGGAGGACGAUCUUCCUCUACUCAUGCCUUUACGUCCAUCAAAGCGGAGAGAGCGAGCGCGACCAUAAUGUUUCUCCACCAAAACAGGGGCUUGGUUUCCACCACCAAUGUUCUCAUUCACAAUAUCAAUUGACAGAGAUAGAUUGUCACUUCCGGUUUGCAACCCAGCAGGAGGAAAAGCAAAACACAACCUGUCAGUUGCAGUCGGGGAGCUUGUGUUCGAGGGCGUGCGCCCCUUCUUGUUCAAAAGAAGCCCAUCAACCGAAGAACGGCCCUGAUGGUGGGGACGUGGAGCAGAAGCACUAGGGCCUUCAUCUAAACCAAGGGCCUUGGCUGAAGCCGAGGCCAUCGCAACAACAAAAUAGGCGAGCAGCAACAGAAUCAGGAAAAAACACUAACCGAUUUCCUCCAUAGCCGGCCUAAAAGAGAAACGAACCUGGGGAAAUCUUCGGAGGGCUUAGAGAGGGGACCAAGGCGCCUCUCGCUGCCAAAAAAAAACCUGUUCGAACACCUGGGAUCAGCCGAAGAAGGAGGCAUGAGCACAGAAGCUCGGUCGCCAGCAGAGGGGACCUAUGCGCCAGGGACGACACCUGAGAGCACGAUCAAACAUGGCGACGACGGCAGCGGUCAGAAACGGAGCCGGAGCGUACGUCGCGGUGGUGACACAGGGCUCACCGGCGCCGCUGGGGAGGGAGGCCGUCCGUCACUUUGCUCUGGUCGAGAGCUCUUUGAGGGCGCGUUCAAACCCGACGACGGCGAUGGUGGUUAGAUACGGAACCGGAGGCAGCGGAAGAGAUUACGCCGCCGGUGGUGUCAAGGCGGGACGACGAACCUGGUCGCAGGGCUCACCGGCGCCGCUGGGGUGGGGGUUUUGUUUGACGCUCUGCUUCUCAGGAUUUCAGAAAAAAAAAAACACCAAGUGAUUUUGCUUCAUCUUCUUUCCUUUUUCUUUUUCUUUCUUUUUUUUCCUACUGCAGCACGUCCCCUCACACGAGCUCUCUCUAUUGCUAUUCCCUUUCUACAUAUGUAGUUUUUCACCCAAAAAGAAAAGAAUUUUCCCUUCCUUUCUUUUGUAUUUUUUUUUUCAGAACUCUCUUACACACAAAUUUUUUUCUACUCUUUGAAUUCGCUCUCAAUUCCCCCUCGCAUCCGUACGGAUCGACUUAUUUUAUAGUGAUUUCUAGACAGUUGGUCUCCAUGGCAACUUUCGAGUUUCCAUCUUUUGUCGCAUUAAAUCACGGCUGCAAAUUGGAGCAUGAUUUCGCAAUCAGCUCGAUCUUACACCAAUUCCUUCCAUUUUAUCAAAAUCCUUGCCUUUUGUUCACCUGAUCUUUAAUUGCUUAUGCAUUUAUCAAAAUCUGAAUAUCCAUCAAAAUUUCAAAUUUCCAUGCAUAAUCAAUCAAAUCAAUUUCCCCCAUUUUCAUUUUUUUUCUUUUUAUUUGUUCAAAAUGCAAUUUUAUUUUUCCAAAAUUAGGUGUCAACACAAGUAUUCCAUCAAAUGUUUUCAUCUAUUACAAUUUUCCAAACAUCCGUAAUAUAAAUUGCAUCUAUCACGUGAUAACAUAAAUGGGAAAAUUACCAAAAAAGUUCUAAAUCUAUUACAAUUGUGCCAAUUUAGUCUUAAACUUAUUUUUUUUUUUGUCAAUUGAGUCAUAAACUUUUUUCAAUUGUGUCAGUUCAGUCUUUUUGGCUAAAAUUGGCCGGCUGAUGCUAACAUGGCCACCGACCGAUGACAGGGAUAAUUUUUUAAUAAUAUUUUAUUUUUUUCAAAUUAUCUUAUUAAUUUUUUUACCUUUUUUUAAUCUUUUUUUUCCUCCUCCCUCCUUCCUCCUUUGGCUUCGGCGACUGGACAGAGGGAGGGCUAGCCGAUCCCCAGACUGAGGUGGUCGAGCAAGCUCACUUCGCCGUGUUUGGUGAGGCGAGCCCCUACUGGAUCUAGCAAGGGCUAGCAAGGGCUCACUUGGCGAGGGCUCACCUCGCCAUCGCUAGGCAAGGACUCACCUUGCUGUUGCUUGUCGAGGACGAGCUUGCCCAACCACUAGUGAGGCGAGCCAUUGCCAGAUUGAGGGGGACCUCGCCGUCAUUGGUCUAGCGAGGGAAGCCCCCAUCAGAUUUGGUGAGGACUCGCCUUGCCGUCACUAGGUCUGGCAAGGUGAGCCUUCGCCAGAUCCAGCGGGGGCUCGCCUGACCACCUCAGUCCGGUGACUAGCCAACCCUCCCCUUUAGUUAGUCACCGGAGCCGAAGGAAGAAAAAGGGAGGAGGAGGGAGGAGAAAGGGGGAGAAAAAAAAAAGAAGAAAAGAAAAAUAAAAUUAAUAAAAUAAUUGAAAAAUAAAUUUAUUAUUAAAAAAUUAUCAUUGGCAUCAGCUGGUGGCCACGUUAGUGCUAGCUGGCCAAUUUUCACCAGAAGGACUGAAUUGGCAUAAUUACAAAAUGUUUAGAACUCAAUUGGCCAAAAAAAAAAAAUUAUGACUGAAUUGGCACAAUUGUAAUAGAUUUAUGAUUUUUUUUUAUAAUUUUCCCCGAUAUAAACAUUACCUGAAGAGUAGGUAUUACCUCCGCUCUUUAUAGGUGGAUCCAACUUGUUAAGGAUUAGAAGCAUAAAGAAACAGAGUUCGUGGAAACAAAGUUCGUGGAAACAGAGUUCGUGGAAGUGAAUAAGGAUGAGGAAACAAAGUCUAAAGAUUGUGCUGCUGCUACAAGUGUGAUGACAGCUACAACUACACGUGCAUAUGGAGCCAUUGAGAAGAACUGAGUAAAUGAACUAAGAAGCUCAACUCUGGCCUCCAUUAGAAGUGUGCCCCAUGUGUCCACGUGCUUUAUUACUGAAAAAUAGUUAUUUGGUUUUAGAAGAUUAACAGAACCUGUUAAUUCUGUUUUCAUCGUCUUCUUUCUUUUACUUUUGGUGUGGUGUAUAAAUCAAGUGAGGAAGGGAAACAUUGAUAAAGAUGAGCUCUCAGAUGAAUGUAUUACUCGACUGUUUAUGAAAUCUAGAAUACAACUCGAUUCAUCAACAUUCUUCUUCUUCUUCAUUUUCUGUUCAAUCAUUGCUUUUUCACAUGGUAUUAGAGCCAUCCUGAGAGCUCAAAUCAUCCUUGCUAUAUGACUCAAAGCAAUACAAAGCUCACAAAAUCCAGACGACGUCAAGGCAGUUCAGAGCAACUUUUGAAGUUCUCUUUGAUUGAAUACAGGUGAUCAACAUGUGAUCAUGAGUUGUGAGGGAUCAACAGGUGAAGUUUUCUGAUCUUGAGUUGUGCAAGAUCAACAGGUGAUCAUGAUUGUGAAAAUACAUCAUCAAAGUUUCUGAGAAAACAAAAUGACAGCAAGAACACAGAAAUAUCAUUUUCCGAUUUAUGUCAAUAUAUAUAUAACUUUGUUACGAUAAAGUUAGCUGAAGAUAACUUCCUGCUCUGGCAAGCGCAGUUUCAUAGAUUCCUACGAAGUCAAGAUCUUUUUGGAUUCAUCAAUAGAGAAACACCACCACUAGCUCAGAUGUUGCAGGUUGAGGUUGAAGGUCAUGAAUUUGAAAUAGUGAAUCCUGAUCAUACAGAUUGGGUAAAAACUAACCAACUAGUAUCAUCAUGGAUUAGUGGAGCAGUAUCUGAGAAUAUUUUGAGCUUGAUCAUCGGGCUGGAAACUUCAUAUGAGGUAUGGCAAACACUCCUUAAUCGUUUUACGCAAAAAUUAGUAGCCAAGGAGUUUGAGCUAAGAAGAAAGUUACAAGCUUGCCAAAAAAGAGAUGGAACAUUGUUUGUUUAUCUUAGGGAGUUUAAAUCCAUUUGUGAUCAGCUUAAUGCAAUUGGGAAACCUGUUGAUGAGAUAACCAAGAUGUUUGGUGUUCUUGAAGGUUUAGGAUCAAAAUAUGAAAGCUUCAAAACUACUAUGUACUGUCUAAAACCUCAACCAGACUAUGAUUAGGUAAUUUCUCAGCUUGAAAGAUUCGAAACUAGGUUACAAACCUAUUCUUCAAGUCAAUAUAAUCCUAAUCUAGCUUGAAAGUGCUAGUAUGAACACCUAGAGGGGGGUGAAAAUGUGUAAAAGCAGAUUCUGUAAAAUCCAGUGAAAACCUUUACUUUUAAUCCGAGUCUGAAUAACAACAGACUUUUGAAACUGAGUUUGAAGAGUAGCAGAUUUUGAGUGAGAUCAGACUUUAGCAGUUAAAUAGAACUACAAACAAAAUAAAGAGAUUCAGAGAAGAGAAUAAAAACACAAGGUUUAUAGUGGUUCAGCUUAGAUCAAGUCUACGUCCACUUUCCCACGCUAACAGCCUUCUUGGCUGGAUUCCACUAUGCAAUCAACAAGAGAUUACAACUUUGAGUGCAAACACUUAGUAGAUCACACUAUCUCACUAAGUCACUCUUUUGUUAUUUCUCUCAUGAUCACAAAUGUUUAAGCUUACAAGAUACAAGUGUAUGAUCGAAGGUCGCUUAGACUUUGGAAUUAUAAAUUUUACACUUCAUCUCUUACUUGCUCAUCGGUCCUUCAUCUUCUUAAAUACUCCUCCACUUCCAAACUAGUUGUUGGACAAUAUUUUGAGGAUCGUCUUCCAAUCUACAUGUUGGAUAAAUCUAUAUCUAGAAGAUUUGGUAGCCGUUGAGUGACAAAAGUAGAAUCCCAAAUUGAUUCCGAUCGCCCAUAUAAACAAAAUCUUGAUUUCCAUAAGUAGAGCUUCUUCGUAUAGAAAGUUCUUGUCUUCAAGAUACAAUUGUCAAUCAAUUAAAUUGAGUCAAUCAAAUCAAUCUUGAUGUGGAAUCCAAACCAGAUCAAUAGCCGUUAUAUGAUUGGGGCUUGUAUUACGUUAUGUCGAAUCUGGAUGUAAAGUCUGAGUGCAAUAGAUUUUACAAUCUGAGUCUGAAUAUAUUCUGCUUCUGAACAGAUUUAGCUUUAAGGUCUGAACACCGUUUGAAUAAGUUUAGCUUCAGCAUAUAGUUUGUCUUUUGGUUCUUCAUUCAUGUUUAGUCUGGAAUUUGUCAGAGUGAGCAGAUUUCUGAUGUAGAACAGACUUUGACAUUAAAGUCUGGCAGUCUUCAGACUUUGACACAGAAAUCUGGAAAUUUUCAUAAUAUACUUUGGACAUGUGUUACAUUCAAUCUUUUAGCUAUACAGACUUUGACAAUAUCCUUUAUAUGUUCUAUCAUUUGCAUAGUCUAUUACUUAACCAUCAAACACGUUAGUAGCUUUUGAUUUAUUUUGUCAUCUUCAAAACAUCAUGAGAGAUUUCCCUAAGAAUCUCCCCCUUUUUGAUGAUGACAAAACUAUAUUUGAAUAUGCAAAUUUGUAAACAUACUUCUAAAGAUAUUAAUAAAUCAUAGCAGUAUAAUUCAAAUCAAAAGAUAGCAAAUAGAUCGGGCAUAACAAUGUAUAGAAAAAUAAUCGCAGCUCAAUAUUAUGCAAUAAAUAAUAUCAACCAAUCAACACAUAUACAUAUUCAUAUCUUCUCCCCCUUUUUGUCAUAAUCAAAAAACGAUAACAAUAGAAAUAGUAUCACGUAGAGAAUAUAAAAUGAUAAUAUAUCUUGCAUAAAACAUGAUUUGUGAAAAAAUCAGCUUUUACAAAGUAAUCGAAUAUUAAAGAUAUGCAAUAUAGCUCACUUUGAUUAUAUAUAUCAGCAAAUAUCCAAUAAAAAUCAUUGAUGCAUUAUAAAAUUCACUUAUCCUUUUUGUCAUAAUAAAAUGAUAAUAUCAAUAAGAGAUUUAUUAAUGACAAAAGGUAAUAAGAGAUACACUAACCGGUUUUUUAGAACAAAUUCUAACACAUUUACCUUUCCUUCCUUCUAUAAUAAGAUCACGAUCAUGAUUUAUUCAAAAAUAUUUUUCUAUAAUUGAUCAAAGCUCCCUCUCAAUUUGUUGCCUUUCUGAGAUGAUCACGAUUCUUUCCUUUCUUUUAGAUUUACGUUCUCCCCCUGUGAUUAUGACAAUAUUUGCGAGUAGAAACAAUUAUUUGCGCAAGUUGAACAGAAUAUUUUUCAGUAUUUCCUUUGUAGUAACAACAUCCGCAACUAUCACUUGCAUUUUGAAAUUCGAGGCAAAAUUUUAUUUUCUUCAAUCAAGCUCAUCUCAAAUUCAACCUGCAUAAACUUAACAAACUUUUUCCACAAAUAAGCAAUAAUAAUAUCCACGUAAUAUAUAAUGCACUUUCUUCAAAUAAAUAAAUUGAAUAGCAUAUGUAAAAUUAAAAUUCCGAACUACUCAACCUUCCAUACGACACAUAAGGGAUUUCCUCAACAAUUUGCAAAAAAUAUGCAUAAGAAAUAGAAUCUUUGAACCUCCAGAAGAUAGUAUAGAAUAUUCACAAAUUUCUGAUCAAGCUUUCCAAAAUUCAUAUGGAAGAUUCUAUUGUUACUUGCAAAAUCUUGUAUAAUAGAUAAUCAUCUUUGCAAAAAUGUCACAUAAUAUCUUCAUUUGAUUUGCAGAUCAACCUUGCUAGAUAUAAUAUAUCUUCUAAGAAUAUAGCAAGAAUAUCCAUAAAUAUGUAAUAAUAUCUUUCGAGAUCAAAGAGAUUUCCUUGAGCAUAAAUUUUUCAGAUAUGCAUUUUGCAAAAGGAAAAUAAAUAUUUCUAUUAAGUGCCAAAAUUGCAAUACCUUAUAUUUAUGACAAAAGAUAUUCGCAAUAUAAUAAACAAUCAUCCAAAAUCAUGAUAAAUGCACGUAGAAAUUUGUAAGGCGGGAUGAUAAAAAAAAAUAUUCUCUUACCCAUGGUAUAUGUUUCAAAUAUACCAUUGAUAAAAAAAAAAAAAAACAUUAUCAAUCUUCGCAUGAGAUACAUUUUUGAUUGCGUCAUGAUUUGCGAUCAUCCUUCCCUUAAAGAAUUUCUUGCAAUCAACUCAUUUCUGGUAUCCAUCAAUUUGGAUCCUUCCAUGACGUUAGAGCAAAAUAUAAAAUCUCCACAAAUAAAUAUUCUUUCUUAAUUCAUCAUAACAAAGUAUUCAAAGAAAGAAUAUUAUGCACAAUGAUAUUUUGAAAAAUAAAUUCUCACUUAGUCAUAGUACGAUAAAAACAGAGAGAAUAAAAUUAAACAAAAUAAUUUGAAUUAUCUCAAAUAAUCACAAACAAAUCAUACGAUUCUUUCUUCAAUGAAACAAAAUAUGAUCAUUAUAAAAUCUCAAUCAACCAAGGAUAUAUCGAAUAUCAAGUAUAAUGAGAAUUUUUAAAUUGUGUACUCAAGCCAAAUUGAGAAUAAAAAGAAUAUACAUUCCUUACCAAACUCUCAUUCUUCUCUUCCUUUAUUUCCUGCAAAAAUAACUCAUCUUUUCUUUGGUACCCAUUUUUUCUUGGGUGCAUGAGAGUUAGUAGAGUAUGCUGUUUUUAUCCAAUUUUUCCUAAUAGGUUUCCAGGAAAUAAAGUGUUCCAAAUCUCCACAAUUUGAACACUUGACGUCAUUUCCAUCAACAGGUUUUACAAACACUUUUUGAAAAUAAAUUUUGUAAAAUGCCUUUGGAGGUCUUUGUCUAAGUCUUUCCUUAACUUAAGGAAAAUCAAUUAGAGAAUCACUUUCCUUAUUGAAACCAAGUCCUGACUUAUUAUAGUAAGGAACUUGUAUGGAAAGGAUAUGCUCUAAUGUUUUUGAUCCAUUUGAAAAUCUUGUCAAAAUAUUUGAAAAUUCUUUCUUUAAAGAAUCAUAUUCUUUGACAAGUAAAUCUCGACUUUCUUUUGUUUGUAUAAAAUCUUUUUGCAAAAUUUCAAAAUUUUUAUUUCGAGAAAGAUCUUGUUGCCUAAGCCGAGAAUUCUCCUUUUUAAGUUCAGAGAUCAUUUUAAGAGAAGAUUUGAGAUUUAAGCAAAGCUCAUUUUUAUAUUUUGAAACUUUGAUAGGAAUUGCUGAAUUACUUACCUCGAUUUCCUCAUCGGAUUCCGAGUCUGUGUCUGAGUCAGACUCUGAUUUUGAAAUCGUGUCUGAAUUAGACUCAGAUUCUAAAUGUGCCAUCAAGCAUAUAUUUCUUUGCUCAUCAUCUUCUUUCAUGUUUCUUUUCUGGCCAUUCUGCUUGUAUUGUCUUCUUCCAUCGAAUUUCCUUCCUUUUCUACUUAGCUUUUUGAAUUUCUUGAUCAUAAAAGCAAGUUCUUCGUCGUUCAUGCAUUUUCUGAGUUUGUACCAUCAAAAUCAGCAUUAGAUAUUAAAGCGAUGGAUUUCUUACCUUUGGGAUCUUCGUUGUUGAUUUGUUCCACUUCAUAGGAUUGAAGAGUGCUAAUCAAUUCAUCAACAGAUAGUGGCAUAAUCCUCUAAGUCUCUUGAAUUGAUGUCUUGACAUGGUUCCAAUCUUUUGAGAGACCUCGCAAGAGUUUGUUGACCUUCAUUGGGGAAGAAAUUAGAUGACCUUGACAUGCUAAACCAUUUACAAUUUUUGUAAAGAGGUUAAACAUAUCUCCAAUCGACUCUCCUUGCUUCAUCUUGAAGGAUUCAUAUUUGCCAAGCAGGAAGUUUGCUUUUGUCUCUUUUACAUGAUCAGUCCCUUCAUAAGUGACAUGAAGUCUAUCCCAAACAUCUUUUGCUGUUUCACAUGAAGAGAUUCUUUUAUAUUCAGUGGGAGACAAAGUGCAAUAUAAAGAAUAAAUGGAUUUUGUAUCAAGCGCUUCUCUUUUGGACAACUCCGUCCGAGACAUAGGAGCAGGGAGUUUAGUUUCUUUGUCUUUGCCAUUCUUAUUUGAUGUAGACGCAGCAGUGUGAUUGAUUCCUUUUUUCCACAACAUCCCAUUGCAAGGGAUCUCUGGAUCUUAGGAAUGCUUUCAUUUUGUUCUUCCACAUAUUAUAUUCAUUUCCAUCAAAAUAUGGUGGCCUAGUGUUGCUUUGUCCCUCCAUAAGUCUUGGUGCCAAGAUACUAGCCAUAAAAGAUCUUUAACUCAAAAGUAAAAACACUUUUAUAAAUCGAGCACUUGGCUCUGAUACCAAUUGAAAGUGCUAGUAUGAACACAUAGAAUGAGGUGAAUAGGUGUAAAAAUAGAUUUUGCAAAAUGCAGUGAAAACUUUUACUUUUAACCUAAGUUUGAAUAACAACAGACUUUUGAAACUGAGUCUGAAGAGCAGCAGAUUUUGAGCGAGAUCAGACUUUAGUAGUUAAAUAGAAAUAUGAACAAAAUAAAGAUAUUCAGAGAAGAGAAUAAAAACACAAGGUUUAUAGUGGUUCGGCUUAGACCAAGCCUACGUUCACUCUCCCACGCUAAUAGCUUUCUUGGCUGGAUUGUACUAUGCAAUCAACAAGAGAUUACAACUUUGCGUGCAAACACUUAGUAGAUCACACUAUCUCACUAAGUCAUUCUUUUGAUAUUUCUCUCACGAUAAAAAACGUUUAAGCUCACAAGAUACAAGUGUAUGAUCGAAGGUCGCUCAGACUUUGGAAUUAUAAAUUCUACGCUCCGUCUCUUACUUGCUCAUCGGUCCUUCAUCUCUUUAAAUACUCCUCCACUUCCAAACUAGCCAUUAGACAAUAUCUUGAGGAUCGUCUUCCAAUCUACUUGUUGGACAGAUCUGUAUCUAGAAGAUUUGGUAGCCGUUGAGUGACAAAAAUAGAAUCCCAAAUUAAUUCCGAUCGCUCAUACAAACAGAAUCUUAGUUUCCAUAAGUAGAGCUUUUUCGUAUAGAAAGUUCUUGUCUUCAAGAUCCAAUUGUCAAUCGAUUAAAUUGAAUCAAUCAAAUCAAUCUUAAUGUGAAAUCCAAACUAGAUCACUAGCCGUUAUAUGAUUGGGGCUUGUAUUACGUUCUGUCGAAUCUGGAUGUAAAGUCUUAGUGCAAUAGACUUUACAAUCUGAGUCUAAAUAUAUUCUGCUUCUGAACAGAUUUAGCUUUAAGGUCUAAACACCGUCUGAAUAAGUUCAGCUUCAGCAUAUAGUUUGUCUUCUGGUUCUUCAUUCAUGUUCAGUCUGAAAUUUGUCAAGGUGAGCAGACUUCUGAUGUAGAAUAGACUUUGACACUAAAGUCUAGUAGUCUUCAGACUUUGACACAAAAGUCUGGAAAUCUUCAGAAUAUACUUUGGAUAUGUGUUACGUUUAGUCUUUUGGCCAUCUUCAGACUUUGACAAUAUCCUUUAUAUGUUCUAUCAUCUGCAUAGUCUAUUAAUUAACCAUCAAACACGUUAGUAGCCUUUGAUUUAUUUUGACAUCUUCAAAACAUCAUAAGGGAUUUUCCUAACAUAGCUUACUAUGGACAAAGAAAAUCUGAAGUUCUGCAGAAUUCUAGCUUCAGAAAUCAAAGAGAUAAUAAUCGUGGGGGACACAAUUAUGGUAGAGGACGUGCAAUAAACAACAGGAGUCGUGGGUAUGGUUAUACUGGAACUAGAAGAAGUCAAAAUUACAGAACAAGUAAUCUAAACUUGAAUCAAGAGGAUCAAUAUAACAAGUAGUCAAACAAUUGGUCUAACUAUGGACAGGGCUUUCGACCAUAUGCAAAUCCUCCUCAAAUGUAUCAAGCUACCAAGUCAUAUCCACCCCAAAAUUCAAUAUCUAACAAGUGUGUGCAAGAUGAGAAAAUAUCAAAUAACAUUCCUUUGGAAUGUCAAAUCUGUAAAAGACCAGGACAUACUGCUCUUCGAUGUUGGUAUCGCUUUGAUAACUCAUAUCAAGCUGAAGAAAUUCCAACUGCCUUUGCAGCAAUGCACAUUGAAUAUUCUCAAGGCACUGAAUGGUAUCCAGAUAUUGGUGCCACAACUCAUAUUACUGCAGAUCCUGGUAUUCUUCGUCACUAUUCCUCAUAUAAUGGAACUGAUACUGUUAUGAUAGGAAAUGGUUCAUGCUUGUCAAUUUUGUGUGUUGGAGAUGCCUUAUUACAUACAGGAACCAGUUCUUUACCUCUAAAUGAUGUGUUGAUAGUUCCUGAAAUCAAGAAAAAUCUACUUUAUGUUUCAAAACUAACAGAUGAUUAUCCCUGUUCAUUUGUUUUUGACAAAUAUGGGGUGUAUAUGAAGGACAAUUGCACCAAUACAACAGUGAGGCUAGGAAAGAAAGUCAAGGGACUUUAUCGAGUUGAUCCAAAAAUAACAGAAGCCUUCUUCACCCAAAUACAGAAAGUUGUAGGAGAACACAUGUGGCAUUAGCGGUUAGCACAUAUCAAUUUCAAAACACUGAAGUAUCUGCAUAAUCAACAUCUAAUCCAAUGUAUACAAGAACUCAAAACAUAUGUAGAAAUUGUCAGAUUGCCAAGAGUUCUACUUUACCUUUUCCUUUUUCAGACUAUGCAUCUAUUGUUCCCUUAGAAAAGAUACAUUGUGAUGUUUGGGGAUCGUCACUAGUUGAUUCAUUUCAGAAAUUCAAAUACUAUGUCAUCUUUGUGGACAACUUCUCUCGAUAUAGUUGGAUGUAUCCAAUGAAACUAAAAUCAGAAUUUCAUGACAUCUUUGUCAUGUUUCAAAAACAAGUAGAGAAUUAGUUUGAUCGUAAGAUCAAAGUAUUUCAAUGUGAUGGAGGAGGAGAAUUUUCUAGCAACAAGUUUCAGAAUUAUCUACAACAGUGUGGCAUCAAACAAAAUGUCUCCUGUCCUUAUACACCAGAGUAGAAUGAGAUUUCUGAAAGGAAACAUCACCAUGUGGUUGAGUUAGGACUGGCUAUGCUUUAUCAUGCUAAAGUUCCAUUAAAGUAUUUGGUGGAUGCUUUCAUGACAGCCACCUACAUUGUCAAUCUACUUCCUACCCCCAAAGUUACAUAUGCUUUCACUCUACAAUAAACUUUAUCAACAGAAGCCAAGCUAUGCACACUUGAGAGUCUUUGGAUGUGCCUGCUAUUCUUACCUCAGAUCAUAUGCAAAACAUAAAUUUGAUCCACGAUCUCUUACAUGUAUAUUUUUGGGAUACAGUGAAAGACACAAAGGAUACCGUUGCCUUUUGCCUACUAAUGGGCAUAUCUAUGUCAGUCGUCAUGUGGUGUUUGAUGAAACAAUAUUUCCUUUCACCAAUCAACUAACAACUGAGUACAAUCAGGGUACUAAUAUGUACAAACAAUGGAUCAAUGAAGUUACUUUUCUAGACUCCCCUACUAUAGAACAAGUCAAGUCUCACACAAAUGAAUAUAUAGGACAUUUGUAGGCUAGGUAGCACGGACACGGCGACACAGACACGCAACACGUUAUUUUUCAAAAAGUAGAGAAUUCCGACACGUUCCGACACAUUAUAUAUUAAAUGAAUACUUUUAUUUUUAAUUAAUUUAAUUCAAAUUCAGUAUUUUUAUUUUUUGAAAUUAUAUUUUAAUCUCAUUUAUUUAUUUUUCCAUUAAAAAAAAAUCUCCACUAAGGUCCACCCCACCCUCUUCUAGUUCUUUCCCUCGUCCAUUUCCCCCCUCCCCCAAAAUUUAUUUUUCUUUCCCUCCCCUUCACUGACAGACAGGUUGUCCUUGUCUCUUCCCCUCCCCCAAUACGCGAUGGCCCAUCAAAAACCCUAGCUCUACAUGACCCUUCCUCUUCUCAUUCCUCGCCGCUCACCACUCGCCACCUCUUGCCGCUCGUCGCCUCUCGCCGCUCGCCACACGACCGCCUUCCUCUCCUCUUCCUCUCGCCUUUGGCCCUUUCUCCCUCGUAGUUGCAACCUCGUCGGAUCUGUCGCAACAUCACAGUGGCGACCGUCUCUCGCCGUCGUGGCCUCGUCUCUACUCCCUCGUCGUCGCUUCCACCCUCCAUCAUCUUCCGGACACGCGUGUCGAAACGUGUCGGGCAUGCGUUGACCGCGUGUCGGAUUUCCGACACUCGUUGACCAUGUUUCUGAGCGUGUCGACGUGUCCGACAUGCUCCGACACGUGUCGAACACGACACGGAAGCACAGACAACGCGUCCAUGCUACCUAGUCUGCAGGAUAAUGGAAUAUUGUAGAGAACCCACAUUGAUACAUCAGAUCCUGCCGCAAUGUCACCAGAUUUAUCUUUCUUACAGUCAUGGUUGAAUACAGUUUCUGAGGAACAGGCAUAUCCUAUUCCAACACCUGAACUACACACAAAAAUCACUACAUAUCAAGUACAAGUCAAUCCUUCAUCCAAUACACAAGGUACACUCUCUAUUCAUUCUAUGCAAACAAGACUGAAGUCUUGGAUUGUCAAACCAAAUCUCAAAUAUGCAUCUUUGGCUGAAUAUAAAGUUCCUAUUGAACCAAAGUCAGUUAAGUCAGCAUUGGCAGAUAAAGGUUGGUAUCAAGCAAUGCAAGAUGAAAUAGAUGCUCUAUAUAAGUAUCAAACUUGGGAAUUAGUUCCUCGAACUGAUCAAAUGAAUGUCAUAGGGUGUAAAUGGGUGUUUAAAACUAAGCUUUCAUUUGAUGGAAGUCUUGACAGGCUCAAAGCUCGGUUAGUAGCUAAGGGGUUUCAUCAAGAAGAAAAUGUUGACUUCACAGAAACAUUCAACCCUGUCAUUAAACAUGCUACCAUUCACAUUGUUCAAUUCAUUAGCUUGAUGUUAAAAAUGCCUUCCUACAUGAAACAUUAAAUGAGACUGUGUAUAUGGAGCAGCCACCAGGUUUUGCACAUCCUCAAAAGUCUCAACAUGUGUGUCUUAUCAAGAAAUCCUUAUAUGAUCUUUGCCAAGCGCCACGAGCCUGGUUUGAUAAAUUUAGAAAUUUUCUACUUGAAAAUGGCUUCACUUGCAGCACCACUAAUCACUCGUUAUUUGUGUUUCAUCAUGGAUUAGAAACAAUAAUUUUAUUGCUCUAUGUAGAUGAUAUUGUGCUUACUGGUAUCUCAGCUCAGUUGCUUUCCAACCUGAUCCAGUCCCUGAGUCUUCAAUUUCACAUGAAAGAUCUUGGCUAUCUUCAUUACUUUCUAGGCAUUGAAGUCAAACAGACAUCCCAAGAUUUGUUUCCUUCUCAAACAAAGUAUGAUCUUGAUCUACUUACUUGAGCUAACAUGAAAGAUUGCAAACCAAUUUCUACUCCUCUUUCUUUGAGAUCAACCAUUAUGACAACUGAUGACAUUCUCCUGACCAAUCCACUUGAGUAUCGUAGUCUAGUUGGUGGACUUCAAUACCUCACUAUGACUCGUCCUGGUCUUGCUUAUGCCACAAAUCUCUUAUGUUAGAAAGUGCAGCAACCAACACUAGGAGAUUUUCAUAAGCUCAAGAGGGUUCUUCGAUACAUUAAGGGAACUGUUAACCUUGGCAUUUUUAUCCACUCUAACAGCUCCAUGGACCUCUAUGAUUUUUCUGAUGCUGAUUGGGCUAGAUGUAUUACUACCAGGCGAUCAACUACUGGCUUCUGUACAUUUCUUGGUUCAAAUCUUAUUUCCUGGUUAGCUAAGCGACAGUCUACAGUAUCUCGUUCCUCAACAGAAGCUGAAUAUCAAGCUCUAGCUUCAGCUACUGCUGAUCUUACAUGGGUCAGUUUCGUUCUUCGUGACAUUGGCAUAUGUUUGUCUGCACCAACAACUCUGUUCUGUGACAACAAGUCUACUAUUUCUCUUACUCUUAAUCCUAUUCUCCACACUCGCACCAAGCAUAUUGAAGUGGACUUUCAUUUUGUUAGAGAAAAGGUUUCAUCAGGAUCUUUAGCUGUUCGCUAUGUUUCCAGUACUGCUCAGCUUGCUGAUAUAUUUACUAAAUCCUUAACUCAUUUAGCACAUUUUAAUCUUCACACCAAAUUGGGUUUUGGUUCUCUACCCCUUCCCAAUUUGCAGGGGGAUGUUAAGGAUCAGAAGCAUAAAGAAACAAAGUUCGUGGAAGUGAAUAAGGAUGAGGAAAUAAAGUCUAAAGAUUGUGCUGCUACUACAAGUGUGAUGACAACUACAACUACACAUGCAUAUGGAGCCAUUGAGAAGAACAGAGUAAAUAAACUAAGAAGCUCGACUCUGCCUCCAUCAGAAGCACAACUCAGAGCCCCACAUGUCCACGUGCUUUAUUACUGGAAAAUAGUUAUUCAGUUUUGGAAGAUUAACAGAAUCUGUUAAUUCUGUUUUCAUCAUCUUCUUCCUUUUACUUUUGGUGUGGUGUAUAAAUCAAGUGAGGAAGGGAAAAACCGAUAGAGAUGAGCUCUCAGAUGAAUGUAUUACUUGACUGUUCAUGAAAUCUAGAAUACAACUCGAUUCAUCAACAUUCUUCUUCUUCUUCUUUGUUUUCUGUUCAAUCCAUGUUUUUUCACAACUCACAUACAACAUUGGAUCAUAUGAAUUGUACGUUAAGAUCCACCUCACAUGUGAGCUAGGCAGGCAACAGGACUUCUCUCUAGUGACAUGGACCAAUCGUAUAUAGGAGUGUUAUGGCUUGAAAUCUUCGGCUAACAAUGUAUUGAAAAGCACGCAUCAGCCAUCUUUGCAUACGCUGGAAAGCACACGGACGUCAUCUAUCACGCUUGCUUGGGCUGACUAUGGCACUCAUUCAGCGGUUUCCUCGCCAAGCAAUCUCUCUCUCUCUCUCUCUCUCUCUCUCUCUCUCUCUCUCUCUCUCUCUCUCUCUCUCUCUCUCUCUCUCUCUCUCUCAAUUAUGACCAUUUCUGUAAAGCCACUUUGAAUAUGUUACAUGUUUUUUCUGGUAAAGGACCUUGUGACAAUGGCACUAAUUUCUUGUGCAUGGAGUUCUCUUCCAGUCAGCAAACUCUGGAUUCGUAAGUGCAGAACAUUUAAAGUUAUUGAAAACAAGUCAGACAUGGUUUAGCAUAAAGAUUACGUUCCCUGUGUUUGCGUACCUGAACACACUUUCUCCAUUGGUAUCCAUCCGCCAUUGACUGAUGGUUUAAUGCUGGCCUUCAAAGAGGUUUUGGAAUGUGAACUUGAACUCACCAUGCCAUUGUUACCAGAGCCCGAAUCAGUCUAGAUAGCACAACCAAAACUAGGACAUGUGACAAGAACUUGAAAAAGUUGUCCCAUGAAUGCUAGCAAUUAGAAAAAAGGGUACUUGAUUUGGUGUAGGCAUUUUGUCAAACAGGUAGCAGUUUGAACGCCCAAACCAUUCAUGGAGUCUCCUUAGUGUAUUUGAACUAAAUCUCAAUAUAUGGUCGCACGCAUGCAAAUUAACAUCAUAGAUGAAUGAAUCUGUUUCCCCAUCUCUAGGCUCUAUGUAUAAUCUGAAGCCCACAACACAUUUUCUAGCAAUGUAAGAUCAAGGGUCUCGGGCAAGUUUAGUCCCAGGAAGCGCAGUGUAGCUCAAGCAUUCAGGGCUAGAUUCUUACACAGUAGAUGGAGUCAAGGAAUACGAUCGUCGGCCCCCUUAGCCCACUCAUUUGUGGGUUGGUAACUACUUAUUCAUUUGUUACAUUCCUUUUCCUCCCAUAGAUCAGAGAUGUAAAUCACAGUAUUAAUCUCAUAAUCAGAAGGAAAAAUAUUAUUUUUUAGGGUACAUAUAUUUUGCGGAAAAUGAUAUAGAACUACAACACAAGUAUUUCUUACAUUUACUUAUAUUACUUAUAUUUAGAAUAGGACUUGGAAGAAUCUUUGUUUAUCGAAAUAAUGGUCCUUUUUAGAAUUGGUAUGAGUUGUGAUGUAAUAUUUUUAGAGAAAUUUAAAGUUGAAUGUUAACUUAGAAUUUGCUUCAUGCCUUAAGAUCAAAGAAUAAUAUAAGCUCUCAUCUGCGGGGGCAAACGUACAACACGAGCUUCUUAGCGAAGGAAGCGACACAGGAUCCUAUCACUAAUCACAGAUCGAUCAUGAAUUACAUUGUAACCAUGUGGUGCCUCUAUUCAACUGACUUUUGCAGACCCCGAACUUCCUUAGGAGUGGCUAGUUAGCCAUUCUGCUGAAUUUGAAGAACAAGUACAAAUCUAAUUCAAGAUCUAUCGAUUUUGCAAGAAGCCACAUUACACACCAAAUCAGGGUGUGCGCUUGAUGAUUUUUUUUUAUUUUUAUUUGGUAUAAUUUGAGUCCAUUCAUCUACUCUUAUCAUUUUUUCCGUUUAAAGUAGAUAUACUCUGGCAAUUUAAAUAAGGGAUUUGUUGUUGUUGUAUUUGUUCUAGAGUCGAAUCAGUUUGCUUUGAUUCUACAUUCUCGUCUGCUUCGGACGCAAGCUUUUUUCUAAUUUACUAGGCCGCUUUUAGGGUCCCGUGCAAAAAAAAAGGGAUCCAUCUAAUUUGCAAAAUUGAUUGGUUAUAGAUAUUUAUCUGUAGUUUAUUUUUGUUGAGGGUCAUUUAGGGAUUCUAAAGUUAUAAUUUUUUCCAUUUAUAAUUACUUACCGAUGUAAAGGUGAAUUUGAUGAGGCUGAAGCUCAUUUUAAAUACACAAAGCAUAAUUUUAAUGCAUUAGUGUGUUUUCGUGAUAUUGUAAUUUGUAUUACUACGAUGAGACUUUAUUGGCUAUUUGCUAAGAAUAAGUACAAUUAAGAAAAUCAAGGAUUAGGGCUCGCUCAAUUUCCCAAUUAUAAGGAAAAUUUCAAAUUAUUCUGUAUAGGGUAAGUUACCUUAGCAAUGCUUUCAAAUCAAAUCAAAUAAAUUUGAACAAAUCUGCCUCAUUGAUUAUUUGCGGAGGUUAGCCGUUGCCAAUUUAUCGUGUUGACCUUACACACGUAUAUUGAGUUAUGAUCUACAUAUCAUAUUUUCAUAUAACGUGGCCAUAAUAUGUAUAAAUAAUCUUCCUAAUCUAAGACAAGGAUCAAAUGAAUUGACUGUAUGAUUGACCAUGAUAUCCAAAGGAGUCAUAAGUCAGGCCAUAUGAAAUGAAUUGACUGUAUCCUUCGAUUUGUCAGGCUUAUAGAGUACCAAAUAUUGAUUUAUCCUCUUUUCCCUUUACCAUCGCAAUUUCCUUUUGUAAUUCUGCCAUCUGCAAGUAGUGAGGAUAGCAUAUAAGAAAAGAGAAAGGAGAAUCUAACGGGCCCAGGCCGCAUUCAGAUCAUCUGGUUCCCCACCCAAUGAAUUUCAAUUAACCUCUAUAUUGUGUGAAAUAUGUGCCCUCAGCAGCAAAAAUCCUCAUACUUCAAAAGUGAAGACACUGAGCAGGUAAAUGCUGCAAGUCAUUGUGAUUUCCUUGAUAUCAACAUCUACAUUGCGGUGAAACAGCAAUGAGCUGUGCACUUCCGGUAUUAGGCUUACCGCAAUUAUCCUGAAAAUCCACAGAGAUAUAUCAGAGACUAAACAUAAUACUUGAACUCAAUAAAGCCAAUCAAUGAGUGACCAUUUAAAUCAUAGAAGCUGUGCCUGAACUACAAAAUCAUAGAAGGUGCUUGAAUGAACUCAAUAAAGCCAAUAAACAUGGAUCACAAAGAGGUCUUCUGAAUCAAAUGGACCUACACGUUCUGAAGCCAAUCAGCGGGAGACAAGGCACAUAAAGCGAGAGUCCCAAGGAGACAACUCUUCAUCGGACUAGUUCGAAUCUCAUCGAAUUGACCAUUAAAAACUUUGCAUGCUCAUGAAUUACCUCUGUUCCCCAAUGGGCAUUCACGAUUUGGAUGGGCGAAUGUGAGAUUGCGAGGAUGAAGGUGUCAGGCGGAAUGGGAGAGUCAAUUACGGUUGAUUUGACGAAAGAGAGACUCGGCUUGAGAGAAAUGGCAAGAAGGGAUCGAAUUUGGGCCAAACAUUGAGAGCAAUUUCUGCAAGAUCUCACUUAAGGUUCAUCUGGUGACUUGGGCAAGAUCGAAGGUAUUUGAGGCAAGAAGGAAGCAAUGCAACGUUGUUGGGGGUUUCAAGCGGGGAUUAUUGGUUUUCGAGCGGUUCCAUCCAAGAACUGGGAAUCGAAUCAUAGGACCGCUUUCUAAUUUCUGAAAUUGGGAAUCAAAUUGAAGUCCCUGAAAUUGGACCGGACUGGUCCCUUCAUGGGUGGCCAAUGGAACCGGUCCCAUGUUUUUUUAAAUUCUUGUAUUGCAAUCAAUUUAGGUAAUUUCACUUUCGUUUCAUAGGCAAUUGAAAUGCUUGUUCACGGGAACUCUCUGAAUCUAGGGGCUUUUUGCUGGUUUUCUUCCUCGAGCAAAAUAUUCGAAAUGGUGUACAAAGAACAACUUAAAAAAAAAAAAAUAGAGCAUUUACUUCGAGGAUUAAUACUCUUAAAAACUCCAAACUGGUACACCUGUGACAAAUUUAUCAUAAACUUUUUUUUUUUACCAUAAAAAACCCCAAACUGAUAGACCUGUAACAAAUUUACCUCGACUGACAAUAAAAAACCAAAAAUUGGUACAUUUAUGACGUGUCAUUUAAUUUAAUAAUUUGACAGUAAAAUUUAAAGAAAACUAACAGAGGGUAAAUUUGUCACAAGUGUAUCGGUUUUUGGUAAAUUUGUUAAAGGUAUACUAGUUUGGAGUUUUUCAUGGUCAAAAAAAUAAUUUGGGGUAAAUUUAUCACAGGUGUAUCAGUGUGAGGUUUUUCAGGGUAUUAACCCUUACUUCAAUGUGAUGCGAGACAGAGAGUGAGAGUCGAAUGGCCAAAAGCAGAGCAAGAGAGGAAGGUGAGAGUUGACAAGAGUGGAGCGAGAGAGUGAGACCGUGGGAGGGAGGCGAGUCGGUACACUCAAGCUAGAGGGUGGUGAGAGAGAGAGAGAGAGAGAGAGAGAGAGAUUAUAACAAAAAAUAGUCAGUCCGAUCCGAUUGGUCCAAGUGGUCCAAGUGGUCCAAGUGGGCAAUUCCACACGUGGAACCCGAAAUGACACAAAAAAUCACUAGUUUCAAUUUUUUUGAAAUCGGAAACUAGACCAAUAUCCCUUAGAAUCGCCCAGAUUCAGCCGAUUUGAUCUGGUCCGUAUAAUUCCUUUUGCUCACCGCUAGUUUCACGUUAAAAUGACGUUGUUUUUGAUGGUUGAUAUGGAAUUUCAACUAUCAACUAUGCGAUGCAAGAUCUCAAUUAUCGGUUGCGCGGCAGCAUAAGAUGGCCGACUAUAUAUUUACAUUCAAAUUUUUUGACUUAAAUUUAUUAGGACUAUAUUAAAAAGUUAUCAAAAUGUGUAAAACUAAACUAAUCAGAAAUUUGAGACUGAAUUAAUAGUCGUAUAAUUCAUUUAAAAAAUUUUAGAUAAUUUUCCCGACCCUGUAGAUGCUCCAAUGCACUAUCAAUCUUGGGUCAUCUUUAAGUGUGAUCACUCAAACCAAGUCAAGGCCCAUCUUUUACUGCGUGCCGAGUGGUAGGCAAUAUAUAGUGAUCCCUAACUAUGAAAUGUACGUGGGACACAAGGAUUUCGAAAUUACAGAGGAGAUCUUUUGCAACCAUUAAAAGCUACAAAUAGAGCCAAAACAAAUAAAAAUGAAACGCCACGUUCAAUGGAGACAAAACAGGAAGAGCACCAAACAUGAAAUUCAUUUUUAGCUUAGUCGGAAAACUGUGCCAAUACAAUUUUUUGGGAUGCUCAUUGAUCCAAGGGUAUAAGUUUUCUCUAAAAUUGUUGGGGAGAACCGGACAAUAAUUCACCAAGAACUAAUUCAAAAAGAUUAAUUUUUCCCCAAAACUAAACCGACCAAAAUCGACUUAACCUCAACAAUGACAGGCAAUAUAUUCUAGCAAUACAACCUCAUAAUAUGUAAAUAUAAUGCCAAAAUGUUAAGGAGAUAAGCCAAUAAUAACAUCAAGAUUUUAUGUGGAAAACUCAAUGCGGGAAAAACUACCAACCACCAAAAAACUUCUACUAGUUACUAAGAAUAUUAGGAUACACACACAAUAAAUUUUUCUCUAAUCAUACAUUAGAAGCUCAACAUUAAUUAUCAACAGUACUCCACCACUACAAAGGUGAAUUAAUACAUAUUAAGUAUGAAAACCCUAAUCGACAUCAGAAAAUUCAGAGAAAGCUCUUAAUAAACAAAACAAUUAACUCGUAAUGCACGAUCUCACGAAAAACAUUUUGAAAUUUGAGUCAAUUUGGAUAACGUUUGUCCUUAAAAAAUCGAGAUAAAAAAGCCGCAAUCUUUUUCUACUUUUUCUUCGUGAGCUCUUGGUGCUCCCCCUCUCUCCCUCUCCACUUCACGAACGAGCAGCCCUUUUUUCCUCUUCUUUUUGCUUUUUGACUUUGACUGCUUUAUUUUAUUAUUUUCACGUUGGCUAGGCCCCACAAAGGCGGACCCAGUCAACAAAUAUUUUGAGGCGUUCAGAAAUCUCUUUCUAUUAAUGUUAUCAUUCUUUUGAAAUUCUUUUUGCGGUAAUGAAGUAUUAUGGAUUCUCGCAUACAAAUCUAAAUCUGUACGCAACAUCAAAUAUGGGCACAUAAUUCGCACCGCAAUGAUUGAUAGGACAAGCCCUCUUAGGCUCUUUCCAUAUGCCUUCUGGGAAAAAAAAACAAUGAUAAUAGCAAUAAGGAAAUGAAGCUACGGCCGGCAAGUCUUUAUAGUUUGACUUGAACCCAUGUUGCCGCGUUUAUCUCCUCUAUAGAAAGGGUUUCGUAAUUUCUCGCAAUCCUUGCGGACCUGUUCCCAUUAUCUUUCGUGAAUCCUAACUCCGCACAUUAUAAAAACACACUUCAAUCCCUCCUUUCCCUCUAUUCUAAUUUCUAAGUUCAAACCUCUCUCUCUCUCUCUCUCUCUCUCUCUCUCUCUCUCUCUCUCUCUCUCUCAAACUACACUUGCAUAUAUUCUCGUUUUUGCCACGUCCAUCUCUCUCUCCAAACUAACCUCAGACAGAAAGAAAAACACACUUCCCACGAAUUUUGACUCGGUUAGUGGUAAUUAAACGUUCAAGUAGAACAUGGCCCCGGAUGUAUGAAUCUAUUCGAUGGUUUAUUCAUUUGGCAAGACAGAAUUUAGUUUCCACGCACACAACUAGCUAACAAUUUAUAUUUCCUCCUUCUUUUUUUCCUUCUUUUUUUCUUUUUGUUGUAUUUGAGUUUUUGCAAUAUUUUAGAUGGGCGACAUCUCCAUUGAAAUGCUUCCUCAGAUUGUCUCCAAAUGCUUCGACUCCCUCGACGAUGGCCACCUCAAACGAACUGGUAAUCAACCUUAUCUUCUUGUAUUAUAUUGUCUAACUCUUUUCUAUUUGUCUAUAACAAGUUCGGCACAUAUUAUGUGCGGAAUAUACAUUUUUUGUACUCGGAGUAACAGUUUAAUAUGCUUUAUCCAAGUGUAAUUCCUUCAUAAAUUACUGAAAAACUAACUCAAGAGAUAAUGAAAGUUUUCCAAAUGUAAAGGGUUGAUCAGAUUUUAUCGACUGACCGAUCAGGGACCUUAUGGACAGCGAGCGCAAAUAUAAUAACGGGGAUGGUAGGAGCGGGAGUGCUUUGCCGGUCAUGGGACAUUGCUCAGCUGGGUUGGAUUGCAGGCCCUGCUGCAAUACUCUUGUUCUCUUUUGUGGGCUACUACACCUCUCGCCUCCUCUCCCAUUGUUACCGCACUGGCGACCCCUACACCGGCGAGCGUAACUCCACUUAUAGGGACUCUGUUCACUCGAUUCUCGGUGUCGAAUCCUAUCACCUUGUUGUUGCUUCUCAUUAUUUGACUCCCGCACUUUGAUUAAAUUUCCCAUUACCUUAUGUCUCCAAAUGUAUAGCAAAAUAAGUCGUGUAACUUUUGAUUAAGUGAUAAUAGUAACUUUACAUUCAGGUGGAGCAAAUUUUAAAGCAUGUGGUUUUUUUCAAUAUAUAACCCUAUUUGGAAACGCCAUUAGCUGUAUCGUUCAAGCAUCUCUCAGCAUGAUGUGAGUACAAUUCUACUUUCCCAAACUCUUGACAAAUUUAUUCAGCAGAUCACGACGAGCUUCCAGUUCUACUGUUUUUUAUAUAACCUGGCUGAUUCAAUGUUGUACACGUUCCCUCUUUCCAAUAAAAGGGCAAUAAAAUAUAUGCAUUGCUUCCACGAGAAUGGGGAGAACUCGUGCCACGUUUUGGCUAAUCCGUACAUGAUCAUGUUCGGCAUCACAGAGAUUCUGCUGUCCCAGAUUCAAGAUCUCGAUCAAAUAUGGUGGCUCUCUAUUGUGGCCGCUGUUAUGUUCAUCGCUUACUCUUUGAUUGGUCUUGGCCUAGUAAUUGCCCAAGUUGCAGAUACAGGUUUCUUCUUUUCUCAAAGACAGAUGGCCAAGAAAUUUCAAGAGAUUAUAUUAUCAAUAUCAUAAAAUAAGAAGUUGUUUCCAGAAUUUUUUUUUUCUUGAUGAGCAGCUAGUGGAAGUUUCAAGGGUAGUCUUACAGUAAUAAGCGUUGGGGAUGCGACUGAAACCCAAAAGAUAUGGAGAUGUUUCCAAGCUCUUGGAAAUAUCGCCCCAGCAUACUCAUUUUAUGAGAUCCUUAUUGAAACUCAGGUACUAAAACAUGAUUUCAUCAGUUCAAAACCUAAGGAAAUGGUAAAGAGUGGAUAGAACAGACUGGAAAUACCUUGUUUUUCCUUUUAUCUUUGACAGGACACCAUCGGAUCUCCACCAUCAGAAGUAAAGACCAUGAAGAAAGCCAUUUCUCUGAGCACCGUGGUGAUGACGACCAUCUACAUGCUAUGUGGCUGCGUGGGCUAUGCUGCUUUCGGUGAUGACACUCCGGCAAAUUUUCUGAUCGACUUGGGUUUCAACAAGCCAUUCUGCCUUCUUGAUAUUGCCAAUUCUGCUAUUGUGAUCCAUCUUGUUGGAGCAUACCAAGCAAACAGCCAGCCGAUAUUUGCCCUGAUCGAGAAACAGGCCGAUCAGAGAUGGCCUCGUAGUGAGCUCAUCGCUAAAGAGAUGAAGAUCCUGGUACCAGGCUUGGGCCAACACAACAUGAAGCUCUUUAGACUUGCUUGGAGGACAGUUUUCGUGAUCCUGACCACUGUGAUAUCGAUGCUAUUCCCAUUCGUCUUCAACAAAGUCGUGGAUAUGAUCAGCUUGGGCUUUUGGCCUCUAAUGGUCUAUUUUCCCGUCAAGAUGUAUAUUAGACAGAAACUAAUUCCCAAAUGGACCACUAAAUGGGUAUAUCUGCAAAUGUUGAGCAUGGCCUGUCUUGUGAUAUCGAUCGUGGCAGCUGCGGGUUCGGUCCCAGGACUUAAGGACGACCUUAAGACAAAUCGGCCAUACGGGAUGAGCUAUGAUCAAAAUGCAUGGACCUUUAGUUGAUCGGCCAUUUCAGAAGAAAAGAAUAACAUCAUGGAAGUUUCUACUUUCAUUGUUUAGUCUGGAAUUACAAACUCUGUAGGUUCUAGCCAUUGCUAAGGAAAACUUGCAUUUUAUGCAAGUGAUGGUUACACAUUGUCCUGUUGUUGUACAAAAAUCCAAAAUUUUGGUUAUUCAAACCGCCACGUCCACGUCAAUUGGGUUAGGCUCCAAUCAUGCGAUGACAAGCGUGCCGACCUUUCAAGGUUUACAUAAGGGGGAGAGUUAUAAUAUGAACAAAGAAGGUCCCAUGUUAUUAUAAUAUAUAAAUUGAUAAUUAAACGAAAUCUCAUUAUUCGAAAGCGUUAGUAUGUCCUUUUCAGGAAGAGGAAAAAGAAAAGGGAUGCGUGGAUAUCAAUAUCUAAAGAAAAAACGACUUUUUUACCUCUAGGAAGAUACUUUAAUAAUAGUUAGAUAAGGAAUAUGAAUGCAAGAUAAGGACUCAAGCCCACGUGUGAAUUGAGAAUUCCUUCAAAUGAUUAACAUGUGAAUGGGGAAACAUUACAUCGAUGGGUUGGCUUAGAUUGAACAUGCCAUAACCCCAUUAGAUUGAUUGGCUUGUCCAAUACCUCUUCGACAUCCUCGACUAACUCAUUUUUAAGCAAAUGUUUCUCCGUGGCCUCAGUCAAACCAGCUCUUUCAUGUAUAUGUUUUCCCCUCAUAACCAAAAUUGAUUGGUGCCCCACUUCAUUUAACAAAUUCAUUUGCUUCAAUUCUAUCUAGGUACUCAAGAAUAGCUUCAUGACCUUACUUGCAUUCCAUUACUGAUAUAUGCAUAUUAGGGAAGACCACAUGACAAAACUUUUCUCAGACUUCAGGCGUAUUGCUGAGUUAUAGAUUGCAUGUAUUAACAAGUGAUUUACAAGCGUGAUUUAUUGGGAUUUUGGUCCCAAGAGAUCGUUGUCUAGCAUUAUUAGCUCCACUUGUACAUUUAACAAAUGUUGUUGGAUCACUAGUUAAUUUAACUCAAUACAGAAAUAAAAUUCUUCAAGAGGCUUCAAAAAUAAAUUACUUACUCCAAAUGAGAAAUUUAUAUUUUUCAAGUAUUUUUUAGUAAAGGCUUAAUAAGUGCCCGCCCUAGGGACAAUUUUUAGCAAUUUGCAUAUGAUUUUAUUGAAAGUUCUCAUAACCAUCGAUGCAUAGAUAAGAUUUGCAACCUAAAGAGCUAGUUACACGAGAAUUCUCACAUAAUAUUGAGAAUUUUGUUUCAUACAUAUUCAAUGAAUGACAUAAAUAGGUUACAUUUUCCUAUAUUGAACCUGUUGGAGUACAACACCUAAUAUAAUAAUAAGAAGCCAAAGAGAAGUGUGCUGCAGCAUCACUUCAUUGACUGCCAAGAAGCAAAGUUCAACUUUGCUAGUACUUGGACGUGAAGGAAAAGAAGACAGCCCACAAUUGUUGACUCAUUAGCCAAGAAGAAAAGUUGCGGUAGAGUCCAGGCGGCGGAAGAUGUCUAUAAAUAUGACAGUACGUGAAGCAUUUGAGCUCAGGCCAAAGUGCCUCACAAGGAGGGCCUCAAGGUGAAGGAGCAGGAGCUGGCCGGAAGGCCUCACAUAGAGGCAUCGCAGCCUCAGGUCAACAGGCCAGGGAGAGGAUCUCACGCCACAUGCAGGCGGAGAACCUCAGGCCAUCAAGGAAGCCAAACGAGGUGAGCUUCAGGGAAAGCCUUCAGCAGUGAGAGCUUCGGAACAGGAAGUCACCAGGUGCAACGGUGAACUUCAGGGAGAGGCACUGCAGCCUCAGUAGCUCUGUUUGAGCAAGUUAUCCCUCCGUGAUCGAGAAGGGAGGAAGAAAAUAGAAUAGCUGAGUCUGUGCAUGUAUCAGCUAGUUGUUUUGAGUGUGUUAUUGUAUCAGCUAGUUUAAUUUGAGAAUUUUAAUGCUUCCGCAUAUUUUAUAAGUUGCGCACUCUACAAUUAAUGUCAAGCAAAAGGGUUUCAUAUCCUACAAACCUCCACCAUAUAUUUUGUUUUGAACAUUCAAGUUUUGUAGCUUAAAAAAUCAAAUUGGACCCAAAAAUCAACUUUCAAUUGAGAUUUGAGACAUACAUUAGGAUGUUAGUAUUGAAUCAAUUGUAGUUAUCUGAUAUGAUAGCUUUUGGUUAAUAAUGUGCAAAUAUAAAUGUGUCUAGGACGUUUGGUAGAGGAUGAUCAAAGGAUUGUAAGGGGUUUAGGCAAUGUGAUAAGGAAAGACGAUUUCACCAUUUUAUGGAAAUAGUUUUAUAAUUGUUGGAGAAGUAAUGGUGCAGAAACUAAGGGAUAUGAAGCUUAUGGUGAUGCUUCCCACUCAAUGGGUGGAGGGCUAAACCCCCCACACACGGAGCUUAUGGAGGUCUCAACAUGACACCCAACUAUCGCAUUAAAACCCACUUUUCUAGGACUCCAUCGGCCGACUACAAAAGUCUUUGCCUUGUCAGAAAUCUUUUCUUUUGCUUUAGCGAUAUUCAUCGCCGUACUCAAUUACAAUAGACAUAUCUUGACUUUUGUACAAAUAUCUGCUCCAUAAAUAUCUAGUCCAUGCUACAUUAUUCGAGAAAUUGCAUCACGCAUAACCUGUCUAUAACUUAGUCCUAGCAUCAUUCCAACAUCUUCCAUGAGCCCUAACUCUGCACAAUACAAAUACUACCAUAUAGUCACUUUUUUGCCAAACCCAUCUCUCUCCCUCUCUCGUAGUAAGUUUGAGCCUUUGGCUUCCAAGUGGGUGCACAAAACACAAAGCAACCUCAGAGUCAAAGGGACCCACUUUCCACUGGUUUUGAACCGGUUAGUGCUAAUAAAACUUGCAAUUAGGACUAGCUACCAUCCAGAUUGAAACUUCACGGAUCCUGAUGGAUGAAUAAAUUUUGGAGGUCCUUUCUUUGGCAAAACAGAAUUUAGUUUCCAUACACACAAACUUGCUAAUAAUUGCUAUUUCCUUCUAUCUCUUUUUUUUCCCCCUUCUUUAGGACAUUAAAAAUAGAUGAGAACGCUACCACCAAGAACAACCAAAACCGCCGCCGCCGCCAAAUCGGUGACAUCUCCAUUUUGAAUGCCUCCCUUGUCGCGACCUCUUUUUUUCGGCGCCCGCAUUCGGGUACGAGCGCCUAAGGAGGCUAAUGGCUCGGCUGAAUUUAUUAAGCCCGGACUCUCCCAAGUCCACAAAUUCACGACUUUAAUAGUCUAAAUUUUUAACCUGUAAAUUAAUUUUUAAAAUGGAGUCACCACUAAUCGAUUUGGGAUGGAUUGAUUAGAAACCCAAGUGAAGUAUCAGGAGAAAUACUCACUCCUGCGCAACCAGAGAAAUUAGGAUCAGGGACUUGAUCACACUAGUUAAUCACUAAUGCUCUUUCGGUACCUAAUCUUGUUUAAACCUUGAGUUUUUUUUGAUGUUCGAGGGAUUUUCCAUGUAUUUUUUGGAGGAAAAACAUUUUUUGAGUCAUUUUCUAAUUUUUUUGGACACAAAAGGGAUUUUUUGGGAUUUUUGGUUUUUUUUUUUGGAAAAAUACAAGUCUUUUUGGCUUUUUCUGAAUUUUUUGGCAUUUUCAUGAAUUUUUGGCUUUUUUUUGGAUUUUUGGUAUUUUUUGGAAAAUAUGGAAUUUUUUUGAUUUUUUUGAUUUUUCGGAAAAUAAAAUAUUUUUUAAUAAUUUUCAAUAUUUUUGGAAAAUAAAAUAUUUUUUGAUUUUUUUGGGAAAUAAAAUAUUUUUACUGUUUUUUAAAAUAUUUUUCGAAAAUAAACAUUUUUUUAAAAUAAAUUAUUUAUUUAUUGUUUAUUUAUUUAAAAUAUUAUUUUAUAUUAAAAUAAUAUAAAAACUGACCCGGGUCGGAUCCGCGGGUUGGGUCCGACCUGAGCCGGCGAUCCGAACAAGGACGGGCUUGCAACGCCGGCUCAACUCAGAUUUUUUCCUUUUUUUUAUUUUAUUUUAUUUACUGAAACGGCGUCGUGGCUGGGCGUUCGGGGACACCCGGCCCGGCCCAACGACCCGGACCCGACAACCCGGUUUUUCGGCGAAAACCCUACCUGGAUCCAACCCGGAUCGUGACCCGGCCUUCCGCUGCUCCAAAUUGCGCAAAACCCUACCCGGCUCUCGGCCCGGGUCCAACCCGACGACCCAGGGGCACGACCCGAAAAAAUUAGGAAACCUAGGGUUCUCGUUUCGCGGCGCUGGUGAAGGGACCGGGGCGGCAGCUCGCAUCGUCAACGACGGCUACGCAGAGGACGGCGGUGGUCGGUCAUUCGUCGGAAUGAAGAGCACGACUCAACAACGGCGGCUGACCUAUUUGGCCGGUCAGGACCGAGAGAUUAGGGUUUCAUAGUCAAGGGGGGGCGAUGGCAAUGACGCGGUAGACAGAGGCGGCGACCAGAUCUCGAACGGGAAAGCAGCGGCGAGUGGUGGCGAGCGGCGGUAGAUACCUGGCUGCAGCAACGGAGUGACGAGGUGGUGGUGGCGGUGACAGAAGGUAGCGACGGCAGCCCCCUCAAUUCCCAGAUCUGGCUUGGCGUGGGUAGAUCGGUCACGGCUCAGCAGAGGAGGACGACAACAAGCCUUCGAGGCGACUACGUCGGGACUCGAUCGAGGCAACGGUGUGGGGACGGCGGUACAGCUCGACGCAGCGUCCGGUGUCAGCGGCAACAGCAGCAAGAACCAAGAUCUGGACAUUGACCGAUCCUCUCCCUCUAGCCGAUCUCCCUUAGAUCUUGCUUCUCUCUCACUCCGGUCAAAUCCGAGCCUCCACCGGCCAGAUCUGACCUCCUCGGACUCGCUCGCCCGCGGCCUCCUCGAAGUCUCUCAGUGAGAGGUCGGCCGAGCUCGCGACGACCCGAUUUCUCUCUCGCUCGCUCUUCGAUUCCUCCCCCGAAGUCUCUCAGUGGGAAGAUCUCAGAGCUCGCUCGUGCCGUUCUUCGACGAAGGUGGUGCCCUUUUAUAGGCGAGGGAAUCCGGUCAACGGAGCUUUGACCGCCGAUCCCCUUCGUGCGCCGAGCGGUUCUCCUCGGCUGAACCGGCGUCCCAUCCGAGCUCAUCCAGCGAAGCGUGCUCGGCAUUGAUGGCGCUCGAGAUCUUAUCUUCUCCGGCCGACGUCGACCUACUCCCCUCGGCCGUAGGCCGUCCUUCGCGCGCGCCGUCGUCUUAUGUGCGCGUGAGUUGCAGAGGCGUAGGGGGAAGAAGGAAGAAGAAGAAAAGAAGGGGGCCAGGCUUUGGGGGAAAUGGGAAUGGCUGGCCUUGGGCCUGCGUGGAAAAGAAAAAGAAGGGGUUGGGCUGGCUUUUGUUUUUCUUUUGGUUUUUUUUUUCUGUUUUUAUUUGUUUUUUGUUGUUUUAUCUUUUUAUUAUCUAUUUAUCCGAAAAGACAAAAUUAAAAACUUAAUUAAUAAAAUAAAAUAAACCUAAUUAAAAUUGAGGUGUCGACAUCCCCAAAGCGUCUUCAGAUGCUUCAGCUCAUACUCCUCCGACAGCCACCUCAAACGAAUUAGUAAUCAACCUUAUCUUCUUAUAUUCCUAAUUCAUUUCUGCUUGUGAGAAAUAUACUUUUUUUGCAGUCAAAGUAACAAUUUAAACAUAAUUCCUUCAUAUAUUAUUACUAAAAAACUUAGGAGACAAUAAAAAUAUUUCAAAUGUAAAGAGUCGAUUAGAUUUUAUCGGUUGAUCAAUCUAGGACAUUGUGGAUGGUGAGAUGAUGAUAUAAUAACAAUAACAAUAACAAUAACAAUAACAAUAAUAACAAUAAUAAUAACAAUAAUAAUAGGAUCGGGAGUGCUUUUGCUUUCAUCGGACAUUUCUCUGCUGGGCUGGAUUGCAAGCCCUAUUGUGAUGUUCUUUUUCUCCUCCGUGUGUUACUACACCACUCGUCUGCUCUUUAAUUGUUACCGAGCCGACAACCUCAACUCCAGCAAAUGUAACACCACUUACAUGGACUCUAUUCGUUCAAUCCUUGGUAUGGAAUUCCAUCACAUAUUAUCACUUCUCGUUACUUGAAAUCUGCACUUUGAUUAAAUUUCCCACAUGAACAAAAGAUCCAAUGGAUGAAAAAUAAAAGAGUGAGAUUUUUUGGGGGAUAGAAAUUUCCAGACAUCCACCAUAGAGACCGGAUCAUGAUCAUAUUAAUCUAACUUUCAGUUUGUCCUAGUGCUUUGCUUCGACUAGCGUUCCCUGCUCAAACCUGGGAAUUUGGAUUUGCUGCAUGAUCUCGACAACUCUGAGACAUGAAAAGAAUCGGAUGUAAGAUUGGCCUAGCGGUGAUAUUGGUCACAUUAAAAUCUUGUUCCGAUUAUCGAAAAAUGGUUAGCAACAGUCAGUCAAAGUGUAGAAUGUCGGUGUGAACGAGAAGGGGAAAAAUUAGCAAAUAGAAAAAUUGCCUAUCAUUAUAACAGCAGUUUCUCAUAACCAUGGCAUUUUGAAGAAAUAUCAUCUGGUAAACCCUUUUUAUAGCCGCACCACUAGCAGAGCAAAGCGUCCAAGAUAUCUUAGAAACCUCGAAUUUUUUCCUUUUCCCUGAUGUCACUCCUGCUGUUGGGUAAAAGGAAUCUCGUUUUACAUCUUCAUAUUGCCAUCUGAGAGAGCUCUAGUUUAGUUGGAGAUGUGGAUCUGGCUAUACUCACAAGAUUAUGCUUUUAAAGCGAGGUUUCACUUUGACUUUUACUGAGUAAAAAUUUAUAGACAUUCAUUCAUUAUACAUUUGUUUCGCAGAAAAUAAGUGAAUAUGAAAAACAUUUUCCAAAAAUUAAUGAUUUUUAUUUUUUAAAUAAUUAUUUAAUAAAGAAUAAUUUUUCAUUAAUUAUAAUAUAUGUUCAAACAUAUCUAUAAAUGAUUUAUAAAAGAAACAAAAGAUCAAUUUUUGAAAAAUAUUUUUGAAACUGUUGAUCUUUUACAAAACAAACAUACCCUUAUUCGGAUUUUAUUUUUUUACAAAAUUGAUUGAUUGAAGAUAUUUAUUCGUAGUUUAUUUUUGUUGGGGGCAAUUUACGUCAAUUUGUUAGAGGCAAGAUAAUUUUUUGCAUUUAUAAAAUAUUUACCAACGUAAAGGUAAUUUAAUGAUGCCGAAGCUAAAUUUACAUACACAAAAUAAAAUUUAAAAACAUCAGUUUGUUUUUGUGAUAUAUAAUAGCUUAUAUUGCUACGACGAGACUUCAUUAGCUAUGAAUAAGUAUAAUUAAGAAGAAUGUCAAGGAUUAGGGCACGCUCGAUUCCUUAAUUGUAAGGUAAAUUACUUACUACUACUACUGUACUCCAGCUUCGCAUUAGGUAAGUUACUGUAGCCGUUGUUACGAUCACAUCAGAUAAAUUUAAACAAGUCCACCCCGCUGAUUACCUGAAGAGGUUAGCCGUCGCCAAUUUACCGUUUCGACCUCGCGCGCCCAACCCACUUUCCUAUUCUACAAGGGGCAAAUUCGGAAUGACGGGCGAAUGGACGCUUCAUAUCCGUUACGGGCCCCUCCUCUGUCCCUCGCACAGUGGUCGUGGUGGCAUCAUCUCUCUCCCACCUUCUUCUUCUUCGCAUGUUGCCCCACCGCUUGCUUCCUUUUCCUCUCUCGACGGAGCCACAUUCCGGCUCAACGGGAGAUGGCGGAGCCGCAUCUGCUUCGGCCGUGCGGCCGAUCGUCGAAGACGGGACGCCCCCGUGUGGGGGCCACACAGAGAGAGAGGAAUGGGGCUAUGAUCGGGGCUCGGCGCGCUCUGUGGCUGCAAAGGCGGGGCCGAGCAAAGACGUUCGGCGGGCGGCGGAUUCGAGGGCGUGCUGGAGUUGAGGCGGAUGUGUGAGUUUCUCGAAUUUUUUUCUCUCUGGCUGGGUUGAAUGGUUGUUGUUGCGUGAUGAUUAUGCUGUUGUCGUUUGGGGCGUAAAUCUUGUCGGAGGAGAUGAGGUUUUGAUUCCUUACUCUGAUUUGUGCCAAAACCUUUUAUUUCUCAGAUCUUCUUUGGGAGUGGGAAUUUUCUUCUAAAGAACAUGACUUAUGAUAGAAUAUCUCUUUGAGCAGUAAUUUUUCAACAAAUCUGUGCUCUUUCUUAUAAAAAAAAGUUCAGAUUUUUGUUUUUUGUACAUAGAAUAUGAAUCUAGUGCUUAGAAAGUUCUUUGCUACAGAGUAACUUGAUUCCUUUGCCAGAGUUUUUUGGUUUUUCGACCUGUUUGGUGACCUGUUGUAACGUUACCAUAUCAACGAAAUAUACGAAGAGAGUGACAUGCCUCGACAAAUCAUACUGUUUGGUGUACUACAAUUUCGGCAAAGCACCUUUUCAUAUGAUGAUUCACUAUUGCUUAUCCUCAUAUCAAGCCUUGUAAUCAUUUUGCUACAGAUCUUGCACCCGUGCUUUAUGUUCUUAAAAAUAUAUUUUUCUUUUCUGAAAACAAAAGACAUUUCAUAAAAAUCAAUUUCUGUUUGAAAAAAGGUGUGAUACUUUUGUUUUGUCAUUUCUCUAUAUUAACUUCUGUUAAAAAUUAAGUGAAUUAAAAAAUUCCUCUUCAAAGUCGUUUCCAAAUGUUGCGAAUUAUGACAAUUUUCUUCCUUACUCUCUUUUUCAAUUAACUUUGGGAGUUUAAAUUUGCUUUUAAAGAAUGUCAUGCAGAGUAUUUUAGAUUCUUUCACAAGUUUUUCCCCAAUGUAUUUCCUCAUAGCUUUAUGAGUGGCAAGUUUUCAAAUAUCUAUUUUUUGCCAAAUAAGUUUAAACUUCUGUUUUCUUCUCGUGGAUAUAUUUCUCUUUCUUGAAAACUUUUUGAAAGACAUUUCGUGAAGAUCUAUCUUUGUUUGAAAGAGGUGUGAUGCUUUUGUUUGUUUUGUGAUUUCUAAAUAUUAACUUCUUGAUUUUAAGUUUUUUGUUAAAGAGUGAUUGGGUUUAAAAGUUUAUUUUCAAAGUCGAUUCCAAAUGUUGCGAAUUUUCACAAUUUUCUUCCUUAUUUUGUACAAGACACACCUAUUCAAACAACUUUGGCAUUUUAAAUUUGCUUUUAAAGUAGGUUGUGCAAAUUAUUCUAGAGUCUUUCACAAGAUUUUCUAAUCUAUUUCCUUCUAACUUUCUGAGCAGCAAGUUUUCAAAUAUCUCUUUUUUGUCAUAUAAGUUUAAUUUUGUUUUCUCCUUUGAAUAUAUCUGUCUUUUUUUUUUAUAGUUUUUUAUUAUGACAUAUUGGAAAAAUGUUCUCUGUUUAAAAGAGCUGUGAUACUUUUGUUUUGUCCUUUCUGAAUUUUAACUUCUUGAGCUUAAGUUUUCUGUUAACGAGUAUAACUAGAUUUAAAGUUUCUUCUCAAAUUUGUUUCCAAAUGUUGCAAAUUAUGACAAUUUUCGACCUUAUUCUGUUUUGUACAAGACCUACCUUUUUCAAACCACUUUGGAAGUUUAAAUUUGCUUUGAAAGAACGUAAUGCAAAUUAUUUUGGGUUCUUUCACAAGUUUUUCCAAUCUCUUUCCUCAUAACCUUAUGAGCAGCAAGUUUUCAAAUAUCUAUUUUUUGUUGAAAAAGUUCGAACUUUUGUUUUCUCAAUUGAAUAUAUUUCUCUUUUUUGAAAACCUUUUUAAAGACAUUUCAUAAAAAUCAAUCUCUUUUUGAACUGGUAGGGAUUGUGGCCCUCACCUGGUUCGGCCAAGGGCCGUUGACCCUCGCUGGCCAGGGCUUGGCGACCCUAGCUAACCCUCCCCCUUCGUCGUUGGCCCUUCUCGGUGGUGGGGCGGUGGCCGCGGCAAGGGCUUAGCCCUUAGCCACCUCCCUCCUCUUUUUUUUCUUUAAUAUUUGUAUUUUUUAAGUGUUUUAAAUAAAUGUAAUUUUAAAUUAAAUUAAAUUACUUAUUAUGUUAAUUAUUUACCACGUCACCAUCAAAAUAACGUCUUUUUGACGCUGUUUAGCCAUAUCAGCAUGCAAAAUGAUGCCAUUUUGUACUUACUUCAUUAGAAAUUGCACACGUCAGCACUGAUUUUGGCUUAAGUGUUACGUCCGUAACUUUAACUUUUGACACUUAAUAUCAUUUUGUGUCAACUUUUGGUACUCUAGAGGUCCGGGUGUUGGAGGUUAACUCACCGAUUUCCAGCGACAGUGAGCUUGUCGGUGACAGCGGCGUGAUGGCGUCGAGAACGUGCCGCUUGCGAUGGCAACGGCGGCGGCGGUGGGGAGGAAGAGAGAGGGAAGAAAAGACGAAAAAAAGAAAAGGGGAGGAGGUGACGUGAGAGGGAAAGGGGAGAAGAGAGAGAGACCGACAGACAGACAGAAAGGGGAAGGGGGGAUGGAUGGCAGAAAAGGGGGAGAAAUCGCGUGGGGGUGGGGUGGGAAGAGAGAGGGAAGAAAAGACAAAAAAAAGAAAAAAGGAGGGAGGAGGAGAGAGAGGAAGAGGACAAUGCGUCUUGACUUAGAGACGCAGUUUUUAGCUUUAACUAAUACGACAGUAUCACAAGUCGCACAUUAUAUCUUCCUCAACAAACGGUCAAAGUUUCAGAAAAUAAAAGGAAAAAUAAUGAUAAUAGGAAAUAAGGUCGGUCCGCAAAUACUUUAAUAGUUUGCACCUGCUUUGAAAAUGCCAUCAAAAGCAACAACAAACGCGGACGAAGACCAGCGUUGACUCUUGUUAACAUUAGGGAAGUUUCUUGCACAAGGCAAUUAGUAUGAAAACGAGAAGAAUUCUACACUAGUGGUUUACUCUUUUCUCCUCUAUAUAUCAGCUUGAAGGUUCCUAGCAUGGAGAGUUGCUGCCGUUGCUUUUCGGAACCCAUCUUUGUUUUCUUUCUUUUAUGAUAGAUCCCACUCUGUGCAUCAUUCUUUUUCUUCCUCUUUGAUUGCCUUUGAUUGAGGGAAAGGUUGCAAGUUGUUAAGGUAAGUGUUAUAUCUAACUAGUGCUCACUCUUGUUAAUUUGUUCUUAUCAAUGAUCAUGAUGAUAAAUAUGGGGUUUUAUGGCCUUUAUCAUAUUGUUUCUUUCCAUUGCUCAAGAAUUUUGAGCAAAGUUCUGUUUUGCUGUGUAUCCAAAUGUAGUAUAACCACUCUAUAUGAUGACCUCAAAUGCACUUGCCAUUUUCUUUCUACUCCCAUCAAGUGAUUAAAAACCCUGUCGCUUAGCCUUUUGCAUGUUGUUUUGGACCCCGCUUAUGGCUAAAUGUGAACGUUUAUAUGGUCAACUAAGCUGUAAUUAUCUUGCUAAGUGAAGCAAGAAAGGAGGGAGCUUUACAACUCUGUAUCUAUGUCCCAUGUGUGGUCCUUUGGUCUUCAAUAUAUGCUCUAACACCACAGGAUUAGGAGGGAUUAUGAAGCGAGGGAAAUGGUUCUAAGAGAGACUAGAAGGGAAUGGUCUAGUUAAUCCUAUGUUCAUUUUAAAUAUUGGAGGUAUUUGUAUAUAAAUAAACAAAUUUAUUAUUCACUCUCACUUGUUCUUUUAUUUUACAUUCAUCUAGAAAUCCUACUUAUAAUACGUUCUUUUCCUCUUUUUUUCCCUCCUAGCAUCCAAACAAAAUUAUAACUCAAUCAUUUCAAAUCCUUUCUUUGCUUUUUACUCAUAAUUAAUUAAAUCUCUUCUUUACCCCCUAAUUACUCCAUUCAAACUGAGUGUCAAUAUGGAGGUCGGGUUUCUCUCUUCUUCGGUAAGAAUUUCGUCUCUCCCUUGGUGUUGUAUUCCCUAUCCAUGGUGAUAGUUCUCCCUUGAUACCCUCCUCAUGGAGCCUCUUCCAAAAUCAAUCCCACUUACCAUUCUGUUUCAUCUUGGAACGCGAUAUCCGUAUAUCAUUCAUGGUCCAACAUCCUCCCUUCUCCUCGAAUCCUGUACCAUGAAGAAAUUCAUUUAUCCUCACUCGCACCAUACAUCCUCCCUUUGGUCUUUAGAAUUUGCUCCAACAUUUCGUUUGUUAGGAGGGAUUAGGAGGGAAGAAACAUAGCUUGAAAAAAUACAAUCGUGUUUGGAUGGGGAGAAACAAACGGAUGGAAAGGAUCGGGAGGCAUUAGGAAAGGCUAGAAAGAAUUGAUCUGGUCAAUUUUACUUGCAUUAUAAUUCUUGGAGUAAGUCGUAAGGAUUUUCAUAUAAAUAAAUAAAUUUACUCUUCUUUCUCGCUUAUUCUCUUAUUCUGCUUCAUUUAGUAGUAGAUAAAAGGAUAUUCAUUUCAUUAUGCAUUCUUUCCCUCGUUAGCAUUUAAACAACAUGAUAACUCAAUCGCUUCAAAUCAUCUCUUCUUUUUCCACACAAAUAUUUAAAUAUAUUAUUUUUCCUCACAUAGUACUUCAUGAAACCUAAUCAGCCCUUCCUUCAUGCGUGGAUUUGUUUCUUUUUUCUUUAGAAGCCAUCAUAAUAUAAUGAAAAUGACUAAACAAAUAAGCUCUAGUAAAUUUAACGCCCAUGCAAAGCGUUUGGUAACUUUUUGCAAAAUGCACAAUCAAUUACGCCUUGAACUUGGCUUCACACUAUUUUAAUAUCUUCCGAGAAUCCUAACUCCGCAUAUUAUAAAUACACACUUCAAUCCCUCCUCUCCCCACACCACCGCGUUCUUCUCUCUCUCUCUCUCUCUCUCUCUCUCUCUCUCCCUCUCUCACAGUGCCUUUCGAAACCAACUGUCUCUCAGUGUCUUUUGACUCCUUUGGUUUUUAGGUGCGUGCACAAGACACAAAGCAACCUCAGGUGAGCACACACUUUCCACUGAUUUUGAUUCGGCGAGUGUUGUUUUUACUUUUAAGUAGAACUAGACAAAAUCCAGUUGAAAGAACAUAGUCGCUGAUGGAUGAUGAACAAGUUUGAAGGUCCUUUCAUUUAGUAAGAAAGAAUUUGGUCUCCACAGACACGACUUACUUUAAUAUUUUCUUCUUUUUAUGUUUUCUUUAGGGGACUUCAAACAUGGUUGACAACACUGCCACCAAGACAAACCAAAACCACCACCACCAAGUUGGUGACAUCUCCAAUGAAAUGCUUCCACAGAAUGACACCGAAUCUCAGAGUAAACACACAGCCACUAAUUUUGAUUCGGUGAGUGUUAAUUAAACUUUUAAGUAGAACUAGACAAAGCCCAGUUGAAACGACAAGGUAUCUGAUGGAUGAACAAUUUUGAAGGUCCUUUCAUUUGACUAGACAAAAUUUAGUUUCCACACACACAACUUACAAACAAAUACUAUUUCCUCCUCCUUUUUCGUUUUCUUCAGGAGACAUUAAAGACGGUUGAUAAAGCUGCCACCGAGAACAACCAAAACUAUCACCACCAAGUUGGUGACAUCUCUAGUGAAAUGCUUCCACAGAGUGACUCCGGAUCUCAGAGUAAACACGUACUUGCCACUAAUUUUGAUUCGGUGAGUGUCAAUUAAACUUUCAAGUAAAACUAGACAAAUCCCGACAUGGUCUCUUAUGGAUGAACAAGUUUGAAGGUCCUUUCAUUUGGCUGGAUACAAUUUAGUUUCCACACGCGCCACUUACUGACGAUUGCCAUUUCCUUCUUCUUCUUCUUUUUAUCGUUUUCUUUAGGGGACAUUAAAGAUGGUUGACAACGCUGCCACCGAGAACAACCAAAACCACCACCACCUAGUUGGUGACAUCUCCAGUGACAUGCUUCCUCAAAGUGACUCCGGAUCUCAGAGUAAACACACACUUUCCACUGAUUUUGAUUCGGUGAGUGUUAAUUAAACUUUCAAUUAUAACUAGUCCAAACCCAGUUGAAAGGACACGGUCUCCGAUGGAUGAAUAAAUUUGAAGGUACUUUCAUUUGGCAAGACAGGCUUUAGUUCCCCACGCAAGACAGGCUUUAGUUCCCCGCACAAGACUUACUAACAAUUGCUAUUUCCUUCUUUUUACGUUUUCUUUAGGGGACAUUAAGGAUGGUUGACAAUGCUGCCAUCGAGAACAACAAAAACCACCACCACCAAGCUGGUGACAUCUCCAGUGAAAUGCUUCCUCAGAGUGACUCUGGAUCUCUCAGUAAACACACACUUUCCAUUGAUUCUGAUUCGGUGAGUGUUAAUCAAACUUUCAUGUAGCUUUAGACAAAAACCAAGUUUGAAGGUCCUUUCAUUUGGCAAGACAGGAUUUAGUUUCCACACAUAAGACUUAAUAACAAUUGCUAUUUACUUCUUUUUUGGUUUUCUUUAGGGGACAUUAAAGAUGGUUGACAAUGCUGCCAUCGAGAACAACCAAGCUAUCUCCAAUGAAAUGCUUCCUCAGAGUGACUCUGGAUCUCAGAGUAAACACACACUUUCCAUUGCUUCGGAUUUGGUGAGUAUUUAUCAAACUUUCAAGUAGAUUUAGACAAAAUCCAAUUGACAAGACAUGGUCUCUGAUGGAUGAACAAGUCUGAAGGACUUCUCAUUUGGUAAGACAGAACUUAGUUUCCACGUACACGACUUACUAAAAAUUGCUAUUUCCUUCUUUUCUUUGGGGGGACAUUAAAGAUAGAAUUUAGUUUCCCCAUGUCGGUAACUUCCAGCCUAAAAUUGGCUAGAUGAGUUCAAUUGUUACCAAUGUGAUAGGAUAUAUAACUAAAUUGGUCAAAUUGAAAGGUUUAGAACUGAUAUGAUAUCAAUGCAAUUAAUUUAGGACUUUUUUGGUACUUUUUUUGGUCUUUAACUAAUAUGACAGUUCCUCAAGUUACACAUCAUCUUUCUCAAGUUGUGAUUAAAGUUUAAAAAAUAAUAAGUAAAUGAAAAACAAAUAGUAAUAACAAUAGGAAAGAGGAAACGAAGCAAUGGUCGGCAAGUAGUUUAUAGUUUGCACUGGCUUUGAAGUUCGAACAUCCAAUCAAGUGCAAUAACAAAUACGGACGAGAAACAAGCAUUGGUACCUCUCAACAACGGAAAAGAUCCUUACACGGGAGAGUGAAUGUGAAAACGGAGAAGAUCCUUACGUUAGCUACUUACUCUUUUCUCCUAUAUAUAAUUAGUGCCCGCUCUUAUUCUUGAUAGUGAUGAUAAAUUUGGUGUCUCAUGGCCUUGCGGUUGUUUCCUUCCAUUGCUCAGGAUUCUUGAGCAACGUUCUGUUUUGCCAUGUAUAUGUUUUGCAGUAUAACCACUCUAUAUGAUAACCUCAAAUGCACUUGGCAUUUCCUCUGCACUCCCAUCCAGUUAUCAAAACCAAUUCACCUUUUAAGAGCCUGUUCAUCAGACUUGAUCCGCUCAUCCAAUUGGCAUAUUCAUGAAGAAAUUCUACUUCAAUCAAUAUGACUUUCCCUUUUAUUGAUCUUUUAGGACCACACUUAUGACUACAGUAGUACAGCUGACGUUUAUAUACUCGAAUAAGCUCUAAAUAUCUUAGUAAGUGAAGCAAGAAAGGAUGGAACAGGUGAAACUAUUUUAUGACUUCAUAUUUGUGUCCCAAGUGUGGUCCUUUGGUCUUUAGAAUAUGCUCCAACAUUAUGUUUGUUAGGAGGGAUUAGGAGGGAAGCAAUAUAGUUCCAAAAAAUACAAUCAUGUUUGGAUGGAGAGAAACAGACGGAUGGAAAACCUACAAGGGUUUAGUCCAUCGUUAAUGUUCUUACACGAGAUUCUCAUUAGGUAGUAAUUAGGCCAUAUAUGGUACUUGGUUGAGCCAUUUUGUCAAGAGCACAAUUAUAGUUACUAAAAAUGUCACUACAGAGUUCUCCCUAAAUGGUGUUCACAAUUUCCACGACCUUAGACAAAGGCAAUGAUUAAAGACUCGAUGAAGAGGAAGAUGAUAUAUAGUUCUCGCUAAAUUUAACAGUAAAAUUUGAUGGAAACUAACAAAGGGUAAAUGUAUUAUGUGUGCAUUGGUUUGAGAUUUUUGGUGACCAUAAAUUAUUUUGGAGUAAAUUUAUCAAAUGUGUACUAGUUUGUGGGACAUUUGUUACAAGUGCACCAAUUUAGGAUUUUUUGUGGUGUUAGCCCAUUAAUUGAUCCAUGCCAAGUACAUGUGGCAUCCAAGCAGCAAUUCAAUGAUAAUAUUUAAUGAAAUCUAAUAGAGAGUAAAUAUAUCACGUGUACACUGGUUUAGAGCUUUUAGUAGUAAAAAAAUAAGUUUUGGAUAAGUUUGUCGCUAUUGUACCAGUUUGGAUUUUCGUUUGUAUUAACUCUAUAUAAUUAGUGCUCACUCUCGUUAAUUUGUUCUUAUUAAUGAUAGUGAUGAUCAAUUUGUCGUUUCAUGGCCUUACGAUCGUUUCUUUCCACUGUUCAAGAUUCUUGAGCUAUGUUCUGUUUUGCUGUGUAUAUGUAUGCAGUAUAACCACCCUAUACGAUAACCUCAAAUGCCCUUGGCAUUUCCAUUCUACUCCCAUCUAGUGAUCAAAACCAUUUCGCAUUUUCUGUGUUGUUUUGGAUCACACUCUAGACUACAUGUGAACGUUUAUAUGCUCAAAUAAGCUUCAAAUAUUUAAGGGAAGCGAAGGAGGAAACCAGUGAAACUGUUAUGCGACCUUGCACCUAUGUCCCAUGCGUGGUCCUUAGGUCUUUAAUAUAUGCUCUAACACUCUUAAGAUCAGGAGGGAUUAUGAGGGAAGGGAAAUAGUUCUCAAAUUACAAUCGUGUUUGGAUGGAGGGAAACAAACGGAUGAAAAGAAUUAAGAGGGAUUAGGAGAGCAAAAAGAUCUGGUUAAUUUCAUAAACAAAUUACAUUUAGGACGGAUUUGUGUAUUAAUAAAAUAAUUUUUUUCCUGCUCACUUGUUCUUUCAUUUUACAUAUAAUGGGAAAUCCAUGAAGGAUAUUUACGUCAUUAUGCAUUGUUUUUCCUUUCUUUUUCCUCGCUAAUAUCUAAAUAUUAUCAUAAUCCAAUCACUUACGGUCCUUUCUUUUCUUUUUACUCAUAAUCAUUCAGACUUUUCGUUCCCAAUUACUCCAUCCAAGCUGAUAAUAUGCAAUCAGCUCUUCCUUUAUCCGUGGAUUUCUUUCUUUUACUUUAGAAGCCAUAAUAAUAUAAUGAAAAUGACUUAGUGAAUGAGCUCUAGUAAAUUUAGAACACAUGCCAAAUUUCACACGGUGAGUGUUUUUUGAGAGAGAGAGGAAGAGUGGGAUUGAAGAGGUUGACAUAUGAUUGAAGAGUAUGCCCCAAUGACAUACUCGUCGGGUCCUCCUGUCACGUGAGUUCUUUGCUUAUUCCUUUUCUUUCUUUAUAAUUUACUUUCAAAGCUUUUUUUAAUGAUGUAAUGCAACCAAUGGUUCUCCUCUUAAAGGAAUGAGAAGAAUAAUAAUUUCUACUAAAUUUUAUUUGCAAAUAUCAUUCAACGAGCGGGCCACCUUGUGGAUGGAUAUUCUUUGCUCCUAUAGUGUAAAAUUUCAUACAAUCACUUAAAAUAGCCAUUUAGCACUUUUUUUUCCAUUGUCAGCGAAAGAAGAACAUAAGAAAGCAUGCUCUUUGACAGACGAAUUUAACCAUCAAUGCAAAAGAAAUCAUUUUAUGCAUUCGAUUAAUAUGAGUUCGAUACACGGAAUUUUUAUAUCACUUGCAUUUCAUAAAUUUCCUGUUUACGUUAAAAUCACAUAAUUGAAGUGAUGCUGAACAUUACUUUAAUAUCUUCCACGAAUCCUAAGGCCGCACAUUGAAGUACCCACACUUCAAUCCUUCUUCUCCCUCCAUUCUAAGUACUACUGUUUCUCGCCCAACUACACUUCCAUACAUUCACAUGUUUGGCGCAACCAUCUCUUGGUUUUCAGGUGGGUGCACAAAACACAAAGCGAUCUCAGAGUCAAAGAAACACCGACUUUCCACUGAUUUUGAUUCUAUUAGUUUUAAUUAAACUUGCCGGUAUAACUGGACAAACCCAGAUUGAAACAAUAUGGCUUCUGAUGGAUGAAUAAUUUUGAAGUUCUUUUCACUCGGCAAGACAUAAUUUAAUAUCCAAACACACAACUUACUGACAAUUGCUGUUAAACUUCUUUUUUCGGGGGACAUUAAAGAUGGGUGAGAAUGCUGCCACCAAUAACGACCAUAACCACCAGCACCGCCGCCACCAAAUUGGUGACAUGUCCAUUGAAAUGCUUCCUCCGUGUGUCUCCAGACGCUCUGACGACGAAGGCAGCCGCAAAAGAACUGGUAAUCAACCUUUUCUUCUUAUACUAGAUUGUCUAGUUCUUUGAUACUUGUUUACUUCAAGUUUGAUACAUCAGCCUUCCAAAAUAUACAUUUUUCUGUACUAUGAGUAAGAGUUUGAUAUGUUUUAAGUCAAGCGUAAUUCCUUCAUUAAUUAUUGGAUAACUAACUUAAGAGACAAUGGAAGUUUUCCAAUUGUAAAGAGUUAAUCAGACUUUAUCGGUUGACCGAUCAGGGAACGUAUGGACGGCCAGUGCAAAUAUAAUAGUAGUGAUGGUAGGAACAGGAGUGCUUUCGCUGGCAUGGGACAUUGCUCAGCUGGGUUGGAUUGCGGGCCCUGCUGUGAUCCUAUUCUUCUCCCUUGUGGGCUACUACACCUCUCGCUUCCUCUCUGAUUGUUACCGCACCGGUGACCCUGACACCGGUGAUCGUAACUCCACUUAUAUGGACUCUGUUCACUCGAUUCUUGGUAAGGUAUUCUAUCAUCAUGUUGUUGCUUCUAAUUAUUUGACGGCCGUAAAUUUCCCAUUACCACGUAUUUCCAAAUGUACAGCCAAAUGAGUCACGAAACUUUUAAUUAGGUGAUAAUUGUGAGUCUACAUUCUUAGGCUCCGUUUGUUGCAUGGCAAAAAUAAAUGAUUUGGACUACAUUUUCCUAAAAAUAAUUAUCUAUAUUGCUUAUAAAAAUAAAUAAACGAAAACUAUUUUCAUCAUCCACGAAUAUAUUUAGACACAAAUUGUUGUUGAUAAUGAAAACAUUUUCUAUUAACUAACUAAAUCAAUUGAUAUAUGCGAUUAUUUUUUAGGAAAAUGUUUUCUAAGAUUAUUCAUUUUCCGCAAAACAAACAAAGCCUUAUCAUAUUAACAUCUUCAAGGUUUAUUCUCAGGUGGAGCCAAAGUAAAAGCAUGUGGUUUUCUUCAAUAUAUAACCCUAUUCGGAAACGCCAUUAGCUGUAUCGUCGAAGCAUCUCUCUGCAUGAUGUGAGUGCAAUUCUACUUGCCCAAACUCUUAACAAAUUUUAUUUAGCAGAUCACAAUGAACUUCUUGUUCUACGGUUUCUGAUAUAACCUGGUUAAUUCAAUCUUAUACAUGUUCCCUCUUUCCAAAAAAAGGGCAAUAAAAUAUAUGAAUUGCUCCCACGAGAGUAACUGGGAGAACCGGUGCUACAUUUUAAGCAAUCCAUAUAUGAUCAUCAUCGCCGUCACAGAGAUUCUGCUGUCCCAGAUUCCAGAUUUCGAUCAAAUACGGUGGAUUUCUGUUGUGGCUGCUGUCAUGUUCGUCACUUACUCUUUAAUUGGUCUUGGCCUAGGAAUUGCCCAAGUUGUAGGUACAGAUUUAUUCUUUUCUCAAGACAGAUGGCCAUCAAAUUCAAGAGAUUAUAUUGUCAUACCAUAAAUAAGAAGUUGUUUCCAGCAAUUUUUUUUUUCUUGAUGAGCAGAUACUGGAAGUUUCAAGGGUAGUUUUAGAGUAAUAAGCGUUGGAGAUGGGACUGAAACCCAAAAGGUAUGGAGGAUCCUCCGAGCUGUUAGAGGUAUCGCAAAUGCGUACUCAUUUUCUCAGAUCCUCAUUGAAACUCAGGUACUAAAAUAUGAUUCCAUCAGUUCAAAAACUAAGGAAAUGGUUAAGAGUGGAUAGAACAGACAGGAACUACCUUGUUUUUCCUUUUAUCUUUGUCAGGACACCAUCGGAUCUCCGCCAUCAGAAGCAAAGACCAUGAAGAAGGCCAUUUCUCGGAGCACCGCAGUGAUGACGACUAUCUACAUGCUAUGUGGCUGCAUUGGGUAUGCUGCUUUCGGAGAGGCCACUCCAAUAAAUUUUCUGAUGGAAUUGGCUUUUUACAAGCCAUUCUGGCUUCUCGAUAUUUCCAACGCUGCUAUGGUGAUCAAUCUCGUUGGAGCUUACCAAGUAAACAGCCAGCCGAUAUUUGCCUUCGUCGAAAAAUGGGCCGAUCAGAGAUGGCGUGGUAGUGAGCUCAUCGCUAAAGAGAUAAAGAUCCCGGUACCGGGCUUGGGCCAAUACAACAUGAAUCUCUUUAGGCUUGUUUGGAGGACGGUUUUCGUGAUCCUGACCACUGUGCUAUCGAUGCUAGUGCCGUUCGUCUUCAACGAAGUCGUGGAUAUCAUCAGCUUGGGAUUUUGGCCUUUAAUGGUCUAUUUUCCCGUCGAGAUGUAUAUUAGACAGAAACAAAUUCGCAGAUGGAGCACUAAAUGGGUAUACCUGCAAAUGCUGAGCAUGACCUGUCUUGUGAUAUCGAUC